GGUAGCCUUAGAUUGUUUUUGAAAUUUUACGUUCACAUAUUGUUGAUUAUCAAUGUUUAUGUUGUUUUAUUUAAAAAUUAUUUUAGCAGGGGAGGGGUGCUUUUCUAGAAGCGGGAAGGGAAAAGGGGGAUUUGAAGAACAAUGUUUACUUAAUUAACUGAUAAUGCAUGAUAUUGUUAAAGGUUUUUAGGUCCCACAUUCUUAGGUUUUGCUACAUCAAGUGGGAAAAUUACUGGUCUUCAAGGUGUUAAAUAUAGGUUCUUACGGCCUUUGAGUGGCAGACAAAUACUCACAAAGGAAGAGUCCACUGAUUUGCUCUAAGAGUUGAUGAGCAGUUCCUGGAACCUAAGUCCAGUUAAGAUGACUAUCACAUUUAUUAAACUUAAAAAUUAGAAACUAACCAUAAUUAGAAUGAUGUCUAAGCAGUCAGCUUUCUAGGACUGUAUAUUUUAAGAUCAUUAUAUCUUGCAACUGAUUGCUUCUAAAAUAAGUGAGCAUCCAGGAAAUGAGAUUUGUCCAGAUUGUUGAUUGGAAGUGAAGGGGACUGAGUGCUCAGUGUUUUAGCUAUCACUUAUGUUACUCAUCCCAUCAUACCCAAGCUGAUUAACAGAUACCUGCAUCCCAUCAUACCUGAUUAACAACUAUGUUCCGGUUGUUUGAGUCUGUACCUUGCUACAGUUCUAAAUUUAGUUGUCCCUGUGUAAGUCAUGUAAUAAUCUAGUUAAAGUUUUGUCAUAAUUAUGCAAGUUGCCUUGUUUAUUAUAUAAUUAGUGUGGUUUUGGCAUUUAAAUUCUUGGAGAAUCCACUCUUGUAAGUGUUUCUAUCAUAUUGGUUGAGGAAUUAUAGUUGUGAAGUGCCUAAAGCUUAUAGUGUAGUGUCAAAAUUGUUGGCCUCAUUCAAGAGGAGGUAUUACUGAUGGUAAGAGGUCACUAGGUCUAAGGGCUGAUUUUAGGGGGUACACUUUGGAGAAAUUUUCCAUUUUGGUUGCCAAGAAUUUGAAAAAUAAAGAAAGAAGAAGACCAAAAAAAAAACAUGGUAAUUAAGUGGUAUUAAAGACAGAAUAGGAAUUUUCUUUGUAAAUUGCAUAUUUUUUGAUAACCAUCAAUUAAACCAAAGUAGUAAGUGUCUGCUGUCAUGCAUCAGCAUUGUUCAUCAUGAAGCUGCUUUUCAUUGCAAGCUAUUAGCACAAUGUUACGAUGUGUAAGGCUGGUUCUUUCAAAUCGGUAGUUAUUUGUUCAUUGCCUUGCUUUCAAACUGUCCUCACUCAUGAAUGAGAAGAAGAGAAGGUUGAAAGGAUUGUAUUGUUAAUUAGCUUUGUCAAUAUUCUCAUUGUAGUUGGAAAACUGCACACAACACAAUUGCUGGUGUUUGGUGUAUUGAUCUCCUUGAUUCUGUACCGGGAUGGCUAUCAGUCAAGUUUAGCUAAAAGUUCUUGUUCGCAGCAAAUAUCACUUCUCACUACUUCCUUCAGUCAUAUUACAUUCUAGGGCCCAUCUUUUGAAACCUCUGCCACCUGCUCGACCAAGCUCAAGUCCGACUCAAAAUUUGAAUGAACAUUGAAUGCUGUUGUGCUUGGCUUAAUUAGUUGGCAAACCAACUAAAGUUUACAGGUUCAAUAGUGCAAUAUCCAUAACAUGUAUACGGACAAAACUGUUAAGGAAUCAAGAUGAUCUGUUCUCUUUUUAUUCCAUGUUGCAGUACUACUAGUUUACCUUCUUCUUUUGUUGAAAAUUUGAUGAGCUAAAUUGAUCAUAAUGGUUUGCUUUUUUUCUUUUUCUUUUUUUUUUGAGGCUGUAAUGCUUUGCCUUAUAAUGAAUUGCCACAAAGAAAGUGUUGCAAGUUCCAUAAUGUAAUAUUCAUUAAGUGUGGUCAAAGAAAAUUGUCAAGGAAUUAAAUCCAUUGGUGAUUUACUGUCUUUUGAUAUCAUGUUGCAGUACUAUUUUAUCUUUUAUUUCUUGUUGAUUAGCAUAGAUCAACCGUUCAUAUUGUUGUGUUUUAUAAUAUCAGUGAAGAAAAUGUUACAAUUGUUUCUUAAAAUGUUGUAGUUAUACUUCGCUCGGAAAAAAUUUUCAUCCAUAUUAGCAAUCUGAAAGUUCUCAAUAUAGUAAAGUAUAAUAUAAGGGAAGUUGGUUGUAGCUAUGCAGGAAAUUAUUUGGUGUUGUUUUGAAGUUGAGGUUCUUUAUCAUCUUAUGCAUAGGCACAACGAAACCUAUGCAACCUAAAGAAGUAGAUUGUUUGUGUACUUAUCCAACGUGUAUCUAUUUGUUGUUUUAGAUAUAUGUAGCAUUUAUUUCCACUCUGCCUAGGAACUUGAGUUUAUUGGGUGUCCAAAUGUUGUUGAUUACAGAUUAUAUAGGAUCCAACUUCUGAAUUGAGACUGCCUGCAUAUUUUGUCUUUUCUGGCCUCUGUGAUCUUCCAUUUUCAAUCUUUUGAUGGUUAUAGCUAGGGUUGAUAACCUAUAACCCUCCUGUGGCUUAGUGUUGUACCACAUAAAUUGCAUAUGGUUUUGAAAUGGCCAUUUUAUCCCUUUGAAUUAAUGUAUAUAUAUAUCAAGUUUUAGGUUAAAGUUAAUGAUCAAAACUGAAAAGUCAACAUUUUUUACAUCUUAUCACAAAAUGGCAAACAAAGCCUGUAAAAUAUAUUUUUUAGGUUUUAGAAAUAGAAUAAGUCUAACUCUUGCUUCAUUGGAGAUGGAAAGAAAAAUUACAUAAUCAUCCCACCAAGGUCUUCUAUGUAUUCCAGUUUCUGUCCUCAUCCUACUUAGUCCCUAAUCAGCAGCCAUGCAAGUCACUCAACUUCAUACCAGCAAUAUCUCCUCUGACUCAAAGUAGGGAUAUGCCCGGAUUUUGGACCAUUUUAAGAAAUCACUGUCGGCAUACUCUGGAACUAUCUUUGGAACAAUAUUUUGUGGGCUGGACUGUCUCAAGACUACCUACCUACCAUCAAUCCUGAAUUUUCAUUGGUGGACUUUUUGCUUGAAAAUUAGGAUUUAUGUACUUUAUGUACCUUAAUGUGCCAUGCCCCUAAUUUCUCAACUUGUAUGACUGGUGCUUGGGCACUCUCUUGUUAGUGGUUGAGGUGUAUUACCAUUGUGAAUUUUGUAUUUUUUUCCUAAACGUAAACAAACUGAUGUCAUCCUUGAAGGUUAGUUUUGUGGUUUCAUUUGAGUGACAUAUCACCUUUCCCCAUAAGGACUGGGGUGUGAAAGGCCCACCAUGACAACCAUGUAUUGCAUGAUUAGACCAGGCUUGACAUGAUUCAUACAUUUACCUGGGAGAAUGUGAUUUAGGAAACUUCUAAAGUUUUGGUUGCUGACACCGUCAGGAAAGGACAAAUUAGUAACUCAUGUAAGUUUGAGGAAUGUGUGCAUCACUGGUAUCCGUGUUCAGAGAGGACGUGAAGUAAGAAAAGGUGUGGUCUUCUAUUCUCGAACCCUAAUUACGUACCUUAAAACUUUUGAUGAGAGCUUGACAAAGGAGAAGAGCAGUACUAUAAUGACAAAAUGGGAAAACAAGGUAAAAUGAAGAGCAUAUGUAAGAACUUUCACACAUUUAAUCAAAUUACAACUGAAGGAUUAUGCCAAGGCUGUGUAUGAGCAACAAAAGGAGAUACCAAAUGUGUGUAAGUAGUGAUGUUAAUUUUGGUUCACAGUCAUAGUUGUAUGUCCUACGAGGUUUUCAGUAUACCUUUGCUGUUCAAAUGUCGAACUCAUUUAAAAGUAUAAUGCUGACUGGAGAGUCCUCUCUGGUUCUAACAAGUACUUUUUCGUUAAGCCCAUUGAAUUAGCAUUCGCGAGUCUUUCAAUUGCCUCUUAUCAUGCGAAUAAAGGGGGCAUUUUUAGUGGAUCAAGAUUAAUGGUAUAAAUAUUGGUUUUCAUUUAGACUAAUUCAAUUGCCUCUUAUCAUGCGAAUAAAGGGAGCAUUUUUAGUGGAUCAAGAUUAAUGGUUUAAAUAUUGGUUUUCAUUUAGCCUAAUUCAUUUAACUAUAAAAACCUAUUUUAGAUUUCGGAAACAGGCAGUGCUGUAUCCUUAAUGUUGCUUUUGAUGUGUAUGACUGAGCAAUUACCUAGCUCUUAAUCCUUACAAAAGUAUGUUCAAUAUAUUUGGUCAUUUUGAGUUCAAAAUUGCGCUUGUAACUUUGAUUUUUUUUUUUUUUAAAGUUUGAAUGGGUUUGUAUCCUCAACUUAUUAAGUAUCCAUAGUUUUGAACAAUGUUGCUUUUGAUGUGUAUGACUGAGCAAGUACCUAGCUCUUAAUCCUUACAAAAUUAUGUUCAAUAUAUUUGGUCAUUUUGAGUUCAAAAUUGCGCUUGUAACUUUGAUCUUUUUUUUUUUUUUUUUUAAAUUUUUGAAUGGCUUUGUAUCCUCAACUUAUUAAAUAUCCAUAGUUUUGAACAAUUGGACAUGUGAAGAUGUUUGUAUUAUAAGCAGUAAACACUAUUCUAGUAGUAAAGUUCGUACUCUUGGCCCAUCUCUCUGAAUUUGAGCAAUACAAUUUGGAGCAGAAACAUGUUGGUCACUAAACUACCCAUCCGUUUUAGGCAUAUAGCAAAAUGCUAUACAAAACCUCGUUUGGUCUCAGAAUAUUUGAAAAAGGCAUAGUUAAGUGGUCCUUUAGGCUUUCUUUUUUCCCUACGUAAUUUUGCCAUCAGCACUUACUGUUGUAUUGGUGUCAAGAAAAAGGGUUGAAAGCAAGAAAGUAGAAGUGGAGACAGUUAUAUCAGGGUGAUCAAUGGUGCUGAUUGGAUGAUUAGGAAUAAAACUGUUUAAUGGAACUUGAACAGUGUACUUUAAGAAUAAAAGGAUUGUACUGAUAUAGGUGACUGACAGGCCUUAUAGCUCGGUGAUUGUUUGUUAUGCUUUAGACGUCUGGACUAUGGUUCAAAAGUUUAUGAUGAAUAAAUAUUUAUGAGAAUGAUGCUUAAAAAGUUAAUGAGAUUUUAGAACUUUCUUAGAAGAUAAUUUUGUAGAAGGCCAAAAAGGAAACCAUCAAAUGUUGGUUUCUCACACUGCGAUGCGACUUCUUGUGUGGUAUCUACGAAAUGAUUACAGUUGCAGAAUCCCCUUUUAUUAAUCAUUUUUGGUAUUUAUAUUUCCCUGUUUUAUAUUUCAUAGGACCACACUUCUUCAUGUGAGAAUUGGAAACAAGCAAGUUAGAGGAACAGGCCUUUUGCCAGUUAAUGCAUGUGUGUGAAGUGAAAGUGGGUAACCGCUGGUUGUGAAGGCAAAAUGAGCUUGGUCACACCAGCCCCCUUGAUUUUGAGUUUGGUGAUCUUAGAUUGAGAAUUAAGCCUAAGAUGUGAAGUACUCUUUCCAAUUUUUGGUGCCCUGAGAGCUAUAGAUUGCUUUAGGUGCCCUGAGAGAGAGAUACCAAGAAAAUCAUAAUGCCGUAAAUCAUCAUAGCUACAAGUGUUGAGAUUCUGAUUUACUUUUGGCUUGCCAUUUAAUAACUUGAGGUUGAAAGCCCCUUUCAGCAAGGGUCUCAGCAGCCAGCCAGAGGAACUAUCAAUAUUAUGAAUUGUGAAUUGGAACUAUCAAUUGAUACCACACAAUUUAUGAUGGUUAGAAGUGAGAGUUUGCUGUCUGUCUGUUUGAUUUAGUGUAUACUCGUGCAACUCGAGUACUUAUUUUUCAGGGAAAAAAACAAAAAAGAAAGAUGAAAAAGGAUUAGCUAAGGCCAAUUUCCAUCUGGAGGUGAAAAGAUGAGAUGUCUUUGGUUGUUCUUGUUGAGCUUUUUGAAUAAGAUCAUGUCAUUUUUGAAUUAUCAACGUGCCUUAUUCAAUGAAGAAUUGGGGUAAUACAUUUGAAUUUGUUCAGGAGUCGACAUGUUUUGAUUAAAAAUCUAAUAUCUUCAAUAAUUCAGGAUUAGUAUUUAUACAAAAUUGUGAUGAGGGUGACGCAAGGAGUCUUUAUAUGAUGAUGCAGUUCAGAGUUCCCCACUUUGACAUUCUCGAUUUAUAAUAUUAUUUAAACUAGGCUAACUGCAUGGUAUUUUUCAUAAGAAUCUUGCAUCCUAUCGGGCUUGAGGCUAAAUGUCAGAAUAUCUCAUUUGAAUGGUAUGUGGUCCACUUCAAUUUAACAUUGUUUAUCAGAAUGUUCAACUUCAAUUCAGCACUAUUAUCAGAUUGCUGCUAUGUGUACAUCCAUUCGCACGAAUAUGCUUCUCCAUCUAAACGGGGGUAAGUUAAAAGUUUUGCUUUCUAAUCUUGUGCAGUUGGAGAAGGAAGCCCUUGCUAAAGGAACCCCAAUAGGACAAGCUCUUGAUAUUGAAAUUCCACCUCCCCGUCCCAAAAGGAAACCAUGUAAUCCAUAUCCUCGAAAGAUGAGCAUUGGUCUGCCUACUUCCCAGGUGGAAUCAAAGGAUGGAAAAUUAGGGAAUCCAAGUUCUUCUCUGCCCCAGGCUGAACACAUACUAGAUCUGGAGAAAGAACCAGCUGCUGAGGUAUUUACUUUGCACGGUAUUAUCUCUUUUCAGUAUUUAUUGAAUUAUAAAUCAUCAUCUCGGGUUUUAUUGGUUUAUUUGCCUGUCAGACAUUAUGAAUUUUUUUCCUAUUUACUGCAUUUAUGUCAGAAACCUGAGGGUGAGAAGUUUGAAGAUGCUAAGGAAAAUCAUGAUGAGGGUGAAUCCAAUAAAUGUUUCAACCUUCUCCAAGCAUCUCCUGGUAUCUCCCCAUCUUCAGCAAACACAUGCUCCUCAACAAUGGCUUCAGGAAAAUCGUCUGUCCUUAAGGAGUUCGUGCCAAUUUUCAAUGAGGUGGUCAAUAGGGAUGAAACUAUUGAAUCCUAUGUUACUGUUGAAGCCGGACCAAAUCAGAAUUCAGACAAAUUUUAUACCAUACAGUCAUUUGAGGAGAAUGGCACUUGUAACAGCAGAAAUUGGGCAAAUGCACACUCUUUAAAUGAUAAACCGGCUCAAAACAAAGGAAAUGUACCGGAACAAUCUGAAAAUAUUGACACCUCGCCAAAAAAUGGUGUACAAUCUCCGAAGAGCCAACCCAGACAUGUUGCGGUGCACAUUCUUGAUGGGAGCUUAAGAAUGAAUGCUCCGAAUGUUUCUGCCCAUAUGCCAUAUGAGGAAUCCUCAUUUCAUGAGAUCGGUGGGGUUAAUUCAAACAUAUUCUCUACUCUUUCUUCAUCUGCUACAUCUCAGCAUCAGAGCAGUGCAUCCAGGUUUUCCAUUAGCCAGCCAUUUGUCGGUUUCAAUCCUAUCUGGACUCCAGUCCAUCAAGAAGAUUACCAUUCAUUCCUGCAUGCGUCCUCUACCUUCUCAAAUCUAAUUGUAUCUGCUUUAUUACAAAAUCCAACGGCUCAUGCUGCAGGAAGCUUUGCUGCUAGUUUGUGGCCAUGCUCAACCACAGAAGCUCCUGUGGAGUCACCUGGAGGAAGUACAGGAGGAUUUACAGCAAGACAGAUGAAUGCAGCUCCAAGCAUAACAUCAAUUGCCGCGGCCACAGUGGCAGCUGCAACUGCAUGGUGGACAGCCCAUGGGCUUUUGCCACUUUGUGCUCCAUUUCACAUGGGUUUAAACUAUGUGCCUGUUUCAGGCUCCGCAGUUCCUGCAGUUACCAAUCAACCAAGAGUUGACAUUACUGAAAGAAGAGAAGAAAUCAGUGGUCCUCCCUUGGAUGCUAAACAUCUGGAACCAGAAUUUUCUGAAGCUCUGCAAGAGCAGCAUUCAACCUCAAAAUCACCGACUUUGUCAUUGUCAGAUUCUGAGGAAAGUAAAGGUCUGAAUUCAAGUAAUAAAUCAACUGCUAAAAAAACUGAUAGUGCAGCAGUGACUGAUGUUAAUGAUUCAAACAAGCCAAAGGGUAGGAAACGGGUAGACCGCUCUUCAUGUGGAUCAAAUACACCUUCGAGCAGUGAAGUAGAGACAGAUGCUUUGGAGAAGCUUGAGAAAGGAAAGGAAGAGUUAAGGGAACCUGUUGUAAGUCAGCCUAUUGCUGAUUCUAGCGGUCGACGAAGUAGAAGCUCCAGCAGUACAAGCGAUUCUUGGAAGGAGGUUUCUGAGGAGGUACUCAAAUUCCCCUCUUUGUGCUCGACUCUGUCACUUUAUUUGCUUUUCCUUUUCAUAUGUGCUUUUGUUUUGCUCACUUUGUUUGCAGGGCCGGCUGGCUUUUCAGGCUCUAUUUUCCAGGGAAGUACUGCCACAAAGCUUUUCUCCUCCACAUGAUUCAAAGAAUAAAGGAAAGAACACUAAUGAGAAAAAUAAGGAUAACGCAGAUGAGAAAGGUGACGAGGGAUAUCUGCUAGACCUCAAUGGGAAGAUGUGCAUGAAUUCUGCCAUUGAUCAAGAAUUGGAGAAUAAUUCGAGUUUAAGAUGUUUAAACAUCACGGAAGGGGACUACUGACUACGGGAAAACUGAAAGUGCGUCGGACAGGAUUUAAACCUUACAAAAGGUGCUCUGUGGAGGCCAAGGAGAACAGGUUGGUAUGUGCUGGAAGCCAAGAAGAAGAAAAAGGUACGAAGAGAAUACGGUUGGAGGGUGAGGCUUCCUACUCAUUGAACAUGCAACACAGAUGACAAAGAUCUUUGCAUGUUUCAGAGUGCAGCAUGUUAUUUGUGCUCUUAAUUGCUUCUCAUAACCUAAUUUUGAAUUUUUCAAGUCUAAAAUUGCUGAAAAUCAGAAGUAUCUAUUUUGGUGCUUUUUUUAAUUGCAAUUUCCUAAAACCAACCACCUUUUACACAAUCGAGAAUAAGAGACCACCUUCUUGAUUUUAGGAAUGAAUAAAAAUGGCCAACUAAUGACCUAGUUUUAGUGCACAGUUAUGGAAUCGAAUUGGAACAACACCCAAAAAAAAAAAAACAACCACAACUUCAUUAUGGGUUUUUUUUAAUCUAUACCCUCUCUCUAGGCACAAGAUAAUAUAUUUUACUAAAAAGAUAAGUUGGGUUCAUUACAGAACCUCUAAAAUUAGAACCCAUCCUCUAAUUUGCAUCUAUGCAUUCGCUCGACAAAUAUUUGUAUUUUCACAGAAAAAAACUUGAUACAAAACCCACUUUUUUUUUUUUUUAAUCAUUUGUGCCCUUAGUAGGACUCUUAAUUGUAAAAUGUACGUGCUCAUUUUAUCUUGAACCUGUAAUAUCUUUUAUGUAUUACAUUUAUGUGAAUAGAAAAUUUAAGUUAGGAGAAAAAGAAAAUUCAAUCAAAAAAAAAAUCGUGCAGAUGAAUCAACAUUCAUACAUAUAUAUAGAAAACGAUCGAGCACUAGAAAAUGAAUUUCAGGCGUACUAGAAAACGAGCACACUCUUGUUGGAAAAUGAUUACUUCAAUGAUGGUUAGGUUGGUUUCGACCCAUGAAGAAACUUGAGCAUGCACGAUGCAGUGUUCAAGAGCAAAAAGUGAUAUAUGUGUGUAUGUAUAUACGUACUACUUACUGAUGACAUAACCUUCGGCCCGUAUGUUCCAACUUUUUUGGACGCACGCACAGGAGGAUUGAGAGGGACAUUACUUUAAAAUUAUUAGGCGGAGCCCCAAGAAUAUGACAGCGGUAAUGUAUAAUUGUAUUCACUUGAUGUUAUAGGCAAUUAGCUAGCAACUUGCAUGUAAAUUGUACUAAGCUUUUGAUUUAACAACACUGUUUGUUUGUGUCAAUCCUUUGCAGCUAGCCCGAAGAAAAAAUGCACUAUCACGAAGGGCCUAAGAUUAGUACCAUGCGUUAUUGAUUCGUUCUUAGCAGUAUUUUAUGAAUAUAAGUUAUAUGUAUAUAUAUAUAAUUAAUUUUAUAUACAGUAUAUACACUAUCAUCAUUAGAUGUGUGACGCAUGUGCAAAAUUUAAAUUUAAAAUUUGUUCAUGUGUCAUCCAUUCAAUCGUAAUAGUGCACAUAUAUAUAUAUAUAUAUAUAUAUAUAUAUAUAAAGUCAUGUAACAGAAAUCUUGAUUGUAAACGAUUUGGAAGGGUUAGAUCCCAAGCCCAACAUGGGGGCCGGGAAAAUGUAUUAUAGCUUAUUUUGAGGAUGAUAAGAUGAAGUAGGAUUAAUGCACAAAGAGAUGCGAGCCAUCUUAUGAAUUGGGAUUAAUGCAUGAAUCGACGUGUUCAAAAUGCUUUAAGUCAAACUUGUUACUUAUAAAUAAAGGUACUAUUUAUCAAUUCAAAAUUUUAACAAUAAUAAUGUUACUCUCAUUCAUAAAACUUUACGUCCCCACAAAGUUCGAACCAGAGGUGGCUUAUACAUGCUCUUAAAUUGACUCUAGCUCUUAGGUUGACGUAGCACUUAGUUCCGUCCUUCGUAACCUUUUUUUUUUUUUGUUUUUUAUUUACAAAAAAAUUAUUGCCUUCAUAUCCAUUUAUUAAUUUGAAUAAGACGACCCUAUUGGAUGCAUGACCUAGGUAAGCUUUACACCCUAUUCCAAUUCAAAUGGAAAAUUGUGACGCCCUAUCCACUGUAACGUGUGGUCCUAUAAAAAUACUUAGUGUGUUGGCGUGAUUUUAUCUCUCUUAGUUAUAGUUUUUCGUAUCAGUAAUUUAAAUGGUAAUCAUAUAUAUAUAUAAUAUGUAUAAUAUAUGUAUGUAUGUAUUAUAGGCACACGUGGAUGCUACAUUUCAACUCCCUAACACAUUGUUGUCCUCCAGAAUCUAGCAAAAACUCGACAACUUGUAGAUCAUUCCAUUCGUUCUAUUUUUCCUUAUUCGUCCACUUGUAAAGCAUAGAAGUAUUCCUUAAAUUUGUGCUCCACCGGGAAAACGAAGUGAAAAGUAUAACAUAUAAAGAAGUAUGUCAUCAAUUACAGUAUUCAUUAACAGGCCAGCGGCAACCAUGGAACCGUUCCAUUGGUCACCAAUGUGCAUUGGGUAAUUGUUGCAUGUGCAGAUACAUAAUAUCAAGCCCCCUCAUUAUUGUAAAGCCAAAUGGUCGUCGCUGCAGGAGUUGACCAAGUCUGAUUAGAUUAAUAGUAGGAAAUUGGACGUUUGGAGGCUAAUGAUUUGCAUCAGAUUGAAAUGACAAAUUAUUGGCACGUUAAUUUGCUGUUUACAUCCCGGAACCGGAGCCUGAGUGUAGGGCUGCAAAAUGCUUGUGGCGACAAUUAUUGGGCGAUUGUCUGUAGCAGCAGGUGAACGACUAUAGGCUGCGCGUGCGUCGGGGGUUUAUAAUAGUCGAUGAAUAUCAAGGGUUUAAUUAAUUAAUUAAUGAAGCUGCUGCAGCUGGUCCCCUCUUUCAGAUUUUUAUUUAUUUAUUUAUUUAUUCUGUGGACUGCUUUCGACACCCUGAAUUGCCCCUUGGCCCUCGUCUCAUAGCCCUGCCACUAUCACCUAUAUAUACAUAUAUAUCAUAUCCCUGUCGAUUGUCAAUUUUUGUCAAAAGGAUUAGAUGAAGAGAAAAAAAAAAAAAAAAAGUCAUUAGUCAUUCACAUUAUUUUAAAAGACAUUGCUGAGGCGAGCCUCAAAUGCCCCAAAUUUUAGGGGCAUUUUUGUAAUUUUAUUAAUUUUGAAUUUUUAUUUUAUCUUCCUUAUCUUUGUUUCCUAUCCUUAUUAUUAUUUAAUAAUUUUGAAGAAUGAUUCCAUUUAUUUUUUUUCUGUGGAAAUAGUUUUGAAAAAAAAAUACAAAACAAAAGCAUCUGUGACUUUGUUUUCUUUUUUUCUUUUCCUUUUCUUUGAUCCCAAAAUAUAACUAUUUUUUAUUAACAUGAUUUUAGAUGGCUAAUGUAUGAGUUAGAGUUGUGUUGUGAUUUUACUUGUUAGACAACAAUAAUAUUUUUGUAAUUUCCUUAAUUUUAUCAAUUUUUAUAUUUAUAAGUAAUAUAUAUAAACACAUAUGUGCUUGAAUAUUGUAAUUCUGUAGCAUUAUUGUAUAUUUUAUUUUUUAUAUAUUUAAAAAUAAAAAUUUUUGUGAGACUUACAUCCCUUACCUCGGGGUUUUCGCUCCGUUUAGGAAGAUAUAAAAUGGCACGUCAGAUGCUCUCAUCUUUUAAAACAUUGGUUUGAAUGUGUGUACGUCUAUAUAUAUAUAUAUAUCUUACUAUAAGAUAAACAAAUGGUCAUAGUUACUAUAGCAGUCUCUUUUGCUGACACGUGGCAUUUUGUGUGAAUUUUGAACUUUCUCUUUUGCUUUCUCUAUGGAUUUGGAAUCGUUUAAAUGUGCUCAAUGACCCAAAUUAUAUUGCAUUUACUAUUUCGUUAUAAGGUUGAAUUACUUUUAGUAGACUUUUCAAUCUGUACAUUUUGAACAGAUAUAAUUCAAUUAGAAUUUAUAUUUAUUACUAUUUACAUUAACAUUUUCAACUUAUAUUUGACAAAUUAACUUAAGAUUUAAUUAUUUCUGUUCGAGUCUUCAACCUUAUCAUUUAAAUUUAAUUUGUCAAAAUACGUUAUCAUUUAAAGUUAAUGUAAAGUAAGAGAUUAUUUAAAAUUUAUUCUAUCUUAUGAUAAAGAACAAGAUUAUUAUUUCUACUCAAUGCAAUGUACAUUUCUCUGUGUCAAUUUUAUUUUGAUUUGUUCCUGUUCAAAUAUUUAGCAACAUUUGACUUUACGUUUAUUCAUAUGUUUAUUGUCUAAAUUUUGAGCUUUCUCUUUUGCUUUCUCUAUGGACUUGCAUUUCUUUAAAUGUGCUCAAUGACCCAAAUUAUAUUGCAUUUACCAUUUCUUUAUAAGGUUGAAUUAUUUUGAGUAAACUUUUCAAUCUCUAUAUUUUGAGCAUAUAUAAUUCAAUUAGAAUUUAUAUUUAUUACUAUUUACAUUAACAUUUCAACUUAUAUUUGACAAAUUAACUUAAGAUUUAAUUAUUUCUAUUCGAGUUUUCAACCUUAUCAUUUAAAAUUAUAUUUGUCAAAAUAAGUUAUCAUUUAAAGUUAAUGUAAAGCAAAAGAUUAUUUAAAAUUUAUUCUAUCCUAUUAUAAAGAACAAGAUUACUAUUUUUGCUUAACGCAAUGUACAUUUUUGUGUGUCAAUUUUAUUUUGAUUUGUUCAUGUUCAAAUAUUUAGUAACAUUUGACUUUAUAUUUUUUCAUGUUUUUAUUGUCAUUUAAAGUUAUAUAGUUGAACUGACAUUGCCACUUAAUAUAUUCCAAGGAAAGAGACUCCUGUGCUUUGUUAAGAAAGCAACUCCAAGAGAAAAAACAAUCAAAGAAACAGCUUUUACCAUUAUCACAAGCUAUGAAGCGGAACAAGUCUGAGCCGGCCAAGAGACUCAAAUGAACCUUCAUAGUGAUUAUGCAUAAAAUUAGUUUCCAACAAUAUAAUGCUUAUGUGCUUCAUAACUGAACUACUUGUGUUUUAAUUUAAUUAUCUUGUAUCUAUUUAUCGUUUAUGUUAAUGUACUUCGACUUAGCUGCUUUGACUUACUACCUAUGUAUGUUUUAAUUUUGUUAUCUUGUAUUUGUCUAUCCUUUAUGUUAAUGUACUUCAAUUUAAUCUCUUUUGCCUUGAAAAGCAAAUUUACUGAUAAGUUAUAAAUCCAAUUCAUAUAUAGAUGUCCCUCUAUCAAACACAAAAAACUUUUGCAAAAAUGCUAACCAUUAUUAAUCCUCCUGCUUUUCAAUUUCUUUGCGUAUAUUUGCUGAACAAAUUAUACAUAUAAUUUUAAAACAAAAAAGUAUAUAAGUAUAUUAUUAAUUUGUACACUGAAUUAAAUUUGUUAAAUAAAAAAUGUAGACAAUUAUAAAUCCAUUGACAAUGACAAAAAAAUGUAUAUUUGAAAGCUAUCAUUAAAAGAGGAAAAAAAAAAGCAUCUUAAUAAAAUGCAAUAAAGACAUAUAUAUUUUUCUCAUCAAAUUUGCAUGCUAUACUUGAUAAUUUCAAUUAGCAUUAAUGACUCAUAUUUUACUCAAAAAAAUGACAAAGUUCAUUUGUUCAAAUUUAAAUACUGAUAAUCCAAUUUCACUCCAUUUCAGUAAUAUAGAUAAUUUACGUAUACUUUCACACAUGACACUCUACUGACAAAUAUUUCAUCAAAUUUUGCUAACCUUAAACGCUUCAAGGCGGGUACUAUAGCACAGCCAACCCUUGCUAGUAUAUAUAUAUAUAUAUAUAUAUAUAUAUAUACACACAAGUGAAAUAGAUGUGUGCACAUGCGCGUGCAGAAGAAGAGAGUACAUGUUACGUCCUGUACGUUCGCGUGUUCCAAUUGGCAUUUUGGGCUUAUUACUUCUGCAAAUGACGACGAUUAACGAAAGCUCCUCUUCCGUCCUGCUGUGCUGUGGAUAAGAAACGUACGUGUGAGAGAUGCAAUUUCUAUCUUGUGUAUCUGUGACACCUGCGCGCGCGCUGUCCUCAAAGAUUAUUAGGAUGUUUGGUGGAAGAACAGUACUCGUACUCGAGAGGGGUGUUCCUGCUUUCCCCAGAAGACCUAGUAUUCAUUGUAAGUACUGAACUAAUUUAUUUAUAGUCUAUAUAUACCCAAAAAAACAAAACAAAAGCAGAGCACCUAUGGCUAUGGAGUGUGGAGGCUUUGACAACUGAAAACGAUGUGAUGAGCAAUGUUGGCCUCUCUCUUCCGGGCGCGAUAGAGACUUCCUACCUGUGAACCUACGAAUAUCCCUCCAGACAUUUAUGGUUUUUAUUCAUUCAUUAAUUGAUUGCGGAAGAGUAGCUAGCAUCAUCAUUGAUCGUGCACAACCUGCCUUGGGGGUCCAGCCAUCACCAGCCGCUUCUGAUUUGAUCCGCUGACACCCCAUGUUUGGAUAAGUAACACAGAUGUCAGUAGUGUUGUACACUCUGAUUUGUCGUAAAUUAUGCCUUAUUAUUAUUGUUAGUGCUAUUUUUUUCAGUCCUCAAGUCCCUAUAGCCUACAUCGUCUUCUUGCUGCAUGCAUGUCUCUCUCCAACUCUUCUCUUGGUACUUGGUCCCCCUUUUUCUUUUAGCAGUAAUGUCAUGUUUCUGGUCUCAUUUGAACUUCGUCUCUCUUUGUUUCAAUCCAUUGUCUAAUUUACAAAAUUGAAGAAACUAUGCAUUCUUUCCCUAUAAGUAAUCAAUUACAAAUUAAUUUCAUGUAUUGUCCAAUUUAAGAGAACCAUUUAUAGAUUUUUACAGUUUUACGCAUCGCUACUCUUCUUGAAAGGCCACCCAAAACCCAGCCUUGAUAUAUGUGUAUAACCGAACCAAAUCGCUUCGCUGCACAAGAGUACAACCACUGCCCGACGGAAAACGAAAAGGAUAGCAAGAAAGAACAUCUGUAAAUUGAUCGAUCAUGACCUGCUGCAAAAAACACAAAAGCCAUAUGUAUCAUACUUAUUAUCUUUCACUAAGUGGGAGAAUUGAAAGACCACCAAGAAUAGGGGAAAAAAAAAACCACUAGGGAUUGGAUGUUCGUCUGAAUUGAUUCUUCGGGUGGAGGACCACCUGAAGAAAGAAGGGAAGGGAUGCAACUUGGGUAAAUCAUUUAAAGCUAAUCGUUGCUGCCCAUUGCUUUGUUUUGUCUGGGUGCUGCGAGUAAAAUAAGUAUUGAGGCCUGAAUUAAGAAGCGGGAAUAAGUGGAGGUGUAAGUAAACACGGGGAAGGGAAAAUAAAACAGUUUUGUGAGUUGGCCAUUUGGGCUUAAUUAGUUAAAUUAAAUACUGAAUAGUCAAUAUUACUAGUGACUUUCAAGAAAAUGAUCACAUCUCGUGUCAGCACUCCGCCUCCAAAUUUAAGUACAGUUUGGGCACAUAAACAAAUGAUGAUCAACAACUUUUUAGCUUAUAUGUACGCUUGGAAAAUCUACAAGUAUUAUUGUACAGCAUAUAGUCGGCGGCAGUCGAUCAUCGUUUUGCAAUGUACGCCUGUAUCGCUUCCAUAAUAUGACAGAAAUCAGUCAAGACUAUCUAACGUGAAGCAUAUUCUCCUAAGAUUCGUGCUGUUAAUUAGACAGCAACCUGGGAAUACCUUUAAUUAGUUAAUGUAAAUUCAGAAGCAAAUCCCUUGGGACCCAACUAGCAACAGAAAAGUAAUUCAUCAGUUCUUCCUGUACUGAUCAGUGGACUCAUCUUCGUGAACUGAUGAAGUAUUUCUUGAGGAUCAUGCUCGACAUUAAUGCUGCUACAUUCUCGAUAUAUUUCAGAAGCACACCAUAUGCUACGAAUACCUGCGAGUUAUUUGUAGUAGUAGUAUUGUGUUCCCCAAUAAUAAUGCCAUUCCUUGUUACGGAUAUUAAAGUGCUCUUUGGGUUACGAUAAUUGAUUUGGGAGCUUAUACAAAAUAUUAGGGUUAUUAUUACUUUACCUUCUUAACAUCCGGCACCACUAUCAAUUUUCUCCUUAACGUUACUUUUUAAUUACUUUACCUCCAAGACUAACGCUCAAUCUUAAAAGAGUUUGUUAAGUAAAGUGAAAAGACACGUUUAGUCCUUAAAAUUAUUAUCACUUUAAUCCCAUAAACUAUGGUCUCAUUAUUAAUUUACCCCAUAGAGUUAUUUUUUAGGCAAUUUAUCCCAUCAUUAAACGGAGUUAGCAAGUUAAAAAAUUUUAGAAGAAAGUACCCUCCUCUUUGUAUAAUAAAAAAUUUAGAGUGAUUUUUCUUCUUUUUAGUAUAAAAAAAGUUGAAGUAUUAAUCUUUUUCUUCUUGACAAUCUUAUUAAUAUUGAAAAAAAUAGAAAGAUGGGGAGAGGGAGAAAGAGAGCUCAAUUCAUUUUUUUUUUUAAAAAUACAAAUAAAAAAGAAUUAAAUACUUUUAUUAUUUUAAAAUUAUUUCACUUAUCUGUUUACUACCAAAUUUCAAUUUUAAUUCCGACAACCUUAAAGUAAUACGAUAAAGUUACACUCUUCUUUAUUUUAUUUUAUUUUUUUUUGUAAAAUCUAAUUUUAUAUCUCCUUCUUUCCUGUUUCCUUUUUUUUCCCUAGUAUUAAUAAAUGUGAAAAAAAUUUGAGAAAAUCUGUUUAUUUUUGUGUUUUUGGAUCUCUUAAAGUAAAAAACAAAGGAAGAAUAAACAUUCUAAUUUUUUAUUUUUAAUUAUAUAUAAAAGGGUAAAUAUAUUUUAAAAAAUUUUACCAUACUAGUUAGAUUAACGAUGAGAUAAAAUACGUAGAAAAUAAUAUAAGGAAUUAAAGUGAUUGUAUCACUAUAAUUUAAAGGGAUAAAGUGAUAAUAAUAAUAUAGUAAUGCUAUAGAGUAAAAGUGUAUUUUUGUCUAAAAUUUUAUAACGAGUUGAGUUGAAUUACUUAUGGGGGCGAAGUGACUAAAAAAUAGCGUUAGUAAGUAAACUGAUAGUAAAUGAUAUAAUUUAAGGAGAUAAAGUGAUAAUAGCCCAAAAUAUUAAGAUCGAUUGACCGUUGCUUUUUCAUUCUCAUCCCUGUUGAUAACAACGUUUUCUUUUUAGACCCCACCCAAAAGUGAAAAGUGAAAAGGCAAAAAAUCCCAACAAGAUGACUUUUGAGGUUAAUUUGGGAUUAGGUUUAACUACUAAUUCUUAAAAUUUCUGACCAAAAAAAAAAAAGAUGACUCCUAUUUUCUCCCCCUUUUGAACGUAUGCGGACGCCUGUUUCGUCUCUCAACAUUUGACAUGAUUUUUAAUUAUUUCUUGCAGGCGUCUCAUCCUUUGCAUCUGCGUUUUCUUUUGUUGAGUUGCCAUUUUUCGUGCCGUGUUUUCAACCAUCGGCCCCUGCCACAUUUCACUAAUGCAUAUGCGAGGAUUUAAGCUUCGAGAUCAGAUGCUUAUAACCUAAAUAACAAAUUAUAACAAAUCAGAUCCAGUAAUGAAAUUCAAGCGCAGCAGAUGUGAAGGAGAAGCAGAAAAACAGAAAGGUUUGUGGUUCGGUUUUGAAGGUAUACAACUUACAACAAACACAAUGGACUGCAAAUUAACAUUAUUCCAAUGGCAGACGCAAGUCAAUCAAGGGCAUCGGUAUAACAACACCAUCAAAUGGUUUGCCUAUUCCUUGUUCUUGUACUGGCGGAGAGCUAAUGCUAAUCCCAGGAUGAUCAGGGGGAUCAGGAAUUGCAAUAUCUUAACCAAACCUCCAAAAGUCUGGAUUCCUGCAGAAGCCGCUGCUUCUUCAGUUGUGUCUUCAUGUUCAACUGGAAGAGUCGAUAUGUCUACAUCACCAAUGUAGUAGUCAACCAGCAUUUUCCUUGCCUCCUCACUGUGGUUCUGUUCGUCAAAAUCAAUUGUGGCAUCUUUCCCUGCAAAAAUUCAGAAAGAGUCUUGGCUAGGUAUAAAAACUGAUAACAUUAACAUUAGAAGAUCAUCAUGAAUAGACUUUUAAGCUGGAUCAAUAAGAUGAACCUCUCACCAGUUACUGCAAGCAGGGCCUCAUCACCCCCGGGAUGGUCAUCCAGAAAUAAGGACACAUCGUACACCUAAAACCAAAUGCAGGAUUACAAGUAAACAACAUAACCACUGGAAUGUGUAUCGCAGAAGUAUAGCAACAAAUUAUGGGCCGUUACACUAAGGCACUUAAGAGUCAUCUUUUCAUCAAUUAUUGGUAAAUCCACAACUUAGAACGGUGGCCUAAGCCUCUUUUACAUUUGCUUUCUCCAUGCCACUUCAUACAACACCACCAGCACUGCUGCCAAGAUUUCUUGGUUGAUGUCAUUUUCACGUCUCUGUCAUUUGGGAUUGGAAACUUAUUUGAGCUUAAAUGACAGCAAGCGGGAGCACAUACCACUCGAUUGGAUGAAGAGAAGGCUCAAGAGCCAGAUUCUGGAGUGACAAAUAGUCUACAACAUACAAAGAAACUCAAGUGCGAUUUUUUCUAUGUUUAUAGGUUUUAUCUAUGACAGGCUAGUGUAGCAAAGAUAGCUGUAAGGUCUGUACCAAAACACUAUCAAAAAUCCGAAUUUUCAAAUAAACGGAAGCUGAAACAGCUAGCAUCUAAGCAUAUUGCAGGUCUCUCUAUUCACACAGCUGGAACACCAAUAAAUAGAGAUGGAAACUGCAUGUGUAUAGGAUGAGGACAGAUCACUGCCAAAUCCUUAAGAAGGCACCCGUCAGAAAAUGGUUGCUUUAAGAUUGUGCUUUGCAAUCUUAAGAAGCUCACGGGAUAAAGAAGCUGAGAAGAAGCUAAUAAAUCUAAAAAAGCAGGUGCUUAAUGAGUAAAGAUGGGCGAAGACACUGCCCACCUCCUAAUCUUCAUUGGGAGGCUGCUAAUUGUUGGAACUUAGAUACUGGGGGCCAUAGUAUCCAACAGAUAAAGCCAAAGGACCCCAAAGUUUAAUCAGAUGUGUGAGACAAGAAGGUUGGCAAUUUUCUUCCCAAUUCUGAUUACAUUAAAUUAAAAACAGAACAAGAGAGCAUUCAAAGAAAGUGGAAGCCAAACUAGUCAGUGAAAGAUUACAAUUCUGGUAUACUUUGUUGUUUGGGAAUUUAAAAUACCAAAGAACAAAAAAUCAGAAGCUUCCUUUUCUUAAUGUCAUGGAAGAUGAAGCAUUUCAACUGUCUCAAGUCUGCACUCUACUGCACGUAGAACACAAUUCUGGAACCAAGAUAUUAGCAUUUCAACCCAAAAGUGCAUAGAGAAUUUGAAGAGUAAGACACAGAUACAAAGACAAAAUUUAUGUAUCCAAAAUUGUCGAGGCCAAAUGGAUUCCUACCAUUUUGAAGUCUAAUUGAUAUUUCUUUCUUUUAGCAGUUUAAACUCCAAACUUGGGCAAGUUAAAUUUGAUUUCUAAAGAUAGAUUUUUUUGUUAUUCUGAUGUUCCAUAUCAAGGAUCUUUUUAAGCUAAUUCAUUGAUUCAUCUAGAAAGUCAGGGAGGGCUGCUUCCUCUGAAAACUGAAGCCCUCCUUUGAAAACUGAAUUUAGCUUUCUUCAUUCGUUGGAGAUGCAUCAAAAUUUUGAAUUUAAAGUAAUUGAGGUUAUAUCCCCGUUGUAAGACGCAUUUCAAAUGUCAAUUAUUCUAUAACAAGAUCCAGAAUCUCAAGUCAUAUCUAAUGCGCUUAUCAGACAAACCCAUGGUAGAACCAACAACCUGUUAUCCUGGGCCUUCUGCAAGGUUUUUAUACCUAAGGCAGGUUUGGUAAGCUAAAUGUCAACACAAAGAAGCAGCCUGGGGAAAGAGAACAAAACCACCAAUGAGUAGUGAGCACAGGCUUAUGCAUUGCCUUCAAAAAUAUGGCUAUGAUCACUGGAAGCACCAAUCCACCUUCUCCAAAUGCUAAUGUUUAAAUCUACCCAAAUUGCAUCUUCAUUUCAGUUUGGCCUUUCAGGAAGAUUUCCUUAAAAGGAAAAUCAUUGGCUUUAGAGUGUAGGUUUUAACUCUGUGACUCGAGAGAUCUCAGUUGCAACAACUUGAGCUGACUUUGAGAGUAUUGAGCACCAAGAUAAUUUAGUUUGUGACAGUAAUUGAUCAAAUGGUCCCAAAAGUAAGUAACUCAUUUCUGCAGUUUAUGUGCUGGACUCAGAUCCAGGAAAAUUUUCUAAUAGAUAUGAAGGAUCCAGGAGAAGCGGCUUAUGACAAGUAACUCUUUCUGCAGUUUAUGACAAGCACUUGUCAUGCUACACUGAAAUGUUUAUCCAGGAUAUGAAGGACCCAGAGAGGCAAUAGAUAUGGCUAUGCAACAUAGAUACCAUUAAGAGAAAAGAAAAAGAGGAAGGGGCAUUUUGGAUUCUUGCUUCUAUUACUGAUAAUUAAAAGAAGAACAUGGUGAUUCUUGAUCCCACAAGUGAUCUUUAGCUUCUAAAGCAAUAUUACGAGAGAAGAAAAGGACCCAAGCAAUACUCCUGAAUCCAAAUUCGAAUUCAUUUGCGACUCGAACAAUUCCCACCAAGGAAGGAAUCAAAAUGGGUUAACAAAAAUAAAAACGUACUAUAACUUUAUCCUAGGCCUUGCCUACUUUUACCAACUACACAUCUUCAAACUUGUUGAGAAGAGGAAAACGAAGGGGACGAGGAAAAAAAAAAUGAAAGACCAGAAAGAAUUGAUGCAAACCUUCCCGGAGAUUAUAAGCCAGGUGUCCCCCCUUUUGUGGUGCCUUGCAACCUCAUCAAAGACAUAAACUCUACGAUCCGUCAUCUCUUCGAAUCUGCUCCAACGAGAGAGGAGGCCAGCAAGUUAAUGUUAGUUCAUAGAAGCUUCUUACGACCUACAUAUUAUGUAAAGGAGCAUUAGCAGAGACUCACAUGAUGAGAGGGAGAGCCCAGAAAAGCUUGUUAUGUGUAUGGCUGUUCUUUACUUUAGCAGCAGCAGCAGCAGUAGCUUUGGGCUUCGGAGUCCAGAGACAGUUGCGGUAUCCAGCGAAGUAACAGUACAAUUUUAUAAAAAUUGUUGCGGUAUUACAAGACAACAUGCUAAUACAGUAAAAAAAAAUUUUUGGAAGGAAGGAACAUGCUAAUAAUUCGAGAGGGAGAAGAAGAAUUUUACAUUCCACCCCGUGAUACUAACUAAUUAUACCACUACUACUAAGUAAUGGUACCAAGCGAGUUCUUGUCUUGUAAUUUGUAAACACCCCACCCGGGCCUAUAAUUAAUGUCCUCUUGUAAUAAUACUUGAUUAGUUUAAAAUGAUUGGUAUCAGUGCACAUAAUGUCACUACUACAGUACUACUAUUUUUGCACAAGGAUUAAAGGGACAAUAAUGAUAGAAUUGUCUGCUCUUCUCAUGUCUUAUGUCUUAUUAUGAUGAUGGGCUGGCGUGGGUUGGGGUGGGGGCACGCCUCCAAUUCAAGAAAUUAAUCGCUGCUUUAAUUUGGCCUAUAAUUAAGCAUCUUCCAUGCUUUGAUUAACCACCGCACCUGGAUUCGCUAUUUCUGGAUGGAUGCAUGGAAUUUAAUAAUAUUAGUUAUUCACCUCGUGCAUCGCACGGGUUGAUUCAGCGGCCGCGCCCACAAAACCCAUCAAUUUUUUUUUGCCAGCAACGAUACAUUUUGUAUAACCUACUCUAUCAUAAAAGAAAUGCGAUCGAAAUUUUUAUAAUUUUUCACCCUUGCACCGCACCGCACCGUUCAAUAAUUUUUUACUAAGAUUGGAAGAAGGCAUCAAUUGAAAGAAAAAAGAUCCCCAAUUUCACCAUAUUUGCUAUUGGCAAAAAUGUUCCCCUACUAAUUACUAUAGUAUAGUUCAUCUUUAUGGGCACUUCAGUCAAUGGUUGGAGUGGCUAACUUGACCUUCUGUACUUCUAUAGCAAACUAAACAAUUUAAGUAUUAUAUAUCGAUGCACUACUUUUUUCCGACCCCAGCGAAAGAAAAAAAAAUUGAUACUCAGAGUUCUUAAACAGUUUUUUUUUUUUAAUUUAGAAAAGAAGAAGAAAAAAAAAACUCUUACUCAAGCCCGAUGUAGAGAUGACAUCAGGGCAGAUAUGCCCGUCACAAAAAAUACUCCUCCCGUCUCACCUCAUCCUGCUUUCCCCAUGGGGGAGGAAAACAGCAAUAACAUUUUCUACAUAAAGUCGUGGAUCAUCACCUUCAAUAAUUCACAAAUGUUCAAUCAAAACUUUGACAUUGAAACAUUGUAUUAAAGCAGCUCGCUCAUUGGAGCUUUCUCCAGCAAGAAAAAAUUUUUGGUCCUUUGGAAGAAAAGUACCAAUUCUGCCUUAGCUAUCAUCCAAUUAAUACAGGUUUAAGCAGUCAAGGCGCUGAGGGCUAAUAGUUUCAUUCAUAUAAAUCUACUAGUAGCUUGUGUGUUGGUUGGUUUGUUCAAUGAUACGUUGAAAACAGUGUCCUUAAGAGAACAAAAUCAAAUAUACGAUGCAUCAUACGUUCGAAUAACCUUCUUUUUUUUUUUUUUCUUUCCCUUUUAGAAACAAUUAAUGGUUUGCAACUUAUUUGUGAGAAGAAAUAUUUAAUGCACCACAGAUACAGGUGUACCUCUGUGCUUGCAGGUAAAGGUAAUUAUCACUACUGUUAAUGAUGAUCAUAGAUUUUGCUCAUACGCGAUUUAAUUGCACCUUAUGCCCAUAUGUUAUAUAUACAUCAAUCAAAACCUCUACAUAUAAGAGAGAAAAAAAAAAAAAGGAAGUACAAGCGAAUAUAUAUCAUACGUACAGAUGCAUGACAACAAACGCCAUCUGUUCAUACCAAAUACCGGCAGCUAAAGCAAAUAACCCAAAUAAGAUGUUCGAAUGACACAGCAUUUUCAAAGCGAUUGAAGUGACUAAACUCACAAAAGACUAUUAAUCUCGUCAUGACAGAAAUCACCAAAGGUAGAUUAAAUUGAUACUUGUUCUCUAAGAGAGCUGCAAAGUAGAGGAUCUCCUGAGACAUGGUAGGCAGCUGCUUUGCUCACAGCUCACAUGUUUUUAUCUGCACAGAAUUGACCUGGAAUAAUAAGAACACAAUUAACACGAAAUAAUUGAGAAAAAAUAAUCCUAAGAUCAAGAAGUUAUCGAUUUUUAUUUCUUAUAUUUUUUAGGUAAGAAAUUUCUUUUUUUCCCUUUCAUGUAUCGAGGGGGUAAUACUGGGGGCAGAAGUUACAGAUUUUAUCCACAUGAAAUUCCAUUAAGCACUCAGAAUUAUAGUUUCGAUUGAGAUAGUCUGCUUUUCUAGCUAAUUUACGCAGCUAUAAAGCAUUAGACUUGAUUUUGGAGUUAUUUGUUGAUGUUAAUGAUACACGAAGUACCAAGAAUAUAGAAAUUUAUGAACACUAAAUUUCAAUUAAACAAAAUGGGGGUUUGAUUGAUGAUCUUAAGGCAUGAUAGCCAAAAUUGCCCUUAAGAUACAAUAAGAUACAGAGAGAAUUUGAAAUCAAAAAUCAAGUUUUUCCACUAAGAAAUGAUCAAAAUGAUUUAGCUUAGUUAUUUUGUAAAAUAGACUUGUUAAUUUAUAGAAAACAACGUUCCACAAUUAUCUCUAAUGAUAAGUAAUUAUUUCACAUGAAAAUACACCAUUUGUUACUAAAACAACCACUAGUUGAGAUUAAAAAAAAAAUAAAGCACUCAAUAUAAUAGGUUUAAUAACACUUUGCCCCCUGAACUUAGUGGAUCGUCACAUUUUAUCCCCUCCAAUCUUAAAUAUUUACACUUUACCCCCAAUGAAGACUAGUCAAAGUUAGAAAUACCAAAAAAAAGUGAGUGCAAUGACAUUAUUACCUUUUUAUUCAUGAAAUUACCUAUAACUUAGUAUUAUUUCCUUUCAUUACUUAAAAAUAUACAUCUUCUCUAUUGUACCAACUAUGCAACAAUGCUGAACUAAAAAAAGCUACCAAAAAAGUUUACAUUUAGUUCAUAUCCUUUGAAUUUUUUCUGUUGGAGCAAUAUUCACUUUUAUAUAUGAUUUCUUCAAUUUGUUAUGCUUUAUAUCAAACAAAAAGGAUAAAUAAUAUAAUACUAAAUUAGACACAAUUACCAAUUUUUUUUAAAAAAAGAGGUAAUACUAACCAUGUUUUUUCUUUUUCAAAAAAGUAUUUUUUUUAUUUUAGUUCAUAUGAACUUUUUGGCUAAUACUAUUGUCAUUUUUUUUUUGUUGAUGUAUCAUAUUUACUAUUGUUGCCUUUUCUUCUAAAAAAAUUGAAAUUUGAUUUAAUUUCCAUUCUCGUUCUCUAAGUUUAAAAAUGAGGCAUAUCAAAAAAGACAAUAAUAUUAAUCUAAAAAUUUAAAUAAAUUUAAAUAAUAAAAAAUACUUUUACGUUCCAAGUUUUUAUGCGUAUAUUAUGAAUCUCACCCAUACAUUUCAUUACAAACUGUUCACCUACAUUAUUAAGAUUGCAAAAGAACAUUGUGAAGUGAUGGAGAAUUAUUUCAAAAGCAGCAAGUGGGUGUAGCAGAUGAGCUACAUUUAGUUGCAUCUUUUCCACAAUUAUCAAUAAUGUUCUUGUUCAUGCAGAGUCUGAAAAUUUGGUGGUGGUGAAGAAAAGAAAGAUAAUUUGAGACACUAAUUGUUGCUGCUCAACUUUCCAGUUGGAAUCAUCUUUCUGUUAUUUUCUGGAGGGACCCAUUUUACGGUGGAGUGGGGAAUCAAAAUCCAGGGUAUGAGAUAUGAUGAUGAUGAUCAUCAUCAUCAUCCACGUAAAAAAAAAAAAAAAAAUCUCAUUUAACUUGCACUGCUGAGCUUAGAAUUUUUUAUGUCUGGAACUCUAAUUUUAGUAGGUUUAAAUGGUGCACAAAUUGAUUUAUGUCUCAUCGCAAAAUUAAUUUUACAUUUCGUGCAUUCCAAAUAUGCAUGAGAUAAUAGUUCGGUAAUCUUAAAAGCGUGUACGAUGUCUUCCAUCACAUAUUUGCUCUGCUGUAAAUAUAUAACAAGAAUGAGACUUUGCACCUCUGUACACCGAUCGUGUAAUCUUGGACUUUUGAUUACUUGAACUAAACAAAUGAAAACUUGUUCUGAGUUUAGUUUACUUGUUAAAUCGUGUUUUCACCCCUAUUUCUGCUUUCAGUUUUGUUCCUCAUGAAAAUGUCGUGUGAUCAAUAUAUAGUUCACCUAAUUCUAAAAUUACCUAAAAAAACUAGUGCCACUGACUGGACCAACUCCAACACGCGUAAACCAAUGUACACUCUUUUUUUUUUGGUAGAGAAAAAGAAUUCGAACAAAGAAGGAGUGGGAUGAAAGAAGGGGGGAGGGAGCACAAAUACGAAUACGAAGCGGGAUCACCUCUAUUUGCUAGAAUCUCAAUCUUAGCUACUAGAUUUUCAAGACAAUUCUUGGUGCAAACCCAAACCAAUGUGCUUCGCUGAUUCGUUUUAGCAAUGUAAGUCGUAGAAACCACAUGCAUAUUAUUUUUCCAUAUGAUUAUAUAGGUAUAGAAAAAACACAUAGUUAAUUAAUUAGGUUAAAGUGCAAGGAAUUGGAGAAAAAUUACGAUACCUUGACUUUGAAGAAGGGAAACCGAUUCAUUGGCAGCGCAGGCGUUGUUCUUCCCAGCUGCCACAACGUCCGGGUGAAUUUUUCUCUUCAACAUCCUCUUCAUCAGCUGUUUUAACGCAGUCGGUUAGAUUGGCGCUAUUUAUUCGUACACAUACGUCCAUUGCCAAGUAAUAAUUAGCGCUGUUUAAUUAAUUAACUCCUAGUAUUAUCUAGAUGUGAUUGCAAGUUACAAGGAGAAUCAAUCAGUUAUCUCCAAAUCAAGUGGACCAUGCAGCAGUUGUGUCGAUGUAUGCAAUUUCGCACGAUCCAAAAGCUUGAGGAGGAGGAGGAGGAUAAAGGGAGAGUGAAAUUAAAAAAUGACCGACUCACCCCGUGCAAUUUCUGAAUGGGACGUGAAUCUUGUUUGACCAGAGGGAUGAGUUUCUUGGGGAACAGUAACGUUCCGUUCUUGGGUUUAGCACGGUCAGGAGGGUGCGGAGUGGCACUGGCGGCUUGGUUCUUGAUGCACUGCGCUUGCAAGUAAUCACAACUUGGGAUGUUGUUUUUGGCAGUCCCGUCCAUCCAAAUCGCAUCAUCAGAAUCAGCGGAAAACAGGUCGGCCAGAGUGAUUCUUUCCUUCUCCUUCUUGGUGUUGAUCAUGAUCCUCCUGUAGCUGGAGUAGUUGCUAUGAAUGUGCUCGUCGUCGUGAUCAGGGGUGUCCGGCUGCAGCUGGAGGUUACCUGGAGGAGGACGCACAGGUUUGGCAUCAUUAUGAAUGCUGCUGUUGCCGAUGACGAGGGCAGAAGCAUUGAUUGGCCUUUGAGCACCACUUUUGUCGUACACCAAAGGGUUCCAUUCUUCUUCGCAGUCGAUUUCAUCAUUAUCAUCUUCCACAUCAUCAUGAUGAUCAGACUCCUCCUCCUCGUCACAGCGUUGUCGGUCGUCGUCAUCUUCUGAUUCCGGGUCUUGAUCGCCAUCCUUACCUCUCAGCCCGAAAAACUCCUUAUUAUUUGGUUCAGGAUGAAUAUUGAUGCCCAGAGUUUUGUCGAGCCCAAAUGUGCCAAUGGAUAGAAUACCAGCCCCAGCUCCACCCCAACCAUCAUAAUUAUGACCCUGGAAUAGUUGCAGCAUCUCAUCAUCAUCAUCAUCAUCCGGGACAACCUUGUCAAGCAGUAGGGCUGCCGUGUCUUCUGCAUGAUCAUCAUUGCUGUUAGCCAGGGGGAUCUCUUCAUGCUUUUUCACAUGGUUCUGACCCAAUCCAUCUGCCAUCAUCAUUCGUGGAGAAAAUUUUUUUUAAAAAAAAUGUAUUAUUUUUUAAAAAAGACGGAGAGAAGAAAAUAGUCAAGUAGUAGUAGUAGUAGCGUAGCAGUCUAAAAUUAGGAAGAUGAUCAAAAUGUGUUGUGUUUCACCUUACCCAAAUAUGUUGUGUUCCACUAAUUAAUUUAAACAAGAAGCAAUAGCUAGUAAACCAAAAAUAUGUACCUCUAGGAAUAAAGCGACGGUGCACCCAAUUGAAGAUCUAUGCAUAGAAAACAGAGCAUUAGCCAACUUAUUAAAUUGAGAAAUCAGAGAAGAAAUGUAAUUAGAGGGAAAGGGUAAAAUAUGACCUUCAUUUGGGUACUAGUAAUAUGCAGCAGUGGUGAAAUGUGAUCUCUGGUCUCAAACAAGAAGAAGAAGAAGAAGAAGAAGAAGAAGAAGAAGAAGAAGAAGAAUGAGUAUUUGCCCAGAAGAAGAAGAAGAAGAAGGCUAUAGCUGCCUCCUUGGCUAAAACGGCUUAGUGGGAAAUCAACUGGGACAUCGGGGCUGGGGGGAAAGGGAAAUGGAGAAUGGAGAAGGCCGUUUAAGGCCCCACUCUUCUGUUGAUUGGGCCUCGGGCAGGCCCGCCGGGGAGGGGGGGUCUUGGUCAAGUGGUAGGAAGGUUUAACUGGCCGACACGUGUAAGGUGACAGCCCAAGCAGUGAGCCCUCGCCCCACACCCACGUACCUGCAUGCAUACAUUUUUGACGAGAUGUUGCUGCGUUUGCUUCCCCAUGGAUUCUUCUAUUCAGCCGAAUUCCAAUCAUACCCUUUUUACAUUAUAAUUUUAAUUAUAUAUAUAUAUGUAUAUAUACACACACACACACACACAGUGACACACACACACCCUAAUCAAUCAUAAGAAUUACUCUAAACUCUAAACAAACAACCUUUUCUAACGACGACCUAUUCAGUUCUCUGUUUUCCUCACAUCAUUGGUUUUGCUACCGGCAAAUGCAUGAAAGGUAUAAAUUGCAUGAAAGGUUAGCUUUUCCAUGGAAUUUGGAGUCUAAGUUAAGAGGUCAAAACAUCCAACCUCUUUUUUUUUGUAGUGUAGAGAACAAGUUAGAGCAAGCAAGUCCCCGUCGCGCAACAAAUCUCAAGAUGCCUAAAACUUUGUCAAGUGCUUGCUUACCUGCAUUUUGGAUCCUCAACCCCAUUGCGACAACACAGGCUUAUUACACAUACAUGUCAGAAGAAUUUAAAGUGGUCGUGCAACAAAAUUAAUUACGCCCGCAUUAAACAUUCACCUGCGACGCAACGCAUAGGCAUAGCACAGGCAAGGUGAUAUCUAAUUCAGGCAUCUUAUCAACCUUCCCCUGCCAAAAUUUUGCCGUGCUCUAGGCUAGCUAAUGGUGGUAAUCUGAAUUGGAUAACAAAAGUUGUAAAAGUAGUACUAUUUGAUCGUGAAAGGAUCGCAUGUCGUUUCGAUGCUACUGAACCAUAGUACGAAAAGUUCGAUGGUUUCCUCCUGAUUCUGCUUGACGCGACUCUGUAAUUGGUUGGUAUGAUAUGUGAUACAGUACCAAACCCCCGACAUUCAUUCACCUAGCUGCCAAGCUAGCUUGACUCUUUGAUCUCAUCUCAUCUCAACAAUUUGCUCUUGGACUUUGUACUGUGCUUUGUCCUUCUCAGCUCUCUCUCUCGUGUCGUCUCUUGAAUUGAUAGUCCACUAUUCCCCGAUCCCCAUCAACUUUACACCUUUCCAAUUCGCCAACGCUUUGUAAGCAUUGUGUUAUAUGUGCAGUAAAACGCAGAAACCAAUUCCCCGAGCGAUCAUACGAUCCACAGCCUUUUUUUUUUGCCCUUUCCUUUUAGUACUUCGUUUGGUACAAUAUGACCUCCAAUUUAUAACUUAGUGCUUUUGAUAUUGCCGAACACGAUGAUUCACAGCCAAUUUUCAAGAAUCGCCAACUCCAUCCCCAUUCAGCAGUCGUGCUGAGUGCUGCCAUGUAUCCAAGUCCAAGCACGCACACUCAUGAUCCUCAGACUUAAAUUAAUGGAGCUUCCUCGGGAUCUAAUGGCUCCAUCAACCCCACAUCCCGUGGGGGGCCCUUAUGUGUUUCUCACUCAUUUCCUCUCAUAGUUCCCGUCGCCCGAUAAAAAAUGAACGGCCUGAUUGAAUCUUAAACACCUUUUCUUUUUUUGGUGGGCUUGUGCAAUGUCCAUUUUCCUCUCACUUGUUUCCCCCGGUCAUCGCUAUUCCGGUCGUUGGUUAGGCCUUGAAUCCUCGAUGCAGGAAAUGUCUUUCAUUGGAUUCUUUCUGCAGUUAGACAAUCUAGAACUUGUAUAGAGACUAUGGCUACUUCACUGGAAGGGCACAAUGGCGAACAAAAUAUUCUUACGUCGAACACUAGUUAAUGGACGUAACCUACCUAAGUGCAUGCUCAUAUUAUUAUUAUUAUUUUUUCUUGUGCUACUUAACAAAUAUCAAUAAUCUUAUUUUAGUAUAUGUAGAUAUUAUUCAGCACACCCUGAUCGAGAUUUUGUUGUAGGUAUUUGAAUUUGACUGUUAGUGAGAUGUCCGGUUGCGCAGCAUAGAGCUAAAACCAGUGGAGAAGGACAAUGGACUGGAGGGAGGGACCAGAAAUGGUGGGCAUUGGAUCGGGUCCUCAAUUUGUUGGCUGUAAUAAAGCUAAUAGCACUGCGCCUAGUAGUUUGCUUUGGAUUCUGUCAAAAAGCCAAGUUGAUCUUGAUCAUGUUUCUCUGUUGUUGCAGGGUCGGGGUAGAUGUUCCUAUCCAGCAAGCUAGGCAGGGCCUGCGGGUUAUCCGCUUAAUUUGUUUCCGUGGGUCACAUUUGCUCCUCCUUCACUGCAAUAGAACCUUUUCCUCGCAAAAUCAACAAGGCUUCUUUCUUGAAGCAAUAAAAGUACUCCCUAGCUAGCUAGAAAAGCAAACCUUUCCAAGCUAGCUCAAUUCUCGAUCGUUCUGCAUCAUAUGUCCUGGUAAAGGCUCUUAUCUGCUUUCCUCUGCUUUUAGUGCACUUGCAAGGUCAUCCUUCAAGCCUUUAGGCUUGUGGAAAUUUUAGUGAACGAGAAAAGCUCUAAAUUUUUUAUUUUUAUUUUUUUUUGGGGGAGAGGGAGCGAGGGAGGGUCAUAUUUCUCUGACACUGAACACAAAUACUACUAUGAAAUUCAUAUUUCCGUAUUGCAUGUGGAGGUGGACGCAACUGAUGUUAUUAAACCAUGAAAGCAGAAAAGCGCAAACAACUACGGCAAAGUGAAAUGACAGGCUCAUGUUAGUACUUUAGUUGAUAGGGAAGGAGGAUAUUCUCUGCUGUCUUUUCUUUCUUUCUUUCUUUUUUAUAUACCUUUUUUUUUCAGCUUGUUUUUCUUACUCCUGGUACGCUGCAUUAUUUGCCCAUUGUUCUUGAAUAUCCAACCAAAAUAUGAGGUAAAUGAAGUCCAUAUGAAUAGACACAAAUGUUGGGGAAAACAUUUGGAAACUUGUCACCAUAUCAAAGGGAUAAAAAGAAUGAUAAAACGACUGAGCAAGGACGGGUAUAAUUCAUAUACUACAAGCAAACGUCUUACAUAGAAACAGAAUGAAGAAAUUAAAAAAUAAAAAUUGACAUGCCUUUCAAGGCACGGGCUGAAUUAAUAGAGGGAGGCCCAAGAAUUUUACAAAUCAACUGCCCUCUUUAGAAUUUUAAAAAUCUUAAUUUAAUUAUGAAUUUUAGCCUUGAGAAACAGGUUUAAUGUCAUAUCCUGACCUUCAAAUUUGGGAAUGUGAUAACCAGUGCAGCAUUGUUGUCAUAGAGUAUUAGGAAUACAUUUACACCCAAAAAAUUGGAAAAAUUUUUUCCGCAAAAAACUAUCAUAUUGAUUACAAGUCUUUGCUGCGAAUCGGUAUGUAAAAAAAACAUUGUGAAUACGUUCCAAGCCAAGAGAGACUACAAGCAAAUUAAGGACAUCAAAAUGAUUGAUAAACGACUAAAUGAAUAGGUAGCAAGCCAAGAGAGACUACAAGAGAAGCUACAAGGCACAAGGCGUGUUUUUUUGUCGACGGGGAGUUGAGCAGAAAUUGGAGCGGAGGUAUCCUGCCAUGAAGCAUAUUUGGUUAUGUGGCGCGACCCAAUCUUUUUCUGGAAAAAUAUUACUCCACCUCCAUUCGUAUUGGACAACAGCUCAAGCCUCCAGAGAUAUCAGAACUUAAAGAAAGAUUAGAGCCAUAUAUAUCUUUGUGGUGAUCAAGCUAGAUAAGUCGAUAUCGUUUCCUUUUGGCACUGCACCAGUUAGAAGCUCUCUACAGCAUCUAGACCCAUCAGUGAUAAGCCAACUACGACGGAUAGCCCAACCGUCUCUUUCUUUCUUUUCUUUUUUUUUGAGAAUAAAUUAUUUUGUUUUGUUGAGAAUAGAAAGGGAAAAACAAUUUUGUACUAAGAACUCAAAGGGUAGAAAGGAAAAAACAACAAAAGCGAAUUAGAAGACGGAUAGAGGUGCAUGCAUUCAUGCUGCAAGUGCAAUGUUCAGUUCAAAGGAUUCUUCCGAAAUAGUGGCCUGCAUUGCAACUUUUGCUCAAUUAUCAGUCAGUCAACCCAUUAAUCAUUCCUGUAUGAUUGGACUUGAGUGUGUGGGUCUUGGAAUACAUUUGGAUUUUGGUUGAUAAUUUUAGCAUUUCCCUCUCAUUCCCGAAUUUCGAUGGGAAUGGCGCAGUUCUUUCCCUUCUUCUCGAUUCAUGUUCUAUUGCAUCUUUGUUAUUGUUAGAUUUAUCCAUAUGUAAAAAAAGGAUAAACUUCUUGGUUAUGAGUUUGAGGAAAACCCCAAAACCUUGAGUUAGUUUUUGAGGCAGGAAGGCCCUGUAAUACUGUAUCAGAAUCCGGUUACAACAACUCCUCGUAGCUCGAAUGAAAGGUUGAUAUACAUGUUCUAAUGGGAUAAUUUUAGAAACCUUCUCGAGGUUUGUGGUUAUAUCACUUACUAUUUUUUGGUUUUGAAACAUAUCACAUGCUUCCCCCAUUUUUAACUUUUAGUAAUAUAAUUGUCAACCUAUUUGAAAAUAUAUUAUUAAAGAAUUUAUUAGUCGAUAGAGAGUAUACUUUCAUUCCAAUUUUGCCAUUUUCUUGUGAACCAUUUUGACUCGAAACAAAUCUACUUAAUCCCUUAACUUUUGAAAAAUAACAAGGUUGAAAGACCUAUUAAUAAUGUUCACAUCAUUAGUCUACACAAGAAAUAUAAUAAAAUUUUAAUAUUUUAAAUAAUUUAGAAAACUCAUUUAUGAGAAUUUUACAAUAAAGAAAAUAACAUUUUACACCUUAAAAAUACCUCAAAUAAGUUUCUAAAUGCAUGGUUUAAAAUUUAUCAUUUUUAAGUUCUAAAGCCAUUGAUCUAGACAAAAAAAAUUAAAAAUUUAAAAAACAUGUACACAAUUCAUAAAUCCUUAAAUUGAUACAUCCCCAAGCACUUUUGAAUUAAAAAAUAAAUUUUCUUUAAAGAAACCUUAAAUGGGUUUGUAAACAUAAACAUUUUGUCUUUUUUUUUCUUGGUUUUCAAGCCACCAAUCAAAACAAGAAAAUCAGAAAAUUUUAAAAAUUCAAAAAAAUUGAGAAAAAAAAACUCUUCAGGUUGACCAAAAAACACUUCAUAAUAAAGGAAUAAUCCUUUUGGCUUGAAAACACUAUGAAUACAUUCUUAAAACUAAUUUUUAAUAACUAUUAUUAUAUUGUGUCUAUUAAAAUUACACAUUUGUAUGGUUUGCUUUUAUGUUUAACCUUUUAUUGGAUGCUUUCAAAAUUAAGUGAUAAACUAUUCACUUAUUAUUGAAUGUGAUAUGCACUUAAAUGCAUUAGAUUUAAUACUUAACAAUUCAAUAAUUUAAUAGAUUCAGAUUUCAAAUUCUAGAUUUCAGUUUUAUCAAACGCAACUUAGGCGAGAUAUUAAUUGGAUGGUACUUCUAGAAUCCUUAUUUAUAAAGUUAAGCGAUAUCAACUCAGAAUUGUAGAAUUGAGAGAAGUAGUAAGCACACAUAAGAAUUUGUGAAAGAGUGACAGCAUAAUAAUCUCUCUCUCUCUCUCUCUCUCUCUCUCUCUCUCUCUCUCUCUCUCUCUCUCUCUCUCUCUCUCUCUCUCUCUUUUUGUAAAUUGACUCAUUUUAUUAAUAAGCAAAAUUGAGUGUCAUAAGGAACAUACAGAGUUCAAAAUACAUCAGAAAGCUACUAUAUUCAAUACACUAUUCACCAAUCAUCAGCUAAUGCAAUUAUGAUGAUGUCCAAGUUUCACAACUAAAUCCCAAUUUGCUCUGUUAUACAGCGGACAGCAUGGUAAUCUUACACCUAUAAAUUUAUUAAUAUCUUAAACAAUAAAAGACUAGCAAUACUCAGUGUCCACAUAUUAAAGAAGAGAAAACUUGAACAAUGCCAAAUUUAUGAUGCAAUAAAUCUGGUGAACAAGGAUCAAGUUAUUCCCAAAUAAAUUCCCAACUCCUCAAUAAGAAAAAUAUGGAAUAAUUUUUUCCUACACAGUCACACUCAACAUAAAUUUCUAGCAUCUACAACUUGUAAGGGAGUAAUAGUCCUUGUUUCUUUUUAGUAACUGGUUUUUAAUUGUGAUCGAGCUAAGGUUUAUGCCCCCUCUUCAAUUUUAUUUUUAAUUAUUAUUAAUAAAAUUUAGGACUGGCAUCUCUCCCCCGUAUACAGGAUUUGCCAAGAAAAAAAAAGUUUCUACCCUUGAUUUACUUCUUUUAUGAAUAAUUUUUUGAGCAAAUCUUGUAUAUACUAGUAGUGUAUAUACUGUCAUGGUUAGGCAAAUGUCACAUAAUUAAAAUUUAUAUUUGAAAUUAAAAUUCAGUAUAUGUGAUAUUCAUCAAAAUGUAAUAAUGUAUACACUACUGUUGGUGUAGAGGAGAUUAAUCUUUUUUUUUUUUUAAUAUGACAAAAGAAAGGGCAGGACACUAAACUUGAUCCAAGAACCUUAUGAUUACAUUAUUAACGCUUUUAAAACUCAAAAGUUGAGUUGGGGUCUGGUGGGGUAUCCAACAUUGUUGGCGUGUUCCGGACUGUCCCCUGUUCCUAUUGGCCCAACUGCACAAGUUACUAAAAGCCCAAGGCGUCAUAGAAAUCGGCCCUCGAAUUAGUUCAAGGGAGAAACAUUACUCUGCUUGUGGAUGCGCGCGUAUAUAUAUAUAUAUAUAUAUAUAUAUAUAUAUAUAUAUAUAUGAGCAAAUUACUUAGGUAGUUAUUGAACUUUUCGAAUGUUAAGAUUUGAUUACUCAACUAUUAAUGAUAUGUUUUUAUCUACUGAACUAUCAAACUUAUAAAUUUUGGGUAAUUUUACUCUAAUCUCACUGUCUAGUGGUUUUUCGGAUAAUUUGCUAUAUAUAUACAUAUAUAUGACUUUGGAUGUUUGAUGAUAUUGAGGCAAUGGCAAAAACUUGGGUUGACUUGAUUUUGUAAUAGUGUGGCAAAAUUUGGGCCACACUCUACAAGAUCAGGUGUUGAAAAAUUUGGGCCGCUGAAUCUACGCUAAACACCGUGUAAUGACUUCAAUUUCACAAAACGGGCCGCAAACAGAAGGACCAAACCCAAGAAAGAAGAAAACGUGGAAUCACUUUUUUCGGUUUCUACCUUCUGAAAUCAAAAAAGGUACUCCCAUUAAUUAACGAGAAAAGAAAGCAUAGAUUUAAUUGCCAGAUCCAAUCCAAUCCUUCCAAAAAAUAAAAAAAUUGCCAGAUCCAAAAAGAAAAGAGGAGAAGCAAGUAAAACGGGGAGAUGAAAUUAUUCGUUGAUAAUGGAAUCAAGAAGAUGCACGCUCAAAGUUUUCAAGUACAACAUUAUGACAGACCGGAAGAGGUUGCAGAAAAGUGCAACAAUUAUUAGCGAGCCAGGCCCCAGCCGCUUUAAGAUUUAAAUAAAAUACCACGAAUCAUGCAACCAAAUAUAAAUACGCAUAACUUCCUAUGCUCCCUUGAUCAUUCAGGCACUGUGCCUAGACUAGUCACGAUGAACAUUAUAAUGGCCGGCGUCCUGCUGGUGGUGGUGGCCAUUGCCCUUCCUAGAUACCGAGAGAUGGACUCCAGGAUCACGGUUGCCGUAGGUGCAGUUGUAGACAAUGGAAUUGUUGACUCCCUGGACGUUACUGUUCACAAAGGCGUCCACUGGGGGCUGUGGAGCUGCCACUAAUUUGCUCCUUCCCAUUUCGCCUCUUCCAUUCUUUAUCCCACCGUCAUCAGAAUGCCUGCCGUCCUCCUCCUCCUUCUCAUGGCUUCCCAAUUUCUGGCCAUUUUUACCCCAGAAAUGUUGCCCAGAAUCGUACUUCUUGCGGGAAGCUCCUGGGCUCAAUUCCAUAACAGCUCCUUUGUUGUCACCUGCAAGUGUUACGACUCUCAUACCAAGCUCUGGUGAAGAAACAGCUGAUUUAUUAUUAUGAUUCUUUUUAUCCUUGUAAGUCGUCAUUGCUCCUUUGUCUUUCUUAACUUGUCUCUCUUUCCCCCCGGAGGAGGGGGAGGACGACGACUUCGUGGGAUCGAUCUUUGGCGCCUUUUCAUGAUUGGUAUCAUCUUGCGUUAGCACUGUUUUCUGCACAGCUUCUGGGGGUAUUGGUUCCAGAUCAUAAUCAUGACUGAGUUGCGGCGGAGGCAGUGUUAAUGGAGAUGGAGAAGGUUUCACAAUGGUGGAUUGAGCGUGAUUAGGAGGAGGUGUACUGCUUUUCACCCUCGGGCUGGGUGCAGCACGAGGUCUUGCGGCGGUGGCUGCAACUGGAGAAGGUGGUGGAGGGACUGGUGCUGGUGCUGCAGUGGGAGGGCCUGAAUAGAGCAAUGUUUUUGGAGCAGGAGAGGCUGGCAAUGCUAUUGUUGAAGAGGGCGGUGAUGGGGGUUUAGUUUUUGGGGAUGCUGAUAAAGAUGGAGAGGAUACAACUGGACGUGCAGCCGAAGACGUUUCCGCUGAUGCAGUUUUGAUUAUUGGAGAUGCUGGUGGCGACGAAGAUCCAGGUUUAGGAGGGGGUGCAACAGGCGACCUAGUUAUGGAGGGGGUAGGGGAUUUUGGAGGCGUGGGGGAGGGGCUUGGAGCCGGAGGUGUUGGCGGUGGUCGUGGCGAUGGUGGAGGUGCUCUAGUAGUGGAGAUCUGAGGGGAGCUUGGGGUUGUAGGGGUUACAGAAGGGGGUGAAGCAACAGGCAAAUUCGGUGGAGCAGGUGGCAGAGGCCGAGGCAGAGCUACAGGGGGCCUGAAGGGUGCAAUAGGAGGUGGGGCUUGCAGUGAAGGUGUUGGAGCAGGGGGACGUGCAAGAGGCGGUGGUGGUGCAGGUGCAGGUGCAGGUGGAGGUGCUGGGCGCAUUAUGUUAGCCAAACGGAACCAUGGCCGAGGCUGCUGUUGGGUAGACAUUUUGGUCUUUACCUGAAAUAAAAAUGAAUCAGGCGGGGCGGUAGGAGUAGGAUGCUAGGAAGGAAGGAAGGAAGGAGCAGUAUAGUAAGCACUGCGUAUUCUGGUCGGGAGUACUAUUCGAGUGUCAGCCUGCCCUGCAUGCUUGACACUACUCACUACCAAAGGAAUUAAUGAAUUGGGUGAACACGAGCAGUUAAAAGUUCUGAUGCACACUCAUUUAUUUAUACUGACGUUCAGCAACUAGCAAUUUGUGAAGCGGCGGGUAAAGCGAGACAAAUCAACAAGCGUGCAUCAAUGCGGUGAUCCAUCGUCAGGGUGGGAAGACAAGAAGAAAGGCAUCUGAUGCAGCUAGCUGGGGGACUCCGGAGGGAUCACCAUUCACCAAAAAGAAUUAAAGAACCAAGCCUUACAAGAAAAGGCAACGUCGCUUUUGGGCCCAUGACGGUCUCAGUCUGAUCAGCAGAUAUUCGGCUCCCUUCUAAGAUCACGUUGAAGCUUCAAGCAAAUAAACAUUUUCGAAACCUUUGUAACGUUGAAGUAAAGGUGUAAAUUUGUGGAAGAAGAAAGUAAAGUCCGUUCAGCAUCUGUCUCCUCGGGAUUAAGCUGUUGUCUGCAGCAACUUGUGCUGCUAUUUGCGGCUCAUACGCACCAACUGCUGCAGCAACAGUGGUGCGGUGCAUAUCUGGAUGCAGUUCCAGCGCCAGUGCCAGUGCCAGUGCGCUGCUGCUGGCGGACGAAUAUUUAAGUACUUAAACCGAUUACUUUCAUGACUUUGCUUUGCAUAUUGCGCCGUAUUAUCUUUUGAGUUUCCUAACGAGCACAAAAAGGGACUAUUAAGGAAACGCCUUUUUUUUUUUGGCAUUGAGAUUCCUAAAUUCACAAUCACUAAACGCCUUUCCCGGACCAUUGAACCACAAUUCUGUCUCUAUCUUUGACUUUGCUUGUUGAGAAUGUAUGGUGCGAUGCCAAUUGCCAUGCAAUCUUCUUCCUUUUUCCUUCGGCUUGGUCCCAUUUCUGGGCUUUUCAAGAUGCCCCUCAAGAGGGAUUCCUCUACCAUCCCAUCAUCUCUACCUUCCUGAAGGGACUACUACUUUUUGCCUUUUUAAUGCAGUUAUCUCUUUUUGUUUCUGUCGUCUCAUUUGGCAAUGGUAUCACGAAUUAUUGAUUAGUAACUGAAUGAAAUUUGAUUUAUUUGUUAUGCCGACGUGCUUUCUUCCCUUGUCAGUUUCUUUGAUGCCCUCCUAGUCCUAGCCAGCCAUUAGCCAAUGCAAGGCCAAGAAUAUUGUACGACUGAAGAGGCUAACCUCUUGAAGACAGAUGCUGCGUUCAGCACUUCGGGUGCAUUCUUUUACCUGAGAAGGCAACCGUUGUAAAAAUUGCAUACAGGACAUUUCAUAAAUCAAGUUUAUUUAGCAAGAGAAUAUCAUCCAAAUACUAACCCUUUUCCUCGUUAUUACCAUAUCUUUUACAAAUCCGUGUGACGGAUGGAUUGGGUUCAGCUCUUUACGGCCUAAAACUCUUUUUGUUUCUUUUCUUUUUAAUUAUGGACCUAGUACAGUAGGUGCAGAAAUUCUUGUUCAAACUUCCAAGCCCCCAUGUCCUCACCUCGCUCCCUACCCUUCCAAUCUUAUUUACUUUUCUCCUGAUCUUAUUGAUAAAACAAAAAUCAUUUGUGCAUCACCAUUAGCUGGUAAGGUGGAUCGAGGCCUGUAGCUUGACAGCAAAUUCAAACAGCACAUGCAAUUUAAAUCCUCAUUCAACCAACCAUUCUACGCUGUCCUACAAUCUUCUUGUACAUAUAUGCAUACUAUCAGUACUACUCGAUGAGAAAUGUGUAUGGAGAGCAAGCUUUGUUAUUCAGCUCUCAGAUACUUCAAUUUGUAGACCAUCUAUUGCGGCCUGCAAACACUAAAACUACGGAGGGCACAGUUCCUUUUUCAUUCUAGGAGGAAGGAGCUGUCAGACUGGUUGAUUAUAGUAUUAACAGCUUUCGGUUUUAUCUUAUACCGUUUCAUUCCAAAGCCAAAUUCUAACAACCUGAAUCGCAUCACGUCAGAAUUUCUUGUACCAUAGGAAUUAGUUGUUGUAAUAUCUCCUGUCCUCCUCCUUUUGUACUUUGAUAGUAGGGGUUUGUAUGCUCAACCGCAACAUCAAGCGCAAAUCCGUUGCUGCUAAAACAAUAGGAUAGAGUUGCGAUCAGAUGGAGAUUAAUCAUUGCCUUGCCAAGUCAGCUCCAGUUUCUCAGCAUAGCUUGAUUAACAUGGAGAUUAAUCACCCAUCUGUCUAACAUUCUCUGGUUUCACAAAACUUUCCAGAGAAUAUGAGGUUGCGAUCAGAUGAUAGCUACAAAAUCAUACCAGCUUUCUUUUGAUAACAUGUAUUCCAAUUAAGGAAACACCAAGUGAGUCAAACUGGAUGAGAGUUGGAGGACUCCUCCAGUCGAUAAGAGAGCAAGCGUCAUCAAAGAUUGUCACCAAAAUCUAUCCUGCAGUUACCGUUAAAUACUAUUAAUUCCGUCGAGUCAUUAUUAAGUCUUCUCUGCCUUUCAUAUUAAGUCUGCACCACCCAAAUUUGUUUUCUAAGAUUUUAAGGAAGGAAUGAAAAGAUACGAGCAUGUAUAUAUCCAUUUGGAAAAGAACUUGAAGGGUCAUUCAGCUCCAAUUUCGCAGGCGGAAUUAUGUAGGAUGAAUAAUGGUGGAAGAAUGCGGCAGGGUUUAGGGCAGUUUCAGAGGUUAGCACUAUAACUUGGAAAAAAUCACAUCGAAAAGAGAAGAGACUCUUUCUUUAUCAUCCUUGCUUUGCUGUCCAACAACCAUGGAUCAGAAAAAUGACUUCAUCUCAUUGGUUGAAUCACAACUCUACUGCUGCUUCUAAUGUAGAAACGUCCUAUCACUUCAAGAUUUUUUUUUUUUUUUUAUUGGGUCUGUCAUAAAGGUCAGUUGAUUCGUUAAUUAUUGAAUUGAUGAGUUGGUGUUGUGUGAGAGUAGUGAGGCUCUUUCUUUCUCGAUGGAUUGAGAUAAAUUCAUCUCAUCUUGGGGUAAGUAAAAGAUUUGGGUUGGAAUUGGAUUAAUAACAAGGUAGUCGAGUUAGAGUGUGAGCUAAAUUGACGUGAUACUAAAUUGGAUUUGAGUUAUCAUUAUUGAUAUCGACACAUCUGCAAUUCCCAAAUUCUUCUUGUUCAAUAUCUUUUUCAUACGGAUUUUCUCUUUAUUUCUCGGGUCUCUAGUGAGUUAACCGACAGAAUUCGAAAAGAUCACAUCUUUGAUAAUUCCACCAGCUAUGAUUAAAAUUGCGAAAACUUCUGAUAAAUAUCCUACAUGUGAACUGACCGAAGUACCGAGGACCAUCUUACCGAGAUGAUCACCUUUUCUAGACAUUUCCUAAUCUGAGGAGUGGUCGUGUGGCUUAAAGGUCUUGUCAGCCAAGAACACUACGACAAGAAGUAAUUGACACGACACCUUACAAGGUUUUGCGAUUGAUGCGGCUGCCAAAAAUAAGAUCCGAACUGAGCUAUGACGGGCUGAGUGAGCUGAGAGGGAGCGAGUUGAUGGGCCGAAUUGACAGGGAGAGAACGAACGACCUGUCCUGCAGAGAGAAAAAUAAACGGAGGGGGCUAGCUCCUCGGAGUAGCUCCGAUGACGGGCUGAGCGAGCUGAGAAGGAGCGAGCUAGCGAGCUGGUCAGGUGAACGAACCGACCUGCAAAUGGACAGACGGCAGGGCUAGUUCCUCGGAGCAGUUCCGACAGUCAAAUCAGUAGAACUUAUGAGUAGGGUAAUAGUAUAGAGUACUGUAGAUGGUGUACCUUGUGUCGUCUUGUGGCGCUUUAUUUAUAGGUUAGAGGGAGAGAGUUUCCUCAUAGGAUUUUGAGUCCUAGUCAAGGGGGAAUCUUGCUAGGGUUUUACUCGUGGAUUCCGAAAGGUUUGGGAGGCGCAGCCCAUUAAGCCCACACGGCUUGCGGGGCGGCCGAACUGAUGCUCUCUAUGUCCGAGCUGCCGUAUCAUAGCAUCCGAACUGACACGUGGCAUCCGUAGAUUAGUUGGCCGAGCUGACAGGUCAUCAUGUCCGAACUGACACGUGGCUACUGGGAAAUUUGUCCCACUACAGCGACCUAUACUGCUGCACCGGCAGACCUAUAGCCUCUCAUCAAUGCAAUCUGAACCCUAAAGUCGCCUCUCGUGUUCUACUAUAAAUACUCUACUUCUUUAAAUCCUAGAGAUAACUACUUCCUAACUCUCCUACUCGGUAACUUAUUUCCGAAUUGUCACUCUUAUUAAAUUAUGCAUUGGAAUCAAACUAGGGGAAUAGCCCCGCUUCUGUUUUUUAUCUCGCACAAGAAAUUAGAACCAGAGUUUGCCGAUCUCCAGUCUUCUCGAGAGCCUCAAUCAUGACUCUAUCAUGAACCAAAUUCUUUCUAGUUAAAAAUUAUCUCUCUUUGAAACAAUUAGGAAAUUCUCUAGAAGAAAUACCAAGUGUGUAGGCAGUGGACACGGAUGAGGAGGUGGAGGUCGAGCAUUCUUAUUUUCACAUAUUAAGGUUGUGUUUGGAUUGUAUUUUUUUAAAUUUUUUAUAGAAAGAUUACUGUAGCAAUUUUAUAUCUGUGAGAUAAAAAGGUGAUUGAAAAAUAUGUCCACAAAAAAUAUAGCAAUUUUUCUUUAGAAAAUUACUGUCCAAACAGUGGAAGGGCCUGCACAAGAUCGGCAUCUGAUCACCGGCAAUCAUAUGGUUUGCGACGUUUAUUGCUCGGAUUGCGGAGACGAGUUGCAACCCCACUCGUACAAGCUAAGGUAAAACCGUUCUUGUCAAGUCCAAGAUUACCGUGCUUGUUGAUUCUCCUCCUUUUUUAUUUUUUAAUUAUUUUCUUUCUUUUCCAUUUGGAUUCAGUAUACGUAAGUGUUACAGUACAAGGUGACGUGAUUGAUCGUAGCCACCAUCUGUUGAUUGGCUGUGGGUAAUGGGUAAUUGUCCUGCAAUUUUGAUCAUGCUAUCAAUCUCGUCCUUCACCAUGCAACAAACAGAAAACAUCACCUCACAUGACUGCAAUAAUAUUACUAAUUGGCAUUGCUGUUACAAGUAUUUUAAAGGCAAUAAUUUGGGUCAAGUCUUAGCCGGCGGGAUAACCAAAAAAAAGUCUUGGCCGGCCGGCUAACCACAAAGUUUUUCUUAAAAAAGGGAUAAUUUCAGAAACCUCCCUUGAAGUUUUAUAAAAUAUCACUUAACUCCCUUGAAUUUUCAAAAUCUCACUUAACAUCCUUAAAGUGAUAGUGAGACUAUAUGUCAAUAUCAAAAGUGAAAAAUUAUCAAUAAUAUCCUCAUAUUUAAAUUUCCUAAGCUUGUUUUUUCUGUAAAUUUCUUGCUUUUCUUUAAUAAUGUCAACACACACACAUACAUAUAUAUAUAUAUAUAUAUAUAUAUAGUUGAAUUACAAAUGUCCACGAAUUAUAGGAUUUAAUCAACACACACACACACACACAUAUAUAUAGUUGAAUUACAAAUGUCCGCGAAAUAUAGGAUUUAAUCAUUGAAAUAGUCAAUGCAUUUGGAGAAGAAGAUCGAGCUAUAGGUUUUUUUUCCCCUUUUUUUUGUGUUUCAUAACUAAGGGUUUGUUUGGAUAGGAGUUUAUUUGAAUGAUUUAUUUGAGAUAGUUACUGUAGCAUUUUUUGUGAUGUGAUGUAUGUAAGAUAAAAAAAAAGUGAUUGAAAAAAUAAAAAGGUGAUUAGAAUUUGUGAAACAAAUUAUUUUAUUUGAAAUAAUUUCAAUCCAAACAAACCCUAAAUUUAUAUAUUUUUUUGUUUGUUUGCUCCUAUUCAUAUAAAGCGCCAGAGAAAUGAAGUAACUGGAACUCUGGACACCAAUCAUAAUUUUUCAAAUUUAGACUUUUUUCUUUUUAUAAUAAAAUUUUUAUCUUUCACAUCCAUGAAAAAAUCGAUUCAUUUCGAAUAAAUUCUCUAUACGAUAUUAAGGUUGAAUUUCAUCUAUUGUUGAGUUUUUUUGCUCAAAUGUACAAGUUUUAUAUGACAAUCGUCCAUGACAUUUUAGCAGCUCCGAGGAGGAAAACAAGGAGCAUAUCAUUAAUAGUAGUAGAUGGCUGGCACACAAGCAUGCUGCAAAGAAUCUGGUGCGGGCUGUCUGGGGAGAAGAAAAAGGGACCUUCCACGAAAGUCGACUCCGGCCGCCUGAUUGAUUGAUUAAGCAAACGCUGUCGUCAGGACACAUGACUCCUGACUCCGACUCCACAUUGAGUGAUGACAAAUUACCGGAAACUCCAAAAAUCCAAAGCACCUUCCUCGAAACCCAGCGAUACGUACAUACAAAUACAAUACUACAAAGAAACAAUAAUGGGAACAAAAUGCAACCCCCACCCCCCACCCCCAAAAAACCCAGAAAACCUAUAAAAUCAUACGCUGCUAAACUGCUGCUGCUGCUAUGGAAAAUCAUACUACUCCAUGAUAAAAAAUCAUUUUACCAAGCAACUUCAAUUGAAAUGAUUAUUGCUUUUCGGAGCGUUCUUAGAAAAUUUUACUCUUAAAACUUUAAAUGAUAACUCUCUUUAUGAAAUUAUGCAAAAAGAAAAAAAGAAAAAAGAAAAAGCGUACGUACGAAACAAACAAAACUAGUGUAGUAGUCUAGUACUUUGGACGGUGGCCCCGGUCCACGCAAGCACAAGCAGCAGCCUCUCAGUAAAACGACUGGAAUAAAUGAAGGGUCCCCCUUACUAGUAACCAACUAGUGUGUGUGUGUGUGUGGGGAAGUCGCAUUGCUGUCAUUUGUUUAGGCUCAACUCAACAGUAGUUGGAUUGCGUAGCACCUCCACCAAUUUUCCUCCAUUCCUUGACAAACUCCUCCCCCCUUUUCUUUGUCAAUGUUGCUAGUAUAAAGUAGUACUAGUUCUAAUAAUAAAUAGUUCCAACAAACUCCCCUUCUUCCUCAGGCUAUCCGCCAGCAGUAUUGUCCAACACUUGUGGUGGGGUGGGGGGGUCACCAAACUAAAAUAACAAAGAUUUUUUUUUUUUUUUUUUGUAUGCGUUGAAGAAAGAAGAAACUGAAGAAGGGCUUUCGAGAGGAGGAAUGGAAAAUAAUACCAACUCGGGAAUAACGGAGUCAACCGAAUAUGAAGACUUGUUGCCUGUGAUGGCGGAAAAGCUAGACGUGGAUACGUUUGUGGGGGAACUUUGUGGAGGGUUCAGGCUUCUGGCAGACCCAACAAGCGGCCUGAUCACAUCGGCCAGCCUGCGCAACAACUGUGCCCUCCUGGGCAUGGAAGGACUGAGCAGAAAGGACGCAGAGGCUAUGGUGAAAGAAGGAGACCUGGAUGGAGAUGGAGCCCUCAAUCAGACAGAGUUCUGCAUCCUCAUGGUCAGACUUAGCCCGGGGAUGAUGCAAGAUGCUGAGGCCUGGCUUGACAAGGCAGUUGCUCAAGAGCUGGGACACGCCUCCGCUUAGUCUCCUGCAACUUCCAAACUACUCAAAUUCAUUUACUUGAUUAAUUUACCUACUACUGGCCACUGCUGCUUCCAUGUAUGUACUAUUUGCCUUGGCCUAUAUACGCGAUGGUGAUGAUGCACCUUAAUCAUUCACAGCAGAAGCUUGUGUUGUUCAUGAUAAUUUACCAACUUUCUUCUUUUUAAAAAAGUCUUCUUUUCUUUUUCUCUCUUUUUAAUAAUAAAUGAUUGUGGUAUCGAACGCGGAGAGCGGAUGUCGAAAAAAUGAAAAACAAAAUUGUCCAUCCAGGUUUGCAAUGUUUAGAAACAUGGGAAAAUGGCCAAUUUCAUCCUAAACGUUUUUGCCGUGUCAAUUUAGUUCAUGUAUAAGUUUUUUGACUAAUUUAAUUCCUAUACUUAUUUAGCGGCGGUUACAAUUGAGGAACGCUGGAUGGUGCCGCCGUAUAAAUUCAAUCAAGUCGUUAAUUGAACAACUAAACUAAGUAGCAGGAAUAUUUCGAGUAGUUUACUGUUGAAAUAGUAACAAAAGAAGUAAAAUCAUUUUUUUUUUUUUGUGGAAGAAUUUGAAUUAUCUUGGGUAGCUGAUUUUUGUUUAAUUAUGUUGUGGGGAUACAAGCACAUUCUUGGGGAUUUGAUUCAGGAUUUUGAAGUUGACUCAUUGAAGGAAAAGAAAAUAAAAAUGCCAGAGCCUCAGAGACAAGUCAUACUGAAUCAAGAUUAUCAUAACAAAAGGCCAAAAAUCAUGGCUGAACCCGUGAAGAAGAUUCCUGUCUUUUGUAACAACCCGACUCCACCGGACCUGGCGUAGCCAUCAGCCACCUCGCCGGCGUAAAUGAAAAUGAUCAUUUUCCUAGAAACAUCAAAGUGUCCUUGCAAAGAAAGGAACGAAGACCACUGCUGUAAUUUCCGUAAUUUGUCCCUCCUUCACAAUCCAGUCCAGAUGAUGCCUGAUGGUGUUAACUAACCGACGUUCACAGUUCACACACGGUAAAAGUCAAUAGAUGACGCAGCGUGGAUGCUUUUUUUUUUUUUUUUUAAAUAAUAAUAAUAACUGCAGCUGCUAUAGGUUUGGCUUCCACAUUGAUUGGAGACUAGAGUCACUAGGCCACUCAUAUUCCAUAUUUUAACGGUACCUUCAGGCAAAUUGGAAUUGAUGGCCUUUCCAAAGUUUCAUUAUUCGACGAUUUACGAUUCUACUGAACGUACACCGUUGCAUAUUCUUUCGCAUUAGAACUCAAAAUUUAAAUUAAAAAAAAAAAAAAAAAAGGCCAGGCAAGCUCGGUCGACAUUGUUCAUGAAUAAAGGACACGCUUACGAAAUCAAAUUCGCAACCAAGUUUCUCAUAAAUACACAACCAUUAGGAACAGAUCGAUUCCAACUAUAGAUUUCCAACAACACACAAUCUUUAGACUAAACAUAAUCUGCUAGAUAUACACAAAGCAAAGCACAUAUAACAGCCAAUUUUAAAAUUAUCAAAAUCAUCCCAUCCAAACCAAUGCCAAUUUAAAAAAAGAGUGACAGAGUGAACUACGCUAUAAAUCAACUACACCAAUUCAGUACGCCUAUCCUCCUGCAUGUUGCACCUGAAACUACGGCGGCAUUUACAAAAACAAAAAACUUUCAAGUCCUCCCUCCCUCUGUCACUCAUCUUCAUACCUCUCAAGUUCUUGACCUCCGAACAGGCGACCUGCUGUUCAAAAAAAACUUGAGGAAUAAAAAAACGAAUUCCAGCAACAAUUGCAAUGAGAUCACAGAACACAUAAACUGACCCAAGGGAAUAUUGCAAAACAGAAAGGAGCCCAACCUGCGGUGCCUAUCAUACUCGGGACUCCUUCGCCUUUCAUAAGGACCAUUGUACUUGUCAUAGACAGGGCUGCGAACAUGCCCAUAAUCAGGACUCGCUCGACCCCUUCGGUACACAGGACUUGGUGACCUCCUAUAGGGACUGCCCCCACGCCCUCCAUAGUCUCUUCUAGGACUGUCAUAUCUGUCACCCCUCUCCCCAUCAUCCCUUAGAGCAUAUUCAACAGAUACCACCCUGUCCAAUAUCUUGCUGCAGAUUCAAAGGCAAUGCAGAUUGUCAGGCAAUAAAAACACCCAACUAUCAAUUAUAACCAAUUCAUUUUCCAGGCCAUCCAGUGUGGAGGUAAUAAAGUAAAUAUGCACAUAUCACAAACCUCAUAUGUGUACACUCCAAGGCUUUGGUAGCAUCUUCUUGAGUCUCAAACUGCACAAAUGCAAAGUUGCGACGGAUGCGAACGUUAAGAACCUUACCAUAAGGUUCAAAGUGCCUUUCAAUGUCACGGAUCCUAGUGCGGAUGGGAUCAAAGUUUAUGACAAACAAGGUUUUUGUUGGUCUCUGGUUAACCAUUGACCUAGAGCUAUCUCGGUGUCUGCCACGUUCACCCUGCCCAAGCAUAAACAUGACCAUAUUCAUAAAUGAAACACACAAUAUGGCACUCACUUAGCCUAAGAAUAGCUGGCACGCAUGUGCGCAUGCACACAGAGGAACUUUUUCCCACCCCUUUUUUUUUUGGUGUUUUGGGGGGGGGGGGGGGGGAGGAGGAGGAGGGAAAUAGGUAAACACCUUUGCCCAUUCCACUGAAAGCCUGCGUCUGUCAUGCCCAAAGGGCGCAUUGUCAAGGCCACGGAUAGCAUCUUCAGCAUCACGUUCAUCCUCAAAGUAAACAAAUGCAAACCCUACAUUAUAAAAUUAAACUACUCAGAGGUAAAAAUAUUAUACAUUGCGAUGUUUAUAGGCCCAUUUACAAAAUGCUACAUCAGCAAAAUCAGGGAUCUUUUCCCUGGGAAAAGAAUUAAAUUUAGUACAACACCUGCAGAUAUGUGAAGGGCUGAUGAAAGUAAGGAUGUAGAGGCCUUGCAUGAAGAACUAAAUCAUGAUGAUGAUGAAGGUGUGAGAAGGGGGCAAAAUAAAUUUUAUAUCCAUGGUAUCAUGGCUGAGUACUGAUUGCUAAGCAUGCUUCACCAUUUUCACAGCACGAAAUCAGUAUAUGGGACUCAUGGCAUGAUAGAAUUCAGUGAUCCCCUUAUGAUAGUGGUGGUAGACAAGGCAUGAAGAACUGAUAGAUGACACCACGACGACCAUUCUUGUAAAAUGGCAACUUAGGCAGAGAGGUAAGUGAGUAACAGGUGAUCGGAGUGAAAUAAAUACAACGAUUCCAUCUUUGAGUAUCAGGAGAGCAGGCAGGUAGAUAGGUUUCCAUUGCAUUAGAAAUGUUAUUGCACAGAAGUUGGCGAGCCAAGAAAGAAGCUCACUUUUCCUUAGUAGACGUUCCUGCGUCAAAACAAACACUUAAACAUGGAUACCUUUGCCAAUUAUUUUUUUUUUGACAGUUUGAUUAUUCUACUCAAGUGACGUUGACUGAACUAUUAGCUUUCCUGUUCGGGUUGUACUAAAGUUGCAUAUCUUUUUAAUAUGCAUAUAACAUAAGCAGCUUGUUCUUUCCCCUCUUCACUUGAUUAUUGGGGCUUUGUUAUCCAUUCCAACUACAUAUAAUCAAUGGUCAAACAAACAAUUGCAACAAAGAGCUGCCCUCUAGUAAGAGCUGACCUAUAAAUCAAGUGUGAACCUUUCUUAAGACAAGAAUGGCCAAAAAGCAUGCUGAUUACUAAUGAUUUACUACAACGUUGAAAAUGAAAAAAAAAAAAUUAUUCAAGCAUUCAUUUAUGACCUAAAAAAAAUCCCAGCAACACAUCCACCCCAAUUAAAAUGGAGGAGGAGAAAAAGGAUUUAGAGAUUAGUAUUUAACAAAUGAGCAAAAGGACAAAAAUAAACCUCAAUAUCUAACUACAUGGAAUCAAACUCAUCAUUUAUGCGAGCCAUUGAUAUCCUCCCUCGUGGGGAAAGCUAAGGUCAUAUGUGUUUUAUACUUGUAAACAAUCGACCAACCCACUCUGGAAAAUGAAAUACUAUCCUAGGAACAUCAACAACGUCAUGUGAGAACUAGCGCAGCAACUGAAACUAGAGGAAAAAACGCACUUGAGUACAUGGCACAAAAUUAAUAUAUCUAAACAUCGGUGAUGAAUAUAGAAUAGUUACCAGAUUUCAUGUCAACGCGCUCAACCCUUCCGUAUUUAGAGAAGAGUCGUUCCAAGUCAGACUGGCGAGUCUCGUACUCAAAAUUCCCACAGAACACUGGCCUCAUCUUCUUUUUCCUUUUUUUUUCCCGACCAGAUUUACCUUCUUCCUUCAGAACAGAGAACGAAUUAGAAAUCACUCUUUCCCCUUUUUUCUUAACAGCAAAAAGAGAGAGAGAGAGAGAGAGAGAGAGUACCCUUGAGCUUGGGGUAUGGAGGACAGGAGGAACCAAAAAGAACCCUAGCCUCCCGAAUCGAAGAGGGUGGUGGGAACUGGGAAGAGUCCUCACCAAUUACAAUCUUUCCAAGGGGUAAACGGGUAUACGGGAGGCCACUUUAUAGCCAGACGGGCAUCCCUGGCAGGCAUGGGCCGACUCCAACUGAACAGCAUAAGCCCAAAUGCCUCAGAAUCAACCCACUGAACAACACCAAAGGGAUCGGGUCAAGAACGUUCUACUGCCAUCAGCAAGCCCUGUCUUAGACUUGCAAGUUACCAAAUUCAUAUCAAUCCUCCCGGAAGAGCAUGUCUAUUUGAGUCUCGCAUAUUGCGUUUAAAAAAUACAUUGUAUGCUAGUGUAUAGUGUUUUGAGCCUUAAAAUUUUUUUGACCAAUUAUAUAGCUAUCAACCUUCAAAUACAACCGUUUUUUAGGGUUGUCAUACUUUAUUUACAAUACAUUCGUGGCUUUGAGUUUAAUACGAGUUUACAAUACAUUCGUGGCUUUGAGUAUAAAUUCAUUUAUUACUCUUUAAAUUUCUUGAUAGAAUUUCUAUAAUGAUUUUGUAGUAAAGUUAAUUUGUAAUAUACAAUAUUAAAAUUACACAUAAAUUAGUAAAAAAUCAUUAAAUGUACAUCAAUCAAAAGUUUUCCAACAAUAAUUAUGUCUAAUUCUUUUAAUCACAUGAAAAAUAGUAAUAAUAAAACAUGAUCAACAGAUGUUAGAACUUCUCAAUAGCCUUCUCAAUUUGUUCCUAGUAGGAUUUGUUCACCAUACUGAAUCUUAAUUAGUUAAUAAACUACCAAAAGUUUUUUCUUUUUAAACAUUAUUUAUUUAGUGAAUUUAAGUCUCUUCAAAACCAAUACUAAUUACUAAUAGUCUAAUUGUAUAUUACAUAUUUAAAAAUAAUAUAGUUAUAGUUAUAUACAUUACAGGAUGUGUGUAUGUAUAUGUGUGUACAUAUAUAUAUAUAUAUCUCUAUGUAUAUGUAUAUACAUAUAACUAUAUAUAUAUAUAUGUGUGUGUGUGUGUGUGCACACACACAUAUAUAAUCGCAUCAAACUAUAAAUAAUAUAUAUAAUAGUCGAUCGGGCUUUAAUCGAGUUAAGCCUGUAGAAACUCAAGUUUAACUCACAUUUAAACCCAGACUCUACCGUCAAAGAAUUAUAGUAGGCUCAACUAUUUUUCUUUCGGGCCGAACGAGUCAACUUCGAGCUAGUCCGACCCAUUAAUAGUCCUAUCAUUUUUGCCUUAAUUUUGCAAGUUGCAGCUGCAUGUUCUUCUCUGAAUUUGUAGUAUUUGACUUGCAUCCACAAAUUCAAAGUUCGACUAUUUUCCUUAAAAUUCAAAUUAUUUUCCCCCAAUCAAUCUUUAGACUACUAUAAUGGAUUAAGAUUUUCUUCACGUUUGACUUGUUGUUUAGAUAGUUUAAGUGUAAUCAAGUACAUUAAAAGCAUCAAAAUAACACAUAAACAAAAUCAACCACAAAUCCACGUUUUACUUAGAUGACAUGUGAACUAUUUUAUCACAACUUGGCAUACCCAACUAUUUUGCAUGAAUAUUGGCUCAGGCCUAGCUAGACAUAAAGUGUUCAAUUGUCCUCAAUUAUCUCUACCAUGAAAAUCAACCGCGGCCUAUAAUAUUUGCAAGUCAAAAAGUCCUUACCUACACCAUUGGAUCCGACGACUUUGGAAACCUAAUCAAAUUGUCUUUCAUACCGAUAGCAGGACUAUACAGUCAUGAUUUGAAUCUUAAGGUGCAGUUAAUUGUAAGGAUGAAUUUGAUUUGAUAGUUGAUGGGUAAACUUGAUCGUAGGAUAUAAUUUUCAAAUAGUGCCAAAACAUGUUGUGCUUCUACACAUUUUUGUUUCAUUUUUUAAAUUUUAUUUUAGUGUUUACAUCAUUUUUUGCAAACUGCAAUUCGUGAGAUUGGAAAAUUGCGAAGUCCUGGUCCUUUAUACACUACAAAUGCGUGUGAAUCGUGGCAAUUUAUAUGUUAGGGAUACUGUCAAGUGGAGUCGAACUUGAACAGCACUAUGCUCGAACUCAAAUUCGAAUUCGAUAAUUAUUAGUGCUACUCAAGGUCGAGUUCAAAUUCGAACAAGCAUUUAAAUUUGAGUUCGAACUUGACUUAAUAUAAUGGAGAUUAAGUUCGAACUCGACUCGUUUGAAAUUGAGUAAACUACAAGCCUUAUCAAAUUCAAGUUACUCGAGUUUCGGCUCGAGUUUUUCUUUUCUUGUUUUAAAUUUUUUACACUUUAGAUUUAUUCGAUUACCAUUUUGCCAUCUAUCACAUUUUUUUUUUAUUGAGCAUUACUUUGUGUAAAUUUAUUAAACUACGAACCCAUAAUAGUCAUUUUAUAUUUGAAAUAUAUAAUAUAUAAAUACUCGAUUAAGCUCGUCGAGCACUCGAGUAGUCAUUACUGAUACUCAAACUCAAAUUGUUACACGGAACGAGUAACUUGAAUUCGAACUUAAGGUCGAACUCGAUCAAAUCGAGUACGAAUCAAACUUUUGACCAAGUCUCUCGCAAAACAGUCGUGAGCGGUUUGACUUGUCCACACCCCUAGUAUAUAUGUUACUAAGGGUUUAUAGUACUUACGAGGCAUGCGUGCAGAGCGUCAUCAAUUAAGCUAGUGCUUAAGUCAAUAGGGUUGGACCAGCCAGAUCUCAGCCCAUUCAGCUAGAAAAAAAGUUUGUUGAGGUUAAAUUUUAAUUGCGAUGUCCAAUGGUUAGGCCUAAAUACUGGGCUUGAGCUAAAUAUAAGUCGAAUUUGGGAUACUAGACCUAGGCCCGAUUAAAGUUCAGCCCAUAUAUAAGUAUAAUUAUAUAUAUAAUAUGUAUAAUAAUAUCUAUAAGCUAUAAUUAUACACAUGAAGACAUAAAAUAUUGAUAAUUUAUAUAUAAAUGUGUAUUAAUUCAUAAAAGAUAAAAUAUUCAUAAUUUUUUAAUAUGGUUGCACUAUUGGAUUACAUUGUGAAGAAAUGAAAUAAUCAGAAGGUUAUAAUUUUAAUAGAAUAAUGUAGAGACAUGAAGAAAAAAAGAUAAAAUCAUCAAAAUGAUUUUUCUUCUGUACCUAUAUAUAGAUGGGUAAUUGUAGAAUUAUUAAAAUUGUGAGUAAUAUACAAAUUUAUAAAUUUGCUUGGUGCUAAAGUUUUUUAUAAGCCGAUGAAGAAAAUCUUUACAUUUCUUGCUAGUGUUUUUGCAUAUAGUAUAUGAUAGCAUGAAAUAAAUUAUCUUUAAUCUAGAAUCUCUUUUGUGAUUAUAAAGACAUAUAAUUUUCCGGUGUUUUUUCUUUUUCUCUAAAUCACAAACAGCAGAAAAAUCUAUAAAAAAAAAAAAAAAAGUCUCACAAUGCUACACUCAUAUGAUUACCAACUUAUUUGAGCAACUUUGCAGUCCAUAACCGAGGUCAUAUGUCAUUACACUCCAUGAAAUUAUUUCAAGUAAAUAUACUGGAGAGGAAUUCAACUUGCACUGCCAUUUGAAGGCAGAAGAAAACACUUACUUACUACUAUUGAAAUUCUCCGUCCAGCGUACCGCAGUUACGGUAAGAACCAACUGGCUCCCAUAUAAAUUGGGUCAGACAGUGUAUGAUGUUUUGGUUUUAGAGGGACCGAAUUUUUUAAAUUUCUAAUCGAUUGGGAUUGGGGGUGUUGGGACCGAAUCCCACUAGUACGGGAAGGUGAGGGGGUGUCAGGCAGUCAGGUGAGGGCCUGAGCGUGCAGGUGCCGUGUGAGGCUGGUGCGAGGAACCUUCCUGGAACCUUGGCAGUGAACAUACAACAAUUUGAAAAGGCAAUUAGGUGAGUAGCACUAAAGGCCACCAUGAAAGAAAAGCACGCACAGGUUAGAAAAGAAUCCCGACACUGUGUGUCUUUAAUUUGUCAGAGAUACCCUUGUGCUACUAGGCUGGUAUCAAAUGGCCACCACCUUUAGUCCUUUAGUGUGGGGUGGGAGAUCAAGGGUUCAACCCUUGCUCCCAUCAAAAAGUUGUCAUUUAAUGUGUCUUUACUUAAGAUGCAUGUGGGUAUGUUGUGCAUCAGUAUGAUCCGAUGGUGAUUUAGUCUCCAUCGAUUCUCCGUGACCCUGUUGGAUCCCUCCUCUAGUAUAGGCUAAUCUUCUAGUAUAGGCUAGAUUAGGACUAGGAGUAGGUGUAGACGUAGACGAUGACAAGUGAAAAAAAAAAAAAAAUUAGUAGGUUGGUAUCCUUUAUUCACACCAAGAAGCGAAAAAAAAAAAAUUGUUAUGAUAUGACUAUGCGUUUGAAAAAUAAAAAAUUUACACAUGAUAUGAGGAUAAGUUUAUACGUAAGCAAAUUUCAGUUGUUCAAAAUGCUUAUAUAUAUAUAUAUCGAUCCAAACCCUGCAAAUUGCAAAAGCUUAUUCCUGCAAAUUACAAUAAUGCCAACACACAGCAAAACAUAUUCCUGCAAAGCACACAAAGCAAAAGUUUAUUCCUGCAAACGCGUUUUCAACACACAACCAAAACAACCGGGGAAUGGGGAUAAUUAUGGAACUUUAAAAAAAAAAAAAAAAAAUUAAAGAGUCAACCAACGCUGGGCAAUUAGCUAUUUAAAAAUAGUUUUGGGGGCUUUCGCAGAAGUUCUCUGAUUGCCUCCUUUUUUAAAUUUAAAAGUGAAAAAAAAAGGGCCGUUAUCUCUACUUCAUAGUAACCGUCAAAGCAAAACUGCAGAAACAUUAAACAAACAACCCGAAAACAGGAGUGACAAGACUGGCGGAAAAUUCCUACGACCCCUUUGAUGUUGGAAGGAUUCCCAAGUCCCUUGCCUCAGUCAAGAACCAAAAACUUUUUACCAGGAAUUCUCCCCAGUCGCCCCUCUUUUUUACCAGGAAUUUUCGUCUUUCCUUUGGAAUUAGGUACUGCCAAGAGUCUUUCAACUAGUGUGCUUCCUUGCUUCGUCUUAAAGCCAUGUACUUUUUGUCCCAUUUAGCUACAUUUCCUCAUUCUCACUUAACUGCAUGUCUGGCUCAUUUUUAGAUUAUGACUGGGUUUUGCCAAUGACUACCAGAACUUCAAGCUUUCUUCAUGUGGGUGUUUGGAAAAUUUAAUCUUUUCUGCAUAUCAUAUCGGUAAGAUCACACGUUAAAGUCAUGCACUUUAAAAGUGCUGCUCUUUUUUUUUUUUCUUGUUUUCCCUUGGGUGUUGUUUUGGAGAGGAUUUCCGGUUACAGAGUUUGUUGGGCUUGUCAUAAAUAGUUAUUGAGAUUCAUAUUUUAGAUGGAGACAAACAAAUUUAUUAGGUCCAGUUGUAGAUUCAUACUAGUAUUUUAGAUGGAGACGCAUUUAAUUUAUUAGUUCCAGUUGUUUGGCUUGAGCAUUCAUACUCAUUCUUGCAUCUUGAGUGUGUACUUGUUUGGGCCAGUGAUACUACUAUUUUGCGUAUUUAUUUGCCUGGCCCACGUUAGGUGUUAGCUAUCUAAAGCGGAUCGAGCAGAAUUUAAAUGCAACUCUAAGUUUUAUUAGAUUCAGAAUUGGAUUUUCGUCUUUUCUUUUGCUGAAUACGUGCUUUACUCAGAACUUUUGCAGCGGGAUUGACAUGAAUUUGGUCUAAAUUGUCUCGGGUACGACCAGUGAAAUUAGAUGGAUCCAUCAGCAGACGAGAAACCGUUUCAUGCAUGGUCGUGGCCUGUUGAACAAUGUCUGAAAGAGUAUUCAGUGAAAAUAGACAAGGGAUUGAGCACCUAUGAGGUGGAGAAGCGGCUAGAGAAGUACGGUUGGAAUGAGCUCCAGAAGGAGAGGGGGAAGCCCCUAUGGUGGUGUGUUCUGGAGCAGUUUGAUGAUACGCUUGUCAAGAUUCUACUGAUUGCGGCCUUCAUUUCAUUUAUUCUGGCUUAUCUGCAUGGAAGUGAGGCUGGAGAUUCUGGCUUGGAGGUCUAUGUAGAGCCAAUUGUGAUUAUCUUGAUCUUAGUUCUUAAUGCCAUUGUAGGGGUGUGGCAAGAGAACAAUGCUGAAAGGGCUCUUGAUGCCCUCAAGGAGAUGCAAUGCGACUCGUGCAAAGUGCGCAGAGAUGGACACCUAGUGCCAGGUUUGCCGGCUAAAGAACUUGUGCCAGGGGAUAUCGUAGAACUGCGAGUCGGUGAUAAAGUGCCUGCUGACAUGAGAGUUGCAGCUUUGAAAACCUCAACAGUAAGAGUUGAGCAGAGCUCCUUGACAGGGGAGGCAAUGCCUGUCCUGAAAGGCACUGAUCCUAUAUUCUUAGAUGAUUGUGAGCUGCAGGCCAAAGAGAACAUGGUAUUUGCUGGAACAACAGUGGUGAAUGGUAGCUGCAUCUGUCUUGUGGUUAACACUGGGAUGCACACAGAAAUCGGGAAGAUACAGAAACAAAUUCAUGAGGCCUCACUGGAAGAGAGUGACACUCCUCUGAAGAAGAAGCUCGACGAAUUUGGGAACAGGCUUACAACUGCAAUUGGCAUUGUAUGCCUCAUCGUGUGGGCUGUCAAUUAUAAAUAUUUUCUCACAUGGGAGAUUAAGCAUGGAUGGCCUACUAAUUUCCGGUUUUCUUUUGAGAAGUGCACCUACUAUUUCAAAAUAGCUGUUGUCCUUGCAGUCGCAGCUAUCCCAGAAGGUCUCCCAGCAGUAAUAACUACUUGUCUUGCUCUUGGUACAAGAAAAAUGGCACAAAAGAAUGCAAUAGUGCGGAAGCUUCCAAGCGUGGAGACUUUAGGAUGCACUACUGUGAUUUGUUCAGAUAAAACUGGCACAUUGACUACUAACCAGAUGUCUGUGACAGAAUUCUUCACACUUGGAGGAAAAACUACAAUUUCUCGAAUAUUUAGUGUUGAAGGCACAACCUAUGAUCCUAAAGAUGGUGGAAUAGUUGACUGGAACUGCUAUAAUAUGGACGCGAACUUGCAGGCCUUGGCAGAAGUCUGUGCACUGUGCAAUGAUGCAGGAAUAUACUCAGAUGGCCAGCUAUACAGAAUGACAGGGCUGCCAACUGAGGCAGCUCUUAAAGUCUUGGUUGAAAAGAUGGGAGUCCCAGACAGUAAGGCAAGGAACAAAAUCCGCGAUGCUCAGCUUGCAGCAAAUUAUUUGAUUGAUCACAACACAGUAAAGCUAGGUAAUCAAAUUCUUAUUUACCACUGAGUAUUUUAGUGUGAUGUGCAGCUGUGAAUAUAACAUAUCUGUUAAUCUCAGGUUGCUGUGAAUGGUGGACAAGAAGAUCAAAGAGAGUUGCAACUCUGGAGUUCGAUCGUGUACGCAAGUCAAUGAGUGUUAUUGUGCGGGAGCCAUGUGGGCGUAAUCGGCUUCUUGUCAAGGUAACAUCGUGUCUGCUGGAGUUGGUUCUUCAUAAUAACAACUUCAAAAAUUGUUAGUUGGUUACAAACUUUUUUGCUAGUUAGGCAUCUGCUGGAGUUUUGAUACUCAUUUACAGCACUUUUUCUAAGCCAUCUGUUGGCAAUUUGCAUUGUGCCAUCAAUCAUUUUAUCUUUACAUUCUACAUCGUUGAACUACUUAGCAUAAGAAAGCACUGAAUAUUGUGCAUAAUUGGUUAAGUCAAUUGACAAAACCUUUCAUAUGGUUGAGUACACUAAAUGUGAAAUUUUAAGUUGCAGCCAUCAGUUCUCUAUGUGAGAAACAGUUUUAAGCAUUAGUUAAUAGUUUAACAAGCAAGAAGAAAAAUCAAUUUCAGCUAUUGGUGUCAUUUCCUGUGAGAAGCAACCAAAGAAUAAACAAAAACUGCAAUCUGAUUUUCAAUAUAUGACCCAGCCAGGUUCACUAUAAUGGUAAUGCAAUUCAUUCAGCAUUUAGAACAUAUCUCCUAGGCUAUUUCGUUAUUUUCCCCUUCAUGUCUUCUGUAUGGUAUCAUAAUAGUCUCGUGCUUCUACAAUUAACUACAUUCUUUACAUAGGGUGCUGUUGAGAGUCUGUUAGAACGCAGCUUGUACAUCCAGCUGGCAGAUGGAUCAAUUGUUCCAAUUGAUGAGCCUUGUCGGCAACUGCUGCUCUCGAGACACUCAGAGAUGAGUUCAAAGGGAUUGCGGUGCUUGGGUAUGGCAUACAAGGAUGACUUAGGAGAGCUUUCAGACUAUUAUGCUGAGGGUCAUCCUGCAUAUAAGAAAUUACUCGAUCCUUCCUGCUUCUCCUUGAUAGAAAGUAAUCUAGUUUUUGUUGGGGUUGUUGGUUUAAGGGUAAGACUCUUGUUUGUAGAUUCAAUAUUCUUUGGGCAAUUUCAGCUUAAGGAAAACCCAGAUUUUAUGCCAGUACCUCUAAAUAGAAGUAUAUCUUCAGGACCCUCCUCGUGAGGAGGUUCACCAAGCAAUUGAAGAUUGUCGAGGAGCUGGAAUCAAGGUGAUGGUAAUAACUGGAGAUAACAAGUCCACUGCUGAGGCAAUCUGUCGCGAGAUUCACUUGUUUAGUGAGGAUGAUGACCUUGCAGGGAGGAGUUUUAGUGGGAAAGAAUUUAUGGAACUCUCAUCUGUGGAACAAAUGAAGAUAUUAAAUGAACCUGGAGGAAAGGUUUUUUCUAGAGCAGAACCUAGACACAAGCAAGAAAUAGUGCGGAUGCUAAAAGAGAUUGGUGAGAUUGUUGCAAUGACUGGAGAUGGUGUUAAUGAUGCUCCUGCGCUGAAACUUGCAGAUAUUGGAAUAGCAAUGGGCGUUACUGGAACAGAGGUAAGUGAUUAUACAUCUACUUGUAAUUGCUCUUUCCCACUAUAGAGUUCUAUUGUAUUCAUCAAUCCAUAUCCUAAAAAUUUAAUUAUCUAGUCAAAGGCAAAUUAGCAUUGCUUGUUUUUAUGCAUUUAAUGAUUUUGAAAAUAUUGUGAACUGUUAAGAACAAUAAAGAUCAGAGAAAAGACUAAACAAUAAAGAUCAGAGAAAAGACUAACAACAGAAUAAUAAGAAUUAGGACAAUAAAGAGUAUAAUAAAAAUAAGAAAAUGAGAGAAUAGGUCAAUAAGGUGUUGUAUUGAGAACGAGGUCAUUUUUUUACAGUGGGAAAGAUAAUUUUUUCUUUCCCUUCCCUCUCUACGUACUCUGAUUUUUAAGUAACUGUGUGGUUAGUCACCAAUGGAAUAACUGUUGACAGCUUCUAACUAACUUUCCGUCUGCAGACUUUGCCCACUUGUUGCAUUAAUGCACUUGUCAAGUUAAUUAUUUUCAUGCUAAGCAUGUAUUAUUCCAAAGUUCUCAGGUUCACCUGUUUUUACUUUUGGUUGAAUGAUAAAAGAGAAUGCUUAAGACAUUUCUGAGUUACUGCAAGUCGAAGUAGUGUAACUAGCCCUUUUUCUUGUUCUGCCUAAAUCAUUGAUCUUUUAGGUUGCAAAAGAAGCAUCGGACAUGGUUCUUGCGGAUGAUAAUUUCAGUACCAUAGUAUCAGCCAUUGCAGAGGGUCGCUCAAUUUACAACAAUAUGAAAGCUUUCAUCAGGUUAUUCACAUUUUAACAUCAGCUCUUUAAAUAUAUUGAAUGUUGAAUUUUAACGAGUUCUCACUGCAGAUACAUGAUAUCAUCUAAUUUUGGGGAGGUGAUAGCCAUAUUCUUGACUGCUGCUCUUGGCAUACCAGAAUGUAUGAUACCUGUACAGUUGCUGUGGGUAAAUUUGGUUACUGACGGUCCACCUGCCACAGCACUUGGAUUUAACCCAGCUGAUGUUGACAUAAUGCAGAAACCACCGCGGAGGAGCAAUGAUGCUCUAAUAAGCUCUUGGGUGUUGUUCCGCUACAUGGUUAGUAUUCGCCAUUAUCCUCUUUAACAUUUUUUCCCUCUCGAUGCAGUAUAUUUUCCCUUCAAGCAGACAGGAAAGAGAUAAAGAGUGUUAUGCUGCUAAACUGGGUUGCCACUGUUUAAAAGGAAGUGGUUGAAUUGUCCUCUGUGCAACUCUUAUCCUCUUUUGCAUAAUCUAAUUUUACAUUGUUCUGUGGUGUCUGAUGUAUGACAAGAAACUGUCUGCAAAAUUAUCUGCAUGCAAGGAAAGAAACAUUAUUGAAAGUUACCUGCAUUUCGUUAAUCACCUCUCACUGGCAGGUAAUUGGGUCUUACGUUGGAUUAGCUACUGUCGGCAUUUUCAUUUUGUGGUACACUCGUGCUUCCUUUUUGGGCAUCAACCUCGUAAGUGAUGGGCACACGCUUGUUGAACUAUCUCAGCUUCGCAACUGGGGAGAGUGCCCCGGAUGGUCAAAUUUUGUUGCUGCUCCAUUUACAGUUGCUGGAGGUCGUGUUAUAACUUUUUCAAACCCUUGUGACUAUUUCUCUGUCGGUAAAGUGAAGGCCAUGACUUUGUCCCUAUCUGUGUUGGUGGCAAUUGAGAUGUUUAAUUCUCUGAACGCUCUCUCCGAAGAUACUAGUUUGAUCAAAAUGCCUCCAUGGAGAAACUGUUGGCUGCUGCUUGCAAUGUCAGUCUCAUUUGGUCUACACUGCCUGAUACUCUAUAUUCCUUUGUUGGCAGACGUUUUUGGAAUAGUUCCCCUGACUUUGAACGAAUGGCUUCUUGUUCUCUUGGUAUCAGCUCCUGUGAUCCUUAUUGAUGAACUCCUCAAAUUUGUGGGAAGGAGAAAAACGCAGAGAAGAAAGGUCAAGGCUGCAUGACAGUCUAGGUUAGAAGUAUUGAAUGCCUUUUUUUUUUUUUUUUUUGGGGCAAGGGACCUGUAUACAAUCAUGUUUACAAGUGAAGAAAUAUUUCUUUGACUAUUUUCAGAUAACGCCCUUCAAUUUUAGAAUGAAAAAUAUCAGUGGUUAUAGAAUCAGUACGGCAAGAAAUAUCAGUAGUUUACACUAAACCAAUCAGCAACAAAUUUCAUCCCCUCCCUAUGCGCAAUAAUGCGUUGUGGCAUUUCCUCUUAACUUUGUACCUAACAUGGUUUCACAAUUUCUCAACAUGGUAAACAUAUCAAAUAACGUCUGUCAUAGUGUCACGUCUGUUUCUUCAGUAAUAGAAUCAAUAUCAGUUGUAUACCCAAGAAGCUUAAUUUUUACAUGGACAUCAUCCAACAAUGCAUAUAUCUGACCACAAUUUGGAUGAGAUCUAUCGUCAACAAUGAACCUAUGGAGCUGGCCUCCUUCCUCCAUGAAGCUAUAUCCUGCUGCUUUCGUUACUUGGGAGCUCUUCAUUAGCUUCCUCAACUUAGCAACUCCAUCCCAUCUGCCUGCUGAUGCAUAAAUAUUAGAAAGAAUCACAUAGUUUCCUGGAUUACAAGGUUCUAACUCGAAGAGAGACUCUGCUGCUUUCUCACCCAGCUCCACAUUGCCAUAAAAGCUGCAUGCCCCCAGCAUUGUCCCCCAAAUAACAGAGUCUGGCCUCAUGGGCAUGCUCCGUAUAAGAUGAUAAGCCUCUUGCAAUUCUCCUGCACGACCUAAAAGAUCAACCAUACAUCCAUAAUGUUCCAGUCUAGGAGUGACAGAAAAUUUUUGCUCCAUUGACUCGAAGAGUUCUCGUCCUUUAGCAACCAUGCCGCCAUGUGUGCACGCCAAGAUUGCCCCAACAAAUGUGACGUCAUCGGGUGAAAUGCCUUCCCCCUGCAUCAGCAAUUACAAUUAGGGCAGGAAAGAUGUGAAUAUCCGCCUGAAAGAUUCGGAAGUAGCAGUUGGUCCUAUAACCGAGUAUGUCUCUGUAAUUGAUUUUGGGGCACAAGAAAUAUUUCUUGUGCAUUUGAUAAAAUGAUCGGCCUUGAACUCAGUUAAAAAGCUAUAUUCGUCACUGGUUACAAGCAAAAUGCUAUCAUUAAAAACCAGGAAAUGUGGUGAUGACGAGGUAUAAGAUUCAGAGAAAGCUUCUUACUUACCAACAUUUGGUUGAAAAGGUCCAGAGCCUCGCAGCAUUUACCAUGGAUAGCUAGACCCAUAAUCAUAGUAUUCCAAGAGCACAAAUCUCUUCUUCUCCCAAUCUCAUGAAAUAAUCUCAUCGCUGAAUCUAUUCUACCACACCUCGCAUACAUUUCCAAUAUGGCAUUGCACACAAACAUGUUGUUUAAGUAUCCGUUAGACUUGGCAUAGGCCUCAAUCCUCUGCCCCACUUCCAAUGCUCCAAGAUUUGCACAAGCUGGAAGAACACUAGCUAUGGUCACUUGGUUGGGCUUCACUCCUUUCUCUUUCUCCAUUUCCAGAUACAACGCCAAUGCAUCGGCGUACUCGCCGUUCUGAGAGUAGCCCGAUAUCAUUGCCGUCCAAGAAAUCACAUUCCUGGAAGGCAUAUUAGAAAAAAAGCGAGAAGCUUCCCUCAUAUCCCCACUCUUUGCGUAACCAGCGAUCAAGGCGUUCCAAGUGGGCACAUCUCUUGUGGGCAUCCCAUCAAACUGUUUUCGCGCUAAAUUGAGCAGGCCCAGUUUAGCAUACAUGUCCACCAAUGCGGUUGAGGCGUAAAUAUCCGAUUCGAAACCCCAUUUGACAAAAUGGGCGUGAAGCGCUUGGGGCUGGAAUGGAUUAGAGAGACUGGUACAGGCGUUAAAGAGGAAAUUGAAGGAGUGGGCGUUGGGUAUGAAGCCUCUGAGUAGCAUGGCGACGUAGACAGACAAGCAUUGGCGAGGAGUGCCAUGAGAGGAGUAGGCUUGAAUGAGCUUGUUAUAAUGAAACACGGUUGGGUUGGGAAUAGUAUCGAGCAGUUUGUGUGCGUACGAAAAAUCGAGAGUUUCUGCGAGUUUGGUUACAAGAAAAGCGGUGAAGUCUGUGCCGUUUCGGAGAGUGUUGGCGUGUAUUUCUCUCAAUCUCAACUGGUUCAUAAGAAAGUCGGGACAAAAUGCAGUAUUGACAAAGAAUCGAGGUUAUAAAGUUUACAAGUAUCUGCUGGCUUUUGGAGCGCUGGGCUUUACAGCUUCUACUUGUAAGUUAUUUUCUUUUUGCUGCUAUUCUGUUCGAUAAAAGGAGCGCCCUUUUUGCCUUUUUCUUCUUCUUCUUCUUCUUCUUUUUUUCCUCCCUAAACGUAAGCAAUCUCUGAAACCAGCCCAAGAGGGCACCGGAUAGAAAAAAUGGGAAAGAGUUUUGUAUGCAGGCCAGGCGUUAUUCCUUUAUGAUCAAAGCACAGGUACUUCAACUGCUAUUUGUUUUUUUGUCUUUGGGCAUGUCUCCACUAGUAUAAAACGUAUCCUUUUUAUCAGGUUCUGCGAAAAUCUACAAGAAGGAAGUGUAUUCUUUAAACUACUAACCGGUUACCUAUACACCACACAACAGAAUCACGUACGCACUUGAUCAAUUGUAAAAGAAUGUUGGCAAGAUUUUCCAAAAUCCCCAGCUUGACAAAUGACUACUAGUAUCUCCUUCAAGGCCUCCAGGAAUUUGGGAACUUUCUCCAUUUACAAUUCAAGCACAGAACAAGCAGAGGUAGCUGUUAAACUAGACCCAACUCAUAUCUUGUGAUGCCAUGAAAGAGAUAUUCAGGUCAGCGGUUAUAUAUAGCCGGCAUACAUCCACGACUGAAAAGCCGCCUUAGCUUACACUAAAAAUCAAACAUAAGAUGCCCGUCAACUCUCUGUGCCUGAUUAAAUGGCGGUAACCAACGUAACAAACCAUGGCUGCUCUCGCUUAUUGCUAAUUGGAAAAAAGGCCAUCUUUAUCUAGAGAUGACGAGUGGUGGCCCGACCUGCUACCAACUUCAGAAACCUCUGCCUGAUUAUGGAGCAAUUUGCUAGGGAUGAUUGAUUUCCUAAACCCUUUGUACUCAUCAGGAUAAGUAGGUUAUGCUCCUGCUAGAAAUAAGAGGGCUGUUCGUGUAGCACAUUCAGUUGAGCUAGUAUCCUGCCUGCCAAAGGCUUUAUUUGGGUACUCCCCCUUUGGGUCAAAUCAACUAAAGGCAUCUGAGCCGAGGGCCCAUGCUUCUGUUUGAUCUCCGGCACUUGAAAAAUCUUUUCCAAAGAAGUGAGAAUUUUUUCUUGCAAUCUGGGAGAAGAACUCCCCAGUAAUUUUAUCAUAGAGGGUAUGGCUCUCUCUUCAUCCAGCACCUUACUACCACCAUGUAGCCCAUCACCUUCAACCAACGUAAGUAGAGCAUCCAAGGAAGCUUCACAUGCUCCAGGAUCUGGCUCCCCAAGAACCUUCACCAAAAGGCCCACCGCACCAGCCUCCAAAAGGCAAAAUGAGGUUCUUACAGCACAUAUUCCCCGAUGAACAGGGCAGCCUGCCUCUGGCAAAGCUGGGAAGCACCAACACAUGCGAUGCUUUGGGAUUGGCCGACAUAGAUCACUAGAGCUCUCAGAAAGUUGUGAAAGAGAAAUGGCAGCUCGUCUUUUUGUCAAGCUGGUUCCUGACUCCAGCAACUGUACCAACAGCGGAAUGACAUCAGCUUCAGCUGCUUUCUGCUGUGACGUCCUAUUUGCUGGAACAGUGAAAUGACACAAGGCUCCCACAGCAUUCUCUAUUAAUUGAUCCUUGCAGGGACCAUUUGGCUUUUUGCUACGAAGGAAUCUUAACAUUAUACGAAGACCAUCUCCCUCCAACAGCCAAUUAGACACCGGGGUAGACAUGGGAAGGUUAGCUAUAAUACCCAAUGCAGAAGCAACUUCUUCUUCAUUCUCAGAAUCCUCAAUGAUUCUAAGCAAGGUUUGAACUGUCUUCUGCCCCACGUGCUCAGUAAUUGUAGCUUCAUUACAUUUUUCGAUCAGGCAACAUAAUAGCUUAACCGCAUUCACCCGCACUUCAUGAUUAUCACACAAUUGAACAAGUAUUUGCACAGCACAGCACUGAAAAUUAUUAAGAGAAAUAUUAGCAUAUAUAGGAUUGGAAGUCUAUCACAAGUCCAAAUCUCCAUUGACUGUAUAGAAAUAAAAAUAUUGAAACUCCAGUCCACACCAGUUGAUCAAGAAGUAACAAGACUCUUCUUCCCAGGUAUCAUCACAUGCAAACUUAUUAAAACUAACUUCUGCAAGAGAAGGACGAGGAGAAGUGGGAUGACAAGUGUUAACUCUGGUUGGAUAAUGAAUUAAUCCUUCUAGAAACUUAACGAGGUUCUAGGAUUUCAAAGGCUCAAACCCACCAUCCAUAAAAUGAUGUUUGUAGCUGUUACUGUAAUGAAAUACAUUAAAUCUUCUGCACUUAAAAGUAGACGCAGAAAUUACCCAAUGUUGUUACUAAUAGCUAAUAGUAACUGUGAGUAAUAGUGCAUGACAACAAACAUAGCAUGAAGCCAAUGGGAUCACAGAAACAGAAUGCAGAGUCAUCCAAUAUCAAGUAUCCAGAAGUUUGGAGUGCCAAAAAUUUUUGCUUCUCAAGAGGGCAAUCGAAAGAAUAUACAGGAAAGAUUUUUUUAUGCAGGUUAUUCCUUGAUCAUCAAAGCAAAAAAUAAAAACCUUGUGCAUGGGUUCACUCAUCAAAAGUCAGACUUCGGAGGUUAUGUGUGUCAGUUUCUUUAAAAGAUCAUUGCCAAGUAUUUAGAAACUAUAAAUCAGCGAAAUCACAUUUUACACAUGAGCUUACAGAGAAAUUUCAUGAGGGAAGAUUUUUCAAAGUAAAGAAUGUUAUAGUGUAUGUUUGCUCGUGUCUUUUAUAUGAAGCAAUUCCUACGUAUUCUUAUGUCUUUAAUUGAAGUAUCUUUACUGGAAGAUGUCGAUAAAAGACACCUAAACGUACAACUUUUGAUCAGUAGACAUACCAUUUCAAAACCGCAAAGAAAGAACAGAAUUUCUCAUAAAAAAGCACUUGGUGGUGGUGCAAAUUAAAUCCAUAGAUAUAUCAAUUCACCAAAAGACAUGUCUAUAUGAAUACCUGAAAAGAGAACCUGUGUCUCAUCACGAAAAGACAUGAUACACCAUAACUAAAUGUAUCAAGUUAGUAGUACGACAUAUGCAUAAACAUUUUGAUAUCAUUCUCAUCCUCCAAUGUAACUCCCAUAAAUCUGCCAAGCACUCUAGUGUUUAGGGAAUUCAUUUCCUUGGAAGGAAUAGAUCAAUUUUAUACUAUACUGUGUCCUAAAACUCAAGCUAAGCCCUCUAAACCACACCAAAUCUGGUGAGUGCAAAUUAUACAAUCAGAAACACAACAGUUAAACAUGCCCAAGCUAUGUCUUUUGCUACUUACUGUAAUGCAUCUAACACUAUCUGCAGUUGUUCUCCAAAAUCUUAUUUAAGAACGCGUCAAGCAAAUUGUAAAUAUUUCAUUCAUUAAUCAGUCUACAAAUGCUCAUUUCUCAUGUAACUGAUGAUAUACUAUUCUGGGGAAAUAAAUGCCAGUUUUUAUCAAGACUAGUGAGUGUUGUCCAAGUAUAGAGCUUUGAAAACUAUCCACUUUAACAAGCAAGUUUAAAAACUAUUCACUAAACAUAGAUUCUGACUUACGAUGUUGUCAUUAAAGUCUUUUAGUAGUCUGAGAAUGCAGUGAAAGUAUUUUGAGAGCAAACUUGCUUUUUCCUUUACAAGAAAGUGCAUUUUCACGUAGAUAAUCCACACAAAAAAAAAAAAAGAAUGAGAUAUUCUUUCACUCAAACUAAAUACCUCGUUCAGCAGUUCCUGGACUGUAGUUGCCGAUGGAGACUGGCAAAUGGUGUAAAAGGCCUGGAGAAGUCUCUGUUGUACAGCAGGCCAUGUCAAGUUAAUCAAGGAAAACAAUUGGCGGGUAUCCUUGGAUUCCAAUAAGGAAAGCUCCAUUUCUGAAGAAUCUUGACGUAUAGUUGAUAGAGCAAGAUGCACGAUAGUUUCAGCUACAAGUUCACACAAGUUUUGUUGGGAUGUGUGACAAUAAAGAAUAUCAAGCAGUGGACGUACUGCACCUUGUCUUAUCAUCUCCUGGCCAUUCUUUGUUAAGCUCGAGAGGUUCAAAAUGGCUUUAACGGCUACCAUUUUCAUUUCAAGAUUACCAUGCGAAACCAAGUUAAGUAGCGAAUCCAGAACACCUUCCUCAAACAGAGAUGAUUUGUUAUGAUCAGUAAACUCCAUCUCUCCAAGAGUUUUUGCCAUUCUCAUCUUGACAUCAUCUGAUCCUGUAGAGGGGGGUCAGGGUGGGGAGGAUGUUUGAGUUUGCGAUCUCAAGUCAGUGAUAAUUGCUAUAACUACAAUAUAUGAGACUUCUCUUAGUACCUACACUAUUGGAGAUAAUGACCACAUAACCCCCAAAGAAAGGGCUUCAUGCGUUACAAAGAAGACAGGCAAAGAUCACAUGCUAAUAUUUCUGCAUGACCUCCUUAUUAUGUGCCAAAAUUGUUGGUUCCACAUCCAUAGACAUUAUUAACUUACAGUUCUACAUGUACCAAUUGUCAACAUUUAAGCUACACGAACAACUUUAAUUCAAGAACCAGAACCUACCUAGGGUAAUGUUAACAUAAACAAGGACUCACUAAACAGCUCAAAAGGCCCAAGAGUAACAGCUGACUGUUUAUCCAUCUUAAGCAAAUUAACUGGACUUUAGAACUAGACAUAGAGCUAAGGUUGUGAACACAGGGGUACUAUUCCCUCUUAGUGUACUGUAUUUCUUCUCAAUUUUGAAGUAUGCAUGAAGUAAUAAAAUAAAUAUUCUUCAUUGUGUCUUCUUCCUAGCGUCAAUCCAUUUUAUCGCGGGAUGAAUUAAAUUGAUUAUUUUUGCUGGUAUUUUUAUUUUAAAGAUCUAAUCCUGCUCUUCUGGUAUUUUUGCACAUAUCUUGCAAAUUGUGAUUUUGAAAUUACCAAAUAUUGUCUGCCUGCUGCUGAGAGAAUGGCAAAUCUGGCAGAUUAACUCUUUAAACUCUCAGGUGAAGACGACCUUUGCAUUGGACAGAAGGAUACAAUUUUCUAUAUUUCCUAGUUAAUAAUCUGCUGUAAAUGAGGUUGAUCAUAAACACAAGGCUACCGCAGUAAAGGUUCAGGAUUCAUGACAAUAGUAUUUAGAAGCUGAAGCUACUCUUGCUUUUAGUUAUCUGGACUAUAUUCACUUGUCAAAAAGUUGCUAAUUGUGCAAAAGCAACGUCACGGUGACUGCAAAUAAUAGCAGAACAAAUAUCUAGCAGUCCUAUAGCUGUAGAAAAUUUCAAACAUAAAAUGACUGAUCUUAUGUGAAAGAAGAACCUGAAGAGAGACGUUGCAGCAGAUACUUGAAAUAAUUAGCCUUGACCAUUUGUAUAACAUUGUCAUCAGAGAAUGACAGAUUUUUUAACACAUCCCUUGCAUCUCUGGAAGCUUGAUUGUCAUCACUUCUUGUCAGAUUCACCAAAUAAAAUAUGCAGCCCUGCACCUCUCCAAUGCAGUCACGUAUUGACUCACUCUUUGCCAGUUCUAGUAGUAAUCCCACGGCCAACUUCCCUACCCCAAUACGACGUCCAAGGGAGCGAACAAUAGAUUCCAUUGCAUUGUCAACUUUAACUAUACUUUCCUGCAUAACAUUCCAUUGGAAUCCAUGUAUAACGUUCUGUACAAUAUAUUCAACCUAGAGCUCGUUGAUUGGGCGUUUUUGAAACAGAAACACAUUAUUCCAGCCAGUAAAAUACAGACAUCACUGAUGCAAAGUCAUGAUAUUGACUACGGAGUGCAAGGCUGUAUCUCACAAUAAGUUUGAUAAAUUUAAGUGCACAUCCUAACCACUAUUAGUUUAAUAACAAAUUCAUUUCAAUACAGAGUUGCACAGGAGUUUCCUAAUAGCAAGUAUGGGCUGUCCAGGUCAAAUUCUUAGGAGCUAAAACAGCUAUACAAUAUUAUAAAGAAGUCAAGUGAUACAAUAGUACACCUAUGCUCUACUGGAAGAGACAAAUGAAUGUUCUAUUUUCUAGGUAAGGAUCCUAAAACAUCAUCAGAUAUUCAGAUUCAUGAGAAAGAGAGUAAAAAGUACCUUACAUUCAUCACUAUCCUUUGCCAGGAUAUGAAGGACGAGAAGAGAACGACUUAUGAUCUCUCGACUUUUUGCACUGAGAAGGUUAACAAGCAUUGGUAUAUGGUCCUCCAGUACAACCCAUUCCCGAUGUAUUUCUCUUUUUUCACAGAGUUCCUUUAGCUCUUGCAGGCAAUCAAGCACCUCACCUUCCUCUUCUGAUGACAGUCUUGAUUUCAUAGAGGCUAUAGUGAUCAUGGUAUUUCUAUCUCUCCAUUCCUCAAUGGACUGUCUCAAAGUUUUGUUAGGCCGCAACAUUGAGGUGUCUAAAGGAGUUGAGGUUAGGGGACAGAAAUUUUUUUCAGCCAACCACUUCUCUAUUGCACUCCUCUCAAAUGUAUGUCCAGAAGGAGUCUCUACCGGAUCUUUCAUUACUUCUUUUGUAAUUGGGCAACAAAAUGCCUCGAGAGGUUCAAAUGGAUGACUAGCUAAGGAUUUCCUUAUUGUGAAGUACUUCUUUUCUUUGUCCUCACGAGUACUUGCAGCAUCUGCCCUUUCUAAUAGAGCAAUUAUUUGUUCCAUCUGCAUGGCUUCAGCAUGAUCUUUCCUCAACCUUUCAUUUUCUAUCUCCUUUUUAAAUUCCUCAAAUUCCUUCUUCAAUACAGCUUGUUCUGUUGAAAUUCCAAUGGCCUCUGCUAUGGAAACCAAUAAAUUAUUGGCAUAUGAGCGGUCCACAUUCCUUUCCUGUAUACCCAACUCAAUUCUCUCCAAAAUCUUUUCUUCAACUACGGCAGCCCUAAACUCUGCAGCAUGCAUACUGUUGACUAGUUGAGUAAUCUCUGCCUCAAUUCCUGAUGAGAUAUCAAGAGAGGCCAAGGGAAUGCAGCACAAUGCUUGGCCUAUCUCCCUAGUAAUAUUUUGCAUCCUCUUAGCUAUCAAACGGCAGUUCAUUAGGAGAUAAAAUUUGUUUUUUUCGCUGCACUCGGUAAUCAGUUCCUGUGCAAGCUUUGUCUCACGGUUAAGAACCUCAAUCAAAAUUUUCAAUGCUUCAGAAUCUCUGGCAUCCUUCUGAUUCAACUCCUUAAGGAGGGGAAUUAGCCGAUCUAAGUAAGAUGAAAGUUGAGCAAAACUCUUGUUCUCAAUGAGAACAUAUCUGGAUGUGUGUACUACCUCGAUGAUGCCCUCUAUGGUCUGAGAUAGGACAUCAGCAAAAGGAGGACUCGAUAUGGCAUCAAGAACCAUCUUUAGAAAGACUAAAGACCCUCAAGAAUCAAAAUUUGGAUUGAACCAAUAAAACUAAAUGGAGUAAUAGUUAUGGCAUUAAGAACCAUCCUUCAACCAACUAAACACCCUUUAGAAUCAAAGUUUCCAGGAAACCAUUAUACUACAUCCAGUUGGUCGAUAGCUGAAUCUAAAAGCUCGAUUCCCAACUCUUUUUGUUAGGAGAACCUAUAUUCCAGUUUUCAGAAACGCCCAUCAGACAAAUAGCAUUUGUUUAUGCAAUAACAUGCAUGUUUACGUUGCAGAUGAGAAAACAGAGGACCAUUUCUAUGUGCAGCCAAAUUCAAAACCUUUUUUGUACAUGUUUCUCUCUCUCUCUCUCUCCCCACGAAAGAGAAUUCAACAACAUCUAAUAAAGAUUACAAAGCUACAACAGGGCAUCAAGAAAGUACAAAAAGAAAGCAAAUUCAGAAAAAUAAGCAUUUACUCAAGAGGCAGAAACAUAAAGGACCAAGCAAAGCAAAACAGAGUAAGCACACGGCAGAAAUAGUCAACAGAAGUAAACGGCUUAACAAGAUAACAUUUGCUAUUAAGGGCUGAAAGAUCAGAUCUUUGAAACUCCUAAACAAGAAUUCCAGGGCUAGUACUCAAAAACUCCAGCAAUUAUCUGCUUGAAACAAGGUUACAAGAAAGUACAUACAUGAAAAAGAAUGCCCGCUGGAGGUUUUUUUUUUUUUUUUAUGGGAUAUGCAUAUAUUUGUUCCUGAAACUAGUAGGAAGCAAGACUUGGUAUAUAAAAGAGUAGAAAGUGGUGCUCCAAUUUCCAACUCUAACAAAGGAGAGAACCUCGUCUUCCUUUUCUUUUAAUUUGCCGGGAGGCAGGACCAGACUUGAGAUUGUAAUGCAAAUACUCCAUUAAAUACACAGAGUUACUCUGAAACUCAGUACUCCGGCCUCCAGGCAGUCUAUUCUAGUACUAGUAAUUGCAAAUACUUCUGCGAGAAAUUUGCCAAUUUGGUCCUUGAACUUUUGCAUUAAAAUUAAUUUCACCCUUAAUGAUUUUUUAUUAUCAGAGUUUGUUUGGAUAGUAGUUUGUUUGGAUGAUUUAUUUGAGAUAAUUACUGUAACAUUUUUUGUGAUGUGAUAUAUAUGAGAUAAAAAGAUGAUUGGGAAGAUAAAAAGGUAAUUAGAAUUUAUGAAAUAAAUUAUUUUAUUUCAAAACAUUUCAAUCCAAUUAUAUCUUCUGUUUCAAUGUAGGCAUUCGUCACCACAUUGUAUCUCCUUUCCAACACCAAUUAAGGGUAUUCUGGCAGAUAAGCGCUUAAAACUGUAAUGUAGAAAAAGGAUAGGAAAAAUGUUUAAAACAUCGAUCACAAUUUAUAAAAUAAUUUUUUCAUUCUUCACCUUUAAAAGUAUACUUUUAUAUCCUCGCAAAUUCACAGUGUACCAACAAAGUUACAGACCUUAAGGACAGAAAUCGGCCACGCUGCUUUUUUUCUACUAUCAAAGCCAAAAAAGCGCAACAAGACUUGGUCCGUUCUUCGUCUUCUGAUAGAAGAAUCAGUCCGCAAAGCUACAUUCGGAGCAGGACGCCUUGAUGGAUUAAACCCAAAAGGACAUCUCUCCCAAAUCCGAAUCCGUAUCCAACACUUCUUAACUUCUCAAUUCCGGCUAGCCCACAGGCCUGAAAUAGAGAUCAAUGGAAGAAGAAGCUUUGUUGCAGGGAUGUCUGAAAAAUUGUUAAUUUUUAUUUUCACCCCAUUUUAAUGAAGCUUUGAUUUUUCUCCCCAACUUAGUUCAUUAUUUUUAUAUUCUUAAUUUUUACGGAGCUAUAUAUAAUACCCCUACUUUUUGUGACGGAAAUAUCGAAAUACGUAGCCCCGCCACAAAAGGAUUUGAUUGGACACUAAAUAAAACUUGAAGGACUGCAAUAGUCAACAAAAUUAUUAUGGACUAAAUUGGUUCUAGUGAAAAAGUUUUAAGAACAAAAAUGACGAAUUAUGAAUUAGUAUUACUUUGUUUCGCUUCUUUCAUAAAGUUUUUUUUUAAAAAAAAUUUGAUCUUAAAACUACUAAAAGAAAGUUUUAGGUCACGAAAGUAAAGUCCUCUUGGUUAGACUGACGGUAUAUUUACCAAUAAAAGGGGUUAAACCAGUGAUACUGGAAAAUGCAGGUGAGGUUUGGGUAGGUUUGAGACUUUGAGAGAGCUGUGAAGGAUAACUUAUCAAUGUAAACACCAGUAAGGCCUGCCACCCUAAAGUAUUCAAGGUAACAAAAUUUGAAAGAUUGUUUAUGAGUUGAGUGUCAUGUGUAAAUAUAUUAUAAAGAGCAUCUUAAUGCAUUUCUUUGGUUAAUAAAGGGAAAAAAAUUUGUUGUAAUAAAAAACAAUGUAUAUUAUGACAAUUCCAGUUGGGUUACACAGGUUUAACUGGUGCUAAAUAUUUUAAGAUAAUUUAAAAUAUCAUUAAAUAUUAAUUUAUUAAUGAGCAAAAGUGAAAGAGAAGAAUGUACAGUGCAUUUGGCAGCAAUAAUAAUCUUUAUCUUUGUAAUAAAUCGCAUUCAAUUUUAAAUAUUUUUUCUGUUUUUGAAAUUAAGUCCCUUUUAUUUUUAUGCAAUAAUAUAAAGUUGAAAUAAUUUAAUACACUUUUCAAACUCUAGAUUUUUGAGAGAUGUAAUUCAAUUGGAGUACCAUUUACAUGAUCAUUUCAAGUUAUAUUUGACGAAUUAACUUAAGUUUUGAUCGAAUUUCAAUGUUCAUCGCCAGAGUUUCCAAUAAUAUAAAAAAUUAAUAAAAUAUUUUUAUUAAUUUUUAUGUAUAACAAUAUUUUAUUAAUAAAAAUUAAUAAAAUAUUGCUAGCCUUAAACUGUAAUAAAAGAUGACUAACAACUCAUAUGCUAGUUAUGAGAGUAAUUAGUCCUUAACUUACUUUUUUUUGAGUCAACCGAAUUUUUACACUUCUGGACUAAACACUAAACAAGAUUCCAGCAGGUGUCAAUAAAUAGGACUAAAUGUGCUUAGAGAUUAAAAUAUUUGAGACUACAUUUACUUUCUUUAAAGCUUUAGGAACCAAAAGCAUUCAUGUUCUAAACAUUUGGGAGCAAAAGUGCAAUUAUCUCCCCUGUUUAAUGCUAUCAAACCACGAAUUUCUUAGUACACAGCCCAGCAAACGCGCCUUGGUUACUGGGCACAUACUUUUCAACUCUUUUAAACACUGCAAAAACAGGAAAAUGGCAAAUACUUGAGUAGACCCGCUAGUAGUCCAAAUUUUGCCGCAUCAUCUCGCCAAUUCAUGAACUGAUAGUAUGAUAAAAUUUGAAUCACAUGAUCUAUAAAACUAGAUCUGUCCAAGUUUUUGCCCAGAAAAAUACCCCUCUCCUCAGUCAUGGCCCCGCACUCACCCUACCAUGGUCAGUUGAUCACGUCCAAAGUCCGAACGAACCGCUAAUAACAGCGUCCAACCGCGUUUUACCAAGGCAGAAAGCCACAACAACGGUCAUACUCGUAUACCCACAAAAUUCUCUGUUCCCUCCGUCCAGCUUCAAUGGUUUUGAUUUUUUUUCCACACAUAAUUUGUAAAAAAUUAAUUAACUUUAUUGAAAAAUAAAUAUAAUCUAAUAUUUUUUUUAAAUAAAAAAAAUAAAUAUUCUGUUCCCCAGCCCUUGGAUUAGACAACAAAGUCUACCACUAUUAAUUAUGUCAUGGAUUACGAAGAAAAUCGUACAAGAACAGAACUUUUCUAUAAGCCUAGUAGUAACACUUUCUUUACUGAGGGAGCAAAGAGGAAGGAUUACUUGUCCGGAUAAUCUGAAGAUACUUGCAAAAUGAUCACAUCCAAGACUUGAGGAUGACACAUCUCGUGAGCUGCGGGGAUGGAGGACAUCCAGCAUAGAACGAUCACAGAAUUUAAAUUUGGGUGAAAUGGACGGCAGUAGUGUGAUCUUCUCACCAAAAUAGUCUUAGCUAGGGCAACAGUGCUAGACCAGUUUUAGGUUCAUUUGGAAAGGGGCUAUGGGAGGAGCCUAUGUACCUGGCACCUCUUACAAGGGUAUGGGACUGAAAGCGUCUACGAGCACCAACCGAGGGCUCAAUUAAUCAUUUUAAUCAGAAACAGAGGGGGUGACAGAAACAAAAAAGCUCAUCUUGUUAGUUGUUACAACCAGAGAUCGAGACAGAGAGAUUGAAGGCAAGAAGGAUAUUAGUAUGUAGUUCUUCAGAAGAAUGGUAACACGGAUUUAGACUAAAGGAAUUGCAGCCUGAGAAUGUGAUAAGGGAGUUCAAAUUCCUACUGAAUCCGAUUUGUUGAAAUUUAUUCACAGACGGCAAAAUGUGUGAAAGGGAAACGAAUCUUGUUAGCUUUCCCUGGUGCUACAAUGCAUGUUUUUCUCGGUUCUUGCCUUGCAGGCGUGCAAAGGUUGCUGGCCGUCUCAGCACAUUUUGUGAAACAGUGACUUUUAAGAAAAUUAUUUCAAGCGGCCAUGACGAAUGUGGAAUGUUUUAAUAAUCAAAGAGACUUGCGAUGAGAUCUGUAACAAAUGCUUAUGAAUCUAAAAAGGCAUAAAUAUCACCAGAUCGUUUUGACUGGCCAUUGCUACUGGAGUAUUUGAUUUUCCCUCCAAGCUCGUUUGUAUGCAGAUGGAGUAGCAUAAAGAUGGACCCCGAGAAAACAAUCCCAGAGGGCUCCCUUUAAGGAAAGAGUAGUAGAAGGGGGUCCAUCUCAGGCUGUCCCAUGUCUGGUCUUGGUGGACGACCAACCUCUCUUUCUUUCUUUCUUCUUUUUUUAAACUUCAAUAAUGAUAAAGAUGAGGUGAACAUGAACAUGUUUGGGGGCACAGCCCCAUCCAUGAAUGAUAACAUCUAGUGUGAGCGAGUACUUUUAUGGUAUGAUCAUUUUUCCCUUGCAUUUCGCCUGGAAUUAAGGUAGGGCUCCCUACCAUACACAAAGUAACAGCGAAUCGACUUUUCAGCCUCGUAGGGCAUGGAUAUGUCCCUAGUCAAGGACUUAAAGGUAGUUGUAGCGUAGUAGUACUUCUUCUCUUUGGCCAUGCAUUGCUUUAUGCUUUCUCCCAACUCCCAACUCCCGACUUUUAAUUAAUUCCCUCCAUAAGAGAAAGAGUAGUAGCCUAGUACUAAUACUACCAUAUGCCACCGGGCACUGAUCAAUAGGAAGUUUUGGGAGUUCUAUUAUUAUUAGAUAGAAGAUACACAGAAACAGCAGCAUCACGACAAUCAUUUAUCUUCUGAUCCUCCUCCUCCCACAUGCUAUUUGUGGGUUGGGCACGUACGUGCAUUUUCCAACUAAUAAUAAUGAUGGAAACUUACCAAACUCACUCUCAAGUCAGUUUGCUCAUUGUCCAUCAUAUAAAAGAGCUUUCUUCACCUUCACUUGUUCUAGCUUGACCCCCUCCUCCUCCUCCAGGAUCGGAGAUCAAUAGUGACCAGGCUCAGUACUUGUCGUCCAAGCUCAGAUAAUUGUAGGUAGCACUUAGCAGUCGCUGCAAAAAAGACCAGCGAGUAGACGGUACUCCGUAUAUAAAUAUAUAUAAUACUCGAUCAGAAGCUAGCUUAAUUUUGUCCAUCAGCCUCUCUCUUGAUUAGGACUUGCCACUGCAGUUGAGUCCUGUGCGGCAGAGGCGAAUUGGGAAAAAUGGAAGAGGUGAAGAAUGGCGCGGAAGGUAGCAGGGGUGGCCAUGAUCAUGUGAAGAAGGACGACAAUGUUGGAGAUCAGAUCAAUGAAAAGGUAGACUAUGUGUUCAAGGUGGUGGUGAUCGGAGACUCUGCGGUGGGCAAGUCUCAGAUACUGUCCAGGUUUACCAAGAAUGAGUUCUGCUUCGAUUCCAAAUCCACCAUUGGAGUCGAGUUCCAGACCAGGACUGUCAACAUCAACUCCAAAGUCGUCAAGGCCCAGAUCUGGGAUACUGCUGGCCAAGAAAGGUACCCCAUCACUACCUACCCUCCACAUGUAAUUAACAGUCCUCUCUCAUCUCUCUGUUUCUAUGAUCAUCACUUCAAGUUUAUGGCUUUAUGCUAUGAUACAGAGCAUAUUUUUUCUCUGUUAGUAUAUUUUUAUUAAGAUUUGGUUACUGAGUAGUAGUAGUUUUCUUCCUUGUGGAUUCAAAAUCAUGGCUGGUGAUGUCCCUGGAAAAUUGUAUAUAGUAUCAUAUGUUGUGGUGAGUAGUAAUAUAGCAAGCUUAUACAUGUGCACAUAUAUGAAUGCGUGAAUCGACUAAAAUAAAUCCAGCCAAAGUUGGGUCCCAAAAUGAGAAUUAUGAAUCCAACUAGUCACAGAAAAGCUUUCUGUACAAAAAUCCCAAUUGCUCCUUCACCUAACUCGCCAACAUUAUUGACUCCACGGCUGUACAUAAAUUGGUUGGCCUCCAUUAUUGCUCACCAUGCAUCUCAUCCUACAUCCUAGCUAGCGUAGCAGUGAAAUCAUAUGCUGCUGGUAGAAAGUAGAAACCAGCUUAUUUUAUUUCGAGCGUUUGUUUCUUUACUUUAAAUCUCGCGAGAACGCUAUUUUAUUCCUCCCCCCUCUCAAACCUCAAUCAUUUUGCUGUGCAACAUAAUAAUAUGUUUGGAGCUCUCUAGAGAAAUGCAUACUUUUAUCCCAAUCUCCACUCCAACUAAGAAAACAAGAAAAUUUUGUUUCACCUGUGAAACAGCAUACAUGCAAUGGAUUGCAUAUUUGUCUCAAGAGAUUUUUACUUGUCCCAAUUUCCAAUGUCAAUGAAAAUUUAACUUUUACCAAACAAAGAAAAAUAAUCUGAUAAUAUCCUCUUUACUGAAAAACAAACAAUCAAAGCUGCUAUUUUGUUGACGCAACAAAGAAUGCCAGACACUAAUUCCGUUUGUUGAAAAAAAAAAGAAAAAAACAAAGAAUGCCAGACGUUGGGAUAUGGAAAGCCAUUCAAAGUCUAUAGUUUUAUGGGUUGUUAUCACUUUACCCCCUUAUUAAAUCACCAUGUUAUUAUCAAUUUACCCACUCAAACUAUGAUACCAGUGCCGCUUUCAAUUUACUAGUCACUUUAUCGUCCAUAGUUAAAUCAACUCAGUUUGACAAAUUUUGGACAAAAAUAUCAUUCUCUCUUAUAAUGCCACUAUAUUGUUAUUAUCGUUUUACCCCCUUAAACUAUAGUGAUUAUUAGUUUAUCCACGAGCAUCAUACUCUAAGUUGCUUCAGAAAAGCUAGAAAAUCAAUCAAAAGAAGUCCUAGGUUGCUUGUGGAUUGUGAUUGCAGCUUCCUUUUUCUUUUAAAGACCCCUGCAAUUGAUUAUUUAGGUUGCUUUCUUAACGAAGUUAUUACUUAUGAGAAGUCUUAUAUGCUUUCAACAACCAUUUUUAUAAAAUCAACUACUAGUACUACAUGAGAUGACAGUGCUUUGCAAUUGGCAAUUAAUUAAGGUGGUUUCGCUCUCAUUUAUCAACCAUCAAGAACGUAUAACUUGUGUGGAGGAUACUGCUUUCAUGGAAGUUGAACAAUAGACGAAUGCAGCGAGAGAUUAACACAGUAUAAGUAAAUUAAAUAGCGGGGAAGGAAGUUGAAUCAAUAGUAAGUAUUUACACUACACUGCAGGUACCGAGCUGUGACGAGUGCAUACUACAGAGGUGCGCUGGGGGCCAUGUUGGUGUACGACAUUACCAAAAGGCAGUCAUUUGAUCAUGUAGCCAGAUGGGUGGAGGAACUGAGGGCUCAUGCAGAUAACUCCAUCGUCAUCGUGCUGGUCGGAAACAAAGCUGAUCUCGUGGACUUGAGGACCGUGCCGGCGGAGGACGCCGUGGAGUUCGCAGAAAACCAGGGCCUGUUAUUCUUUGAGACAUCAGCACUCAACGGUGACAAUGUGGACGCUGCAUUCUUUAAGCUCCUCGAGGAGAUACACAACGCGGUGUCCAAGAAGUGUUUGGAUAGCCGCGGCGCCGGUGGAAUCAGAGCCAAUGCCACCGACCAAGGUUCCUUCAAGGGUUUGAAAAUUGAUGUCAUUUCUAGUGCAGAAUUUGAAGUCAGUGAGAUGAAGAAAUCGUCCUCUUGCUCUUGCUAAAUAAUUUCAUGUUGCUGUACUUAACUGUCUGUGUAUAUUGAUUCUACUACUGCUACUACUUCACAAGGGAAUAUUGGAGGGAAAAGGAGAGAUCAUUUGAUGCAUUGCUCGAUCGUUUCAAGUGUUCUUUCUGUAGUUGAUUAUUCAAGUGUUCCGUUGCACUUGCGGCCGAGCCGCCUGUCAAGGGAUCUCGAUUAAAAUUAGAACCUCGCAUAUAAUUAAUUAUGCUCAGAACACAGCUGAUAUAUAUAUAAACGAGAAGCUUGAACCCAGAAUUUCAUACUUAAAGUUGCUCUGCUUGCUUGCUGCAAUAUAGGACGUACUUUAAUUUUGCAAUCAUCUUGUUCAAGUCAAAUUUGAUAUAGGCCAAUUUGGGCCAUUAAUUGCUAUCGGUCGGUCCUAAUACAUACAUGUUGAAUGAAAUGGGCCGCCAAAUCGUUAUUCAACUCCCUGCAAUAUGACUGGAAAGUCAAUGUCAUGAUACAAAUUGCUUUGCAAAGUUAUUAUCGUUCAUUUGACUGUCUCUUAGAUGUCAUGUCAUUCAUCCAAAUCAAAUUCACACCCAUACGAUAAGGACAAGAAAUCGGCCCAAAUCCCAGGGAAAACCCAAAGGAGCGGGCCUGCUACAACCAAACUGCGGGGGUCUGGCUGGGCAGCCAAUAGCAAAAGAGUAGUGGCUUAUCUAUGGAUAUGGAUGAUGGUGGUGCUGUCGUGCUGUGGAUCGCUCACUCCCUUCCGGAACGGAUCCUUUCUCCUCUGCGUUCUUGUCUCCUGCUCUAGCAUUGAAGUGGUCUCUGGCAAAUAGCAGCAUUUGGGGGCCGGCCGGCGUUGGGGAAUGGCAGCCACACUCUGCUUCCUUCAACUCCCUCUGCUUCCUCCUGCACCAAACCACCGCCACCACCACCGACCAUCAUUCUCCUUGAGAUUCACCCUCACAGCCACCGACCCAAUUACCACUACUUCUACUACUAAUACAACAUCACAACUCUCUCAACAACAACAUUCCCCGCAAAAACUCCUGCAUCAAACUGUUAUUUCUACUUUAAAAUCAGCUGCCCUUCCUCUCCUCCCAAUUGCAUUCCCUUUCUUUCUUGACCCCAAGGCAUGUAAGCCCAAUUUAAAACAACUUUCAGAUUUCAUUUGGCUAUAGGAAUUGGCGGCGCUACAAUCAGUUUAUUCGUUUCUUUUAUAUUUUAUGGAUUUAAACCCCCCCAAAAAAAAAAACAAUGAAGGAGUUUACUGCUUACCUGCAUACUAGUGGAGGGAGUACAAUUGUUGCAGUAGUAAUUAAUUUCAAAUUUGGUAGCAUUUCUUGAACUGACUUUGAUGAGGGUUGAACUGCAGGAUGCAGUUGCAGUUGACGGGAACUUUGGACUUCUUGAAGGGAGGACAAUGGCUCUCGUUCAUCCCCUUGUCAUGGCUAGUUUGUUUCUUUACACCUUAUACGCCGGUUAUCUUGGCUGGCAAUGGCGCCGAGUCCGCACCAUACAAACUGAGAUUAACGAGCUCAAGAAGCAAGUGCAGCAGGUUCCAGUCUCCCCGGCUGGCACCCCUCCUCCUCAACCCCCGCAGCCGUCCCCUGUUGAGCUCCAAAUUCAGCAACUCACCGAGGUCCAUCAAAAACACUACUGCCUCCCACCAACCCUUUCUUCUCUUUAUUUAUUUAUUUAUUUUAAAGAAACACACACACGCACACAAUUUAGUCAUCGUAUGAUUACUAAACCACAAAGCGUAUAGUAUAUGCGAUACGACUACCGACCAAAGGGCCAACUCGCUUGUCAUUGGAAAUAGUAUUAAUUAAUAUUCAUUUUCUGAAUUCAGGAAAGGAAGCAGUUGAUUAAAGGCCAAUACAGGGAUAAGCACUACGAUGCUGGUUCCCUUCUACUCGGAUUUGGGGUGUUUGGGUCGGUUUUUGGAGCAGUCAACACCUGGUUUCGGACUGGAAAGCUAUUUCCGGGACCCCAUUUAUUUGCAGGGGCAGGUAAAAACGGUGACCUAUCUUCUACUUGGUGUAAAUUGCCCAAAAAAAAAAAAAAAAGCUUCAACUUUGCGCUUUCGUGCAGAUAAAACAUAUUCUUUCACUCUUUUUUUUUUUUUUUUUUUUCAUUUCUGGGCACUUGCUCAAAAGUUUCCUGCUGCAAGAGUUGAGCUCUUUGGGUUUUGAUUUUGUCUUGCAAUAGGGAUAACUGUGCUAUGGGCGGCAGCUGCAUCCCUUGUACCUGCAAUGCAGAAAGGGAACGAAACUGCCAGAAAUCUUCAUAUUGCGCUCAACUCCCUAAAUGUUAUCCUCUUCAUUUGGCAGAUUCCCACUGGAAUUGACAUUCUCUUCAGAGCGGUUGAGUUCACCAACUGGCCUUGAACUAUUUGGUCUUGCUGAGUUAUAUCUAGCACCAUCUAGUAUCACAACUUAUAUGCCCAUAUAAUCUAAUGUUAUUCCAAUUCAGGUAUGUUGACGUUAUUAGGAGUGAAGUCUUCUAGUAGUAUAUGAUUCGGUCUGUAAAAAUGAAUGCUUCGAGUUGGGAUUUUGCUUCUCAGUAAGUGUCAUCCUUUGAACUGGAUGCAUAGUGUAAAUCAAGCAAUCAGUUUGUCAUCUCAAGCUCCAACUGUUUGAUUGAACUAGUCUUGCUCUCUUAUCGACUGGUGGAGUCCUCCAACUCUCAUCCAGUUUGACUCACUUGCUGUUUCCUUUAUUGGAAUACAUGUUAUCAAAAGAAAGCUGGUAUGAUUUUGUAGUUAUCAUCUGAUCGCAACCUCAUAUUCUCUGGAAAGUUUUGUGAACCCGAGAAUGUUAGACAGAUGGGUGAUUAAUCUCCAUGUUAAUCAAGCUAUGCUGAGAAACUGGAGCUGACUUGGCAAGGCAAUGAUUAAUCCCCAUCUGAUCGCAACUCUAUCCUAUUGUUUUAGCAGCAACGGAUUUGCGCUUGAUGUUGCGGUUGAGCAUACAAACCCCUACUAUCAAAGUACAAAAGGAGGAGGACAGGAGGUAUUACAACAACUAAUACCUAUGAUACAAGAAAUUCUGACGUGAUGCGAUUCAGGUUGUUAGAAUUUGGCUUUGGAAUGAAACGGUAUAAGAUAAAACCGAAAGCUGUUAAUACUACUAUAAUCAACCAGUCUGACAGCUCCUUCCUCCUAGAAUGAAAAAGGAACUGUGCCCUCCGUAGUUUUAGUGUUUGCAGGCCGCAAUAGAUGGUCUACAAAUUGAAGUAUCUGAGAGCUGAACAACAAGGCUUGCUCUCCAUACACAUUUCUCAUCGAGUAGUACUGAUAGUAUGCAUAUAUGUACAAGAAGAUUGUAGGACAGCGUAGAAUGGUUGGUUGAAUGAGGAUUUAAAUUGCAUGUGCUGUUUGAAUUUGCAGUCAAUCCACCUUACCAGCUAAUGGUGAUGCACAAGUGAUUUUUGUUUUAUCAAUAAGAUCAGGAGAAAAGUAAAUAAGAUUGGAAGGGUAGGGAGCGAGGUGAGGACAUGGGGGCUUGGAAGUUUGAACAAGAAUUUCUGCACCUAUUGUACUAGGUCCAUAAUUAAAAAGAAAAGAAACAAAAAGAGUUUUAGGCUGUAAAGAGCUGAACCCAAUCCAUCCUUCACACGGAUUUGUAAAAGAUACGGUAAUAACGAGGAAAAGGGUUAGUAUUUCGAUGAUAUUCUCUUGCUAAAUAAACUUGAUUUAUGAAAUGUCCUGUAUGCAAUUUUUACAACGGUUGCCUUCUCAGGUAAAAGAAUGGUGCGGAAGGGCUGAACAGAGCAUCUGACUUCAAGAGGUUAGCCUCUUCAGUCGUACAAUAUUCUUGGCCUUGCAUUGGCUAAUGGCUGGCUAGGACUAGGAGGGCAUCAAAGAAACUGACAAGGGAAGAAAGCACGUCGGCAUAACAAAUAAAUCAAAUUUCAUUCAGUUACUAAUCAAUAAUUCGUGAUACCAUUGCCAAAUGAGACGACAGAAACAAAAAGAGAUGGCUGCAUUAAAAAGGCAAAAGUACUAGUCCCUUCAGGAAGGUAGAGAUGAUGGGAUGGUAGAGGAAUCCCUCUGAGGGGCAUCUCGAAAAGCCCAGAAAUGGGACCAAGCCGAAGGAAAAAGGAAGAAGAUUGCAUGGCAAUUGGCAUCGCACCAUACAUUCUCAACAAGCAAAGUCAAAGAUAGAGACAGAAUUGUGGUUCAAUGGUCCGGGAAAGGCGUUUAGGAAUCUCAAUGCCAAAAAAAAAAAAAAAAGCACCUUCUCAAUGCGUUUCCUUAAUAGUCCCUUUUUGUGCUCGCUAGGAAACUCAAAAGAUAAUACGGCGCAAUAUGCAAAGCAAAGUCAUGAAAGUAAUCGGUUUAAGUACUUAAAUAUUCGUCCGCCAGCAGCAGCGCACUGGCACUGGCACUGGCACUGGCGCUGGAACUGCAUCCAGAUAUGCACCGCACCACUGUUUUUGCAGCAGUUGGUGGUGCGCAUGAGCCGCAAAUAGCAGCACAAGUUGCUGCAGACAACAGCUUAAUCCCGAGGAGACAGAUGCUGGACGGACUUUACUUUCUUCUUAUACAAAUUUACACCUUUACUUCAACGUUACAAAGGUUUCGAAAAUGUUUAUUUGCUUGAAGCUUCAACGUGAUCUUAGAAGGGAGCCGAAUAUCUGCUAAUCAGACUGAGACCGUCAUGGGCCCAAAAGCGACGUUGCCUUUUCUUGCAAGGCUUGGUUCUUUAAUUCUUUUUGGUGAAUGGUGAUCCCUCCGGAGUCCCCCAGCUAGCUGCAUCAGAUGCCUUUCUUCCUGUCUUCCCACCCUGACGAUGGAUCACCGCAUUGAUGCAUGCUUGUUGAUUUGUCUCGCUUUACCCGCCGCUUCACAAAUUGCUAGUUGCUGAACAUCAGUAUAAAUAAAUGAGUGUGCAUCAGAACUUUUAACUCCUCGUGUUCACCCAAUUCAUUAAUUCCUUUGGUAGUGAGUAGUAUUAUCAAGCAUGCAAGGCAGGCUGACACUCGAAUAGUACUCCCGACCAGAAUACGUAGUGCUUACUAUACUGCUCCUUCCUUCCUUCCUUCCUAGCAUCCUACUCCUACCGCCCCGCCUGAUUCAUUUUUAUUUCAGGUAGAGACCAAAAUGUCUACCCAACAGCAGCCUCGGCCAUGGUUCCGUUUGGCUAACAUAAUGCGCCCAGCACCUCCACCUGCACCUGCACCACCACCGCCUCUUGCACGUCCCCCUGCUCCAACACCUUCACUGCAAGCCCCACCUCCUAUUUCACCCUUCAGGCCCCCUGUAGCUCUGCCUCGGCCUCUGCCACCUGCUCCACCGAAUUUGCCUGUUGCUUCACCCCCUUCUGUAACCCCUACAACCCCAAGCUCCCCUCAGAUCUCCAGUACUAGAGCACCUCCACCAUCGCCACGACCACAACCAACACCUCCGGCUCCAAGCCCCUCCCCCACGCCUCCAAAAUCCCCUACCCCCUCCAUAACUAGGUCGCCUGAUGCACCCCCUCCUAAACCUGGAUCUUCGUCGCCAUUAGCAUCUCCAAUAAUCAAAACUGCAUCAGCGGAAACGUCUUCGGCUGCACGUCCAGUUGUAUCCUCUCCAUCUUUAUCAGCAUCCCCAAAAACUAAACCCCCAUCACCGCCCUCUUCAACAAUAGCAUUGCCAGCCUCUCCUGCUCCAAAAACAUUGCUCUAUUCAGGCCCUCCCACUGCAGCACCAGUCCCUCCACCACCUUCUCCAGUUGCAGCCACCGCCGCAAGACCUCGUGCUGCACCCAGCCCGAGGGUGAAAAGCAGUACACCUCCUCCUAAUCACGCUCAAUCCACCAUUGUGAAACCUUCAUCUCAUCCUCCAUCUCCACUAACACUGCCUCCGCCUCAACUCAGGGCUGACGCAACCAGUCAUGAUUAUGAUCUGGAACCAAUACCCCCAGAAGCUGUGCAGAAAACAGUGCUAACGCAAGAUGAUACCAAUCAUGAAAAGGCGCCAAAGAUUGAUCCCACAAAGUCGUCGUCCUCCCCCUCCUCCGGGGGGAAAGAGAGACAAGUUAAGAAAGACAAAGGAGCAAUGACGACUUACAAGGACAAAAAGAAUCAUAAUAAUAAAUCAGCUGUUUCUUCACCAGAGCUUGGCAUGAGAGUCGUAACACUUGCAGGUGACAACAAAGGAGCUGUUAUGGAAUUGAGCCCAGGAGCUUCCCGCAAGAAGUACGAUUCUGGGCAACAUUUUUGGGGUAAAAAUGGCCAGAAAUUGGGAAGCCAUGAGAAGGAGGAGGAGGACGGCAGGCAUUCUGAUGACGGUGGGAUAAAGAAUGGAAGAGGCGAAAUGGGAAGGAGCAAAUUAGUGGCAGCUCCACCGCCCCCAGUGGACGCCUUUGUGAACAGUAACGUCCAGGGAGUCAACAAUUCCAUUGUCUACAACUGCACCUACGGCAACCGUGAUCCUGGAGUCCAUCUCUCGGUGUCUAGGAAGGGCAAUGGCCGCCACCACCAGCAGGACGCCGGCCAUUAUAAUGUUCAUCUUGACUAGUCUAGGCACAGUGCCUGAAUGAUCAAGGGAGCAUAGGAAGUUAUGCGUAUUUAUAUUUGGUUGCAUGAUUCGUGGUAUUUUAAAUCUUAAAGCGGCUGGGGCCUGGCUCGCUAAUAAUUGUUGCACUUUUCUGCAACCUCUUCCGGUCAGUCAUAAUGUUGUAUUUGAAAACUUUGAGCGUGCAUCUUCUUGAUUCCAUUAUCAACGAACAAUUUCAUCUCCCCGUUUUACUUGCUUCUUCUCUUUUCUUUUUGGAUCAGGCAAUUUUUUUUUUAAGGAUUGGAUUGGAUUGGAUCUGGCAAUUAAAUCUAUGCUUUCUUUUCUCGUUAAUUAAUAGGAGUACCUUUUUGAUUUCAGAAGGUAUAAACCGAAAAAAGUGAUUCCACGUUUUCUUCUUUCUUGGGUUUGGUCCUUCUGUUUGCGGCCCGUUUUGAGAAAUUGAAGUCAUUACACGGUGUUUUGGGCAAACACUUGGGUAGCGUAGAUUCAGCGGCCCAAAUUUUGCAACACCUGAUCUUGUAGAGUGUGGCCCAAAUUUUGCCACACUAUUACAAAAUCAAGCCAACUUAAAAACAUAUCAUUAACAGUUGAGUAAUCAAAUCUUAACAUUCGAAAAGUUCAAUAACUACCUAAGUAAUUUGCUCAUAUAUAUAUAUAUAUAUCCUAUCCUACACUACAUAAACCGUGGAAGGUCGAUGAAUAGUGAUCUGUGUCGGCUAUUUUGUAAUUUGGUUCACAUUUUUCCCCUUUAUUGUCUUUUUUGAGCUGCAAGCUUCUUUGGGUACUAUUUUCCUUCGAUUCAUUUCCCCUUGUUGAUUUUCUUUUAGACUAUUUUGUCCUUUUGUCCUGGGUAUCCUGUUAUUUAUACAUGCAUUUUGGACAUCGUGGUUUUUUUCAUGCUUUGAGGGCAGCAUAUGUUUCUCAUCAUUCUGUUCCUCGCAAGAUAACCAUUGUCUUCAAGCAAAAUCCAUUUAUGCACAUAUUUGCCUGCCGCCAUUUUUACUCUGGUUUUGAGCAUCUAUGAACUGAAGCAGUUCUUUGUAUAGAUGUCAUUGCCAGCAUAUAGUGCAUGCAUGCCGCGUGUAUUUUGCUUGGAUAAUCAGCUGCAUUGAGCUUAUCUUUCAGUGUUAUUCAGUUUGAGAUUUGAGCCAUCUUGUUUCAUCUGCAUUAGAUGUUAGUGUCAGGUUUCUCCAUUAUCCAUAUUGCGCUCUGUAGUUUAUCGGUUUCAAUUUGUUUUUUGAGCUAUCUGUGUGCCUCUUCUGUUUGUGUUCCACUCUGUUUCUUAGCAACUCCACUCUUCUUGCAUAAACGUCAUUAAUGUUAUAUAUAUUGCAUGCAUGCCGCGUGUAUUUUGCAUGGAUAGACAGCUAUCUCCAGCUAAUCUUUCAUUCUUAUUACAUUAGACAUUUGAGCCAUCUUAUCUCAUCUGUACUCCUCGUUGAUGUGAAAUUUCUCCAUUAAUCUCAUUGCUUUUCUUUUUAUCUUCUAUAUCUUCUGUCUUUUGUAUAAACUAUACAAAUCUUAUGUGCUUUUGCUUUAUUUGCCUCUUGCUUUUUGUCUUCCUUUCUGUUACUGGUGAGUUACGAUCUUAAUUUAUCUCUCCUUUGUCUCACUUUUUUCUGUGUCUAUGCUUUUUGCUUGUGAUGAAUUUUUCCAUGCAUAUUGUGUUCUGUAUACAUAUGUUUUUCUUUCUCUCUUUUAACCAGCUUUCAGAGUUGUCGCCCUUACUUUUCUUUGUGAUUUUUGAAUAGUUGAACAUUUUUUCCAUUUCUCUGCUAUGGUAUUUUUAUACCUUUCCACCUUUUACUUCUGCUCCUAGUUAUUUUACCUUAAGGUACUUUAGCUUAAGAAUUAAUAUUUUGCAGUUUUCCCUUCUGCAAAUAUGUUUACUCAUAAUUUCUGUUUCUCUUUUUUCUUGAACCCUUAUAAUUUCCUGUGUUAUUUAUGAUUUCCUAUAUUUCUGUUUUUUUACGGCAAGAACGUUUUUUGCUAUUUUUUACUCUUUUGCUCUGUACUAUUUAUUGUCGCUUUCUAUUUGUGUCAAAAAUGUUGACAUUCCUUUGUUUUAUGUUUUUUUUUGCAUCAGCUGCCUUCUAUCUGAUUUACAUUCUGGACUUUUGUUGCACCGCUUUGGAGGUAUUGGCAUUUCUUUUAAACUCAAAAUUUGCAUGUUCAUCCAUUAUCUGCAUAGUUUACUCUGACUGUGUGGUUUUGCUCCAUAAUUUACUCUGAUUUUGUGGCUUUGCUUAUGUUUCGUUUACAUGCAAUCAUCAUUCGCAAUUUCUUUUAGCUCUAAUAUUUCUAUAUUUUUCCUCCUUCCAUAAAUUUUCUUCUUUGAAGUUAUUAUCUGUCUUAUACUAUAACAAACUUGCUAUCACAUCUAUUAUGGCCUCUAUGCUUUUUCCUUUGAAGAGCCAUUUUCUAAUAUGGGCCGAAAACGCAAGUAUAUCUCUGAAGAUGAAUAUCGUAUACAAGCUAAUGAGCGCCAGCGUGAAAGAUAUGCUAAAAAAGUAGCAGAGAAACAGAAGCACAUACAAGAGAGUGGUGAACAUCAAAACAAAGAUAGCUGCAACACAGAUGUUGUGCCUGUUUCUUCAGCAAAUCAUACACUUGUUGAUGUGCCUGUUGACAAUCAUGUAUCACUUUUAGCUUUAUUGAAAGCUAAGUGUAUGUGCUUUGAAAUGCCUGUCGUUGAUCUUUCUGAUAAGCUAAUCUGCAUUCUAGCUCGACAAAUGAUGCUAUUGAAUAGCUGUUACAGCAAUUGACCAUGUGUUUUUUUGAUAACACCAUUUCUUCCAUUAUUUUUGAAACAAAUACCCUGAGCUAUUCUUCACCUCUGUUAUCAACUCUUCUAUAUGAAGGCUCCUCGUCCACUAGCAAUCCAUAGCAUUCAACUGGUAGCUAUAUACUUUAAAUUCCUGCAUGAAAAUUUGUCUGUGCUCCUGUUUUGGGUCUUUUACAGUCUGUCUAUUCUUCCAAUUAGUUAGAAGCACCUGUAUUUCAUAUGGUAUAGGUGUGCAUCACAGAAGAAGGAAUAUACCAUUAUUAGAACGAAUACCAUUUGAGCCAAGUGUUUUGCCAAAGGUUCCAGAUUGUAUGUUUUGUCGUGCUAAACGAUUUUAUAUGGAACCACCGAGAUUUUGUUGUUCAGCAGGUGAAAUUCGUUUAGUAGAAACUGAAAUGCCAGAUAAAUUGGUUCACCUUUAUAAGGCGAAUACUCCUGAAGCUAGAGAGUUUCGAUUGUGCAUCUGAAGUUACAACAAUAUAUUUGCCUUCUUCUCUUUGGCCAUGCAUUGCUUUAUGCUUUGUCCCAACUUUUAAUUAAUUCCCUCCAUAAGAGUAAGGAGAGUAGUAGCCUAGUACUAAUACUACUAUGCAUAUGCCACCGGGCACUGAUCAAUAGGAAGUUUUGGGAGUUCUAUUAUUAUUAGAUAGAUACACAGAAACAGCAGCAUCACGACAAUCAUUUAUCUUCUGAUCCUCCUCCUCCCACAUGCUAUUUGUGGGUUGGGUACGUACGUGCAUUUUCCAACUAAUAAUAAUGAUGGAAACUUACCAAACUCACUCUCAAGUCAGUUUGCUCAUUGUCUUCUAUCAUAAAAGAGCUUUCUUCACCUUCACUUGUUCUAGCUUGACCCCCUCCUCCUCCAGGAUCGGAGAUCAGUAGUGCCCAGGCUCAGUACUUGUCGUCCAAGCUCAGAUAAUUGUAGGUAGCACCUAGCAGUCGCUGCAAAAAAGACCAGCGAGUAGACGGUACUCCGGAUAUAAAUAUAUAUAUAUAUAUAUAUAUAUAUAUAUAUAUAUAUAUAUAUAUAUAUAUAAUACUCGAUCAGAAGCUAGCUUAAUUUUGUCCACCAGCUCUCUCUUGAUUAGUAGUUGCCAGCCACUGCAGUUGAGUCCUGUUCGGCAGAGGUGAACUGGGAAAAAUGGAAGAGGUGAAGAAUGGCACGGAAGGUAGCAGGGGUGGCCAUGAUCAUGUGAAGAAGGACGACAAUGUUGGAGAUCAGAUCAAUGAAAAGGUAGACUAUGUGUUCAAGGUGGUGGUGAUCGGAGACUCUGCGGUGGGCAAGUCUCAGAUACUGUCCAGGUUUACCAAGAAUGAGUUCUGCUUCGAUUCCAAAUCCACCAUUGGAGUCGAGUUCCAGACCAGGACUGCCAACAUCAACUCCAAAGUCGUCAAGGCCCAGAUCUGGGAUACUGCUGGCCAAGAAAGGUACCCCAUCACUACCUACCCUCCACAUGUAAUGCAAUUAACAGUCCUCUCUCAUCUCUCUGUUUCUAUUAUCAUCACUUCAAGUUUAUGCCAGUAGUAAUUUGUUAAUAUCCCUAUACUUUUCCGAUUACAUCUUUUGAAGCUUCGUUUCAUAUUCGGGGUAUUGAAUUAAUUGCACAGCUAAAAAUUGCCACACACACAUGACACACCCACUUACUUAAAACUAUAAUCUGACUUAGGUACUUGUAUGUUCAAUUCAUUUUUUUUUCCUUCUGGAGAAACAUAUAGUAUAUAUACUAUAUGUUACAGAGCAUAUUUUUUUCUCUGUUAGUAUAUUUUUAUUAAGAUUUGGUUACUGAGUAGUAGUUUUCUUCCUUGUGGAUUCAAAAUCAUGGCUGGUGAUGUCCCUGGAAAAUUGUAUAUAGUAUCAUAUGCUGUGGUGGGUAGUAAGUAAUAUAGCAAGCUUAUACAUGUGCACAUAUAUGAAUGCGUGAAUCGACUAAAAUAAAUCCAGCGAAAGUUGGGUCCCAAAAUGAGAACUAUGAAUCCAACUAAUCACAGAAGCUUUCUGUACAAAAAUCCCAAUUCCUCCUUCACCUAACUCGGCAACAUUAUUGACUCCACGGCUGUACAUAAAUUGGUUGGCCUCCAUUAUUGCUCGCCAUGCAUCUCAUCCCACAUCCUAGCUAGCGUGCGUAGUAGUGAAAUCAAAUAUUUAUUUCGAGCGUUUGUUUCUUUACUUUAAAUCUCGUGAGAACGCUAUUUUAUUCCUCCCCCCCCCCCCCCCUCUCAAACCUCAAUCAUUUUGCUGUACAAUAAAUGUUUGAAGCUCUCUAGAGAAAUGCAUACUUUUAUCCCAAUUUCCACUCCCAACUAAGAAAACAAGAAAAUUAUGCAAUGGAUUGCAUAUUUGUCUCAAGAGAUUUUUACUUCAUCCCAAUUUCCAAUGUCAAUAAAAAUUUAACUUUUACCAAACGAAGAAAAAUAAUCUGAUAAUAUCCUCUUUACUGAAAAACAAACAAUCAAAGCUGCUAUUUUGUUGACGCAACAAAAAGAAUGCCAGACGUUGGAAUAUGGAAAGCCAUUCAAAGCCUAUAGUUUGAUGGAUUAUUAUCACUUUACCCCCUUAUUAAAUCACCAUGUUAUUAUCAAUUUACCCACUCAAACUAUAAUACCAGUGCCCCUUUCAAUUUACUAGUCACUUUAUCGUCCAUAGUUAAAUCAACUCAGUUUGACAAAUUUUGGACAAAAAUAUCGUUCUCUCUUAUAAUACCACUAUAUUGUUAUUAUCGUUUUACCCCCUUAAACUAUAGUGACUAUUAGUUUAAUUCCACGAGCAUUAUGCUCUAAGUUGCUUCAGAAAAGCUAGAAAAUCAAUCAAAACAAGUCCUAGGUUGCUUGUGGAUUAAUGUGAUUGCAGCUUCCUUUUUCUUUUAAAGGCCCGUGCAAUUGAUUAUUUAGGUUGCUUUCUUAACGAAGUUAUUACUUAUGAGAAGUCUUAUAUGCUUUCAACAACCAUUUUUAUAAAAUCAACUACUAGUACUACAUGAGAUGACAGUGCUUUGCAAUUGGCAAUUAAUUAUGGUGGUUUCGCUCUCAUUUAUCAACCAUCAACAACGUAUAUAACUUGUGCGGAGGAUACUGCUUUCAUGGAAGUUGAACAAGAAACGAGUGCAGCCAGAGAUUAACAUAGUAUAAAGUAAAUUAAAUAGCGGGGAAGGAAGUUGAAUCAAUAGUAAGUAUUUACACAACACUGCAGGUACCGAGCUGUGACGAGUGCAUACUACAGAGGUGCGCUGGGGGCCAUGUUGGUGUACGACAUUACCAAAAGGCAGUCAUUUGAUCAUGUAGCCAGAUGGGUGGAGGAACUGAGGGCUCAUGCAGAUAACUCCAUCGUCAUCGUGCUGGUCGGAAACAAAGCUGAUCUCGUGGACUUGAGGACCGUGCCGGCGGAGGACGCCUUGGAGUUUGCAGAAAACCAGGGCCUGUUAUUCUUUGAGACAUCAGCACUUAACGGUGACAAUGUGGACGCUGCGUUCUUUAAGCUCCUCGAGGAGAUACACAACGCGGUGUCCAAGAAGUGUUUGGAUAGCCGCGGCGCCGGUGGAAUCUGGGCCAAUGCCACCGACCAAGGUUCCUUCAAGGGAUUGAAAAUUGAUGUCAUUUCUAGUGCAGAAUUUGAAGUCAGUGAGAUGAAGAAAUCGUCCUCUUGUUCUUGCUAAAUAAUUUCAUGUUGCUGUACUUAACUGUCCGUAUAUUGAUUCUACUACUGCUACUACUUCACAAGGGAAUAUUGGAGGGAAAAGGAGAGAUCAUUUGAUGCAUUGCUCGAUCGUUUCAAGUGUUCUUUCUGUAGUUGAGUAUUCAAGUGUUCCGUUGCACUUGCAGCCGAGCCGCCUGUCAAGAGAUCUCCAUUAAAAUUAGAACCUCGCAUAUAAUUAAUUAUGAUCAGAACAAAGCUGAUAUUCAUACUUAGUUGCUCUGCUUGCUUGCUGCAAUUGAGGACGUACUUAAAUUUUGCCAUCAUCUUGUUCAAGUCAAAUUUGAUAUAGACCAAUUUGGGCCAUUAAUUGCUAUCGGUCGGUCCUAAUACAUACAUGACUGGAAUGAAAUGGGCCGCCAAGUCGUUAUUCAACUCCUUGCAACAUGACUGGAAAGUUAAUGUCAUGAUACAAAUUGCUUUGCAGAGUCAUUAUCGUUCAUUUGACUGUCUCUUAGAUGUCAUGUCAUUCAUCCAAAUCAAAUUCACACCCAUACGAUAAGGACAAGAAAUCGGCCCAAAUCCCCGGGAAAACCUAAAGGAGCGGGCCUGCUACAACCAAACUGCGGGGGUCUGGCUGGGCAGCCAAUAGCAAAAGAGUAGUGGCUUAUCUCUGGAUAUGGAUGAUGGUGGUGCUGUCGUGCUGUGGAUCGCUCACUUCCUUCCGGAACGGAUCCUUUCUCCUCUGCGUUCUUGUCUCCUGCUCUAGCAUUGAAGUGGUCUCUGGCAAAUAGCAGCAUUUGGGGGCCGGCCGGCGUUGGGGAAUGGCAGCCACACUCUGCUUCCUUCAACUCCCUCUGCUUCCUCCUGCACCAAACCACCACCACCGACCAUCAUCCUCCUUGAGAUUCACCCUCACAGCCACCGACCCAAUUACCACUACUUCUACUACUAAUACAACAUCACAGCUCUCUCAACAACAACAACAUUCCCCGCAAAAACUCCUGCAUCAAACUGUUAUUUCUACUUUAAAAUCAGCUGCCCUUCCUCUCCUCCCACUUGCAUUCCCUUUCUUUCUUGACCCCAAGGCAUGUAAGCGCAAUUUAAAACAACUUUCAGAUUUCAUUUGGCUAUAGGAAUUGGCGGCGCUACAAUCAGUUUAUUCGUUUCUUUUAUUUUUUAUGGAUUUAAACCACCAAAAAAAAAAAAAAAAAAAAAAACAAUGAAGGAGUUUACUGCUUACCUGCAUACUAGUGGAGGGAGUACAAUUGUUGCAGUAGUAAUUAAUUUCAAAUUUGGUAGCAUUUCUUGAACUGACUUUGAUGAGAAUUGAACUGCAGGAUGCAGUUGCAGUUGACGGGAACUUUGGACUUCUUGAAGGCAGGACAAUGGCUCUCGUUCAUCCCCUUGUCAUGGCUAGUUUGUUUCUUUACACCUUAUACGCCGGUUAUCUUGGCUGGCAAUGGCGCCGAGUCCGCACCAUACAAACUGAGAUUAACGAGCUCAAGAAGCAGGUGCAGCAGGUUCCAGUCUCCCCGGCUGGCACCCCUCCUCCUCAACCCCCGCAGCCGUCCCCUGUUGAGCUCCAAAUUCAGCAACUCACCGAGGUCCAUCAAAAACACUUCUGCCUCCCACCAACCCUUUCUUCUCUUUAUUUAUUUAUUUUUUUUUAAAGAAACACACACACGCACACAAUUUAGUCAUCGUAUGAUUACUAAACCACAAAUCUUAUAGUAUAUGCGAUACGACUACCGACCAAAGGGCCAACUCGCUUGUCAUUGGAAAUAGUAUUAAUUAAUGUUCAUUUUCUGAAUUCAGGAAAGGAAGCAGUUGAUUAAAGGCCAAUACAGGGAUAAGCACUACGAUGCUGGUUCCCUUCUACUCGGAUUUGGGGUGUUUGGGUCGGUUUUUGGAGCAGUCAACACCUGGUUUCGGACUGGAAAGCUAUUUCCGGGACCCCAUUUAUUUGCAGGGGCAGGUAAAAACGGUGACCGAUCUUCUACUUGGUGUAAAUUGCCCAAAAAAAAAAAAGCUUCAACUUUGCGCUUUCGUGCAGAUAAAACAUAUUCUUUCACUCUUUACCCUUUUUUUUUUUUUUUUUUCAUUUCUGGGCACUUGCUCAAAAGUUUCCUGCUGCAAGAGUUGAGCUCUUUGGGUUUUGAUUUUGUCUUGCAAUAGGGAUAACUGUGCUAUGGGCGGCAGCUGCAUCCCUUGUACCUGCAAUGCAGAAAGGGAACGAAACUGCCAGAAAUCUUCAUAUUGCGCUCAACUCCCUAAAUGUUAUCCUCUUCAUUUGGCAGAUUCCCACUGGAAUUGACAUUCUCUUCAGAGCGGUUGAGUUCACCAACUGGCCUUGAACUAUUUGGUCUUGCUGAGUUAUAUCUAGCACCAUCUAGUAUCACAACUUAUAUGCCCAUAUAAUCUAAUGUUAUUCCAAUUCAGGUAUGUUGACGUUAUUAGGAGUGAAGUCUUCUAGUAGUAUAUGAUUCGGUCUGUAAAAAUGAAUGCUUCGAGUUGGGAUUUUGCUUCUCAGUAAGUGUCAUCCUUUGAACUGGAUGCAUAGUGUAAAUCAAGCAAUCAGUUUGUCAUCUCAAGCUCCAACUGUUUGAUUGAACUAGUCUUGCUCUCUUAUCGACUGGUGGAGUCCUCCAACUCUCAUCCAGUUUGACUCACUUGCUGUUUCCUUUAUUGGAAUACAUGUUAUCAAAAGAAAGCUGGUAUGAUUUUGUAGUUAUCAUCUGAUCGCAACCUCAUAUUCUCUGGAAAGUUUUGUGAACCCGAGAAUGUUAGACAGAUGGGUGAUUAAUCUCCAUGUUAAUCAAGCUAUGCUGAGAAACUGGAGCUGACUUGGCAAGGCAAUGAUUAAUCCCCAUCUGAUCGCAACUCUAUCCUAUUGUUUUAGCAGCAACGGAUUUGCGCUUGAUGUUGCGGUUGAGCAUACAAACCCCUACUAUCAAAGUACAAAAGGAGGAGGACAGGAGGUAUUACAACAACUAAUACCUAUGAUACAAGAAAUUCUGACGUGAUGCGAUUCAGGUUGUUAGAAUUUGGCUUUGGAAUGAAACGGUAUAAGAUAAAACCGAAAGCUGUUAAUACUACUAUAAUCAACCAGUCUGACAGCUCCUUCCUCCUAGAAUGAAAAAGGAACUGUGCCCUCCGUAGUUUUAGUGUUUGCAGGCCGCAAUAGAUGGUCUACAAAUUGAAGUAUCUGAGAGCUGAACAACAAGGCUUGCUCUCCAUACACAUUUCUCAUCGAGUAGUACUGAUAGUAUGCAUAUAUGUACAAGAAGAUUGUAGGACAGCGUAGAAUGGUUGGUUGAAUGAGGAUUUAAAUUGCAUGUGCUGUUUGAAUUUGCAGUCAAUCCACCUUACCAGCUAAUGGUGAUGCACAAGUGAUUUUUGUUUUAUCAAUAAGAUCAGGAGAAAAGUAAAUAAGAUUGGAAGGGUAGGGAGCGAGGUGAGGACAUGGGGGCUUGGAAGUUUGAACAAGAAUUUCUGCACCUAUUGUACUAGGUCCAUAAUUAAAAAGAAAAGAAACAAAAAGAGUUUUAGGCUGUAAAGAGCUGAACCCAAUCCAUCCUUCACACGGAUUUGUAAAAGAUACGGUAAUAACGAGGAAAAGGGUUAGUAUUUCGAUGAUAUUCUCUUGCUAAAUAAACUUGAUUUAUGAAAUGUCCUGUAUGCAAUUUUUACAACGGUUGCCUUCUCAGGUAAAAGAAUGGUGCGGAAGGGCUGAACAGAGCAUCUGACUUCAAGAGGUUAGCCUCUUCAGUCGUACAAUAUUCUUGGCCUUGCAUUGGCUAAUGGCUGGCUAGGACUAGGAGGGCAUCAAAGAAACUGACAAGGGAAGAAAGCACGUCGGCAUAACAAAUAAAUCAAAUUUCAUUCAGUUACUAAUCAAUAAUUCGUGAUACCAUUGCCAAAUGAGACGACAGAAACAAAAAGAGAUGGCUGCAUUAAAAAGGCAAAAGUACUAGUCCCUUCAGGAAGGUAGAGAUGAUGGGAUGGUAGAGGAAUCCCUCUGAGGGGCAUCUCGAAAAGCCCAGAAAUGGGACCAAGCCGAAGGAAAAAGGAAGAAGAUUGCAUGGCAAUUGGCAUCGCACCAUACAUUCUCAACAAGCAAAGUCAAAGAUAGAGACAGAAUUGUGGUUCAAUGGUCCGGGAAAGGCGUUUAGGAAUCUCAAUGCCAAAAAAAAAAAAAAAAGCACCUUCUCAAUGCGUUUCCUUAAUAGUCCCUUUUUGUGCUCGCUAGGAAACUCAAAAGAUAAUACGGCGCAAUAUGCAAAGCAAAGUCAUGAAAGUAAUCGGUUUAAGUACUUAAAUAUUCGUCCGCCAGCAGCAGCGCACUGGCACUGGCACUGGCACUGGCGCUGGAACUGCAUCCAGAUAUGCACCGCACCACUGUUUUUGCAGCAGUUGGUGGUGCGCAUGAGCCGCAAAUAGCAGCACAAGUUGCUGCAGACAACAGCUUAAUCCCGAGGAGACAGAUGCUGGACGGACUUUACUUUCUUCUUAUACAAAUUUACACCUUUACUUCAACGUUACAAAGGUUUCGAAAAUGUUUAUUUGCUUGAAGCUUCAACGUGAUCUUAGAAGGGAGCCGAAUAUCUGCUAAUCAGACUGAGACCGUCAUGGGCCCAAAAGCGACGUUGCCUUUUCUUGCAAGGCUUGGUUCUUUAAUUCUUUUUGGUGAAUGGUGAUCCCUCCGGAGUCCCCCAGCUAGCUGCAUCAGAUGCCUUUCUUCCUGUCUUCCCACCCUGACGAUGGAUCACCGCAUUGAUGCAUGCUUGUUGAUUUGUCUCGCUUUACCCGCCGCUUCACAAAUUGCUAGUUGCUGAACAUCAGUAUAAAUAAAUGAGUGUGCAUCAGAACUUUUAACUCCUCGUGUUCACCCAAUUCAUUAAUUCCUUUGGUAGUGAGUAGUAUUAUCAAGCAUGCAAGGCAGGCUGACACUCGAAUAGUACUCCCGACCAGAAUACGUAGUGCUUACUAUACUGCUCCUUCCUUCCUUCCUUCCUAGCAUCCUACUCCUACCGCCCCGCCUGAUUCAUUUUUAUUUCAGGUAGAGACCAAAAUGUCUACCCAACAGCAGCCUCGGCCAUGGUUCCGUUUGGCUAACAUAAUGCGCCCAGCACCUCCACCUGCACCUGCACCACCACCGCCUCUUGCACGUCCCCCUGCUCCAACACCUUCACUGCAAGCCCCACCUCCUAUUUCACCCUUCAGGCCCCCUGUAGCUCUGCCUCGGCCUCUGCCACCUGCUCCACCGAAUUUGCCUGUUGCUUCACCCCCUUCUGUAACCCCUACAACCCCAAGCUCCCCUCAGAUCUCCAGUACUAGAGCACCUCCACCAUCGCCACGACCACAACCAACACCUCCGGCUCCAAGCCCCUCCCCCACGCCUCCAAAAUCCCCUACCCCCUCCAUAACUAGGUCGCCUGAUGCACCCCCUCCUAAACCUGGAUCUUCGUCGCCAUUAGCAUCUCCAAUAAUCAAAACUGCAUCAGCGGAAACGUCUUCGGCUGCACGUCCAGUUGUAUCCUCUCCAUCUUUAUCAGCAUCCCCAAAAACUAAACCCCCAUCACCGCCCUCUUCAACAAUAGCAUUGCCAGCCUCUCCUGCUCCAAAAACAUUGCUCUAUUCAGGCCCUCCCACUGCAGCACCAGUCCCUCCACCACCUUCUCCAGUUGCAGCCACCGCCGCAAGACCUCGUGCUGCACCCAGCCCGAGGGUGAAAAGCAGUACACCUCCUCCUAAUCACGCUCAAUCCACCAUUGUGAAACCUUCAUCUCAUCCUCCAUCUCCACUAACACUGCCUCCGCCUCAACUCAGGGCUGACGCAACCAGUCAUGAUUAUGAUCUGGAACCAAUACCCCCAGAAGCUGUGCAGAAAACAGUGCUAACGCAAGAUGAUACCAAUCAUGAAAAGGCGCCAAAGAUUGAUCCCACAAAGUCGUCGUCCUCCCCCUCCUCCGGGGGGAAAGAGAGACAAGUUAAGAAAGACAAAGGAGCAAUGACGACUUACAAGGACAAAAAGAAUCAUAAUAAUAAAUCAGCUGUUUCUUCACCAGAGCUUGGCAUGAGAGUCGUAACACUUGCAGGUGACAACAAAGGAGCUGUUAUGGAAUUGAGCCCAGGAGCUUCCCGCAAGAAGUACGAUUCUGGGCAACAUUUUUGGGGUAAAAAUGGCCAGAAAUUGGGAAGCCAUGAGAAGGAGGAGGAGGACGGCAGGCAUUCUGAUGACGGUGGGAUAAAGAAUGGAAGAGGCGAAAUGGGAAGGAGCAAAUUAGUGGCAGCUCCACCGCCCCCAGUGGACGCCUUUGUGAACAGUAACGUCCAGGGAGUCAACAAUUCCAUUGUCUACAACUGCACCUACGGCAACCGUGAUCCUGGAGUCCAUCUCUCGGUGUCUAGGAAGGGCAAUGGCCGCCACCACCAGCAGGACGCCGGCCAUUAUAAUGUUCAUCUUGACUAGUCUAGGCACAGUGCCUGAAUGAUCAAGGGAGCAUAGGAAGUUAUGCGUAUUUAUAUUUGGUUGCAUGAUUCGUGGUAUUUUAAAUCUUAAAGCGGCUGGGGCCUGGCUCGCUAAUAAUUGUUGCACUUUUCUGCAACCUCUUCCGGUCAGUCAUAAUGUUGUAUUUGAAAACUUUGAGCGUGCAUCUUCUUGAUUCCAUUAUCAACGAACAAUUUCAUCUCCCCGUUUUACUUGCUUCUUCUCUUUUCUUUUUGGAUCAGGCAAUUUUUUUUUUAAGGAUUGGAUUGGAUUGGAUCUGGCAAUUAAAUCUAUGCUUUCUUUUCUCGUUAAUUAAUAGGAGUACCUUUUUGAUUUCAGAAGGUAUAAACCGAAAAAAGUGAUUCCACGUUUUCUUCUUUCUUGGGUUUGGUCCUUCUGUUUGCGGCCCGUUUUGAGAAAUUGAAGUCAUUACACGGUGUUUUGGGCAAACACUUGGGUAGCGUAGAUUCAGCGGCCCAAAUUUUGCAACACCUGAUCUUGUAGAGUGUGGCCCAAAUUUUGCCACACUAUUACAAAAUCAAGCCAACUUAAAAACAUAUCAUUAACAGUUGAGUAAUCAAAUCUUAACAUUCGAAAAGUUCAAUAACUACCUAAGUAAUUUGCUCAUAUAUAUAUAUAUAUAUCCUAUCCUACACUACAUAAACCGUGGAAGGUCGAUGAAUAGUGAUCUGUGUCGGCUAUUUUGUAAUUUGGUUCACAUUUUUCCCCUUUAUUGUCUUUUUUGAGCUGCAAGCUUCUUUGGGUACUAUUUUCCUUCGAUUCAUUUCCCCUUGUUGAUUUUCUUUUAGACUAUUUUGUCCUUUUGUCCUGGGUAUCCUGUUAUUUAUACAUGCAUUUUGGACAUCGUGGUUUUUUUCAUGCUUUGAGGGCAGCAUAUGUUUCUCAUCAUUCUGUUCCUCGCAAGAUAACCAUUGUCUUCAAGCAAAAUCCAUUUAUGCACAUAUUUGCCUGCCGCCAUUUUUACUCUGGUUUUGAGCAUCUAUGAACUGAAGCAGUUCUUUGUAUAGAUGUCAUUGCCAGCAUAUAGUGCAUGCAUGCCGCGUGUAUUUUGCUUGGAUAAUCAGCUGCAUUGAGCUUAUCUUUCAGUGUUAUUCAGUUUGAGAUUUGAGCCAUCUUGUUUCAUCUGCAUUAGAUGUUAGUGUCAGGUUUCUCCAUUAUCCAUAUUGCGCUCUGUAGUUUAUCGGUUUCAAUUUGUUUUUUGAGCUAUCUGUGUGCCUCUUCUGUUUGUGUUCCACUCUGUUUCUUAGCAACUCCACUCUUCUUGCAUAAACGUCAUUAAUGUUAUAUAUAUUGCAUGCAUGCCGCGUGUAUUUUGCAUGGAUAGACAGCUAUCUCCAGCUAAUCUUUCAUUCUUAUUACAUUAGACAUUUGAGCCAUCUUAUCUCAUCUGUACUCCUCGUUGAUGUGAAAUUUCUCCAUUAAUCUCAUUGCUUUUCUUUUUAUCUUCUAUAUCUUCUGUCUUUUGUAUAAACUAUACAAAUCUUAUGUGCUUUUGCUUUAUUUGCCUCUUGCUUUUUGUCUUCCUUUCUGUUACUGGUGAGUUACGAUCUUAAUUUAUCUCUCCUUUGUCUCACUUUUUUCUGUGUCUAUGCUUUUUGCUUGUGAUGAAUUUUUCCAUGCAUAUUGUGUUCUGUAUACAUAUGUUUUUCUUUCUCUCUUUUAACCAGCUUUCAGAGUUGUCGCCCUUACUUUUCUUUGUGAUUUUUGAAUAGUUGAACAUUUUUUCCAUUUCUCUGCUAUGGUAUUUUUAUACCUUUCCACCUUUUACUUCUGCUCCUAGUUAUUUUACCUUAAGGUACUUUAGCUUAAGAAUUAAUAUUUUGCAGUUUUCCCUUCUGCAAAUAUGUUUACUCAUAAUUUCUGUUUCUCUUUUUUCUUGAACCCUUAUAAUUUCCUGUGUUAUUUAUGAUUUCCUAUAUUUCUGUUUUUUUACGGCAAGAACGUUUUUUGCUAUUUUUUACUCUUUUGCUCUGUACUAUUUAUUGUCGCUUUCUAUUUGUGUCAAAAAUGUUGACAUUCCUUUGUUUUAUGUUUUUUUUUGCAUCAGCUGCCUUCUAUCUGAUUUACAUUCUGGACUUUUGUUGCACCGCUUUGGAGGUAUUGGCAUUUCUUUUAAACUCAAAAUUUGCAUGUUCAUCCAUUAUCUGCAUAGUUUACUCUGACUGUGUGGUUUUGCUCCAUAAUUUACUCUGAUUUUGUGGCUUUGCUUAUGUUUCGUUUACAUGCAAUCAUCAUUCGCAAUUUCUUUUAGCUCUAAUAUUUCUAUAUUUUUCCUCCUUCCAUAAAUUUUCUUCUUUGAAGUUAUUAUCUGUCUUAUACUAUAACAAACUUGCUAUCACAUCUAUUAUGGCCUCUAUGCUUUUUCCUUUGAAGAGCCAUUUUCUAAUAUGGGCCGAAAACGCAAGUAUAUCUCUGAAGAUGAAUAUCGUAUACAAGCUAAUGAGCGCCAGCGUGAAAGAUAUGCUAAAAAAGUAGCAGAGAAACAGAAGCACAUACAAGAGAGUGGUGAACAUCAAAACAAAGAUAGCUGCAACACAGAUGUUGUGCCUGUUUCUUCAGCAAAUCAUACACUUGUUGAUGUGCCUGUUGACAAUCAUGUAUCACUUUUAGCUUUAUUGAAAGCUAAGUGUAUGUGCUUUGAAAUGCCUGUCGUUGAUCUUUCUGAUAAGCUAAUCUGCAUUCUAGCUCGACAAAUGAUGCUAUUGAAUAGCUGUUACAGCAAUUGACCAUGUGUUUUUUUGAUAACACCAUUUCUUCCAUUAUUUUUGAAACAAAUACCCUGAGCUAUUCUUCACCUCUGUUAUCAACUCUUCUAUAUGAAGGCUCCUCGUCCACUAGCAAUCCAUAGCAUUCAACUGGUAGCUAUAUACUUUAAAUUCCUGCAUGAAAAUUUGUCUGUGCUCCUGUUUUGGGUCUUUUACAGUCUGUCUAUUCUUCCAAUUAGUUAGAAGCACCUGUAUUUCAUAUGGUAUAGGUGUGCAUCACAGAAGAAGGAAUAUACCAUUAUUAGAACGAAUACCAUUUGAGCCAAGUGUUUUGCCAAAGGUUCCAGAUUGUAUGUUUUGUCGUGCUAAACGAUUUUAUAUGGAACCACCGAGAUUUUGUUGUUCAGCAGGUGAAAUUCGUUUAGUAGAAACUGAAAUGCCAGAUAAAUUGGUUCACCUUUAUAAGGCGAAUACUCCUGAAGCUAGAGAGUUUCGAUUGUGCAUCUGAAGUUACAACAAUAUAUUUGCCUUUACAUCCUUGGGGGUUCAUUAUGACAAAGAUUUAAGUAGAAUGAAUAAUGGUAUAUAUACAUUUAGAGUGCAAGGCCAAGUUUAUCACUUCAUCAACCCACUGGUUCCUUCUGAGGGUGAAAGAGCAACAAAUCUGCAGUUAUAUUUCUAUAAUACAGAGCAUGAGAUAGCAAAUCGAAUGGCAAUUUCUAGCAAGUUUAAAGAAUGUAUUGUGGAACAGCUUAAGGAUAUUCUACAUGAUAAUCCUUACUCCGCUUUCAUAAGAAGUUUAGUGGACCUUCAUGAUGCUGAACACUAAAAGAUUUCCCUCAAAUCAGAUACAGGUAUGGAUCAAAGAGUCUACAAUCUUCCUGUAGUAUCUCAAGUAGCAGCAAUAUGGAAUGAAAAUGAUCAUAACACUGCUGACGGCAUUAGAGAUAUCCAAAUCUUCACAAAAGCAGGAAAUAAGCGUAUACUAAAACAGUACUAUGGAUGCUAUGAUACACUCCAUUAUCCUCUUAUAUUUGCAAGAGGUGAGACUGGAUGGCACAAGGGAAUACUACGAAUACCAAAAUCAGACAUUCUUAACCAGUCAUCCGGAACAUGUCAAAAGGAAAAUAUUGUCUCAAUGCAGAAUUGCUCACAUAUAGAUGAAGUUAUAUUUAUUGAAGAAAAAGGUAUAAAUAACAAUUACACAAUUAACUAUAGUACCAAAACACUGAGUUAGAUUUAUUUAUAUUUUGCUAUAUUUCAUUCAAUUGCAGCUUUAUAUUAUUGUUCCUUAUAGGUAAUCAUAAUUCAAAUAUUUUGAUGAGCAUUCUCUUAUGUUUCAGUUAUGUAUAUUUAAUUUCUGUCUAUUUAUUUUCUAAUUACAAUUCCAGGCUAUUCAUGUAGAUUUACUUAUGUUUUAUUUCUGCACAUCUAAUUUAUAUUUGAUAUUUUUGUCUACUUUCCACAGCAACAAAAAAAAAAUAGAGACCAAGAGACUAACGGUCUCUUGCCGUGAAUACUGUGCAUACAAAUUCCAAAUAAGGGACGGUGACAAAUCAAAUAUAUUACACAUAGGAAGACUGUUGCAGCAGUAUAUAGUGGAAACAUAUAUUAAACUAGAGACAUCACGACUGGAAUUUCACAAACAUAGGCAGCAACACUUGCGAACUGAAGUUUAUAAAGGACUGAUGGAUACUGUGAUAGGUGGUAAAACUCUGCAUCAAACAUUGGAAAGCGAAUUAUUCUUCCAGCAAGUUUUAUAGGAGAUCCAAGAGAUAUGCGUCGAAGAUACAUGGAUGCUAUGUCACUUGUUCAACAGUAUGGAAAACCUGAUAUCUUCUUUACAAUGACGUGCAAUCUAUCAUGGCCAGAGAUUAAAAAUAUUUAGCACAUGAAGAUGAAAUCCAAAAUAGGCCAGAUUUGGUUAGUCAAGUAUUUCGAGCAAAAAUUGAGCAAUUUAAGGAUGAUUUGUUCAAGAAGAAUCUCUUUGGUGAAGUUGCAACUCAUACUUAUGUGAUUGAAUUUCAAAAACGAGAAUUACCACAUGUUCAUUUUUUAAUUAUCCUCAAACAAAGAUCGAAGAUUUUUUCGCUUGAAGCAUAUGAUAGAAUUGUUUCUGCAGAGCUACCAGAUCCAAGAGAGUCACCUUACUUAUAUUCACUAGUGCUAAAACAAAUGGUUCAUAGACCAUGUGGUGUGCUAAAUCCCAAUAGCCCAUGUAUGCUUCAGAAUAGCAAGUGCAGAAAUAACUAUCCAAAAGAUUUUUCUGCAUACACUAAACAUGGAAGAAACUCUUAUUCUAUUUACAGAAGGCUUAAUGAUGGAAGAAGUAUUGUUAUCAGAAAUCACACACUUGAUAAUCGAUGGAUUGUUCCAUAUAAUGCAUAUCUGCUUGCAAAAUUUGAUUGUCAUAUCAAUGUAGAGAUAUGCUCUGGUAUUGAAGCAGUGAAAUAUAUUUACAGGUAUAUUUACAAAGGACACGACAAAGUUAUGUAUCAAAUCACUUCUCAACAAACAGAAAAUAUCAUUGAUGAGGAUGGAUUGUUCCAUAUAAUGCAUAUCUGCUUGCAAAAUUUGAUUGUCAUAUCAAUGUAGAGAUAUGCUCUGGUAUUGAAGCAGUGAAAUAUAUUUACAGGUAUAUUUACAAAGGACACGACAAAGUUAUGUAUCAAAUCACUUCUCAACAAACAGAAAAUAUCAUUGAUGAGAUUUGCAAUUUUCAAUCUGCUAGAUGGAUUUAUGCUCCUGAAGCCAUGUGGAGGAUAUUUGUAUUCGAUUUAACCAGUAUUCAUCCAUCAAUAAUGACAAUGCACUUGCAUUUAGAAAAUCAUCAGUCUAUAUCAUUUGCUGAAAAUCAAACAUUGGAGGAUGUUCUUGCUAAUGAGAGAAAUUCAAGGACAAUGUUAACAGAAUUCUUCUCUAUGAAUUGAACAAAUAAAAGAGCAUAGGAUCUGAAUUGUCUCUACAAAGAAUUUUCCCGAUACUUCACUUGGGACAAUGCUAACAGAAUUCUUCUCUAUGAAUCGAACAAAUAAAAGAGCACAUGAUCUAAAUUGUCUCUAUAAAGAAUUUCUCCGAUACUUCACUUGGAAUGAAACUGAUCGAAUAUGGAUGGACAGAAAACGCGGAGAAGUCAUUGGCCGUAUUAACACAGUGCACCCCAUUGAAGGAGAAAGAUAUUAUCUCAGAAUGUUACUUAUGCAUAUAAAGAGGUAGCAGAAGUUCGUGGACUACUUCAAGUAAACAAUGAUUUUGAUGAAUGCUUAUCUAAGACACUUGUGUACAACAUGCCAAGUUCACUAAGACAACUUUUUGCUGUUUUACUUAUGCAUUCUCCACGAACAAAUCCAAGAGCUAUUUGGUUGAAGUAUAGAAAUCAUCUAUCAGAAGACAUUCAAAAAAAUUUGGCAUUAUCGCAGGAACAAGUACAAAUUCAAGUGCUCAGACUCAUUGAUUAGUAUAUGUAAAUUAUGGAAAAAAAAUAUAAAUGACUACAAUCUGACAGACAUUCCUUAUCCUCUCUUGUGCUCAGAUAGCUGCACUAAAGAUAUUGAAACUGAGUACCAAAUACCUAUUUCUGACUAAGAUUUUACUUCAGUUUCAAUGUUGAACAAAGCACAAAAGUUUGCAUUUGACAGAAUAAUCGAAAAGCUCAAUACAAAUAUCCCUGGUGUCUUUUUCAUUGAUGGUCCUGGUGGAACUGACAAAUCAUUCUUAUAUAAAGCAUUACUUGCAACUGUGAGAUCAAGGGGUCAUAUUGCACUAGCAACAGCGACUUCUGGUGCUGAAGCAUCAUUGUUACCUGGAGAACGGACGGCACACUCUCGUUUCAAGAUUCCACUUUACCAAGACAAUAGCCAAACCUGUAACAUCUCAAAGCAAAGCAGCAUGAGUAAGCUUCUAAAACUUGCAAAGUUAAUCAUAUAGGAUGAAGCAGCAAUGGCUAAAAAAUAUGCAAUUGAAUCAUUUGAUACAAUGCUCGUGAUAUUCUGGAUUGUGAUGUUAUAUUCGGUGGCAAACCAUUGUCUUUGGUGGUGAUUUUGACAAACUUUCCCGGUUGUUCGAAAAGGACAGAAAAAAGAUUAUAUAUCUGUAUCACUGAUCAAUUCUUACAUUUGGCCUUAUCUAGAAAAAAUACAACUAACUAAAAAUAUGCGAGCACGAUUGGACCCUCAAUUUUUUGAUCUAUUGCUUAGAAUUGGGAAUGACGCACAACCAACACUUGGAGAUAGCAUAAUUCAAUUGCCAUCAUCUAUUCUGAUACCUUUUGUUGACGAUGUUGUUUCUCUCGAUGAAUUAAUAAGUGCCGUCUAUCCUUCACUUACUGAUUUUAUUCAAAACACUUCCACUGUUAUCAAUAGAGCCAUUCUUACUACAACAAAUGACUUUGUCCAUCAUAUAAACAACCUUUUGAUUCAAAGAUUUCCUGAUCAAGAAACAAGAUAUAUAUGUUUCGAUCAAACAAUUGACCCUUCAAAACAAGCUGAUCACGGAGAUUUUCUGAACACUAUCCAACCACCAGGAUUACUACCCCAUGAAUUACUUUUGAAACCUUACUGUCCUAUUAUUCUUUUGAGAAAUUUGAAUCCCGCUGAAGGUUUGUGUAAUGAAACACAUUUAACUUGUUUGAAUUUUGCUCGUAAUCUUAUUCAUGCACAAAUAGCUUCAAGAAAUUACACUGGAAAACAAGUUUUCAUCCAUCGCAUUCCACUUCAUAGCUCAAAUGAUGAGUCUUAUCCAAUACCAUUCAAAUGAAACUCAAUUUCCUGUAUCUCUGUGUUUUGCAAUGACCAUUAACAAAUCACAAGAAUAGACACUUGAUUUUUUAUGAGUAUAUUUAAAAGAGCCAGUCUUUUCACAUGAUCAGUUGUAUGUUGCAAUGUCUAGAGCAAGAACUGCAGAAAAACUAAAGAUACUUCUAAGACCAGUUAUUCUUGAAUCCAUACCACAGAAUACCACUCGAAACAUUGCCUAUCAAGAAAUCCUUACAGCUGCAAUAGUCACUUGAGUAAUCAUAUUUAUCACUUUCCUUAUUGUGUAUUUUACACUUAAUUUAUGUGUAUUUGCAUUUUAAUUAUUUCCAGUACAUUCUUGUUUGUCCAUUUUAUUUAGCAUGUUCACAUCUUAUAAUUUCAAUCAUCAAUAUUAUUAACCACUUUCACCAAUUUAAAUGUUCUAUAUUAUGUAGUUAUGGCCAACAGAUAUAUUCCUGUUAGCACUUUGACUCAUGAAACAAAGGAUUGGAUGAUCAAAGUGAUUGUCACUGAAAAAUUGCCAAUCUACCCUGGAAAAGAUCAAGCUCUUGGUUCAUCAGACUCAUGUUUUCAGAUAAACAUGUUAGAAACAUACUUCUAUCUAGCUUACAACUAAUUGUCAUCCUAAACAACUAAUUUCUCAAAAAUUAUCAUUUUACCAUGAAACUACUUAUACCUCCAUCUUAAUACAUGACUGUUCUAUAAAUAUUUCUUUUACUUAUUAAAUUACCCCUUUUUCCAGUUAACUAUUUGUAUUUAUAUUCAUUGACUUUCCCCUUUCUCUUUCCUUUUGACAGCAUGAAUCAAUUCAAGCAAUUACAUUUAAUAAAGAUGUUAAUUAUAUCCAUGACAAAUUACAGUUUUAUGAAACCUAUUACAUUGCUAAUGCUGUUGUUGCCCCAAUUACUGAUGCAAGAAACCAAGCUAGCUCCAUUCCACUUCAGUUAACGUUGAGCAAAGCUACCUUCAUCAAGAAAGUCAACAAAACGGAUUCACUUCAGCUAAUGGAGCACUUUCCUAUCGCUUCUUUUUGGAAUCUUGACAAAUACAAAAACAGUGAUGCAGAUAGAUUUAGUAUAAAAAAUCAUCAAUGAUAAAUACUAUACACUAACCUACUAUACAUCUUCUAACCACAAAUAUCUCGUACUCAUGCAGAUAUCUCAUGUAUAGCAAUCCAUGCAUUUCUAGAAGAGGUAGUCAAUACUGCAAGAGGACCACAAAGAAUCCGAAAAUUCAUAGUUGUCAAUCCUGAGUAAGCUUCUCAUCAUUUUAACUCUGAAAACAGGAACAUAAAUUCUAUUAUAUAGCAUUUUACAUAUGAAUAUGUGAGUGAUCAUUUGCAUUCAACUCUGUUGUCCACACAUUCAAUAUUGCAGAUGCAGACCGAUGAUAUUCACAAUGUGGGAACCUUAUGUUUAUUAAGAAGGUGUUGAGCUCAUAAACACAAUCCACACCCACCUAGCAAUUCUGAUUAUACAACCAAGAAUCACCACGUAUCAUGGUAAACUACAAAUAACAUCAAACUGAUGCUAUUCACAUUUACUUUAAAUGAAUACAAUUGAAUUUACUUUCUCUGCACAAUAAAUUAGGAAUUGACAUUAGCACUAUACCAAAUAGCACAAUUGUUCUGGAUCCACCUUUACAUCAGACUACUGCGCUCAAAACAUGAUAUGAUUUCACAUAUAUAUAUACUGUUAUCUUUUAUUGCAAAUUCUUUUCGAAACUAUCUAUAUUACCACUGAUAUUUACUUUUACUAUCACAGGAUUGAAGAAAACAUUUCUUACAUUCACAGAGUCAUCAAUGAGAGGCUGUAUGAAAAAAAUAAACAAAAAAUAGCAGUGCUAGCUAGCACUAAAAUCCGACUGAUUGCACAAAUCCUUGCAUCAUCAAAUCUGGUAAGCCAUACACAUAUAUCCACUAAUCCUCUACAAUAUCAACUUCACAUCUUAUUACUGUUAUAAUGCCACUAACUCAAUUAUGCUAACACCUAUACAAUUUUGUUUUAAUUAGAUAAAGAACUUUUAGAUCAAAGGGAAUAUUAGAAUCAUCAAUUACAAUCAACGAUUUUUCUCUGCAACAUGUACUGCCUGCAACAAAAUCACUGGCGCUCCAAUGGAUAUGGAAUUUGACUGCAAUUUUUGUGGACUCAAGGAUACAAAACCAAAACCAAAGUAAGUUGAUUUUGAAUUUCUUAAAAUUUUUCAUUACAGCUUUUAUAUACUUUAUCUUAUACACUGAUAACUAUUUAUGCUACAGAGCUAAAUUUCAGGUGCAAAUUUAUGAUGACAUUGGUUUCAUUAAGGCAACAGUCGAUGACAGACAUGCUGAGACUCUUCUUGAUUUCACUGCCACUGAAAUCUACGAAAAACAUCUCUAGGUACAUUAACAUUUAUGUAAUUAUACAAACAGAUAUAAUAUGAAUCAGCAUUAGCCAUCAAAAUCAUUAACAUAGAUUAUCCCAUUAACAUUGCAGGGAGAAUCACUGCCUUUCAGCACUAUCAAUCAAAAACUACAAAAUCAGAACUUCUUCUGUGAAAUGAGAUCGUAUCUUUCCUCUCAAAGACAUCCUCUCCCACUAUUCUUUCUGACAGCUUUUAUCCUAGAAAAAGCACCAGAGCAAUUAGUAACUGGUCAUAUUGCUGAAACACAACCAUCAGAAUUCCCUACAACUCCACCAUCUUUCCUCAAAACCAGCACCACAGACAUCUCAUCUUCAAUCGAACAAGCUUCGUCGACUUCCACUCCAACAUCAGCUUUAUCUGUUGUGUCAGUCGAUCAAAGCAGUGACAAAGGUCCCUCAUCUUUAAUGAAGAGAAAUCUUGAAGAAUAACUAGCAAAAACAAUAAAGCAUGCAAAGCUUGACUAAACUCUGCAGUCAAAAGGAAAAAUGACAAAGCUCCAAGAAUCAUCAACCCAAAAAUAGCAACUAAGCAUGAAUUACUUUUGCUUCAAACAACGGAUUGCUUUUGUUAUUCUGGUGAUAAGUUAGUACUUUUCACAUUUUCAGCUCUAUAUGCAUGUUUCUAAUCACCAAAAUAUACUACUUUAUGUAAAUUACCUUGACAUGUUUACAAUAUUAUCUACCUCUACUAAAAUCGCUUCUCUUACUGUAUAAUAGGGGCACCCCACGUCAAACGCGAGGUCUCACCACCUAGUAUAAAUACACGCGCGCAUCCACAAGCAGAGUAAUCUUUCUCCCUUGAACUAAUUCGAGGGCCGAUUUCUAUGACCCUUGGGCUAUGAGUAACUUGUGUAGUUGGGCCAAUAGGAAUAGAGGACAGUCCGGAACACGCCAACAAUGUUGGAUAUCCCACUAGACCCCAACUCAAAUUUUGAGUUUUAAAAGCAUUAAUAAUGUAAUGAUAAGGUUCUUGGAUGAAGUUUAAUGUCCUGCCCGUUCUUUUGUCAUAUUAAAAAAAAAUUAAUCUUCUCUACACCAACAGUAGUGUGUACAUUAUUACAUUUUGAUGAAUAUCACGUAUAUUGAAUUUAAAUUUCAAAUAUAAAUUUUAAUUAUGUGACAUUUUGCCUAACCAUGACAAUGUAUACAUUACUAGUAUAUACAAGAUUUGCUCAAAAAAUUAUUCAUAAAAGAAGUAAAUGAAGGGUAGAAACUUUUUUUUUUCUUGGCAAAUCCUAUGUACGAGGGAGAGAUGCCAGUCCUAAAUUUUAUUAAUAAUAAUUAAAAAUAAAAUUGAAGAGGGGGCAUAAAGCUUAACUUGAUCACAAUUAAAAACCAGUUACUAAAAAGAAAUAAGGACUAUUACUCCUUACAAGUUGUAGAUGCUAGAAAUUUAUGUUGAGUUUGACUGUGUAGGAAAAAAUUAAUCCAUAUUUUUCUUAUUGAGGAGUUGGGAAUUUAUUUGGGAAUAACUUGAUCCUUGUUCACCAAAUUUAAUGCAUCAUAAAUUUGGUAAUGUUCAAGUUUUCUCUUCUUUAAUAUGUGGACACUGAGUAUUGCUAGUCAUAGUUUAAGAUAUUAAUAAAUUUAUGGUGUAAGAUUACCAUGCUGUCUGGUGUAUAACAGAGCAAAAUGGGAUUUAGUUGUGAAACUUGGACAUCAUCAUAAUUGCAUUAGCUGAUGAUUGGUGAAUAGUGUAUUGAAUAUAGUAGCUUUCUGUAUGUUCCUUAUGACACUCAAUUUUGCUUAUUAAUAAAAUGAGUCAAUUUACAAAAGAGAGAGAGAGAGAGAGAGAGAGAGAGAGAGAGAGAGAGAGAGAGAGAGAGAGAUUAUUAUGCUGUCACUCUUUCACAAAUUCUUAUGUGUGCUUACUACUUCUCUCAAUUCUACAAUUCUGAGUUGAUAUCGCUUAACUUUAUAAAUAAGGAUUCUAGAAGUACCAUCCAAUUAAUAUCUCACCUAAGUUGCUUUUAAUAAAACUGAAAUCUGGAAUUUGAAAUCUGAAUCUAUUAAAUUAUUGAAUUGUUAAGUAUUAAAUCUAAUACAUUUAAGUGCAUAUCACAUUCAAUGAUAAGUGAAUAACUUAUCACUUAAUUUUGGAAACAAAUUUUGCCUAGAAAAUUUAGUGCCACUUAAUUAAUUCUGAUGUUUAAUUUUUGGUUAUCAAAUGGUUUGUAUAUGUUAAUUUGAAUCUAUUAAAUUCAAGUGCUGAAUUAGGUUAUCAAAUAAGGUCCUUGAACGUUGCUGUUAAUGGUAAUACUCCAAUACAAGGGAAUGCGCACAAAACCAAUAAAAUCAACAGAGGUCCUAUCAGAAAAGAGAUAAUUUUAUAAAUUUCUCUUGAGAUUUCUAAUAUUUUUACUUAGCAUCUCUUAAAUUUAAAAAUUUUUAACCUUUUAAAAUGUUGUCAAUCCGUUUCAAAAUAUAUUAUUCAAAAACUCAUUUUUUAUAGAGAAAAUAUUUUCAUUCCAAAAGUGUCCUCUGUUGCUACAAUCUUUUUCAAAAUUGAAAGCAUCCAAUAAAAGGUUAAACAUAAAAGCAAACCAUACAAAUGUGUAAUUUUAAUAGACACAAUAUAAUAAUAGUUAUUUUAAUAUAUAAAAAAAUUAGUUUUAAGAAUGUAUUCAUAGUGUUUUCAAGCCAAAAUGAUUAUUCCUUUAUUAUGAAGUGUUUUUUUGGUCAACCUGAAGAAUUUUUUUUUUCAAUUUUUUAGAAUUUUUAAAAUUUUCUGAUUUUCUUGUUUUGAUUGGUGGCUUGAAAACCAAGAAAAAAAAAGACAAAAUAUUUAUGUUUACAAACUCAUUUGAGGUUUCUUUAAAGAAAAUUUAUUUUUUAAUUCAAAAGUACUUGGGGAUGUAUCAAUUUAAGGAUAUAUGAAUUGUGUACAUGUUUUUUAAAUUUUUAAUUUUUUUUUGUCUAGAUCAAUGGCUUGAAAACUUAAAAAUGAUAAAUUUUAAACCAUGCAUUUAGAAACUUAUUUGAGGUAUUUUUAAGGUGUAAAAUGUUAUUUUCUUUAUUGUAAAAUUCUCAUAAAUGAGUUUUCUAAAUUAUUUAAAAUCUUAAAAGUUUAUUAUAUUUCUUGUAUAGACUAAUGAUGUGAACAUUAUUAAUAGGUCUUUCAACCUUGUUAUUCCUAAUUAAAAAAUCAUAUCAGCCAAGUUUUCAAAAGUUAAGGGAUUAACUAGAUUUGUUUCGAGUCAGAAUGGUUCACAAGAAAAUGGCAAAAUUGGAAUGAAAGUAUACUCUCUAUCGACUAAUAAAUUCUUUAAUAAUAUAUUUUCAAAUAGGUUGACAAUUAUAUUACUAAAAGUUAAAAAUGGGGGAAGCAUGUGAUAUGUUUCAAAACCAAAACAUAGUAAGUGAUAUAACCACAAACCUCGAGAAGGUUUCUAAAAUUAUCCCAUUAGAACAUGUAUAUCAACCUUUCAUUCGAGUUACGAGGAGUUGUUGUAACCGGAUUCUGAUACAGUAUUACAAGGCCUUCCUACCUCAAAAACUAACUCAAGGUUUGGGGGUUUUCCUCAAACUCAUAACCAAGAAGUUUAUCCUUUUUUACAUGUGGAUAAAUCUAACAAUAACAAAGAUGCAAUAGACCAUGAAUCGAGAAGAAGGGAAAGAACUGCGCCAUUCCCAUCGAAAUUCGGGAAUGAGAGGGAAAUGCUAAAAUUAUCAACCAAAAUCCAAAUGUAUUCCAAGACCCACACACUCAAGUCCAAUCAUACAAGAAUGAUUAAUGGGUUGACUGACUGAUAAUUGCGCAAAAGUUGCAAUGCAGGCCACUAUUUUGGAAGAAUCCUUUGAACUGAACAUUGCACUUGCAGCAUGAAUGCAUGCACCUCUAUCUGUCUUCUAAUUCGCUUCUGUUUUUUCCUUUCUACCCUUUGAGUUCUUAGUACAAAAUUGUUUUUCCCUUUCUAUUCUCAACAAAACAAAAUAAUUUCUUCUCAAAAAAAAAAAAAAAAGAAAAGAAAGAAAGAGACGGUUGGGCUAUCCGUCGUAGUUGGCUUAUCACUGAUGGGUCUAGAUGCUGUAGAAAGCUUCUAACUGGUGCACUGCCAAAAGGAAACGAUAUCGACUUAUCUAGCUUGAUCGCCACAAAGAUAUGGCUCUAAUCUUCCUUUAAGUUCUGAUAUCUCUGGAGGCUUGAGCUGUUGUCCAAUACGAAUGGAGGUGGAGUAAUAUUUUUCCAGAAAAAGAUUGGGUCACGCCACAUAACCAAAUAUGCUUCAUGGCAGGAUAUCUCCGCUCCAAUUUCUGCUCAACUUCCGGUCGACAAAAAAACACGCCUUGUGCCUUGUAGCUUCUCUUGUAGUCUCUCUUGGCUUGCUACCUAUUCAUUUAGUCGUUUAUCAAUCAUUUUGAUGUCCUUAAUUUGCUUGUAGUCUCUCUUGGCUUGCUACCUAUUCAUUUAGACGUUUAUCAAUCAUUUUGAUGUCCUUAAUUUGCUUGUAGUUGAAAAGUAACCGAUUCGCAGCAAAGACUUAUAAUCAAUAUGAUAGUUUUUUGCGGUAAAAAUUUUUCCAAUUUUUUGGGUGUAAAUGUAUUCCUAAUACUCUAUGACAACAAUGCUGCACUGGUUAUCACAUUCCCAAAUUUGAAGGUCAGGAUAUGACAUUAAACCUGUUUCUCAAGGCUAAAAUUCAUAAUUAAAUUAAGAUUUUUAAAAUUCUAAAGAGGGCAGUUGAUUUGUAAAAUUCUUGGGCCUCCCUCUAUUAAUUCAGCCCGUGCCUUGAAAGGCAUGUCAAAUUUUUUUUUUUUAAAUUUCUUCAUUCUAUUUCUAUGCAAGACUUUUGCUUGUAGUAUAUGAAUUAUUCGCGUCUUUGCUCAGCCGUUUUAUCAUUCUUUUUAUCCCUUUGAUAUGGUGACAAGUUUCCAAAUGUUUUCCCCAACAUUUGUGUCUAUUCAUAUGGACUUCAUUUACCUCAUAUUUUGGUUGGAUAUUGAAGAGCAAUGGGCAAAUAAUGCAGCGUACCAGGAGUAAGAAAAAGAAGCUGAAAAAAAAGUAGGGAAAAUCGUCCAAAACGUCCCUCACAUUUUAUAAAAUGACUUUUUUCGUCCCUCACUUUUAAAAGUGUAAUUUUAUGUCCCUUACAUAUUCACAUCGGUCAAAUUUAGUUCCUAACUAGGUUUCCGAUCAUUUUUUGGCCGGAAUCCAUCACAUGCCUUGCACGUGAUCAUUUUUGAAGGAUAAAUUUGUCAAAUUAUAUUUUACAUAAUCUAAUCUACAGUCCUCCAUAUUUUAUAAAACAAAUUUUUUCAUCCCUCACAUUUUAUAAAAUGAUUUUUUCAUCCCUCACAUUUCACAAAAUGAAUUUCUACAUCCCUCACAUUUCAAAAAAUGAAUAUUUCCAUCCCUUACUAAUUAUGUAUGUGAGGGAAACCUUAAAAAAAAAAGUGUGUGAAUACAUUUUGUUUAAACACAAGUAUAUGUCUAUUUGAUUUUGCUUAAUAAUCCGAAUAGCAUAAAUAUAUGUAUGUGUCUAUUUGAUUUCACUUAACAAUACGAAUACCAUAUAUUAUACGUGAUCAUUUGAUUUCAUCUGGUAUUAGCUAGUAAAUAAUCUUGCAUUCAUUGUCAAGUUGGCCAAUAAAGCUAUUUUCGGUUAAAAUACAAUAAGAAUAUGCAAAUUAAGGUUCUAUUGAUAAAUAUUAGUCAUAAUCAUACAAAAGAGAAGAUAGCCCACAAGUUGGACCCAAUUACAUACAUGUGUUUAUACUAUUAUUAUUAAGCAAAAUCAAAUAGACAUAUAUAUUGUUUAAAAAAUGUAUUCACACAUAUAAUUAGUGAGAAAUGAAAAAUUCAUUUUGUGAAAUGUGAGGGAUGGAGAAAUUCAUUUUGUGAAAUGUGAGGGAUGAAAAAAAUCAUUUGAUAAAAUGUGAGGGACGAAAAAAUUUAUUUUAUAAAAUGUGGAGGACUAUAGAUGAGAUUAUGUAAAAUAUAAUUUAACAAAUUUACCCUUAAAAAAUGAUGAUGGAUUCCGGUCAAAAAAUGAUCGGAAACCUAGUUAGGGACUAAAUUUGUCCGAUGUGAAUAUGUAAGGGAUAUAAAAUUACACUUUUAAAAGUGGGGGACGAAAAAAGUUAUUUUACAAAAUAUGAGGGACGUUUUGAACGAUUUUCCCAAAAAAGUAUAUAAAAAAGAAAGAAAGAAAGAAAGAAAGAAAAGACAGCAGAGAAUAUCUUCCUUCCCUAUCACAUAAAGUACUAACAUGAACCUGUCAUAUCACUUUGCAGUAGUUGUUUGCGCUUUUCUGCUUUCAUGGUUUAAUAACAUCAGUUUCGUCCACCUCCACAUGCAAUACGGAAAUAAGAAUUUCAUAUUAGUAUUUGUGUUCAAUGUCAGAGAAAUAUGACCCCCCCCCCCCAAACUCCCAACCCCCUCUCUCUCGUUCACUAAAUUUCCACAAGCCUAAAGGCUUGAAGGAUGACCUUGCAAAUGCACUAAAAGCAGAGGAAAGCAGAUAAGAGCCUUUACCAGGACAUAUGAUGCAGAACGAUCGAGUAUUGAGCUAACUUGGAAAGGUUUGCUUUUCUAGCUAGCUAGGGAGUGCUUUUAUUGCUUCAAGAAAGAAGCCUUGUUGAUUUUGUGAGGAAAAGGUUCUAUUGCAGUGAAGGAGGAGCAAAUGUGACCCACGGAAACAAAUUAAGCGGAUAACCCGCAAGCUCCUACGGGUAGCUCGAGCGGUCCCUUUCCCCUCUUUAGGGUAUGAUAACUUUCCUGAUAAUCAGAGUUCGAGUCCCACUGUUAACGCGUUUGGGGGAUGGGGCCUCUUCACCCGGAGUCAUGACCCGUAAGAAUUGAUUCGAACACUCGUUCCGUCUGAAAGAUAACCCGCAGGCCCUGCCUAGCUUGCUGGAUAGGAACAUCUACCCCGACCCUGCAACAACAGAGAAACAUGAUCAAGAUCAACUUGGCUUUUUGACAGAAUCCAAAGCAAACUACUAGGCGCAGUGCUAUUAGCUUUAUUACAGCCAACAAAUUGAGGACCCGAUCCAAUGCCCACCAUUUCUGGUCCCUCCCUCCAGUCCAUUGUCCUUCUCCACUGGUUUUACCUCUAUGCUGCGCAACCGGACAUCUCACUAACAGUCAAAUUCAAAUACCUACAACAAAAUCUCGAUCAGGGUGUGCUGAAUAAUCUCUACAUAUUCUAAAAUAAGAUUGAUAUUUGUUAAGUAGCACAAGAAAAAAUAAUAAUAAAAAUAUGAGCAUGCACUUAGGUAGGUUACGUCCAUUAACUAGUGUUCAACGUAAGAAUAUUUUGUUCGCCAUUGUGCCCUUCCAGUGAAGUAGUCAUAGUCUCUAUACAAGUUCUAGAUUGUCUAACUGCAGAAAGAAUCCAAUGAAAGACAUUUCCUGCAUCGAGGAUUCAAGGCCUAACCAACGACCGGAAUAGCGAUGACCGGGGGAAACAAGUGAGAGGAAAAUGGACAUUGCACAAGCCCAGCAAAAAAAGAAAAGGUGUUUAAGAUUCAAUCAGGCCGUUCAUUUUUUAUUGGACGACGGGAACUAUGAGAGGAAAUGAGUGAGAAACACAUAAGGGCCCCCCCACGGGAUGUGGGGGGUGAUGGAGCCAUUAGAUCCCGAGGAAGCUCCAUUAAUUAAGUCCGAGGAUCAUGACUGUGCGUGGUUGGAUACAUGGCAGCACUCAGCACGACUGCUGAAUGGGGAUGGAGUUGGCGAUUCUUGAAAAUUGGCUGUGAAUCAUCGUGUUCGGCAAUAUCAAAAGCACUAAGUUAUAAAUUGGAGGUCAUAUUGUACCAAACGAAAAGGAAAGGAAAAAAAAAGGCUGUGGAUCAUAUGAUUGGUUUCUGCGUUUUACUGCACAUAUAACACAAUGCUUACAAAGCGUUGGCGAAUUGGAAAGGUGUAAAGUUGAUGGGGAUCAGGGAAUAGUGGACUAUCAAUUCAAGAGACGACACGAGAGAGAGAGCUGAGAAGGACAAAGCACAGUACAAAGUCCAAGAGCAAAUUGUUGAGAUGAGAUGAGAUCAAAGAGUCAAGCUAGCUUGGCAGCUAGGUGAAUGAAUGUCGGGGGUUUGGUACUGUAUCACAUAUCAUACCAACCAAUUACAGAGUCGCGUCAAGCAGAAUCAGGAGGAAACCAUCGAACUUUUCGUACUAUGGUUCAGUAGCAUCGAAACGACAUGCGAUCCUUUCACGAUCAAAUAUUACUACUUUUACAACUAUUGUCCAACUUUUGUUAUCCUAUUCAGAUUACCACCAUUAGCUAGCCUAGAGCACGGCAAAAUUUUGGCAGGGGAACGUUGAUAAGAUGCCUGAAUUAUAUAUCACCUUGCCUGUGCUGUGCCUAUGCGUUGCGUCGCAGGAUAGCGUUUAAUGCGGGCGUAAUUAAUUUUGUUGCACGACCACUUUAAAUUCUUCUGAUCACAUGUAUGUGUAAUAAGCCUGUGUUGUCGCAGUGGGGUUGAGGAUCCAAAAUGCAGGUAAGCAAGCACUUGACAAAGUUUUAGGCAUCUUGAGAUUUGUUGCGCGACGGGGACUUGCUUGCUCUAACUUGUUCUCUACACUACAAAAGAGGUUGGAUGUUUUGACCUCUUAACUUAGACUCCAAAUUCCAUGGAAAAGCUAACCUUUCAUGCAUUUGCCGGUAACAAAACCAAUAAUGAUGUGAGGAAAACAGAGAACUGAAUAGGUCGUCGUUAGAAAAGGUUGUUUGUUUAGAGUUUAGAGCAAUUCUUAUGAUUGAUUAGGGUGUGUGUGUCACUGUGUGUGUGUGUGUGUAUAUAUAUAUAAUUAAAAUUAUAAUAAAGUAAAAAGGGUAUGAUUGGAAUUCGGCUGAAUAGAAGAAUCCAUGGGGAAGCAAACGCAGCAACAUCUCGUCAAAAAUGUAUGCAUGCAGGUACGUGGGUGUGGGGCGAGGGCUCACUGCUUGGGCUGUCACCUUACACGUGUCGGCCAGUUAAACCUUGCUACCACUAGACCAAGACCCCCCCGGGCUGCCUGAGGCCCAAUCAACAGAAUAGUGGGGCCUUAAACGGCCUUCUCCAUUCUCCAUUUCCCUUUCCCUCCCAGCCCCGAUGUCCCCAGUUGAUUUCCCACUAAGCCGUUUUAGCCAAGGAGGCAGCUAUAGCCUUCUUCUUCUUCUUCUGGGCAAACACUCAUUCUUCUUCUUCUUCUUCUUCUUGUUUGAGACCAGAGAUCACAUUUCACCACUACUACCUAUUACUAGUACCCAAAUGAAGGUCAUAUUUUAUCCUUUCCCUCUAAUUACAUUUCUUCUCUGAUUUCUCAAUUUAAGUUGGCUAAUGCUCUGUUUUCUAUGCAUAGAUCUUCAAUUGGGUUCACCGUCGCUUUAUUCCUAGAGGUACAUAUUUUUUGCUUCUUGUUUAAAUUAAUUAGUGGCACACAACAUUUUUGGGUAAGGUGUAACACAACACAUUUUGAUCAUCUUUCUAAUUUUAGACUGCUACGCUACUACUACUACUACUUGACUAUUUUCUUCUCUCUGUCUUUUUUAUAAUAAUUUUUUUAAAAAAAUUAUACAUUUUUUUUAUAAAAUUUUUCUCCACGAAUGAUGAUGGCAGAUGGAUUGGGUCAGAACCAUGUGAAAAAGCAUGAAGAGAUCCCCCUGGCUAACAGCAAUGAUGAUCAUGCAGAAGACACAGCAGCCCUACUGCUCGACAAGGUUGUCCCGGAUGAUGAUGAUGAUGAUGAGAUGCUCCAACUGUUCCAGGGUCACAAUUAUGAUGGUUGGGGCGGAGCUGGGGCUGGUAUUCUAUCCAUUGGCACAUUUGGGCUCGACAAAACUCUGGGCAUCAAUAUUCAUCCUGAACCAAAUACUAAGGAGUUUUUCGGGCUGAGAGGUAAGGAUGACGAUCAAGAACCGGAAUCAGAAGAUGACGACGACCGACACCGCUCUGACGAGGAGGAGGAGUCUGAUCAUCAUGGUGCUGUGGAAGACGAUAAUGAUGAAAUCGACUGCGAAGAAGAAUGGAACCCUUUGGUGUACGACAAAAGUGGUGCUCAAAGGCCAACCAAUGCUUCUGCCCUCGUCAUCGGCAACAGCAGCAUUCAUAAUGAUGCCAAACCUGUGCGUCCUCCAGGUAACCUCCUCCAGCUGCAGCCGGACACCCCUGAUCACGACGAGCACAUCCAUAGCAACUACUCCAGCUACAGGAGGAUCAUGAUCAACACCAAGAAGGAGAAGGAAAGAAUCACUCUGGCCGACCUGUUUUCCGCUGAUUCUGAUGAUGCGAUUUGGAUGGAGGGGACUGCCAAAAACAACAUCCCAAGUUGUGAUUACUUGCAAGCGCAGUGCAUCAAGAACAAAGCCGCCAGUGCCACUCCGCACCCUCCUGACCGUGCUAAACCCAAGAACGGAACGUUACUGUUCCCCAAGAAACUCAUCCCUCUGGUCAAACAAGAUUCACGUCCCAUUCAGAAAUUGCACGGGGUGAGUCGGUCAUUUUUUAAUUUCACUCUCCCUUUAUCCUCCUCAAGCUUUUGGAUCGUGCGAAAUUGCAUGCAUCGACACAACUGCUGCAUGGUCCACUUGAUUUGGAGAUAACUGAUUGAUUCUCCUUGUAACUUGCUAUCACAUCUAAAUAAUAAUACUAGGAUUUAAUUAAUUAAACAGCGCUAAUUAUUAACUGGCAAUGGACGUAUGUGUACGAAUAAAUAGCGCCAAUCUAACCGACUGCGUUAAAACAGCUGAUGAAGAGGAUGUUGAAGAGAAAAAUUCACCCGGACGUUGUGGCAGCUGGGAAGAACAACACCUGCGCUGCCAAUCGUCAGUUUGGCAUCAAUGAAUCGGUUUCCCUUCUUCAAAGUCAAGGUAUCGUAAUUUUUCUCCAAUUCCUUGCACUUUAACCCAAUUAAUUAACUAUGUGUUUUUUCUAUACCUAUUAUAUCAUAUGGAAAAAUAAUAUGCAUAUGGUUUCUACGACUUACAUUGCUAAAACGAAUCAGCGAAGCACAUUGGUUUGGGUUUGCACCAAGAAUUGUCUUGAAAAUCUAGUAGCUAAGAUUGAGAUUCCAGCAAAUAGAGGUGAUCGCUUCGUAUUCGUGCUCCCUCCCCCCCUUCUUUCAUCCCACUCAUUCUUUGUUAGAAUUCUUUUUCUCUACCAGAAAAAAAAAAAAAAAAAAAAAAAGAGUGUACAUUGGUUUACGCGUGUUGGAGUUGGUCCAGUCAGUGGCACUAGUUUUUUAAGGUAAUUUUAGAAUUAGGUGAACUAUAUAUUGAUCACGCGACAUUUUCAUGAAGAACAAAACUGAAAGCAACAGAAAGAGGGGUGAAAACAAGAUUUAACAAGUAAACUAAACAAGGAACAAGUUUUCAUUUGUUUAGUUCAAGUAAUCAAAAGUCCAAGAUUACACGAUCGGUGUACAGAGGUACAAAGUCUCAUUCUUAUUAUAUUUACAGCAGAGCAAAUAUGUGAUGGAAGACAUCGUACACCGAACUAUUAUUAUAUCAUGCAUAUUUGUAAUGCACGAAAUGUAAAAUUAAUUUUGCAAUGAGACAUAAAUUAAUUUGUGCACCAUUUAAACCUACUAAAAUUAGAGUUCCAGACAUAAAAAAUUCUAAGCUCAGCAGUGCCAGUUAAAAGUACUAUGGUGCAAUGAGAUUUUUUUUUUUUUAUGUGGAUGAUGAUGAUGAUCAUAUCUCAUACCCUGGAGUUUGAUUCCCCACUCCACCGUAAAAUGGGUCCCUCCAGAAAAUAACAGAAAGAUGAUUCCAACUGGAAAGUUGAGCAGCAACAAUUAGUGUCUCAAAUUAUCUUUCUUUUCUUCACCACCACCAAAUUUUCAGACUCUGCAUGAACAAGAACAUUGAUAAUUGUGGAAAAGAUGCAACUAAAUGUAGCUCAUCUGCUACACCCCACUUGCUGCUUUUGAAAUAAUUCUCCAUCACUUCACAAUGUUCUUUUGCUAUCUUAAUAAUGUAGGUGAACAGUUUGCAAUGAAAUGAAAUGUAUGGGUGAGAUUCAUAAUAUACGCAUAAAAACUUGGAACGUAGAAAUGAAUCUCAGGAUCCUGACCAACCAGGACCUUGCACCGGAUCAUGUCCAGAAAUCUUCAUUUCAACGUUCGGUCUUGGAUUCGGUUUGGAUUGCUAGUGAUCGGGUCCUGGCUCUGGUUUUGUGCACUAAUGGGACCGGGACUGAAUCUUCACUAACAGUCAUUUAUUUUUUGGAUUAAUAACACUUUGCCUCCCUGAAUUUAGGGGCUAGUUACACUUUAUCUCUUUUAAUCUUAAAUAUACACACUUUAUCCCCCCGGUAGAGAUUAGUCCAAAUUAUUGCCCUUUUAUUCAUGAAAUUAUCUAUAACUCAAUAUCAUUUUCUUUUAGUGACUAAAAUACUUGCAUCUUCUCUAUCUUCUAGACAAAAAUAUCAAACUAAAUAGUUAAAGAAGGUUGAUAUUUAAUUUUUUUAUCUUUCUUGUUGGAUUAAUGUUCUCUUUUAUGUAUGCUUUGUUCAAUUCAUUAGACUUUAAGUCAAACAAAAAGGAUAAAUAACUCACUACUAAAUUAAAUAUAUUACCUUUUUUUUAAAAAAAAGGUAAUACUAAACUUUUUUUCUAAAAAGUAUUUUUUAUUAUUUAAAUUUAUUUAAAUUUUUAGAUUAAUAUUAUUGUCUUUUUUUCAUUUAUCAGAUUAGUCCAAUAUUAAAUUCUUAAUCAAAAUUAAUAAAAAUGGUUGAUAUGCCUCAUUUUUAAACUUAGAGAACGAGAAUGGAAAUUAAAUCAAAUUUCAAAUUUUUUAGAAGAAAAGACGACAAUAGUAUUAGCCUAAAAGUUCAUAUAAACUAAAAUAAAAAGUACUUUUUUGAAAAAGAAAAAACAUGGUUAGUAUUACCUCUUUUUUAAAAAAAAAUGGUAAUUGUGUCUAAUUUAGUAUUAUAUUAUUUAUCCUAGCUUUUUUUAGUUCAGCAUUGUUGCAUGGUUGGUACAAUAGAGAAGAUAUAUAUUUUUAAGUAAUGAAAGGAAAUAAUACCAAGUUAUAGGUAAUUUCAUGAAUAAAAAGGUAAUAAUGUCAUUGCACUCACUUUUUUUGUAUUUCUAACUUUGACUAGUCUUCAUUGGGGGUAAAGUGUAAAUAUUUAAGAUUGGAGGGUAUAAAAUGUGAUGAUCCACUAAGUUCAGGGGGCAAAGUGUUAUUAAACCUAAUAUAUUGAGUGCUUUUUUUUUUUUUUUUUUUUUAAAUCUCAACUAGCGGUUGUUUUAGUAACAAAUGGUGUAUUUUCAUGUGAAAUAAUUACUUAUCAUUAGAGAUAAUUGUGGAACAUUGUUUUCUAUAAAUUAACAAGCCUAUUUUACAAAAUAACUAAGCUAAAUAAUUUGAUCAUUUCUUAGUGAAAAAACUUGAUUUUUUUAUUUCAAAUUUGCUCUGUAUCUUAUUGUAUCUUAAGGGCAAUUUUGGCUAUCAUGCCUUAAGAUCAUCAAUCAAACCCCCAUUUUGUUUAAUUGAAAUUCAGUGUUCAUAAAUUUCUAUAUUCUUGGUACUUCGUGUAUCAUUAACAUCAACAAAUAACUCCAAAAUCAAGUGUAAUGCUUUAUAGCUGCGUAAAUUAGCUAGAAAAGCAGACUAUCUCAAUCGAAACUGUAAUUCUGAGUGCUUAAUGGAAUUUCAUGUGGAUAAAAUCUGUAACUUCUGCCCCCCAGUAUUACCCCCUCUCCCCAAAAGAAUCCCUCGAUACAUGAAAGGGAAAAAAAAAUUUCUUACCUAAAAAAUAUAAGAAAUAAAAAUCGAUAACUUCUUGAUCUUAGGAUUAUUUUUUCUCAAUUAUUUUGUGCUAAUUGUGUUCUUAUUAUUCCAGGUCAAUUCUGUGCAGAUAAAAACAUGUGAGCUGUGAGCAAAGCAGCUACCUACCAUGUCUCAGGAGAUCCUCUACUUUGCAGCUCUCUUAGAGAACAAGUAUCAAUUUAAUCUACCUUUGGUGAUUUCUGUCAUGACGAGAUUAAUAGUCUUUUGUGAGUUUAGUCACUUCAAUCGCUUUGAAAAUGCUGUGUCAUUCGAACAUCUUAUUUGGGUUAUCUGCUUUAGCUGCCGGUAUUUGGUAUGAACAGAUGGCGUUUGUUGUCAUGCAUCUGUACGUAUGAUAUAUAUUCGCUUGUACUUCCUCUUUUUUUUUUUUUUUUUUUUUUUUUGGUUUUCUCUCUUAUAUGUAGAGGUUUUGAUUGAUGUAUAUAUAACAUAUGGGCAUAGGGUGCAAUUAAAUCGCGUAUGAGCAAAAUCUAUGAUCAUCAUUAACAGUGAUAAUUACCUUUACCUCCAAGCACAGAGGUACACCUGUAUCUGUGGUGCAUUAAAUAUUUCUUCUCACAAAUAAGUUGCAAACCAUUAUUGUUUCUAAAAGGGAAAAAAAAAAAAAAAAGGUUAUUCGAACGUAUGAUGCUUCGUAUAUUUGAUUUUGUUCUCUUAAGGACACUGUUUUCAACGUAUCAUUGAACAAACCAACCAAUACACAAGCUACUAGUAGAUUUAUAUGAAUGAAACUAUUGACCCUCAGCGCCUUGACUACUUAAACCUGUAUUACUUGGAUGAUAGCUAAGGCAGAAUUGGUACUUUUCUUCCAAAGGACCCAAAAUUUUUUUCUUGCUGGAGAAAGCUCCAAUGAGCGAGCUGCUUUAAUACAAUAAUGUUUCAAUGUCAAAGUUUUGAUUGAACCUUUGUGAAUUAUUGAAGAUGAUGAUCCACAACUUUAUGUAGAAAAUGUUAUUGCUGUGUUUCUUCUCCCACGGAGAAAGUGAGACGGGGGGAGUAUUUUUUGUGACGGGCAUAUCUGUCCUGAUGCCAUCUCUACAUCGGUUUUUCUUCUUCUUCUUUUUUAAAUUAAAAAAAAAAAAAACUGUUUAAGAACUCUGAGAAAGCGAUUGGAACUUGUUCCCAAGCCAUUGUCAACGGCUGUUAUCAGACUUUUGUUGAAAUAUAAACCUAAUCCCAGAACAGCACUCAAAAGCGAAUAUCAGACUUUUGUUCCCAAGCCAUUAAACUUGUUCAAUUGGUGGGCUUUGUGGGCGCGGCCGCUGAAACAACCCCCGUGCGAUGCACGAGGUGAAUAACUAGUAUUAUUAAAUUCCAUGCAUCCAGAACAAGCGAACCCAGGUGCGGUGGUUACUCAAUGCAUGGAAGAUGCUUAAUUAUAGGCCAAAUUAAAGCAGCGAUUAAUUUCUUGAGCCCCCACCCCACCCCACCCCAUGCCACCCCAUCAUCAUAAGACAUAAGAAGAGCAGACAAUUCUAUCAUUGUCCCUUCAAUCCUUGUGUAAAAAUAGUAGUAGUAGGGACAUUAUGUGCACUGAUACCAAUCAUUUUAAACUAAUCAAGUACUGUAUUAUUACAAGAGGACAUUAAUUAUAGGGUUGGGGGGGGGGGGGGCGUGGGGUGUUUACAAAUUACAAGACAAGAACUGGCUUGGUACCAUUACUUAGUAGUAGUAGUAGUGCUGGUGGUGGUAUAAUUAGUUAGUAUCACGGGGUAGAAUGUAAAAUUCUUCUUCUCCCUCUCGAAUUAUUAGCACGUUCCUUCCAAAAAAAAAAAAAUUACUGUAUUAUAUAAAUUAUACUACUACUUCGCUGGAUACCCUCUUCUACUGCAACUGUCUCUGGACUCCGAAGCCCAAAGCUACUGCUGCUGCUGCUGCUAAAGUAAAGAACAGCCAUACACAUAACAAGCUUUUCUGGGCUCUCCCCCUCAUCAUGUGAGUCUGCUAAUGCUCUUGUUUUAAUGCUCCUUUGCAUAAUAUGUAGGUCGUAAGAAGCUUCUAUGAACUAACAUUAACUUGCUGGCCUCCUCUCUCGUUGGAGCAGAUUCGAAGAGAUGACAGAUCGUAGAGUUUAUGUCUUUGAUGAGGUUGCAAGGCACGACAAAAGGGGGGACACCUGGCUUAUAAUCUCCGGGAAGGUUUGCAUCAAUUCUUUCUGGUCUUUCAUUUUUUUUUUUCCCUCGUCCCCUUCGUUUUCCUCUUCUCAACAAGUUUGAAGAUGUGUAGUUGGUAAAAGUAGGCAAGGCCUAGGAUAAAGUUAUAAGUAGUACGUUUUUAUUUUUGUUAACCCAUUUUGAUUCCUUCCUUGGUGGGAAUUGUUCGAGUCGCAAAUGAAUUCGAAUUUGGAUUCAGGAGUAUUGCUUGGGUCCUUUUCUUCUCUCGUAAUAUUGCUUCAGAAGCUAAAGAUCACUUGUGGGAUCAAGAAUCACCAUGUUCUUCUUUUAAUUAUCAGUAAUAGAGGCAAGAAUCCAAAAUGCCCCUUCCUCUUUUUCUUUUCUCUUAAUGGUAUCUAUGUUGCAUAGCCAUAUCUAUUGCUUCUCUUGGUCCUUCAUAUCCUGGAUAAACAUUUCAGUGUAGCAUGACAAGUGCUUGUCAUAAACUGCAGAAAGAGUUACUUGUCAUAAACUGCUUCUCCUGGAUCCUUCAUAUCUAUUAGAAAUUUUUCCUGGAUCUGAGUCCAGCACAUAAACUGCAGAAAUGAGUUACUUACUUUUGGGACCAUUUGGUCAAUUACUGUCACAAACUAAGUUAUCUUGGUCCUCUAUACUCUCAAAAUCAGCUCAAGUUGUUGCAACUGAGAUCUCUCGAGUCACAGAGUUAAAACCUACACUCUAAAGCCGAUGAUUUUCCUUUUAAGGAAAUCUUCCUGAAAGGCCAGACUGAAAUGAAGAUGCAAUUUGGGUAGAUUUAAACAUUAGCAUUUGGAGAAGGUGGAUUGGUGCUUCCAGUGAUCAUAGCCAUAUUUUUGAAGGCAAUGCAUAAGCCUGUGCUCACUACUCAUUGGUGGUUUUGUUCUCUUUCCCCAAGCUGCUUCUUUGUGUUGACAUUUAGCUUACCAAACCUGCCUUAGGUAUAAAAACCUUGCAGAAGGCCCAGGAUAACAGGUUGUUGGUUCUACCGUGGGUUUGUCUGAUAAGUGCAUUAGAUAUGACUUGAGAUUCUGGAUGUUGUUAUAGAAUAAUUGACAUUUGAAAUGCGUCUUACAACGGGGAUAUAACCUCAAUUACUUUAAAUUCAAAAUUUUGAUGCAUCUCCAACGAAUGAAGAAAGCUAAAUUCAGUUUUCAAAGGAGGGCUUCAGUUUUCAGAGGAUGCAGCCCUCCCUGACUUUCUAGAUGAAUCAAUGAAUUAGCUUAAAAAGAUCCUUGAUAUGGAACAUCAGAAUAACAAAAAAAUCUAUCUUUAGAAAUCAAAUUUAACUUGCCCAAGUUUGGAGUUUAAACUGCUAAAAGAAAGAAAUAUCAAUUAGACUUCAAAAUGGUAGGAAUCCAUUUGGCCUCGACAAUUUUGGAUACAUAAAUUUUGUCUUUGUAUCUGUGUCUUAAUCUUCAAAUUCUCUAUGCACUUUUGGGUUGAAAUGCUAAUAUCUUGGUUCCAGAAUUGUGUUCUACAUGCAGUAGAGUGCAGACUUGAGACAGUUGAAAUGCUUCAUCUUCCAUGACAUUAAGAAAAGGAAGCUUCUGAUUUUUUGUUCUUUGGUAUUUUAAAUUCCCAAACAACAAAGUAUACCAGAAUUGUAAUCUUUCACUGACUAGUUUGGCUUCCACUUUCUUUGAAUGCUCUCUUGUUCUGUUUUUAAUUUAAUGUAAUCAGAAUUGGGAAGAAAAUUUCCAACCUUCUUGUCUCACACAUCUGAUUAAACUUUGGGGUCCUUUGGCUUUAUCUGUUGGAUACUAUGGCCCCCAGUAUCUAACAAUUAGCAGCCUCCCAAUGAAGAUUAGGAGGUGGGCAGUGUCUUCGCCCAUCUUUACUCAUUAAGCACCUGCUUUUUUAGAUUUAUUAGCUUCUUCUCAGCUUCUUUAUCCCGUGAGCUUCAUAAGAUUGCAAAGCACAAUCUUAAAGCAACCAUUUUCUGACGGGUGCCUUCUUAAGGAUUUGGCAGUGAUCUGUCCUCAUCCUACACACAUGCAGUUUCCAUCUUUAUUUAUUGGUGUUCCAGCUGUGUGAAUAGAGAGACCUGCAAUAUGCUUAGAUGCUAGCUGUUUCAGCUUCCGUUUAUUUGAAAAUUCGGAUUUUUGAUAGUGUUUUGGUACAGACCUUACAGCUAUCUUUGCUACACUAGCCUGUCAUAGAUAAAACCUAUAAACAUAGAAAAAAUCGCACUUGAGUUUCUUUGUAUGUUGUAGACUAUUUGUCACUCCAGAAUCUGGCUCUUGAGCCUUCUCUUCAUCCAAUCGAGUGGUAUGUGCUCCAGCUUGCUGUCAUUUAAGCUCAAAUAAGUUUCCAAUCCCAAAUGACAGAGACGUGAAAAUGACAUCAACCAAGAAAUCUUGGCAGCAGUGCUGGUGGUGUUGUGUGAAGUGGCAUGGAGAAAGCAAAUGUAAAAGAGGCUUAGGCCACCGUUUUAAGAUGUGGAUUUACCAAUAAUUUAUGAAAAGAUGACUCUUAAGUUCUUUAGUGUAACGGCCCAUAAUUUGUUGCUAUACUUCUGCGAUACACAUUCCAGUGGUUAUGUUGUUUACUUGUAAUCCUGCAUUUGGUUUUAGGUGUACGAUGUGUCCUUAUUUCUGGAUGACCAUCCCGGGGGUGAUGAGGUCCUGCUUGCAGUAACUGGUGAGAGGUUCAUCUUAUUGAUCCAGCUUAAAAGUCUAUUCAUGAUGAUCUUCUAAUGUUAAUGUUAUCAGUUUUUAUACCUAGCCAAGACUCUUUCUGAAUUUUUGCAGGGAAAGAUGCCACAAUUGAUUUUGACGAACAGAACCACAGUGAGGAGGCAAGGAAAAUGCUGGUUGGCUACUACAUUGGUGAUGUAGACAUAUCGACUCUUCCAGUUGAACAUGAAGAUACAACUGAAGAAGCAGCGGCUUCUGCAGGAAUCCAGACUUUUGGAGGUUUGGUUAAGAUAUUGCAAUUCCUGAUCCCCCUGAUCAUCCUGGGAUUAGCAUUAGCUCUCCGCCAGUACAAGAACAAGGAAUAGGCAAACCAUUUGAUGGUGUUGUUAUACCGAUGCCCUUGAUUGACUUGCGUCUGCCAUUGGAAUAAUGUUAAUUUGCAGUCCAUUGUGUUUGUUGUAAGUUGUAUACCUUCAAAACCGAACCACAAACCUUUCUGUUUUUCUGCUUCCCCCCUUAGCUUCUCCUUCACAUCUGCUGCGCUUGAAUUUCAUUACUGGAUCUGAUUUGUUAUAAUUUGUUAUUUAGGCUAUAAGCAUCUGAUCUCGAAGCUUAAAUCCUCGCACAUGCAUUAGUGAAAUGUGGCAGGGGCCGAUGGUUGAAAACACGGCACGAAAAAUGGCAACUCAACAAAAGAAAGAGCAGAUGCAAAGGAUGAGACGCCUGCAAGAAAUAAUUAAAAAUCAUGUCAAAUGUUGAGAGACGAAACAGGCGCCCGCAUACGUUCAAAAGGGGGAGAAAAUAGAAGUCAUCUUGUUGGGAUUUUUUGCCUUUUCACCUUUCACUUUUGGGUGGGGUCUAAAAAGAACACGAUGGUUAUCAACAGGGCUGAGAAUGAAAAAGCAACGGUCAACCGAUCUUAAUAUUUUGGGUUAUUAUCACUUUAUCUCCUUAAAUUAUAUCAUUUACUAUCAGUUUACUUACUAACGCUAUCUUUUAGUCAUUUCGCCCUUCAUAAGUAAUUCAACUCAACUCAUUACAAAAUUUUAGACAAAAAUACCCUUUUACUCUAUAGCAUUACUAUAUUAUUAUUAUCACUUUAUUCCUUUAAAUUAUAGUGAUACAUUCACUUUAAUUCCUAACAUUAUUUUCUACGUAUUUUAUCUCAUCGUUAAUCUAACCAGUAUGAUAAAAUUUUUAAAAUAUAUUUACCCUUUUUUAUAUAUAAUUAAAAAUAAAAAAUUGGAAUGUUUAUUCUUCCUUUGUUUUUUACUUUAAGAGAUCCAAAAACACAAAAAGUAAACAGAUUUUCUUAAAUUUUUUCACACUUAUUAAUACUAGGAAAAGAAAAGGAAACAGGAAAGAAGGAGAUAUAAAAUUAGAUUUUACAAAAAAAAAUAAAGAAAAUAAAGAAGAGUGUAACAUUAUCGUAUUACUUUAAGGUUGUCGGGAUUAAAAUUGAAAUUUGGUAGUAAACAGAUAAGUGAAAUAAUUUUAAAAUAAUAAAAGUAUUUAAUUCUUUUUUAUUUGUUUUUUUUUAAGAAAAAUGAAUUGAGCUCUCUUUCUCCCUCUCCCUCUCUUUCUAUUCUUUUCAAUAUUAAUAAGAUUGUCAAGAAGAAAAAGAUUAAUACUUCGACUUUUUUUAUACUAAAAAGAAGAAAAAUCACUCUAAAUUUUUUAUUAUUUUUAUUAUACAAAGAGGAGGGUACUUUCUUCUAAAAUUUUUAACUUGCUAAGUUGAUUUAAUGAUGGGAUAAAUUGCCUAAAAAAUAACUCUAUGGGAAAAAUUAAUAAUGAGACCAUAGUUUAUGGGAUUAAAGUGAUAAUAAUUUUAAGAACUAAAUAUGUCUUUUUACUUUACUUAACAAACUCCUUUAAGAUUGACUGUUAGUUUUGGAGAUAAAGUAAUUAAAAAGUAAUGUUAAGAAGGAAUUUGAUAGUGGUACCGGAUAUUAAGAAAAUAAAGUAAUAAUAACCCUAAUAUUUUGUAGAAGCUCCCAAAUCAAUUAUCGUAUCCCAAAGAGCACUUUAAUAUCCGUAACAAGGAAUGGCAUUAUUAUUGGGGAACACAAUACUACUACAAAUAACUCGCAGGUAUUCGUAGCAUAUAGUGCUUCUGAAUUAUAUCGAGAAUCUAGCAGCAUUAAUGUCGAGCAUGAUCCUCAAGAAGUACUUCAUCAGUUCACUGAAGCCUCUUCCGGCAAGAAGAUAAGUCCACUGAUCAGUACAGGAAGAACUGAUGAAUUACUUUUCUGUAGCUAGUUGGGUCCCAAGGGAUUUGCUUCUUGAAGAAGCGCGGAGCUUCCCCGAGGAGAGCUGACCUGAUCAGCUCGGGGUGUCGAUGGGAGAGCUGAUCCAAGACCUGCAAAACAGAGAAGAUGAGCUAACAAAGGGGGCCCGAGGGUUGUCCCCGAGGGCGCUCCGACGGCCAAGUUAGUUUUCCGGUGAGUAAGGUUCACGGGAAGUAGCAACUGUCCGGAGUAAAUUGCCAAUAGUCAGCGUACCUUGUACAGUGGAUGUGUGCUAUUAUUUAUACCUGCGAGGGAGUCCGACCUCCGCACGACGCGGGACUUGCCCAGUAUAGAUAUUAUCCCGCACUUAGGGGGAUUACUCCCGACCUCUUCGGGACGGACCUUCGUCUCCCCUGGGAGCCCUAGCCAGUGCGGCCCAGGGCUGCUGCCAGGGGUCUGGGGGCCAAGGCCCAGCUCGGCCAUUCCUGGGCUGCCACGUGUCUGGGCCCGGAGUGGGGCCUCUGCACUAGCCCCCUAGAUUAGGUAGGACUGUCAGGCAGACCUAAUCUACCUCUGCCACGUGGGAGGCCAGAGCCGCGCACUACUCUGCCGAGGUCACUUCUGGUACAGUGCUGUCACAGGGACGCUGCGCCCGCGUCCUUUCAGCUGUCCCGCCUCUUCGGUUUUCGUACCAGCAUUAAAUGCGUUCACAUGGGGGUCGGUUCAAAUUCACGCAACCGUUUUCCCUCCACUCUUCCCCCUAUAAAUAGGGGAUGCCAAAUUCUCAUCUGUCCCAUUUGCCAUUUCCGCUUCCUCUUGUGCAUUUCAAGUUAUCACGCUCCCUGUGCACUUACAUUUCCAUUUUCCAGCAACCUCCGGCGUCCUGUGCCCAGAUUCCGGCGAGCCUUCAGUCCCUCUUCUGCCGUUCUCAGUAAGUCCUUUUUGCGAUUCAUCUUCCCCCUCUGCAGUGUCUCUUUUGCCCUCUGCUACCUCCCACUUUUUAUGUCGGAUCAUUCCUCCUCCUCUGUUGCUGUAGUAUCAGUCCGCCGCAGAGCUCCCCGAAUCAUCGUUCUUUCCUCGCCUUCACCCUCAUCUUCGUCACCAUCUUCUCCUCCCCCUCUCUCCCCUUCUUCUUCUUCUAGUCCCAGCUUUCACACCUCAGACCUGCCCGAACCUACUGACACCAUGAGCUCUCAUUCACCCCAGUCCCCUUCAUCCCAUCCUUUUUCUGCCCGCGCUCUAGAGGAAACGGCCGAGCUCGACGCCUACCUCGAGCGAGAGGCCGCAACCACCUCCUCCCCCCAGUCCCCCCAUGAUUCCCCUGGCGGGGCCCAGGGCGGAGCUGGGGAGGACAGGGAUCCCUCUGAGGGGACCCCUACCUCGGAGCAGGGGGAGGAUCCCGAAUUCUCCUAUGGUUACCCAGACCUACAGGAGGCCACCCUGUUGCCCCAGGACGUGGUCGAGCUGGCCGAUUCGUACUCCAUCCCUCCGGCCUUCGAGCCGAGGGCGGCCGGGCCCGACGACCGAGCCUGCCGGCCUCCCCCAGGCUUCGUGGCCAUCUACAGGGAGCAGCUCAUCGCAGGGCUCCGUCUCCCCAUUCAUCCAGCUCUGACCAAUAUUCUGACCUACUGGGGGCUCAGAAUCACCCAACUUCACCCUACCUCCAUCAGGAUCAUCACCAGAUUCCUGAUUUACUGCCUUCUCUGCGACAUCCCCUACUCUCUCUCCCUUUUCCGAGUCGCCUUCAUUCUUAAGUCCUCCCUCCCGGGGUGGUACUACUUCUCCCGUCGGGGCCCCCAGACCAAGGGAGGGAAAGGGGCCCAGGAGUUGUUCUUCGGCCUCCCCUCCUCCGUUAAGGAUUGGAAGGAGGAUUUCUUCUUUGUCCGAUCUACACAUUUUCCCCCCAAUGUGUGGAAGGUUGGGAGGGUAAAGGCCGACCCCUACCCGAAGGACCUGGACUUCGAGACCCUCGGCCCGCUGUUGGGCUCCAAGGUGAAGCUCGAUGUUACCAGGAUCUCUUCCGAGCAGAUCUCCGCAGCAGGGCUGAUGGGGACGUUGUCCGGAUCCUCUGGGGAAGUGGCGACCCCCCAACCCAAACUCGACACCUGUAACGCUGGCUCUGUCCCUGUCUUUAUUCAUAGCGUGUAGAUUUUUCCCUUUUUUGCCUUUUACUGUCUUUCGUUUGGCUGACCUGGUGGUUUUUGUUGCAGUAAGGAAGCUCUCCCAACUGCUGGGCGCAUCUCUCGAGGAGGCCACUCCCGACCCGCAGAGCGGAGCUGCUCGGGGGGCCCCAGGUGGGGCUUCCACCCCGGGGGGCGGCUCAGCCCCCCAGAAGGAGACAUCACAACCAUCCCCCUCCAAGCAGGCCGCCAGCAAGAAGAAGGCGGCCGGACAGAAGAGGGGCAGAGGGGACGAGCCCUCUCAGGCUGGGCAGAAGAGGCUCGCCCUGGUCUCCGCCCAGCCUCCUCCUCUUGCGCGGGUCUCCGGGGGACCAGUCCACCUGGGUGUGGGCUCUGCCGAGGAGCAGGUCCAGGAGUCGACUCCCCCGAGCUUGUGGCACUUCCGCCACAUAGCUCCCCUGAAGCCAGGCCAAGCCCCCACGAUGCAUGACCCCCGCCACUUCUGUCCGUACUGGAAACUCUCCAUCAACGACCGAGCCCAGUUCCCCGAGGUGGCUCGCGAGCUGAUGGUGGGCUCGGUCCUUCCUAGGGACAGGAAGUGGAUGGAGCUGGCCAGCCCCUCCGAGCUCUUGGACGCGUACUACACCGCCCAGGCUCAAGUAAGUAUCGCCCAUGGGUUAAUUUCGUCCCCGUGUCUGGGUUAAGUGACGUGGCAUGCUGAUCUGCUUUCUCUAUUUUCCAGUCCAACGCUGCCGGUGCCGCCCUGGCUACCCGCUUCUCCGAGCUGUCUCCCGACCUGGAGAAGUUGCGGAAGAAGAACCUGGAGGCGGAGAGGAAGCUUUCCCAGGCCCUCCAGGAGGCCAGCUCCCUUAAGGCCAAAUUAGACAAGGCCGAGAAGGAGGUGGACGCCGCCCAGGUCCAGCUCGCCUCCACCAGGUCGGAGCUCGACCAGGAGAGGGCUGGUGUGGCCAGGCUGAAGGAGGAGCAUGCCGUAGAGCUCUCCGGCACCAUCAGCCGAGAGCGGAAGAAGGCUGUUCGGGAGUUCAUCUCCUCCGAUCAGUUCGAGAUGGACAUCGCCCUCCUCAACCAGCCCAUCCUCCAGGUUGGCUCUACGCGGGCCCUGACCCAGGUGCAGGGCCUCAACCUACCCGGCUUCAACGUGGCGGACUUCAAAGACUACGAUCCUGCGGCCGAGGACAGGCUGGACUGGCUCUUUGAUGGGUACCGGAAGGGGCAUGCCCUGAAGAGCCUGGUCCGCCGAACCGACGUAGGAGCAGACCUAGAGGAGGUUCCCCUGGAGGAGGACGGGUCUCCAGGCAGAGCUGCCGGGAAAGAGCCGGUGGCCUAGGGCGGUAGCCACUCCAGAAACCCUUUCUGUCUUCUUGUACGGAUGUGACCAUGCUCCAGUUGAAAAUGCUCUUGGAGGUCCAUCCAGAACGGAAGGGGUUUCCUGCUUCCGGGCUCCUCAAUAGCCUUCACCAUACGCCUCUCAACAUGCUUAAGGUGUACUUUCAGCUUCCACCCCGGUCGGGCCACCAGUAGGUAGAACAGACAUCGAAGGAGAUUACCAGCUCGGAAACUUUGCGGUAGAGGGGCAGGGCGCUUUGUAAUAGAUAGGCAGCUCGGAAUCUUUGUAAUAGAUAGGCAGCUCGGAAGCUUUGUAAUAGAUAGGUUUGCAAUGUAUACAAAAUUUCGAAGAGUUAUUUCCUUCUUUCCUUGCCCACUCGCAAUGCUAUGAGCCGACCUCCGGGGUCGAACACCUCACACCUCACCCCUUGGGGCUGAGUGCUUUAAAUAUUAAGAGCGUCCUUGUCGACCUCCUAGGUCGAACAACUCGCACUUCUGACCGAGUACUUUAAGCAUUAAGUGCGUUCUUGCCGACCUCCUGGGUCGAACACCUCACACUCCAUUAAGCGCGUUCGUGCCGACCUCCUGGGUCGAACACUUCACACUUCACCCCUUGGGGCUGAGUGCUUUAAAUAUUAAGAGCGUCCUUGUCGACCUCCUAGGUCGAACAACUCGCACUUCCGACCGAGUACUUUAAGCAUUAAGUGCGUUCUUGCCGACCUCCUGGGUCGAACACCUCACACUCCAUUAAGCGCGUUCGUGCUGACCUCCUGGGUCGAACACUUCACACUUCAGAAUAUUUUAAGCAUUAAGUGCGUUCUUGCCGACCUCCUGGGCCGAACACCUCACACUCCAUUAAGCGCGUUCGUGCCGACCUCCUGGGUCGAACACUUCACACUUCAUUAAGCGUGUUCGUGCCGACCUCCUGGGUCGAACACUUCACACUUCAUUAUAUUGUAAGCAUUAAGUGCGUUCUUGCCGGCCUCCUGAGCCGAACACCUCACACUCCAUUAAGCACGUUCGUGCCGACCUCCUGGGUCGAACACUUCAUACUUCGAAUCUUAAGUGCGUUCGUGCCGACCUCCUGGGCCGAACACUUCACACUUUGAAUCUUAAGUGCGUUCGUGCCGACCUCCUGGGCCGAACACUUCACACUUCGUUACCCCUAGCCCCCCACUAGGACAUUGAGCGAGGGAAUGCUGAAUGUGCUAGUGUAAGGUGCAGGCGUGAAAAUUGUAAAGUGAAACAAUUACAAGUGAAAAUGCAAACGAUCUUUGAUUGAAUGAGAACAAAAAUUUGGAUUCCAGAGAACAGGCCACUGAACCCCCUGAUUUAACCUACGCUACAAACAACCGCAAAUUGGAGAAGUGCCAAGUCCGAGGUACUUCAGAUCCGUCCAUGUCGGCAAGCUUGCAGUAACCGGCCCGACCUACCUCAAUGACCUUGUAAGGGCCCUCCCAAUUUGGGCCGAGUUUGUUGGAAUUGUGAGCUCGGCUGAUCGAGUUCUUCCUCAGGACGAGGUCUCCGGGCUGGUACUGUACAGUCCUCACUUUGGCGUUGUGAUAGCGGGCGAGCUGGCUUUUAUACUUAGCCAUUCGGACAGCCGCUUCCUCACGCUUAGCUUCGAGCAUGUCCAAGUUACACCUGAGCUCUUCCCCAUUGAAGGCUGUCACGAAGGUCUGUGUUCUGGGCGAGGGAAGUCCGAUUUCCGCUGGCACCACCGCCUCCACUCCAUAAGUUAGGGAGAACGGGGUCUCUUGGGUAGCCGUCCGGGGAGUAGUACGGUAUGCCCAGAGGACGCUGGGGAGCUCAUCCAGCCAGCUCGAUUGGGCGGACUCCAGUCUAGUCUUCAACCCUUGCAGAAUAGUUCGGUUAGCGUUCUCCACCUGACCAUUGGCCUGGGGAUGCCCAACCGACGUGAAGUGUUGGUUGAUUCCGAGCUCAGCGCACCAGCUCCGGAAAGGGUUUUCGGCGAACUGGCGGCCGUUGUCGGACACCAGGACAUGCCGAAUCCCAAACCGGCAAACUAUGCUCUUCCAGAAGAAUUUCCGAAUUGCCUUCCCCGAGAUAGAGACCAGGGGCUCCGCCUCCACCCACUUUGUGAAGUAGUCAAUGGCCACCACGAGGUGCUCAUAUCUCCCCGGGGCUCGGGGGAAGGGACCCAGAAGGUCUAUCCCCCACUGAGCGAAAGGCCAGGGACUAUGGAUGGGAAUCAUCUCCUGAGCUGGCUGAUGGCGCAGCGAGGCGUGUACCUGGCAAGCUCGGCACCUCUGCACCAGAUCUGCAGCGUCUCGGAAGACAGAGGGCCAGUAGUAGCCCAGAAGGAGGCACUUUUUGGCCAACACCCGGGAUCCCACGUGUGCCGCACAUAUUCCUUCAUGGACUUCGCGCAGGACGUAAUCACCUUCUCCGAGAGUCACGCACUUUAACCAGGGGGACAGAUACGACCUCCUAUAGAGGGUACCCCCGAUGUAGGCGUACUUGGCCGCCCGGAGCUGGAUUCGGCGUGCCUCGGCUUUGUUUUCGGGGAGGGCACCCGAGCUGAGGAAAUCUAUGAGGGGCGUCAUCCAGGUGGCCGAGCUCUCUAUAGCCAGGACCUGUACCUGAUCGAUACUUUUUUGUUUUACCACCUCUACCAAGACCUCCUUGCUCAGGUGGGCAAAUGAGGAAGACGCCAACUUCGAGAGGGCGUCUGCCCGCUUGUUCUGGGACCUCGGCACCCGCUCUAUUUCAAAUGUUCUGAACAGGGCCGUCGCCUCCCGUACCUUAGCCAGGUAUUUCCUCAUGACCUCGUCCUUGGCCUCGUACUCCCCGCGGACCUGGAGAACGACGAGCUGAGAGUCGCUCCGAACUCUGACUGCGGUGACGCCCAUCUGGUGGGCUAUCCGCAACCCCGUCAGGAGGGCCUCAUAUUCUGCCUCGUUGUUGGAUGCAGGGAAGUCGAACCUAAGCGCAUAGGUCAGUUCUUCCCCGGUGGGCGAGGUGAGCAGCAGGCCCGCUCCGCUCCGUUCCUUGCUCGAGGCGCCAUCCACGAAUAGCACCCACGGUUCCUCGGCCGGUGUGUCCGUGGGGGUCGGGGCUAACUCGGCCAAGUUUAAGUUAGCCCCCUCGGCAAGGAAGUCUGCCAAGGCCUGGGCCUUGAUGGCAGUGCGAGGCCGAUAGCUAAUGUCGUGCUCGGCCAACUCGACGGCCCACUUGGUCAUCCUGCCCGAGACCUCGGGCUUGGUGAGUAUCUGCCGUAGGGGCUGAUCGGUCAGCACCACAACGCUAUGGGCCUGGAAAUAAGGGCGGAGCUUGCGAGCGGCAUGUACCAAGGCGAGAACCAGCUUCUCGGCGGGCGAGUAUCGAGUCUCUGGCCCCUGCAGGGUUCGGCUCACGUAAUACACCGGCCUCUGAGCCCCCCAUCUUCCCGCACCAAGACCGUACUGACGGCCUCGUUGCAAGCGGACAGGUAUAGAAAUAGGGUCUCCCCUAGCUCUGGCGCGAUCAGAGUUGGUAGCUCGGCCAGGUAGGCCUUUAGGUCGGUGAAGGCCUUUUGGCACUCCUCAGUCCAGUGGAAGUCCUUCGGCGCUUUUAAUAUCCGGAAGAAGGGCAGCCCCCGGACCGCGGAGCGCGAGAGGAACCUGUUCAGAGCGGCCAUCCUUCCUAUUAGCCAUUGGACUUCCUUCACGCUCCUCGGGGGGGCCAUAUCCACGAUGGCCUGGAGUUUAUCCGGGUUGGCCCGGAUUCCGUCUCGUGACACCAGGAAACCAAGGAACCUCCCCGACCUGACCCCGAAGGUGCACUUCUUUGGAUUUAAGCGCAUCCGGCUCUCCAGCAGGAUGCCCAGGAUCUCCCUCAGGUCGGGUGCGAGCCGCUGGUCAGUCCGACUUUUGACGAUCAUGUCGUCCACAUAGACCUCCAUGUUCCUGCCGAUCUGGCCUCGGAACAGAUUGUUGACCAGGCGCUGGUAAGUGGCCCCCGCGUUCUUGAGUCCGAAUGGCAUGGUUCUGUAGCAGUAGGUCCCUUCUUCAGUGAUGAAGGAGGUCUUAUCCCGGUCCUCCUCGGCCAUCUCUAUCUGGUGGUAUCCCUUAAAAGCAUCCAAGAAGCAUAAAACGUCAAAACCCACGGUAGAGUCUACUAACCUGUCGAUUCUAGGCAGGGGAAAGCAGUCCUUCGGACAGGCUUUAUUGAGGUCCGUGAAGUCUACGCACAUCCUCCAGGUCUGGUCCUCCUUCUUGACUAGGACCGGGUUGGCCAGCCAGGUCGGGUAGUAAACCUCCAAGAUGAUCUUGGACUCCAGAAACUUGCCGACCUCCGCCUUGAUCACCUCGUUCCUCUCAGGGGCGAAACUCCUUUUCUUCUGCUUUACCGGCUUGAAGUGGGGGUCGACGUCAAGGUGGUGGACUGCCAGGUCUGUUGGAAUCCCGGGCAUGUCAUCCACCGACCAAGCGAAGACCUGGGAGUACUCCCUUAGCAGAGCCUUCAAGUCCUCCUUCUCCUUGGCGGGUAACAAGGCUCCAAUGCGGAGAACCUGGUUGGGUCGAUCCUCCCUUAGGGGGAACUCCUCAACCUCAUCCUGGGUUCCCAGGGGUGGGACCUCAUCCCCCGGAAUGUAAGGCUCCAAACUGGUUGUGUGGGCGAUCACCUUUUCCUGCCCCCGGAGCGUGGCCAGGUAACAAGCCCUGGCUACCUCCGGGUCGCCGUGCACCUCGGCUAUCCCCCCCGGGGUAGGGAACUUGACGCUGAGGUGGUAAGUGGAGGAAACAGCCCGGAGGGCGUUCAAAGCAGGCCUCCCCAGGAACACAUUGUACGGGGACGGCUGCCUGACCACCACGAAGUUGACGGGAACAGUCCGGCAUUUGGGAGCCUGUCCUACUGUGACCAUCAGGGUGAUCAUCCCUUCCGAGCUGACGGGGGGUCCGGCAAAUCCCACCAGAGGUGUCCGGACCGGGGUGAGCUGGUCAUCCCUUAAUCCGAGCUCCUUGAACACCCUGUAGAACAUGAUGUCGACCGCACUACCCUGGUCGACGUAUACCUUCUUCACCCGAUAGUUGUUGAUGACAAUGUCUAUCACGAUGGCCUCAUGGUUCCCAGAAGCCAGGGGGACCGCAUCCCUUGGCCCGAAGGUGAUCUCCUCGUCCAUGCGCAAGCGCUUCAAGGAAUCGUCGCCUUCGGGGGGUGGUCGCUUGUUCUUCCGAGCUGCGUGGCUGUCCCCCCCUGUGGGACCUCCGGAAAUGGUGUUUAUCACACCCGCCAGGUUCUGGGUGUCCGGGUCGGGAGAGUGUCCCCGAGGAGCGUCCCGCCGCUCUGAGCGGUCCCGACGCCGUCCCUCGUGCCUGUCCCUGUGGUGGUUGCGCCCGGGCUCCUGGCCUGGUCGGCGCACGAACCGCCCUAGAAGGCCUCGCUGGAUCAGGUCCUCUAUUUCCUUACGCAGGGCCCAGCAUCCCUCCGUGUCGUGUCCCACGUCGCGGUGAAAGGCGCAGUACCUGUCCUGAUUCCUUUUGUUUCGGGGCGUCCCCGUUUUUGGCGGCCGAUCUCCUAGUCCUUCCGCCUCCAUAACGGCCAAGAUCUGAGUUCUGGGUCGUGUUAGAGGGGUGUAGGUCUUCUCGGGGGGUGGCAGCAGAGCAGGGGCCUUCUCCUUCGAGAGCCGGUCGAAGACGUUUUUCUUGGACGGGGUGUCCUUGUUCUCGGGGGGGUUUGUCCGACCUCUCCGAUCCCCAAUCUCCCGAUCAGACUCCUUCUUCAGACGGCCUGCCUCCUCCGCAUUAGCAGCCUCGUGCGCCCUGCGAAGGAGCUCUUCUAGGUGCGCGGGAGGCUUCUUGGCCAGGUCGUAGAAAAACUCUUCUACCCUGAGUCCGUUCGUGAAGGCAGCCAUCACCACUUUCUCAUCCCUGUCUCUGACCUGCAAACUCUCCGCAUUGAAGCGGGUCAUGAAGUUCUUCAGUGACUCGUCGGGCCUUUGCCUGAUGGACAUCAAGUGGGUUGCGUUCCUCGCGUAGACCUUCGAGGAGACGAACUGGGCUGCAAACUGCCGAGCCAGCUCGGGAAAGCUCCGUAUAGACCCCGGUUUCAACCCCUGGAACCAGAGCCGCGCCUUCCCCUUUAGGAACAUGGGGAAAGUCUUGCAGCGGACCUCAUCCGCGGCGGUUUGCAGGCGCAUAUGCGUCAAGAAGACCGAGAGGUGGUCCUCCGGGUCCGUAGAGGCAUCGUACAUCUCGAUGCUCGGAAUCUUAAACCUCCGGGGUAGGGGGUAGUCCUCUAUCUCCCGGGUAAAAGGCGAGGUUGCAUAGUUGUCCUCGUAUGGCCGGGGCUUCAAGAUCUGCUCGAGCUCAUCCCGAGCAGGGUCCAGAUAAAGGGGGUCGCGGGGCCGGCUCUUGACAGACCGAGCCGGGGAGCGCUCGAACCCAUUCCGUGUAGGCUUCCUCGGAGAGGGGUCUCUGGGAUGGCUCCUCGCGGACCUGUCGCGGGAAUACCUCUCGCUAUCCCCGACCACCGAGGAUCGGGGGCGGGGAGGAGUCCGGGGGCGCUUUCUCCUGGGGGGAUGGUCUCGCGACUCAUCCUCCGAAGGGUCAGGGGGUAACUCCUUCUCCUUCCCCUUGGCCUUGGAGGUCUGCGCACCCCCAGCCCCCUCUCCCUCUUUCGCCUGCCGGAUUAUAUCUUCCAGCAUGGGAAGAUUGUCGGUCACAAACUGGAGCAUCUGCUGCCUACGCUCCCCUGAAAGGGCUGAGCCCCCGGCUCCCCGGGACGCCUCAGCCUCCUUUCGUUGGGAUCCUUCACCGCCCCCGUGUUCGGUGCUGUCCACCGCUCGCUUGGAUCGCGUUUUGGCCAUCAACACAAUCUUACUUACCUUACGGUUCCCACAGACGGCGCCAACUGAAGAAGCGCGGAGCUUCCCCGAGGAGAGCUGACCUGAUCAGCUCGGGGUGUCGAUGGGAGAGCUGAUCCAAGACCUGCAAAACAGAGAAGAUGAGCUAACAAAGGGGGCCCGAGGGUUGUCCCCGAGGGCGCUCCGACGGCCAAGUUAGUUUUCCGGUGAGUAAGGUUCACGGGAAGUAGCAACUGUCCGGAGUAAAUUGCCAAUAGUCAGCGUACCUUGUACAGUGGAUGUGUGCUAUUAUUUAUACCUGCGAGGGAGUCCGACCUCCGCACGACGCGGGACUUGCCCAGUAUAGAUAUUAUCCCGCACUUAGGGGGAUUACUCCCGACCUCUUCGGGACGGACCUUCGUCUCCCCUGGGAGCCCUAGUCAGUGCGGCCCAAGGCUGCUGCCAGGGGUCUGGGGGCCAAGGCCCAGUUCGGCCAUUCCUGGGCUGCCACGUGUCUGGGCCCGGAGUGGGGCCUCUGCACUUCUGAAUUUACAUUAACUAAUUAAAGGUAUUCCUAGGUUGCUGUCUAAUUAACAGCACGAAUCUUAGGAGAAUAUGCUUCACGUUAGAUGGUCUUGACUGCUUUCUGUCAUAUUAUGGAAGCGAUACACGCGUACAUUGAAAACGAUGAUCGACUGCCGCCGACUAUAUGCUGCACAAUAAUACUUGUAGAUUUUCCGAGCAUACAGCAGCUAAGUUGUUGAUCAUCAUUUGUUUAUGUGCCCAAACUGUGCUUAAAUUUGGAGGCGGAGUGCUGACACGAGAUGUGAUCAUUUUGUUGAAAUUCACUAGUAUUGACUAUUCAGUAUUUAAUUUAACUAAUUAAGCCCAAAUGGCCAACUCACAAAACUGUUUUAUUUUCCCCUCUGUGUUAACUUACGCCCCCACUUUUUCCCGCUUCUUAAUUCAGGCCUCAAUACUUAUUUUACUCAUAGCACCAAGACAAAACAAAGCAAUGGGCAGCAACGAUUAGCUUUAAAUGAUUUACCCAAGUUGCAUCCCUUCCCUUCUUUCUUCAGGUGGUCCUCCACACCCGAAGAAUCAAUUCAAUUCAGACGAACAUCCAAUCCCUGGUGGUUUUUCUUUCUUUUUUUUUUCCCCCUAUUCUUGGCGGUCUUUCUCCCACUUAGUGAAAGAUAAUAAGUAUGAUACAUAUGGCUUUUGUGUUUUUUGCAGCAGGUCAUGAUCGAUCAAUUUACAGAUGUUCUUUCUUGCUAUCCUUUUCGUUUUCCGUCGGGCAGUGUUUGUACUCUUGUGCAGCGAUUUGGUUCGGUUAUACAUAUACAUAUACACACACACACAUAUAUCAAGAAGAGUAUAUCUGGAGCGAUGCGUAAAACUGUAAAAAUCUAUGGUUCUCUUAAAUUGGACAAUACAUGAAAUUGAUUUGUAAUUGAUUACUUAUAGGGAAAGAAUGCAUAGUUUCUUCAAUUUUGUAAAUUAGACAAUGGAUUGAAACAAAGAGAGACGAAGUUCAAAUGAGACCAAAAACAUGACAGUACUGCUAAGAGAAAAAGGGGGACCAAGUACCAAGAGAAGAGUUGGAGAGAGACAUGCAUGCAGCAAGAAGACGAUGUAGGCUAUAGGGAGUUGAGGACUGAAAAAAAUAACACCAACAAUAAUAAGGCAUAAUUUACGACAAAUCAGAGUGUACAACGCUACUGAUAUCCGUGUUACUUAUCCAAACAUGGGGUGUCAGCGGAUCAAAUCAGAAGCGGCUGGCUGCUGAUGUCUGGACCCCCAAGGCAGGUUGUGGAUGAUCAAUGAUGACGGUAGCUACUCUUCCGCAAUCAAUUAAUGAAUGAAUAAAAACCAUAAAUGUCUGGAGGGAUAUUCGUAGGUUCACAGGUAGGAAGUCUCUAUCGCGCCCGGAAGAGAGAGGCCAACAUUGCUCACCACAUCGUUUUCAGUUGUCAAAGCCUCCACACUCCAUAGCCAUAGGUGCUCUGCUUUUCUUUUGUUUUGUUUUUUUGGGUAUAUAUAUAUAUAUAUACUAUAAAUAAAUUAGUUCAGUACUUACAGUGAAUACUAGAUCUUCUGGGGAAAGCAGGAGCACCCCUCCCCUCUCGAGUACGAGUACUGUUCUUCCACCAAACAUCCUAAUAAUCUUUGAGGACAGCGCGCGCACAGGUGUCACAGAUACACAAGAUAGAAAUUUGAUCUCUCACACGUACGUUUCUUAUCCACAGCACAACAGGACGGAAGAGGAGCUUUCGUUCAUCGUCGUCAUUUGCAGAAGUAAUAAGCCCAAAAUGCCAAUUGGAACACGCGUACGUACAGGACGUAACAUGUACUCUCUUCUUCUGCACGCGCAUGUGCACACAUCUAUUUCACUUGUGUGUGUGUGUAUAUAUAUAUACUGGUACGGGUUGGCUGUGCAAUAGUACCCGCCUUGAAGCGUUUAAGGUUAGCAAAAUUUGAUGAAAUAUUUGUCAAUAGAGUGUCAUGUGUGAAAGUAUACGUAAAUUAUUUAUAUUAUUGAAAUGGAGUGAAAUUGGAUUAUCAGUAUUUAAAUUUGAACAAAUGAACUUUGCCAUUUUUUUGAGUAAAAUAUGAGUCAUUAAUGCUAAUUGAAAUUAUCACCAAGUAUAGCAUGCAAAUUUGAUGAGAGAAAUAUAUAUGUCUUUAUUGCAUUUUAUUAAGAUGCUUUUUUUUCCUCUUUUAAUGAUAGCUUUCAAAUAUAUAUAUUUUUUGUCAUUGUCAAUGGAUUUAUAAUUGUCUACAUUUUUUAUUUAACAAAUUUAAUUCAGCGUACAAAUUAAUAAUAUACUUAUAUACAUUUUUGUUUUAAAAUUAUAUGUAUAAUUUGUUCAGCAAAUAUACGCAAAGAAAUUGAAAAGCAGUAGGAUUAAUAAUGGUUAGCAUUUUUGCAAAAGUUUUUUGUGUUUGACAGAGGGACAUCUAUAUAUGAAUUGGAUUUAUAGCUUAUCAGUAAAUUUGCUUUUCAAGGCAACAGAGAUUAAAUUGAAGUACAUUAACAUAAAGGAUAGACAAAUACAAGAUAACAGAAUUAAAACAUACAUAGGUAGCAAGUCAAAGCAGCUAAGUCGAAGUACAUUAACAUAAACGAUAAAUAGAUACAAGAUAAUUAAAUUAAAACACAAGUAGUUCAGUUAUGAAGCACAUAAGCAUUAUAUUGUUGGAAACUAAUUUUAUGCAUAAUCACUAUGAAGGUUCAUUUAAGUCUCUUGGCCAACUCAGACUUGUCCAGCUUUAUAACUUGUGACAAUGGUAAAAGCUGUUCCUUUGAUUGCUUUUUCUCUUGGAGUUGUUUUCUUAACAGAGCACAGGAGUCUCUUUCCUUGGAAUAUAUUAAGUGGCAAUGUCAGUUCAACUAUAUAACUUUAAAUGACAAUAAAAACAUGAAAAAAUAUAAAGUCAAAUGUUACUAAAUAUUUGAACAUGAACAAAUCAAAAUAAAAUUGACACAGAGAAAUGUACAUUGCAUUGAGUAGAAAUAAUAAUCUUGUUCUUUAUUAUAAGAUAGAAUAAAUUUAAAAUAAUCUUUUGCUUUACAUUAACUUUAAAUGAUAACUUAUUUUGACAAAUAUAAUUUUAAAUGAUAAGGUUGAAAACUCGAAUAGAAAUAAUUAAAUCUUAAGUUAAUUUGUCAAAUAUAAGUUGAAAUGUUAAUGUCAAUAGUAAUAAAUAUAAAUUCUAAUUGAAUUAUAUAUGCUCAAAAUAUAGAGAUUGAAAAGUUUACUCAAAAUAAUUCAACCUUAUAAAGAAAUGAUAAAUGCAAUAUAAUUUGGGUCAUUGAGCAUAUUUAAAGCAAUACAAGUCCAUAGAGAAAGCAAAAGAGAAAGCUCAAAAUUUAGACAAUAAAAAUAUGAAUAAACAUAAAGUCAAAUGUUACUAAAUAUUUGAACAUGAACAAAUCAAAAUAAAAUUGACACAAAGAAAUGUACAUUGCAUUGAGUAGAAAUACUAAUCUUGUUCUUUAUUAUAGGAUAGAAUAAAUUUAAAAUAAUCUUUUACUUUACAUUAACUUUAAAUGAUAACGUAUUUUGACAAAUUAAAUUUAAAUGAUAAGGUUGAAGACUCGAAUAGAAAUAAUUAAAUCUUAAGUUAAUUUGUUAAAUAUAAGUUGAAAUGUUAAUGUAAAUAGAAAUAAAUAUAAAUUCUAAUUGAAUUAUAUUUGUUCAAAAUGUACAGAUUGAAAAGUCUACUAAAAAUAAUUCAACCUUAUAAAGAAAUAGUAAAUGCAAUAUAAUUUGGGUCAUUGAGCACAUUUAAAUGAUGCCAAAUCCAUAGAAAAAGCAAAAGAGAAAGUUCAAAAUUCACACAAAAUGCCACGUGUCAGCAAAAGGGACUGCUAGAGUAACCAUGACCUUUUGUUUAUCUUAUAAUAAGAUAUAUAUAUAAACAUACACACAUACAAACCAAUGUUUUAAAAGAUGAGAGCAUCCGACGUGCCAUUUUAUAUCUUCCUAAACGGAGCGAAAACCCCGAGGCAGGGGAUGUAAGUCUCACAAAAAUUUUUAUUUUUUAAAUAUAUAAAAAAUAAAGUAUACAAUAAUGCUACAAAAUUACAAUAUUCAAGCACAUAUGUGUUUAUAUAUAUAUUACUUAUAAAUAUAAAAAUUGAUAAAAUUAAGGAAAUUACACAAAUAUUAUUGUUGUCUAACAAGUAAAAUCACAACACAACUCUAACUCAUACAUUAGCCAUCUAAAAUCAUGUUAAUAAAAAAUAGUUAUAUUUUGGGAUCAAAGAAAAGGAAAAGAAAAAAAAAACAGAGUCAUAGAUGCUUUUGUUUUGUAUUUUUUUCGAAACUAUUUCCAAAGAAAAAAAAUAAAUGGAAUCAUUCUUCAGAAUUAUUAAAUAAUAAUAAGGAUAGGAAACAAAGAUAAGGAAGAUAAAAUGAUAAAAUCAAAAUACAAAAUUAAUAAAAUUACAAAAAUGCCCUUAAUGCCCCUAAAAUUUGGGGCAUUUGAGGCUCGCCUCAGCAAUGUCUUUUAAAAUAAUGUGAAUGACUAAUGACUUUUUUUUUUUUUUUUUCUCUUCAUCUAAUCCUUUUGACAAAAAUUGACAAUCGACAGGGAUAUGAUAUAUAUGUAUAUAUAGGUGAUAGUGGCAGGGCUAUGAGACGAGGGCCAAGGGGCAAUUCAGGGUGUCGAAAGCAGUCCACAGAAUAAAUAAAUAAAUAAAUAAAAAUCUGAAAGAGGGGACCAGCUGCAGCAGCUUCAUUAAUUAAUUAAUUAAACCCUUGAUAUUCAUCGACUAUUAUAAACCCCCGACGCACGCGCAGCCUAUAGUCGUUCACCUGCUGCUACAGACAAUCGCCCAAUAAUUGUCGCCACAAGCAUUUUGCAGCCCUACACUCAGGCUCCGGUUCCGGGAUGUAAACAGCAAAUUAACGUGCCAAUAAUUUGUCAUUUCAAUCUGAUGCAAAUCAUUAGCCUCCAAACGUCCAAUUUCCUACUAUUAAUCUAAUCAGACUUGGUCAACUCCUGCAGCGACGACCAUUUGGCUUUACAAUAAUGAGGGGGCUUGAUAUUAUGUAUCUGCACAUGCAACAAUUACCCAAUGCACAUUGGUGACCAAUGGAACGGUUCCAUGGUUGCCGCUGGCCUGUUAAUGAAUACUGUAAUUGAUGACAUACUUCUUUAUAUGUUAUACUUUUCACUUCGUUUUCCCGGUGGAGCACAAAUUUAAGGAAUACUUCUAUGCUUUACAAGUGGACGAAUAAGGAAAAAUAGAACGAAUGGAAUGAUCUACAAGUUGUCGAGUUUUUGCUAGAUUCUGGAGGACAACAAUGUGUUAGGGAGUUGAAAUGUAGCAUCCACGUGUGCCUAUAAUACAUACAUACAUAUAUUAUACAUAUUAUAUAUAUAUAUGAUUACCAUUUAAAUUACUGAUACGAAAAACUAUAACUAAGAGAGAUAAAAUCACGCCAACACACUAAGUAUUUUUAUAGGACCACACGUUACAGUGGAUAGGGCGUCACAAUUUUCCAUUUGAAUUGGAAUAGGGUGUAAAGCUUACCUAGGUCAUGCAUCCAAUAGGGUCGUCUUAUUCAAAUUAAUAAAUGGAUAUGAAGGCAAUAAUUUUUUUGUAAAUAAAAAACAAAAAAAAAAAAAGGUUACGAAGGACGGAACUAAGUGCUACGUCAACCUAAGAGCUAGAGUCAAUUUAAGAGCAUGUAUAAGCCACCUCUGGUUCGAACUUUGUGGGGACGUAAAGUUUUAUGAAUGAGAGUAACAUUAUUAUUGUUAAAAUUUUGAAUUGAUAAAUAGUACCUUUAUUUAUAAGUAACAAGUUUGACUUAAAGCAUUUUGAACACGUCGAUUCAUGCAUUAAUCCCAAUUCAUAAGAUGGCUCGCAUCUCUUUGUGCAUUAAUCCUACUUCAUCUUAUCAUCCUCAAAAUAAGCUAUAAUACAUUUUCCCGGCCCCCAUGUUGGGCUUGGGAUCUAACCCUUCCAAAUCGUUUACAAUCAAGAUUUCUGUUACAUGACUUUAUAUAUAUAUAUAUAUAUAUAUAUAUAUAUAUGUGCACUAUUACGAUUGAAUGGAUGACACAUGAACAAAUUUUAAAUUUAAAUUUUGCACAUGCGUCACACAUCUAAUGAUGAUAGUGUAUAUACUGUAUAUAAAAUUAAUUAUAUAUAUAUACAUAUAACUUAUAUUCAUAAAAUACUGCUAAGAACGAAUCAAUAACGCAUGGUACUAAUCUUAGGCCCUUCGUGAUAGUGCAUUUUUUCUUCGGGCUAGCUGCAAAGGAUUGACACAAACAAACAGUGUUGUUAAAUCAAAAGCUUAGUACAAUUUACAUGCAAGUUGCUAGCUAAUUGCCUAUAACAUCAAGUGAAUACAAUUAUACAUUACCGCUGUCAUAUUCUUGGGGCUCCGCCUAAUAAUUUUAAAGUAAUGUCCCUCUCAAUCCUCCUGUGCGUGCGUCCAAAAAAGUUGGAACAUACGGGCCGAAGGUUAUGUCAUCAGUAAGUAGUACGUAUAUACAUACACACAUAUAUCACUUUUUGCUCUUGAACACUGCAUCGUGCAUGCUCAAGUUUCUUCAUGGGUCGAAACCAACCUAACCAUCAUUGAAGUAAUCAUUUUCCAACAAGAGUGUGCUCGUUUUCUAGUACGCCUGAAAUUCAUUUUCUAGUGCUCGAUCGUUUUCUAUAUAUAUGUAUGAAUGUUGAUUCAUCUGCACGAUUUUUUUUUUGAUUGAAUUUUCUUUUUCUCCUAACUUAAAUUUUCUAUUCACAUAAAUGUAAUACAUAAAAGAUAUUACAGGUUCAAGAUAAAAUGAGCACGUACAUUUUACAAUUAAGAGUCCUACUAAGGGCACAAAUGAUUAAAAAAAAAAAAAAGUGGGUUUUGUAUCAAGUUUUUUUCUGUGAAAAUACAAAUAUUUGUCGAGCGAAUGCAUAGAUGCAAAUUAGAGGAUGGGUUCUAAUUUUAGAGGUUCUGUAAUGAACCCAACUUAUCUUUUUAGUAAAAUAUAUUAUCUUGUGCCUAGAGAGAGGGUAUAGAUUAAAAAAAACCCAUAAUGAAGUUGUGGUUGUUUUUUUUUUUUUGGGUGUUGUUCCAAUUCGAUUCCAUAACUGUGCACUAAAACUAGGUCAUUAGUUGGCCAUUUUUAUUCAUUCCUAAAAUCAAGAAGGUGGUCUCUUAUUCUCGAUUGUGUAAAAGGUGGUUGGUUUUAGGAAAUUGCAAUUAAAAAAAGCACCAAAAUAGAUACUUCUGAUUUUCAGCAAUUUUAGACUUGAAAAAUUCAAAAUUAGGUUAUGAGAAGCAAUUAAGAGCACAACAAAAUAGCUUUUUUAAAGCCGAAAUCUAAAAUUAGGUUUUUGAAAUCACUUGAGAACAAAGCAUGUAUAUAUCUGUGGUAAAAAUCGGGUAUCGUUUAGAGUAAGAUUUUCCUUAUGAUGAGAGCUCACCCGGCCAAAAACAAAGCAACGGAAAACAAAACCUCAAUAAUUUUAUCAUUUAGUAUUAUUCAUUGAAGCUUCAAACUUUGCUCAGGUUUGACUCGAUCAACAUUAAAUUUCACAUUUAUAUGUUUGAAAUUCAAGUUACUAAAGACCAUUUUGAUUUUUUUUUUUUUUUUAAAAAAGAAAAGCUAUUUGAGUUGAAGCUGGUAAAUACGUAAGUUAAAUUGAUUAAAAUAAACAAAGGGACUUGAAGAUAGAUUGCAGAAGUUAAAUUGCUAUAUAUUUAAUUGCCUCUAAUUAUACUCCAGCUGCGCAUAUUUAUCAUCAUCAAGUAUUGGGUUUCUAGUUUAGUAAUUGUCUUAGAGUAUAGUUAGGUAGGGCGAUUCUUCCAACCCCAAAGCCUCUGCAGUUGAACUUGAUACGGUUAGUGUGUGUCUGCCUCAAAGUGGAAAAGAAAAAGAGCCAUUUGACCCAAUUUCAUUUGAGUGUUGUUAAUUUAUUUUGGUGGAAUUAAUAUUGGAACCAAUUCUUAAAAUGAGUAAACAGACAGGCGGUAGUAUGUAAAUCUCCUCGCGACUUGCAAAUAAAAGUUGUUGCUAAAUUUGUUCCAUAUGAUCCACAAAUUCACAAAAAAAAAAAAAAAUUUAAUUCGUUGGGCUAAUAAAUACUACUACUAGUACUCUGUGUGUGGUUUUUUUUUUUUUUUUUUUUUAAUUAGGAAACGAAACAACAAGAAGUAGCAUAUGUAUAGGAUGUUUGAAGGACGCAAGUGGGGUUGUGAAUUAAAAGAAGCGGGCAAAAAGUAUCGUUGACUUUGAAUGAUUCUUCAACUAUCCUAUAUAAUCCUGGACAACUAACAGACAAAAACUCCCACAUUACCAAAUUCCUCAUUCGCGCCCAUCAUCUUCCGUACUUUUAAAUCAGUUGCUUUCUUUUGUUUUGUCCCACCUAAAUUCAUUCAGAAUAUAUAUAUAUAUGUAUGAAGAGAUGAUCAGCUUAUUUAUUCCACGCACACACACACACAUAUAUAUAUAUAUAUAUAUAUAUAUAUUUUUUUUUAGUGUGGUGCAAGGGGCACGAUCUCAUAACUCAUAAUAGUAGUAAUUCAUAACUCUCUAUCUUCAAGCACACGACGAUUUACCCUCCAGGCCCAUGCAUGCAAUUUAGUCAGUCAAACCUUUUUUUUUCUUUUUCCUUCUUUGUCUUCCCUCUGCUGCUGCUGCUGAAAGAAUAGAAUGGUAGUGGAGAGCAAAGUAAACAAAACAGAGUGGAGACAAAGAGGGGUUUACAAAAGUUUCACCAUUUUAAUGAGAAAUCAUUAUUGCAUUCCGAUACUUAUUAAGAUGCUGAUUUAUGUACAACCAAGUAACUGUAGAAAUACCGAAGUAUAUUAAGAGAAAAAAAAGGGGGGGAGGGGUUUGGGGGAAGACAUUUUAUGGUAGUGCUACUACCGCUUUGUCAUAUUAUUAUUGGUAGGAGUAGUGGUGGUCUGCCAACAAGGUGCUUGCUACUUGGUGUCGUUGUGUGACUGUGUGUCUGAGCGACCGGCAUCGAUUCAAGCCUCAGGCUAACCGCCGCCGGGGUCGCACCCUCACCCUCAGCGGUUCCGCCAUUUCACAUGACAGCCGCAGCACCUCACAUAAAUCCGGCGCACCCUCUCCCCCAAACUCAAAUUCGAACUCGUGCAAAAGCGAAGCCACCCAAAAGGUCACCGUGGUGAGACCCAGGGCCUUGCCGGGACAGCUUCUUCUGCCCGACCCAAACGGUGCGAGCCUCAGGUCUGAUCCCAACACGCACAACCCCGCCGCAUUCCCGCCCCCGCCGCAUUCCGGCUUUGUUAAGAACCUGUCGGGAUUGAAUUCCAGGGGGUCCGACCAGACUUGUGGAUCCCUGGUGAUGGCCCACAUGUUUACCAUAGCUGUGGUCCCCCUCGGCACGCUAUGACCAUCCACCGUGGUGUCCGUCACGGCCAAACGGGCCCAGGACAGGAGCGGGCCCGGGGGGUGCAACCUAAGUACUUCCUUGACCACCGCCGGCAGAUAUGCGGCGUCCGCGAUGUCAGGCUCCGCCAAGGCACGUGUCCCCCCGCCACUGAGUUGGUCCAGCUCCUGUUGGACCCUGGUUUGGACCUCCGGAUGAAGCACCAUCCUGGCCAGUACCCACUCCACCAAUACCGCUACUGUGUCCGUACCUCGAAAUAUCAUUUCCUGCCCACAAACAAACAACAGAGAAUUCCUUCAACAAAAGUUACAAACACACCCAACCACAACUUCUUCACACACAACUGCCGGUUACUUCGUCAAACUCAUCAAUCAUACUAAUACCACUGUUGUGCCACAACAGUAAUUCCCUUGACCUAAAAGUAACUUUUUUUUUUUUUUUUUUUUAGUGUAGGUCAAAAAGAUCAAAUCUUUUUGACUUGGACUCUACUUUAAAAUUUCCAGAACAGUUAAUUCCAUUAAUUUACUCCCAAUUCUUGAAAGAAAAAUAAUUAAUCCUCUACUUAUUUGUAGUAAUUAUUAUUAAUCGGCCAGGAAAUAAGUGGUUUGACUUAAUUUUGAGAAAAGACUUUUCCUGUAGAAAUAUUCUCGUAAUCCCUAAAGGAAGAAUACAAACGCUAAAUUUGUAUAAAAAAAUAAAUAAAUAAAAGCGAUCAUCGGGGAAGCAAAGAAAAGGCUGACAAGGACUAAUCAAACUCUGUAGCAACUAUCUCUUUCCGAUUCCCUCCAUUGCAAAAGAUAAAGAAAAAGGCCAAAAACAGCAACGCUAACACUUUUAAUCUUCAAGCUCGACUCGAUUAUGUAUUACUACUAAAUUUACUGCCACUACUUAUGAUUAUGAAGUGGCAUCAAAAUGAUCUUUUUCCUUUCUAUUUUUUUUUUUUAAAACCCCUUCGGAUUCUUUCGGGAAAUUUCAAAAUGGAAGGAACGACGGGAAGGCUGGGCAAAUCAUAACUGAAUUUUUUGGUCUUGAAAAACGUCAGAACAAAAUCCUCUAGAGUAGCACCAGUACUAGGCUACGAGCUAGCUAGCCGGUACGUACUAGUAUGUAUAAAUAAAAUUUUGCAAGUGCGCUUUGUAACUUAAUAUAUUAUUAUUACCCAGAGUACGGCGAUCAUGUCAGAAUCCGACAACUUGUCUGGUCCCUCAAGGUUGAGCAAAACGUCCACAAAAUCGCGGUCGAAUUGGGUAUGUUGAUCGCCCUGAUGACGAUGCUGAGCCUUCUUCUUAUGUUGGUCGAUGAUCCGACUGACAAAUCGGUUCACUUUGGGAACCAGGUUGGAGCACCUGAAGCGAACUUUUUGCAAGUCAAAAUCGGCCAACCAGGGAAGGUGGUCGGACCAGUUGAAUACACCCAGAAGGUUGUAUCCCUCGUCCACCAGCUUCCUGAGUUCAUCCGUCUCAGAGUGGGAACCAUCCUCCUCCUCCUCCCCCUCCCGCAGCACCAAGCUGUAUUUCCUUCCAAACACAGAGCACAUCAUGUGGUUAAGAGAAGCCAGCUUCAGCACAUCCCUGACGGGGACCACGCUUUCUUUUCCUCCACGCCUCGUCAUCGUUUCCACCAUCUGGGAAGCUAUUUCGAACCUCUGGGACUGCGAGGCUUUGAUCUGUUUGGGACAAAACAGAUGCGUAGCCGCGAUUCUUCGGAGGGUUCUCCAGUAUACCCCGUAAGGAGCGAACCCAAUAGCUCUGUUGAACAUAAGGCUGUAAGCCGACUCCUUCAUGGGACGAUCACCGAAGUCUGAGCUGUUCAAUAUCUCCCUCGCCACCUCCGGGUUGCACGUCACUAUCACCCUCGUCUCGCCCAAGCUGAAGGCCAUCAGACGCUUGGCCUGGCAAGCAGCUGCCGCGGCCGCAAUCUUGUGGUGUGCAAGCCCAGCCAUGAGGUCCAUGCUUCCUAUGAAAGGAAGCCCUUUUGGCCCUGGUAUUAUUUGAGAGUGCUUCUUCCACGGGGACAUGAGCUGGACCGUAGCAGUACUAGUGGUGGCAGUUCUGGUACUGCGACUGCUAGAAGCAUUUCUCCUCCGGCUCCAUUUAUGCCUGCCCCAGGCUGGGCCACCUGGAUGAGCCCAGUAGAUUAAGUUGAUGACUAGAUACACUAGGACGACGAGAAACAAGAAACAUAUGGCAUUUGCGGGAGUUACGGAUUUGCUUUUUGAGGCCAGAGGAGCUAAUAACCAAAGCUGCCGUUCUAUGUCUCGUCUCAUCGUAAGUAUUUUUUCUUUCAGCAGCACCAAAUUUUUGUUUUGUUUUGUUUUGUUCUGUUCUGUGGGGUUCUUUUUUGGAGGGGAAAGAAAAUAUGGGAAUAUAUGUACCACACUAGUGUGCGUGAUUCGUUUGUUUAAGCGUUCAAACUAUGGAGGAGGCUCUCUUAAAAUUUUUCUCACAGGCUCUUAGAGGGAGCAGCAGCAAUAGUAGUAGUAGUAGCGUAUGAGUAUCUGGGCAAUGGGCACACCAUGGACGUAAAGCCAUUAGCUGAUUUAUAUAGGGACGGCAGCGAACUGUUCGUACUAGCACUUUGGGUUUUUUUUUUUUUUUUUUUUUGUUGGGGGGGCCCAUCCGUAUUAUUCAUUUUAAUACGUACUGCGAAUCAUGUAUUUUUAUUUUCCCUUUAAACACCGAGUGUUGGCCAAUUAAAUAAAGUAAGUCGUACUAGUAGUAAAAGGGCACUGAGAACUAUGGGGAGGAGGGCGGGGAAAUUGAGAAGAAAGCUUUAGCGGCGCGGCCACGAAUGCAUGACGAAAGUGGAAAGAGCAAACAGCGAACCACUGGAGCGUGGGAAGCACGACGCAUUGGCUAGAGAGACUGCGUGCUCUCUUCAUCUCUCCUGCGUAAGAGAUUUACUACUCGCGAUGCCUAGUGGCGGAGUGGUACUACUAAAUUUUACAUUUACCUAAUUAAACUGCGAUUUUUUUUUUGGAGGAGGUCUUAUGUUGAUGAGGUCACCCUGUGUCGUGGGCACUGUUUGUCACGUGGCAUUGUACAGAUACUACGACUAAUUCAAACACGAGUUCCAUUGACCACAGGGUUAAGGUUCUGAUUCGUUCUUCCUUUUUCCAGGAUGGAAAAUCUGUUUUUUUUUUGAAGUUUACCUCAAAGAUCGGUCCUGUUUGGAUUGAAGCAUCUGAAUGUAAUAAAAGUAAAGAAUAAAAUUGAAGUGGAAAUUAAUAUCAGCAGAAACACUUUAGUCUGUUAGAUCGUUCUCUUUCCGAGCAGAAAUUUCGAAGGCCCGUCCGGUAGUAAGUGGUGGUGGUGGUGGCUUUUUGGCCGUGAAAUAAAUCUGAAGAAGCCCGGAUUGCAUGAAUCGCACGUGCGGUGAAAGAGCGCGUAGUUGGGAGGACCGAAACUUGGGACUUGGAACAUUGGAUUGAGAGAAGACGGAUGACACGUGUGGGUAAUUCUGGCGGGACGUUGUCGGGGGAUUAGGUGUAGGGCAUGCCCACUUUUGUUUUGUGCGCCUCACUCCUCAAAUACACUGUCUCUAACCUCUGGGAAUACACUGCCCCGAUGGCAGAAUAAAGGAGCCGGUGUGCCACUGUGCUCUGCACCCAGAUCAGAAAUGGAAACGAGAAACAAAUUAGAGCUGGUCCGGUCCGGGUGCCUGGGCUGAUUAAACAGCCAAAAUGAGGGGGGAGGCGCAUCGAAUCGUUGUUCAAACCGCCACGUUUCGGUUAGGGGUGGAAGCAGGACAGUGGUGAUGUUGACAAGACUGAGUACCCGUUUAUCGAAGCUUGCACACGCGUCCCUAGAGAACCCAAGAAUAAAUCCAUAGCCCCCAAAACAAAACACCCACUCUCCCCUCUGCUCUCACAAGUCACAGGUCACAACACAACAAAUAAUUAUGAAUACCGAUACAAUUAAUAGCUGUCGGUAGUAGUGCUUGCUAGCCUUUUCACUCACAGGGAUGGAGAGUGUGGUCUACGUCUCACCGGUCAACCAACCGGCGUUUGUUCGAAGAUGAGCCGCCGGAUGCAUGGCGUGACACCAAAAAACACAUAUGAGUUGCAUCUCUUCUUCUCAUCGGGUCAGUAAACAAGUGGUGCCUACGGAUACGAAUGAACUGAGUAUUCGUAUAUUUAACUCAUCAAAUUAAUCAAAACAUGAUCAAUAAAGUCAACUCACCAACGCUCGCGCGCGGGUAUGCAUGAAUCUUUUGCAGCCCCAGCCUGGAAACAACCAAAAAUUAUGGCCGUCUGGAUCAAAUGACUGCUAGUGCUGCAUCAGAAGUACUACUACUAGUGGUGGUGGUGUGUAUUUAUUUAUUUUUUUUUUUUUCGGAACUUUCCUUUUUGUGUUUUUGGGCGGAGGUAUAUAAUAAGUACAUGUAAUCUUACCUCAACGACGAUAGGCGGCAUGUGAUUCCGCUGUUGAAUGAAUCAAAAGGAGGAAGUCCCCCCUGUCCGUUCAUGUUGCUGUGUGUAAGCUAGCAUCCAAAGACUUAGUGGAGAAUGGUGGUAGCUAAAGCACGAACACUGUACACCAUUAUUGAUUGCGUUUCAGACGCAUCCAACCUUUUUUUAUCUCUCCUCCUGCAGUUCCCCCGAGCCAGUGAAUGUAUCUCGAUCGUUUUGGUUUGUACCAGCUGAAUGUUCAAAACUAAAGUGCUCCCCCGAGCCGGAUUGAAAGAGUUUUAGCUGUAUUUCGAUUUCCUUAUGCUGCUUUUAAUUCAUCAAACAACUUAAUUAUAAGAAGAAACGGCAUACUUUUACUUUCAACCACAUGUUGUAGAUAGGGAGCACAAAACUGAUUAAACAGGCGCAUGUUCUUACCUUCCUAACAAAACAAAACGCUCUACAGUCAUUGAUCCCUUUAAUUGAUUUGAAACUUGCUUGUCACUGAUCACUUCCGUAUGACUGCACUGCAUAUACCAUUUCAAGUCCAUAUGGUGAGGACUGAGGAGCAGAAAUCAUGGGAAUUGAAAAGACCCACGUACGUUCUCGAGGUUCCAACCAAGAAGAUUUUGAGUUUGAAGGGACCAAUCGUUGGUCCGACGACAGGGAAGAAACUACUUGUGUAUGGCCAAUACACAAGAAGAAGUAUUCAUUAUUGUUUUUGGUUCUUGGGAUAUUCAUAUAUUAUUGAGGAGGAGACCAUCAAUGAGAGCCACAAUUAAUGACGUUAAUAGCAAGCACUCCUCCUCGAGGAAAUUAUUGGAUUGUAUGCCAAAUAAAGUCCCCGGGUGCGCUGCUGCAUGGUGUGAUUGAUUGUGUGUGGUUAGUUAAUUCCACAACAGUGAAUAUAUGAAUAUAACUUGUUUACAAAGAAAAGAAGAAAAGAACGCGCAGCACUAUGCACACAGACAGCAGAUAUUCAAAUGCUAACAGGUUGCUGGGCGUGCAGACGAUUAUAGAACGAAUAAAGAAUAAUAAGCCACUUAAUUAAGACAUUCAAUGGAUUGCAACACCCGACCCAAGAGCUACUAGCACUUUAAGAUCGACGCUGCCUAGCUAACCCAAGCACUUGUGUUUUAAACAAAUACUAUAAAACAUGCAUGAUUGGAUGUGAUGCCGUAAUCUGAUCCAAGAUUUACUUUCUGACCCGUUUCGGAUGCGGUCAAUGGUGGGGAGCUCUAAAGAUCCUCGACAUCGAUACCGAUUUUCUGACGCUAGAAAAUCUGAAUCUGGAGCCAUACAAUUACGACCAAAUUAGAGGAUAUGUCUCAGGUUCCCAUCCAUCCGUGGUCCUCUGUAAAAGCGCCUUUUCGGGUUCGAUACACCGCUACAACUUGGCUGUAUAUGACAUGUAUAUAUGCACAAAGUUGGCACGCCUCCCUUUCCCUCUAACCUUUGAUAUAUAAUAUCUGUACAGCCAGCCACUUACGCUUUGACCACAAUAGUUGAGCUGAGGAUGAUGGACUCUAACAGGUGUGCUCUGGUACAAAGGGUCCGACUCAAUUAUGUGUUUCUGCCGGAUUGGAUUGCAAUGAGGUAUCGGAAGCUUUCCUCUUUGGGGCGGAAACACGCACGUCUUUGCGUGCUUGGGACCGGAGCUGGAAAGGAUACACAUACAUAUACAUAUUUGGUACAUGCCUACAACUUUUGUCUGCUCCAAUUGUUCCAAGAUUUUGAAAGGAUUCGAUAUGUAUUUGCAAUUCUUAGUGGCUGCAACUUUGGUUCUAUACACAGUCAAAACUAACAAACUGACAUCUACGUCACUAUAUAUGUUUCUUACUGCGCCUUUUGAGCUGUUCAUCUCAUUCUGAAUACGAUGGAACGGCAUCUCAUCUAGUUUUAGCAUAUUCGAAGUAUGCGCUCGCUCCAACGAGUCACAGGAGGAUGGCGAAUCACACAGCAUUUCAUUAACUUGCAUACGGAUAUAAUUAAAUUUAUUUAAGUGGCUCAAAUAAUUAAAUUAUUGAGUGUUUUUUGUUUGCGGGAAACAAAGUAUAUAUAUAUAUAUAUUAAUUUUACUUAUAGAGAUGAAACAUAUGAAGAAAAAAAAAAAAUAUGCCGUCACGUUGCACAACUGUGAGGGAUUUGAUUAAUUAGGUGGCAGCGACGGCGUCUCAGUUGACUGGGAAGUCAAUUAAAAAUUUGGGAAAAAGCAGAGGUAUUGAAGGUCAACUUGUCCUUCGAAAAAAGAAAAAAGGUCAACUUAGUGAGUCAUGUAUUCACUCAAAUUAUCGGUGGUGACGCUAGCGGUGGUGGGCAUGGGUAAUUGGCUUUUUAUUAGCUUUACCUUAAUAAUCUGACAUCCACCACGAAAAUGACAUGUUGACGUACAAGAAAGAAAGUCGGUCUUCCCAGAAGUAUUUCUGCGGUCGAGCAGGUUAGGCAAGUCAAUAAGAAACUAUUCUGAACGGACCUUAAUAAUCUGGCAGUGAAGAUGAAAAGCUUGUUGAAGAAAUCAAACAGGUAAGAAAACAAUUAAUUCUUUCUCGAAGUGGACCUUUCAUCUCUUUGAUAUUACGAUAAAAGUGAAUCAAAAGCAUGCACGGCAACUAAUUAUUGAUACACCAGUAUUUGUAUUGCUGAACGACGUUGAGGUCAAAUAUUUUUCUAUUUUUCAAAUGCUAUAAAAAUUCUUAAAAAGUAGUUUAAAAAAUAUUUCAAAAUAUAUUUUAAAAACUCCACUGCUCUUAAAUAUUUCAAAAUAUUUUCUACAAAAUAUCUCAAAAUAUACUCCAAAAACUCUGCUGCAGUAAAAUUUUUCAAAAACACUCCCAAGAAACCCUCCUUGAAGUUGUCUUUGAUCACUUCACUCUUUGUCCAGCCGACAAGAAAGCCUGAAAAAGGCGGGGGGCUACCUUCCCCGGAAGGAAUAAAAUGUGAUGCUUAAAUUAGUGAAACGGAGGCAUAUUAAUUGAGAGAAUUCAGCAAUUAAAAAGAGAAGUAUAUUAUUACCUCCUCUAAUUAGAUACUGGUGGGAUUAUGCAAUUGAUUGAUAGGCGAAAAAAAUAAAUACAUAGAGAAAGAGAAAAGAAUGGGGAAGUGUCAAAGCAUUUUACAAAAGCAAACUUAAGCGAGAGAGGGCCCGAAGCUCUCUCGAUUGGAUGAUGGACCAGCACAAGUGUUUAUUUCAGUGAAAUGAAAUGGGCUGAAGUUUUGGAUUGUUUAAAGAGCCCAAACAAAACUGAUUGAUUGAGGUGUGGAGUUAAAACCCUAACUCUCAGCCGCGGCGCACGCUAUAAUAAGUAUCCUGGCUAGGCGAAACGGCGUUCUAAAAGUCGCGUUAGAAAAAAAAAAAAGGGGGCGGGGGAGAGGAAGAGGAGAAGGAGCCGCCGGCGGCAGCUGAGAGAACAUGCAGAUCUUCGUCAAAACCCUGACCGGAAAGACCAUAACUCUGGAGGUCGAGUCCUCGGACACCAUCGACAAUGUCAAGGCCAAAAUUCAAGACAAGGAAGGUAACUCUUGCUUUCAUUUCAUUCUUGUACUCUUCUCUUCUCUGAUAUUUUCAGAUUUUUUAUUUGCUCAAUUGUGUAGGCUUUGCUAAUAUAAUAUUCUUAUGUGCUUUCUGUUUCUAUAUUUGAAAAUAAAUAAAUGAAGGGAUUCCUCCGGACCAGCAGCGGUUGAUUUUUGCUGGAAAGCAGCUGGAGGAUGGCCGUACUCUUGCUGAUUACAAUAUCCAGAAAGGUAGUAAAUUGUUUUUUUCUUCAUUUAGAUCCAAUUCAUCUGUGCAUUUUUACGGGGCUUAUUGUGGGAAAAUUUUUGCAGAGUCGACCCUCCAUUUGGUUCUGAGGUUGCGGGGAGGGAUCAUUGAGCCCUCUCUGAUGGCUCUAGCUAGAAAAUACAAUCAGGACAAGAUGAUUUGCCGCAAGUAAGCUUUCGUUCUUCUUCUCUCUCUCUCUCUCUCUCUCUCUCUCUUUUUCCCUUGUUGUGGAUGAUAUUUUCCUUCGGCUAUUUUUUGUAUUGUUAAUUACCCAAGAUAUCCUAAUGUAUUGGUGUUGGGUUGGUCUUUUGAACUUACUUUGGGACUGGAUCAUGGAUCAAGUGUGAUCCCACAAAAUAUUUACUGUUGGCUUGGUAUAAUAGUUGCUGUUAUUUCUCGACGUUGUUGAUUUGGAUUAUUUGUUGAGAGGCUAAACUGGAUUGGAACUAGUUUUUAGGGCAGUUGAUCAAUGAUUGGAACUGUUAGAGCAGUUCCUUUCGUUAUCUUGUGGAACAACGGAACAAGGUGUGGUACAAGAGGAAAAAGAAAAAGAUGCCAAGUUAAUGUCAAUCUGGGGUAUGGCUCUAGUGGGGCUUCCUAAGCUCUAGGACAUUUUUUUUUCAAACCUUUAUGCUUCCUUCUUCAACCAAUUUUACAGUCUUUUCACCACACAGUAGGACUUACUAAUUGACCCUAGGUCCUUUUUGAGUAUGCCUCUCCUCCAAGCAUUUUUAUUGCUACCUGAGGAUCCGGGUUGUGUUCGUCAUUUUCUUACUAACCUUUUCUGGCUAUUCCUCCGCUACCUUUGCUAAUGGACCCUAGCUAUUUACUAAUGCAACAUUCUUUUGCUAUUCCGCCACUACCUUUUGUCUGUUAUCUGAUCGCGUUUUGCUUUCCACUUGUUUUUAUCUUGGCACGGACAACAACGAACUGUUGAAUAGUUAUGUCACUAUAUGGCACAUUUGAUUUCUGUCUUUUAGUUGACCUUGUUUAGAUUGGUAAACUGUGUGGCAAAAAAGCGCUUUCAAAGAAUGAAUGUUAAGAUCAAUUGUGCAUGUCUGAAGUAAUUAGCUGUGAAAUUUAAGGGCAAUCAAUGGUGAGAAUUGUCCUGUUAAACUUUUCCUUUUUGAAUGUGCUAUUUUUAUGGAGGGCGAGUCUUUUAUGAAGUUAUCUCUAACUCUUUGCAAGUCAAAAUGCUAGAAUAUUCUGCUUUAGAUCAUUUAGCAUCAAAGUUUGCUGUUGCAUUUCUAUUUUAUUUUUUUUAAGGAUGUUGACCGAAUUGAGAAUCGUGGAAUGCAUGGGCUACAGUUCUUCUGUGUGUUGAGGAUUUUCUGUGACUAAAAGUUUGUUGGGAAGCUACAAGAAAUGGACGUUUGGUUGUCCACAGAAUUUAUUCCAAUUGACUCAAGAAGCAAAAGUUUUCUGACAGAAGUUCUUUACUAGUAGCGUUCUGACACAUGGAAGUAUUUUUCCAGUUGUUUGUCACUGCCAAAUGUGCUGUAUGAUAUGUUGGUUUUGAUUGCUUUGACUUAUCAAACUUGAUUGCAAGGAUACAUUCAUUGCAACCUGACACUCACACAACUGGUCAGCCUGUAAUAGUUAUGUUAUGUAUGUCUUUGUAUGGAUCACCAUUAGAAUUGUUAGAUGCAAGUGUUUUAUUAGUUCUUCAGUAGCAUUUGUUCUUAUGCCAAGUUAAUGCAUUAACUAAUUCAGUCAAUCAUCCCUGUAAUCUGGUCUGGGUCUUCCAAGCCAAAUGCAGAAAUUGUGUGUUUGCGAAGGUCCUUUCCUUCACAACUUCUUAACAUUUCUCUCUUAGUAUGAUAAAGUACUUAUUAUUUUUCUUUGAUUAUUUUUUGCAUUAGAUGCUAUGCUCGUUUGCAUCCUCGUGCUGUUAACUGCCGGAAGAAGAAAUGCGGGCACAGCAAUCAGGUAUAUUACUAUGAUUUUUCUUCUCUAUGAUAAGGAAUCUGUAAUCUGGUUUGUGCUAUUCUGUAACUAAUUAGAUUUAUUCAUUAUGCAGUUGAGACCAAAGAAGAAGAUCAAGUAGACAUGCUGCAGAGUUCUGAGCCAACGAGUUAUAUUUGUCUGGUGUUACAUCUUUUAGUGCUUGUUUGGAUUUACGAAAAUUUUUGCUGACACAGCCAGAUAUGGACCAUUUUGUUUGCUUAACCGUAAUCUUGAGGAUUUGAAUAUUCAAGAUCUCUCGCCCUCUCUCCAACACCACCACCACCACCACCACCACCCCCCCCCCCCCCCCGGGGGCUUUCCUGCUCUCUUUCAUGUGCUUGUUCUGUGAUUCUGAUUGCUGCAUGUCAAUAAUGUGACCCGCUGUGAGAUUUCUUUCUGCUGCGUUAGAAUUUAUUCUGCGGAUAUCUGGGAUAAAAACCCAUCCUUUUUCGCUCUCUGAUGUGUGCUUGUUCUCUCUGAUGUGUGCUUGUUCUAUGAUAAUUGCAUCACAAUAUAUUGAUUAAAAAAGAGGAGAAAGGUCUAGUCAAGCUGUGCGGAAAGGAAUGGUUAUGCUGCCUGAGGAACCAGCUAUUUGCCCCGACUGGUUAAUCACUUUCAAGUUUACUGCUACACGCGAACAAGGUUUGUCACUUGUCAGUCACCAACUCUGAAGCUUUUGAGAGUUGAUAAUACUUUGACACCGAAUGCUGCUGGUUGAUUGCUUGUACUCCUUGGAAUCAAACUGCUUUAUUUUGUCGGAGAUAAGGAUUAUUUCAUGUCUAAUUAAAUAAAUGACCGAUGAGAUCAUGAGAGAGAGGAAACGUCUAGCUUUCUGUACAAGGUCCCUUGGUUUGGUUGGUGGAAAAAUUAAUACAGAUUUGAAAUUUAAGAUUCAAAUUGCACCAUGUCUAAUUAAAUACAAAACUAUAUAGGCUCACGCGAGCCGUUGCUAAAUACCACAAACAAAAUUGAACAAGUCAGUGGUGACAAAUAUGGACCUGUUUAAAAAGUUAACACUGCUCUGGUGCACUAUCAACUCCUCCUGCCCCUCUCCUGAUUCCUGGCUGUACCAAACAUAUAAAGGUCAGAUGUCAAAUCCAGUCUCCCAGGCCGCUGAAAGAUGAAAAACCAGAGAUUAAAGAGAGAAAAAAGUGUAGAAAAACUGCGUCAGAAUGUAAUCCGCUGCUCUUUAAUCCUAAUCGAAAGGUUGCGAAACAUUUCAGUGAGAAGCUGGAUCUGCCAUAUUGGGUGCCCCGAACAACAGUCCAUCAACAUCCACAGGGAGCAACAACUUCCGCCACAGACAUCCUGUAGAAAGAGUCUCCUGCGGUUGGACAAUCAUCACAGUAUCAUUCUGUCUUUGACACAUUCCUAUCACACUCACAGAGCUGCCUUCUUUUAUGUAUCUGCCAUAAUUAGGUACAUGGCACUUGAAAAAUAUGUCUAGGUACCAGAAUAUCAACAGUGGUAAAACAACAUGUCGCGUGAGGAGUGUGUUACCCUUCUUCCAAACGUAACAGACGAGCUUCAGCAGAAAGGUUUCUUUCUAUAAGCCAUUUCCCCAAGGUGGAAGACAGAACCUUGCAUUUCCUGGUUGUUUUUACUAGUCUACUUUCGAUGAUCAAGGGAAUGACUUUACAGCCAGUACCAGCCUUCACCAGAGCUCUGAUGCCAGACCUUCUGUCGGUUAUGUAGAAGUCAGUUGAAUAUCUCUGCCAAGAGAAAUCCUGAACAUAUCACUUCACACUUAUUCGCUUUAGAUAAGUUUAUGCAUCUGUACGAGCAAGGAGAACAGUAAAGGACAAACAGGAGUACUGGAAGCUGCUUGUGGCGACAGCAGCUAGAGAAAAGCAAUACUUACUACAUAUACCCAGUUGCUCAUUCUGGGUAUAUCAUUGGCAGCAAAAGCCAAAUGGACAGGCAAAUUUAAUGGAUAUAACACAAACUUUCUGAUCUGAGAUUAACAUUGUUAGACUGAGCCAAAAGUCCACUCUGGACGCCCGCAAAAAUAAUUGACUUGAAAUUACACCUACUAGCCAAAGAUGGGCUGCAGUUUGUUGAAAUUCGGGUUUGCCCAGUAGGCUGUAAAAUAUUUUCUUCCUCUUACUCAACUAAUUCGUGGAAGAAAGUAGGGAUGAAGACGAACGAAACUCAUCCCAAUUAAGCAAACAAAAAGUAAAGUGGAAACUAAAAUACAAAUUAGGCUGCUAUACAGGCUUACUUUUUGGUGAUGCAGCUGAGAAUGCAUACUGAAAGAUGAAGAACAAGAAAUUGUAAUGGAAACAGGGGUUGGCUAGAGGGUGUGGAAAUGCCUGGGGAGCAGUGUCUUGUACAAUGUGAUUUUUUCUUUGCCAGACGAAUUUUGAGACAUAACUUCAGACCAAAAGGUUAAAACACAGAAAUUUGUCUGAUUUUGUAAGUUUGAGACAGCUUUCUUUCUGAGAAUGCUGCCUUUUUCUUUUAAAUUACGAAUAGGGGCAUGCUUGUGGUUAUGCAAUAAUUAAAGUAACACUCACCUCAUGGUGUAAGCUGGAAUACUAAGCUCACAUUUGAAGUCAUUUGAAGUUACUAUCUUAUGAGGAAUUAACAAAUUCAGUAACAGUAGAAUCUAUGUGGCACUUACGAGAGAUCCUACAGAACAAUAAUAGCUUUUGCAGAAUUGGGGCUAAUAGAGUUGGAACUAAACCGAUGGUAGGGAUAAGAUGCCAGCAUAAUCUUCUCAAGCAAGCCAGUUAUAUAGUAACCAACCAGGAGAGACCAAGAAGUUUCAUUGAUCAACAUCUAUGUAAUCUUCAGCCUACUGCUACAUACAUACUGUAGCAGAUAGUAUAAACGUGUUAUAGAAUUCAAAUUUCACAAUUUGGUUCGUUGCUGCAGGAACUUAGUUUAAAGACCAAACAAGAUAAAUGAAGUGAAACUAAUGUAUAGGUUCUCAACUCCAAGAAUAGAUCAACAUGAUCUAUGGUCUUAAUUUCAAGGUCAGAGGUCUGAGCAAAAUUGCAAAUAUACGAAAUGGCACAGUCAACAGGUAGAGAGAAUCAGCCAUACCUCAGAAUAUGCCAGUCUCCACUGGAAGCAUGAUUUCAUAUCAUCAAUGGGUUUCAAACCUGGUUCUUCAAACUCAUACAACAAAGUGGAUGUGUAGAUACAUUGAUUGACUUUCUCGUAUGAAGACUCCAAAGAAACACUUCCGCAGGAGGCAACCUAUAAUUGUUGAACGAAAAAGUUUGGGACUGGUCAGAUAAUGCAGCAAAAGGCUGCAAUGAUGUAGAAUGAAUUGCUAAGGAGAUCAGGCUAUGAGUUUAAGUUGAUUUGAUGCAGCAAGACAAGUUGCCUAUGUUAACAUGGUAUGGAUUGUGUAGAUGCCAGUAAUGCAAUUUUGUGAAUAGAGCGUUGAUGACUCAAUGUGCUUAACUUGUGUUCCUCUCAUCGCCAUUUAAGCAAACAAAUGCACUAGACGUCAGAGAAAACUGCAUAUACCAAAAAGUCAUGAUCAUCAAAAAUAUGUCUCUUUCUUUGUGCCAUGUCUCUGGACAGUUGAGAAAUGGAAACCAAAACGGUUCAUUUAUCUUAAAAAGACAUAAAUACAUAGACGCAUAACUUUGAACCAAUAUAGGCUGGCCUACAACAGAGUUGGACCGAGAAUAUCCAUUUAUUAGUUUGGUAUAACUAGAACAGGAAGCCUUUGAACGAAGAACCACACAUUUAUGAUUGAGGCACAAAGUAUAGGUACGACUUCUGAAUGUACUUCGUUAGUGUGUCAAGGAAUGUUCUUAGAGCAACUACAAGCGCCAUCAUCUGUUAGCAAGUUAAAGUUAGGCAAGUAAUCUAUCUAUAUGCACCUCGCCAGCUUAUUGAACACAAAAUUUCGGCAAAUAACAAUAACUUGAACAGCGACACGAAAAACCACCUUUACUACAAACAGGAGAAGACCGAAUGAACAUAUGCUAGAAGUAAGUAAUGGUUUCCAUCUUUACCUAGUGAAAUUUGACAAAAUGAGGUGGGAUUUUGCAAAUUUGAAGGGGUAGGUGUGGAAGCGAAGAAAAAAGAACAUCUUUUAUGCUCUCGUAUGCAUCCUUGGUCAUUUUUCUGUCUAUCUUUUGCUUAACACGAAAAUUAUGUGAAGGUAAACGAAAACAGAACGCUUGAUAAUCGGGGUAAUGGAGGCAGUCCCGUUUGUGAAGUGAAUCAAUGCCAUGGAUGAUGCAUCCACCUUUUACAUUAGUUACUGAUAGAUGAAAACUUUUGCGAGGCUGGAUCGAAAUAAGCUUUUUUUUUUUUUUUUUUUUUUUAAAAAGGUCGGGAAAUAAUUGUGGGAUGCUAAAAGAUCAACUUAGUAGUAAGGUAGAAGUAGGAAAUAGAAAAGCAAGAAUUACGCCAGUGAGUUUGACGAGCUGGCCUGGAGCUGCGAGACUGAGGUCAGAAUCGGGGAAGAAAUGGAGGUAAGAGAGAAGGGCCCCAUUUCUCCGGCUGGUGCAGCUGCUGCCGGAAUUAUUGAGAGAGUUCCAAAGGAGAAAUGCGGCGAGUAGAGCGGAGAAGCAGAGGAGCACAAGGAAGAAGAGGGCGUUGUGGACCACAACGAGGAUGAAAAUUGAGAACCCCAGUCCCAGUGUGAACAGUAAGAGCAGCAGGUAGAUUGCUGGUGUUGGGAUGAUGGGAUUGCAGCUACCAAAGCAGCCUUGCUCUUCUCCUUCUCCUUGUUGUUCUUCUCCUACAACCCUCGACCCGGCGUUUUUGAAGGGCAAGUCGUUCAUUUUUUCAUCGGAGAAGACAAAAUUGGGAGGAUUCGGGCCGCGACCACCGCCCCCAAUUGCUGGGAAAAAGGUUGAAAGGCAAGAUAGACGUUUUUACCAGUGGCUGUACUAGUACUGGUAGUGGUAACUGUGGUUUUCUUGGAAGCAGAGAAAGUAGAGUGGUAUUAGUAGUGCUGGUGGUGGCAGUAGUAAAACUAGUUGGAGGCUUGGAGCAGUAAACGGACGUUACUUUUUUUUUUUUUGUCAGCAACGAUACAUUUGUAUAACCUAUUUUAUCCUAAUCUAGGGGGAGGGGAAGCCUAAAGAGGCUGUGGUAGGAGCUAGUGGGUAGAGCUGUUAAACGAACCGAGCUGUUCGUUAGCUCGGUUCGUUUCGGCUCGUUCGUGUUCGUUAAAGGCUCGUUCGAAAGUCUUAAACGAACGAACACGAACGAAUUUUUUUGUUCGUUUAAUAAUCGAGCGAACACGAACAUGUUCGCGAAUUUUAACGAGCGUUCGCGAACAAGGACAUAAUUAUCAUUUGACAAAUUUUAGGGUUACUCAUAAGAAAUUCUAAAACUUUCCCCUUCCCUUUCCAACCUUACUUUUGUUUUCCUUCCCCGUUGGCCGCUGCUGAAAAUUUGUACUUGUCUUAUGGCUGAAUUUUUAUAUUUGAAGGACAAAUUACUUUGUUUUAUUUGUUGUUUUUAUGUUAAUGUUGGUUAUGCAGUUAUAAGUUAUUGAAUAAUGGAAUUUAGUCAUUUAGUAUUUUAAUUAUUUUUUAGGAUGAUUAAUGAUUUGUGUGGCAUAUUUAAGGCCUAAAAUAAUCUGGAUUCGAACUUUUCGAGCGUGUUCGCGAACGGCUCAUUUAUGUUAAACGAGCCGAACACGAACACGAACUUUACUUAACGAGCCGAACACGAACACAGGUUUAGAGUUCAAAAGUUAACGAACGAACACGAACGGAGUUCGAAUAGCUUAACGAACAGAGCUCAAACAUGAGAUACUCGGUUCGUUUCGGUUCGUUUACAGCUCUACUAGUGGGUAUACAGACCCAACUAGACCAAGGGAGUGCUAUGACACAACCCUUAGAUUUUUUUCGCUGCUGGUAAGAUUUGAACCCUCACCAACAGCACAAGGAGGGACUUAAGUCCCUCCCUGGUGGCCACUGGGCCAAUCCCCAGUGGUUACCGUAAACGGACGUUACCAAUAAUGCGUUUUUAACUAAUACUAAUAAAAAGGGUUUUUAUAUUUUUUUUUUACAAAUAUAUUUUUCAACCUUCCUCUUAUUCCAUAUUACUAUUAAAUCGCUAUAAUAUAUAUUUUUUAUAAAAUUUUAAAAAAUAAUAAUCCAAAUGGAUUGUUAGGGUAAUUAAAUGGCUAAAUUUGGUUCAACCAUACGCUACUAAAAGUCCAUUAAACCUUCAAAGUCUCUAGGAGAGGCAUCCAUCCAUAGACGUGCUAUUCUUUUGUGUUUGAGGUUUUUCAAGUCCUUCCAUAUUACUACUACGCAUUUCGGAUCAAAGCCAAAGUAUAGAAUAGUGCUUAAAAACCAGACCACAUGCAUGCAAUCCAUUGUCGUUGUUGGCUACCUAGUAUUUAGAGACUCUUUUUUUUUUUGGGUUUUGGAAGAUUGACUGAGGAGGUCUUACAAGAAAUAGAGGAUUGUUGCGAAGAAUGCAGAUGGCUAUACAUCAUGAUCUCUCAGCUACAAAAUUGAAAGAUGCUCUGAUCGGCUGGACCAACCGAUGAAUUUUUUUUGUGAUUUAAAUCCGUAGCUAGCUGUUUUGUCUUGGGAUCAUAUGCCUCGUUAUUGUUGUGUAAGCUUCAUCAGUUAAUUCAUCAAAAUCAUCAGCAAGUGGUGUUGAUGCUAAAGAUUUCACACUGCUUUCCAUGCCAAAUGCCUACAAUAUACUCCCUCCGUUCCUUAUUAGAUGUCCUAAUCCAUUGUUUCUUUUUAUCUAUCAUUUUAUGAUAUCAAAAAAGCAUUUAUGAACUUUUUUCCAAAUUUACCCUUGCUUACCCUUUCAACUUUCUUGAAUUGGAACUCUAAAUAAUUAAAUGCAGUAUUUGUAGCAUUAACAAUAAAAGUAGUUGAAGAGAUGAAGAGAGAUAAAGGGUAAUUUUGAGAAGUAAAGUUAAACUUUUGUUGACUUUUAGAAAAUAACCAACUUUCUUAAUCUAAGAGAAUUAGUUUCUUGGGAUCAUAUGCCUCGUUAUUGUUGUGUAAGCUUCAUCAGUUAAUUCAUCAAAAUCAUCAGCAAGUGGUGUUGAUGCUAAAGAUUUCACACUGCUUUCCAUGCCAAAUGCCUACAAUAUACUCCCUCCGUUCCUUAUUAGAUGGCCUGAUAACUAAUUCUCUUAGAUUAAGAAAGUUGGUUAUUUUCUAAAAGUCAACAAAAGUUUAACUUUACUUCUCAAAAUUACCCUUUAUCUCUCUUCAUCUCUUCAACUACUUUUAUUGUUAAUGCUACAAAUACUGCAUUUAAUUAUUUAGAGUUCCAAUUCAAGAAAGUUGAAAGGGUAAGCAAGGGUAAAUUUGGAAAAAAGUUCAUAAAUGCUUUCUUGAUAUCAUAAAAUGACAGAUAAAAAGAAACAAUGGAUUAGGACAUCUAAUAAGGAACGGAGGGAGUAUGUAGUAUUUGAUAAUUCAGUUAAUUCUCAAUGCACAAUUCAUUUGUGGUCUCGAUCUCAAUGCCUUAGCUUCCGGGGCGGGGCACCAAAUUAUACACAGCUUCUAUUCUAUGGCGUAUCUAUUGAUAAUGUUCAGCACGUCAUAACGAGUCUCCAUUAUCAACAACCACUUGUCCCUCUCGGACUCCUACACCUUGAUGCACACUAAUGGGACGUACUUUGACAAUUAUUAUUCGACUGUGUUUCCUCUUUUCCUCCCUAAGAGGCUGGCUGCCCUCUUCUUCAUCAUCAUCAUCAUCAUCAUUAUCAUCAUCAUCAUCAUCAUCAUCUGUAGCUGCUGCUUGGCUGGUUAUCCAAUAGACCAUUAGAUUCCAAGCUGUCCCAUUCUUGAGGGGAUGUCAAAGAACUGUCUGCCGGCUCCACCAUAUUCAAAAAACUCUCAAGGGCUCAAGGUAAUCCGGACUAGUUCUGCUGCUUUUGUUGCCGUCAUCAUCUGAAUGCACUUGAUCACCAGCAGCAGCUCCAUAUUUUGAUGCAGCCAGACACAUGCUUGGCUGAGUAUCGAAUAACUGCUAAAGGUUUAAUUUCCACAUCUGGUUGUUACAACGAACGAAGCAUUAACCAUACAAUUUGAAACUUGCCUUUCUUUGUGUGUAUUUGGAUAUAAGAGAUUAUUUGAAAUAAUUUCUUGAAAAAAUUAUUGUAGCACUUUCUUUUUUAUAUGAUAUAUGUGAAAUGAAAAGAUGGUUGAUAAAUGUAUUUAUAUAUAAUGUAAUCAAAUAUAUUUUUGCAAAUAAUGAGCAGUCCGAACACACCCUUACAUUCUAGAAAAAGUAAAAGAUAUAGCGGAAGAUUAUUUUUUCAGGGGUAGGAGGUGACCAUAAAAAGGAAAGAAAGCUUCAGGAGAUAGUUUUUUCUGAUUAAAAAGGGAAAAUUUUAUAAAGAAUAAAAUAAAAUAAAUUUGAACUUAGUUAAAGAGGCUGGAAUUCAGAUGCCAAAAAAGUGGAAUUGAAUCAACUCAAAUAAGUUUGGGCUUUAGGAUUCGAAAUGUUCUUAAAUUUAGCGACCAAUACAGGGGGCUUUCAACUGGGCCAUUAGAGCUACGAUUCUGCCAGUUUGCUACGACAGAAAUUUUUUUUUAAUUUUUUUUUUAAAAAAAAAAAAGGAAAGAAGAGGAACGAAAGAAAAAAGAGUGGUAGAAUGAAUGGCUGAGCUGGUUAAGGCCCCCUAAGGUCCGAUAAGUUGUUUCUACUUUCCACCUUUGUACGUAAAUUGAUUUUCAGGCAAAAAUGUUUUUAUAUUAUAUAUAUACAUAUAGACUAAAUCUUUGGAGAAAACUUAACGUGCUAGGGUCGAGUUAGGGCGUCGGGCCUAGGCCGCAAAGGAUUAGUCGGAUCCCGUAAGGAUUGACCCGGACACCCUUGUGUCGAUUAAAAAAAAAAAAAACCUUUGGAGAAAACUUGUCUCGCGUAUGAGCUUCCACAUUCUAAAAGUUUCUAUUCUAACCACACAACUCUCUUAUGUUCGGAGUGUCUAAACAGACGACUUUGCUUUUCCAAAUCUGCAACUCUCUUAUGCUCAGUACCUUCCGGUCGAAUCUCAUAAACUUUCCACAUUUUUCAUCGUUUUUGAUUGAUGGAGCUUUGCCUUUGCCUAAAUGGCUUUGUUUUCAGUUUUACACUUUUUAUUAUCAACUUUUGAAUGAAAUUUAUAUGUUUUGUAGAGAUUAUAAUGGUCAUUCCAUAUCACCAAAGGAUGCAUCUGUGCUUUUGCAAACCCGAAGGAAAGUGACUAUAGUUGUCAUGAACCUAAAGGGAGAUAUGUGCAAUUACCCAUCUCAAUAUCUAACAAAUUAUGACAAUAAUAGUAUGGGAUAAUCUCAUGAAUCUCUCUUAAAGUUCCUAACAGUUUCAAUUAGUGCCCAUUAACUUCAAAAAUUCUCUCUUGCUUCUCCUAAUUUUAACAUUAAUGUAAUAUUGCCAAUAUAUUUCGAAAUAUAAUGUUAAAAACUUACUUUUGGAUUUUUUUUUUUUUUAGUGUUUUAGGGAGGGUUACUAUAUAUAUAUAUACAUACAUACAUACAUACAUUUGCAAUUGAAUAACCAUCAUAUUAAAUGAAACCUUGAAACCUCCAUCUGCACAAAAUGCAAAUUAUUAUAAUGGAACUAGGCAGUAUAAUUAUACAAGAUUAGUCACUAAUUGUUGCAAUUGAAUUAAAUUUGAUUUUUUUAAUAUUCUAAACUUUAUGUUUUGGGUUUGACUUAAAUAUCUUUUAUCAAUUAUUAAUAUAUAGGUCUAGGAUCGCUUUUGUAUAUAUUUUUUAUGGAUUGAAUUAUUUUAUACAUAAUAUUAAUAGGUAUUGACAUAUACUAGAUAAAUAAAAUUUGACUUGAAAUUACCCUUAUAAGUAAACCUACAAAAAAUUUUCUUAUGAUCCCAUGCUACCCUUUUUAUUUUGUGGGAUUGGAACAUGCAACCUAUAGUUAAAAUGAAUCCGAUGUUAGAAAAUAAUUAACACAUUCCACUAAACCAUUUUUUAUACCUUUUUUUUUUAAUAUAAUUCAUUUUCAUAAAUUUGGACAUAAAGAAUACUUCUUAAAAGCUUUUUAGAUUUUAAUUUCAUCUAAUAAAAAUAAUUUAUUACUAUUAUUAUACUUUAAAAUGUAAAUCACAAUACUAGUUAUAGUGAUACUAUGGCGGCAUCAUACUUUGUAGCCGUGGAAUUAUAUGCAAUCUAGCAAUAGGGGUGGAGGGUUUGGCGCGGCACAGCCGUUGAGUCUUUGACUACUUGACGAUGCAUGGACAUGUGGAAGUUAUGUGGGAUGGAUGGAUCCCACAAAUUUGUCGGUCCUUUUGGUCUCGAAGUUCUCGCAAUGUAAGGGAUCACUUAAAUAGUUAAAUGGGGACGCGGCAGACGUGGGGUCCACUUCUCUUUAAUGACAAAACUACUGUACUUUUCUUUGCCUUUUUUCCUUUCUUUUGUUUUACACAAUGGGUUUGGGGUAGGAGAUUAUUUAGAAUUUUUAAAAAAUAUUUUAUUACCAUAGCAUUAUUUUUGAUGCGAUGCGUAUGAGAUACAAAAAUAAUUAAAAAAAAUUGUUUAAAAAUGUGUUUGUAAUGUAAUCAAAAAAAUUUUAACAAAUAAACCACUAUUCAAACACACUUAUGUUAACAUUUUCUUUUAUUUAUUUUUCUACAAUUAAUAUUUGGAUUGAUCUUGAGUCUUGUGUAUGUUGAAAGUAUAUCCACUAGCAAAUAUAGAUGCAUGAUAUAUGUCACUUAGUUUGAAUUUGAAUUUAAAUUUAAAACUUUACACAAAAGCGCGUGCACAUAUAUAUAUAUAUAUAUAUAUAACAUGCAUCAAUGUUCUAUAUUAUACAUCAUGUCACUAUAUAUAUAUAAUUUUUAAUAUUUAUUAUUACUUAAUAGUAAUGCAUUGUUUAAAAUUUUAAAAAAGAAGAAUGUAGAACUAGCAUAUUAUAUGGGGAUAAUUUCAGAAACCUCUCGAGAGGUUCCUAACUAUUUCACUGCUUUCUUUUGAAGUAUACAAAAUUACAUUAACUUUUCCUGACAAAAAUCUAGGCCCAGUUACUUAUAUUCACAUAGUGUGAAAUUACUAUUAUACCUAAAGACGUUAUGUAUUAAAACAUCUUACAAAGGAGUAAUUAAGGCUCAAGUUAAUUGAUUCCAAUUGAUUACUGAACAUAAUUACGGUGAAGUCCUUAAUAAGAAACUGUAACUGCAAUUACAAAGAUGGCGCCAAUUGAUACAUUAAUAUGACGCCAGUUUUUUACUGACAUCAAUAACAAGGACAACAAAUCGGUUUUAUAUGAUAUGAGAAAAAGGCAUCUCAUAGAAGAAAGAAAACUACGAAGAAAGAUGGAGAAAAUGAAGUAUGAACGUAAGAAAAAUUCUAUUAAAACUCGUGAGAUUGUAAUAUUAGCAAAGUGAUUUCAUAGUUUUAAAGGAGAAAAGAGAGAAUAUAGAGGCAAAAUUUGAGAUUUUUCGACUAUAAAUUGCAAAUAUCACAAUAAUAUAGGUAAUCAAUCUCUUGUUAUUUUAGUCUAAUAUCAUAAAGAUGACAUGUUUGUUGGCUGAUAAAUUGCAAAGCAUGACAAAAGUUAUCGUUUGUUGUAUUGAUAAUAAUGGUUUCUAACUUUUAUUAGUUUCUAUUAUUUUACUAAUACAACAUGUAAAAUUAAAGAAGGGAUAUUUAUGGGAACAAUUUUUCAUCUCUCUCCUCAAAACACAUUUUUAAGUGUACUUUUUUUUUUACUUAGACUAAUUUUUUAAGUGUGUUUAGAUAGAGAUAAUUUCAAAGAAAAAUAAUUUACCUCACAAAUCCCAAUCACUUUUUUAUCUUCCCAAUCACCUUUUUUAUCUCACAUACAUCACAUCACAAAAAAAAAGUGCUACAGUAAUUAUUUCAAAUAAAUCAUUCAAAUAAACUCUUAUCCAAACAUAAUCUCAAAUGAGGUUUGCGUAGUUUUGUAAACUUCAAAGGAGGACAAUGAAAUAGUCAAAAAUAUCAAGGAUGGUUCAUGAAAUUAUCCCUUUAAUAUAUUUAUGGGAUAAUUUUAGAAACCUCUCCUGAGGUUUCUGAAAAUUUCAUUGAGUUCUCCUGAGAUUUGAAAAAUUACACAUACCUCCCUUGUCAUUUAAAAUGACAAUACUAUCCUUAAAUGUUUUAAUGAAAUCCUCUUAUUUAGUAUGCUUAUAUUUAGAAUGACUUUAAAAUUAUUUUUUCAUUCUUUUUCCUUCUUUCUUCUUAUUCCUUUUUUUUUAAUUUUCUGCCAAUAAAAUUUUUAAAUUACUACUAUUAUCUCUAGUUUCUAUUAUAACCAAAUGUUGAACUAAUGAUUUUUUUGAUGAGUUAAUUUUAUAUGUAAUCCGGUGUUUUUUUGCUAAUAUUUGUCUUCUAUUUUUUGGUAUUAAACUUAACAAUAAAUCCAAAAGAAAUUGUCUAGAAUCACUACUAAAUUAUGAUAAUCCCACUACUAAAAAAAAAUCAUAAACUCUGAAUCAAUUAUUUCAACAUUUUAUUUUCUAUCUUAUAAAUUUAAAUCCAUAAUAAAAUACCAUCAAAAGUAUCCGAUCAUAGUGAUAAAUUAUUAUUAUACUCCCUCCGUCCCACUUUGAUAAUAUUGUUUUCUUUUUUCGUCUGUCCCAAAUUGUAGUCCACUUUCUAAUUGAAGAAUGUAGUUAUUUUUUAAUUUCUGUAAAAUACCCUUAUUCAAUGUAAGUUGUUAUUACUAUAAACUACCUUAUUUAAUAUAGAUUGUUAGUGUUGAAUAUAAUCUACUCCAUUUAAUGCAUUUAGAUUUUUCAAAACAUAUUGAUAUAUAAAAAACCAACUUCAUUUAAUGAAGGGUAUUUUAGAAAAUUAGCAAUCUAAAUUUGUUUUUCCAACAAAAUUAAUUACUUUUUAUUAAACUGUGUGAAAAAAACUCAAACUAUCAAAAUAUGACAUAAGGAGUAGUUGUUUAUCACAUUGUAAGUAUAAAUAUGAAAAAUUCGGCACAUUUUUUUUUAUAAUUACAUUAGAUAAUCUUAUAAUUCUAUAGAAAAGUAAAUUAACACUCAUUACACAAGGGACUUUUUGAGUAUUCAUUUAAAAUUUUGAUCAAGUCAUUUGUUACUAAAACUAUCAAAUUAAGGGAGGUAUUUAUAAUUUUUUAAAUUUUAGGAGAGCUCAGCGAAAUGUAACCUCAAGGGAGGUUUAUGAAAUUAUCCCCAUAUUUAUUAAAUGGAGGGGUGCCUAAUAUCAUAUCAGGUAGCUCGAAAACUCAACCACUCCGCUGACUCACUUUGUCUGGCCUCAUUCAAUACAAGUUGUAUUAUGAGAGUGGGACCCCUUUUGUCAUGCGUAGGUAAUUAGACACUUAUCAUUACUCACUCAUCCUCUAAUUGCCUACGUACGGGCUACGGGGUUAUCGUCCAUCUAACGCAGCGCUCCUUUCCGUCCUGCCAAAUUGCUAGGAGUAGUAUUUUUCACUUACCCCUACGCCACCCCGCCCCACCCGGCCCCACUUCCCCUCUUCUCUUCUCUCUCUCUGGUUUUGGGUUUUGCUGCUACUAAUAGUGUGGAAUAGCUGCAACUGCUUACCAUGACACAAUCAUUUCAUAAUAUUUUCUCUCUACAGCGAAGACCAAAAGAGUGUGGUUAAUGGUAUUGGCGGCUUCUAAUUGAGUAGUCGUUAACAAGAGUAGUGUGGGUUAAUAUGGUUGCUCUAGAUGUGGUUUGAGUUAAGAAUUAGUGGUUCUUGAGGUACGAGGUAGUAAGGGGAAAACGCAAGAGAACAAUUAAUCUGCGGUGCUUUUAGGUUUUCCUAACUUGUUAGAAGUGUUGUCGAAUUAUGCGAUGAAAUGGUUGAUAAAUGUGUUUGUUAAGGCAAGUGGUAUGGGUAUGAAAUAAAGUUACAAACGAAUCAAAUCGCUCGCAAGUCGGUUCAAUCAAAACUUGACUCGAAUUCAAUCAAACAUCAAAUUCGAAAUUGAUUUUGAGUUGAUCAUCAAGUCAAGUUAUCGGAUUCGAAACGAGUGUAGAGAAAUUCAACAACUUCAGCUCGUAAAAUUGCAAAUUGACUCGAAUACAUAUAUAUAUAUAUAUAUAUGAUUAAUUUUUUCUACAUUGACAGUGUAUAUACUAUCAGUUUUGAAUGAAUGACAACUAUAUAAAACUUGAAUUUGAACUUUUACACAUAUAUUAUAGAACCAAUGUGAUAAUAUAUGUAUUGUUAGUGAGUAUGAGAUUUACUUAUUUUAAUAGUAAAUUUACAUGCACAUUCCUAAUAUUUUUAUUACUUAUAAAGAAAAUGACUAUUUUAUUCAAUUUUUUAAAAUAAAGGAAUUAUUUUUUAUUUUUUAAAGCUCAAAUAACUUCGAAUUCGAUCUUGACUAGACUCAAAUUUGAAGCCAUGCUCAAAUUCGAGCUUUAUAUUAAAAGUUCAUCGAACUCGAUUUUAAGUUUAAAUUUGAUAACAUUGAAUCAAAAUUCGAUGCGAUUAAAUCAAAAUUUGAAUUGACCCGACUCACUUACAACCCGACGAGGAGAACGGUGUGUAUUGUCAUGGGUAGCAGGUACUGCUAAAAUCAUGUACUGUAGUACUAUGUAUCAUACUUCCCAUCAUGAAUUCAUCAUUCACACUUGUGAUACUAUUGGGGAGAGAGAGAGAAAGCGUGGGAAUGCGCGCGCGCGUGACGAUGAAAAAACAAGAUCCAGAAAAAAGAGAGAAACAAAAAUGGAGGAAGGUGGGGGCAGCGGAAUACCACCGCAGCCGAGGUGGUCGUGGUCAUUUCUCAGGAAGUCCAGCAGCAGGGUGGUAGGGUCAGAGUCUGCCCAUAACUUUCUUGUCGCGUUAUUUUAUCAUCAUAUGUUUAGAGGGAGGGUUUCCUUUCCAAAACCUUGAACGCUUCUUUAAUUUCGUUCUUUCUUUCCUCUCGCAAGUCGUAAGUGGAGCAGUAAUAUGGGGCCUUGAUUGUUUAUUAAUAACCUCCCCACGGACCACAAAGGCCGCAACCCCUCCUCAAAACCCAAACAUACAAACAAACAAACAAAUCAUCAUUCAUUCAUUCAUUCCGUUCAUUCAUGCACCAUCAGUCUCUCUCCCUCCCUCCCUCUGUUCCCCCCCCCCCCCCUCUCUUCUGGUUUCUAACCCCCUUGAACAUAGGCGAGAGUUUUGGGGGAUGCAAACAAACAAAUCAUCUGGCCACGCCAGGCCACCACCAACACAACCUACCUGGAUUCAUAUGAUCAUUAGUGCAGCAAUAAAUAGAUAGAAAAACGCUCUUUCUAUUGGGCGCACAAUAUAAGUAACUGAAUUUAUCCAAGCAAGAAAGAAACAUAUUGGGAGAUUUGCGUUUUGAGGGGAAUGUUGUCUGGCUCGAGGACUCUUUUUGCUUUGAUCAAACAAAUUUUUGGUUCAGAUCUGUUAUGCCAAUACCAGAUCUCUGAUCUACUCAUCAUUUUCUUGUUGAUUUGCUAGAGUCGUCGGACCAGGCUUCAUUCCCCCCAAAAGUUUUGGUUCUUCCCAAUAUUCCUUGCAUAAAGAUGAUCACUUUUCCCUUGUGGAUCCACAGGUAAAAGGCCUUUUUCUCCUUCCUUGGCAUACUUUUGAGUUUUCCUGUCUGCAGUUUUAGCUUAUGAGUAACUAAUUAGCUGCGCUUUGGAGUUGCUUCUUUCUUUCUCAUGUAUGUAUGUCCUGUUGGAAGUUAUGCUAACUUUCCUUUCCCCCCCCCCCCCCCCUUUUUAUUGCUACUAUAGUUAGUUAGUUAAGGGCGCGCAGAUUGGUGUAAUGAUAAGGAUCUUUGACUCCGGGGAGUACGUAUGUAUCUAUCUGUCUGUGAGAGUAGUCGCAAGUGUCCGUCUCUCAAAAAGUUCCUUUCCUCAUAAUUACCAUCUUUUUUCCUUCUCUGUUUUCUACCAGGUUAUGAUGGUGUUUUUUCAUUUGUGUCAGAGAUGUAUGUAACGGAAGAAGGAACUACAUGUGCCUUUUUCCAGUGGUUUUUAUGAUCCGGAUGCUUUUCCCCAUUAGAUCAUCCAGAUCCGGCUUCCAAAUUUUUAGAUACUCUGAUUAAAACCCUUCUCUUUGCUCCUCCAACAUGCUAGCCUUCUCCGUCUUACUAGGGUUUCUUGGAACUUUUAUUAACCAAAAACACAAAAAGACAAAAAAAAAAAAGAAAAAGAAAAAGGUUUCUUGGAACAUUUUGGAGCAAUUUCUCCUCUCGAGUGUCCUUUGUGCACUCACUGCCUGUAGAUAAUCUCUUGCUGCUGCAUCAACUUGGUAGAUUUAAACCGUGGGAUGGAUUUCUUCUACUAGCGUUUCAUAAUUCAUACAAAUGAUUAACGAUGAUGGUGUUUACAUGUGACAUGACGUGUCUAAGUAAUUUAUCAAGUAGGAGUAGGAUGCUGUUAAUAUAAUAGAUAUAGCACCACUGCUUAGAUCUUGUCUGAGGAUUCAAUGCCACGAUCUGUUUGUGUCUGGUUUAACCAUUAUUUCAUUCAAAAGUCUGACAAUUUGAUCAUGUAUACUGACUGUAGUUCUCAUCCAAGACACCCUCCAUAACAUUUUACAUCCUCCCUUCUGCAUUUUUUUUUCCUUUACUUAUUAAACAUGGCUAUAGCUUUUUAAUUACUCAAUCAAUAGUAAGUAGGAAUCUAUCGUCUCUUGUAUUUCAGGUUGGUGUCAAACAUAUUUACUACUACCGUUUUUCCAUAGUAUGUGAACUCUUGUCCUGUGAUACCUGUGUUCGAAGACCACUGGUUGCUUAUUAGCCAUUUAUGUAGCUUGGUUUUUCGGGAAUACUGAAUAAGGUACACUACAUUGCGCAUAGAAACAUGCAAUAAGCAGUAGCUACAGAAAUUCACGACUUUCAAAUUUUGAUUGCUUUAAUAUAAUACUAUAUGUAUAUAAUACGUGUGUAUGUUCCUCCUCCUCUUUUUUUUUUUUUUUUUUUUUCAAUCGCCAACCCUACUUCUAAUCCUACUCUAUUAUAAUCUAACUACGAGAGAGCUCAAACUGAGCUUAUGGAAAAAUCAAUGAAGACAGAACCAUCAUCGGGAUCAGACAGAUGUACUACACACCCAUCUGAAUAUUUUUUGAAGAAUCACAACCGUGACAACUUGGUACCAAAUCCUCAAAAGGUUUGGUGGUGACCAUCAGCCUAAGCCUUAGGCUGAUAGUUGUAUGUUCAUGUUCCUCCUCCUGUUCCUACAUGAUAGGAGUAAUAUAAUAAUUACGAUAAGAUGGCUCGUCCUUGGCCAAUUAAUCAUGCAUUGCACCAACAGUUUAUAAGCUGUUUAGUUUAGACUUUAGAGGAGGAGUGGGUGCAAUUGGGCUACUCAUUAAUUUAAUACUACUAGAGUUGGGAUGAAGGAAAUGACAAAAGCUAUACUGCUGCUAGUCUGCUAUGGUUACAGCUAGUACUACUUUAAGACCCCCUGGAUCUUAGGUCUAAACAUCACGUCUUAAUUCACCUUUCUAAAUGUCCCUCUUUCUUGUGAGUUCUGAAACUUUUCCGCCUUCACCACCCCACCGCACCCCCCCCCCGGGGGGCUGCGUUCCGAGGUCAAAACAUUUUUCGACUACUACGUCCUUCUUGUGCUGCUGUGCAGGUGUGUGCAUCAAUAUGUCAAUCUUCUUUAAUCGAGGUACCUCCAUUUAUCACCUAUUUCCUCCCUUUCUUUCUCUCACACAAAUAUAGGCAGCUCUAUUUCUGCAGAGUUGACAAAUAUCUCCGAAAAUGAAAAAACAAAAAAAUUGGCAAUCCAAACAGGGCAUUAUAGUUUCGCAAAUUGCUGUUGAAUGAACAAGUCUGAGCUGCUGAACUGAAAAGCUGAGACUUUCGAAAGAAGAGGUCCUGUAUGGUAUGGUAUGGUAUAGAGACUCUACAGACUCACUCAAUAAUCAAUAUGAUGGUUUGAUUUAUACAUACAUAGAGACGUUAUAUGUACGAGUAUUGCGGUCACAAACUAUGGUUUUUUUUUAGGUAUAACUCACAAGCGUUCGCAUUCGUUUUGCGACUAAUCCUGUUUGAAUAGGGUCUGACUCCUUACAACGGAAAACUCUUCCAACGUUAUUUUUUCCAUUUCCAUGAGUUUCGAAUCUAAAAUCUCUUGGUUAAGGAAUGCAAACCCCUUCCACUUGCACCAACAUCCCUUGGUUGUCACAAACUAUGGUUGAUAAACCAUCCGAGGCAUCAACCAAGGUUGGAUCAUAUCGUGUACCUCCACAGAUUGCUAGCCAUAGGCAGUGGAGUAUAUUUUUACCAACAAAUUUUACCAGCUUUGCCUGUAGGAAGGAUUGUGAUGAUCUCUUGUUAAUUCACUACUACUUCCGUUUUAGUCGGGAUGCCUCUCAUGCUAACUAAUUAUACUUUUUUUUCAUUACGAAUACUCACAAUACCGUUUUAAUGGCACUUCCUCCUCCUCUUUUUUUUUUUUUUUUUAAUUACACUCCCCUUAGAUUUAUUAUUAUUAUUGUUAUUAUUUGUUGGUGUGAAAAGAUAAAACUGCCCUACUUUAACUUGGAUUUACAAUUUCGUAAAAAAGAGGUAGUUGUAUAUUGAAAUAAAAAUUGAGGUAUUCUUGUCCAAUUCACCGGAUCGACAAUUCAAAGGUAAUUUUUGACACCAAAAAAAAAAAAAGAAGAAGAAGAAGUCAAAGGCAAUGCCUCCUUUUGGAAAUCCAUUUAACAUUUCCCGGUUCCCUGUACAAAUACGAUCAGUGAACAACUGAAGAGAAGAUGCUUGACUAAUAGUAGCGUGCUUGGAGUCAACUUGCCACUGCAGCGAUUAAGUCAUUAUUAUUAACGUCAUAAAGCGGAAAGCUGAUCCGACAACCAAAAAGGUAACGUCAGUAGUGUAAUGGGAGAAGAAGAGAAGAAAAAAAAAACAAGGAGAGAUGCGACAGUGAAGAGGAUUGUGGCUUGAGAUUCGUGAGUGUGAGACUUCAUCUAAUCAACUAUUUCUUCGAGAAGACAAAUCUAGGUAAGGAAAAACAUGAUUAGGUUUGCAUUUUCUUCUAUUCUUUUUCCUGGCCAAAAAAACAAAUUUUUUUAAGAAUAAAAAGGUUGGAACAGUCUUUUUCUUUUCUUGCUUGAAAAAGGGCAAAAAAAACCCAUAGAGUUGGCACGAGGUGGAAAGCCAUGACUCAGUAGUACUAUUCGACUUGAGAGAAAAUUCCUGUGACGCGAACUGUUCAGUUUUUGAAACUGGUUAUUUUUCCAAUAUUUAUGAGUUACUCCCCCCAUCCCAAAUUAUUUGUACUUCUUUCUGGGACAUUGCAAAAUUGAAAGCAUGACCCUGCUUUCAUUGGUAUGGAGGGAGUAUGAUGGAAGAAGAGGUGGAUGGGAUGGUUCACAAAAUAGAUAUCGGGCGUAACAAAGAAAUGGAAAAACAGCCAACUUCGUCCAUAAAACUUUUUUUAAUGUCUAUUUAGUUUCUAACUUUUAUUCUUGUUUAAUUUGAUACGCGAACUUACCUUGCUGUUCCAAUUAAGAUCCUCCAUUGCUGUUACCACCUAGAAUCAAUCUAACUCCUAAUUAACAAAUUAAAUAAAGGUAUUUUGAAAAUGUCAUUCACAUGGUUAUCAUAAAUCGUAUAAAAGAUCACCAGAUAAAUCUUUUAAAUUGUAUAAAAACUCACUAAAUAAAAUUUUAAAGCUUAAUAUUGUGAUUGUGAUUGUGAUUUUUUUACAUAAUUUAUUUGAUUUAUUAUAAUCACGUAAGUGACGUUUUCAAAAUACCCACGCUUAAUUAAUUAAUUAGAAGUCAGAUCACUUUUAAGUGAUGCCACCACCACAAAAGUACUUAAUUGAAACUGCAAAAUAAAAGUGAUUAGAAAUAAAAGUUAGAAACUCAAUUCACACUAGUUAAAAAGAAAAAAUUAGGAAGGAAUUUGGUGUGCUCGUCCAAUGAAAUACUAGUAAAGCACAAGAACGUGUAUAUAAGUAGCAUGAUUGAGCUGAAGAGCAAUAAUUGGAUUCCGCUGUUCAAAAAGGUUAGCUGACGUGUUAUGUGGAGCUAAGGUCAAAGGCUUGUCUCAAUCUUAUCUGACUUUAUGAUCUGACAAAAAUUGAUUAGCAGAAAGGCAAAGUGCCAACAUCAACAACAUGGAUUCCUGCCCUUGUGUGACUGUGGUGGCUGCUUCCAUAGCUCAAUUAAGGAAUAAUUUCAGAAACCUCCCUUGAGGUUUUUAAUGGUUUCACUCAAUUCCUCUAAAGUUUUAAUAAUUACAUAAACCUCCCUUGGUCCAACCAAAUGAUUAAAAUGUCUUUCACUUAAUAGUUAAUUCAAAAUGGGACAUUCAAAGUCAAAAAAGAAAAGAAAAAACCUUACCUUUUAUUAUUCUACAUGGCAUCUCUUAAUCUCAGAGAACAAUUCCCAUUCAUUUUCUAAUAUUCAUUUCUUUUUUCCUCCCUCCCUCCUCCUUUCACACUCUUCGCUCUUUCCUCCGAUAACCACUCCUCCCUCUCAUCAAAUAUCGGGCUCCUUUGUUGCCAACCACACCACUAUCAAUUUUUUAUUAUUUUCAAAAUUUAUCUAUAUUUUUUGUCUUAUUGUCUCUUUCUUACUAUACAAAUUUUAGAUGCUUUCUUUUUUUUUUUUUUCCAAUACUUUAUUCUUUACAAAUGUUAGCCAAUUGAAAGUCACCAAAUUAACAAGGUGCAGACUGUAAAUUUUAUUGUCAAAAUAGGGGAAGAUGAAGAAGGUGGCAAUGAUACAGGGAAAAAAUGAAAUUGAGAAUUCAAAGAUAAAGAACUGACUAUUAUGUUUGUUAAGCAAAAAAGUCUAGCAAUUAAAGAACUCUAAUGUUCUCUCUUUUAUUUCCACCUGUUGGUUGUGGCUUUAUUAUAAAGGUAGAAUUUUGUCUCCAUUUCUAAGAGUACUAGACCAAUGAUAAAUUAUGUUUUUGGGGAAAUGGGGGCAUUUGUUGGUUUAAUAUUAGUAGGGGUGGUAGCGAGUUGCAUUCAGUAAGAAUUAGUAAGAAGUAGAUUUUUAGUUGAGUUGGAGUCACUAGACUCUAUUUGUUUUAGUGGAUAUGCCAUAUACAAGAAAUUAAAGAUAAAAAACUCGUUUUGUUUUGUCUUGUUUUCUAGAAGAAAGGUAUGUUAGGAUAUUUGUGAAAAAAUAUAUGCAAUUGGACCUAUAUUGUUACAUAAACCUUAAAAGCAAGAGAGGUAGUUGUAAUUUUUUAAAAUUGAUGGGAGCGCCCUGCAAUUGCUGAAACCUUAAGGGAGGUUUUUGAAAUUAUCCCCUCAAUUAAUUACCAGCAUAAUUAAGGAGUUGUUUUUCAAUUCCACUUGCAAAGCCUUUUUUUAUAAGAAGGAGAAUCUAAUAUUCCAUUAUCAAGAAUUAGUUUUUGAAUGUUUUACUUUAGAUAAAUUACAAUGCAAGCUGGUUUUAGUAAAGAGCCGAUGUUAAAAUUAACAUUGUUUUGGAUGUGACAAUAUUCUCCCUCACGAAUUUAAAAAGAUAGGUACUAUAUAUAUAUGUAUGUAUGUAUAAAGUAUUUCAAUAGAAUCAAAAGUUUGUUGUUAUUUAUUUGAGAAAACUCAGAAUCCACAAGGCAUUAUCACAAGACUCCGAGGACCAGGUAAUUAAAUGGGAUUUUGCAUAUUUGGACAAAGGUGGCAGUUUAAUCAUCAAAAAUCGUAAGUCAUCAAGUUUUGAUUUAGUGAUUCAAUUCAGGUGGUAAGUUUUGAUGUGCAUCCGAAAGGGCACGUCCAAUUCAAGGCAUGAAUGAUUGGAAAGGAACAACAACAUACACCGCCAUCACAAUCAUGUUGGAUGCUUCAGGAUUCAAAGCCAUCAUUUCAUGCCCUCUCUCACACAAAAAGUCUUAAAAAAGUGCAGUGCAGUGCUCCCCCUAGUGGCCUGACCUCUUAAUCUAUGGCUGUAAAUUUCUUCUUCUCUCUAUCUUUCUUUCUUCCUUUUUUUUUUUUUAAGAAAAAAGUCUUUCCCUUAGUCAAACGGUGAGUGUUUGAAAUAAAUAAGAGGUAUAUGUCUCUUUUUUUUCCCUGGUCUUCUUCCCAAUUGUAUUAUUGACGAGAAAUCGUUUUGUUAUGGUGGUACUAAAAUAGAUGGUCAUAGUACGACUGUACAAGGCACUGCGCAACGGCAUGAGCCAGGAGUUAUGGGAUGAAAUUUUCCAAUUAAUAAAACAAUUAAUGCUCCUAUAGGGAUUUUGUGGUGCGGGAGGAAUGGCGUAUGAACAGGAUGAUGCUCUGAGGAAUCCCAAGGCAGGGAAGGAAAACUCAAAAACACACGCAGCAGCCCGAGUAUACCAAUUCCUCUUCGACAAUAACAAUAUUAUUAUUAGUAGUGUCGUCGUUCAUCGACUUUGCAGGAAACUGUUACGAAAAGGUUAACCUAUCCGUACAAGACCCAGAAAUUCCAUAACAAACGCCCCUCCUUAGAGGCCGACGUCCUCGACGGCCUGGUAAUUUUGGGACUCCCCCUUCAUGGAGGCAGAGCCUCUACGAGAUUCGAACCUGGGAUGUUGGGUUCGUUGCCUGGCUCUGAUACCAUUGUUACGAAAAGGUUAACCUAUCCAAGGCCCAGAAAUUCCAUAACAGAAACUAAAAAGAUAUUGAAUUCCAAACCUUCCACCGAUUUGAGAACGAAUAUGCUAAUGAGACCGACCACCGCAACAGGACCCUUUACCAAUUGGCAUUCGGCUUCACAUGAGUCACGUUGAUGCAGCACAACCAUGCAACGCAGCAGCCCGCCAAUCUUCUUUUCCCUGUUAACUCUCUGUUUCGUGCUCUCCUCUAUAGAAUUUAGCCACUAAUUUACCACCAAACACUAGCUCCACUUAGUUUGAAAACUUCUCCUAUUUGCUUUCUGGGAACUCUCUCUCACAAACUAGGCAACAAUUGUUUUCUCAUAUUCAGAUUCGUGUCUGCUAUAGGAGAAUGCAUAUAUAUAUAUAUAUUAAUGUUCAAACCACCGUCAGCCAUUCUCAUUUUCCAACACAAUCUCUGUUGAGACUCUCCUAGGCUAGAAUUGAGAUUUUUCUCCGUGCACGUCCACUACAUAGUAGCUCAAAACAGUACUCAUUCCUUUCGGACCUGCACAUAAAGCAGGCAUUGGAUAUCAAUAGCAAGAAAAUUUUAACUGGGAAUUGCCUUCACAAAGCUUCCCAAUUGACAGAUCCAUCUACUACUGUCUAUAUUCAUUUGUACAGCAAUUUGUUCCCCUCCACCUCAAGGAGAGAGAAUAUCCUUUAGAAUACUAACAACUCCACCAAAUCUUGACUCCUAUAAUUUCUCAAACACUAAUGAAGGUCAAGGGGGAAAAAAAAAUCUACAAAAAGAAUGCGCUAAUGAUGUCUCGUAUUUGAACUACGGAGCGUCACCCCAUGCAAAAAUUUGGUAUAUCCAAGCAAACUGAGUUUUCCAUCAUUUCUUAUCCAGUCUUUGAGAAUUGAAUAAGCUGUAGGGCCAAGAUUCAACUCCUGCAUCAGAGUGCCACAGGUUGAGAAUUUUUCAACUACUCCCAAGCAGAAAUACACACAAGAAACAGAGACAUUCUGAGGCGCCAAGAAAUAAGGAAAAACAGAUAAUACCCGAGCCAGCUCUUCCACUGAUAUUACUCGGUUGCCCUCUAGUUCGAAAUGCUCAAAUGCAGUUGAAGCAAUUUGCUCCCAGCCGUCGAGAGCCUCCAGUUGGUAUGUGCUGAUUGCAGCUGCACAAAACUCUUCGAACUCCAUCUUUCGAUAAGAGAGCGGGGCCAUCUGAAAGGCAUGAGAGCAAACCCUUUUGAGGAAGCUAUAAAAUGAAACUAAAGGGAAAACAAGAGCUCAAACAGCCAGGAUGCAGUUAAAACAUGUCAAACCCGCCCCCACCAUGGGAGGCACACCACAUAAAUAAUGGGCUACAGAAAAGGAUAUCGACACUCACUGCAUUUAAAAUAUCAGGAACCCUCGACUCCUUCAGGGCAUCAGUUGCGUUCCGAAGAAGAGCCUGCAGUUUUACACAUUCUCUUUUAGUUAUUUGAUUAAUCUAGACCAAAUAAGAUGGGGAUGAACAAAAAAAUUUUUUUUUUUUUGUGGGCUGUGGCACACACUAACAACUGGAAAGCAUGCCUCCCAAUUAAAUUUACCAUUUUAAAGUUCUCGAAAGAAACACGUCCAUCCUUAUUUGGUUCCAAAAGUAUAAACUGAGCUCUAAGAUAAACCAAUUCAUCCUCAGUUAAAGCUUUUGAUAGAGCCUGAAAUUAAACAGAAUAGAACGAAAAUUGCUAAGAGUCAUAGGGCCUGAUAUUAAACAAAAUAGAACGAAAAUUGCUAAGAAUCAAAUUUCGACCCAAAAUCAAUACAGUUUAAAACAUCAUAGAAGAAGGCUUUGUUUUUUGGGUCACAAUUCAGUAGGCAAAAUAAAUAUACAAGCAUCAGGCUCGAUGCGAUCAUGUUGAACCCACAAAGACCAGUCAACAGACUGAAAGCAAGCAAAAAGUCAACCAUUGGGAACACCCAUUAUUCUGACAAGGAAAUCCAGAAUUUAAUAGCUGCAAGUAGUUUUGAUAAUUUCCUGUAUUGUCCGCAUUUAAUGUCAGCACUACAAGUUAGUUAAAACAAAUAAGGAAUUUUCAUCCAGAAAACUCGUGACAUUCAGCCAAUGAAAGAAUAUAAUUUUAUGUCUGUCAAAGUAAAAACCACGGCUCAUAGUGAUAUAAUCAACAAAGAUAAUGGUCAGAGUGAUUUCUAACCUCCAAACUCCCUCCCGUGCCUGCUCCCCAACCCAACAAGAAAAGGGGAUUAAAAAAAGCCACAACAAGAAAAAAUAUGAAAAGGAAAAGAAAAACCUAUCUGCCUUUUUGCACAAGCUGAACCAAUUCAAAUAUAGGAAUGACAACAGGGCAGGGUGGGGCGAAGGAACCUUCCCCCACCCUUGCCCUGCCCUGCUUCUCCUGCGGGUGCCCAUUGGGAAAAAAAGUUCAUAAUUAAUAAAAAAUACAUCAUUAGUAAAAAGUGUAAUUAGUAAUUUAGGAUAAAUGUAUUAGUAUAACUAAUCAAUAAUUUGUAUUAGUAUAAAAAUAUAAUUAUUAGUAUAACUAACAAUAUUAAAUAUGUUAUAUAUAUAAUUUUUUUUUUUUUUUGGGGCGGGUGACAGUGCGGGGGUAUAUUCCCUCAUCCUCUGCCCCACUUCUUAACGGAGGGGAGAAAAUUAAACCCCAACCCCCCUCCCCCCCCCCCCAAAUAGGCACUGGCCCCAAUUGCCAUCUCUAUUCAAACAUGAUACACUAUAUAACAAUUGAAUGGAGAAACAACAAAUUGUGUUAUUGAAUAUAGGUGUCACUCUAUAUACUUUGGUGGAUCAAGGCAUUGGCCAAAAAAUGAAAAACCAUUAUUUAAUGGAAAAAAGUUAGGAAGAACCCUAAGUAUGAUAAUAGCCAUGUGGAAUGGAGAAAGAGUACCACCAAGAAGCAUGAAAUAACAGGUGAUAUCGGGCAGCAUUUCUUGAGAUAUUGGAUCAGAUAAGGUGCUGCCACUUCAUUUAAACAUGAUCAAAUAUAUGGACAAGGUAAUUAAACCAGAAGCACAGCAGGAGAAUUUGUUAAUUCCUCAGCAAUGUUAAUAAACAGUUAACAAUGAUCACGAAGGACAUAAAGUAUAUGAUGAUUGCAAAAUACAAAUAUCUCUUAAGCUUUGAUGGACAACCUGAGAAAUUUUAAGUAGCUGCCACUACAGAAACACAAUCAUCCAGAGAGAUAACAUGGAGAGUUUCGAAAAAGAGAACCUAUAUAGAAGGAUUGCAUCCAACACAGCAAGCAUCUCAACAGAAAUUAGUCAAGUAGCAAUUUGGGUACCAAAAUUUUUCCCUAAAGAGCCAACUCACCAAAAUGAAAAACAAGUUCAAAUUAACAAGGGGACAAAGAGUAUACCCUCAGUGCUGCAUGUUUGAAAGGAGUUGCAUGUAAAUAUGACUUGACCAACUUGUAAAUCAAGAUAUCAAGAGGAAUAGGAUGGUUUUCACUCCGCAGCCAUGGGUGCGCUGUUACCAAACAGUGUAACUGUGUAAGUUUGUGCAUAAUACAUAAAGAACAGAUUAAGUCAGCAUAGAAAGCAAUGUCUUAACCAAAUUGUUAACAUAUAUUUGUAAUAAGACGAACAAGUAGAUAACCAUAUUAAAACAUAUUUACUGGGUACUUGGAAAAUUAAAGCUCUAGCAUUAACUCUUGUGGAAAGUAAAACUUACUCAAAGCUUGUGCAGCAGUCAUUCUCUUCCUGUAGUCCUUGUUUAGAAGCCUUUUGACAAAGUCCUUGGCUUCUUUUGAGACAGAAGGCCAAGGUAUAUCUUCAAAGUUGGGAUCAGCUCUGAGAACUGCCCGGAAGAUUCCAGAUUCUGUCCUUGCCCAAAAUGGUCUACUCCCACAUAACAAAAUAUAGGUUAUAACACCAAUACUCCAAAUGUCUGCCUCCAAGCUAUAAGAUCUAUGGAGAACUUCAGGUGCCACAUAGUAUGCACUCCCAACAAUAUCAUUAAGUCUUUCAUCUGCACAAAUCCAGGUUGAAGCACAACAAAGUAAAUAAAUAAAUAAAAGAAAACACAUAUAAAAAUAGAAUCAAUUUAUCAUAACUUACAGAAUUUUGGUGUAAAACCAAUAACUAGUCCCAAAACAUAACUAAUGACACGUAAACAGAAACAGAACUAAGCUUCAUCCACUCGAUAAUAUUAGCAAAGCCCUAACAGAAAAUUUGCUGCUCAUUCUAACAAUGGUAAAUAUCAACAACUAUUGUCAUUCUAAAACAUUGACGUCAUGUGAAGCACAACUACUACGCAACUCUUUUGAAUCCCAUUGUAACACACUGAUGUCACAUGAAUCCCAACCAAUGACUCGCUCCUUUUUAACGAGUCAAACAUUAAACUUUGCCUCGUACCACAGAAGAUGUAAUGAACUAGCUAAGAACUUUCGAUUGGAUGAGGUUUGAAUUUCGUUAUCCAUAUUGAGUUUGCUACAAUGAGCAAAGAAACUAGCAGUUGAACAGAAAGUUCUAGAAAACCACUUAAGCAUUUAUGACCUAGCUAAAAACCUAUGGUCUUAUCAACAGGAAAAUAUACUAGCACAUGUAUCGGACAUUACAUUGAAAACUUUUCUGAAGCAACAAAUCAUAUGUUACUUUAAUCAAUUGUCCACUUGUUCAAGUAUGCACACAAGCUCAAGCAAAAACCUUAAUGGGCCUUUAAGAAAUAUACAAGCUACAGAAGCAUGAGGAUCAUACAGUGGAUGAACCAGCAUUAAUCUCAACAUAAAAGAUACAGUAGGCAUUCCUUCAGUGUAUCACAAGGAUAUUAAACCAACAAUGUAAAAGAAAAAUCAAGGUAAUGAGGUCAUAUGAAGAGGUUUUAAGGGUGAUACCUGGUCUAAUGAAGUCAGAAAGACCAAAAUCAAUAAGUUUCAUAUCAGCUUCUUCACUUCUAGAGGUAAAGAGGAAAUUCUACACCACAAAGAGCAAAUAGAAACAGCAUAAAUAGUAGAAAGAGAUAAGUACAUAGAUCAACAACAAAGCAUUUGACUUGUGUCAGAACAAAAUUAUACUGCACACAAAAAAAUAGUAAAAAAAGUUGCACAACCUCAGGCUUCAAGUCCCGGUGGACAACACCUUGGAGAUGACAAAAUGCAACAACACUCAAUAUUUGAGCAACAAUGAGCUUAGCAUCCUCUUCUGUGUAUCUACCACCUCUACAUUGAAGCAGCAGCAGCAUAUAUACAUAAUCUCAUAGCUUAACGGGCAAAAGAAUUUUCAAAAUCAAGAUUUCCUUUACCUAGAUAAUAUUCUGUCAAGUAGUUCUCCACCUUCACACAACCUGUACAAGAAAAUAUAACAGCUCAUGUCACAUCCAAGAGCAAAUGAAGAUUCAGUGAAGUAAAGAUCAUCUAAUAUUGAAGUAGAAAUAUCCAUCAUGCUUAUGAAAAGUGGCUGAACAGUAAUUAAGUCCAAUAGAAACCGAGGAAGAAUGGAGUAGCACAUAAAUUAUUAGCAAGUCCCCAAAUAAGCAAAAUACUUAUAUGCAUAUAUGUUAAUAUAUGAAUUUUUCAGCAAAGACUUUUAUGGUAAGGAAAAGAUGGGAUUAAUUAUAAUAGACGCGUCGAUUUAUUAACUAGUACACAGGACAUUUCCUUCUAUGAAAAGAAUUUUUCUUGUCAAUUGAUUCUAUCCAUCCUCCCAAGAUAGAAAAUAGUGUCAGACCAUAAGCCUUUCAUAAGCAAUCCCUCAAUUCAAUUUAGAUGCAAGCAGAAGUUACUUAUCAGAAGAUUUUUCUGAUAAAAGAAUUUCAAUGUAAGAGAACUUUUUCCUUAAGGUAAGGCUGUCCAUAACCAGAGGAGAAGUAAAAUCUCAUAAUUACAGGAGAAAAGAACAUACUCCAUUACUAUGUACACAUUAUUGGCAUCUUCACAGGCAUCAUAAAAUUUCACCAGAUGUCUAUGGCCAGAUAGCGCUUUCAAAAUUUUCACUUCUCUACGGACAUCUUCAAUAGAUAUUGCUGUCGUCAUCUGAAAAUGAAGCUUGUUAAGUUAAAUAUCUAUUUUGCUCGCAGAGAUUAUGAUGGAUCAAGACUGUGCCUGAGAAUGUAACAAAUAAAGUAGAAAAAAUGACACUAAAAUCAGAUCUCUGUUGAUUGGACUAUAUCUGAGCCAAGGAAGUUAAAAACCCAGGACAGGUGAAGAGUAAAAUAUACAAUGAAUCAUCAAUAGUACAACAAAGAGUUAAUUUCAUUUAGGGGGCAAAAUCUAAAACAGAAUGGGUCGAAUAAAAGGGGGGAAGGUGAAGUAAAUAUCUAUCUUCCAGAAUUUUGUCCCCACAGAUGUGAGUGAAUGAGUAAACUUAAUAUUCCAAUUUAAGGUUUCUUUCCCAGGGCCAAAUUGUUGAGCAAUGCAACGUAUAUCUCCCCAUACAAGUGACUACUUGUCUGUCUGAUUGCGUGAGUUGCACAGUUACAUAUACAUCAUGCAUCUUAAGAUCAAACCUAUCAUAUAGCACAAAUGACAGUUAACAUGCUUUGUUCCCUCACCACCUUUUUGAACCUUCUUUUAACAUCCCCACUCCCCUCUUUACCAAAAAAAAAGAAAACAAAAAACAUCAUUUAACAAAAGCAACUUACUAAACCUUUCUAAUACGUGCAAAUGGACUGUUGCAGCUAGGAACGGCAGUUUCAUGCAUAGUAUUGCUAAAUGCAGUAAAUCCUGGUAAGGAAACACAAAUUUUCAACUUACAAUAUUAAGUAAAUUGUGAUGAUACUAGUCAAAAGAAUUUGAUCCUAGCUACAAAUUUAAUCACAUGCUUAAAACAUGCAAGUCUUAACCCUACAGAAAAGAUGCUGCCUGUGCAUUUUAAGAUGAAAUUUGCUUAUAGGUGUUCUCAAUUGCUUUUGAAUUCUAAUUUAUUGGUCUAAGAAGUAGCCCUUAAGGUGCUAUUGAGGACAACUUUUGCCUUUUGAAGACUUUUAAAACAAAAAUAUGCUUCUAAAUUGAAGUACUCCUUAUAGGAAUUUUUCCACAGUAGCUUUAAAAAGCUAAAGCAUAACGAGAUUCAAUGCCUAAAGGAUUUAAUUAUGUUUGAUUUUCUUUUUCCUCAUUAGAUAUGCAGUCGCUUUAAACAAACCAGCCUAUUAUAAUAUUUUAGAAUUAGAAAUAGAACACUUACUAUUGCGAAAUGGAAGGGGCUUGUCUUCCACGAAGGACGACAGUCUUGAGUUUAUAUCAAAUGAAAAUUCAAGUUGUGACUUGCUUUCUACUUACAUAGAUCGUUGAUGAAGUCAUUGGUUUAGUAGCUUUACUAAGAAACUUUGAUACAAGGAUAAUCACAACAUUUUUGAAAUAAUAAUUCCAACGCAUCCUCAGAUUUUCGUACUUGUUGCAAAUGUCCUAGCUAACCCAUUUACUAUAAGGAAAGAAAACACAAAUAAGCAACUAAAGGCCACCUCAUUUUUUCAAAUCAUAAUGAUGGACAUCUUAUUCCCCAACCCCCUUUCGCCAAAUAAUAAUAAUAUGGAAACUUUCAAGAAUCCUGGAAAGCAAGUACUUUCCAGAAAUUGUUACAAAUUCUGACCCUCUAUAUUACGAUCACUAACUUGAUAUAACAAUGGAAGAAAAUCCGGUAGAUGCUUUGCAACCACAUGCUAGAAGAGAUUCACUAAAAUAUGGCAAUGAACUACUUAGGGUGCAAAAGCUGUAAGUUUUCACUUUCAAGAUGAAAACUAAAAACCUAAAUCCUCUUGGCUUCCUGCACCUCACAAGUCCGAGGAAGAAGAGCAACUUUAGUUGAUGCCUCAAGCAGAAAGAAACAGGAGCUGCUAAAUUUUUAUACCAGCAAAAAAAACAAAGAAAGUCUCUGAUGAUUAUUCAAGAUAUUUAAAGAUUCUCGUAGAACGUAACACCUUUAAGAUACAGUUAGAAGAUCUUAAAAUAGCAGCUAGAAAUUUCAACUUUAAAGCUAGGUACGGCACCUGGCUGGAUAUAGUUUGUAUUUGUCAGCUAACAUCCACAAUAUUUUCCUAAUUAGCAACAAAUGAAUGUAUGGAUAAGCUUUAGCACUAUCUUAAAAUAGCAGCUAGAAAUUUCAACUUUAAAGCUAGAUAAGGCACCUGGCUGGAUAUAGUUUGUAUUUGUCAGCUAACAUCCACAAUAUUUUCCUAAUUAGCAACAAAUGAAUGUAUGGAUAAGCUUUAGCACUAUCUUCUCAUUUCCUAAUCUCGCUUCCAAUGGGCAUAAUAUAUCUUCUCAUUUCCUAGUCUCACUUCCAAUGGGCUUAUUAUAUCUUCCAAAAAGUCCUACAAUUUUUUUUUUCUCACACUAAAGAGCAUCUUCAGUAUUAUUAUAAGAAGUCUCUUUGGUACGCUAGAGGAGGAGCUUUAGUGGGUAUCCAAACAUUGGACUGGUGAGACUUUCGUGCAGCAGUUCAAAAAGCUUGUUUUUUCUGUGGUGAUUUAUCAUAUUUGGAAGGGACGUAAUGCUGCUAUAUUCAGGUCUGCUUCAGUUUUGGCAGAUAGCAUCAUGGAAGCUAUAGUACAGGAGAUUAGGCAUGUGGCUCUUGCAUGGGGAAAGAUCCCAAAGUCUCAUGAAAGCUGGAAAUUGGAUUUGGAAUGGAAUAUCCCAUUAACAGUGUUUAGUUAGUGUAAUGGUCCGAUAUAGAUUUCUGUGGUAGUUAGUUUAACGUGUAAAACGAGAUAUUCUAUCUUGUGUACAAAUUUACCUGUCCCAUAUCAAUAAAAGCUACAAUUUUGCCUAAAAAAUCAUACGAGGUUUCUUAUUCAGGGCCAGAUGGUAUGUUAAAACAUUUACAUAAGGUGAAAGAAAACAAGAAGUCUGAUACCACUCGAUGUGAAAGCACUGAAUACUUGCUAGUAUACACUUGCAUGAGAACUUGUGAGACAAAGAUCAAAGUCACACAUGAAGAUUUUAUUGGAUAUUGAAAAGCAACAGUCGAAGUGUAUCAAAUAAAUAUUCACACUCAUUAAGUAUGGACCCUAUAGGCUUUGUCAAAGAGAAGUAGAACGAAAAAGGAAUAAACAAACAGUGUCAUACUAAGUACCAACAGCUUGAUGGGCUAUUCCACUAUUUUGAUACCUUCCACAAAAAUCCUGCAUUGUAUUCCACAUCCAAUCUUGUUUCAGGCUAGAAUAACAAGUGCCCAAAUCUUUGAGAUUUCACAUAAUAUUUUAAUCUUUAGACAGUGCGGUGAACAUUGUGGAUGUUUUCAACUAUCAUUACUAAAGUAUAUCAUACCUCAAUAAAACUCCAGCAACUAAAAGAGCAACUCAAAACUCUUAGAUUCUAGGUAUCUAGCAUUGACUUCCCAACAAACCAAACAAAACAGAAGCUUGCCAGCAUGUGGAUGUUAUAAAUUUCAGAUUCCAAAAAGGUUUGAGAAUUACUUUUUUACAUUACAAAGGUCUUCAUAAUUCUUUCACCCUAAUGUUGGUUACACAUAUAUAGAAUAGGGUAGCAAACGAGUCAAGUCGAGUCGAGGUUUGGCCUAAUUGAGCUGAACCUCAACUUAAUUUUACCAAACUUGAAGUCAAGCUCGAGCUCAAUGAGCUCUCAAUGCCAAGUUCAAGCACAAGCACCAUCUCAAAUAUGAGCCAAGUCGAGCUUGAGCUCGAGCUUAAAAAAAUAAAAAAUAAUUAUUUUAUUUUUUAAAAAAUGAAUAAAAUAGUAAUUUUUCUUAACAAAUAAUAAAAUAUUAGGAAUAUGCAUGUGAUUUCACUAUUCAAAUAAAAAAUAAUAUAUAUAUUUAUAUAUAUAUAAAAAAUCGAGCUGGCUUGCGAGCUAACAAGCUGAGUUAUCUUUGAGCUCGAGCUCCACUUGGUCAGCUCAAGUUCAACUCAAGCUUAGUGUUGACCGAGCACGAGUUGAGCUUUGAUCUGAACUGCUCGCGAUCGGAUCGAUUCGUAUGCAACCCUAAUACAGAAGUCUGCCUUGGAUCAAGUUAAAACCGCAACACAUUCAACUCAUGGCCUCGGGGACAUAAUUCAUUCCAAAGAAGUGUUUUGAGAAACCUUAGGAGAUCCAAAGCAUUGUUGUCAGGAAAAGCCCUCAAAUUUAUCUAUAAACCAUUUGACCCUACCAAGUAAAUCAAGACAAGGCAUGAUAACAAAAGUCCGGAGUUAAGAAUGCAACGAAAUCAAAUGCUAAUAUGUAUUGUUAACAUGUUGGCUAAUUAAAACAAACAGAACGGGCAUGUACGACUUUCAACUGUGUCAAAGUCUGGAAAACUCUGUGUUAGAUUUUCAAUAAAGAUACAGCAUAAGAAUCUAAGCAGGCUUUGCAUUAGGAUUUGAAAAAGUUUUACAUGCUGUCGUACCAGACAAAGCCUGAAUAAUUACGUAGAACCAUUUAAUCAUUUCUACCAGGUUAAGGCAAGUUCAACAAAUACAGAAGAUCAUCUAACUCUCAACCUUAACUCAGUUACACCUACAAGAACAAGCUGAAAACAUAAAAAUAACUGUCUUGCAAUCAUUCAUGCAUUCCCCAACAACUCAGAAGCUUAUACACUGCUGCCGAAUAUAUGUUAGCAUUUAAUCACCGGAUGUGAUGCUGAGACGUAUGCUAAGUUAUUGAGCUUUCAUGUCUCCACUUUUGUAGCCCUGAGCCUUCUAUAAGUCUCAGUUUGGAUCAAAAGGGUCGGAUGCUUAUGAAAAAAAAAAAAAAAAAAAAACUUUCUAUAACAAAAACCAGGCAAGGCAAUUUAAAGACUGGCAAUUGAAAGAAAAGAAAAUUAAAGUUGAUGAUUAAUCAUUAAGACCUUCUGAAAUUGAAAUGUUAACCAAGCCCAUCAGCCGAAUCCUCCAACAAGGAAUUUAAUUCAAUUAUCUAACUAGAACAUUGCAACUACAACCACAAAAUCCACAACCAGUAGGGCUGAAUAUUGAUUUGAAUUCUGUUGCCAAAAAAAUGCAACUACAAUGAAGCAAAAUGGAAUCUUUAUCCAAUGCCACUUCAGCUGUAAAUGGCGAUGUUGUGACACAAGCAAAGCUCGACUUAACUCAAAAGUUCAAACCUUUGAGGAAUCAAUCAAUCAAUCCGCGGAAAAAGGAAAAUGAACUUAGUUUACAUAUCAAAGCAACUAAAAUUGCAAAAACAUGCAAUCUGUUGAGAUUUGGAAAGAAGAGAUGGAGAGAAAUUAGGCAUUUAAAAUAAAAAAAAAAAAAGGAACCUUUGCUUUAGAGAUGAUUUUAACAGCAACAGGAACGUCUUUGAGCUCGCUCUUCUUGCCCUUAGCAAAGCACGUAUGGCCAAAAUGGCCCCUGCCCACCUCUUUCCCCAACUCAUACUUGGCUCCGAAGUUCUUAUUAUAACCAAAGUUCUUAUCCAGGGAGUGCUGAUGAUGAUCACUUUCGGUGGCGACGGCGGUAGUGGUAGAGUCCUCGGGGAUCGGGCCCUCACGCGGGGUCUUGGGAUAUCCGAAGCGCCUGGCGAGGGAGGCCUUGAUGUGCUUGGCCGGAGAGGGGGGCGGGAAGGGGCGCUUAAAGAAUCUCCGGCCAGGUGUGGACCUGGCCGGAGAGGGGGAGACGCCAGCUGGAAGAGGACUGGUCCCACCCGGUCCUCCUCCGUGAGGAUAAGGACUGGGCCAGGGGUUGGGACUGGGUAGGGCGGAGGAUCGCCCCGGAGUAUUUUUCACAGAGGAGAUGUUAACCCCGCCGUUAUUGGUGGGGGAGGAAGAGGGGCGAUCAUCGGGGAGGGAGGUGGUGGGCCUACCGCUGUCCCCAGUGGGGAUCGUCUUGCCAUAACACUGCCCCAUCGAAGAAAGCAGUAGUAACAGGAGGAGCUCAAAUGUGCAAAUGUUGAUAAAUUUUUCUCUGUUUUUUUUUUUUGGGUUGGUUUGUGGUGGGGGUGGGAGGACGGGGAGGAGAAGCGGGGUUUGGGGGUAAUAGUAGCAAUAAACCUCCCUCCGUCGGUCCCGUGGAUCGGAGGUGGGGAAUCAAGUCAAAGUGUAAAAGGGUCUAAGCAGUAAGGAAAAUGGAUCGGGACAAGCAGCAGCAUCUUCCCGGCGGGGAUCUGAAUAGCCGGUGAAGAUGAAAAUCAGGAAAUGGGGGUGGUGGGUGUAUGAGAAAGCCCCCGCAGCAGAAGAAGAGAGGGCAAAGUUGGUGGCAGGAGUAGGAGAAGUAGGAUGGGAUUUUGGGAUUUAUGGAAAAAGACAAAGUUAGUCGGGGAAAGAGAGAGCAGAGGAGAAGCAGAAGCAGAAGCAGUGCUGUUGCAGAGAGAGAGAGAGAGAGAGGGAGAUCUACCAGUACAACAAACGGCGGCGAGAAAACGUUAAAAUUACCGGAUGAAGGAAAAGGCGGAUCCGCCCCUCCCUCCCCAAUUCCACUCCUCUCUCUCUCUCGCCCGCCUUCCCGGUCAAAGAGUCAGAGACUCGUACUCAGAUUUUACUACACAAAUUCACUCAACCCCCACCAAAAACCCAGCAAAAACCCCCCGUUCAGUAAAAGCCGCGAAAAUCAUCAUAUUAUUAAUUUAUUCACAAAUAAAGGAGGACCAAAAACAAAAUCAUAAUAAUAAUACUCUAAUAAGUUUAUUAUAGCAACCCCCCCCCCCCUACCUGCAAGGAGGUGAGGUGUCGCUAAAAUGUCUUUUAUUGCACCCAAAAAAAAAAGAGUAAAAUGUUGCCAAGAAUAUCGAAUCUUUUGUGUUUUUGUCAAUUUUUUUUCUUGCUUGAAGGGUAGUAAAGGGAAAAAUGGCUGUCGUUUACUUGUUAGUUAUUAGUUGUAGAGAAGGACAGCAGACAAGAGGGGACCGGCGCCGGCCCCCAAAUUGGAUAAUGUAGAACAAUAGUAGAGAGAGUAGUGUAUUUCCGAAAGGCAUGGCUGGUUCGGAAGAACUCACCGCCGUUUCUCAUACACAUCAUGCCAUUAUUAGAGUUUGAGCUUUUAAUUUUGACAAUAAUACUUUGAAAAAACACACUCCGUACAUAGCUGGUACGCACCGUACAAACAAUUACUACAGCAGCAUAAGACCGAGUAGGCGACAGCAACGACCAGCCGGAUCCAGUUUGCGACGAAAUCCACUUAGGGGUAAUGGCGGCGGCGCGGGGGUUAGAGCACCCUGCAUCCAUCCACUUCCGUUUUUGACACAGCAUUUUGUAUCAGGACUGGGGUGAUCACGCGGUUUAAAUCAGUGCUUUGAAAGGAAAAAAAGGAAACAAAAUGUGAAGUACCAAGAAGAUUAUCCAUUUCAGCAAAAUUAUUUAUUUAUAGCUUCAAGUCGAUAAUAUUAUUAUUUUUCCAUGCUAUUGCCCAACGUCAAGUCAAAGAAGACAAACAUCAUGAAUUCUUGAAGCAUGAGUUACAUCUCUGUAAUCAUUCAAGAACUAUAUAUAUAUGUAUCAGCUGAAAAUAUCUCAUUGCUCAUCUUACGCAAAUCCAUCUUACAGCUAAAUUUAGAAACUAUAAAGUUAAGAUCAAAGCAAAAUGCUUCACCGAAAAGUUAAAGAAAAAAUAUAUUAUUGUAUAAGAGUUACACUACAAUUAUAACAAAAUCGCUGAGUACAAAACUAUCCUAGAGAAAAUCAAAGAGUUGCUGAUGGACGGGCACUGGCCAUAGAUGUUCGUAUAAGUCAUCUGUUUAUAUAGUUUGAUUUGACUGUAUUCACUCUUGUAGUAGUGUUACUGUUGUAAUAUAGGAGGGCUUCCUCCAUUGUAAAGCUCCACUGAGUAUCGAUGAAUAGAAAAAAAAAAACAUUUUUUUUUUUUUUUGCUUUAAAAAGUUGUAGUUCAUAAGAGGACAAAAAAGGGGCCAAUAAAUUUGAGAAUCUACAAUAAUAGAUCCAGUUUGCUUUUUUCUUUUUCCAUUAUUUAUCGGCUAAAUUUGCUAAAAUAAUUCUAAAACUUCGUUUUAAGGAGUUGAGUGACAUUUCUUGUCAAAAAAAAAAAAAGUUAGAUAAUCAAUUCGUGCCAUUUUAAAUACUUCAAUUGUAAAUAUUAUGACCAUUUAUUCUUUACUUUAUAAAUAGUUUUUUUUUUAAAAAAAAAAAAAAAAAGAGAGAGAGAUGGAGAGAAAGUCAGAGAUAUGAUCAUUAUGCUGUUUCCGGGGGACGGGGGGUGGCCAACCAUUGUGGGGGUUGUCGAAGGAAGCACCGGAAAAUAGAGGUUUAGAAAUGUGUCAAUACAGGCGUGCCAUUCAUUAGGACGUGAAUAACUACCACUGUAACUUCCAUAUCAUACUACUAGCUAUCAAGCGGGAUAUAUAAUAGUACCAGUGCCAUAUUUUGGAUUGGACACUGGAGAUGCCAUAUGUAGCCGUGGGCACAGGACAUCAACAUGAAUAUAUACACAUGAGUCGGGUGUACAGCAUUAUUAUUAGGGAAAUUUUCAAAUGUCGAAUUAGUGAUUUUUUUUAUGAGUUAACUUAUAUGUAAUCCAAUGUUUUUACUGAUCUUUGUUUCUAUUUUUUUGGUAUUAAAAUUUAAAAUAAAUAAAAAAAAGAGCCAAAAUCACUACUAAAUUAUGAUAAUCCCACUACUCGAAAAUUUCAUAAAUUUUAAAUGAAAUAUUUCAACAUUUUCUUUUCUAUCUUAUAAAUCUAAAUCCAUAAUAAAAUACCACCAAAAUUAUCCUAUCAUAGUGAUAAAAUUAUUAUUAUAGUUGUUUAUCAAAUAGUAGGUAUGGAUAUAAAAAAUUUGGCACCUUUUUCUUAUAAUUAUACUAGAUAAUGUUAUAAUUAUAUAGAAAAAUAAAUUAAAACUCAUUACACAAUAGUAGUAUUUUUGGGUAUUAAUUUAAAAUUUUGACCAAAUCAAUAUUACUUUUAAAGUUUUGUUAUUAAAACUAUCAAGUCAAUGGAGGAAGAUGCAAUUUUUCAAACUAGGAGAGAGCUUAGAGCUUAGUGAAAUUGUGAGAAACCUCAAGGGAGGUUCCUGAAAUUAUCCCUUAUUAUUAUGGUUACUGAGAUUAAGGCUCGCAUCCAUGGGUAAAGAGCAGACGUGACAGUUCAUGUUAGCUAUCAGGCUUGAUGGGCACUUGUCCUUUGGAGCAUUUAAAGUUUUUUAGUGAACGACUUUUUUUCUACUUAAUUAUUAAUGAAAUUAAAAUAUGAGUUUUACCUACCUAUUAGUACUUCAGAACAAGUGGAUUACCUAUGAUUAAUUCUUGCUAAAAAAAAAGAUCCAAUUGUAAUAAUGCCUCCCUCCCAUACAUUUUCAAGCAAGGCUAUAGACAGCAUAUAUAUAGAUAUACAUACAUACAUAUUGAGCUUGUUAAAAAGCCUCUAUAGGGAAUUACCUUCUAUUUUACUGCGUGUUAGAUGAAUUGUCUGGGAGACGGUUUCUAUUUGUUUUGUAAAAAAUGAUUAAGCCAAUCGUUUAGAAUCUUUAAAAUAAUUGUAAUGGAUUCUAAUUUUGAUCAUUGUGCUUGCGAAGCCAACAAGAUUACUGCCAAAAAGAGAACUGUCAUUAUUCAUAUUAGUCUUUAACAAGUUUUUGAUUUGUUUGCGUAUGUCGUUUCUCAAGCACACGUAUAUAACAGGAUUGAAUGCUUUUGUACAGAGAUCUGUAUUGGGAUAACAUGGAAUUGACCCAACUGGGUUAAAGCGCACACGUAUAUAUGGAUUGAUUUGAGUGUGCUUUUCUAAAUAUACUAUAUAUGUCCCACUAAAAGUUUAACUACAAAUGCAUCAUCGUUCGGUGACUACGCACAGCCACUCCGUGCUAGCUCCGAUACUAAACUUGCCCUAUGCUUCAACAAGCGUAUUUAGUUGGGUCUGCACGUAACGGUUCUGAACUUCGGCCCCGAGUUCGCGAAGUGUAAUUGCAAGCUCCAGGUGAAAAGACGGCGAUCGUUGCGGGCGGUGGAUAUCGUGUCGGGGCUUGUGUUCAACUCUUCAUUCUCCGUCAGAAUGCUUCUUUCCUCACCUUGUAAUCCUCACCGGAAACUGGGUUGGGCUCGUGGAUUUCUAAUGACUGCUGCAGCGGACCCCCUUUUCUAAUUUAAACUGCCUUUUCAUUUGGGCCAGUGGUAUCUAUCCCUCCAUAGAUGAGACGAGGCGAACGAUAGGAGAGCAGGCCGUAGUUUGGGCAUUGAUGCACACACAAAUUACACGGGACAACAUGUGGUAGAUUAAACACCCUACCGUUGGUACUAAAUUAAAUGGAUUAAUAUUUUAUACAUUACGAAUGUACAAAUCAUCAUCAUUAAAUGCAUUAAAUGCAUGAGAGCGAGACAGGCGAAGGUGCUGCGGCCCGAUGGACAUAGAGUUCAUAAAUUAAUGGCCUGCCUAUUAAACCCAGUUCCCUUAGUUACAACUUACAACAACAGGCUAGGCUGCCCCAAAACAACAGGUAGCCUAAUUAAUUACCCCCUAUUACAACAGAAUCCUAGCUAGUGCGUGAAUUUGGUGAUUUAGUUGAGCCGUGACAUCCCCUAAUUUCCUUCCCCCCCCCCCGCGAUUAACCAACAACGAACUUGCGUCUCCUUUUGUAUUAUGAUGAUGAUGAUGAUGAUGAUGAUGAUAUAGCAGUACUCUUCUUACCAGUUUCCUUUGUGUGGCUUCCAGGUUACUCGUCACGCGGACCUGUUUGACAUGUGUAGUGUUUGUUUCGACCUCAUCAAUUGCGUAAUUAUUAAGAAUCCACUUUCUUUACUUUUACGCUUUCCUUGCGCAUUCUGUUGUUUUCUUUUUCUAGACAACCAUAUCAGAAAUUAAUAAUUGUUCUUUUUCUUUCUUCCUUGUUUUUUUUUUUUUUUUUGUAGGUUGACAACAUACAAGAAAAUGGUUGAAUGAGAGUGGACAAUUGGCAAGCAGGAUGUUGAAAUUUGCAAUUGAUAAAAUAAUAGCUGUGAGAUUAAUCUUUAAAGAUUAAUCUUUUUUACACUGACAGUGUAUAUACUAUCACUGUUGGAUGAAUAAUAAUUAUCUAAAAUUUGAAUUUGUAAUUCAACUUUUACACACAUGUUAUUAAUCUAGCGGUGAUAGUGUAUACACUGUUAGUGUGUGUAUAAAAUUUACUCAUCUCUUAAUUGCAUCGUAAGAAGACAUUGAUUUUAAUUAAUAAUACAACUACUAGUAAUUUUUUAAAAAAGUUUUUUUUGUAAGUGGGAGGUUUUCAAUUUAGAAUCUUUUAUUUACAAUUUCUUCCAUCUUAUCAUUCAACCCAAUCCCUACCCAAUUAAUACAACUACUAGAAACGACACCACGCUCGAGUUUUAAGACGUAAUUUAGGGUUUGUAUAAAUUAGAUAUUUUUGAAAAAUUAUACUAUGACAUAUUGUGUUUCAAAGACUUUCACUGUAGAUGGUUUUGUAUGAAUUACGUGUUUUUUGAAAUGUAUUUUGAGAUAUUUUUAAAAUUUUAUUAAUUUUUCACCACCACCGCUUCUUCCUUCUUUCCUACUCCAUCCUCCACCGCCGUUGUCACCCCCUGCCUCCUCCUCUAUUCCCCUCUUUUCAUCUCCUUCCUCCUCUCUCUUCCUUUCUCUUCCACUUCAUUUCCUUCCCUCAUUCCUCGUCCUCUCCUCUCCCUUUCCUCCCUUUCUUCACACAAUUCAUUAUCUUCCUUGUCCUUUCUGAUCGUAUCUGUCACGAUCAGAGAACGAGAUGGAAGGGAGGAAGGUUGUACAAGAAAAGGAAGGGAGGAAAGAGGGGGGGAAUGGAUAGGAAGAGAGAAGAGAGAGGACAGAGUGACAAAGGGUCGACCACGAAAGAAGGAGAAGGGAAAGAGUGGCAGUGGAUGGUGGUAGUGGAUGAUGAUUGGAAGACCAAAGAAGUGGUAUGAUUUUUUUAAUUUUUUUUGUUAGGCGUAUUUGAGAAGUGACAGAUGAAUAUGAAAAAUUCAUCAACUUUCCCUGUAAUUUUGUAGGCCUUUCUUGGCAUUAUUAUGGGUUUUGGGCAGUCCUAGGCCAGAGUGAUUAAAUGAAAUAGUUCUUUGCACUUAGCAGAUACGAGAUAAGGUACUGCAAAAUUAAUUAGGGGAGUUGGUGGGUAAGCAUCAACUAGCACGUACGUACAAGGACACGUAGAAAAAAUAAUUUUUCUUGUUAUGGUUCCUUAGCACGUAGUCAGCAUAUCAUAGUUAAGGGGUUCGCUUCGCUUAAAGAUGCGCGUCCCAUCACAUGCUAUAAACUCUCUCCAUUCCAUAAAAUAGGUUCACUUUCACCUUCACAAAAAUAAAGACGGAUAAUACUUUCAUUAUAUGCCUUUCCAUUCAUAUGUGUAUCAGUGUUGUACGUAUUACUUCUAGUAGAAUGGUUGACUGAUAGAAUAGCAUAUUUAUUAAUUAUAAGAUGCAUAUUAAUUAACUACGGGUAUAAUACUAAAUUUAUGCACUAACUAUCCUUCUAAACUGGAAAUAGGUAAGGAUUAUCAAUACGAUUGUGUUGGCCCAAACUCGGCCUGAAAGAGCAGGAGCCAAGCUUAAUGUAAUUCUAAAAUGUUUAGGCCUACAUUUGAGGCCUAACUAAAAUGUGAGUCGAGUUUAGGUCUCUAUAGGCUCUACUUAGAUUAAAACUCGAUCAGUUAUAUAUAUAUAUACACACACACACCCUAAUGCAUAUAACUAUAAAUGUAUUAUUUUUAAAUAUGUAAUGUAUAAUUAGAUUAUUAGGGGGAGGGUUGGAUUGGGUGGUACGGGGGGAGGGAGUGUAAGCAAGAGGUCUCGGGUUCGAGUCCUCCCGCUUACACACACAUAAAAAAAAAAAAAAAAGAUUAUUAGUAAUUAGUAUUGGUUUUGAAGAGAAUUAGAUUCAUUAAAUAAAUAUAUUUAAAUAGAAAAUCCUAAUUAGGAGCCUAUUUACUACUGACUGCUACUGUUAGUCCAUUACAUGAUUUGAAACUAGAAGCCCUAAUCCCUACUCUAUCAUCAGAAAACUUUUGGUUUAUGUACUUUUAAAAGAAUUAGACACAAUUGUUGUCUGAGAACUUUUGGCUUAUGUAGUUGUAAUGAACAUUUCAGUGAUUGAUGUGUAGUUUUAAUAUUUAAGUAGAGUGCAAAAUAACUUUACUAUUUAAUGGGUUAUGAUGCACCAUUUGGUACCGCUCACCCACCUAUGAUUUGAUUUACUACUGGCAUGGUAAUGGACAGAGUUGGGGGGAGCAGGAGGAGGGAGACGGCGGUACCAGUCCGUCAACCUCAACACACCCUCCCUCGGACUUUGCGUGGUAACGAAGUGGAGGCAGAUCGAGCACGCAUGCACUAACGCCUACAGUAUAUGUAUGCCAAGAGCAUAGCCAAGCCUACCAGCACAUUUCAAUAAUGUUAACCCGGAAAUUAAGGGGCAUUGAAUUAAGUACGAGUGCACAAUUACAGUUUGAAGCUACCGAUUCGAGUAAAUUUAAGCGCAUUUAAGUGCACAAUCAGUCGCCAGUCAAAUGCUGAAAUAUGCAUAUGCAUGAAUGAGUGUAUGGGUUUCUUAGUUCCAGACACCGCAGAAGAGUUGUGAAUACUAGUAAUUAAUUUCGGUCCCUCCUUACCGGUUACCACCGGCCAAAUUAAAGAGAAUGAGCAAUUAUUUACUCUACAAUUAAAGAGAAGAUCCCGGGGGUACAUACAUCUGAAUCCUGAAUGUGACGACGAGUUGUAGAGCAGAAGGAAUCAUCAGUCGUCAAAAAAUUGGUAGAUCGGAUGCCUCAUUGGUUGGUUACCUUUGAUUGAGAGAGAGGAUGCCGGCAUGCGACUUGAGUAUUUGUGAGUUGUGUGGGAUUCCAUUCUCUCGCAGAAAUCACAGCUCGCAAUGCCAAAUGCAAAGCCAGUGGCAAGCAGUAGUACGUAGAGUCUGAGAGCCACUCCCAGCCAAAUGCCCCUCUCUGCAGUCUGCUCUGUGUUGGGUUGCCAUCUAAUCCGCUUGUCUGUCAGUCCGUCCAUUUGUGUGUCGAUUCAGUAAAAGACAACCAACCGGCUUUUGGGGUUUCACGGUGAAAUUAGGUUUGUGAUUUCCUCUUAACUAUUGUUGGAAAAAAACCAACCUAUGUUACAUAAUGUUAUGUUAUGAUAUGCCAAAACGAAAACAAAUUGAAUACCAAAAUCAGAACCCCCACUUUUCUUUUUAAUCUUUUUGUCUUCUAAUGGAAAAAGAAAAAUGUUAUUUGAUCCGACUGACCAUCUCAAAAAAACAUCCCCCCAAUUACUUUUGUGCAAAUGUGCUCUUCUUCUUCUUCUUCUUCUUCUGGUAAACUGGAGUGGUAGUAGUAACAACAUUGCAAUUCUACUAGUAGUAUAUACUCAAUUACAUAGAUGCUAGCAUAUACUAACUCCGCACCAUCCACCCAAAUUGCUUACUAAUCGAUCACAUUUCCAGUUCAAAAACAAAAACGCCCCUAGGGAGUAAUUAAUUUAGCAGCAAAAAAAAAAAAAAAAGAGUAGUGAGGGGACUGCUAUGGUAGCAGCAUCGAUAGCACCGCACAUGAGAAUGAGUGGGCUUUUCCGAUCCAAGUCUUGCACCCUACCUCCCUUCAUCCCCACCCCCAUCGCUCCUCCUCCUUCCCAUGAUGACAUCCUCAGACCAACAUCCCCUCCCACCCCUUCUCGCUACCCCCACCACCACGAGGACGAAGACGACGAAAAAGAAGAAGAAGACGACGACGACGACUACUACCAAGACAGAGUGGAAGAGGAGGAUGGGUAUUUCCUCGUCAAAAAGAAUCACAGCCCUGCUACGACGCCAUUUAUUGGGUUGGAAGAGCGCAGGAGCAGCAGGAGACACAAGAGCUGCAGUAGCACCAGUCGUCAUCAUCACCGUGGUGAUCCUGAUGAUGGUCAGUUUCCUCCCGGGGGGUUACUGGCCAUUGUGGUCGCGGCUCUGAGGAAGUCUCUCUUGGUCACCUGUACCGGUCUUGACCUUGACACCGAUGCUGCUGAUGACGUCUCCUCCUCCAACCACCUCGACAUUGGCUGGCCCACCGACGUCCGCCACGUCUCCCACGUCACCUUCGAUCCCUUCCAUGGCUUUCUCGGCUUGCCCCGCGACCUCCAGUAUCAUCUCCCCCGCGGCAACAUCGUCCCCAGCGCCAGGUCCCCUCUUUGUUUCAACCUAAUCAUCCAAAAAAGAAAAAAAAAAUUUUUUUUUUUUUUGUUAAUACAAUGUAUUUACUUAUUGCUGUAGCAUUAGAUUCUUGCUCGCUUCACUUUCUUCUUCAUUUAAUUCCCAAGAGAUCAUUGUACAAAUAACACAUCUGACAGGUGAGCCUGAUUUCUGCUGUGGAUCUGAGAUCAUAUCUGCUUUCCAAAGUAUUUUUUUCACUACUACUACUAGUAUCCUAUCUUCUUUGCUUGCCGUGUUUCACUGCCUUGCGCAUGUAUGGUUUUGUGGUCAGAUGAUUUUACUGUUAGUCACCUGUCAUGUUUCUACUAAAUAUACUAGUGCACUUAAUGACUCCCACAAAUGCUAUUUCAAUACUCAGGGAUCUUAUCCAAUAGUACUAGUUGAUAAGCAAUUGGAUGACAAAAUUUUUUUUCUUUGGCUCGAUUUAUUUGGUUUGUGUUACUACUGCUAUUGCCAGUCAAUCUAGAUGUAUAGGCGAUACUGGGAUAGUUUUUUCACUAAUUGUGAUGCUCAUAUUAUCAAAGGGUGCUCUGGUAGAUGCUUCCAUAAUGUCAUCCAGAAAUUCAUAUUCCACGCUAUCUUUCACUACCGUCACUGUUUGUUGCAAUGUAAAUUUGGGAAUGGCCAUUCUUUUCCCUGUUCUCUUGGAUAUUGGAAGUAAAUUUGUUUCUAACUCUUACCGGACUUCAUAAAACGCCAUGAUAGCUCUUGUUGGAAGGACUGGAAAGUAGAGGGGGGUGGGGUUAGGAAGGUUUCUCUAACCUUCUUGUUUGUGUCUCGCCUAGAAAUUCUAUUCAGAAUUUUUAAAUUCAGUAAAUUUCAUGGUUAUUUGGGUGCCCUAUCAGCCUAGGGAUAAGCCAAAGAGGCAUGGGUUUUCACUGAUAUUAAUGAGUGGUUCCAAUCUGCACUUGUGAUAUUAGAGCACAGUAGCAGUUUUACCAUAUUCCUGCUUUACUCGCGUAGAUAGCUUGGUCUGGCACUUCAUCUAUGAUUUUCUUUUCCCUUCUUACCCUGUUGCCCCAUUUGCAGUGCAAGUGUAUUUGGAGUCUCAGCCCAGUCAAUGCAGUGUUCUUAUGAUCACAGAGGAAACAGUGUCCCGACAAUUCUUCUGAUGAUGCAGAAUCGUUUGUACUCAGAAGGCGGCCUAAGAGUAUUGUUUUUAUUAUCUUACACUUUUGAUGAUUGCUGUAAAAAUUUGAAAAUAGUUGACGUAAUUUUUCCUGCUUUGCUUGAAGGCUGAAGGAAUAUUCCGAAUAAAUGCAGAGAACAGUCAAGCAGAAAAUGUUCGAAACCUGUUGAAUAAAGGUGUUGUCAAGUUAAUAUCUCACAUUCCUCUGCCUUUACAAGAAAACUAAUCCUUUCCAGAAAAGUGGCUUUCAUUAUGUGAUAUCAAAGCACACACACACACACACACAUAUAUAUAUAUAUAUAUAUAUAUAUAUAUAUAUAUAUAUAUAUAUAUAUAUAUAUAUAUAUAUAUAUAUAUUGUCAAAUGGCGUUGUAUUAUAUCAUUAAAACUUGAUAGUUACAAAAAGGGUCAACUGCCCUAUGAUGUCAAAGCAUUUAUAAGAAUACUGAAACUGUGAAAUGCUAUCAGACUGUUAGAAGUGUAUAAGUGAAUCUUGUGAACCAGAAGGAGGUACAUCUAAAGUUGAACGUGCUACCAAACUUUAAUUGACAGUCAAUGAUCUGAAUGCCUAAUUUUUCGCAUUUUCUCAAAAUCAAUGAAUUAUUCUCUGUUAAAUUUCCUAUCUAAUGUUUUGCAGACAAUUUUAUUUGUGAGUGGACAGCAAAUUUUCAACCUUCUGAACUGAAGGAACAGUCUUUUGUGAUCUUGUUGGAUAAUCUAGAAAACCAGUUAAUUUAGUGUGGUAUCUAUAUUAAGCCUCUACUAAGAAUUGGUGGUUAAGUUGUUGUACGCAACGUGAAUUUUUUGGAUGCAUGGCUUGCUUAUCAAAUAAUAUUGAUGCAUAAAAUUUUAAAUGAAAUUAAACAUAUCUUGGAUGAAAAGAGAAAAGAGGUAGUUACCAAAUGAAUGUAUUGGGUAGCCUAGUUGUUGAACUUUCUUGGUUGGAUCUGACAUAGCCUAAGGCACCAUUCUGUCCUCUUCUAAUUUUGGCAGCAGCAAUUGUUUUCAUGUUAGUUUUUUAUCAGAUGAAAUGCGAUUUUUGAUCCCAUCCCCAAAAUUUUCUGGUCUGAAUUUAAUCCAUUGUGAAUAUAACUAUGGCAUAUCUUACUCUCUUAGUAAUCUGAUGUAACUUUUAUUUGCCUUUGUGAGAUUUGUUGGGCAUUCCUUGGGUAUUACCUGAUAAUGAUUUUUGAAACCCGGUGAAUUUUCAGGCUUGGUUUAGAGAACUCCCCACUGGGGUUCUUGAUUCUCUGACUGCAGAACAAGUGAUGCAUUGCAACACGGAAGAAGAGUGCACACGACUUGUGAAAUUACUUCCUCAGACCGAAGCUGCAUUGCUUGAUUGGGCAAUCAAUUUGAUGGCAGAUAUUGUGGAUUUUGAACACUAUAACAAAAUGAAUGCACGGAACAUUGCUAUGGUGUUUGCUCCAAAUAUGACUCAGGUGCGCUGGUGCUUCUACGCUAUAAAUAUUUUAGAUUUCGCUUGUUUAAUGUAUUUCCCUUCUUUUGUGGUUAAAUUUUCAUCCCAGCUUCACAAAUUGUGUUUGUUUCCUGUUUUUAAGCAUUCUAGACGAUAGAAUAUCGGAGGCUUCUUUAGCUUUGGAGUGAGGUCUGUUAACGAUUUUACGAAUAAUUUGCUCUAGGAAAUAAGUUAGGGAUACAGCUUUUUAGUUGCUUAUCAUCAGCGAUUGACUUCUAGGCAAGCUAAACACUUGCUUAAACUUAGGCCGACGUAUAGUCCUGGAUUGGGGCUUGAGAUGGGUUUGAUUGUGUUGCUGUGUUUGUGUUGGCAUCAUUGCCAUGUCUGUCUGUCCUUAGGACCAUCCACGAGAGAAUUGUAUGCUUUUCUGUUAGUUUAUUGAAGUUUAGCUGUGUGAGUUGUUUAAUUAAGAUGCUAUUGAAAUUUUAUGCAGAUGGCCGACCCACUAACUGCAUUAAUUCAUGCCGUCCAAGUUAUGAACUUCCUGAAGGCACUGAUAAUCAAAACUCAGAGCGAGAGAGAAGAAUCUGCUUCCAGGAUGACUUUACCAUCAUCGGCUACUCAUUCUCCGACCCACAAGGACGCAUAUUCCUCAGACUCAGGUGUAUUGAUACAAUGCCACCGGGGCCUUUAUGGCGAUUGCAGCGAGGGACCUGGCACUGGUGAACUUUUCAGAAGUGGGACUUUUGACCGCACAGAAUCUGCCAGAGCGGAUCAGUGGAACUUCAAAAGCAAGAGUGAUGCCAAGCAGGAACGUGAAGCCGUUCCAAGUAGGAUAUCAACAAUUAUGCAUGAUCUGGAAAGUGGUUUGCGAGAUGAUGGUUUGGAAAACAUGGAAGUUUGAAUAAAGGGGCGAGUGUUGCACCUAAGUAAACCACAUAAGAAAAGUGCGGGUGUUGGAAUUGUAGAAAUACUAGAAGAGGGGGAGAAGCCUGGGCGUGAAGAAAUUGCUACGCUCACGAGUCACGCCGAGAUCUAUGAUUUUAUGUUCAUGGUCGAGAUUCUUGAUAAACGUUUGAAACACUGAAGUUGCUAGGGAUUAGAGUAUUGUUUGUUAAAAAAAUUAAUUUUUUAUGAGUAGCGGCUUAAAAUAAUCUUUAAGCAAGCAUUGCGAAUCAAAACUUUCUUAUUAUCGCAUUAUCUUUGUAUUAGAUAUAAUAUAUUGGAUUACAUUCUAUUUAAUCAAUUUUGAUGAAUUCCUAAUUGAAUUAAUAAGAAUAGGAUAAGGCAGUGAAGAGGGAAUGAGCUUUUAGAGUGGAAAGUAAGAGUCGAUUGGCUUGCAGCACAUCAAGGCACAUCAAGGGUACGGGUUCAUUCCCCUUGGAUUUUUGGUUUGUAUGUACUGCCGUGUUUGUUGUUUAGGGUGCGGUGGCCCAGAACCGCAAAAAGAAGGGGAAUGAAUUGAACACCAGAUUUCUACUAAUUCAAUCACAACUUCAAACUGUUACCCGUUGAAUGAACCUGCUGGAAAACGGACAAAAUACAUACAUACAUACAUAUAUAUAUAUAUCGAUCCAAGUCCAAGCUGUACAUUUGCCCGCGACACGACUUCUUCAAACGUAAACGACCACGUGAGCCGUGUAAAUCCAGUAUUCCUCCGUCUUGUUUCCCGCUCUUCACAGUUCACACCCUUUCUGGCUUUGUGUUCUCAUCUGCCAACACGUGCAAUUAUUGAUGCACUACUACUACUACUACUACUACUACCGCUAGUAGAUUCACCCGUGACAUGUUGUAGUAGCGGGAUGGAAUGAGAGAUGGAUUGGAUAGUUAAAAAAAGAAAAUAACGUUAAUGAGAGGUUCGAAUACGAAAUUUUUUACUUAUAAUAAAAAGUUGUUUUGAAGAAAAAUAUACGCUCGUGACUCUCAAACAUUUAAUUUAUAGUAAAUACAUAAAUGUUUGGAAUCAAAAAGUGUUAUAGUGAUAUUAUUACCAAAAGAAAACUGGUAGGUUAUUUAUUUAACAUUAAUUAAAUAUUUAAAAAAAGAAAAAAGAAAUUGUCCCAUAAAGUAUCCACUCUUUAUGGCUUUCCUCCAUUACAUGAACAAACUGCCUGUUCUUUAUGAGCAUUUUAUUCUGAAUCAUGUAAUUUAUGUUAAAUACAUAAAUAUUUGUAAGUAAAAUUCAAAAAGUGUUACACUAAUAUUUUUAUGAAAGGAAACUAGUAAGUUUUGUAUUUAACAUAAAUUAAAUAUGUGAAAGUAACACUCACAAGUAGUUUAAUUAGUUAUUUAAUUUGUUGACAAGAAGCAAGGUUUCUUUUGCAAAAUUAGAAUAUAAAGGUAAAUUCCCACAAUCUUUUGUAAGUAAGCCCUAAUUUCCUCCUGGGAGAGAUCAGUGCUAUUUCUUAAAUCAUAGAAGAAGAGGUGAGUGCUAGUGUCUGCAAUUAUCUCCUAAAAAAAUAACAUAAAAAUUCUAAAAAUAUAAUUAAGGUCUUUUUUAAUAAUUUGGAAUAAUUCAAAUUCCGACACCACUAACUCCGGGGCUGUUGGGGUCAGACACGAGGCCAAAUCUGAAAUCCCUCGCCGAAACUUGACAAAAUUGAGUCCGUCUAAGGAACAAGGCAAUGAUAGCCCCGAUCAAAGGCCCCACUCUUAUUUAGCCACCAAUUGCUACGUCACUCCAGGCCCCGAUCGCUUUCGCUUCACGUGCUCUUUCCGCUCUAACCAAUAACAAAAUAGCCGAAUGGGUCCCCCGUCCCUCCACGUAUGGUUCGUACACUUCAUGACUCAGCCUCUGCACUAGGGCCUUUUUUUAAUACAAAAAAAAACCUUUAAGACUACUAGUUCUUGUUUUUCUUUCUUAGCCUUUGCACUAGUUACUACAUCGUGGCGUAAAUUCCUUUCUUUUUUUUUUUUUUUUAUUUUUAACCAUCCAUUCCUACGUACCCUAAACUACUAGGGUGCGGGAUUAGAAUCAUGAACCAUGGUGUGAUUAGAAUAUGGGAUAAUUUUUAGGAAAACUUCCCUUAAAAUUUUUAACAGUAUCACUUGGUACUUUUGAAUUUUAAAAAAAUCUGACUUGCUUUUUUUACUUUAAGUUUUUGGUAAUAUUUGAGACCCAUUUCAAAAUAUAAUAUUUAAAAAUUCAUUUUAAGAGAGAAUAUAAUCUCAUUUGAAAUUCUUUCUUUUUCUUAUGUUUUCUUAAUUAUCAUAACAUAUUAAUUCUAUCUCUUAAUAUUUUCUAAUUUCAUUGAUGUGGUUCUUUGACAAAAAUUUAAAAAUUGAUAAUAGGGUCGAAAGACCCUUUAUUUUGUCAUUAGUUUGGACAAGAGUUAUUAAAAUAUUUAAAAUUAUAAAUACUUUACAAUACUAAUAAAAAUAACUUGAAAUGUUUUAUAAUAAUGAAAAUAAUUUUUUGCAUUAGCUUGAAAAUAGCACAAACAGAUUUAUAUGUAAUGUUUAUCAUUUUGUAUUUUUCUAGUUUUCAAACCAUUUAUUUGGAUAAAAAAUUAAAUGUUUUUAAAAAAUAAACUGUUUAUAAGCUCUUUAAAUUAACUCAAAACCUUUUAUUAUAAAGAAAUCAAUAUUUUUGUAACUUGUAAAAAUCUCAAAUAAACUUUUAAAUAUUAAUUCUUUGUAUUUGAAAGACACAGUAUCUUUUGUCCUAUCAAAAUUAGACAUUCAUAUUUUUUUGUUUUUGAUCUUAAAUUAUUAUUAAUAUACUUGCAUAUUUAUACUAAGAAGUAAGACUACAAAAUGCAAAAUUUGGAAUGAAAUUAUAAUCUCUCUCCUAGAAUGAGUUUUUUUAAUAUUUUAUUUUGAAAUGGUUGGUAAAUGUUAUGAAAAGCUUAAAGUAGGGGAGGCAAGUAAGAUUUUUAAAAACUUGAAAGUGGCAAAUGAUAAUAUCAUAAACCUCGAUGGAGGUUUUUAUAAUGGAGCACUCACAUAGGGACUACAAUUAAAAUAAAUGCAAAUCCUAUUUCAUGCCACCCAAAUCAUGAUAAAAUAUUAUGAAAAAUUACACUUUCCAUGGUUAUCAGAACUCUUUUUAAGUUUAAAAAAAAAUGCAUUUGAACCAAAAGACAAAUAGUAAGGCCUUGCUUGGAUUGAAGGUUUUCGUCGGAAAAUAUUAUCGUUUUCCGUGAUCACAUUUCCCUAUCACCUUUUUCCCUCACAUAUAUCAAAUCGCUACAGUAAUUUUUCCAUGAAAAAUGACGGAAAAUGCAAUCCAAACACAACCUAAGAUGUCUAUUGCGCGCUAUAAUGUAAGAUGUAUAUCGCAUCUCGUCCCUCCAUUACUCCAUUCUGCUUGAUUCAAACGUCGAGCGAUUAUUUUCAACCCUCAAUUGUCGUUUCUUGAAGAAUUGAUUUCACUCUGUUGCUAGGUUUCAUUUGGGAUUCGAGAAAAAAAUAUAUUUUUAAGUGUUUUGGCCCUAUUAGGGGAAGACGGAGGAAAUAGGUCCUUUACAUUUGGAUCAAUGUAAUAAUGGAUUUGCCAAAUUUGCCCUUUAAAUUUAGAACAUGUAGUGGGUCUCGAACACAUUCCAAUUAAAAUUGCCUAGAAAAGGGUAUUGGAGAAUAAAAAAUGAUCACCUUUUAUAUGUAAGAGACUAAAAUAGCUUAUUUUCAUUUUGAGGGAUUAAAUUUAAACCUAUGCAAUAAGUAAAGGAUGAUUUGUGCAAUUUUUCAAAACUUAUAUUUGGAAAACUCCAAAUGCAUAUUGCAAUCAUCUCUUAAAUCUCAUAUUUACAUUUUUCUAAAUAAGUAUUGCAAUAAAAUGUUUUUUGAUAAAACCCUGUUCCUUAAAAAAAGAAAAAAUUGCUGAAUUGGUUCCUCACAUUUUCGAGAAAAAACAUUUUUGGUACCUCACAUUUAAAAUCAACUAAAAUAGUCCCUGAAAUAUAAAAAUUUUGUGUGUUUGGUCAUAACGCUUAUUUUUGCUCUGUUUUCCACCCAAAAGUACUUCCCUAUCUUGCGUACCUAUAAUUUCAAGGUCAAAAUGGAAAUAUAAUUUGUUUCCUUUCACAAGAAGAAAAAAUAACACAUGACCACUCAUUUCCUUCAAUUUUUAUCCAUCAAAUUCUUUACACAUACAAGUUAUUGCUCAUGCAAUUUAGAAUCCUCAUUUUGAUCAACCAAUUGUUAAAGUUUUCAUUUGAGAGGUUGCUCUUGGCCUAAUUAAUAUUGUUUAUUCUGGUGUUUAUUAGUAGUGGUAUACAAUCAAUUUGUGCACCAAUGAAGACCUUAAUACUGGAACUAUCUUCUUUUUACUAUUUCUUUAUGCCAUAUUCUAAUAACAGGUUGGUUACAUCUACAAUUAAAAUGAAAUUUGAGCAUGCCAAUUUGUCUUGGAAAUUAUAGGCACAUAAAGUAGGCAUGCAUUUUUUUUUUUUGAUUGGUAAAUUAAGCAAAAAUUAGUUUUGGGACCAAAUGGGCAAAAUUUUAAUAUGUAAGAGACUGUUUUAACUGAUUUUAAAUGUAAGGGAUUAAAAUAGUUUUCUCAUAAAAUUUGAGGACUAAAUUGGAAAUUUUAUUUAAAAAAAGAAAAAGAAAGGACAAACAUGAGUCUAAGCCUUGUUUGGAUUGUAGUCCUCUAACAAAAAAUAUUUAGGUUUUUUAUGAACACAUUUUUCAAUCACUUUUUUCUUCACAUAUAUCAAAUUGUUACAAUUUUUUUUUUUACACAACCUUUAAAAAAUAGCAAUUCAAACAAGAUUUAUCAACUCAUCUAUGAGUAAAAGUGACUCAGGAUCAAGGUCUUGAUCUACUAAGAACAUAUUAUUUUUCAUGCCACUCUUAUAACAUCGAGAGAUAGAUGGAAGUACAAUUGGUUUGGUAUAUACUGAAUUUGGAAAGAAACACCAUCCAACCUGGGUUCUGUUUUAUUGCAAGUUUUUUUUUAGAAAAAAAAUUAUAAAAUAUUUUAUAAAAUAGUUUUUAAUAAAAACUCCCAAAAUCUCCAAUGUAAAAUGGGCCAUUUUUAUCUUCCAUAAUCUCAGCUUCCUCAAUUGACUUCUCUGCCUUUCCCCCAGCCUUAGUGACAGGCUUUUUCAGCCUAAGUGAUCAUUGUGCCUUGUUUCCAUAAAAAAAGAGUUAUGGUGAAGGGGAGGAAGAUGAACCUGUUUGGAUUGUCAUUUUCUGCCGGAAAAUUGUGUUGUUUUUCAUGAUUAUAUUUUUUUAUUAUCUUUUUCCCUCAUAUACAUCAAAUCGCUACAAUCAUUUUUUCAUAAAAAAUGCAAUCCAAACGGGACCGAAGAAAUCAGGACAAAGUGAAAAGAAAAGGAACAAGGGCAUCAGGCUAAUGUUGCAUUAGGUUCGGUAGUUCCAAAUUUUUUUUAACAAUUUCAUUUUGAUCCCAUAUUAUUUUAAUAAGUAUAAAAUUAACCCAUCAUAUUUUUAAAAUACAAUUUUACCUAUAAUUUUUAAAAUGCAAUCCUUUUGGACUAAAUCUAAACUCAUCAAAUUAGAGGGCAUCUUGCGGGAGUUUAGUGCCUGUGAUUAAUUAUGGUUAAUAAUUAUUAUUUGGUGUUUCGUAGUAUAAGAAUUGAAGUAUGAUAAUUUUAUUAUAUGUUAUUAAACAGAAAAAUCAUAAGUUACAUACGCAGUCAAAAAAAUAAUGUGCAAUGAAAUAUAAUUAUAAGAUACGAUCAACCACUUUACAUCUAACUUAGUAAAUUAAAAGACCUACUUAUAAUUGUUCAUGCAUUUUAGAGAUAAUAAAAUCUACUGUUUAGUUUGAAUUUGACCUUGACAUGAGACCAAUCCAUCACAUUAUUUUGUUAUAUAAGUGAAAUUUGAACAAUUAACGUACUUGAAGAAAUCAUUACUAGUGAAAUUUCGAUUCUUGCACGCCAAGUUCUUGAAUUUAUAUUAAUUCCAUAUACAUAUCAUCACAGGACCUCCACAUUGAUCAAUCAAUCAAUUAUGAUUUAUUGUAUGAUGUAGGAGAUAGCAAAGCAUCUUCUUCUAUUACAAUUACGAAACAUCAAUUUUUUGAGUUAGUUGCAAAGAUAUACAACAACUAACCCGCUAAUUUUAAGGAAUAGUUACCUCAAAAAAGGUAUUAAGGCAUUUUAAUCCACUCAAUUCAAGGAAACAAUUAAAAGUAAUUAAGUACAUUAGAUUUGCAGCCAAAUAUUUUUAAGUAAAUAGUUAAACCUAUUAGCAAACCAAAUGAUGUAAAAAAAUUGUCCAAAUGUAACCGCCAAUAAAGUAGCAAACAAUUUCAAAACUACCAUAAUUAAUAGUUAAAACAACACAAGAAGUAGAUCAAAUCUGUAAAUGGAAAAAUUUGUGCUAAUAGACUUACCUUAAGCCACAAAUACCAAAUCUCUAUCAAGCCUGUUUAAUAUGGACAAUUGAAUUAAAAUACUAAAAAAUUAUCGCACAUAUAAUUUGCAAGAUUACAAAUUUCUUAUAAGCAAAUAGUAAAUUGGCUAAAGAAAAUAUACCUAUUGAGAAAGCUGCUACAAAAUGAGAAAGAGAAGUAACUAAUGUAGUAAGAUCUAAAUUUAAUAGGUUGCAUGACUGUGGUCGAACAAAAUUGUAAGUAAAUGAAAUGAAUUUGAAUAGAUGGGGUUACUAUGUUAACAGUUAAUAAACCAAAUUUCUCCACUAAUUAGCAUUAAUUGUGUCUUAAUAUCUAUAUAUCAUAAGUUUGCAAAUAAUUGAUGAGAAAGGCUUCAAGAAAUUACGAGAUUUAGAUGUUAAUACAAUUAAAUAAUUAGACGGGCUUUUAUAUAAUUUUGUUAAAACACAAGCUAAAUUCAAGUGUGCCUAAUGUUUAACUGGACAUCAAACAUUGUCACAUAUCAAACUUGCUCUUAGUUUUAAAUGUUUGAAAGGACAUCCAAGUAAUUAUAGCAAAACCAAAUUAGUUAUAAUGACUUAUAAUUAAUGCUCUAAUAACAGUUCAAAUAUUGUCAUAUUCCCAAAAUAGCCAAAUCGUUGUAGUUGAAAUCCAAAUACCAUUUUCGCCCUAAACUCCUCCUUGUAUGAUAUAGUGAUAAGGAUACGUGUAUAAAGUUCUAAACCAUCAAUUUAAAGGAAAUUUUUAUAUAUUACUUUAAUUAUAUAUCAUUAAUAUAUAUUUAUGAUAUAUUUAUGAAUUCAUUCGAUUUGACCUUCAAUGAAUCGGAUUCGUUGACCUCUAUCCUUGAAUUCGACCAAUGUCCGGUUCAAGUCCAAAAACACGGGUUCAGUGAAUGGGGUUGCUGGCAGCCUCGCACUGACAACAAUAAUGGGAGAAAUAUACGUACAUACAUAGUAGCUAUUUAUAUAUACAGAGAGAGAGAGACAGAGACAGAGAGAGUUACUAGUUCAGUACAUGAGCGAAGGGGAGAAAUUAAGGAUGGCUGAAUAAGUUGAUGACGCAUUCGCUAUCUUUCAUUCAUAGUAGUACAACUACAGCAACAGCGAACGUAAAGCAAAAUCAGUAGUAUCUAGGGACGAGUAGAGACUAGAGUGCAGAGACCGAGAGAGAGCAUCUUAAGCAAUGGAUGAGCUGAUUGUUUCAUCCCCAUCUUCAUCUUCCAUGGUAUCUUCCUUGCCUCAAGAAAGCCGGCCAAUUACUACUACUGCUGCCAGUUCUAGCCUUCAACUCAAUCUUCAAUACAUCCUUCAGACCCAGUCAGAUUGCUGGGCUUACGCCAUUUUCUGGCAGAGUUCAAAUGACCAGAGUGGACGGGUGGUGUUAGCUUGGGGAGAUGGCUACUUCCAAGGGACCAAAGUCGUCGACGAUGCCCCCCAAAACAACAACGGCAACACCACCUCCACUACGGGCAGCGGAUCUGGCUCUCAAUCCGAGAGGAAAAAAGUGAUGAAAGGAAUUCAAGCUUUGCUCGGUGAGACCUCAGCUGAUGGCCAAAAUGAUGAUGGCUCUGUGGACUGCGACGUCACCGACGCGGAAUGGUUCUACGUCAUGUCCUUGGCUCAAUCUUUCUUCGCGGACGACGGAGCCCCUGGCAAGGCCUUCAGCUCAGGGAACUUGGUCUGGUUAACUGGCGGUCAGCAACUCCAGUUUUACAACUGCCAGAGAGCUAGAGAAGCUCAAAUCCACGGCAUCGAGACACUGGUUUGCAUCCCGACGGCUGGAGGGGUACUGGAGCUGGGCUCCAACGCUUUGAUCCAAGACAUAAACUGGGGCUUGGUGCAGCAAGCCAAGUCUCUGUUUGGCCCAGCGGCAGAUGUAGGCGCAGGUGUUGCUGAUGCUGCUGCCGCUGCUACUACUCGUCUACUGCUCACAACAAAACAACAAGAAGAAGCGCCUGAAUCCGUGGACGACGAGAUGCUGGAAGGCGCCAUAUCUUUCGCUGAUUUCGGCUUGGUUAUGGGGGGCAUCCCCUUGCAUAAUAGUAGUAAUCAACAAGAAGAAGAGACGGACGCAGCCACUGCGGGGGCGGAGAGCAAAAAAGAUCAUCAUCGCUAUCAUCAUCAUCACUAUCAAGAAGCAAAAAAGGCAAAAAAGAGAGGUGAACAUGAUGAUAAUCAUGGCAUUGGGCGACGUGGGACGUCGCAGGUUUCUUCCUUUCUAGAAUCCUCCGACUCGGACUGUGUGGUGGUGGUCGAGACAACAACGAGGAGUCAUCAGGUGGAGAGAAAAGGAGGAGUAGGAGGGAAGAAGAGAGGAAGAAAGGCAGGGACGGGGAGGGAGACACCGUUAAACCAUGUGGAAGCGGAGAGGCAGCGGAGGGAGAAGCUCAACCACCGGUUCUACGCACUGCGCUCUGUGGUGCCGAACGUGUCCAGGAUGGACAAAGCGUCGCUGCUUUCGGAUGCGGUGGCUUACAUCAAGGAGCUGAAGGGGAAGGUGGAUGAGUUGGAAUCACAGCUGAAACGGAUUGAGGGCAACAAGAAAUCAGUGAAGAUAGAAGUGGCGGAUAGCAAUGGUAAUACCACGGAUAACCAUAGCACCACGACUGCAUCAUCAUCGGUGCCAGUGGAUCAAAGAAUAACCAUACCCAAGUCCAAAAAGUCGUGCUCAGGGGGUGGGGGAAUGAGCAGCAAUGUACAAGUUGAAGUGAAGAUGGUCGGGACGGAUGCCAUGGUGAGGGUUCAAUCCGACAGCAGCGGUUACCCGACAGCCAGGUUAAUGGAUGCAAUUCGAGAUCUGGAACUACGAGUCCAUCACGCCAGCAUGUCCCACGUCAACGACCUGAUGCUCCAAGAUGUGGUCAUCAGGGUUCCUCCUAGCGGAGCCUGGGCGAGUGAGGAGGGACUCAAGGCCGCUCUGCUGGGGAGGUUCUUGGGUACUGAUGAUCGCUAGAAUCAAUUUUACUCGCCACUCUGCCUACCUACCGAAGCUGCUUAAUUUAGCCGGCUCCGCCGCAGUUUAUUAUCUUUUGCCGUUAAUUAAUCCACUGAUGUAAUGUAUAUAUGUAUAUGUAUAUGUAUAUGUAUGUAUACGUCGGCGGUUGGAUCGCGGAUCAUGGACGGGCGUUCAUGUUAAUUUGUUCUUCUUCAUUUUUGGUUUGAUGAUGAUUGUCUUUGGUGUUGAAGCAGCCUUGCAGGAAGGGAGCUGUCGGUCUGUGCAUUUAACCGAGUGUUCGUAAUUUCCAUUUACUUUUAUGGUAACAUUAUUUUGCUUCUUUGGAAUGAUGAUGAUGUUGCUCGCUCCUCUCAAGGACGCCAACAUGCUUCGACUCAAUCGGCCAAACAAAUCCAUGCCUGCCCCCUUCCUUCUCCCCCGGGAAACAACCAACGUGUUUAGGAUUUGGCUGCGCUUCAAUGAAUUCUCUUUCCAAUUUUUUACGACGCACGUACGCAUAUAUUAUUAUUUAAAAAGAAGAAGAAGAAGAAGAUAGGAACCAAAUAGAAUAAGGAAAACUUUUAUUUAUGAUCAAAUAUAUAAACCAACCGCCCACCACCACCCAACCCAAGAAAGUAGUGCCAUUGUCUGCUAUCAGACUAUAAUGGAGUAUGUACUCGUCCCAUGCUCCUAUGCUAUGCUAUAUGCUGUAGACAGAAGUGAACCCUUGAGAGGGAACGGAACAAAGUGACUUCACCACACUAGUUUUGAGUUUUUUUUAAGGUCAGAAUCCUUACUCGACCGGGCUUUCCUGCUUCCCCAUCCAAGUCCCAACAACACAUGCUGAAACGAAAAUACUACUGUACCAUAUUUAUUAAAAAGAAAAGAAAAUAGUGGCACAGGCAUCCCAAGCUGCGUUAAAGAUCUGACCUUUAGGCUUCGUUUGGAGGAUUUAGACCCAAAAAAAAAAAAAAAAAAAAAAGGAAAGAAAUGGGACGAUUCAGGAGGAGUAUGAUAAACAGUGGCCAAAACUUUCCUUUUCAAAUUGGACGGCGGAAAUAAUUGGAUGGAAAUGAAAAGAAAAUUUGAGGAAACUUGUCCUUGAAAAUGCUCAUUUUAUCUUUAAAAAGCCCUUAAACAAAUAUUUAAUAACUUUUAUAUUUAAAAUCGUUCCACUUACUUUCGAACAACGUCCCAAUCCUUUCUCUUUUGUCCAAUCCUUUGUUUUCUUUUUUAUCCUCAACUCCCGAACUAAGCCUUCGUGUUAUCCUAUCUGUCGCGUCUUUGAUCCGUUGGUUGGUCAUUACAUUGCUAGGAAGUUUUGUGACCGAGCCAGCACUGGCACUAAUUCAACACGUGCUAAAUUGUACUCCGACUGGAUAUCAGUGUGGAUGCAGAGGAUAAGGAGGAGGAGCAGCUGCUGCCAAGUCGUACGAGAAUUGAGAGGUGGCCCGCAACGAAUAAUAGGCCAACAACAACGGGGCCCAAUCGUAUUUAGAGCAGGGGGACCAGAGGACCAUUCCGGUUAAAGUUUGCCAGCCAAAAUUGAUGGUGGGGUCAAUGGUGUGUCGUUUUCUGGUUUUUUUUUUUUUUUUUUGGAAUGUUGUAUUCGGCGUUCCCAUCCAGUAGUAGUAAUUUACUAGUCUAUUUAUAUUAAUUAAUAGUCCGGGACCGUCACGACUUCCAUGUGAUUCGCCUUUUCUGUGAGUGACGUUUGGCGCAAGGGAGCAUCGUGUUGCUCGUGUGGAGGAACCGCCUCCGUUCAUCUGUCUCAUCUCCUUUGGUUUGAUUUCCGGACCGGAUGUCAUCAUAUAAUAUACUGUUAUAUAAUGAUGCGCUUCUCUCAGUACUUAGAACUUAGAAAUAAGGAGCCAGGAGGAGAGCACUGAAUUUUUCGCUUGGCCGUGUAUUGCUGCCAUACAACCGCUCCCCCGGUCACACCUACGCCUGCUAUCCACCCACUCCUUUCCCAUCUACAACUCAGCAGCAGCAAGGUGCUUUUUCAUUUCAUAAUGACGAUGAUGGGGAUCUUUUUUCUUAGUUGGAUUAUGGAGAUUAGAUGUGAUAGCACCAAUUUUAACGUUAACUGGUCGAACAAUUUUGCCGUGCAGAGAAAAAUAAAUAAUAAAUACUCCCUUCCGUCCCCAUCUUGAUUGUCUUGAUUCUUUUCUUACACAGUUUUUUUUUUUUUUUAAUUAGUUAUCUUUAUUGAAAAUGUACCAAAUAUUUUUUUCUUUAAAAAAAAUACCCUUAUAUUAAUAUCAGCAUGAAUAUCACUAAUCACCACAUAUUUAUAUCAAUUACAACAAUAAUAAUAAUGGCAUAUUGCACCAUUCAAUAUGUAUUUAUAUAAUGAUGAAAAAGUUGAUUGUACUAAAAUAAUGCGGUCUAUAUUUACCGACAACAACGAAGUAUAUUAAAGAAAUUAAAAAUUAACUAUAUACUUUUCAAUUGAAAUGAAAAAUGAAUUGUAAUUUAAAAUGGAUGAAAGAGCAAAACGAACCUAUCAAAAUGAAACAGAUGAAUUAUACGUUUCUCCCAUCUUUCUUAUAUUCUCUAGCAUUUCUCUCCCUCUAAAUGGCGUUUACUUCAAUCCAUCCUCCCUUUGGAGUCCAAUCAGUGUUUUAAUUAAUUCGAUCGCACUUCCACUUCUCUCUCUCUCUCUCUCCCUCCGUGGAAAAUCCCUAUUAUUUUUCAUUAAUUGCAAGCUACUCUUCCUCCCAUAAUUACUUUCUGUAGGUAUCUCGGGUGCGUCUUGCCAUAUUUUGCCUUGCCUUAAAAUGCCCAAAACCUUUCUCUCCUCUUAUUUCACCUUUAUUGUACUAUAAUAAUUUACACUUUUGCUACCGAAAUCUAGGGAUGACAAUGGGCCGCCCUGCGGGGGGCUAAUGGGAAGAGGGUUGGGAUGGGGGGGCGGGAGAAAUUUUUUCCCUCUCUCUCUCGCUUAGAAACGGGGCAGGGGGGAAGUGUACCUCCGCCCCGCCACCCGCUUUAAAAAAAUAAAUAUAUAAAAUAUAUAUAGGUAUAUAAUUAUAUAUAAUAUAUAAUUUAAUUAGUUACAAACUAAUAAUAUAUAAUUUGAUUUUUUGAAUUUGUUAAAUUUUGUGUAUUACUGAAUUAAUAGUUAUUGGAUCUUAAGAAAACAAAAAAAAUUAAAACAUGAUGUUUAUGAAGGAGAGAUAACAAUAUAAUAAAAAGUGGAACAGAGAGUGACACAGGAUGUGGGACAGAAGAUCCGUUACUUUAAUCUAAGGUCAAGCUCCAAAUCCAGUCACAUACUUUUCUUGAAACCAUCACGUGACAAUAUGACUUCAAUAAUUUUUAUAUAACAAUAAAAAUGUCGAAUCAAACCAACCACGCUGCAAUAAGGUGGGACACAUCGUCACAUCAUCGUACCAUACACUGUGUCCUCUGUCCCUGGGUCUGCCAUCUCCACUGACCAUUUUCAAGUCAUCUCCCUUUUUUCAACUCCUCCAAGCCUCCAUCUCCUAAUUCCUACCACUUCUCCCUCUCUUAUUCUCACCGUCUCGAUAGCAGCCUCUCUUAUUCUUACCCUCCUCUGUCCGAAUGCCUUUCAGCUUGAUGUUUACCCUCUCUUGCAUAUUCUCGUUUUCCUUCUUGUGGGAAAAAAAAAAAUUUUUUUGCGGACUUGUUCUCUUCUUUUGAUUAAUUUGUGGCCAUUCAUCCGUAAGAUAAGUUUUUUAUCAGGUAUUUGAUGGUAUCCUCUACUUAAACUUCUGUCGUUUGUUAUUUUUCAUUUUUUGAAGUACCGUUAAGAUUGUCGGAAUUUGGAAAGAGUGGAAGGACAUUUGAGUUCAAGGAGGAGAAAACAAUGAUAUACUACUAUUCAUAUCAAAGAAAAACGAUCUAUUUCAGGGAAUGUUCUGACGGUAAAAAUUGACGUUCAUGAAAAAACAAAAUAUUGAGGAGAGAGAGCCUCGCGCGCGUGCGCAUGGGACAUGAGAGUGAGAAAGGGUAUUUAUGUACGUGGGCAUUGGAAAGGACCCGUAAUCAGAAUGACCACCUCUGAAAAGGUUCUUGGUCAUGAUUGAUCAAAAAUAAAAUGUAAAAUUUCACUUCAUUGGAUAUAGGUAUAAUUUCAGAAACCUCCUUGAGGUUUGUCAUAAUAUCGCUCAGUUCUCUUCAAGUUUUUAAAAUCUCACUUACCUCCCUUAUCAACCUGACAAGACUAAAUAUUCCUAUCAAAUGUUACAAAUUGACAACAUUACCUUUACUCUUAAUAACUAUUUAACCAAAAAACCAAAACAAAAUAAAAUUUUAAAAACAAAAAAUGCAAAUUAAAAAAAUAAUUUGCCAACUAAUAAUGAUCCAUAUUUCUUUACAUUAGAGUCAUGGUGGAAUAGCAAAGGAUAUGAAUAAUUAAAUCUAAUCAAUAUCAACCACUUAGGAAGAUUUUAGAGAGUAAUUAAUACCUUAAAAAAUUUCAUGCAUAGUUAUAAUAAAGGAAGUCAAGAUAUUUUUUGGAGAAAUAUAUUUUAAUUCAUCGUGUAGUUUAAAUUUUAUUGCAAACUUAAAUAAUCUCUUCAUACGCGUGAAUUUUUCAAUGCGUAAAUUUUGCUUUUGUUCCAAUACAACUAAAAUAAAUAGUUUACGUCAAGAAAUUUACACCUUUUAAAAAUUUAACCUUAUUUUAUUUUUUAUCGUUGUUAUAAAUUUCAUAUAUAGGAUAAUAUAAACGUAGUAUUGGAACAAAAAAAUUUAUCUUUCUUGUAGUUCCUCCAAAGGGGUUAAAAUAUUACAAGAAAUGUCAAUUCAAGGAAGGUAAGUGAGAUUUUAAAAAUUUCAAGAGAAUUGAGUGAUAUUAUAAGAAAUAUCGGGGGAGGUUUAUGAAAUUAUCCCUUGAAUAUAUAUCUUUUUUUGGGUUGUUGACCACCACAAAAAAUUUAAGUCUUGAUGAGGUAGAAGGUCAAUGGUUUAAACCUUACCUCCCAUUAAUGUGCCACUAUAUAUGAUUUCUUCUAAAUUCAUACGAAUGCGUUGUGCACCCAUCGGUUUCUCUAAACUCUGUUGGGUAUCUCCUUCCGGUGUAGGUUAGAGUAGAAGUAGAAAUAUAUUAGAUUAGAUGUUGCCGUCUAAUAAAAAAAUUAAAGAGUAUAUAUCAUUUUGUGCAAUUAGACAAAAUUGACAAAAAUGAUUGACUUGACAAACAUCUGUGCUCCAAGUCUAUGUAUGUGUAUCCGUGAGUGAGAGAGCAUAAGUGCAUUUAUAAAAGCGUGUGGGUAUGUGAAAUAAUAAUUUGAUCGAAGCAUUGUUAUACUAGUUUAACGGUUCAACAAAAUACGUUGUAAAACUUUUAUUUUAAAUUUUACAUACAAAUUAAGUGGUCCUUAAUAUAUUCAGAGGUAAGAAAUUGAAGUUAACGAGCAAGUUUAACAGAAAUAAAAAAGCUUAAUUCGUUAAUUUUAAAUACUCAGUAGGGGUAUCAAACAACUAUUUGGGCUGAUAUUAAGUUUAAAAGGACAUUUUUUUUUUUUUGGGUUUUACGUGACUAUAGACUUGUAUAGUUAAAUGGAAUGCACUAAUGCGAGAAAUGGCUUGUUCGUGUUCCCGUCUCAAAGUUUGCAUGACGAUAGUUGAAAACUGGGCCGGGGGGGGUGGAAAAUUAAACCCCAAUCCAACAAUCCUUCCCACCCACUCACUUAUUUGAACGUUGGGUUGGGUUACCUAGAUCAUCAAUGAUGGAUUGAGUUUGGGUUGAAUGAAAACGGUCCAAAUGUUUUUUGGACAGGUCGAGUCUUUAAUUGGGUACCAGUGCAAUCUAAAUAUGAAAAAGGAAAAUUUGUCUUAAAAAAGGAAGGGUAGGGAAGUUUAAUUUUAGUAUACUCCCACUUCAACCGACAACAAGGGAGACCGAGUGCUCACGUGGCAUCUGCCACGUCAUCGAGAUUCACCAAAUAAGUCAACCCAUCAGCAUUCAGGCAAGCGCAACCAGCAUUUGUGCACAAUGCAACAAAUGUACUUUAAAAUUUUUUUUCUCCCUUUCUUUUGUCAAUCAUCAAUUUCUGUAUUAUUUCUACUCCUAUUUUUAUUUCUAUUCUAAUCUAUCUAAGAGAGUAUCGAACUAAGUGAAGAGAGAUUAGAGAGAGCGAUUCCCACCUUUAAAUCAGAAUAGUAAUUUUAGUAUAAGUGCAGAGAAGACUUUUAGUCAGGCUUGUAGCUUAUGCUUAAGAAAGUGACUAAAGCCAUUUAUAAAAAAAAAAAAGGCCAAACACAAUCUCAACUAAGCAUUACCAUAUGUGUGCUAUAGUUGUGAAAUAUAAAUUGGUGCAGAAGCUUUUGUAGUGUUUUAGAACUAGUCUUUAUAUUUUCUAGCUUUUUUUUGGUCCUAUUAAUCUAAGUCAAACUUCUGCCUAACAGAAGAACAGAACUUGUUUAGUUGACCAGCUUGGAACACUUUUUUUGUCUUGUUGCCCCUGUGAGGAUUGAUCUCUUAUACAGGAACACUUACACUCAAAUUUUAAGGGCCGAAUUGAAACGUUUUCAAUUUGAGAACACUUUAAGCAACUUUGGAGGACCAUCCUGACAUUAAAAAACCUCAUUUUUACAUUUUGCCAACUAGAUGUAGACCGUCGCAGUAAAGACUGUGAGAGCAAAUAAUACUACAAGGUAGAGGAAGAUAAAUUCAAGGGAUGGAACCGUGUUGAAUUCCGCAUUGAUUCAAAACUUUGUUGCAGAUAUUUUAAAGUGAUUGUCCGCUCUAGCUACAUAUUAUGAUAUAAAGGAUUUAAUGUCAUGCCUCAAAGAGUUGACUAUAUAUUUUGUGUAUCACCCAUAUAAUCAAGCUGCUGACUUUAUAGCUAGUUAUCUCAAUAGGGUGGAUAAAGUUAUUUUAAAGUCAAAUUUCUCUCCUGAUCUUCUUAGAAUUGUAGAUAAAGAUAAGAGAAAAAAAGUUGACGAUUAGAGCGUAAAUUUUUAUUUUUAUUAUAUAAAGCUUGCCAAUUCUUCUUCAUCAAAAAAAAAAAAAAAAAAUACUACAAGGUGCGUGCGUUAAAAUACAGAAUGGGCACAAGAAGGAAGGAAAUAAAGGAUCAGGAAAAGAUUGCAGCAGGGAAAAGAAAAUAGAAAAAGGAAAAAAAAAAAAAAAGCAAAGCAGCAAAGGUUAGUAGUAUAAGGGUUGGUUAAUGCCUUGUUAAACGCGGUUGUUGUUGUUUGCUGGGGUGGAGGAGGACCCAGUGUUGGCCAUCGACUUGGACCCGGAGAUUGUGAAGCCGGGCGAACAAAUUCACGGCUCUUCGCACACCCCUAUUGUCGGCGGCGGUCAUGUAGUCAUGUCCAAAGAGGACCCCACCACCGCCAGGGCUUAAAAUCUUGUAGGCCCGAUUUAUAUCGGACCACGCCGAGUGAAAAUCGUGACCGGCAUCCACUUCAAUCAAGUCCCCGAAUAUCCCCCACUCACACAGCUUCUCCAGCGCGGAGCCGGUGGAGAAGGGCAGGAAGCUCACCAAAUGGGUGGCGUUGGCGCUGACAACGUUCUGCAUGAACUGAUACAGAAGCGUCACGUCCCCGUUGAGCAUCGUGAAGUCCUUGAACCAUCGGCGGUGGCGGUCCUCCUGCUGAAACCCGGGCCAACCCCGGAAGUCGUCGACGCAGAUGAUCUGAGUACCCUCAUGAAGGCCGGCUAGUCGAGUCAAGCGGGCCAUGUGAAGCGCUGACGCCCCGAGAAACGUGCCCACCUCGAUGAUGGUCUUGGGUUGGACUUUCCGGAUGAGGUGGUCGAAGACGGGAGCGGUGGAGCCCCAGCCUCUGAGUUUGGUGGGGUGCAGGAGGCGGGAGAUAUGCGGGGGAGGGAAGUUGUCCCAGGGGGAGGUGCCGUUGAAAACUCGGUCUAUGAUGGUUUGGCGGACGAGUUGCGGAGGAACUGGCUGGGCGGCACAAACGGAGCCGAAGAAGUUGUGGUGGUCUUCUGGAGCUAGUGGAGGAGGGGGCCGGGUGAUGGAAGUGGGGGUGGAGAUGAGGAGGUUUGUGGGAUUCUUAAGAGUAGUAGGACUAGUACUGUUUCUUGAGGAUGCCGGCACUGCAGACAGAUAGCCUAAGGUGUAACAUAAGAGGAGAAGAAUAAGAUAGGCCGUGGGUUUAGCGAUAGAAGCGGCGGUAGCGAACCUCGUACGAAAGCGGCGGGGGUGGUGGCGGUGCAGCGUCUGUGCUUCUUGUUUCAUCCUGGUAUCGGAAGUCGUGUUAUGCAUGCUGGUUAUAAUUAUGCAUACCAGUAUAUGUAUAUGUUAGGAGAAGAAGGGCAAAGAAACAAGAAAGAAAGAAAAAAAAGAAAAAAGAAAAAAGGGGGCAACGGCACAGUGCUUUCCUUCCUUUUAAUGAAGAAGCUUAAAGGAUGGGGAGGGGAAAAAAAUGAAAAACAAAAAGGAAGAAGUAACUGAGAAAGUGAGGAAGACAGAAGCUAAAGGAUAAGGGUCGAUCAAUGAAGUUUUUGUUUUCAACUUAAUUUUGGCAGGGAGCUAGGAAGAAUAUACGAGAAAAAAAAAAAAAUCCAAAGAUGAGACUUGACUCUUGAGAGAGAGCUGAGUGGCCUUUGUUAUUUCGAGUUCGAGAGAGAAGCUGAGAUGAGGGUUUAAGUUGACGGUUGAGAGAGCGAGUGUUACUGCUGCAUGAUAUCGACCGGCCACCAAUACGAAUAUACAAACAACAAAACGGAAGCCUUUGGAUUUAAUUAAUUCUUUGAUUAGUAGUAAGUUACUACAUGCGGAUUGCGGAGCGGACUGCUACUCUUCUUUUUUUUUUUUUUUGUUUUUUCUAUAAUGGGCAGAAAAAUCAAAACGACUACUUUUAUGUCACUUGGGAUCCUCGGUGACAUGUUUUCUAUGCCAACCCAAUGUCACCUAUAAUAUUGUGUCAAGUGUCCUGUUAUUAUUUACACUUGUGUUAAACCAAACUAAGUUGAAUUAUUAGAAAAUUAAAGUGUAAAUAAUAACAAGACACUCGGUGCAAUACUAUAGCGCCACUCACCACUCACCACUAAUAAAAUGUAGGGAGAAACCCUUCGUUCAUUACUCACCACUCACCACUAAUAAAAUGUGUCGUAUAUAGCGGAGUAUUUCACCACCCAGUCACCAACCAUAUAUAUGUAUAUAUGUGUGUGUGUGUCAUGGCAGAAUAUUUCAUCACCAACCAUAUAUAUAUAUAUAUAUAUGUGUGUGUGUGUGUCAUGGCAGAAUAUUUCAUCACCAACCAUUUCAUUUUUUUCAAUAUUCUUUCAAUACGCAAUCAAAAGAUACCGCUGAUGAUAUGGAUAUGAUUAAUUACAUGUAUGCGAGAAGGUCGGUUGAGAAAGAGAACGAAGGAAUUCUUUCUUUAUUCUUCUCUCCCCCUGUUUAAGUUUAACAUUAGCACAACUUCCUUUUCGGUCCCUCCCUUUCGCUUGUCAAUUCUCUCUUUCCCGACUUUGGUGGUUAUCUAACAAGUUUUUUUUUUUUUUUUUUUUUUUAAUUUCCCCCCAUACCUUUCCUAAUUUGCAUAAUAAUCUCGCAAAGGCAGAGCUCAUGAGAUAUUAGAUAUGCAGGCAGCGGACAAAACAAAUUACAACUACGAAGCACAUUAUCAGUAUAGUGAUGAAAGCAUUUAUCACAGAUGAACCGAACAGAAAAAAGAAAAAAAUCAUAAUACUACUAGUCUAUAAAGAAAUUUGAUAUUUUCCUGGAAAAUCUAAUUAUUUUAUUGUACACUCACUCGACCCAAUCCAAUUAUUUCACGGGAAUGCUACUCCUAAAUAACAACAAUUCAAUUAUUUCUCCCGACAGACAGCGCACCCACCAGUAAAUGUAGUACAACACAAUACGUAUAAUAUUAUUGUCAACAAGAACAACAAAUAAGGAUACGGACGCACCCACCGACUUGCUUAAGACAUGUAAACCGACUUCCUCAAACAUAUAAACCGACUUACUUAAGACGAUGUGAAUUCUUUACCAUUCCUCCUCUGUUCCAACACUAUAGCAGCUAUUAGGGCUGAUCAAAGAAACCAAAAAAGGUUACUAAAUGAAGGCAUGCAUCUCAAAUUCUCUCAAUGCACCAACCAACAUGGCCACAGUUAUGUCAAAUUUGGGUUAGAUUUUUUUUGUUUUGUUUUUUGAUUGAAUGGCCGCUAGGCUGUGGCAAAAUAAACUAAACCAACCAACGUGCUUUAAACGCUUUAUUUUUAGAUCGUAUUCUUCCUAAUUUCCCAAGUGCUAAAAGCUAAGGAAAUGCAAGUUCACUUCUUAUUUCACCAACACAGCACCUUACGUACGGCCUUUUAAUACACCAAUUUCCAUCCUCAAAAUACCCUUAUUCAAGAGAAUCCUCCAGCUGAUUACCGAUCAAGAGCUCCACCAAAAUUAGGAAAAGCCUAUGCAUUCUUUCACAACAACAACACUAAAAUUAGUUGGACUGACCGACAUCCCCUAAACACAAGCUUAUUACAGAGACUAGAAGCCGAAGCUCAGACCACAAGCUUUCUCCCUAUAAUUACAACACAAAGUCGGCUACAACAAACACCAACCAAGCCUAUCCUUCCCUAUAAAAGCAACUCUGUUUUCUGUUAAUUAUCACAAAAACCAUCAGCCACAACCAGUCCUAUUACGACAGAAACCUCCUCCUAUCAACAAACACAAACAGCCAAAGUGCAGCCUAAACAUUUUUUUUUUUAAGGCCCCAUUACUUGGCUUCCUCUGAACCUUCUCCACUGCCGCCACGUCCAGUGGCUGAGUUCCCCUGGCCAUCAGCUCCUGAGGGCCCUGCCUCGGAUGCAUCCUGUUUAUUUCUAUCACUUGGGCCAGAAGAUGCAGGAGGUCCACCCCCUCCUAGGGCUGCCUCGCUGUGCAUCGGAUGCAUGCCAUUAUUGGGCCCUCCAGGUCGAACACUGACUUGCCCUUGUAUACCCUGCUGAUGCUGUUGGUGUAGUUGCUGCUGGUGGUGGUCCUGCAGUUGAUGUGGAUUAUUGUACUGCAAAGGCAUCUUUGCAGGAAAUACACCCGGUUGCUGAGCCAUGGCACCAGCUUGAGGGUGCUGCAUGUAGAAUCCUCCUUGUUGCAUGGCAGGAUGGGCAGCCAUCUGCAAGUAUACAAAUUAAGCAUAAAUUCUGCAACAAAUACAACAUUACCAAACUCAAUCAGCUGAACUCUCUAAUAGACCUGUGGAGGCAUUGUGGGCGUCUGUGGUUGAGCAUCUGCUAUUGCAGCCAAAUACAUCAAAUUCUUUUGCAGUUGAGCCUGGUACCUUAGAUUAAUCAGAGUCCCACGUUUAUUAUCAGGAAAAUGUAAAAGAAAUUACAGCAUGGAAUAAUGUGCCAAAAAAAUCAGAAAGAAUGAAGACUUAGGCUAUAUUAUGUAAAACAGACGUCCUGACAAACAAAGACUCAAGUUCUUCCAUUAUCUCCAAAGUUGCUCACUCUCAGAGACAGUCUCUCACAUCUAUCCCUUUCUUUCUUUGGAUCACAGAGAAAAGAGAUGAGUAUCCUCACACAUCCUGGUGGACAAAUAUCCCACAUCUGGAUGCUUCAUUGAAAAGUGGAACUGACUGACCAAUGGCCUAUAAAAGAGCAAACAGAAAUCUCAACUCGUAUUGCUAAUACCUAACCUAAGAUCCAUGAGCACCAGUAGAAUGGUUCCUUUGGGCAAGUCAAAGUUGGGCAUCACCUUUGUACCUUUUAAAACAUUUAUAUUGAACCUCCAAACAAUUCCAGGUAAAAAGACACACAAGAACUGUUACAUUAGAGCACCAAUUUAAAUAAGUACAUUGACCAACUGCAAGCCAUACCCAAGUAAAGAAGAAGCUUGAGUAGAAAAGUUUUAUUUCAGCUUUUACUUUACAUUCAAAUGCAAACUGCCAUCUACAAAUUCUGAUGUUAGCCAAUAUUAAUUCUAUAUCCCUCUUCCUCUUUUUGACACAAGCAUCAACCAAGACCUGGAGUUUGAAUUGAAGAAGAAGACUGAUUACAAAAAAACAUGCAUAUUUCAUAUUUUGUGUACGACCAUAAAAAGCUUGAAAAUGAGAAAAGUGCAGAUAGCUUACUAGAUAUCACAUAAUUAGACAGUCAAAAAGAAGAAAUAAUGAAGUGUGUGCAUGGAUGGGAAGGCAGUAGCGACCAUUAAAAAAAUUAACCACAUGGCUGUAUCAAUGUGCACGCAUGAACACACACACACACACAUAGAGAGAAAGAGAGGUAGUUCACCACAUUGAUACAUGGCUGUGUCAAUGUGUCAAUGAACACAGACACACACAUAGAGAGAGAGGGGUAGUUCACCACUUACUGGGCACAUUCAGCAAGUUUUCCAAGAUUUUGAUUGUCCAAAAUUGCCAAAAUCAGUUUCUUAUUCUCAUCAAGGUACUGCAUAAAACAUUUAGAACCAAACCAGGUGCGUGAGAAAAUCUACUUUCCACAAACUUUGACAAAAUAAACUUCAAAGGAGGUGCCAACGUAACCACCAAUAUGAUUCAUUUGUUUAAAGGUAAUACUGAAAUCAAGUAAACAAUAUACACCUGACAGCAAGAGAACAAACAACUUCACAUGAUCACGGCUAGUAUAGAUAACAAUAACACUAAGAAUCACAUGCCUUGGGAGAAUGAUGCAUCAUUAGUGAAUAUCAUACAGGUAAGGGCAGGCCCUUAAAAAGUAGUAAGACACAGAGCAUUCCAUGCGUGUGUAAUGCUUGUAAGCAUCUAUUACUACGACGUUGUUUUUUUCUGUAUUUUUUUUCUCAAACAACAAGUUCUCACAAAAAAAAAUCAAGUAUUGUAUUACAACUGUGCCAGCAUAUAUAAAAAGCUUGCUCUGCAUGAAAGAAUUGAGUUUUAGGAGAAAACAAUUUGUGGAACGACAAAUUGGAGCCCUACAACCAAUGAUGCUAGUAGUUUGAAGAUAGAAAAUGCCAAAAGGUAACAAAUAAUGGUUGAACAUAACUAGACGAAAACUUCCAAAAGGAUGUAAUACUCAAAGCUUUUACAGGUGCAAAGCAGCAAUAAAUGCAGUCAAUGCUAAUGAUGAGAUCCUACGUGACUCGAACUAGGAAAAUGCAAGGAACACAACAAGGAAGUCAUAUCCGUCAAUGGUAUCUAUUAGUACAAGAGUUGGGCACAACCUCAACUAUUGCCAGGUUGUGGUUAAGCAUAAACGUAAAUAGAUAUAUCUUUUUCAUAUGCAGUGCAGUGUUCAGGCUUGUAAUGUGGCAGAUGCAGGUUGGUCGAAUCUUAGUUUCCAAUUAGGAGGUAACGUGGCAAACGCAGGUUCGUUGAAUCUUAGCCUAUGAUUUCCAUGAAUUCGAUAUCACAAAUGACGUAAAGUUUAUACCAAACAUUCUAUUAUCCUUAAAAGAAGUUGCCAAAAGGACUAAUUUCCAUUAUCCGCGAGCAUGAAGAUAAUUUUCACGGUGUAUCCUAACAAGAACAAGAAAACUUGCAAAAAUAUCUUCAUAGAUUUCAUUUUCCAAGUAGUGCAUAAAGAUUAUUACUUAACAAAGAAGAGCUUCAUCAACAGCUAAAAAAUCCACCAACAUCGUUAACAAGCCAGUUCAUGUGCAAAAGAUGAGAUUUUUCACCACAUAUUGCGUACCCUCUCCCUCCUGCUGCUUCAAGAAAUAGCUCAAGUGGGAGGGGCGAACUGACAAGCGGGUACAAGAGGUUUAACAAAACAUCCCAAAAAAAGUUAUGAAAAUAGCAGGGGAGCUAAUGAAAAGAGAAUCUUUGUCCUACCAAAACCAAAAUUUGGAAGGAUAAAAAAAAAAAGAAAGAAGAAGAAAAAUAUAGAAUCUUUUACGAGCUUCUACAUGAAUUUUAGGCAACGAGCACCAGAGUAUAAUACAUUUUAUUAUUAUGCAUGAAUUGUGUACGGGGAAGGGCAUAAAAAAUAAAGGGGGUGCAGAAAAGAAGAUAACAAUACCUUUUGAAUCUGUUCAGUGGUGAUAUUGGUAGGGGGAAAUGAAGGCAUGACCGGAAUCAUGGGGGUUUGCUGCAUCCCUGCUCACUGCUUAAAAAAAAAACCCCUAAAUCUAAUUUCCUUUUAAUCCCCAAAAGAAGGGUAGGGGAACAAAGAAAAAAAUUCCCCAAGUCUUAAAACAGUAAAAUAUCAAAACCCUAAUUGAAUUUCUAUGGACUGGCAACAAAAGUGAAAAAGAAAAACAAAAUACUAAUGAAUUAGCACAGGGUUUUGUACAAUAGAAAUGCUCUUAUGACCAUAAGAUUAUAUCUCUAUAUGUAUUCAUAUGGUAACUUGACAAGGGAGAAGGGGACAGAAGGAGGAAGGAGGAGGAGAGGUAUGAGGAAGGAGAAGAAGGGCAUAAAGUGAAAGGUGUUGUUACCUGAUGUAUUUGAGAGAAAAAGAAAGGCACAAAGUGAAGUUUUUAGGGGGAAGGACCGGGAACCGCAAGACGGUGAGAGAACUAACAAAAGCCUACUUUGGCUACUUUUACUAAAAUAAACUUUUGUAGGUCCUUUUCUAUUACUAGUAAAACUCAUCCAAAAAAGUGUACGUACUACUAAUAUUAGCCAAUUCUGGAGUACAUGUUUUUUUUGGCCCCAAAACCAAACCCCCAUCCCAUCGGAACAACCGGAAAAAGCAGUAGCAGAGUGAUUGUUGAUCAGCAGGAGAAUGGAUGUUGUAAUAAACCCCUUUAGGCUAUGCUCAGGGCUCAAAGUGCUGGGCUAUUUCAUGAUAUUCCUGGUGCUUUCCAUCAUUGCCCUCUCCUACUACGCCGUCGUUAUCCUCACCUGGGCUCCCCAUCUUCUCCGCGGUGGCUUCAACUCUUUCUUUUCCUUCUUUAUCGUCAUCCUCUUCCAUUAUCUGGUAACCUCUUCUCCCACAAUAUUAAUUUUAUCUCCCCCUUCCUUUUAUUUGCUUUUGUUUCAAAAAUCAUCACUAGUCUACUAUUAUUAUACACUUUUUUUUUGGGGGGUGCUCUGCUCUAGCUCUAGGUGUGACUUGUGAGACUAUUUGUAUGUAUGCCUAUUCAUUCCUGGAAAAUUCUUAGCUCCAAAGACUUGAUUUUUGAUGGCGCCCUUUAGUCUUUUAGCUAUAAAGAUCCCUUUUUUUGGGGGGGGGGGGCGGUGGUCAGUCAUUAUGAGCUGGGAUUUAUUUCUUUUUUUUUUCUCCUCUAAUUUUUCUAGUUAUACUAGUAUUUGCUGCCAGUGAGGACAUGUUAUUUUUCCUAAACUUACUGAAGAUACUUCACUGUGUCUAGCUCCAAGCGAUUUGCCUUACUUCUCUGUUCAACAAAACUUCAUUGAUAAAGAUGGCUCGAUCUGUUGGGAGAAAAAGAUGGUGUACUUGACUGCUGACCCGGCUGCCCUAUCGUUCAAACUAAUUUAACCUAAGAAUGAAGAAAGAUAAUUUCUUACUUUUGUCUUUACCAUUUUAUUUGUAGAAAAAAGAACGUAAACGUACACUUUGAGAUUUAGGCUUUUUCGAAAUCUGCGAGGGACUAGCACUUUGAUGUAGGCAGUAUUAACGAGUAUUUUUGGCUUUUUUUGAUGCUGCUUUUUGGCCUGAAUGUUCUGAUAGGUGGCAAAAGUUGGAUAAGGAUGUUUAGGUUACUUUUAGAUGCGAAUUUUACUUGCAAAAGUCUGAUCUAAAAGAAAUCCUGGCAAGAGGUAAAUUCAUAAGGUUUGAAGGGAUUUGCUGUUUGAAAACUUUGCCAGUGGCCAUGCAUUGUUUCAAAUUUGGUUGAAUAGCACUCCUUGUGGCCGCUAGGUCAUUUAAAUUUGCCUUCCAUUUUGCAGCUUAUUUUGUUAACGUGGAGCUAUAUGAUGGUAGUCUUUCGGGACCCUGGUUCUGUACCUGAUAACUGGCAAUUAGUAUCAGAAGAGGAUUUAGAAGAGGGUAACCCCACCUCAAUUUCUCACAAUUUAGGACCUCAAACUUCAGCCUCUGCAUUGUCAGACGGGACAGAAAUUAGACCAGCCAUACGCUACUGCAGUCAAUGCCAAAAUGGCAAGCCACCUCGAUGUCAUCAUUGCUCCAUUUGUAAGCUUAAGCUUCUCUUCAGUUUCUUCUUUAUCUUAGCAAUGGGAGUAGGUAAAUAACUGUUAAUGGAGCUUCAGUUCCCUUACUGUUUUUCCCUGCCAAAAUUUCUCUUAGCCGUGGAAUAGUUUAUAUCUCAUUUGAGUCCUUUUUUCAACACUGUAAAGAAUAAACAUCUAAUUAUCUUUGAGAGGAAUAGUUUAUAUCUCCACUGGUCUUGGUAUCUCUGUGGAUUAUUUGGCAUGGUUAUGUCUUUUCCCGCUGUUAGUGUUACUACUCAUUUGAAUAAUGUUUGUUAGCAGCUAUCCACUUUUCUCCUUUCAUUUUGGAGCUCUGUUUUCUCCCUUCUUUUCAUUUCUCCUCUAGGGUUAGGGUAUUUAUGAUGUUGAUUUUUCUGCCAACCUUGCUGAUGCUGCUAAUUGUGUCAAAAGCAGCACCCAAUUGUCUGAGGGUAACCCAUUUAUAAAAUGCUAGGUUUUUUUUGACAUUUCUGUUUCUCGUACUUUGCUGAUCCUCCAAAUUUUGGUUGAUCUUGAUAUGUGUCCGUUGUAUUAUUUUCUCCAUUUAUGGGAAAAAAGGGGUUUUGGGGGGUGGGGGGGGAAGGGGAGAGAACAAAGUUACAUGAACAUAGCUGUCAGCUUUGCAUAACUGCAUUAUCCUGGUUCAUAUAUCAUUUGAGUUAUAUACUUUUUUGUGGCUUGGAUAUUUCUUCAAGGCACAUGCCUUUAAAUGUUGGCUCUCUUGUGUUUAGGUUAAAACUGCUAACUGCAUUUGCAGGCCAAAGAUGCGUCCUUAAGAUGGAUCACCACUGCAUAUGGGUUGUCAAUUGUGUUGGGGCAAGGAACCACAAGUUCUUCCUCCUCUUUGUGGUGAUUUUGAUAUUCUUUCCCUUGUAUCAAAAUAGUUAUGCAUACUCUUUGCAUGAGUUUUUACUGCAUUUUAUUGAUCCUAUAUGUCUCUUGGACUAGGUUAUUAAAACUUUAGAAAUAGACAAAGGACCUUUGGCUGGGGUGGAUGGGUACGAUAAAGUACUGAUAUUGGCCUAUAUCACGGAAGAUCUAUAACAGAUGUUGGUUAGACUUCAUGUUAGUGCUUUACUUUAUUCUGUCCCUGGAGGUGCAUAUUCUGUUUGUUUUCUAGUCAUUUUUCCAAUAAUAAAAAGAUUAUUUGAAUGUAAUCUUUUGCGUUCCUUGUACAGACAAUACUGGCACCUUGUUAAGUGGAUCUUUUUAAGAAACCAAUAAUCUGAUCUCAUGAAAAAUUAAAAGCUAUUUCAUUGUACUCGUUCAGUUAGAUUGUUUCCUUUGCUUUGAGAGUUGACCCUCUGAAACACUGGUAGUAAGUCUCCAAACAGUCAAUUUGCUAGGAAGUAGAACUGCACAUAUUUAAAAGAUUUCAAACUAGUAGGAACAAUAUUCUCCUGCACCAAUAUUGAGUCCUACAAAUGACACAGUAUAAAAGCUUUAGUCUCCAGAAAAGCUUUUUGUCUGUUUCCUAUUUAGAUAACCACUUUUUGGCCUCGGAAAGCCAGUGCUUCUUCUUCCUUUUCUUUUCUUUUUGGUCAAGAUAUGUCCAAGGGCAUCUGGGGGAUGCUGGAUUAUGGUCAGCCAGGUCAAACUAUUAAGCUCAUUUUCGCUAGAUGAUCGACAAAACUGAGCUUCCAAGAUCACACGAGUCCAUAUCAAGUAGGUUUUUUUGACAUGAUAGCACCUUGUGGUUCGCAGAUGUCACAAUGAUGGUAGGUUUAUAUAUGCGUGCACACACACGCAUACAUACAUACAAGCACACACAUAUGUAUGUAUGUAUAUUUAUAUAUUUUGGUGGUCCCCCUCUUCUUGUAAAUCUUCUUGACCAAGCUGCACAUAUUUCUUGAAUUGCUUUGUGUUUCUUUGCUCAAUUCUGGACUAAUAUGCAGGGCAUUUUUUUUUUCAGUUCUAUACUUUUCUAGAAACAACGUUGAAUACUGUUGUGCUGCUGCCAAGUUUCGUGAAUUUUUUUGAGCAAACGAAGAAGCAUUCUCUAUCACCUGGCAAUCUUGCUGUCACCUUUUUGGCCUUUGGUAUGUUUUUUCUCCCACAGGUCAUCAGCAUUUCCAUCAAGCAUUUCAUUCAUUCUCAUGGAUUCCUCUUUCUUACAGAUUUUGUGCCUUGAUGCAGUUUUGAACUUAGCUUUUGCACUGAGUCUUCUUUGUUUCGUUAUUAUGCACACAUCCCUUCUCUUGAGCAACACCACUUCAGUGGAGGUAAUAAAUCAUAUAAAUCUUCAAUUCUUCUUGGCUUCACAUCGUUGUUCCAAUUGUCUUAGAAGUGGUAAACUACUGGACAUGAUGAGAGAGAAUGCAUGUUUGGAGGUACCUGUAGUUUUGAAAAGAUAUGUUUUAGCUGGAAGCAUGUUUUGAUUCUGGAUUUGAGCUCUCCUAAUGUAAAUCGAAGAUAAAAGUUAGUUUAGUUGAUAUCGUAUGCAAUCCCCACUUGCAGAGUCAUACAGUGAUGUCGUGUCCCCUGAAUCAGUUUUAAGUCCUUUCUUUUGUGUAUAUCAUGGAUACAUUGACCAAACAUAUACUGGAUGAGGUACCAUUGGUUUCUUCACAUGCUGAUAGUAUACGUUUGGGAGAAGAUCAGUAGGAUAAUUAAUGAAGUUCGUGAUCAAUCGAGCCAAUAAAUUCCAAUAUGGAUCAAAGGAUAUCGGUUAAGUUAACUUGGGGUGCUGCAAACCAAAGAUUUCAAUCAAUGAGCAUGAAAUCCCAAGACUUUGCAACCACUAAUUAAAGCUUUGCAAGUUGUCUUUCACACUGGAUUUUCUUGAUAAUCUUACUCUGCCUUAUCCUUCAGGUUUAUGAGAAGAAAAAAGCUGUACACUGGAAGUAUGAUCUAGGCCGCAAAAGGAACUUUGAACAGGUAAAACUUUAUGUUUUUACUGUUUUAUUUUACUUAAAGUAAAGCGAUUGUGUAGGAUUAUGUAUCAGAACUACUGUUGCAAAUCAUGGUAAGAGUGGUUCUUUUGAGAAUACUCUUGGGGUUUUAUUGGGUACUUGGCCUCAAUGAGAACAAUAUUUUCAGCUAUUAUCAGUAGGGAAUAUUCCUGGUACUUUUUCAAUUCUGACUACAUGAUUUUUCAAAUACAAUGUGCUAUGUAGUUUUUUUAGUUUAGAUUGGGGAAGACGUGCAUGCAUUUCUGACAUUAUUUUUCUUUUGCCCCCGCCCCAAAUUGUUCUUAAGGUUUUUGGUACUAAAAAGAUGUUCUGGUUCUUCCCAUUAUUUUCCGAAGAGGACUUGAAGAAUAUUCCCGCACUUCAUGGUCUAGACUUCCCAAUUCAUUCAGAUACGGUAGAAUGAGCUCUUUCUCUGUUCCACAAUGUAUGAAUUUUUUUUUUUUGUUUUUGUUUUUGGGGAGAGGGGGGGGGGGCGCUGUAAUAUCUGGUCAUAGCAUUUGUUCCGUACAUUACAAAUCAUUUAGAAUAUGUAUGUUCUUUUUAAACCAUAUUUGGGCAGCUGAAAGAUACCUGUUACUUUAGAAUAGCUUGCAUUUGGAGAAUUGUGAUAGUGGGUUUUAUUUGGAUAUUUGCUUUAAGAUAAGACGUAGAGUGCAAUGAAUAGCCACUUUGGGGAACACCAUUAUGAAAUAGGAGCAACUAGCAAGGGGAUUGCUACUCAUCCUCAACGCUGGGGGACUGGGCAGAAUUAAAUUUGCUGGUGAAUAUUGUGUCUUGCAUUGAGCUUUAUUGCGGAUGUUUGCGUAGGACACAUUUUUUUUUAAAAAAAAUUGGGCAUGGUGGCGUUCUUUGCUGUAUUUCUUGCGUUGAUGAAGGAUGAAGGAAAACUGCAACCACUCUUACCUGUUCAAUCACUAGAAUACAGGAUGUAUUUUUACUUGCAGGUAUCAUGCUCUCCCCCAUUUAUGGAGUUUUUGGGUGUAUGGUUGACCCACUACUAACAAUGUAGUCUUUUUCAUGGCGCUAAGGUUGUUAUCCUAUUAAAUCGGUCUGUCUGUCUGUCUGUCUUAUACAAGCCACUACGAGUACGAGGUUGAGCUUAUAUUCUUCCUCUCUCUCUCUCUCUCUUUUUUUUUUUUUCUGGUGUUGGGGGUGGGGGUUGUAGUGAGUGUUGGUGGGUUCGCUAUGUGGUGUUAGCGUCUGGGGUGUUGUUUUCUUGAAGGCUGUAUGAUUAUGAAACAGGAGCAGAGGAAUGGAAUAUUUUAAUUCCAUCCGGCCUCUACAAUAUCUUUCCUUUUUGGUUCUUACUCUCCUAGUAGAUCUUUCUGUAGACUGACCAAGAAGGAAGCUUGGUUUUAGAGAAGGAAGUUUGCGUUGACAUAUUGAAACUUGGGUGGUACUACUGUCUCCCUGGUGAAGGCCACGUCCGUUCCAGGCUUCUACUACCUAAUGUACUCCUCCUUCCUACUCUGUAAACCAACGCCCCCAGUUGGUAAAUAAUUGUAAUAGUACUAUGCCAAAAUGACGCUACCAGUCAGUACUCUUAUAAACAAACAGUACCAACUGAAUAUUCGACGGCAGUGCACAGGAAGAUGCCUGCCUUCCGGCCCGCGUUAAUCAGUACUUAGUAGUUGCUUAUUUUAUUGGAUUGGGUAGGUCUGUGCAAGUGCAGGAGAAGGAGAGCGGGCUGGCUGCCCACCUUCGGGUGGUGGAGAAAGGCAAAUCGUCGUAAAAAUGCUCAACAGUCUGCGUCCGGUACAGAAGCAGAAGCAGUUGAACUUGAACAAGCUACAAAAACUUCUUAUUGAAUAUUCGAAUAUUCAACUCAGUUACUUCUCGUAAAUAAAAAUGCCGCUGCUCCCUGAGUAAUCUCGAUUUGUUAGAACGAUAGAUGCCAGUAGCAAUUUUAAUCCCCCUAUUUUCAUGGAGCAUGUUGGAGUUUAUCUGUAUCUAAGAGGAUUCUUUUCCUGUUGGCUGCUGUUUUUUUUUUUUUUUUUUUGCGUAGCAACUAGCAACAAUCUCAUUAAAUAAAUCCACAGAACAAGACCAACCCAUCCUCUGAUGAUAUUCACUCUCUCUCUCUCUCUCUCUCUCUUGCUGGGGGACAGAGGGUGUGGGGAAGAUGGAUGGAUGGUGAUGGGGGGAAGAGAAGGUGGGACUCACCGCCGAAAUCAAAAUCCGAUUGAUGAAUUUUAUGCAUCAUCUGUCGGGAUCAUCAGAGGAUAUAACGACCGUGGUGUCAACUGCUGGGUGCAGGUCGCCACCAUCUUUAUGAUCUUCUUCACCUUCAUUGGAGCUGAAUAUAUGUGAGAUGAAAAUUGACAACCAAACAAUUGCGGGAGUGACCAACAAAAUGAGGCCGAAGGGCACCAUCCAUAGUUGACUGUUGGUGCGAUGAUGCCUGAGCUCCCAAUGGGUCAACAUUAGCCCGCCUACCAUGCUUACUGAAAAUGAAGCCAGGCAAGAUAUCCACGUCCCCAGUACUCUCCUCGGGAAUCUUCUCUUAUACUCUGCUGCAUCUCUGCCUUCCUUGUAUGAUGAUGAUUCCAUCCUGAGGAAAAAGAUGGUAGCUAGCGCUCAAUAACAAAAAAAUUUGGAUAAAAACCACCCCAAAAGCCAAAAAAAAAACCUACGUAUCUGUCUAUAUUAUGCGGAUGUGGCUUCGGAAACCCCGCCUUAAAACUCUGAGACGCUCUAUUGUUUGACUACAUCCCAAAUUUCUAUCCUAUAACAAGUUAACAACAACAGGUAAGACUGGUACUGCGAAAACAAGAAAGAGAGAGAGAGAGAGAGAGAGAGAGAGAGAUAACACAAGAAGGUUUGGUGAGACUGAACUCUGGAUAACACCGCUCCGGUGACGAUGAAUCGAUGAUUGACGGAGUAAUAUUAAGCAGCAGAAAAGAAGGCAUGAUAUGGUAGUGCAAGGCGUUGAAUAUAUAAGAGAGAGAGAGAGAGAGAAGAUGGAUGAUAUUCCAUGCUACGUGUAUCUGGAAGUGAUUGAAUUGGCUGGCUGGCAAUCAUCCAAAACUAAACACUACUAUUACAACUUUUUAACUAGACUUCUUUAAGCAACUUGACUUUUUAAGCGUAGGCUAAAAGGAAGGACUUGGGUGAGCAAAGAGUGGAAGCAGCUGGGCUGGGGUUAGAAGGCUCGAGAAUCCAUCCAAUUACUUUGGGACACGCACUGCAUCCAGCUGAAACAGCCGGGGAAGGUUUCUUGCUGCUUCGCCCAGUUACAGCCUAGUAGACUAUAUGCAAGACAUUGAUGAUGGACUGCAGGACGCACCCGCAGCCAAUUUAAGGAAUUAAUUCCACGAGAAUUCCUUGAUGGAUCAUCUUCUUUAUGUACAUGCAUCAUCAAUUCGUAGCCAUAUCCUAAGUACUCGUAGUAAAUAGUAGAUUAGCACCAAACCAUACUCCUCACCCCGCUCGACUGGGCUCAAACGUGCCUUUUUGUCGAAGUUGUUGUUAAGUACUGACACUUGAUGUCUAUAUAUCCAUACAUACAUAUGUGUGUGUGUGUGUGUGUGUAUAAAGAGAAAAAAAUUGGUCUCAUCAUGAUGAGCACUUCCUCCGUUACGUCUCAGCUUUUUGGGAACUACUACCACCACUAGUAAGUAAAUAGUAAUAAGCUACGUAGACAGUUGUUAUUUUGAGUUUGAUGGAGAUAUCUGGGGAAGAAUUCGUCAUUUGUUUAUCUGGAGGAGUCCGUUAUUAGUUCUGUGUGUAAUUAUAUCAAAUUAAACUAGUAGUGGGGGCUUAACCAGAGUAUAAACUACUUAUUCGAUUACCUCGUGAGCGGUGAUACGAGGUCCUGUAAAAAUGGUAUGUUUUACAUUUUUUAGAUUUAGAAAGCAAAAAUUUAACUAUUUGAGUUGUAUUUGUCUCGUUACGUUAUAUUGUAUCCAAAUAGUAUUUGUUUGUUUGUUUUUAAGGGAUAAGUAUUGUGAAAAAAAUUACAGUGAAUUGUAUAUUUACAAUGACUCGAUGAUUUGUUGAUAUUUAAGAUACUUAAUUGUUGGCUGGAAUUUGACUGAAAUUUGUUACAAGGCAAAUUUCUAUUAACACAUGGGGGGAAGCGGGCAGGUGCGGGGUCAGGGGAAUGUUUGGGCAACCCAUUCCUAGACUUGCCCAAGUUUGUCCAUUUUAAGCCUGGGCCUAGAUUUUAGGCGGAUACCAAGCGUGGCCUAUUUGUAAAAUAUGUAGUCCGUUAAUUCUUGUAUCAAAUGGGGCAAGUUUGAGCUAACCAAAUUACCGGACCAAUUGACAUUCCUAAAAAUAAGACCCCAUUUGGCAAGUGAAUUUUUUAGCUAUUUAUUUAAAAUUUUACUGUAACAUAUUGUAGAAGUUGUAGAAAAAAUUUUUGAAGAGUGUAAAUUUUUAAAUAUUUUGAAAUACAUAGUUUAAAUACUUUGAGAAAAUUUUUGAGAUUACUGCUAUGUUUUCAGAAUCGGGCCGGAUAGCGAUUCGGCCGAGGUCAGGGGUCAGGGGUCAAUGGGUUCGACCGGGGGUCGAUAGGGGUCGAACCAGAUGACGUCAUAAAUAAAAAUUAUUUAAAAAUUAAAAUAUUAUAUAUAUAAUAUCUAAUAAUAUAUUGAUAUUAAUAAAGGUAUAUUCAUAUAUAUUUGAUGUUUCAAAUAUAUUUAACAAGAAAAUACAAAGAAAUUAGAACAGUCAAAUAGUAAUUUAUAUUAUUUAAUGAGUAUUAACAAGUUUAGAAUUAAAAUUAUGGAUUUAAUUAAAAAAUAAUACCAAAUUUUAAGAUAAUAUUUAUAAAGUAUGAAAUAUUUGAGAUAUAUUAAUAAUUUUUAAUAACCUAGGGAUCAAAAUAUAAUAUUAAAAAUAUUUUGACCUUCAAGAAAAAAAAGAAUCUACAUACAUGCAUGGAGAGGGGGCAACAAGAAGAUAUGGAUGUUGUAUGAACACGUGCGAGCGAGUUGUGGCCAGGAUGUAGCAGCACUGCUGCAGUAAUCAACUGUGCAUGCAUGUCCCAUUACAAAAAUGGUUGCGUUUUGGGAUUUUGGGCUGGGCACAUGGAGCCAAGGAGAUGCGGGUCCCUCUCUUUCCUUUCCUUGCGUGAGAUCUAAGAUGCAUGGUGGAACCCGGUUCUUAAUUUUCCCGGUCAAAUCGGGUCAAACCCGGGUUUUGACCUGGUUUGACCGAACUUUUAAUUUCCCGGUUUUUAAAGUUAGCUCGGACCGGCCAGUCCGGUCCGAGUUUGAAAACAGAGGAUUACUGUAGUUACGAUUGUUAAAAAACUUGUAGUAGACAAACUUCGCCAAAAACUUACUUGUCAAACAAGGCCAAGAUUCUUCUAUUCGAUGUCACAAGGUAACAGGUGGAGCUAGUAAUAUUCUAUUUGCAAAAGAUAAAAAUUUUCCAUGCAGAAAUGUAGGCAAAAUAUGGAUUAGAGAUACAUACUGUACACAUAUAUACACACAUCAUUAAACAAAAUGGCUGCAGAAUAUAUCAUAUGAUUUGCAAGCGGUCCUACCGUAAAUACUUUUCAUACACAUUUUUUUCUAAGGCAAAACUAUAACUUUUAUUGAUAAGGGACAGGUAUAUUUAUAUACGAGAUAGAAUAUCUCAUUUUACAUGUUAAACCAACUACCACAGGCAGUGUUUUGAAAACCGGACCGGACCGGACCGGCCGGUUCGACCGGUUGAACCGCGAACCGGCCAAGGCUCCGGUCCGGUUCACUGCCAGGUUUGACUUUGUCAAGAAACCGGUCAAAAACCGGUCGGACCGCGAAACCGCUGAACCGGAUUUGAACCGGUUAUUUCCGGUUUUUGAGUUUUCUUUUUUUUUUUUUUUUUGCAAAAUGUAGUUAUCAAGAUUCGAACUCAAGACCUUUGUAAUAGAAGACCAAUGUAGUAACCGUUGCACUAUCACAUCUUAUUAGUUUUUUUUGAUAACUUAUUUAUAUAAAACAAACACUCAUAUUUCUUUUGUUCCAUUUUUUUUACAAAAUAUCAUCCUUUCAUGACUCUUUCUUUUUAAUCUUCACACACACACACACACACACUCUCUCUCUCUCUCUAUCAUCUUUUCUUUUGCCACUCAUUUUUUAAUCAAACCUCUUUAUUUUUAAUUUAUUGAUGUUUUCUUCCAUAUUUUAAUUUUGUUUUUGUCCAUUAAAUUUAAAAAAGUUAAAAAAGAAUUAUUUUUCUUUAACCCAAUUUAUUUAAUACCACAACCACUCACUUUUAUCUCAUUUUUUGUUUCUUAUCAAAUUUGCAUUUCUAUUUUCAAUUCUCUUGAUUUUCUUCGAACUCCAAACUUCCUUUUUUAAAUUAUAAAUUUAAAUUUCAAAAUGUAAAUUAAAAUUUAAAUUCACAAUGUCUAAAUUCUCAUAGACGUGAAUUUUGUAUAAUUUCAAAUAUUGUGAUAUUUUUGGAUUAUAUUUAAGAUUUUUUUGGUAGAUAUAAUUGAAAUUGAGAUGAAAUUUAUUUGUUUUAACUUAUAAUUUAAAAAAUUUAUUUUUAAAAAUCCAAGUUAUUCAAAAAUAGUAAACUUUUCAUCAUAUAAAGAAUUAAAUUAUCCAUUACAUGUCUUAUUUUGUGCACAUAUAUAUUUAUAUAAAUUAUUUUUUAAAAAAUUUAUUGAACCGAGGUUGAACCGGUCCGACCGGUUGAACCUCGACCCUUUCACUUCACCGGUUCGAUUAACGGUCCGAUUUUUAAAACAUUGACCACAUGAGCCUAUAUCGGACCAUUACACUGACUAAACACUGUGAACGGGGAUACUCCAUUCCAAAGCCAAUUUCUAGCUUUCAUGAGACGUUGGGAUCUGUCCCCAUGCAAGAGCCAUAUGCCUAAUCUUCUCUACCAUAGCUUCCAUGGAGAAAUUUCUAAAAUUAUGAUGAAUUUUAAAAAAUUCUAUAAAGGGGGCAUUUUGAGUAUGGGAUUUCGUCCAAGGGAUCUUCGCAUUCAGUAAAUGCGAAGUCUCCCUUAAUUUUCGACCAACGAAAUCAAAAAAAAAAAAAAAACCAGACCUCGCAUUUAUGAACCUCGCAUCUCUUAAAUGUGAUGCCACUGAGAUGCGAGGUCAGUGAAAAGAAACAGAGCAUAGCCAUAUCUUUUAUACUGUUUCUGAACAACAGAGCAUAGCCACGAAUUUGAAAGCCAUUUGCCAAGUGAAAAGAAAAUGUGCAGCGCAAAUGGGACACAAAAUUGGUUGGGAAGUCCUGUUGAGGUAGUAAAAGUGGCAAAUUGGGAGGGGGGGAGAGAGGCGCAGCUGGCUAGCUUGGCAGAAACGGGUUCCAGACAGGGGUUGAUGCUCUACAAUGGUGGUGAGCUUCCGAUGAGAACGAUGUGAGGGAUUCCGUCUGCCGAUCCUGGAAGCUGCAAUUCUGUUGUUUAGCUCAGCAAAAGAGAAGAGAGAGUGAGCUCCAAUUUCUGCCGAUUAGGAGACAGAUUUGAAUGCCUACUGUUUAGGUCUCUCUACAUUGAUUGGUGUUUGUAUAGCGUUUGAAGUGAAUUCUUGGGUCAUUUUUUGUAGAAAGGCCAAAGAAGAAAAGUUGAGAAGAGAAGGAUUCAUUAGUGGAUGUUUUGACAAAGCAAGUGGUUCAAGCCGAGGUUAAAUUGAAUCACUGCUUUUGGGGACAUUUCAGAUUCAGUACCUCGCAUUCGAGAAAUGCGAGAUACCUGAGCUCGUAUCUGGUGAAUACGAGCUUGGUAAGUUGGCAUUUGCCAAAUGUGAGCUUCGUUGCUGUUUUUUUUCCUUUUCCCCAAAAGUGUUCUCUUUUUUGGUGAAACACUGACCUCGUAUUUGUGAAAUGUGAAGAUCAUACUCCUAGAACUAGCUUCAAAAAUUACCCCCCUUGUAGAACAACAUUUUUUUUUCAUAACAAUUUAAGAAUUUACUCAGCUUCCAUGAUGCUAUCUGCCAAAACUGAAGCAGACCUGAAUAUAGCAGCAUCACGUGCCCUCCAAAUAUCAUAAAUCACCAUAGAAAAAAAAAAGUUUUUUGAACUGCUGCACAAAAGUCUCACCAGUCCAACGUUUGGAUACCCACGGAAGCUCCUUCUCCAGUGCACCAAUCCCUCUAACAAUCCCUCUAAAUGUCAAACACAUUCUCUGAGCUUUUCCUAAAUCAUGGAUGAAGUUUUGCACAUAAAAAACAGGUGAUCAAUGCUCUCUUCAGCUGCAAAAAAAAGCUCUUGGCCCUUGCUCCCUUAAUUUCUCCAUUGCUAUUUUCACCAAAAAAAGCUCCUGAGGCACUAUAGCUGUUCACCGAACAUGAUCGGAUUGUCGAGAUCAUGGUUCAAAGUCGCGGUUGCAGUUAUGGUCGCGACCUGGACCGUUCCAUAUCAGUCUCGGCAUAUCGGUCAAGGUCUCGACGAGACGCGAAUUUUUUGAAAUAUGUAAUAUUCUAAAAAUUAUAAAAAAAAUGAUAAAUAAAAAUAAUUAAAAAUUAGUAAAAAUAAUAAAAAUUCGAGUUGACUCGAGAUGACUCGGAGUGACUCGGUCGUUUCAAUCCUUAACAGUGACGUCUCGGCGAGUCACGUAUUUUGGUAUCGUUUCGUCGCGGUCCGAGUCGUCUCGAUCUCGACUAAGUCUUUGAACCAUGGUCGAGAUAAAGGAACAAAUUCUUAAGGAGUUGUAUCCAAAAGUUGUUUUACCUCUUUAGUGAAUUUCCUUCCCAAGGGCCACUUCCAUUGAUUAUUUGAAAUACAUUUAGCUACUGAAUCUUGCAUAUUGCAACCGAAGCAGUAUAGUAGAUUUCCCGAAAACUUCUUGAAUAAAGGGCCAAUUGGAUGCCAUGACUCAAACCAGAAAUUUGUCGCUCGUCCAUUUCCUAUGACUUUGGAUAUAAGGCUGAGCAGAAGAUCUUAGGGCCAGAACUUUUCUCCAGACCCAAGAGGCAUCGGAAGGAACUUUUGACCCCAAAAUGAAGAAUUUCUUAAUAACACCUCAUGCACCCAUUUUACCCAUAAGCUAUUUUUUUUUGCAACAAAUAUUCCAUGUCAACCUUUUAUAAGACAUUUACUCCAUAUAUGCAAAUCAUAUAAUCCCAGACUUCCUUCAGAUUUUAGAGCACAUACCUCAUUCGAGCUGACCUUGGCAUUGUAUCAACUUCUAAUGUCUCUUGUCCAUAGGAAAAAGACCAAAAUGCUUUUAAUUGUUGUAACAAUAGACUUGGGAAGUGUGAAGGCACUCGACCAGAAGAAGGCAUGGAUUCCAUCAAGAACCGUUUUUAUGAGUUUUAUUCGACCUCCAUUGCUUAGUUUUUUGCUGCCCAAUUUCGCACUUUUUUCUGGAUUUUGUCAAAAAUAGUUUUGACAAUCCUUGUGAGUAAGCCUAGUUGUUAUCGUAGGCAAUCCCAAAUAUUCUUUUAUGGGGAGUUCUCCUCAUGACAUUGGUACUAGACUACAUAACUGUUCAGCCAAAUGAUCAUCGACAUCUGCUACAAAUACUGAGAAUUUUUUUUGAAAAUUUGGCUCGAGUCGCGACAUGUUACUAAAAUUCCUGUAGAGCUUUGCUAAUCGCUCUAAAGGAUUUUUCAGAUGCCUCGGCAACAAGAACAAGUCAUCAGCAAACCCACUCUUUUGCUUUGUUAAGUAGUAAGAAUAUGAAUUUCCUUCUCAAAAAUAAAUUAUACUAUUAUGUAUUUUUUGAAAAUAAACAAUAUCAAAGUGUCAUGUGUUGUCAAUUAUCUAUAGAAUAUAUUAAAGCAUGAAAUUAAUGUGUGGUGUUAACACAAGUGAUCGCUUUAUAUAUUUCCUUUUAUACCUUUACUGAAUGUGGUAAAAUAGUCCAAAUACUUUCAAAUAAAAAAAAAAGAAGAAAAUAUAUGGUUGUUAUAUGCAAAGCUGUAAAUUAAUCAUAAAUCUACACCAUUUAAACUUCUCUAACUAACACAUCAUACGCAACUCUAUAAUAUUCAAAAAUUUCCAAUUCUCUUUGCCUUUUAAAGUUCUUACUACAUUUGCAAUUUUUUAGUUUUUUUUUCGGUUAGUGUAAGUAGGAGAUCUCGAAUCUUGUACCUCUCAUUUACACUUUCUUCCUCUAUAUCAUUCAAUCUAUCUCCUUCCUUAAAUGUUCUUCAAUAUUCUCUAAAUUGAGAAAAAAUAUUAAAUUUUACUAAUACUAUUUUAUUAGUUACACAGAUAUUGAGUGUGCCAUUAAUACUAGUGAUUAUAAAGGUUCAUUUACCUUAUCAGAUGAUGACGAUGAAAAUCUAGAGAAAAUCUAUUGGUGAUAGGUUGGUCAUCAAUCAAUAUCACCACCUGUUUGAUUCAUGGAUAUAUUUUAAAUAUCUCAAGGAGUCAGCUAAUUUGGGAUUGCAAUAAGUGUAUUUUGCAAAUGUUGAAUGUGAUGCCCAAAAAAAUUUUUUUCCCCUUAUUUUAUAUCUAUUCUAUUUCUUCUCAUGCAUUUUCUUUAUAUUACUUUAUUACCUUAAUUUUCUAGAUAUUUUUAUAAGCGAGUCAAGCUUUUAAAUCAUUUUCUUGAUAUAAAUUAGUAUAUGUUAAGUUUGAAGUGUAUUAUGGACAUGGGACCCGCUAGUGCGGUAAGUGCGGUAAAAUUUUGACGACUAAUUGGAGUUUUGCAUAAAGGGAUAUUAUUUUACAAGGUGCUAAGAGAUAAUUAGAAGUUAGUUAGAUAGAUUAGCUUUGAAAGACAAAGAGAUGAGUGUAAACCCUAUGGUGCCAUUUGUUGCGAAACCGUUGGAAGUUGGACCUUUGACUAAAACCAUGAUUUCUUCUUCUUAUCUUGACCACUAGGGAGGGAUAGCCCGCGCGACGCGCGGGAAUUUGGUGCUUGUGAUUCAAGAUAAUUAAUAAUUAUUAUUUAAUAUUUUGUAGUAUAGGAACUAAAGUAUGAUGAUUUUAUCAUGUGAUUUUAAUAGAAAAAUCAUAAGUUACAUAGUGAGUGAAUAAAAAUAAUGUGCAAUGAGACAUCCUUAUCGUUAUACUAUAUAAGAAUCCGUUGUGAUCAAAGGUUAUGUUUGAAUUUCAACUGCAAAGAUAAGAGUAGUUUGAAAAUGUAAGAAUGUUUGAAGUGCAAUUGAAAAGUAUCCAAAGGUCUCUUCUAAAACUUAUUCAAGAUGAUAAAACAUUUUAAAGUAUCAAUUGAAGCCUUCAUCUCUCGAAUCUAUAUAUGUUCGUGAAAGAUCCUUUAAGCAAUGCUUCUGAUUUCUCCCUCGAUUUAAACUCAACCCGAAUUAUCAAGUCAAGUUUAUCCAUCAAUCACUUUGCAUCCAAUCUAAUCUAAAAUAAUUUUAUUUUUGACUAACUAUUUAUAUAAUUUGGUGGGUAUAAUUCGACUUAAUCACAUGUUUCUUACAGAGAUAAUAAUGCCCAAAAAUGAUAGAUAGAUAAGAAACUUAAGUGGUCUUUUUCAAAGUUUUGUAGAAACUAUUCAGAUUUGGUGUUUUUUGCUAGGGGCAUUUCUUUAUAAUAUCAUAAAUAAGUUCAAAUCUGCAUAAUUGUUAAAGAUCUGAAUUGAAACUAUCUUGAUUAUAAAAAAUUGAUGCAAAUAAUAUUUUCUAAAUUUGAAAUUGUAGAAAAUGGUAACUAAAAUCAGAAGAAAUUCCUCAUAUGAAUUCGAAUUGCAAACUAUAGGUAGAAACUGCUUAAUGAUAUUUUUCAAUGUUUACUUGUAUAAGUAUCCAAUAUAACAUCUCUACUUAAUUGACUCGUUUGAACUAUGGAUAAUAGUUGCUUCAAUCAAAUCAAGAAACAUUAUUUAUUAUUGUACAACGUACAAUUAUGAGUAAAUGAAUUAAUACAAUGCAAUCAAAAUGGUGUUGUAGCUAAAGCAUUUAAACUCAUCAAGUUCCACUACAAAUUCUUUUAGAUAGCAUAAAAAAGUAAAUUUUUUGUAUUUGAAACUAUAUAAAUAGUAUAAUACAAGAACGAGAUUAUAACAUGGAAAGCAAAUAGAGUGCAAAUGACAUCUUAGUAUUAUGUAGCAUGAUUAAUUUUCUUUUUUAGCUUCAAUGAAGUACAAAAUUCUAAGUUAAUAAAUUUUACAAUCAUAAAAUUCCCAAUUAAAAUAAACACAAGCUAAAUUCCAAAUCAUAUUACAUGAAAAAAUAACUACUUGAACCAUAAUUGCUAGAAUGUAGUCAACAGAUCCCUAGAGUCAAGAAUAAUAGGAGAAAGUUCAUAAGAAAUAAGGUUAUUUGACUUAAAUAAGAGAUAAUACCUUGGUUGAGGAGGAGAAGAUGAUAAAAUUACUUUUCUGAUUAUUUUAGAAAGUGACAACAUUAUCUCAAAUUGUACUUUGACCAGUGAUAGGGUGUUAAUUGUUAACAAUUUUAUUGUUAAUUUUCCCUUUUAUCCUUGCCAAAUAUUAUUUUAAUUAUUAAUAUUUACUUAUAUUUGGUAUUGGACCCAAUUUCAGGGAGUGAAGCAGAAAACUACAAAAAAGGAGGUACUUUUUGGAGAAUAUGGAGACUUCUAAAUACUCCACAGACUUGGCCCACAUUGCUAAGAAGGACCGGAUUUCCACUUCCCUUUUUGCUGACUAGGAGUCCUACCAAGAGUAAACGUAAUACAAGGAAUGGCGCAGAACCUUCUUUGGAGCAUUUGGACUCUUAAUUUUGGUGGGACCAGCGAGAUACGAAGCCUUAGUCAUUUGGGAUCUUAAAAGAAAGGAACGUAGAGGCUUAAAAACAAGAAGCAAUUCGGAAGGGUCCCACCUUGUAGACUUGGUUUCUCUCAAUUCGGCAGAAUUUCCUUCUUGGACUUUAACUCUCAAUUCGGCGGGAUCCACGCACUAGGAGAGGCAUUAAGGUAUAGAGAUCGGGGGAAUCACUAGUUUUAGGACUUUUAGCAUAGUUUAGUUUUAUUCUUUCUUUAUUCCUUUGAUGGCCGGGACCUCAAUUAAAUUACGUGAAGAUUUUCUCAUGAGACGUGACUAAGUUUCUCUAGUCAAAUGUCAAUUUGAGAACUCGGUUUCGAACAUCUGUGAGAUCUAAUUAUUUUAUUUAUUUCUUUUAUUUAUUGGUAUUUGUGUGUUUCUUGCUUUAAUUGCUAAUGAUUAUUUUGUUAUUUGAAUGUCAAGGGCCCGAUAUUCGAAUUAACCUAAUAAUCUACUGUCAUUUUAAUUGAUUGAAUCCGUAGUUGUUCAAUUGAUUAAUACCAGUGGCGACUAACGUGAUUGGUUUCAUGUUAGGGAAACGUAUGAUCUAACUUAAACAAACCCUCAUAGCGUGUUUGUUGGUUAGGGUUGGGCUUUUCUAAUUAUUAAUGCAAUCGAAUAAUUAAAUUCUAUGGUCGUACCUAGGGUUAUUUCUUGGUUAGGAAAAUAGUUAACGGUCGUACCUUAACUAUCAAGAAAUAAAGGAAAAACUGGUUGUUCAUCGCGUGUAUGGCAACUAUAACCAAUCUAUUAAUGAGUAAUUGAAUUAUCUUUGCGUCGAUGAUCAGUUGCAUGGACCGUAUCUGAAAAGUUGUACCUUUGGCUAGAGUCAUAUUGGUUAUUGAUUAAUUUCUAUUUAUUUCUCUUAGUUGUUUUAUUAGUUAGCUAAUUAGUUAUUUUAUAUUCUCCAAAAAAAUCCCCCAUACUUCGGACUCUAAAAGAAAUAAAUUAUCCCCAACCCCUGUGGAUUCGACCCUGCUUAUCAUUAUCUACAGAAAUUAUAUUUUAUUUAAGCAGAUAUUUAUUAUUGCACAGGCUCGACACCCCUGUCAAUUUUUGGCGCCGUUGCCGGGGACUGGUGCCAGAUUAAUUUGUUUCUUUUUGAGUUCAUCUUUUUAUUUUAUUUUAUUUUAUUUUUCUCUUUUUUUUAAUAGUUUAUGGCUUCUAACACUCCGUAUUUUGGUGAUAUAAUGGAUUUUGUUUCCGGGGAAGGCGAUGAGGCUAGUUUUUUUACUAAGUUUGCAUAUUCAGAGGCACUAAACUCUAUUAGAGACAGAAUGGCUGCUGCAACCUGUAAAAUUUGUUAUGCCAGGGAUCAUUCAACCGGUAUGUGCCCCGAAUAUCAAGAUAAUCUGGGUGUCCCCCUCAAUAAUUAUGGAGAUUUUUCACCCUGGUCUCAAACGUGGUAUGACCCUAAUCCAAACGGAUAUGAUCAAUGAUGGUGGGAUAACCCCAGUUAUAAUUAUACAACAGGGUCAAUGAAUUUUCAGCAGUAUGAGUCUCAAGAAUCAUCAUCUAUGUCAGGUAUGUCUCUUGAAAAAAUAGUUGAAUCAUUAGCUACUAAUACAUACGAAUUCCAACAGGAGACACAAAUGAGGAAUGAGAUGAUGAAAGAUGCAAUGAGUAAUCUGGUAGAUCAACUAUGUCUAUUGACAUCCAGAAUAAAUCGAUUGGCUUCUCAAAUGGAAGAAUUGCCCUCGAAAAUUAUUGUUGAUCUAAAAGAAAAUGAGAGUGCAAUUUGCUUGACUAGUGAUGAGGAGAUGCAAGAGUGUCAAAAUGAGAAAUCUACAGAUGCAGUUGAAAAAGAAGCCGAAAAGUAAGAAAUGGAACCCGAACCGCAACCCAUUCAAGUGAAAGAAUCCAGUGAAGAAUCAUCAAAUGUGGUGACACCACCUCCAUUCUCUAACUCGCAUUUUCUUAACUCUUACUCCAUGAUUUCUGUUAAUGAGAUUGAUUUUGUUAUUCCGGAAGUUUUUGAGUCUCAUGGCAGAAAUAAGUUAAGAGUAGCUAUGGUCAAAUAUCUUAAACCGUUGAGUGCUCUUGAUGGAGGAGUGGAUGAAGAAUUGAAAUCACUGCUUGAUUAUUUGGCGCCAUCAACUAGUUCAUGGAAGACCGUAGCUCGUGUGUUCAAAAAUUACUCUAUCUAUGAGGGUUACCAGGAUCACAUUGAAGAUAAAGCGUUGAGCGAGUUACAAGAUUUUAUCCUCCAUGAAUAAAACAUGAUAAUGUCUAGCCAAAAAUAUUAAAGAUAGGCGCUUUUUGGGAGGUAACCCAAAUAUUGAUUUUAUUAUUUUUCGUUGUUCAUUUCUUUCGUUUUUCGUUUCUCGGUUGAGUAGUAAUCGGUCUUCAUGUUUUUCUCCACUGUGGCAGGAAGUGCAAUUUUGGCGUGCCCACGCGGUGUUUGUGUCUUCUGAAAUCAGUGGGCGUUUACUAAUCUUGGCGUGCCCAUGCGGUGUUUGACGACCCAAAAAUGAAUUCAAAAUUUUUUUUUUAAAUUCACAUUGAAAAAAAAAAUUCAAAAAAAAACUAUUUUUUUUCGAAUUUCUCUUUUUCUUCAAAAAAUUCAAAUUUUGAAAAUUUAAAUUCGGAAAAAAAAUUUGGAAAAAACAUUGGAAAAAAAAACCCCAAAAGAAACCCCAAAAACUAUUUUUUUCUUUUUCUCUUUUCUUUUUCUUUCUUUCUUUCUUCUUUUUCUUUCUUCCUUUCUUUUCUAUCUUUCUUUCCUUUUCUUUUCUUUCGUUCGUCUGCCGCCGCAAGCCGACUCCGCCAGCUCUGCCCAGCCGCACCUAGCUCGCCACUCUCCGCUCGUCGCACGCGUCCCUCUCUCUCCACCUCGCGCGCCGCCCUCACCACGGCACCAGAGCAACACCAGCGCCGCCAGAUCCCUGCCACCUGCUCCAGCCACACGCGACAGUCUCUCUCUCUCGCUCACACCAACAGCUGCCACGGUCCAUCCAUCGCCCUAGCCGUGCCACCAGCUCCCUCCUUCGGCUCUUCACUCUCCCUCAAUCUCUCUCGCGUGCGACAGCCACCCAGCGCACCCCUGGACUGCCACGCGCAGCCGAGCGCACCUCCAUAGCUGCCGGCUUUAAAUUGCUAAUUUGUUUCCCGUUGCCCAACUGCCAUCGCCGCCGCCUCCAAGCUCCACCUCACGGACGACCACCAGCUCUCCUUCACACGCCACCCCAGCUCGUCUCCACUCCAGCAGCUCCAUCGCCACCUCCAGCCCGCGGCAGCUGCUGACUAGCCGCUAUCCACCAGCGGCUACCCACUUGCGCGCCGCUACCUCCCAGCUCGCUCCCACCUCUGCAGCAGCCUUUUGCUCCAUCGCGUGACUUUUCUUUCCUCCCACGGCCUGCCCUAAACGCUGCUGUGCUGCCCCAAGCGCUCGGUCUCGCUGCCAACAACGGUGUCCGGUCCCUUCUUCCCUCUGUGGUUUACCAGUACCUGUUGCUUUUUAGUGUUUUCUUUAUUCACGGUGGGCAAUGGCUUUUGUUUGAUUGAUAUCUGUCCCCUUUUUGUGUUUCUCUUUUGCUUUUGUUUGUCUGAAUUACUUGUUGUUGAUUGAAUUUGGGUGCUCCUGCUAUCGAUCGAUCAUAUUUGAUUUAAUUCUUCCUUGUGUGCCCACCAGUGGUACUGGUGGGGUCUUUUGACUAUAGUUGUUGCUUAUAUUUGGAGAUGUGUGACGCCCCGAAAAAUAUGAGUAUGAGAAACCGAAAAUUUUUAUAUAUUUUCUCGACAUUAUUUUGUUUUCUUGUCUAUAAGUUUGUUUUCUUCAAUAUAUUAAUUUUUUAUACAUUUCUAUAAGGAAAUAUAGUUUACAAAUCAUUUUCUUGAUCCAAGUUAGUCCACGUUAAUUUUGAAGUGCGUUUUGAACGUGGGACCCGCUAGUGCGGUAAAUGCGAUAUAUUUUUGAUAACUUGUUGGAGUUUUGUGCUAAGUGAUAUUUUUCUACAAGGUGUUAAGAGAUAAUUAUGGAUUGAUAUGAGAGAGACAAAAAAGAUAAGUUUUAAACCUAAAGGUGACAAGUGUCACUUUCUUACGCAAGGGUGGACUUUGACCAUUUUACUACCUUUACUAAUUGAUUAAAAACUUGAGCCAAAAUUCAUCUUCUUCAUAAGCUCCUUGGCCGAACCUCUUGGAGACAAAAAGAGAGAAAAGCUUCCAAUUUCUUCCUUCUAUUUCUUGCCCAAUCUCACAAACCAACCGUUAAAACCGUGAUUUGCUCCAUAAAAACCUUUCUCUUGGUGGUAUUAAGGUGUGUGGUGAAGUGGUUUGAGAAGCAAAGGUGCUAAGUUGGGUCUUUCCUUGGGUUUGCAUGGUAAGUGACUAAGGAACCUUUCCUUUGAUCUUGAUAAUGUUCAAUUAGUGAUUGGUGGUGGUUGAAUAAGUGAUUUUAUGGAUGAUUUCAUGAUUUUGGUUGAAAUUAGUGAAGUUUUAUAUUUAAUUAGAAUUUUUCUGUUCUCAUAUGAUUGUUAUUAUGUGGUUAUGUAUGAUGAUUGGAAAUGAUAGUUGAGGAAGCUAGGAGGUAGAAAAAGUGAUUAAUUGCAAGAAAUUUCUGUUUUGGAAGGAAAUUGAAAAAGCUAGGGUUCCUUGUUCUUCAUUCUGUCCGGUUCUAUUGCAUCAUGUUAGAGGCCGAAUUGGCCUUGGCCUAAAACAUGAAAGUUGUUGGAAAUGAUAUUUUAGAGGUACCUACAAAAUUUUAGGUCAAUCGGAGUAGCGUAACUUGAGAAAAGUCGAAAUUACCCUUGCUGUCCUGGUUUACCCAGAAUUGGAGAAUUGCGUCUGUAAUUGAUUAUUUUGGUUAGGAAUGCUUCCGAAUUGGUUGUUGAGGUCUUCUGAUGAAAUGUAGUCCUGUUUCUAAUCUUUCGGAUGGCUUUGGAAUUAUUGGAUUUGGACUUCGGUAGCCUGAUUUAUGAUGUUUACGCCGGAAUGCGUUUUGUAAACCUGUUUUUGCGAUUCUGGUGUAGUAUAUUGCCUUUUUGACCUGGUUGCACUCGAAACUGGGCUGAGUGACCUUCUGUAAUAUUAUAGCCCUGUUUCUUAGCUUCGAAACGGUGGGUCUUGCACCUUCAUCCGAGAAUCGUAGCGCCUUUGGUACCAUUACCGCAAAAUGACGUCAAAAUUAUUUUUCUGGUUUUGAGUGUAACUUUCAUUUCUGGAUUUUUCCCUAGCUUGACUUGUCUUUGUACUACUUGGAGCUUGCUGAAUGACUAUUGGAUGAACUUGUUGUUGUGUGUGUACCUUUGGGACUGGUUGAGGAAAUAAUGAAGCCGUGAUGGCUGGAAAAGUUAGCAAAUUCAGGGGAAGUGCUGUCCGAACUUUGAAGGGACUUGUUUGCAUUGGAUUUGUGAUCUAAGACUUGGAUUUGAGCAAGGCAAUGUUAUAUGAUGGAUGGUUUCUGAGCCGUGAAGGUGAGUGACCCUAAACUGUUUCCAAAGUUACUUAUGAACCGUUUCUUGCACUAUUUACUUGAUUGCAUAUCAUGAGUACUUGCAUGUGGCCCAUGACAUGUUUUGGUUUAAAUGAGUACUUGGAAUUCAUGUGCUGAACACCAACGUCUCCACCUCUGUGUACUGUUCAUCUGGAGUCCCCCUCUGACUGUUUACUGUUAAAUGUUUGUUUGGAGCGUUGGGUGUUUAAGUACAACGAUUUCACUGGCUCACGAGAGCAAUAAAUGUACAUUUGAUCUUAGAAUCAUGACAUCACUGAAAUGAACGACUGUGAAACUGAUUUGCUUACCGAUUUUAUUGGUUACUCGCUGAGUUUUUAGCUCACCCCCAAAAUAUUUUAUUCCCCUCCACAGGGCUCGAGACGAAGGAAGUGCUUGUAGCACGUAUUCAUGUGACCGGAUGGAUUAUCUCAUGUAUGGUUUGAGUUUUGGAUUUCAUCUUGUGUAAUAGUUGUUAUUAGGGAUUGUAUGAACGUUUGGACUUAAGUGGGUUCGUGAUAUGUAAUUCUUGAAGAAUUUGAUGCAUAUUUGAUUUUUAUAUUGUAAUUUAAUUGAGAACUGUAGUGAACGACUGAGUCCCGGCGAGAGUUGGGCAGGCGACCCGCCGAACCCUUUGGUACGCCCUAGGGGGAGGUGGGGCCGUCACAAGAUGCUUGCUUGUUUGCCAAUUCAAGUUCUUGUGAUUAAGUUGUUGCUUCAAUUCUAAUCGGCUGUUGCUAGAACUUUUGGUUGGAUUGAGUGUGCAAUCAACUGUCCAAUUGGCGAUAGUUGUCGCGAUUUUGGUAGAAUUGUGUCUAUUUGCUGAGAGUUGUUGAUUUAUUAAGACACUAGCACAGCCCCUAGUUGGUUCGACCUGCCGUUUUGAUACAUUAUUGGGAGCUGUGUUCUGGUAUUGUGGGUACUUUCUUUUUGCAGUUGUUUGCUGCAUUGAGAUGUGAAUGUGCCGUGUAAAUUUACUUGUUGAAGUCGGUUGCCUCUAUUUGCCUUGUUUGGAGAGUCCGUGGCGAAGCCACAAAUGGCACGAGCUCCAGGUGCGAGUUGAGAGACUAGAGACUCGGAUGACCCACAUUAACGUCAAUCUUCAUAACAUGGUGCGGAAUUUGGCAGUAGCCCGCCCGACCCACCCCUGUUUUGACCACUUCAGGGAAGUAUCGUUGCCCUUCUCCUUCCUUUUGCUGUUAGUUUAUCACAUUGAGGGCAAUGUGUGAUUUAGGUGUGGGGGGGUCAGUUUUGGGUGCUAGUAUUUUCAAUUUUCGAUUUUUAGGUGUUUUUCAUUUGUUUCUAGUUUGAUAUUUACCUCCUUUUUCGUUUAUUUUCUUUUCUUUUUUCUAGUGGUCAGUCUUCAUAUGAAUACCAAGUUUUGAUGUCGGAUUGUUGUCCCUAAUUCUGUUAUUGCAAGUUUUAGUAAUAAAAAGGUAUCAAGUUAAUGUGGUUGACUUCAAGAACACCUCUUUGGUGAAUAGCAAUAAUUGCUUAACUUUUCCAAUUUUUGGUUAACUUUUCUAGGCAUAAGGAAUGAUUGUUGGCAUUUUUCAUGUGAAUUGGUCCAAUUAUUAAUUUUAGUUCUCCAUGUUUGGAAAUUUGAGGCUGGCUGCUGUUAUUUUUGUGAUAUUUUUUUUUAGUUAUUGUGUUAUGUUAUCAUAAAUAAGAGUUGACUGUACUCCAUUAGUGGUUACUACUGAAUAACUGGGGAUUUUCACCUAAAGUGUCGAUUUUCGCGUCAAAAGGUAGUAGUUGUUAUGAGUGCGUGGUCCUAUAGCGAUUGGAGCUGAGUAACCGGGCUCCUCCAUCUAUCAAAUGUUGGAGUUCGCGUCAAAAGGUUCUAAGGGCUAUAGACUAAGUCUUUUGUUAUUCAGAAAAAAAGGGAAAAAAAGAGGAAAAAAGAAUAAAAAAAAAGAAACAAAAAAGAAACAAAAAGGAAAAAAUAAAAUAAAGAUUGUGUUAGUAUGUGAAUAAGUCAGCUUGUCGGUUUGUGAUCUUAAUGUCGAGAUUUUGGUUAAUAGUUGGACCAUUUGCUGAUAAAUGUGAGCAACCAUUCCUUUUUCUUAGAUUAGUUUGUUUUAAAUUAGAGGAGUUGGUGGUUGGGAAGGUAACCAGGGUGAUUUUUCUUGGACCUUAACUUGUGAUGCUUGAUAUAUGUUUUUCUGGGUAACAUGGCAAUACGGUAGUUGGAGCAAUAGCCAUUGUCAAAUUUUGGUGUUCAAUUGCUGUUCUCAUGCUUGAGGGCGCGCAUGAUUUAGGUGUGAGGGGAAUUGAUAGGGUGUUAAUUGUUAACAAUUUUAUUAUUAAUUUUUCCUUUUAUUCUUGCCAAAUAUUGUUUUAAUUAUUAAUAUUUACUUAUAUUUGGUAUUGGAUCCAAUUUCAGGAAGUGAAGCAGAAAACUACAAAAAAGUAGGUACUUUUUGGAGAAUAUGGAGACUUCUAAAUACUCCACAGACUUGGCCCACAUUGCUAAGAAGGACCGGAUUUCCACUUCCCUUUUUGCUGACUAGGAGUCCUACCAAGAGUAAACGUAAUACAAGGAAUGGCGCAGAACUUUCUUUGGAGCAUUUGGACUCUUAAUUUUGGUAGGACCAGCGAGAUAAGAAGCCUUAGUCAUUUGGGAUCUUGAAAGAAAGGAACGAAGAGGCUUAAAAACAAGAAGCAAUUCGGAAGGGUCCCACCUUGUGGACUUGGUUUCUCUCAAUUCGUCAGAGUUUCCUUCUUGGACUUUAAUUCUCAAUUCGGCGGGAUCCACGCACUAGGAGAGGCAUUAGUCCUCUUUGGCUUUAAAAAGAAGGAGAGGUAUAGAGAUCGGGGGAAUCACUACUUUUAGGACUUUUAGCAUAGUUUAGUUUUAUUCUUUCUUUGUUCCUUUGAUGGCCGGGACCUCAAUUAAAUUACGUGAAGAUUUUCUCAUGAGGCGUGGCUAAGUUUCUCUAGUCAAAGGUCAAUUUGAGGACUCGGUUCCGAAUAUCUGUGAGAUCUAAUUAUUUUAUUUAUUUCUUUUAUUUAUUGGUAUUUGUGCGUUUCUUGCUUUAAUUGCUUAUGAUUAUUUUGUUAUUUGAAUGUCAAGGGCCCGAUAUUCGAAUUAACCUAAUAAUCUACUGUCAUUUUAAUUGAUUGAAUCCGUAAUUGUUCAAUUGAUUAAUACCAGUGGCGACUAGCGUGAUUGGUUUCAUGUUAGGGAAACGUAUGAUCUAACUUAAACAAACCCUCGUAGCGUGUUUGUUGGUUAGGGUUGGGUUUUUCUAAUUAUUAAUGCAAUCGAGUAAUUAAAUCCUAUGGUCGUACCUAGGGUUAUUUCUUGGUUAGGGAAAUAGUUAACGGUCGUACCUUAACUAUCGAGAAAUUAAGGAAAGCCUGGUUGUUUAUCGCGUGUAUGGCAACUAUAACCAAUCUAUUAAUGAGUAAUUGAAUUAUCUUUGCGUCGAUGAUCAGUUGCAUGGACCGUGUCUGAAAAGUUGUACCUUUGGCUAGAGUCAUAUUGGUUAUUGAUUAAUUUCUAUUUAUUUCUCUUAGUUGUUUUAUUAGUUAGCUAAUUAGUUAUUUUAUAUUCUCCAAAAAAAUCCCCCAUACUUCGGACUCUAAAAGAAAUAAAUUAUCCCCAACCCCUGUGGAUUCGACCCUGCUUAUCAUUAUCUACAGAAAUUAUAUUUUAUUUAAGCAGGUAUUUAUUAUUGCACAGGUUCGACACCCCUGUCAACCAGAGACAGAAUCUCUAGGAUCUACUAAGAAAAACAAUAUAAUUAGUCAGUUUUUGGAAUUAGAAGUAUCAAAAGGCAAACUAUAUGGAGUUCUUGAAUAAACCAAUCAUCAGAAAAAAAAAACUAUAAUCGAAGAAGACAAAUCCAAAGAACUCACCUCAAUUUAAAGGAAAAACUAUGCAUUCCACCAAAUAUUUAAUAGGCAUAAUAAAAUCAAAGAGGUGAAAUCGAAAAAGAAGAAAGGGUAUCGACUAAACAUGGGGACAUAAAUAUGAUAAUGAUUCUUCAGAUAAUAAUUAAGUUAAUUAAUUGUAAUUAAAAUCCAAUUAUGUAAACAUUCAAUUAAUUCCUUAACUGAUGAGAAAGGUUUCAGGAAAUUGGAAGGCUUGGAUGUUAGUAUAAUAAAUGAUUAAAAGGACUUUUAUGUAAUUCUAUCAAAAUACAAGCUUUAUUCAGUUGUACUUGAUACUCAACUUGGCAUCAAACAUUGUAACAUACCAAACCUGCCCCUAACCUUAAAUGUCUGAAAGGUUAUAUAAGUAAUUAUAGUGAAAUUAAAGCUAUAAUGACUUGUACUCAGUGUUUCAAUUACUUUUCAAACACUCUCACAUUCCCAAAAUAGCCACACCCCUGCAGUUGAAAUCUAGUCCUAAACUCGUUCUUAUAUAGUAUAAGGAAACAUUUUGUUUUCAUCAUUUCUUCUUCUUGUAAGUAUCAUGGACGAAAUUUUGAGAGAGAAUAGGGAGGAAAAGCUUCAUUUUUCAGCCAUAAUUUUUUGCUCAAACAAGAGAGGAAACAUGUUUGCUUCAUAAAUACUUGAAUCAAGCUUGGAGAGGAGUCUUGGAGGAAGAACUUUCUUGAGCUUCUUGGUGGCUUUCCUUUUAGGUUUUGAUGGAAAAAUAAGAUAAAAGUACUAGUAACCUACUAAUCUUUGAAGAUACUUGAGUUUAUAUGAUUGUAUGUUGGAUUUGAGUCAUAGAAGUUAAGUUUUGUUGAAGACAUCUCUUGUUUCCCAAUUAUUUCUUUGCUGCCAGCUUUAUUUCAGAUUUACACUCACCACUUGAACUGCAUAUUCAUCCAUGAUAAACUCGAAAUCAAUUCUUGCUCAAAACAUGAAAGUUGUAGGGAUUUGACUUGGCUUUCUACCUAAAAAAUUUCAGCUCAAUUGGAGCACUAUAACUUAUGAAAUGACUAAAAUACCCCUAACUGCCCAAAUGCCUUGUUUAACCGACAGCUUUCUAUUUUCUCUGAGAUUUUAAUUUUUGACCAUGAAAAUGCAUGAUUUGGCUUUGGAGGUUUUCAUAAUAAAUGUAGGCCUAUAUCUUAGAUUCGAAACGCCUUAAGAUUCUUCUCAAUCUAAUAAGUGUAGUUUCAGUUGUGAUUAAAAUACCACAAGGUGAGAGUAACUUGAUGAUUUUAGAAUUUCCUUUGCUUGAUGUGAUAUUUGUGAUCUAGAACUUGGAUUUGAGCAAGGAAACUAUCUAUGAUGGACGAGGAUCAUGUGCUGUAAUUGGUGAUUGAUUCCAAAAAUGUUUCCAAAAUUAUUUUUCGAACUAUUUCUUACACUAUUUACUCGACUGCAUAUCAUGUGUGCUUGUAUGUGUGUCAUGCAAUGAUUUGGCUCAAAUGAGUGCUUGGAAAGUACACCAACGUCUCCACCUUAAUGACACUUGACUUGCCUUGAAUGUUGGAACACCGAUGGCUCUAUUGUAUUACUUGACUAUUACUUGAUUUAUUUGAGCGUUGGAUGUUUAAGUACAAUAAUUUCACUGGCUCAAAAGAGCAAUGAACUUGUAUUUGAUCACUGAUUCAUGACAUCAUCUAAAUGCACUAUUGCGAAACUUAUUUGAUUAUUGAUUUUUACUGGACACUCGCUGAGUUUCUAUCUCACCCCAAAAUAUUUAUUUCCUCUCCAUAGGGCUCGAGGCAAAUGAAGCACUUGUAUUAAUUUAUUAGUGUGACCGGAUAGAAUAUCUCAUGUAUAUUUUGAAUUUCGAUUCACUUGUGAUCUACUAUAGUAAGUUCUAGUGAGAGUUGGGCAGGCGGUCCGAUAAACCCUUUGGUUUGCCUUAAGGGGAGGUGUGAUCGUCACAUUGAACCUAUCCCUCUCCUCAACCAAAAAAAAGAGCAAAGUAUAAAUUUAAACGGACAAGAGAUAGUGGAGCAAUUCAACCUUUUGGUUGAUUGAGAAACUCGAAAAAGAAAUUUUCAUAAAGAAUUAAGGAAAGAUUCGAAGAGCAAUAUGAUGAAUUUGCGAGUCCAAUUGUCGCAUAAAACAAAUAUCAAGUAUAUAAAAUUAUGUUUUUUUUUUCAAGUUACAGUACAUUGAAAAGAAAAGGGGAUUGUAAUAUACACGGAAUCGGGACAAGUAUGAUUGAAAUAGAUACGAUUAAACAUAGUUAUUGUUGUUCGUCCAUAAAAUAAUGUAAAUUAACAUACACAAUUGUAUGUAUUGAGUAGGUAUAUAUAAUAAAUUUUGUAUUGAAUUUGUAUACACAAUAAAUUAUGUGACUACAAAGCACACCAUGUUAUGUAUAAAGUAUAAUAACCGGAUAAUAACUGUACCUAAAUUCCAACUGUACUUGCCUUGAGUCCUACAUAUACCAUACCUCUAUGUGGUGUGGUAAUUAAACAGAUUCAAACCUACAAAUACUUGUGGGUAAAAGUUGAAAGUGGAAGAAAAAGGUUAAUAUAGAUUUGAAAAAUAUAAUAGAAUUAUGUACCUAAUUCUAAUCAAAAGAGGAGUAGGGUGCAUUUUUCCUAACACAAGAAAAGGGUUAAAUGCAGUUUGCAUCUCUCAAAUAUUCCCGAAUUGGACCAUACACCAUAAACUUUUAAUUUUCACAAUUAACAUGUUCAACUUUGAAUUUUUUACACCGUUUUGAAUCAAGCUCAAAACAUGGAGAGCCAUGUGACCAGUAUACCCCUUAAUUUUCACUGAACUUCUAGAUGCACCUAUAAAGACCGCUAGAGGUGAAUUCCAUGAAAUCCUUCUUCUAUUUUCUUCUUCUCUUGCGAUUCAUCAUCAUAUUUUCAUCAAUGUUAGAAUCAUAACCUGCAACAUUAAUGGCUGAAAAAAAAUCAAUAAAUUCGUUUUUAUCAUGUAAGACCCACUAAUUUUUUGAUAAUAACAAGGCUUUCAAAACAUAAAUCAUUACCUAAAAUCAUCAGAAAAAAAUGAUUAAAAAAAAAUCCCAAAGCAACUUACCACUAACCGCCAUAUCACCGCCAUCGCCACCACUUCUGUCACUAUCACCACAAAUUAAAAAAUGCGUCUUCCCUAAAAUAAAAAGUUUUCAAAUACAAAUUUAUACCUAAAAGAUUAUCAUAAAAAAUGUUAGAUUGAGAAGUAUCUGAUAUCUCAUACCUUUGAUGGCUACCCUAACACUACCACCGCAAAAACACCACCCUUUGCACCUUUUUAUUUUUACUUUUUUUUUGUUUCAUCCCUCGAACAAAUAGAUAACAAAAAAAAAAAAAAAACAACAAAUCUCCAACUCCAUGAUCUCCCCCUUCCCCUCGUCCUUCUCUUUUGUUCUCCAAGAUUGCAAUCCUUUGCUUUCUAAACAACCUUUGCCCCUAAAAACCUUUUUUUUCUCUUCCACCUCUUGCCACCCUUAUGAAGCCCAUCUCCUCUGUCACCUAAAAAAAGUAUUACAAUACCUUGCUUGACCUUCCUUGCUCAAUUGCUAGUUGUCACUCUUAAUAAUAAUCUCUGCCUGGUAAAGUAGCGUUGAUGUUGCUGCUAUCUUUUUUAGGCCCUAGGGGUAGUUACAACUUUUGGUUUACGAAAACAGGAGAGACAGUCCAACUUUCUUUAUUGGCUUGAUUAUCAUUUUGUUAUUGGGUUUAUUACAUCAUAUAUGAAUCAAUGAGGUUGAAUAAGUCAUUUGUCAAUGCUAGAGGGAUGCAUGCAAUAUGAUUCAGUUUGUCGGAAUAUAUCUUAAAAUUUGAAGGUAUUAAUUAUAGAAAUUAAAAGCUUAGGGUAUAAAGUCUAAUUUAGAGAUAGUAGAGGGGUGCAGAGCCAAUUAAUCCUGAAAAAAGUGGUAACAAUGAAAAAGAGUAAGAAGAUGAAAAAGUGGUGCAGAAGAUCCGUUGCUGAAACAAACUCAUCUGGCCAUAUCCCGUCUGCAUCAUCUGGCGGUACAGAAGAUCCCUUGCUUGUAGAAACAAACUCAUCUGGCCAUAUCCCGUCUGCAUCAUCUGGCCAUAUCCCGUAACAAUCCAAUACUCACGCCCACCCCCGCGUCUAUUCCGCGGCUUGCAAUGAAUGGAUAGAGAGGAUUAGACCUCGCAUUCCCGACGGAUUCAUCAAUCAUCAGUCAAAUCCAUUCCCCUAUCUUCUUCUUCUUCUUCACCAAUCAAAUCCAUUCCCCUGUCAUCAAAUAAAGGAUCUCACCCUACUUGGAUUGGUUGGGGGACGGACGUACCAGUAUAUAUUCCCCAGGCAGCAAUGGAGCAUCACCAAUUUUUGAAUUGAUGGAGAGAUCCUUUGUUUUUAGUUUUUCUGUCUGUUUCCUGCUGCCAUAGUUCCACGGAUUAACUUAACCAUUGAAUCCUUUGCGCAUUACCUCUAUACAUCUAUCAUCUCCCCCCCUUUACCCUGAUUACCAUAUAUCAACCAUUUCUUAUCCGUCUUUAACUCUUUUUUCUUUUUCAAAAUAAAAAAGUCAGAAGGUACAAUAAUAUUAGAAGCAACGAAACGAUGAUAUCAUUUUGAAACUUGACACCGACGACGUUGAAUUUUGUACCGCGCUGCCGCUGCGCUAAGACGUUGCGGAUGGUGGGUGUGGGGUGCAUGCUCAAUCUAUCAUUGGUCCGUCGUCCGGGCUAGUUAGUACUACCCGUAUCUUAUAGCCGUCGGUCGGAGGUAGGAUUUUAGACAGAAGAUGAAUCAUUCGUCGUCGUCCUCCUCAGCGGCCAUGCAACAGCAGCCGGGAUUAGGAUUAGCAGCGAUACGGACGCGGGUAGGCAAGUACGAGCUCGGGAAGACGCUCGGGGAAGGCAGCUUCGCCAAGGUCAAGUGCGCUAAGAACCUUCAGACCGGUGACACCGUUGCCAUCAAAAUCAUCGACCGCGAACGCGUCCUCCGCCACAAGAUGGUCGAACAGGUACCUCCUCAUUCGUCAACUCCCCCCCUCCCCUCCCGGGGCCCCACUUUACCCCCAUUCUAUUUAAAUCCAAUCCCUUCCCAUCCUAUCCUAGCCCACCUAUUCAUUCUUUUACAUGCAUUAUCCUCUUUAUGUUUCUGCUGCACCUGCACCACCCACGGCACAUCCCCCCAACCACCCACGCAACCCCACACACACUCAAAAACCAACAUUCUUUUGUUUUAUUAUUAUUAUUGUUUAUUUUCCUCUGUUAAUUACUGGUAUUGGUUUUCCCUAUAUUUGUUUUGUAUGCAAACAGCCCAUAUGCGCUUCUUCCACCUUAUUCAUCACCCUUACUACUUCCUUUUAUCAUUCCUCAUCUGGUUUUUCUUCUUAAUUUCUUGCCAAUCUGUUUACACGACAUCACACCGUAUGUUAAGGUGCCCUCCUUAGUAUAAUACUAGUUAGUAUUACCGAGAGAGGCACAGGAGACAGACUGCUCUGCACUUCUCUUUGCUUUACUCCCCGACAAUUUUACUCAAUGUCUUUGUGUCAUACAUGCAUAAGAUGAUAUAUUUAUAUCAAAUUACAAGUCUUCAUAUUUCCUGACCUCGCUAAUCGUGGUGUUUAAGACAAUUAGAAUAAUAAUAAUAUCCAAAAAGAAAAACGCUAAUGCAUCUCUUUAUUAUUCAUAAAAGGUGCUUUUGUAUUGCCCGUCUUUGUAGAUCAAAAGAGAAAUAUCCACCAUGAAGUUGAUCAAACAUCCAAAUGUUGUCAGUCUCAUUGAGGUAACUGCUCUUGAUGCCACCUACUCCUCAACCAAUUCAAACCCCCAUUGCGCUUUCACUGUAUACUACUCUGUACUCUCUUCUCAUUUCCUCAACUUCUGUAUGCCUUUCCACUUGUUUUGUGUAUUAGACCAUUGUGAGAGUAUGUGGACACCAAAGCACUUUGUUCACUUCAUUAACAGCUUAAUCUCUUUUUUCAUGAUGCAAAAAUGUAUCAAUCCCAUUUCAUUGAAAACAUACUCAGGAGACAUGCGCACCUGACAAAACCUACGCAAAUGCCAUCCAGAAGAAUUUCAUACCUCAUGGACUUUGUCUAGUACAGAUUAGUUUAUGAUAUCCUUCUUUAUAAAUAGCACAAGGUUAGUAAUUCAAUUUAUUUCUUUUUUGUAUUUUUGUUUUUCCACUUAGGUUAUGGCAAGCAAAACGAAGAUCUAUAUCGUUCUUGAGUAUGUUGAUGGAGGCGAGCUUUUUGAUAAAAUAGUAAACAUCUGUUCUUUAACCUUGCUUUAGCAGCUCAAUCUCUCUUCCAAGACAAAUAAAUGUACUUUGAUCCAUAUCAGCCCGAGACAGCUUCGUGGUGCGUGCAAUAGCUGAGAUCAGUUCAGUAAUUUGCAUUGACUUUUCUUUCCAGGCAAAAUACGGGAGACUUAAAGAAGAUGAAGCCAGACGGUAUUUUCAGCAGCUUAUAAAUGCUGUGGAUUACUGCCACAGUAGAGGGGUGUACCAUCGAGACUUGAAGGUUUAGUGAAAAUUUAUAUGCUUUAUGCAUUGGAUGGAUUUAUCUUCAAGAAUUACAAUCUUGGUGCGUUAGGCUUUAUGUCCACUAAUAUUCUCUUCUGCCUUAACCUACUGCAGCCUGAAAAUCUACUACUAGAUUCAUGUGGUUCACUUAAAGUUUCCGACUUCGGAUUAAGUGCAUUUUCCAAGCAAGUCCGGGUAAGUUUAUUGGAUCUUGGGAGGAAUGAACUAGAGAGACAUUGUCAUGAUGCGUUGGUGGUUUACUAGUUGAUCCUUUGUCUGUUUCUAGCCGAUCUCUCUUGAAACAGCAUUGCACUUUAACCUAAGAUAAUAAAGAACAUUAUGAACAAAAACUCCUUCUAUAUGGUCAGAGGGGCUUUUCUUUGUUGAGUACUACCAGAAUGUUAAGGCAUCCGGUUGCUAACAAAAUUUAUUUAUCAAUUUCAGGAUAUGCAUUUUUUCCUUUUUGAUUGGUGAAUUUAUUCCUAUGGCAACUACUAUUUUCAUGAAAAGUUAAUAUUGCAAUGCAUUCAUGAUGCGGUUUUCUGGGAAAAACAAUAUUUCUGAGCUUUACUGGCCUUUUUCUAGGAAAAACAACAUUUCCGAGCUUUACUGGCAUCCAUUGAUGGAUUCAAGACUUCCAUAUUGGGGGCUCAACGCAUAGGUUGAGCAUAUAAAAUGUGUUUAUGGAGGACUGUUGUAACCUUUAUUUUUUUUAAAAAAAAUCUAUUUGUGUAUAUUUAUGCUCGUAAUUUUUUUUUUUUUGUUAAGGGGGAAGUUUUGAACCCAAGAUAUCCCACUUCUAAUCCCUUGCACCUUACCACCUAGUGCAACCCUUCCCCCCAUGCUCAUAAUUAUCUUGUAUGUAAAUAAUAUUCUACAUUCUAUUAAGUAACACAUUAGAAUUGACUAUUAAUUAUGCAAGAAUUCACUGCAAAUAACACUUUAGCACCUUCAACUUUUCACAAUUUAUUUAAUCCACAUUGAAUACGAUAAAGGUAAGAUUAACAUGCCAAAAAGAAAGAAAAAGAAACUGUCCGGAGAAUUAUAGAGAAGAAAUGAUUGAUGAAUUUUACUUUCUGGUGCUCAAACGCCUUUUAGUAAAUAAUUGACCAUAACUGGGAACUGAUAAGACACAUACGUAGCAAAAGCAUAUGCUUAUUUUAAACGUAUUUUUGUUAUGUGAUACUAUUAUUUCUUUGGAUGGAGCGGAGGGUGUGUUUCACACUUUUGGCAGGUAUAUCGAUAAGCAUAUCUGAAAAGGAUUUUACUUUGAAGAGUAGCGUAAGAUCUUUAGAGAUUUGAGUGGUGGGCGUUCGGGCAUUAGCCUAACCUUAAGGAUCCAUAAUGGUUUAAAAAAUUAGAUAACAACUUCAUCCUUGCUUAAAUCCUAUAUAGUCAAGCUCAAAAGUUCUAAUUUCCCAUAUUUGUCAUUUCCUGCCCCUUUCCCCUGUAAUUAUCUUAUGAGUCAUGACCCGGUUAAAGCUAACUAAAAACGAAUACUUAGUCUGAAAACUUUAUAAAUUUAUGAUUGUCCAGACAACCUGGACUAGUUGUAUGUAUCAAUAUAAGAAAACCAAGACAACAAAGCAGAAUGCGGUGAAGUUGAUUGCUUCAAGCUUUUGAGGAAUGACCAGAUACAUACAUUUCCUGGGAUACUCUAUGACUUUAAAUCUGGUAUAUUUGAUUUGUCAGCUCCUACAUAUUUGGUUUUUGGACCAUCAAUUGUUUGGUGAGCGUGACAAUAAAUGUUAAUAAAGGUCAAGAAGCUCAUACUUCUUGGACUCUGUAUGCAUUUAGAUUUUCCAAGCAUUGGAGCAGAUAUGGAUGCAGUUGCAUUAUUUAAGCAAAAGUAAAUUUGAGUUUGCUACUCUACUUUGGGUGUAUUACAUGUAGAUUUGAUGUUUCAAGUUCUAAACUUGGACACAAAUAAGUUGCAUCAUGACUAAAUAAGGAGAUAACAUACUGCACAUUGUGUGCUGAAGAGAGGUACGUGAAUAUAUUGUUUAUUUUAUUUUUUAUUUUUGUAGGCGGAUGGGUUGCUUCACACUGCUUGUGGCACACCGAAUUAUGUUGCUCCUGAGGUAUAAGCCACAGCUUUUAAAAUUCAAAACUUGUGAAACAAAAAUCUUGAGUUUGACAUGGAGCUUCGUCUCAGGUUCUUACUGACAAAGGCUAUGAUGGUACAUCUUCCGAUGUGUGGUCCUGUGGGGUCAUUUUAUUUGUCCUAAUGGCUGGAUACUUGCCUUUUGAUGAGCAAAACCUUGUGGCUUUGUACAGGAGGGUAAGCUUUAACAAUUUGCUUCCCAUUUUGGAGUCCUCCACAGUGAUAUGAAUGAUUUCUGUUGACAAAUUAAUUUUCCAGAUUCAAAAGGCUGAUUUCUGCUUUCCGACGUGGUUUUCGUCCAGUUCAAAGAAGCUGAUAAAACGCAUUCUUGAUCCCAAUCCACUCACUGUGAGUUCAUAUCUUCAGUAAUAUUUUCUUCUUCUAUUUUUUUGGGAGAGGUGGGACUGGACAAUAUUGCUGUUCACAAGGUUUUUCUUUUGCUCCUAAAUAUACAAUACUAAUAUUAGUAAUUGAAAAAUUGAAAAUACGCGAAGUAAGGGAACCAAGGGAGAAAGGACUUAUUCUCAACAGGCCUGGUCGUUGUACAUAUGACAUUGCUUUUUCCUUGGCAGAGAAUCACAAUUCCAGAAAUCUUGGAAAACGAUUGGUUCAAGAAAGGUUACAAGCCACCGCAAUUCGAGCAGGAAGAGGGUGUAAGCCUUGAUGACAUAGAUGCAGUUUUUAAUGACUCCGAGGUAACUCAUUUAAUCUUUUAUGCACCUUAGAAAGCAUUUCAAAUGGCCAACGUGAUGUUUGUCUCUAUUUGUAAAAAGGCAUGACCUGGUUCUGAGGGAUAUUCUACCGCUGAUAAUGCUAGCUGAUCUGUUCUUUGGUUGGGCUACCGAGUUCUAAAGGAAGAAAAUCCUUUAAAAAUGAUUUUGAAAUCAAAUUGUACUUGCAUUUUUUGUGGCAGGAACAUCUUGUUACAGAGAGGAAAGAGAAACCUGUAUCCAUGAAUGCCUUUGAGCUUAUUUCAAGGUCACAAGGUUUCAGUCUUGACAAUUUAUUCGAAAAGCAGAUGGUAUGUUGUCACAAAUUAUUCUCUGUGUCUUCCAUGCCCAUCAUCCUUGGUUUGAUUGGAAAUGUUUAUAUUAUUCAUCCUAAGAAAGCAGCUAAACUCUAGAGGAAUAGAAUUUUGUUCCAUUGCCAGAACACUUGUGAAUAAUGAAAAUUUAAAUUGGUUUCAUAAGCAUUUUCUUUCUUAACUAAGUUCUUAAGGCCUUGUUUGGAUUGCUCCUUUCCGUCGAAAAAUAUUGUCGUUUUCCGUGAUCACAUUUCCCUAUCACCUUUUUCCCUCACAUAUAUCAAAUCGCUACAGUAAUUUUUCCAUGAAAAAUGACGGAAAAUGCAAUCCAAACACAACCUAAGUUUGUAUAGUUCCAAUGCGUCUUAAAAGCUGUAUAUUACUUGUUAGCUAUUAUUUUAAGCCAGCCAAAUGCUAAUGUAGCACAUAUCGAAUUCUAGUUUGUUUAUCCUGUCAAUCAACAACAUGUGCUUUCAGUUUCUCCAAAGUGCAAAUGCAAUUAAUUUGUGCUUACAACUUUCGCUUUCUUUGGAUUUUUCACUGUACAGGGUCUUGUGAAAAGGGAAACACGAUUCACUUCCAAGUCUCCAGCAAAUGAGAUUAUAUCUAGAAUUGAGCAAACUGCAAAACCACUUGGUUUCAAUGUUCACAAGAAAAACUAUAAGGUAUAGUUGUCAUUUCUUAUCCACUUAAUGUUCAAAUGUUUAUUGUUUGUUUGAUGAUGACUUUGACUUCUUUUUAACAUCCUUCAAACAUUAAUGGGGAUUAGUUUGUUAUUUAUGCUCAAGGAAUCACCUGCUAUCAUGUCUUCUGAUAUUUUCAUUUUGCUAUAUUUCAGAUGAAGUUACAAGGUGACAAGACAGGUAGGAAGGGCCAUCUUGCAGUAGCAACAGAGGUAAUGACCUUAGUUCUUUUCUUACUGGAAAACUUGCAAUUUUUCAUUUAUUGCCCCUGCUAGCAACCCAGGAAUUAGCCCCUUUCUUUUUUCCUUGUCCCUCUUCUUCCCUUGUUAUUUCUUAUGCAUGACAAAGUUGUCCAAAAUUAUUAUUCUGUUAUUCUACUACUUUCCUCGAGCCCAUAACUUACCUCAGGAAGCCAUUGACCCACUUUGAAUAGUUUGACCCAUGAACUUUUAGCUUGCAAGAUUGGUUUGGAAAAUUCCAAUUCCGUGAAUUUGGUUACUACCUAGCAAACACAGUCUAUGCAGGUACUCAUAUGUCCCAAAGAGGCAUUUCGUUCAGCUGGUACAUAAAAGCUUGCCCAAUGCAGGAUCUUUCUUUAGAUUGGUUCACAUAUAAGAAUUUCUCUCUGACGCAACUUGUUUGUACUGAGGGUUUUCCUUUUGAUGACUAACAAAUAAUUCAUUGCUUUUUGCUCUCUGACAUGCAUUACAGUUGCAUUAUGGCGUAUGUAAUAUUUGUGUAGCUUAAUUCAUGUUCUUGUUAUUUCUUGUUAGUGUUUAGCGGUUAGAUGGACUCGGUUUUUGCUUGUACAAAGAGGCACACUUGUUACUUUGGUGCAAGAUAAGAUUUGAUGAUCUAAUCUUUAAUAUACUCAGUUUGUAUUUUGCUUAAUAUAUUUCCAGAUAGUUUGUCCCUUAGUUCUCCUUUUGUUUUCACCCUUUGUUGCUUUUCUUUAGUUAUCCAUUGCAGGAUAUAAAGCAUGAAUUUUCUUUUAUAUGGCUUUGUUACUGCAUCUCUCUCGGGCCAUUAGUCAAUUAUAGUGGAAUUUUUUUCUUAACCAUCUUGAGCCUUUUCUUUUGUUUGAUAUGGACUUCUCUAUGGGAUCUUUGGUGCGCAUGGAUUAAGUGCUUUGCCUUUGAGGUGCCCUUCAUCUUUUAGAGAGUCAGUUUGACUUCUAUGCUUCAAUUUUGUUUUUCUUCUUUCUUUUUCUUUAUUAAUUUUGUUGGGAAAAACUUGGGGAAGUAGACUUCUGGAUCUCCACCAUCAAUAAAAUCAAGCAUUCUUUAUUGUCAAUCUGGAACAGGAUGUCAGAUUUGACAUGUUUCUUCACUUGCAUUUUCUGAGGAGGCCACUUGUGGAAAAAGGAUAAAUGUGUUUUUGUCCGCAGGGAGGAUUUGGUGUUGGAACAGGCAGAAAAUUUGGAAGUCUUGGGGCCAUUAUGAUGCUGAUUAAGAUGUUAUUUCUCGUCAUACAUCCUAAGCUGCUACUAGCUACGUCCAGAUAGUGUAUUCUUGGACAUUCUUAUACAGCUUGAGGGCUGAUGUAGCUAUUCUAUAGUCGCAUCUCAUGAUACGUAAAGGUUAACCCCUCCAUACAAGGCCCAGAAAUUUCAUAACAAGCACCCCUCCUUAGAGGCCGACAUCCCCGUUGGCCUGGUAAUUCAGGGCUCCCCCUCCUAGGCAGAGUCCCGCGAGACUCGAACCUGGGACGUUGGGGUUAUUUGUCUGGCUCUGAUACCAUUGAUACGUAAAGGUUAACCCCUCCUCCAUACAAGGCCCAGAAAUUCCAUAACAUCUCACCUGAUAAUCCAUACCUUGCAUAUGAGUUACAAAGCAUCUUACUCUUGGCCUUUGAGAAGGUCCUUUGGUAGUCAGAUUAAUAAUCAAGAAAGUUUCCAAGGUCAUAUUCAGGCAUGCAAUGAGAAAUUUGAAUUAAUUUGGCUAUUGUGUGGACUAUUUGUAUCUUGCUUAGUCCAUAUCGUUUCUGUUUUGUCCUUGGGACAUAUUUUUCUUUCUCCUGCUUUCAGUACGAUAUUGUACCUAGAGCUAACUCUGCUGCUUUCAACUGAAGGUUUUUGAGGUUGCUCCCUCCUUGCAUAUGGUGGAGCUCCGCAAAACAGGCGGUGACACUCUAGAGUUUCACAAGGCACGUCAAAGCUUUAGUUUGUUGAAAUGUGUGUGUAUUUUAUGAGUCGAUUUGGCAGAGCGAACUCAUUUGACACUUUAGCAAUUGGCAUUUAAAUGGCAGUUCUACAAAACCUUCUCUUCGGGAUUGAAGGAUAUUGUUUGGACGAGUGAGCAACAAUCCGACGAGACAAGGUGAUUCCUCUGCAAAGCAGCACACCUGACACCGCUGGGAGUAACAACAAUAUGUUCGGUGGUCAUUUUUUUCUUUUAUCUUUCUGGUCUCUUAUUGAAAAGCUCGCGUUGCCAAUUCGGUUAAUUGAUUCUCUGAUUCCUUUUUUUUUUUUGGGGGGGGGGGGGGUGACAGGAAUUGACUUCUCAAAUUAUGCAUAGUAAGCAGUAGAAACUCUGUUAGGAUGGUCAAGUCAGGUUGUGAUUAUGACAUGAGAUGGCACUAGUAUUAGUUUUUUUUUUUUUCUUCUCCUCCUGAAUUUCCAGUCCUUUCACUGUAUUGGCUACGGAUUAAUUUGCCUAUAAAGAAAGGGGAAGGAAGGAAAAUUGUGGGUCUUCUGAUGCAUACAUCUCCAAAUGGUGAAUCAAUAGAAGAAGAUCCUAGAGGCCAAAGGCACACCACCAUUGCCAGUAAGGCACCAUUUGGAGAUGUAUUUUUAGUAGUAGCAGUAGUUAGAAGUUGUGAGUAAUUUUUUGAAGAAACAAAAAAAAAAAAAAAAAGUCUGAUAAAUUUGAAUCUAAGAAGUUCCAACUUGAUGACAGUGGCAUUAUUGGAUGGAUGUCAAUAAUUAUUGGUUUGUGUUAAAUUUUUUUAUAACAAUCAUAUACUCAUGUUGCUGUUAUGGACGACAGAUACCGCACAGGCGUCCGUCCGUCCUUAUUCCACGAGACGAUACGAGAGACGCAAUGACAACUGACAAGACAAGACCCCCUCUCCAAUCCUCCUCGUACAUUAAUUAAUAAUUAACAAAUUAACAGUCUUCAAAUUGCCCCAGCUCCGAGCCACCCACCAAUAUUAGUAUUUUUUUUUUUCCAGCAACAUAGAUGUUGUAUAAUUUACUAUAGUCUAAUCUAAGGGAAGGGACAGGGGAAUGGUCAAUUAAGACCCGCCACAUAUUAUGAUUAAAUUGUGGGAGGCAGGGAUUGAUCCCUUGACCUCCAACAUCACUAUUAUGAUGAUGACUAAUGGACCAAAUUUAGUGUCAGUGGCCACCAAUAUUAGUAGUAUCAAUAUUAGGAUCAAAAAUGGCCAGUGGCCACCAAUAUUAGUAUCAGAGUAUUAACUUUUGUGUCUUUCAUUUUCAUAUCAUUUCAUUUCAGGUGUCCCAUCCCCUUCCCUCUCCCCUCCGUUAAUGUUGUUGGCCGGUGUCCUAAACAGUAAAACUCGAACCAACUUUGGCUGAUUUUGAGUUUUGAUGAGUUGCUUAAAAGUAAGCAAGCACUAAGCAGUAGUGGUCACCUACUAGUGUAUUAAUUAAGAAAGAAUAGGAUGCCCACCCACUCUUCCCUCAUUUUUUUUUUUUUUUGAAAUAUAAUUUGGUUCAACGAAUCCACAAUUUCUCCUUCCUCCAUGUCUCUCUCUCUGAUAUUCUCCAAGCAGCAUGCCAUAUUGCCAUCCAUCCACCCAUUUUAGACUAUCGGCGACAAGUUAUCCCCCGCCGCCUACAACAACACUCCUUGCUGUAGUCGUAGCCGGUGACCUGCACUCAAACAAAGACGGAGGAGGAGGGCAAGGGACGGCUGCUAGCAGUUUACGGCCAAGAUUUGGCCACAAAAAAUUAUAAGGUCCAGAUUUCAUUUUGUAUCUCGUUUUUAAUAAUAUGUGUGGUGGGAUUCAUAAAAUUUUAUUCUAAAAUUACAUGUUAUUGAAAAUAAAUUACACUGUAAAUAAAAUUACGCCGUGUGUAAAAUGCACUUAACGAACGAUUGCAGAGUUCCUGCCUGGGUCCAACAAAGAGUCCCCAGAUCCCAUUAAGAUUUCAUUUUCAUGCUUGCUCUCUCGCCACUUUUUUACAGUCUAGCACGACUGUACUACUUUUUGAAAACCAAAUCCAGCCUUCCACAUCACUCAUCCUCUUACACAAAUUUUUUUUUUUUUUAAUGUAACGACAUUUCUAAUCUAAUCUUUAAGAGGUGAUCCAACUUACACACUCCUUUUUUUUUUUUUUUUUUUUUUUGUAAAUAACCUCGCCUCGAUCAUAUAGAUGAUAGUUAACCAAUUAUUGCUCCACUACCCAAACAAAUAAACUACUACUAAUAGACAGUAGUAGUAGAUGCGCAAAUAUGCAUGCUUCCACGCAUGAUUGUGAGAGCAGUGUCCUGCUUUCCUGCUUUGACUGUUUGACACACUACAUGAUCAUGCCACAUCCUUGGACCUCGGAAGCAAAUCAUACUGGCCGGCCAUGCAAAGUCAAAAGCCCGCGUUCUUGUCGACCACGCCCUUUUUCCUUCCAUUUAUUUUUCUCUUCUCCUUCAAGCUAAUCUAAGAUACAGUAAAAUAUUAGAAAAUUGUUGCUUGACUCGUCUCCCUUGCAAUUGCGACGAGGAGGGUUUUCUUUGGUCUUCUUAAUUGAUUUUCUGGUAGCAUUUUCUUAACUACUCUAGCGAGUAAGAAAAAAGAUACAAUGCGGGUGAAAAGGACUCGCACAAACGUGCAACUAACGGUUGAGUACACACAAACGCGCACUAACAGGCAGAGCCACACACAGUACUAGUAGUACCACUGUGAAUAUCCGUGCUACGCACGGUGCUGACAUUAUUGAAAAAAAUAAAAUGGUGAACAAAUAAAGGUGAAAAAAUUGAACCAACAAAAUUUAAAUGUAAUAUCUGUUUAACAAUAGUUUGAAAUAUAAUAGAGUCAACAACUGUCUUUUUUCAGAAGAUGGGUCCUGAAAAAAAAAUUAAAAUUUAUAUUAAAAUUAAACAUUGUAUGAGAAUUGUUAACAAAAAAAUACAAUAGUUAAUAUAGAAGUAACAUCAAUAGAAUUUAAUACAAUUGUGUUGUAAUCAAAUGAACAUUACGCACCAAUAAAAUUGUUAUUAGCACCCAUAAUUAAUGAAGUAAUCCCUAUAUAAAUAUAUUUUGGUACAUGUAGACCCUCCAAACCCCCGCAAAACCAACCACCACUUAUUGAAAACAAACCAAUAAAUACACUAAAAUACCUCCCAUAUAUACCUCAAAUUGCACUUUAACCCAUGAAUUUUGUGCGAAAUUAUCCCUCUAAUUGCUUUUGUCCUUUUCGAUUUUUUCACAUGUUGCUAACUGCUUCAUUCCCUCUGCUAUCACUUGUAUAUUUAAAAUCAAUUUUUAAUAUUAAAUAAAAAGGAAUGUAUUAGUUUAUAAUAUGUUCAUAAUGUAGAUUAAUUAUUAAAUUUGGAAAAGGGCGUAUGUUCUUAUAGGCUUCUUUUCUUUUCUUUUUUUUUUUUUUGGAAAAUGAGUUUGUUCUUGUAGGUUUUUUUUUAUUUUUUGGAUACAUAAUUGGUUUUCAAAGAUUUUGAUUCGUAGUCCCUACUAUGUUUAAACCAUCUUUUAAUAUCCAAUUCAAUAUUGUAUUUUAAUUUGGCAGCCUCUAUAAUUUUUAAUUUAUUCUUUUGGUUUAAGUUCAGUUAGAAUUCAAAAUUUUUCAAAUACCAAAAAAAAUCAGAUUUUUUUUUAAAAAAAUCACCGUCUUGAGUCAGGUAGAGCGCCGAAAUAUGAGUCAGGAUUAUUUUCUUUAUGCAGUUAGUUUCUUGAUAUCUGGGAAUAAUAAAAAUACAAAAACAAAAAGUAACCGCUGUGAUGACAAUGAAGGUAACAUUUUUGCUGAGCUUAGAUGGCAUCUGGAAGGUGCUUAUGAUCUCCCCAUAUUUUAUUUUCCAGAAUUGCUAUAGCAUACAACUAUAAUCGUAAGUAGUCUUCCUUGGCAUCAGGUUGUUCUACGUAGCACUUGUUAUUAAACAUGAAGGGUCCCGUGAUACACACAUUGGAUUUUGGGAUUAAUUCUGGAGGAUAUGAUUGUGUCUUAACACUUAAUGAUCACCGAGCUAGAAUAACUUGUAUGUGGUUAUUUUUUCUCUUUUCUCAUUUUAUUUGGGCAAACCCAUGAAGUUAAUGAAAGGUUAUUGAGUGAUGGUGGUCGGACAUGGGUUUUUUAAAGAGUCAAAAUUGGUAGAAUAUUAUCAUUUGAUGGAUUGGUUUGCAUGCUAAACUUGUUCCAUUUAAUAAGGCUAAUGUUAGUUAUCAGAGAAGAUCUUUUAGUAAUAUUUAUGUUCACUGGUCCCUCUUUUGUAUUCAUGAAGAAAGCUAGCUUUAGCAUUUUAUUGUCGUUUAUGGACAAUAAAAUCUCAUCUCCUCAACACGUUUGAGGUAUCCUGGGUGGCUGUCGGGAAUAAUCGUUCAGGUGUUCAUUUUGUUAUGAAGUAUAUUAACUGGGUAAACCUUGGCAUGUACAAAUUUUCGCAUUACAAACAUCGUUAAACCUUGGCUAAAAGAGUUUCUGAACUCAUUACGGGAUUAUUAGAACAAAAUAGAAACAUCAAUGCACUUGACCAAAUCGACCACACAAGUUCGCAUGCAUAUAUGAGAAAACAAACAUGAAUAAACAUAUGUGUCUAUCUAUGUAUAGUUGGCUGGAAUCAGCAUCACAAUAUCUGACUUCUAAUUGCUCGGAUUAUAUAUCUACUCUUCUUAUUAUUAUUGAGACGAUGAUGCUUGCACUCAACAAAACUUGUUGCCACGUUUUAGUUUAUAUAUGUAAAUACAAAAAUAAAAUAAAAUGGGCAUGUCUUGUCUUUGACUGCUCUAGAAUUGACGACAAAAAAGGCAUACCAACCAUGGGGUUCACUUGUGGAAUUUGAAUGGUAUUCAGUAUACUAUUGGCCAUUGUUUAUUCUUCUUUCGAAAAAGACCGACCAUGUAUCUAUGCAAGUAAAACUUAAAUAUAAAUGAGCACUUGGUUUUUUGUUAAAGUGCGAAGUUAAGACUCCCAACGUCAAGAAGUUUCAUGCCUUCUAUAGCAUUUCAAAAAGAUGUGACACAGAACAGUUAUUUGAAUGCUAAUAAACUCUCUUUCUACUAAUUUUGAAAACCCACCCAUUAAAAGUGAAGUGAAAAUUAUUGCAGUUAAUGCAGAGAGAAAAUGAUAAAGAAAAGAAAGGCUAGAAUGCAAUUUUGCCAAAAUGAUUUCUGACGAAAUUAAAAAUUAAUCCAAUUUUAAUAAUGGGCAUAUAUUGCCUUAAUUAUUAGUAGUAUCUGAAUUAUUUUUCUCUAAUUAUAAACCAUUUUUAAUUUUUUUUAUUAUCAAAAAAUCUUUUUUUUAUUUCAUGCACGAUCAUUUUUGGAAUAAAAUUAUGAAAAUAACUAUCGUAACACCUUUUUAUGUGAUAAAUGUGCAAUAAAAAUAAUUAAAAAAUUUCAGUAAUACAAACAAAUAAAUUUUUAUAAUAUACAAUUUAUGUUAGAAAUAGUAAAACCCUCAAUCAUGAACCUAUACCAUCCGCAAUUAUAUAAGCAAGCAAUACCUUAUGUUAGAAAUGUGAUUGUGAUUUUGUGUUUAUACUUUAUCCCACUAUUGAGUAUCUUUGCUUUAUAGUGUAACAAUAAGCAAACAACCGUUCAUAAGAUUUUGUAAAAAAUUUUCAGAAAUAAUGGAUGAUCAGAAAAUCAAUGCAAUAUCAUUCAUGACAAAAAGCAAAGCAAAAGCAAAACAUACUUAAAAGGCAGAGGGGACUGACCUGGAAAAUUAAGCUGGCAAGAAUAUACUUCCAAUUCUCCGCAAGAAGGUUGAUUUCUGCUGAAGUCUGUGCACAUAAUAUCUUCCACUACUGCUCAUAAAAGAAACAAAAUCAAUACAUUUACAAAAUGAAUAGAGAACCAAAAACAAAUAAGAAACUGAGAGAGUGUGGGAGUGAGAAAGUGGGAUAGUGGGAAUAGAGAAUUUGUAGGAGUGGUUGUAGGAUGAUUUAAGAUAGUGGGAUAGUAGGUGUGAGAUAGUGGGAAUAUUGAUGGGUGAUAAGGUGGGUUAUAACCCAUUACAUUUUAUGUAUUAAAAUAGAUACAAAAAUCUAGAAAAAAGAAUGAGAAAUUUAGAAGCCAUUGAGAGGGUUUCUGCUAAAAAUCCCUUCCUGAAUACAUAUAGAUAUAGAUUUUGAGAGAGAUGCAGUUUUAGUUCCCUAAAGUUUUGAAACAAAAAUCCCCAGUAUUUCUCACCUUGUGGGAUUUUAGUUCCUAAAGUUUCGACAAAAAAAAACAAAUUUGGUCCGCAAUACUUCCAAUUUGAAACAGACUUGGUAUAAUUGACGGAUUCUACGAAAUACUUAUGGAAUUAAAUUUUUUAAAACAAGAGCAAAAAAAGUGACAAUUUUUGAAUAAUAAAAAUUAUUCAUGUGAUGACUCAUGGGUAACUAAUUAACCAAGAAACAGAAAAUAAGAAAAUUUGUUAAACUCUACACGAAAAUUUGAUGACUCAUUCCUAUUGGUUUCAAUUAUGUAGUUUAACCCUUUUUUUAUUCUUAAUUAGUUAGCACAUGAAUUAGCAAUCCUUGAUCGUGUUUUAAAUUUAGCUGCUAUUUUACUUUUUUAUUUUUAUAUUUAAUUUAACAGCACAUAGUUGCAUGUGACUAAACUCUGUCAGUAAUUCUUCAUAUGUCUUAAAUCUGCUUUAAAUUGGAUAUAUUAGGAAUCAAAUUUGCUCUUGCCAAAACCUUAUAGCCUAAAACUGUACAAAUGCUAAACACUAUGGACUAAAACUGCAUUUCCCCCUAAUUUUUUUUGUAAAGUCUUGACAGUUACUGCUACAAUAUUGGGAUUAGAGUUGGCCUCUACCAUGUUUUCUUUUUUAACGAACCACACCCUUCACCAUUUUUGUUUCUUUUUGAUAUUUACAAUGACAUAAGAAUGAGAUCAAUUUAUGGCUUCUACAAACUAGUACUGGAUGUAAGACUUGCCUCUAAAAGAGGUAAUUGUGAUCCAUAUGAUUUGAUUUUAAAGUGAUUGAUAUCCUGAUUAAUUGAUUGAUAUUUUGUUAAUAAUUAAUUAGUAUUUUUCAUUUGUUAAUGAUUGAUUGGUAUAUUCUGCUAAUUGAUAUCUUUUUCAAUCAGUUAACCAAUCAAAUCAAUCAAUUAGUCAAAAAAGGUUAUGAAUUAUGGCAAGAUUUCUUUAAUGGAAGAAACCCCAGGGAUUUGGUAAUUGCCAGUAAAGGUUCCUAACCUAACUUAUAAAUAACCCGUGGUAGUCCAUCAACACUACACCUCGUGGUUAGAUAUAGGUUAGAAACUCCUUACUCUAACUCCUUUUUAUAUAUUUUUUUAUUUUUUUAGAACAGACGAGAAGGAGUCAAAAAAACAAAAAGAUACCAACUUGUACUUAACAACAAUGGUUAGAAGUAAGUCCAUUUAGAUUCUCGUUGCGUAAUACAUUCAUAUGUACAUAGUUAGCUUAACAUGUGGUAUUAGAGCCAACUUCUAGCCAUGUUGUUCAGCCUAUAACUUCAUGUCUUAUUGGCUAUCUGAGAAAAGUUUCAAAGAUUCGUAUCAAAUUUAAACGAGUCGAAUUUAAUUUGCCAUGGGAUCUAUGGUCUCAUUUUCUCAAUAAUUGAGAUUUAUUGACAAAUUCCAUGCAUAUGUAUUAUUCAUAUGAUAUCUUAUUUGGCUAUGCAGUUCAUUCAAAUUUUCUUCAAUAAUCUGGUCUGAUUGCAAGCAAUUUGAAUAUUUUUUGGACUUACAUAUUUGUGAUUGUAAGUGUUAUAUGUAUUGAUUGUUGUUAUUAAUAUAAUAUAACAAUUCAAGAAACAUAUAAAGAGUUGUUAUAUUCAACAAUCCAAAGAUUAAUAUUAUAUUAAUCUAUGCAAGAUGAUUGGCUGGUUUUAUAAGAAUGGAUCAACAUGUUUAUUGAAUAUCUCAUGCCUUAUUAUGAGAUAAAUAUCUAAAGGCAUAAUUUCAAUAUUAGUUUUGCCUCUAUGUUUUUUUAUUAUUUGAAAUUAUGUAGUAUUUUUGUACACUACACUUAUAUUCAUUUAUUUCAUAUUAUGAUGUCAACAUUAGUGUGAUUACAUUUGAAUUUCAUAGAAUUUUCUUUAAAAAGUUUUCUUGCAUCUCAAUUAUUUGAUGCAAAAAGUAUUUUAAUCACACAAAGAUUGGUAAUUAAAGAUGUAUACAAAAAGAAAAUUAAUUUUUUUUGUCAAAAUAUGAAUUAUUUGACUAUUUUGAUUUCCUUAUAAAAUCUAGCACACUGUAUGUUUAAGAGUAGCCAUAGCAUUUCAAACAUUGGUGUAUUAUAAUUUUGAUCACAUAUAGUUCAGUGAUUAAAAUCAAGAAUUUCUAAUCAAUAAGUUGACUGCUUAUUUUCUAUGAAUAUUCAUUAGAAGUUUUCUUGUAUCGUAUAUUAUGGAAUAACCACAACAUUUGAAAAUAUAUGGUGUAAAGAAUUUUAAUCACAUAAGAUUAAGUGAUUAUAAAAGAAAAAAAUUUAAUGAAAUUUAGUCAACAUAAAGUAUUUUGACUAUUAACAAAUAACAAGAUGUCAUGCUGAGAAUUUCACUUUUACAUUAUAUAUUUAUGAGUAAUCACAGCAUCUCAAAUAUUUGAUGUGAAAAAUUUUUCUUCACAUACAGUUUGAUGAUUGAAAUUAUGAAUUUUUAGUCAACAUAUCAACUAAUUGACAAUUUCUUUUAUAACGCCGUAUACUUAGAAGUAGUCAUAGCAUCUUAAGUAUCUUGGUGUUUAGAGAAAUUUAUAUUUUUUUCACAUAUUAUUGAGUGAUUAAAGAAAUUUGAAAAAUAGGCAUUUAUAUCAAGUUGCAAUUAAUUCACUAAGAUAGUUAUCCGACCCCAUUGGGACGUAAUUAUUUUGGUAAGAUUAAUUGACAUAAGAUGGUAAAUUAGAUAGUAAAUAAAGAGAUUUUUUAUGCCCACAGGUAUGAAUUAUUUUUUCAAUUGAUUGGUUUAGAUUACUAGUCUUAUGAUUAAGAAAAGUAAAUUCUAUGCAUUUUGCAACUUUUGCCCAUAGAAGUGUUUGAAUUUACUGUUUGAAUUGACAUAAAACUGAUUCAAAAUCAAGGUACAAACUUCAUAACAUUUUUAUGAUAUAGUUCUCGAUUGUUAAUUUAGUGUUUCAUUCCAAUGAUUUUAUGGUUCUAAUUAGCUUGACUUUUAAAUCAUUCUCCUUUGUUUAGGGUGCAAGUUUUAAAUUAGCACUUUUAUGAGAAUAAACAAAUCAUUCUCAUAAUAUGGAUAUAUUUGAUAAUAUAGAGGUUGAGUGCGAGAAUUAGGAGGAAUUUAAUAGUUUGCUCAUUUUGUCUCGCAUUCAUGUAAAAUAGGAUCCAAACCCUAAUUAUCUAUAGUUAAAUCUUGGAUGAAAGUCAUAAAGAAAUCGGUGCAAGUUUUAACUAGCACCAUUUGAAAACUUUCUUUUGUGACAAUUAAAUAUUGAAGUGUAUUUUGAAAAAAUGAGAAUUUUGCUAUAUCAUGAACUAAACUCUCAUUAAAUUGAGAUUGAGUUAUUUCUAGAGCAUUUCAUUAUUGAUUAUUUCACAAAGAAUUUUUUAGCCAUUCAAACCUUUAUAAUACACAUAAAGAUAUAUAUGGUUAAUUACUUGUUUUAAUCAUCUGUAUUAGCAAAGGAUAAAAAGGUUAAGAAAUAAGAGAAACUUAACUUUCAUGAAAAAAGAAAUGCAAAGAAAGGUAAUUUUAUUCUCAUUAAAUCAAACAACAACAAAGAUCAAUGUUUUUUGUAAGAAAAUGAUAUUUGAUACUUUACCUUGAAAGAAAGUCACUCAAAAGAAAAUAUCAAUUGAUGAGUGUUAUAAAUUGUGAUAUAUUUGAUGAAUUAGCUAAAGUCUGUCAAUUUACGUUGCCAAUAUAAUAAGUUUCUGAUUAUAUAAAAAGUGAACAAAAGUUAAAGAUAAGUGAUGUAUUAUUGUUCAUUUCAACAAAAUUUAUUUUUUAAAAUACUAUUUUCUUAUUACUUUAGAAUUUUUAUUUUCAAAUUAAUUACUAUUGGAUAUGAUUAUGAACCUCAUUAUCCAGUAGUAGAUUUUGAAAAUAGUAAAGUUAUUAAUUCUAAAGUUUUCAGUACCAUCCUUUGAAUUUGAGCAAUAUAGAACACUUGAUCACAAUAAUUAUAUUGGCAACAAGUAUAUUUAUCACUAGGGAAAACUCCUUAAAUUUUGGGAUAGGAGAUUGAGAUAUAUUUCUAUAAGAAAAAAGAAGAGUUGAUAAAUCAUAAAUCAUUAAAGAUUUUAGAUUUAUUAACUAUAAUUUUUUAACUAAACUGUAUAAGUAAAGCAGAUUACUGAACCAUUAUGGAUGCCAUAAGAGUUUCAUUAUAGUACUAAAAUUUUGUGAAAUAUUUUCUAUCCUUUUUUAUUGGUGAGAGAUAUUUAUUUCAUUAUUAGGUAACUAUUCAUCAAAUAUAAAAUUUUCUUUCUUAUUUGAUAAAGGAUCAAUAUUCGAUAUCUUUGCAAGUAUUCAAACGAGAAAGAAAAUUUGAAAUUUGAAAGAUACAAAAUAAAAUAAAGGCACAUAAAAAAAGGGGCUAUCCUAUUUGUGCUCAUUAAUUAGGAAACAAUACUAAUGAGCAAAAGCAAUGCUUGAUUGGUUACGUCCAAAUGGUGUACUUUAAGAAAAUAAUGAGAUACUUGUGGAUAUAACAUAUUGGCAAUCUUUAUACCUUGUAAGUAAAGCCUUGAAAUUGAAAUAUAUACUUAAACAAUUUCCUCCAAUGUUGUUUAAACACCAAUUUGAUUAUGGUAUGGAUGGAAAUCAAAUUUAAGAUAUGAUGUUCAAUUUUGUGAGGGUAAUCAACCUACACAUAAAGAAGCUGUACAAAGGACACAAAACUAUCUUACUCCAAGAAAUUUAGAUUCUUUUACACUUCAAGAAUCAUUAGAACUAGAGAUUUAAAUUUCUUAAGAACAUGAAGUAAGUGAGAGUGUUUUGACUCUAGAAUGGAGUUUUGAAAAAGUAAGGAUUCAUAUUUGACUCAUUUGCAUAUGAAAAAUGGAUAGCUUUUUUCAAAAUUAUUAUUUAAUUAUUUUAGAUAAGCAAUGAAUUAAAAAAAGUUCUUGUCAAAUAAACAUGUGAAAAUAAAUUCACAUUGAACCCAUUAGUUGAGUUAUAUUUGAGACGGUGAAAGGCAAAAUGUUCUCUAUAAAAAAUUGAAAUUCUCUACUUACUAUGUUGUAUACCUACGAGAGUUUAAGGAUGAAUUGUGUAAUAUUUUCAUAAGGCGCAAAUGGAGAAAUCUCCAUAUUCAAGGAUAAAGUCACAAAUUAUCACAAUAUCAUUACCAAAUUUUGAGAAAUUUUAUUUGGGAUAAUUAUGGCACUAAUAACUCACUAUUAGAGUUACAUUAGAUAAAUAUGAAAGUAAACGUCCUUAAUGUGACUCUUGAUAAUUAGGUAUACACAUGUGUCAUCAUAAUACAUUUGUAGAGAAUGCAAAUUAAAUCAAAUUAUUGCUACUCAAUAGUAUAAUAAUUUAUUCUUCAUUUGAUCUUAGAAGAAUUUUUCUAAUAAAUUAAUAUACAUUAAUAUUAGUGGGAGUAAUACUAUGAGAGUUUUUCUUAAUCAUGAUAUUUGUUAAACCCUUCUGUCAGUAGUACUCACAAAAUAGAAUGUAAAAAAUAGUUAAUCUAUCUUAAGACCUUCAUGCAAGAGUUCUUUAAUAAUAAAGAACAUAUUGCUUUUAAAUAAUAAUAAUGAACAUAAUGUUCACAUCAUGCAUUGGAAUGAAUAUAAAUUCACCAAGAAUACUAUGAAAUCAUACUACAGGCAUCUAUUGUUCGGCCUACAAUUUGUCGAUAUUGUAUUUUGACCAAUAUACAUAUUCGAUUUGACUAUACCCUUUCAUUAUGUAUACAUGCAAAAGUAGGAGUCAAGACAAGCAAGUCAACAUAAGGUAUUCAACAGUUAUUUAGAAAACAAAAAAAAGUAGCUAUUGAAUGUAUAGUAAGGAGUCAUUAUUGUUGAUCAAACAACUAAAGAUUGCGGACUAAAUUGAUAAUUAUCAAAUAACUCAUAUGGAACUCACUAGUUCAUUUAGUAUUUUGCUAUUAUUCUUAAGCUAUUAUUAUUGUCUAGACAAUCGAGAUACUUAUGUUUACAUGAUUUUGUGUACAUUGUUGUUUAUGUAUAAAGUAAGGAUCGUGUGAUCUAUAAAGUUAGACCCCGAAUAAUUUAUAUGAAAUUAUUCAUAAAGCUCUUUUAAAGCACUUGAUUAGAAAGUACAAUACAUUGUAAUACAUGGAAGGAAGUGUUUGCUGAUGAAAACAUAAUUGCCAUGAUUCGUGUAUUAUUAUUUUCUAAUUGGACAACUAUUACAUAAUUGUUAAAUUUGGUGAGUGACAAGCAUGACUUAUGGCCAUUUUUAAGCAACCAGUCACUCACAAGUUAUCUGACUAUUCCAUGUGGAUCAAGUGAGAGAAUGUAAGACUUGUCUCUUUUAGAGGCAAUUGUGACCCAUAUAUGAUUUGACUUUAAAGUGAUUAAUAUCCUGAUUAAUUGAUUGAUAUUUUUUUAAUAAUUAAUUAGUAUUUCUCAUUUGUUAAUGAUUGAUAUGUAUUUUCUACUAAUUGAUAUCUUAUUCAAUCAGUUAACCAAUCAAAUCAAUCAAUUAGCCAGAAAAGGUUAUGGAUUAUGGUAAGGUUUACUUGAUGGAAGGAAAUCCUAGGGAUUUGAUAAUUGCCAGUAAAGGUCCCUAACAUAACCUAUAAAUAGCGUAUUCUAUCAACAAUACACUUUUUGAUUAGGCAUAGAUUAGAAACUCCUUACUCUAAAUUAUUCUUCUACAUAUAUAUUUUUUAUAAAUAGACAAUAAGGAGUCAAAGAGACAAAGAGAGACUAACUUGUCUUGAUAACAACGGUUAGAGGUAAAUUUAUUUAAAUUUUCAUUGUAUAGUACAUUUAUAUAUACAUAGUUAGUUUAACAUUGGAUUGGCCUCUUAUCCCAUAUACAAGCUAUAGAUGAUCACCCACUAAAAUGAAUCCAAAAUUGAUCCUUCACCAAUCGCCAUUGAAUCCAUGUAUUCUACAAAGAGUAGAAUCCUGGUUUCGGCGGGUCCCUUGGGUAUGAAGAUGAGUUUCUUGUGAGCAGAUGGUUGUGCAUACAGUAAUAAUAGUUGUAGUAUGAUCAAUUUGCAGUUUAACGGUCAGAAGAAUAGCUGGAUUUUCACUUAAAAAUCUUUUUGUAAAGGUUUUACCUGAACACAUUUUUAAUCUUUUUUUAAACCUUAUUUAUAUCAAAUCAUUACAGUAUAUUUUUCUAUAAAAAUAUCAAAAAAUAACAAUCCAAAAUGCGUAAGUAAAGGGAAGAUAGAAACAGAACAGCGAGUGUAGGUUCGUGCAUGGUUGCCGAAGGAUGAAAGGAAUGAAAGGAACCCUUGACCUCCUCUAUUAAGGGUCCAUUUAGGGCUGUAAUAAUUUAUUGAAAAGUACUUUCUUAAUACAGGUUUUAAUAAAAGUACUUAUUAACUAUUUAAGUGUUUCUAAAUAUAUUGUUUGUAGACAUAUGUCAAUAAGUAUUUAUUGUAUUGGAUAAUGCGUAAUUUAAAAAUUUUAAAAAAUGUUUAUCUCUUUAUUUGGUUAAUAAUAUAGGAUAAAAUGAUUAAAUUUGAUGUUUUAUUUUUUAAAUCAUAAAAGUUACUCUAAAAGCAUCAAAUUUGAAUUUUUGCUAAAAGUAUUCUUAACACCAAAAAUUUUAUUUCUAAUUUUAUGAAAUAAUUCUUACCAAACACUUAAAAGUAUUUUUUAUCAAAAGCCUCGCAGCCCCAAAUGGCGUCAAAAUCAUAAACAGUACCAUUGCUAGAGGAAAUCUCCAAUCCUCGAUCACAUGGCAACUUGCUCACUGUUAAUGACGCUAAACCCCACCAGGCUUCUCACUCUUCCCGCAGCCGCAGGCGCCGCCGCCACCGCCACCACCACCACCACCACCAGCAUCUUACUGCUUUUCCUUGCUAUCAUCUUAGCAAACUCCAAUUGAACCUGUAUACCCAGCCACCAAACCUUCGUUAGUUGAGUUAUAUAAUUAUUUUUAAUUUAUAAGAUGUAAAUUUAAUGCUCUAAAAGUCCGUGUACAGAAACUAAAACGUAGAAUAGGACACCUAUUUUACAUAUUUUUGUGACUCUUUGCAAUUUUCUACCUUUUUGUAUACCUUUCAUGAUUUUUUUAAUGACUUUUUGUAUAUACUUUCUAAUGAAUUUUAUUAAAUUGGUAUUCUACAUUGGGACCACUUUGAUCAAAAUUGAACACUUUAGUGGUUACACUUAUUAUGGCCGAAACGUUAAGGACCUAUUUGGUUGAAAUCGAUUGCUUUAGAAAGCAUAUUUGUUUUGGCCAAAACGUUGCAGACAACUAUAUUGAUUUUAUAAUUUUUUUUGUGAAAACCGUUUAAGGUUUUUUUUUUUGGGCGGGGGGGGGGGGGGGGGGUUGUUCUCAGCCUGGGAUGAUGCUGGAGAAGUGCUCAGGGCAUUUCUGUCGGCCUUCAAAGUGGGUUGAUGCCCAAAAUGUUCUUUACUCAAAUACGUACCAUUAUUAGUUGGUCAUGUCCAAAUUAAUGGCAGGAAAGCAGUAAAAUGGUCCUUCGGAGGUCUAAGAGCCUAUUUAGAUUGGAGUUUUUAGAAGUUUUAAUGAAAAAAUACACUCUAAAUAAUGUGAUGUUUGAGAGAUUAAAAAAAAAAAGUAAUUUAAAAAUACGUCAAGGAUAUAUUUUAAAAACUUUUAUUUGACUCUGGAUAUCCUUUUGCAGCACUUGGAAUCUUCGGUGACAUGUUUUUCUAUGCCAAUCCAAUGCCAUCUAUAGUAUUGCGCCAAGUGUCCCGUUAUUAUUUAUACUUUAAUUUUUUAAUAAUUUAACUUGGUUUGGAUUGACGCAAUACUAUAGGUGGCAUUGAAUUGGUAUAAAAAAAUAUGUCACCGAGGAUCCCAAGUACUUUUGCAGUGCUCAGGCGAGUUCCUCACUUGAGCACGCUCUUGGCUACAUGGACAAAGGGUAGAGCUUACGAAAAUGAAAAAGCAAAAGAAAAAAAUAAACCAUAAUUCAAGGCUUCAAAGCAAACGAAAAUUUCAAAGUCAUAAUAGAAAUUUGAUAGAAAAUUUCAAUUUACACGUUAAUAUUGUCGGUGUUGUUAUUUUUAAUUCCAAGCGCGUACCACAUGUAUUGUUAUUUUUAGAUUUUUUUUGUAAAAAAAUUAUAUUGUAUUGAUUUGAUGUAUAUAAAAUAAAAAUAUAUAUAAAAAAAAAUUUACGAAAAAUCACAAUUCUUUCAAUUUUGUUGCGUCACGUAUGAUCGUAACAAAGAGUUAUUGUUCACCCUGCUAGUGAAAAAACAAAAAGAAAAAAGAAAAACUACUACAUGGUUGUAGGUUAUUUGGUAGUUGAGCUGUCUCUGGCUGUGGCACUCCCGGUGAAAAACUUGCAUGCUUGCUACCAAUAAAUUGGUGAUCCAUUUGUCCGCCCUUUCUCAACUCUGUUCAACUACACGACUCGACUCUCCCCUGCCCAUUGCAGUCUCCCACUCCUCCUAUCCGUCCCUGGCGUCUCUUCUCUCCGCUGUCUUCUACCAGUAGCAGUAGUAUUAGUGUGAUAAUUAACUGAUAACAAUACCAAUACCAGCACUACUAUAACUAUAAUAGGUAGCAGACAAGAUGAGGUCGUGAUUUCUUUCGCGCUGGUUAAUUCUUGCGCAGUUUCGCAUCUUCAUUCUUCUCUACUCUUCUUUUUCUUUCUUUCUUUCUAGCCCUUUCCCUUUCAGUGUCACCAUACCAUACCCCUUUGUUUUGUGAUGGUAGUCUCAAGUCUGCAUCACCUUCUCUAUACGAUACUACUUGUAUGCAUUCAUCUGGGUCGUCAGCAAUUAUCUUUAUAUCACCCAACUAACACCUAAAAGCCGCUGCUGUUACUCUUCUAACAUCUUUCUCUUCCUCCACAAUUUCAAGUACUACGUGAUAAUCAGUGCUGAUACUCUCUUUCUCUUUCUUUUUCCCCUUUCCUACUAAUUAGAACCAUACAAAUUUUAUCUUGCCCGGCUUCCCCAUCCUUGUUAGUUUUUACUCUUUUGACGAAGAAAGAAUCCACGGAGACAGAUAGAGACGUUAUGGCUACGAACAGCAGCAGCGAUAGCAUGAAUAGCAGCAUAGAAAUGGACAAGGAGAGAUUGACGGCGGAGGUGGCGUUCAAGGACUCGUCUUCCGUGGUUAUCAAAAUCCGGCGCAAGUUACCCGACUUCUUGACUUCCGUGAAGCUCAAAUACGUGAAAUUGGGAUUAGGAUAUGUAUAUUCAUGUAACCCCCCGGCCAAUGUUCUCAUGUUCCUCCUCAUUUUGCCCCUCUUUCUUGCCACUCUCAUCCAAACAGCCGAUUUGAUCAGGUUCGACCGCCUGUCGUCUCAUCUUCUGCGAGUAGUCUUAUUGCGGACCACCACCAGCAUUUCUGAUCUUCAUCAGGUGGUGGUAGCGGAGGCGGUCGACGUGAAUGACAGCAGGGUCGCCGGUCUGACUUGCUCGGUGGUGCUGAUGUUGUUGUUAGGCUUAUACUUGGCCACCCGCCCUCGCCCCAUUUAUUUGGUCGACUUCGCUUGCUACAAGCCCGAAGACCAACGCAAGAUGUCGGUGGAUUCAUUCUUGAAGAUGACCGAGGAUAACGGAGCCUUCGGCGACGACAGCCUUCAGUUCCAGAGGAGAGUAUCAGUCCGUUCGGGCCUGGGCGACGAUACCUAUCUCCCCAGGGGCAUCACCUCCAGUCCCCCCAACCUGUGCAUGGAAGAAGCCCGGGCAGAGGCGGAGGCGGUCAUGUUCGGGGCCCUGGAUUCCCUCUUCGCCAAAACAGGAGUCAGACCUCAGGACAUCGGCGUCCUCAUCGUCAACUGCAGCUUGUUCAACCCCACUCCCUCUCUCUCCUCCAUGAUCGUCAACCACUACAGGCUGAGAGCGAACAUCAAGAGCUACAACCUAGGGGGAAUGGGGUGCAGCGCAGGCCUCAUCUCCAUCGACCUGGCCAAGCACCUCCUCCUCAAAGGCAACCCAAACACCUACGCCCUGGUGGUCAGCACCGAGAACAUCACCCUCAACUGGUACUUCGGCAACGACCGCUCCAUGCUUCUGUGCAACUGCAUCUUCCGCAUGGGGGGCGCUGCCGUGCUCCUCUCCAACAGGUCCAUGGACAGGUCCCGCUCCAAGUACCAGCUUGUGCACACGGUUCGGACCCACAAGGGGGCGGACGACAACAGCUACAACUGCGUCUACCAGAGAGAAGACGAGAAAGGGACGGUGGGGGUGUCCCUAGCUCGGGAGCUCAUGGUCGUGGCUGGGGACGCUCUGAAGACCAACAUAACCACACUGGGGCCUCUGGUGUUGCCCCUGUCGGAGCAGUUGAUGUUCUUCCUGACCCUGGUAAAGAGGACGGUGUUGAGGGCCAGGAGAGUGAAGCCAUACAUCCCGGACUUCAAGCUGGCCUUCGAGCAUUUCUGCAUCCACGCGGGGGGCAGAGCAGUGCUGGAUGAGCUGCAGAAGAACUUGAACCUCUCCGACUGGCACAUGGAGCCCUCCAGGAUGACCCUCCACCGCUUCGGCAACACCUCCAGCAGCUCCCUGUGGUACGAGCUGGCCUACACCGAAGCCAAAGGCCGGGUGUCCAAGGGCCAUAGGGUGUGGCAAAUUGCUUUUGGAUCGGGCUUUAAGUGUAACAGCGCCGUCUGGAGAGCCCUCAGGCCAAUUUCCUCUGUUACUGCUGCUGGGGAUGAUGAUGACUGCAAGGCUAACCCCUGGGCCGACUGCAUCCAUCGAUACCCGGUGAAGGUUGCCACCGCACUUGCAUAGACCACCGGGCCUCUUUUUUUCCUAGUUACUGCAAUUAAAUUUGAAGUUAAGAACAGACAAAAAUAUGCAGAAACUGAACGAACCUCACUAGGCCGGCGGCCGGCCAUGUUGUUCAUUCGUUCCCAUGUAUUCUGUGCCUCCUAUAUAAUAAGCCUAGUAGAUUAAUAGUAAAAUGCGUUUAAUUCCAAUAUCUGCCACUUGAGGUCAGCAGUUGCCUAGCUAUGCAAUUACUAGUACUAGCAGAUGAUCAUUAGUAUCGGUAGAGAUUCUCAUUUAGUUCCAGUCAAUUCUGUCUUUCUCAUCAGUUUCCAGCAGUUUCCAGGCUUUUGAAGUGUCUUCGCAGAGUCCAUUUAUCGAAACACUCAUACAAAAAACUGUGAGUUAUGAAAGGGAAAAACCUGUCUCGGGGAGUCUGGGGGGUCUUUAUCUCUUAGCAGCGGGGCACCCUGUGGGGUUCAGUUCCCACAUCGCUUGGGGGGGUUUGGGGGGUUUAGUAGUUAAGUGCUGCGGAGCACUUCAAAAGUUGCCGGCUUUUGAAGUGUCUUCGCAGAGUCCAUUUAUCGAAACACUCAUACAAAAAACUGUGAGUUAUGAAAGGGGGUAAACCAUUGGUGUUACCUAGUACGUAUUAUUGGUUUGAAUUUGAAAUUAAUUCGAAGUAUUACUCCAAGUAGUGGGAGAGUCUUCUGUUACACGUAAUUUUUUUUUUUUAUACUCAAUAUUUAUCUAUCGUACUCUUAUUCUAUCUUAUUCUAGGAGAAUUCAAUCGAGCCUAUUGAAAAGAUUAACGGAAACUGAAUCAUCAUCAAAUCAAACGAAUGUAUUGUCUAAAUUUAAAGAGAACAAUUAACGAGAGACAAGGAUCCACCAAGCCUUUAAAGAGAACAAUUAAUGAGACCAAGCCUUAAAGGCUCGACGACAGGGAACUCCUCUGUUGGGAGUUGGUUGAGUCUCCUGUUAUACGUACGAUACCACCUAAAGUGCAACUAACGCCUUGUUAGUCGUUACACAUUCUAGCAAGCAUCGUUGACACACAGUGUCCUUCCUUUUACUAAUUACUAGUAUGAGAAUGGAAUAGGAGUACUCAAAUAUAAAGUUUUAACACCCAAUGGUCAACCACAAAACAAUUGCGGUUCCGGCCCUCCCUCGCUCUCCAACCACGACAUCCUCUCCCCGCAAGUCUAACUCUAACCUCAUAGCAAUAUAGCAUAGCAUUUCACGUACGAAUAAUCCAAAAAAAGGAAACUUGACAGACACAUGUCAAUACUACUUGGAAUGUGUGCGGUGUAGAUGAGAAAAGAAAGAUGCAGCACACGAUUGAAUUGAUCAUUUUGCUCAAAUCCCACCACACAAAUGUAGCCAAACUCGUCCGCGUGUCUUGUCUUUUUUUUUUUUUUUUUGACAGACAAAGAACGAACAGGUCCAGAAAAAGAAAACGUGGGAAAUUUCUGAUUCGCUCUAAGAGUCCAUUCAUUAGUAACUUCCCGUCCACAUACAUCACAAUCACAAUAGUUUAUACACGCACAAAAACAACCUCGCGAUCAACAAUGCUUUGGAACCAACUAGUCUCUCACAGUAGAUGGAGAAGUUCCCGAGAGAUAAAUAAAGCCAUAGCAAAGAAUUUCAUCAACAGAUCCAGAGAGCGCAGGCAGUGCUUCCUUGUUUAGAAAACGUCACCUAAUAGCACAUCUUAUUUUUAAAAACUUCGAAGAAUGCAUUAAUGCAUUUGUUUGAUCUAACGAGUCAUCCCUCAGCCUCCAUAUAAGCCGUUUUAGCUUUCUCCUCUCUUAUAGUAUAAUUUGCUCAGUAUUAGAUACCCAAUCUCUGUAUCAACCACGAUGCUGCUCCAUGAUCACAAGACCAUGAGAAGGUCUAUGUAUGUUAAAAGCUAAGUCGAGUACUAUUGGAGGAGUCAAGCAAAUUUUCGUUGAUUAUAGUCCUGGUUGCGGUGUAAACUCCAUCUUUUCUCUCAGAUCUCAAUGUUGAAUUUCAACUUUCAAGCAUUCACCAGGCGCUAGCAAUUGCCACUUUCCAUUAAAAUUGAAGAAUUAAAAUCAAUAUUGCUGUGACCAACAGAGGAAUCCUCAAAAGAGAGGAAAGAAUUGAGAGAGACGCUUAGAGUUAUUGACAGUUAGCGUUGAAUAAUUUCUGAAUAUUUUAAUUAAUGUCGGUGAUGUGGCAUGCAGUAUACCAUUCGGGUCUACGCGAGUUUCUGCCCAUUACGAAACGUAUUUCUGGCGGGGUGCUCCGGUAGCUAGCAGCGUCCGGCUGUGUGGUUAUGGUUGUGUCUUGUAGCUGCGAGCGCAAAUGAUGAAGAAGGCACUCGAAGGUUGUAAACUUUUAUUUUUAGUUAAUUCCAGUCUUUCUUACCUCAAAAACAAAAAAUUUUUUUUUUUAUUUGGAUGAAGAAGGCCGGUUCUGGUUGGGUAGGCCAACUGUGUGUGUGACGACUGAGACAGACAUGAAAUAUGAAAGCAGGAAGCUGGUUGUAUAUUUGUUUGGUCCUCCUCCACUCAAUUCAUUAUUGAGCUGCGGUAGAGCAGAGGGCAAAACAGGACAAAGGCUACAGUAGCUAAUUCUUGUGACUAAAAUUCAACUUUCCACGUUAGACUGUCUUAAUACUAUUAGUUAGGGAUAAUUUUAGAAAUCUCCCCCAAGGUUUCUAAAUAUUUCACCGGUCUCCCUUCAAGUUUCAAAAUUUACACUUAUAUCUCUUAAAGUUAAUUAUCUUACUUAUAACAUUUAGACUCGAUCAGUAAUUAAGAAGUCAUAUUAAGAGAAGGAAGAUAACAUGAUUUCACCACUGCUCCUCAUCUACUACAUUAUUUAGUUAAAUUAAUACCAAUCUACACAUUAAAGAAAAAUAUUAAAAUUUAUUGCCUAUCACCAAGGGUUAAAUCACAUAUAAUAUCAAAAAAUAGUACAUCAUCCUACAUUUUUCACUUAGUAUAAGAUCCAAAUUACUAUUUUCAAUUAGAAACCCAUCGUCAAAUAUGAUCAACAAUAAAUAAUAAAAAAAAUAUGCAACCUAAACAUCACAGAGAGUGAAUUUUAACAUCAUAAAUAUAUUUGUCAACAUAUUAAAGUUAGUUGUUGACAAAUAUAUUAAUGAUGUUAAUAUUCACUCUCUGUAAUGUUUAGGUUGCAUAUUUUUCCGACUAUUUAUUGUUGAUCAUGUUUGACGAUGCAUCAGUAACUAAAAAGAGUAACUUGAAUAUUUCAUUAAGUGAAAUAUAGAUGAUAUACCAUUUUUUAUGCUAUAUGUAAUUUGAUCCCCGAUGAUAAAUAGCAAAUUUGAGUAAUUUUUUUUAAUGUGUGGAUUAGUAUUAGAUUCAUUAAAUAAUGUGAUAGAUGAGAGACAACGGUGAAAUCAUGCUAUCUUCUCUUUCUAAAUAUCACUUUUUAAUUGUUAGUUGGACCUAAAUAUUAUAAGAUAAUAGAUUUUAAGGGAGGUUAAUGUAAUUUUUAAAAUCUAAAAGGAGGCCUAUAAAAUAGAGACGUGUGUGUUGUGUGUAUCCCUACAUGGUCAACACCCAUUUCCAUCAUCUUAGAUUUGUACCGCUGCCAGUGCUGCUACUUGAGUGUCAGCAAGGACUAAUAAUGCUAACCUCAGAGAGAUUUCUACCAAAGCUAAAUGCCUAUCACAGGUAGCAGGUAUUGACCAUUGCUACCUAAGCGAUCACCUAACCAUGAGGACGAGAGGACUAUAAUAUGUUACAGGCGGUGGACAUUGGCCAUUGCUUCCUAAGCGUUAAAAAAUAAAAAAACGUGAUAUAGUAGUAUUGUUUAUGUAGCAGCGGUUCGUGGUUUCAGUGGGUGACUAACCAGCCUGCAUAUGGUUGGUCCCCAACCCCCACCGCCGGAGUAAAAUUUAAGUGAAACAGAUGAGAAACAAUAGGAUCUCCAUCAAGCUUUGACCAACUUAUCUAUCUUGGCAAAGUUUUUGGGCUAAAAUAACAGUUAGUAUAAACAUUUGGUGUCAUUCUUUCUUUUCUAUAUGGAGAAGAAACAUGAUCUCUACUCAAACAUGAAAGUUACUUUCGCUAAGAAAAAUAACGUGUCACUUAAAAAGAAAAAAUAUAUAUAUAUAUAUAUAUAUAUAUUAAAAGGAAAGAACCUAGAGGGACCGUGCAUGUUUCCAGAGUUUAAAUUGGUACCAUAGAAUGGUUGAACGCCUGGAAACCCCACUUGCACGAAAAAUUGUAGUGCGUCCUUUUCAUUCACGAGAUUUUUUCCUUUUCUUUUUAUUUUUUGUUUUUUUGUUUUUUGUUUUUGUUUUUUAGGACCAAGCCAAGGCAUUCAACACCCUUUCCACAUCAUCUUCUCAAUAUAAUUUACGGAAUUUGAAAGGUUUGAAGCCCUUUUUCCCAGUGCACUUGCUGACUUAUGUGCUUUCUGUUUGUUUGCUGGACUUAUAUUUGCUUUAUGUUGUGAAACUAAUAAAAUGAGGAUUAAUUUUUCCUACACUGUCAGUCAGUGUUGGAUGAAUGACAAUUAUAUAAAAUUUAAAUUUAAAAUUCAAUUUUCACACACACACACAUAUAUAUAUAUAUCAUGGAUCUAACAGUAAUAGUGUAUUCACUGUUAGUGCACGUGAGAUUUAUUCAUAAUAUAAACUAUUAAAAGCAGAGAAUAAAGGAAGUAGAAUAGAGGCAAGGAAAUAGUGAUAAUGGUUUCAAAGGUUAUAAAUGAGGUUUAUAUUCCCUCUCCUUGUAAGCACUACAAGAUUAAAGGUACAUGAACUCUAUUUAAGAUCCAUAAAUAAAUUUAAUACGUCAAACAUAUGAAUUAAAUAAUUCUAUAAUGAACUAACGUAACUACAAAAAAAAAAAAAAAAUGCCUCAAUAAACCUUGUAGGAAAAUGAAUAUUCCAAUGUAUAUAUAUCGAGAAGAUAAAUGAACAUCCACACUCAUCUCUUUAUUAAUUGCAUAACACUUUAUGGGGAAAAAAAAGUAAGAAAGAUGAUAAUCGAAUUAUAUUAACUUUAGUUGGUGUGUUCAUUAAAAGUAUUAUAGAAUUGCAUAACUAGAGCGUUUGAGCAUAUUGGUGAGAAGUGAGAGAUUAAAAAGAGGUUCCCCUUCCCCUUUCAAUAAUGUCUGACAAAAACUUACGUGGCCUUAAAUGCACACCCAAAAUUAUUUGCCGAGAAGAUCAGUAGUAUUGAUUGCUCCGGAGAGAAAAUCAUGUAGAGUUGUAAUUUGCAUUUUGCAUCGUAAUACUUCACAGUUUUCAAGAAAACAACUUUACAUGUGUUUUCAUUUGUGUUUAUUGUAUGCAAGUCGGGUGUACCUCAUUUACUAGUAUCUACCUAUUCUUGAUCAAAGAUUUCAACUAAUUUUGGAUGGAUAAUUUUUUUUUUUUUUUUCGAUAUGGCUGCGGUUUGCUUUUGCAUUUUGAUGCUGAUUUUUUUGGAUAGCCAACCAAAAAAGAGUUAAAUUUCGAAUCCAUACAAGAUUAGCUUUGAGCUUGACCUUUCUUAUAAUUGCUUACUUUUUAUAGUCAAACUUUGGCAAAAUUCUUAUGAAGCCAUAAAAGCAGGCAGACAUGAUGAGCAACUUUGUAAGAUCUUGGGUCGAAAUCGGCAAGGCCCAGGUUUAAGCCCGACGAGAGGCGAAUUCCUAUUUCUGGAGAAGCAAGAAAUAGAAAUCGUCCUGGGCCACAUGUUUAAGAUCAUGUCGGUGCCUAAAGUGUAAGAAUCUACACCUCUGACUAGCACGCAAGCAGGGCCAGCAAACGAAGUUGAGGAAGAGCAGCCCCGAAAGCAGAAGAAAUGUGGGCUGCUCCACCAACAUCUUUCACCCACAAUAAUUCCCUCUCCACCGCCACCCCUGUCGAUGUCAGACUACCACCCCAGAGGUGCCGUGUUUCAUUUGCUUUCUCCCGGUGGCCUGAAAAUUGCUGCCGCGAUACGCAUGUUAACGUAGAGCGCAGGCAGAAUAAUGUUGGUGUUGGGGGCCAGGUCGCCGUCCUCACUGCCUUCAAAUCCAAGGUACAGCAGCAACAAAAACUGAAGCCCCCCUCCUCCUCUUCCUCCUCCUCCUCGCCUGGAGUAAGAGUGAAAGGGCCUAGUAGUAAUAAAAAACAAGGAAACCAGCAAGACAGAGCUGCCAAGCAAGAGGCAAAAAGGGGAGGCGGUGAAGACAGGAGGCAGUUGAGUGGCUCUGAUGUGUUGUGGGCAUUACAAAGAGCCACAGCUGAGAAAGCCAAGAAAUACCAGCAGCAGCGGCAGAAGAGAUACAAUGCAAACCAAGAAGAAGAAGAUGAGAUGAGGAGGGCCGUGGAGGUGGAUGAUGACCGCAGUAAUACUAAUGCUGGGCCUCGCUGGCUGUCCAUCCAAAGUGAUUGGGGGUUUCGGUUGGAAGCUCUGGAGAAGAGACUUGAAGAGCUUUUGCUUAUGGAUGUUUAGCGAAAUUCCAACUACACCUUUUUAGAGUUAUUAUGAGUUUCAGUUUGAGAGGCUCAAUUCCUUUGUGUAUUGUACAAACUCCUUUUAUUCUUCCACGUAAAAUGUAUGGCGUUCUUUCCCGGUUCCGCAUCUCUUCAAUAUCAAAGCUCCGUUCACGGGAAGAAGAAAUAUAUGAAUUCUCAAACGAGAACGACAUUCGUACAACACUUUCUUUUGGGGUUGUUCUAUAGAUCCAACAUCUUUAAACGAUCAGAUAAAAGCAAGAAAUGGAAGAUUAAUGUUUUAAAAGGCAUUCGCAUCCACAUUGUUUCUUCAAAAGAAGAAAUUGUUUUCGACACUCGAGAAGCUUGGGAGGUUGCUUGUACGAAGCCUACACUCUCGCCACACCAUGACCUUCGUUUUUAGUGUUCCCUUUUUUUUCCUUUCUUUGGAUCACAUGAUAGGGGAAAAAAAUAACAAAAAAAAAAAAACAAGCAAUGUGAAAAAUCAAGGGUAGGUCCUAACGCCAUCAACAGCCCGGGAUGAAUUACAGCCCCCCCUGCUAACCACGUUGCUGGCCAUUUCUUCUAAUCUGAUUCCCCCUCUUAUAUGCUCCGGAUAGCCAGUAAGACGAGCAGACUAAAUUUUAGGUGUAGCUAGGCAUAACUAACAAUCUGAGUCCAGUACAUCACAUCAAUGGUCUCCUAGUAUGGCCGAUACCGCCUGUUGCGCCCAGUGUCAUCACUGCUGGCACUUGUUCCUCCUCGGCCAGCGCCAUUGCCCCUAUCAUUCCUACGAGGUCGGACUGGCGGCAUCUGUAUGCCGGGCUGCUGACUGCUAAAACCAAAACCAGUCAGAAUCUCACCUCCAAAGCCAAAACCACAGUGGAAGGGAAGGGCAACUUACAGAACAUAGCCAAUUUGCCCAUCUGGGAGAACCAUUGGCACCAUCUGCAUCCCUGCCGGCAUUGGACCCCUGCCAUAUAUCAUAGGCUGCUGAAAAGUGAAAAAAAAAAAAAAAAACCAUGAAAUAAGCAACUUUCUAGCAAAGCACACAUUAUUCAGUUCAUAGGCUACUAAAGUCUGGAUUAGAAGUACCUGCUGAAAUCCAGCCACCGCACCGUAUCCAGGAGCUACUUGGCCAAAUGGAUUCAUGGGAAAACCACCAUACCCAGAAGGAGGGAUAAAAUUAGGAAGAGGUGCAGAACUGGGAGAAUGAUGAGCCACAUCAAACUUCUUUUCGCUCUGAGGCUUUGCAAGGACCACUUCCAAUACUUGGCCUGAUUCCCACAAAACUUACUAUAAUUAGCCAAACUGAGGAAAGAAACGAGACCAACUCUCAAGGGCUCAAGCCCAGACUGAAUAGCAUUUGAUACUUGCAUAUUUCAGGUUCAUCUAAUUUCUUCAGCAGCAUGUCAACAAAGAGGAAAAAAUGACAUCAUCCUGACUCAAACUCCAUGCGCAGAAACAUGCACACCGACAUACACUAAAUGAAACAAGAAUUAGCAGUCAACAGUUCUGCCAAAGUUGGUGUCGGUGUUUUAGUUUGCCUUGAAUAGAAAAUCGAGAUCAGAGGAGAUCUAUCACCUACUGUUUCUAAAUAUAAAUCGCAUUUUAACUGAAGCUAAAAGAAGAAAAGAGGUUGAAAAGGACCAUACUAAGCCGGACAUGAGAUACACAUAUUCAGAUACCUAAUUCAUCACACAAAAUUAUGCUUCUAGAAACAUGACCAGAUCUUUCAACAGUCUCGUUUACAGUGGUUAGAAAUGUAACAAAGUGAUGUUUGGACUUUGAAUAGGUGCAGACAGAAGACUUAGUGAAUGACAAGGAAAUAAGAAGGCUGAGCAACGUAUGGCAUAUGCUAAUCCGAGACAAGUGAGAAGCACAAAAUUGACUGUUAAGCAUACUAUGGUUUUGUUCAAGCAAAUCAAUCUAAUUGGCAUUUCAUAAAUCCAUCAAAACUGUCAACCUAGAGCCAAGUACAUCCACCAUUAACCCUUCACCUAAAAAGGUUCAUUGGUCAUCUCUAUACAUGUACAAACCUUCAAUAUUACCCCCAAAAUUGCUUAUUAUAUGCUCGUAACUUUUUGAAAUUAUAAUUUAUCCGACUCAAAGUAGACCCAGAAAGUACCAUUAAUAUCAUAUUUUUCUGUUUCUUUGAUUGCCUUCAAAGCACUUGACCUCUCUGCAUAAUGGACAAAGCCAAAAUCCCGUUUGCCUCCACUUUUGGCAGGCGGCAUAAUGACUUUAGUGACUUCCCCAUGCUGCUGGAACAGUUCCUUCAACUGUUCAAUAGAGGUGUUCUCAGGUAUGUUCUUCACAUAAAGAGCCUUGACCUGUAACACGCUUAUGUGUGUUAAGCCAGAAAUCCAGUAUCACAAAAGCUUCAAAAGUGAAAAGGAAUGAUAUGAUUCAACUAUCAUUGUAAAAUUCUUGAUUCACUUAUUUUCGAUGAGAUAGAAAAUUUAUCUUUAACAUUAACAGAUAUAACAUGUAUAAUAACCUUUAGCUAGAGGAUACUAGCAGUCAAGUUAUCCCAAAAAGUAAAACCUUUGAAGAAUUUAAAAAACAAGAAUACAUUAAUGGGAGGUUGAGUGAAGCGCAGCAAGUCAUUCCGGCAACACUGAUGAAGACAUUGCAAGCAAUUCCAUCACAUGAAUUGUCCAACACAGUGCUAAAAUUUUUUCCCCAUUUUUAAAACAGAAUUGAAAGAUGUCCUGAGUAUGUAACUGCAUCAGGGGAUGAUGCUUAAAGUAAAGAAAAAUUAAGUUUUGAUACUAAGAUGACUGCUUAGUCUACAUCACUGCAAACUGCUCCUUUUACACCAGAAUAAACAAACUAUGAAAAACAAGUGUUGUUGCUCAUAAACUCCAUGUCAACUUUUUUUUUUUUAGUCUAAGUGACAGUUCAUACUGAAGUCCAGCAAUUGAUAUUCUCUGAGUCAAACCAUAGAUAAGAUAUACCACUACUGAACUUCUAAAUUCUUGAAUCAUCUUUCCACCCCAUCAUGAUAUUCCGCCUUUGCAUGCUAAAGUUCCACAAGAUGUUAUUGAUGAAGAGUUUUACAUCAGUUCAUAUGUAGGAUUUUCUGGUUAUUUAUCUUCUGAACCCCCUCCGAAAAUAACAAGGUGGCAGCACCAAUUUAUAAACCAACUUUGCUGCCCUCUCUUUAUGACAGUUCCUCAAAGAACUUCAUUAUGACUUUCUAAAAGCAGUCAGACCCAACUAAGGAUGCAAAGAAACAAUGGUGGUUGUCAACCAAUAGUUGAAAGGGACACACCUUGCCCAUGUAAUUAAUGUUCAAGUCAAUUAAUGCCUGUCCAAACAACAAUAGUCCUAAGCCACUAUAUGUGCAAUACAAAUUCUUUAGCAAUACCCAUCAGCUGCUUAUGAAAAGGUAUUGAAUUAACACUGAAUCUAAGAAUUAAGUUGCUAAAAUGGUGAAUGCCCUAAAUAUUGGCUUCAAGACAACAUAGAUACUGCAUCUGACGUGGGAGACGCAUGUAUUAGAAUUAUAAAAUAUAUCGGUGAGACACAAAAUCAAGAACUUUGCGUACUUUUAAUACAGGGCUAAUAUCAUAUCAAAUUGUGAGUUCAUCCAAAAUAUCUACUUCUAGAGCAUGUUGAGUGAAUGAAAUCUUAUGGAAGUUCAUCAUCUACACGCCAAAGGCUGCUCUAAACCUUCUAUAAGCUUCAAGUUAACAUCUUCAAUAUGCGGACAUACUGGUAAAAGAUCAGACUGCAAAGAAAAUUCAAUAAAAGGAGGGAAAAAACUUUCACAUCUUAAAAAUCAACCAUUUGCAUGAAUUUGGGACAAUACCUGAGCAGCAGCAGCUGAAUGAUCAGGUGUGAUCUUUGGAUCAGCCCAGGUGACAGUUGGGGUAUUGCCCUCUAGCUUAAAACUAGUAUUAGACAAUUUUUGCCUUGAAUAAUCAGCACAGGCAUUAUUGUAAUAUUCAACAAAAGCAAACCCACGAUUACGAUUUGGAUUAUGUGGAUCCUGUAUAUUGAGAUUAUCACCAGUGAGACCAGCUUCAAGUUGAAUGCUGAAUAGUGAAAGACUUAAACCUAUAACAGUAUUCAACUCUGGAUAUUUAAGGGGAGAAGAGAAAAACCUUUAUAAGCUCAAUCGUUUCGGCUCCAGGACCAGUGUCAUCAAUGACUUUUCUGAAGUCAUUAUCAGUCAAAACCUUAGGGAUGUUGCCAAUGAACAAUCGGUAUUUUGUUUCUGACAGUGAACACCUUAAGGUUCUUCCCUAUACUCGUGGAACACAGAAGAAGGUACAAAUUAGAAGAAUAUUUCAAAAUAAACUAGAUAGGUCUACUCAAAACACAUAAAAUUCGACGAGAAAUACUGCCAAGAAAAUAAAAAAGCUAGAUAGAUUCUGCAAAAGUUACCUUGAACUCUUUGUUAUGUAGUACUUCAAUGGCCUUUUGAGCAACAUCUUUUGUUUUGAAUGCCACAAAAGCAAAACCCUUGCUUUCACCAGUAUCCCUAUUUUUCAUUACUCUUAUCUGCAAAGGACAAAAACGAUCAAAAUUAGACAAUUACAUUUGGACCACAACCAUACAUAGCUAUAGAAUUUCUUCACAGCCUUGGAACUGACCUCAAAAAUUUCACCAAUGGAUUCACAAAGAUUCUUGAGGUCAAUUUCGGAAACAUCUCUGGGAAGUCCACCAAUAAAUACUUCAGAACCAUGAGGAGGAAGGCCAAGAAGUUCAGCAUGUUCAUCAUUCUCUACCACAUCAUUGGAGGAAUUCGGGUUUCCCACGUUUUCUGCAAGUUCAGCACCAAGGUCGUUCCUGACGCCUUCGAAUACCUGCUCUUUCCCAGAAUCCCCAGGUUGCAAGUCCUCAUGUUGUUCAUCUUGGUCUUCGCCAAUUUCUUCAGCCCCCUCUCCUGCACCUUCAUCUUCCAUCUGUUCCUCAACAUCAUCUUCUUCUUCAAUAUAGUUGUCAUCAUCAAAAUCCACUCGAUCAUCAAUUUCAGCAUUCUCAGCCAUGGCUACAAUAUGUUACAGAUCUUGUCAUUCAACACUCGUGUCCACCAAAAUCGCUGCCAGCAAAAAAUCUUGCCAGCGAGAAUCAGGUAAAGUGGUACUAUGAUCUAUCAGAGUAGAUAACGUCUAUAUGACAGCAUGGAAAGUUUCACACACAAUUAGACACAGAGAUCAUUAAAAGCUAAUUCUGUCAGGGAUAACGCAAUUAGAGUUACCUGGUCAAGCAAAACGCAAAGUUUUAGUAAAAGAUGACAAAUAGGAUGUAGUUGAUUAAAAUGCAAGCAAAAGUAGAAUAACUGGACAACGGAAAGAAAGGGGUAAUUAACAAAAGGCAGUAAACUAAAAUCCAGCAGAGACAAUCCCAAACUCUUUCAAGUUCGAAUUCCCCAUCUUUUCGUUUUGAAAAGAGAAAUAGACAACAUUAAUACUAGUUAGUCGCAAAGGGAAUGCUCGAGCAGAUUUAGAAGGUCAGUUGCUCUAAGAGCUUUGCAACAAAUCUAAGUUAUAUGAUCUGUUAUCUUUUUGACAAAAAAUAUGAAAAAAAAAACUAGUCGGAAUGGAAGCCGACCGCUGCUAGGAACAGUGGCAUGAAAUUUCAAGUAAAGUUUCACCAAGAUAGGCAAAAGUACGACAGUGCAAGGACAUCGCAAAGAGCAUAGAAUGACAGAAAAUUGGCAAAUAGUGAAAAGAGGAGAAGCAAACAAUACCGAACCCCUAGAUUUGGGUUGGACAUGGACAAUAACUUUCCCGGAAUGAUAAGCAGUUAAGGGGAAACAGAAAAGUAUGUAAAAGGAAGGCAGGUGUGGAAUUGGAUGCAAAAUAAAUAACCUCACAUGUGAUGCAGAAGAGCAGAUGUAAAGGCAAAUGAAUGGAAGUAAAACACAGAAUUGAGCAGAGUGGUACGAAUAUGAACAUAUUAAAAUGCCGGUGCAGAGGGAGUAAUAAGGAUUAAAAAAGCUAAAAUAAAUAAAUAAAUAAAUGCAAAAUAAAGGGAUACCUCAAAAACAGAAAAAUUCAAAGGCUCAUGGUGGAAGUUCAGGUUGGGAUAAGCAAAGAUAAAAGAAAAAGGGCCACAUGUAGUAGUAGCAGAGCUUGAGAGAGCAAUAUACACACAUAUAAGAUAUGUAUAGAAGAAGACAUGACCGAGACUUUGCAAAACCCAAAAGAGAUAGAAGAGAUAGCAGUAAAUCUUUGCCUUCUUUUGAUUUCUCUUUCUUCCUGAAUUUGUUUUGUUAAGGGGAAAAGUAUCGAUUUUUUUUCUUUUUUUUUUUUUGGGGGGAGGGGGAGGGGGGGGUUUCAAAAUGAAAUUGGGGCUGACUUUCUACUAAUUUAUUUUUCUCUGCAUCUGGGGGGAGUUGUAUUGUUGAUGGUGGAUGUGGAGGGAUUUGAGGGAAGAAGGGAGAGCUAAAUACCUGAAACAAGAAAGAUAGUAGUAAUAUUGAGAGAGAGAGAGAGAAGAGACGCAACAAGCCGCGCAGACGGGACUACUUAUUAAGGAACCGAACCACUCUCUUCUCUCUCUCUCUCCCUCGAAACACCACGACGACAGUUAAACCAAAUUAAAAGAAAAAAAAAAAAUUGUUUAGAGUGGCCCUAAUUUGGCCCCCUAACUUGUAACUCUUUCCUUCCGAGUCGGACACAGUUUGACAACCCGCUACUCACCAGCCAUUUAAUCUCUUCUUUUUCUUAUUGUACACUACACAACAAUUCAGCAGCAGCCGGGUGUACGACGGAUAAUCGGACUGAAUUUCAACCAGAACUGUGCACUGCAACUUAAAUCCUUUAGUGUACAGAAUACAGAUAGAUAUUUAUACGCUUUUUGUGCAAAUUAAAUACCAACAAAAUAAAUAAACCUUAAUCCUUCAAUCUUUUCUCUGUUCAACAGACAUAUAUAUAUAUAUAUAUAUAUAUAUAUGUCAAUCAUCUUCCUCCUAACUGUCUAAUAAUACAUUCUGGAACCAAAGUAACAUUUUAAAUUUAUACGCCACUACCCAAGUACAAAUGUCUUUUGCCUGUCCGCCACAUAGUCUGGCCCAACCGAAACAUCGUGUUUUCCUACCCAUCAGCUUCCUAAUCGAAUUGGCAAGUCAGCACGAAACGAAUCCUAUCGGGACAAGUGAUAUUCCGAGCUCACGCUCCAAAUAUCCACCAAAACUGGGCUAGAGAAGGCUGAAAAGGGCCGGGGGGAGAUUCCCACCACUGCUGCAUGGUGCAUGCCUAUUUGAUUUAACUUCACCUCCAACAGCCAGAAUGCAUUUUUUAUUUAGCUUUGAAAGUAAGUUUUGCAUUAAAACAAAAAAAAAAAAAUCAUUAUCACCUGUUGUUCAAUUUUUUGUUAUCAAACGCGUCUGAAUACGUUACGAUCUAAAUCCAUUAUGUUUGAGUUUGAAAUAUUGAAUUGAUUUAUCAAACCGAACUUAAGUGAGAAUGUCCUCAAUCCAAAUUCCACGAGAUUUCUGUUAGAUCCUUUUCAUUAUUGUUCUAGAAGCCCAAAGUUUUGAAGGUAAGAUUUUGGGAUUAAUUUGUCUUACACUGAUAGAUAGUGCAUAGCGUUGGAUGAAUGACAAUUAUGCAAAAAUUGAAUUUGAAAUUCAACUUUUGUACACAUGUUAUGAAUCCAACAGUGAUAGUGUACAGAGAAAAUUUAUUCAAACUUUAAACAUUGAAAGAUGUAUAAUGUGAGUAGCAGGGUGUGCAUCGUUUUGAAAGUAAGGAAGAACUCGGUUAAAAUGUGCAUGAGUUUUCGGAAGAGAAUUUAACCCCUCUACGUAGCAAGAGUUCCCUUCCUAUCAUCAUCUAAAUUUUUUGGCCAACUCUUAUGGCACAAUUACAAUUGAACACUUCAAAGCCUGCAGAAUCUAGUUUUCUUGCAAGGUAAUCUGCAGCUCCAUUAGAUUACAAUUGAACACAAGUGGGGCUGCCUUACCUGUUUCUUUUAGCAGUUAGUCAUUGAGAGCCAAAUUGUAGCAUUCUACCCUAUGAUUUUGAUUCGUUACAUUCAGCAGUGGCUUUAACUAAGAAUCAUACUGGCAUUGCAGCACCGAAUCAUGCUAGUUGAAUGUGCAGAGAUCUUUCUCAGACAAAGCAAUCACUCAUUAGUUUAACAACAUCCACACAACUAAUGGGACGAAAAUUGAUUGUUGAAUUCGAUCGGUCCGUCGACAAUCACUCACUUGCAAACUCCCUCUUUUAUGAUAGUGUGUGCGUGUAUGUGUGUGUGUAUAUAUAUAUAUAUAUAUAUAUGUAGCAUUAUCCAAAUAAUCAAUAAUAACAAAAUAAAAAACAUUGGGCCGACCUUAUAGGUCGUGUUCCCCACAGGACUCUUUCCCUUAUAAAAAAAAAAAUCAAUUUAUAGGAAAUCUAAAAUUGAAGGACGCGAAGUAAAUGAAUCAAAAGCUGACGAGCAAAGAGGGGACAUAAAUAUAACUGGAACUAAGCAAAAAAUACGCAGUCAAAUUGGAGUUGAAGAAGCAAAUAGUACAGAUUACGAGGGCCCUCCAAAUCUAAUGCUCGAUCGAAGCUUUUCUCUUCUUCCCCUUCAAUGCUCAAUCACCUCAACCACCUUCUCAAGUCGCCGGUCGAAGAUGGUGAAAUCUCCCCUGCUGUCAGACUCUCGGUGUAGCAAGAUGAAUAGUUAGACUGCUGUUCAAACCCCAGAUGCACUCCACAAGCACUCUUAAAGCUUGGGCUUCUCAUAUAAUCUCCGUAGCCUGUGCCUGCACCAUAUGGGUCUGGGACAGGAAACGACAACCUCUUCUUAACCGAGCCGGCCCUUUCCCUCUCUGGAGUGGCGGGCCUCUGUCGCGGUGCACUCUGAGAGCGGAUUCUAGCUUUAGCAGAUUCUGUUGCGGCCAUGUAAUUAGGCACCGCACUGGUCAUGCCUCUGGAUUGUUGGUGCAGGCCACCACCGCUGUAAUGGUGGUAAUUAGACCUCAGUGUUGGGGUUUGAGCAGUAUGGCCGCAUCUUUCUUCCACUGCAGCAUAUCUAGGACUGGCGGACCGGACCUGGAGAGGCCUUGUUUUGGACGGAGAAGGUGUGACAGGAGAGUGGAGAGAUUGCGCUUGUUGGGACGACCUAUGAAGAGGUGAGCCAGGCCUUUGAUGUUGGCUCGGCCUGCGGGAAUUGGAAGCAGUAUCAAUUUCAACAGUUCUAACAGAGUCCCUUUGAUCGGUGGAUGCCCUCCCCCUGCUGCUCUCCCACGGCUUUGCGGCCAUCCAUCUAUCCAGCCGUUGGUGAUUUUCCCUAAUAAGCUCAUUCUCGCUGCCGAAAGAUGAAUUCCUUCCUGCUCUCCACAUCUGUUGGUGCGCAAAACAUAUACAUUUAGGCUAUUAAUAAUAAAUACUAGUCUAAUAUUGAAACAAAAUUUGUCCAAAUUAAAAGGAGGAAGAAGAACAUAUGCUACUAUUAUACUAUAGAGGAAGAGGAAGAACCUGCUGAGAGAAGGCAUGAGAUAAGGUUCUCUCCCGCUUUAAAGCAGCUUCUUUCCUAUCUUGCAACAUCGCUUUGACCUCCUCAAUGGUUAUAGUGUGUGGCCGAUCAUCCCAAUCAUCGGGAAUGCUACUGCCAUCUCUCGACUAAUCAAAUGGACGAGCGUCACAAAACACAUUAGGCAACUAACCCGAAAGCCUGAUCAGGUGAUACUGCAUUCAAACAGCAGCCCCUUACCAUAGAUUUUCGAUCAGAAAUGUCCUGUGGAUGGCGCGAGCUCCAGAUGCUGUUGGUGUCACUAAAUGUAGUCGAUCUUCUGCUUCCAUCACUAGAUUGCCUUAUUCGUUGGUCAAGUACUCGAGCCUGCACUCGAACUAGGGCUUGCAUGCAUCUGAGGGUCAUCUUGGCUUGCUUCCGGACAUUGUGACCCCUUACUAAUGCUUGCAAUCUUACCAGACCUUUGAGCGCACGAAAAGCUCUCCUUGCCUUCAAAUAAAAAAAUCACAAAGUGACCCUCUCCCUCACCCUUAGCUAUGCUAACUUAGCAGAAUGAUUGAAAGAGACGAGACGAGGAGAUAUGAUUGGUUAAGGAAACUCCAGAAAAUAAUAUCAGUCGAAACGGGACCUAAGUAUGCAAUUUUCAACCAGUUUCCGAGAAUUAGCAGAGUCUUAAAAUGGGAAUUACAUACACCGGGACUCGACCUGGUUGCUUCUAUCCAAUUUCAGUUCUCUUUUUUUCUUUAGCCCAGGAAAUAAUUAAGCAGGGUUUAACCUCAAAAGAAGACCUUGAAUACAUUAAUUGUCAUUAUCAACCAACCAAAUAAUAGAGGUCUGAUGAGUAAAUCACAAUUACUAAUUGCUGCUGAUAUUAUUGUUCUGCGAGACAGUCACAAACCUUCUGCAUUUCCAUUUUCAUUUUGUUUAGGCCCCACGUAAGGUGUAGUAGGCAGUAGCAGUAGUACUCAUUUAAAGAAAGGAAAACGUUCGGGUGAGAUCCGCAACUAAUUCAAUAAAACUACGAAGAAGUAUCCCAGGUCAAGCAGAGACGAGAUCUGUAAACCCACUCACCAGGUACCCUCUGAAAGCUCUUUGAAUAAGAGUAGCAGCAUGAUGCUCCCUCGCAUAAUUUGAAGGUGGUGGCCUGGCAAGCCUGGCAACUUCUGCUGCUGCCUGGGCUGUGGCCGCUGCGGCCUUGGCAGCAGCUGCGGUCGCCACUGCCACAGCAAUGGCAUGCCUUUGUUCCGCAGCAGCUGCUUGAGCAGUCAUGGAUCCAGAUGCUGCGGCGAUAUCCACUGCAUUUGGUGGUUUAAGCGCGGGCAUUUGUUGGGUCAAACCUUCGUGGUUGGUCGGCUUCCGGAAGAGCCAUCUUCGUUUCCCCCUUCUCUGCAUACGCCAAUUCAGAAUGAACAAAAGAAAUGAUUGUCCACACAUAAAAACAUGUAUCUAGUGAAAAUUACUGUACUAGAUUGAGCAGUAGGACUACAAAAAAAAAAAAAAAAAGGAAAAAUGGCACGGAGGAUCCCAGGGGCGGUGGGUGCACCUUUUCUUCUUCCUCCUCCGGUUCAUCUUCGUUGUCACCAUCUUUCCUUCUGCAAUUCUUUUUCUCACUAUCUUUACUGGGAGAUCUAAAUGCCCUUUUGACAGCGGUCAACCAAGAGGAUCCUACUUUUUUCCCCAUGCAGCAUACAAUGUACUUUUGCUUGCAGCAUUUAAGUCAGUCGAACACUUGCUAAUGCUAAUAGUCUCGGAAGUAAGCUAACACCUCCAUGACUGACCGCAUAAGCAACCAAAUAUAUUAAUUGUUGAACCAGAAUGUGAGAGAGCGUGCGUUGAGACGGAGUGCGCUGGGAUUUGGAUGAGGUGUUUUGAUAUAAAAAGAAAACAAAAAUGGAAUGAUGGAAUUUUUUUUUUCCUUUUAGUCUUGGGGAAAAUGAGGACAGCGGGGAGGGGGUUGUCACUUGUCAGAGGGCAGAUACCAGAGCAGACAGGAGGUGGGGAGGAGGAGGGGUCCGGGUGCGGUGUUCAGCAGCUUUGAAAGCAAAAUAAUUAGCACUAAUAACUAGGAAAAGGCGGGGGCGCAUCAUGCACGAAGAACACUGAAGACUAGUUCUGUACUGUGUCCUGCAAGUGAUAUGAUUAUGAAUGAGAGUGCACGCACAUUGAAAGCUGCGGUGAGUGAGUUCCCUAACUUUUUUUUUUUUUUUUUUAUCAUCGACAGGAGAGAAACCAAUGCACGUUGAGAAAUGCAGUAGCACUUGCCACUUGCUGCACACUGCACACCAACCAAAACUGUCUUUAAUGGCCUCCGUGAACGCCUUUGUCUUUGCCUCACGCUUUCCUCACUUUCCCCUCAAAUUUUAGUCCUCAUCAGUCACGACGGCCGGAUGGCUUCACGUGAAGAGUAAAAUGUGGGCUUGACUGCUGACUGGAGACCACAGCAGAGCACCCAGGAGGAGUUGGCUCCUAUUUUAUUUUUUUUUACAAUAAAUGUUUAGAAAAUCGGAUAAGUCUUAUCGGUCGGGUUCGAUUGGUUGAACCAUAAAUCUGGCGUCCAUUCAGUUCGGUUUCAAAAUUCAAUAUGAAAAAUUGUUUGAACGAAAAUUGAUUGAACCGAAAAGAUAGAUGAAAAAUUAUCCAUUUCUGAAGGAAUAUGACCUGAAAUGUUAGACUGUGCUUUUAAAGUCGGAUAGGGAGUGAACGUACGUUAGUUUGGUCAGUCAUGGUUUAAUCAUUUUGCUUUGAUUAAAUGCAUUUUUUUUUAAACUGAGCAAUCAAUUUUAAUAAUGACUUGUUUCUUUCAAAUUUGAUCUUUUCUUUCAAAUUUUGUAAUAAUCAAUGUGUUCGUUAUCAUAACAUGAAUGCGCUUUUGACUGAUUUAUGGUUUAGUUAAAAACUAGAUUGAACAGAAGAGAGUUUAACAUUUAGCAUUAAUUGUUAUUUUACAUUUAACGAGCACUAAUCUAAUUAGUAGUGACGUGUUGGAUUGAGUAAUCCGAGCACCAGAACAAAGUUCACAAAUCUGGGAUUCGAAAAAUCUUGAGCUAUGAAUGGUAUGUUCGGCAGUGAAAGAACAAAGAAAAGAAAAACAUAUUUAUAGUCAGGACACUUGCCCUCAGAAUUCUAAUAAAUUCCGCAGGUCAUUGCACUUUUGCAAAUGAAUUACAGUUCUCUAUUUUGUUGCUGCAAUUCUUUUAUGGACCAGCUUAAAUUAAUGUCAGAGAUUUGACUUGGGGAGUAUUUAGAUAUUAGGAGGCUAACAUGAGACUAGAGGUGUCAAAAUGGGUGACUUGGGCGGGUUUGGGUUGGAUAAAAUGGGUAAUGGGUAUAAGUGAGUCAACUCAUUUAUACCCAUUUAAUUAGAUGGGUAUAAAUGGGUAAGUCAAAAAAUGAAUUGGGUAACCCAAUUACCCAUUUAUAACUCAUUUAUUUUAACUUUUUGCAAACUCAUUUAAAUUCAUUUUUGCAAACUAAGUUAUUAAUUUAUAUCACUCUUUGUACCCAUCAUUAGUUUUAAAUAUUUACUUAUAAUGUUCAAUAAACUUAAUUACCAAUUUUUUUCAUUUAUACUCUAUGUCACAAAAUUACCUAUUAUUUAAUAAUUGAAUAAUACGAAUAUACAAAUUUGAAUUAAGUACUAUAAAAAUUAAUAUAAAAACUUAAUCCAAAAAUUUUGAACCCCUAACAUUUUUUUCAUACAUAUAAAUUUAAAUUUUCAUUUUAUAAAGAUAAGAAAAUAGGCUAAAAUUUAUCAUAAAUUGGUAAUGCUAAAAAAUGAGCAAGUUAACAAACUAAGAAAAAAUAAAAUAAUAAGAUAAAACCAACAAAUAAUAAUAAUAAUAAUAAUAAUAAUAAUGUUAACACAAUGACAAAAUGAAAAAUUUGAAAAAAAAAAAGGUAGGGGAAAAGAAGAGACUUGGGGGAAGAGAAAUUUAAAUGGGUUAAUUGGGUUUGAUGGGUUACCCAAUAAUACCCUUUUAAUAAAUGGGUAUUAUUGGGUAACCCAUUUAUACCCAUAUACAAAAAUUUAAGAUACCCAUACCCAUCUAUUCAUGGGCGGGUAUGGGUAAAUAUAGUUAAUUGGGUUGAUUUGCCACCUCUACAUGAGACUGAGGUAUUCCUCUAUUUAUUUAUUAUAUUAUUGCUUUUAAAUUCUUAAUUGCUUGAAUUUAAGUUUUCUUAAUUUUGAAUUGGUGGAAGACAGUUAGUGAGGUUGGACUACUGGACUAGUUAAUGGACUUGUAAGCAUGUGAAGAAGCAAAAACAUUUUUCACUUGAUCAUCAGUCAUAAAGUCUCUAAUAAACAUUUCUGCAGAAGUAAAGUCUCUAUAAUCGCAUAGUAGAGUUAAGCUGUUAUUUACUUUUGGUAGAUGUCAUGAGAAGGUACAAUUCGGAUUGAGUAGAAAAAUUUGUUAUUUAAUAAUAUGUGCAUUGUGUAUAUCUAUAUUAAUGGUGUUAACUUUUCUCGUGACACAUGAAAUUUUCUUCUUACAUUUUUUUCUUUCACAGCAAAGGACAAUAUUGUACCAUACGUAUAUCUACAUUUAUUUACUUUUUUUUUCUCUCUCUCUCUAAGCUUCCAUGUUGAGGCUAUCCAUUUAAUGCCUCUGCUCUGGGGAGAAAUGCUCACCAUUUUCUGACCAUCCAGAUCCAAAAAUCGCCCAAAAAAAAAAAAUCGAUUUUAAGAUGACUUUUGGGGUUCGAUUUUGGGUUGGAUCGAAUUGAUAUUUUAGUUUGUUGGGCCUGUAUUGGGCAUACUACACAUAAUGAAAUUUUGUUUGUAGCUGACCAAAUGGUGGGAUGUCAAUGGAGCGAGACUAAUUGCUUAACCUGAUAAAGUCCGACGGGUCUAAUAUUUCAUUGAAUUGAGUUGAAAUUGAAUCCAAAUAUCAAGCACGAAUUAAAUGCGAGUCGAGUUUGAGCCUUAUUAGAUUAAAACCCUCUAUAUAGGUCAAAAUAUAUUAAUAUAUAUAAAAAAAAUUAAAUAUGCAAAAUUAUGUCAAAAGCUUUAGAAGGACAAAUCUUAGUACGAACAAAUUGAGAACCUUUUAACAUGUAUUAACUAUAUUGAUCAUGUUUUAUUACUACUAUUUUUCAAGUACUUUGGACUAAUUGGAUAUAUUAUUGUUGAAAAAUUCUUGGUUUAUAUAUUUUUAAUGAACAAUUGUUGGUUUGGAUAUACUUUUAAUGUUGUAGUCCUGUGGAUGUUAAAUUAAUUUUAGAAUUUAAUAGUUAUAGUAAUUAUAUUAAGGAAAUUAAGAACAACGAGUGAGUUUGGACUAAAGCCAAAUUAGGCUCAUAGUUCGAAUAUUUUGUGAGUCAAAUAUGAGUUUCAUAUUUAUCAAUCUGAAACUCAUAACUCGAAUCCCAAAAGUGGUACUAACUAUAUAUAAAUGGAGCCUUGACUUGUUAAAACCCAACUGAGAUGAUCUUCCAUAUUUUGCCAAAGAGGAAAGGAAAAAAAAAAUCUAUGUCGGGCACUGACAGACAAGAGGCAUGGGAUGCAAGAAACACCCCUUCUGAAGUUGAAGGGAUCUUGGAUUUCUUGAAAAUUAUCUUACAAAAACUUACAGGUAAUUUUAGGUUUAGGAUAUGUUAGGAUCCAAACGCGGAAUAAACAACUAUUGAGAUAUUAAAUGCACAACAAUUUAAUGGCAAAUAAGUCACAAGCAUGAAAGAUAAACGACACACAAUAUUUAACGUGGUUCGACUCCACCAUUGAGCCUACGUCCACGGAGAGAAACAUGUUAUUUAUUAUGAGAAGAAAACCCUAUACAAGAAUACAACUUGAACCCAAGCCCAACCCUUGUAUACCAUCUCUCAUCUCUCAAGAACCCUCUCUCACACCCCAUGUAUAAGCUACAUGAUGCCCCUUGUGUCUCAUUGUGUGUCUAUUGUGUAGUAUGCUAAUCCACGCCAAUUGAUAUUGUAACGUCUUGGGUUCAAUGGGCUAGCCCGAAUAAAUUUGAAUGGAAUUACGAAUUCAAAAUGGUUAAUUCAAAUUACUAAGUAGUCUAUGCUCCCAAGCACGGGCACAAUUCUGUUUUUCUCAUUCCACUCAAUGUGGGAGUUUUCUCAGGGUUUCAAAUUCACCUAUACUUAAGGACUUUGCAUCCUUUCAAAACCUGAUUUUAUUCAAAUUAUCCACUUAGUUAUGUACAUAUUAUAGAAAUGGUUCAUAUGGGUUCUAGAGGUAGCUCUUAUUUAACAUGGCAUUUAGUCUGGCAAGUUGUAGAAAUGGUCCUCGUUGAAGUGGCACUUAGCCUUGCACAAUAUUUAGCUCUUUGCAGUCCCUUGCAUAAUCAUAAAGAUAAGGGUAAAUUACAUUUUACCCCCCUGUGAUUUACUCUUUUUUUACAUAAUCCCCCUAUAGUUUCAAAAGCUAUACAUAACCCCCUCAUGAUUUGGAUUAAAGUGUCAAAGUAACGGAAAUAGUCACUCGUAACGGAACUUCUAAAAAUGUCGAAAUUACCCUUAUAAAUACAUGACACAUUAACCCUCUAUGAUUUUUAUAUUUUACCAUAUAACCCCCUUAUGAUUUUCAAAAUAUACACAUAACUCCAUUGGUUAAUACAUAAAUUUCAACCUUAAAUAAGGGUAUUUUUGACAUUUUAGGUGAUGCCGUUACGAGUGACUAUUUCCGUUACUUUGACACUUUAAUCCAAACCAUAAGGGGGGUUAUGUAUAGCUUUUGAAACCAUAGGGGGGUUAUGUGAAAAAACGCUAAACCACAAGGGGUAAAGUGGAAUUUGCCCUAAAGAUAACACUACUAAUUCCAAGCUCACCCUAUGCAAAGACCAUACGAGAUUUGUUCUGAUACUAACUAUUACUCCUCUAGAUCCAUAGGCUGGCUUGAAUAACUUUUAGAAAAACUAUGAGUUCAAAAUAAUUAACCCAAGUUACUAAGUAGCUCAUGGCCCCAAGUAUAUAUAUAUAUAUAUAUAUAUAUAUAUAUAUAUAUAAUUCCUUUCUUCUCAUCCCACUCAAUGUGGGAUUUUUUUUUUAGUCUUACAUUAAUUGUAACGUCCCCAUUCCAUAGGUUAGUUUGAGUAACUUUUGAGUGAAACUACAAGUUCAAAAUAGUUAACUCAAGUUACUAAAUAGUCCAUGCAUAUAUAUAAUUCUUUUCCUCUCAUCCUACCCUAUAUGAGACUCUUCUUAGGGUCUCACAUUCAUCCCAAUUUAAGGACUUUGCGAGAAUGCAAAGUUUGUUAUAUCGUGUGAGGAUUCUAAAGGUGGCUCAUACAGAUUUUAGAGGUAAUCCCUGUCGAAGUGGCACUUAACCCAAUGCGGCACUUAGCAUCUUGUACUCCCUUGUAUAGUUAAAACCAUAACAACACUAGUUCCAAACUUACCUCACAUAGAGACCAUACGAGAUUUCUUCGAUUCCAACUGUAGUGUUAGGGUAUACAAGCUGGCCCAAGUAACUUUCGAGUAGAACCACGAAUUUUAAAUGUUUAACCCAAGUUAUUAAAUAGUCCAUGAGUCCAAGCAUGUAUAUAAUUGAGUGAACAAUGAUAUUACUAGGGGUGUGCAUCGAAUUUGAAAUCGAUAAUUCGGAAGUUUGAAUUCGAAAUUUUUCGAAAUUUUGGUAUCUGAUAAUUCAACCGAAUUCGAUUUCGAAAUCACCAAUUCUGAAUUCGAAUUUGUACCGAAUUCAAUUUGGAAUUCGGUAGAAAAAUGUAUAUAUUAUUAUAUAAUAUAAAUUUUAUUAUAUAAUAUAAAAUUUAUAAUAUAAUAUAAUAUUAUAUUUUAUAAAUUUUAUAUUACAUGUAUAAAAAGUAUAUUUAUAUAUUAAAAAUGAAUUUUAAAUCGAAAUCGGAAUUCGAAUUCCGAUUUCGAAUUGUGAAUUUGAAAUCGGAAAUUCCGAUUUGAAAAACUCCAUUACUGAAUUCGAACCAAAUUCGAAAUAUAUGAAUUCGAAAAAUCCGAAUUCGAUUUCGAUUUUCGAUUUACCGAUUUCGAAAAUUCUGAAUUCAAUUCGAAUUCGGUUGGUAAAUCGAAAUUUUUCGAUUUUGCAAAUCCCUAGAUAUUACACACAUUCUCGGCCUGGGAUGAAUUGCGGAAGCUAGGAAGGGCACAGGCCUUGAACAGUUGUCUAAGAAAAUCGUUCAAACCGAUUUUGUGCAAAAUGCACAAAAUGCAAUUUUAUAUGCACACGGUGUAACUUACUUUUGAUAACAUGUAACUAUAAAACAAAAUUUUGUGAGCCCUACACAUAGUAUGAAAAAUGAUGCACAAGAUGCAAUUUGAACCUUACAUUUUUUUUUGGGGCUAAAUUUUAGCCAUGAACCUUCAUGAACAAUUGCAGUUCUUGCAACUGUUUUGAAUAUGGUAUUCCAGGACCAAAAAUAGGUGUGAAUGGGAUAGCCAAUUGGGCAAGAAGUUGAGACGAAGGGCCUGUUUGGGGUUACGGUAGUUUAUUGAAAUAACUUCUCCAAUGGAGCUUUUAAUAAAAGUACUUAUUAAGUGUUCAAGUGCUUUUAAAUAUAUUGUUUAGAGAUAUAAUUCAAUAAGUAUCUAUUGUAUUCGAUAAUGAGUGAUUUAAAAAUUUUUAAAGGUAUUUAUCUCUUUAUUUAGUUUAUAAUAUAGAAUAAAAUAAUUAAAUUUAAUGUCUUAUUUUUUAAAUCACAACAAUUACUCUAAAAGCAUCAAAUUUGAGUUUUUGCUAAAAGUGCCUUUAAUAUCAAAAUCUCUAUUCUUAAUUUUAUGGGAUGAUAUUUAUCAAAUAUUUUAAAAAUACUUUAACACCUAAAAAUACUUUUUUACCAAAAUCACAGCAACCUCAAUCGAGAUUUGAACGGGCUGGGACUGACAGAAAGUUCAACCUAUGGACAUUAUCCAUAAGUUUGUUAGCAUGAGUUCUCCUGUUGUCUUGCCAUGACUCGUGGGACUGUCCGCGAAGCCGGGAGAUGGACAAAAUAAGUUAAACUAUUGACAAAAAAAAAAAAAAGACAAAAUAAGUUAAACCGAAGAAAAACAAAGAACUGGAAGAUGGAAAAGGGACGAAGCCAGAGUGACUUCCAUAAACGUGGUCAAAUAGAUCGUCAGAGAAUUGACAAGAAGACAAGCACGCAAUACACAGCACACCAUAAUAGUCUAAUCUAAAGAAGAGUAAAUGGAAAAAGCGAACACGGCGCAAACGCUAAGGCAAUAACAAUUCCUAUAUAUACUGUACUCGUACACUUGUACAUACAAAUCCGGAUGCAUGCAUGUGAGACAUGGAAUGGGGGAGGUCCCAGCAAGCUAGCUAGCCAAGCAAUUAAGUAGAGAGGGGAGACAUGGUGAUUACUGAUCAAGAAACCAUGAUAGUACUCCAAGAUAACGCCAACCCAACCAAUUAAGCUAGCCAAUUAUAGUGUAUUAGUAUUAUCUUGACAUGAAGUUUCUUAUAAUAAAAUCACGGUGUACAAUUUUAUGGCACUGAUGGGUCAUCUUUAUUAUUAUUAACAAUGAUUAAAGCUUUUGACUAUUGGGGCGCAAGGCACAUGAUGAGGAGUACUCGUUUGUUUGGGGAUGAGUCCUGUUUGGUUUAGACCCGAACAUUGGGCAUGUGGCUAAAAGGAGGGUCAGCAGGGGCCAAAGACGAUCGCACGAAGCUCCACAAUUCGCAUUCAUCGUGAUGAUAAUCCCUCCUCUUGUUGUUGUUGCAGCUGUGGUUGUGGUGGUUGUUGAUGACGUCAGAGGAUGAAGCUGAUGAUGAUAAUGACCUAAUUAGUUGGUAGUGUAGUUGGAGAUCUUGGUCGGGUACGGGAGGGCCGCAGCACGGAGCUGCCACGGCCCUGGGAUCGGUUGGGUGAUCACCACCAUCAAAACAGGAAGACAAGUGCUUGGCUGUCUCGUUCUGGCCAUUAAGGUGCGUAGCCACCAGCCUAUCGAGGGCUGCCCAGUCGCUGAGGCCGGCUGCCGUUUCUGACGGUCGAUAAUUAGUACUAGUAGUGUUUACUGAGUGGAGAUGAUCGGCAGCGUUGACCACAUUCACUUGGCUCAUGAGUGCAAUACAGGGAUCAUGAGGAACGUCAUCAGCGUCAUCGCCACCUCUGCCGGGCAGUACUUGAAGGGAAGUGAUGGGUUGGUAACAAGCAUGAGUGCAAGCAGUCGUCGUCCUAGGCGAAGAUUUUGGGCUUUCUAGACCAGGAAGCUUCAUAAAUCUAUCACACAGCUGGCCAGUGCUUUUGGUGACUAUGUCAACUGGCAUCAUCGGAAACAUUGGUGUCGCGCUCUGGUUUGCUUGAUCUCGACCUCUUUCCUCCGCGCAUGUCCUUCCCAUGUACUCGAGUAUUUUUUCCAUAGAUCGUUCGUCGUCGUCAUCAUCACUGGAACCAAUUAGCCUUUGGCGGGGGCCUCUUGUGCAUUCUGCUGUUGUGACGAUUGAGCAAGUGGUGACAAAUGGAGUAGCGUGAUCCAGACUUUUAAUUAUAUGGUGAUUUUUCUUCUUGAAUAUUCGACAAACAACCCAACCCUCUUCCUGUGCUGCUGCUUCUCCCGCGGCAUUGCAAACCUUCAUCAGGAGGAGACCAGCAUUAUUAUUAAUUAAUGUAAAAAGAAAAAAAUAAUAAAAAAUGCUCCAAAUUCAGUGUUUUAACCAAUGACGGAUAAUUGAGAAGGAUAUUAAGAGUGUUCUUCUCCAGCUAGCUAGCAGAUAUCAGAGAGCAGAGUUGUCAGCUAGUUCUAGUUGUACUCACAUUCUCUACUUCAGCUGCGUUGUUGCUAGUACUGUUAUCGUCCAGUCUAUAUUCAUGCAUGAUCCAAUCAGACUUUUGGCCGUGAGGGGCACGACCUUUAUAGAAAACCAGCGUCUUUCUCAUGCCUAUGCGCCUAGAGUUACUGUAAAUGACCUUGUCCCGGCCUGUGGCUUUCCAGAACCCAGCAGCUGUUGCACGAUUUGUGCGUGUUCCAGUUGGGUAUUUCUUGUCUUUGUGGCUGAAGAAGUACCAAUCAUUUUGUGGGGUGGAUCCUAUUUUGCAUUUGUCUAACAAAUUAAUAAACAUCCAAUUGAUUAACAGAGUCAAUAACAUAUGUCAAUAAUAGGAGGGGGAAAAAAAUACGUGUGUCAUCAUUUACGAUUCGUUGAGAGUGUUACCAGACAGAAGGCUAAAUUUGAUUAACUAUGUAUCGCAUAUCUAUGCAUCAUCGACUACAUGUAUGGCCAGUUUGAUACUGCUCUUUUAUGAAGAUAUAACUGAAUGGAUCAUGAGACAGAUAUUUAGAGAAUAUGCACGGCAAGUAAUGGCUGCUUGGAAUUCACAGGUUAUUCUCUCUGUUAUAUAUAGAAACUAGAUAGCUUAUGUGUAGAUUUAUACCUUGAAUGUCCCAGGGCUCUAGCUUAUUGAGAUCAACAUCUCGAAUGACAUCCAGGUCAAUCUUCUCAUAUGCAACCUUCUUUCUCAGGUAGUAUUGCAAGAGUUCCUCUUCUGUAGGAUGAAACCUGAAUCCAGGAGGCACCUGGGAUUGCCCGUUCACAGAUAUCCUCAUGUUCUCGUCUGGCAAGCGCAAAAAAGUCAGUUCACAAUCUACUCAUAUGAUUAUACAGGCUCGAUUGGCAGUUGUUUUACUACCUAAGUUCCAGUAAAUUCACACUCCAGAAGUCGGAAAUCAAGGCAGUACUACUGAAAACAAUGCAUGGAUCGCGUUGAAAAGUAAAGUAGGGUAUAUAUAGAUAUAUCGAAAUUAAAGAUGAAGAAAUUAGUUAGUAGAAUGUGGCAGUGCAGAGGAUAAGAAGUUGGUUUUAAAAUAGUACUCCACUAUAGUGCAAUGUUGAAGCCAAAUGCGUAUUUAUAUAUACACUGCGCAUAUAAAUCCAAGUAAAUCAAUAAAAGGAGCAAAAUAGAGCUGUAUUGUGACGGGUCAUUGGAUGCAGUUAUGGUGGGGCUAAUUUUACUAUUCUUCGAGAAGAGCCAGCCACCUGCAUUGAUAGAGAAAGGUCAUUUCUGUGGCCCAGAAAAGGAUAGAAUAGGUGGGACACCACAAAAGGGGACGCAAUGAACAACAAGCUCCAUUGCCGUGGAAGAGGGAUUGCCUUGCCUCCAUCCUAACUGCGACCCUCGACCUUAAAAACACUUCAGAAAAGCACCACUGAAACCACCGCUCUCACUCACAUUUCUACAUUGUCCAACAACCGGAGCAAGAAAGAGAGAUGAUUGAUGAUACGGGGUCGGAGGGGUUUAGCUUUCAAUGGCCUCCCUCGCCCUAAGAAGAUAGAAAUGAUGGCUACGUUACUAGGCAGGCCGGACUACGAUAUUUUUAGCAAAAACCCGUCGUGUUCUAAUUCAGCUUCAGCUCAUACAUGCAUACAGCCAUUUCUCGUUAGUUAAACUGGCUCCUGUUGUGAUUGCUAGUACUGUCUACUCCAUUGACUCACAUGCUGGUACAACUUUUCAUUCGGUUGUUGCUGAUUGAUUAAAGUCUUGUAAUUGUAUUCUAGCCAGUACAUAUUUCAUUUUUUGUCCUAGAAUCAAUUUUUGUCAUGUUUAGAUGCAGCUUUUAGCGUAAGUCUGAAAAGAUUCAAAGAUACACAUAACAGAAGCAAAAAUGUAGUUCUGGAGGUCUAAUGCUAUGGUCAGAGUGCUAAAAAUAUUUGUCGUUGUAGAAAUACAGUCCAAAAAUCUCCCUGCCAAAUCAACUAUCUUAAAAAAAAAGAAAAAGAAAAUACAAUACCAACCUGUCUGAGUCGUAAUUUGUUCAGGCGUACUCUCUAUAAAAUUUAGCUAACAAACCGAAUACUGUGUAGUGAUGCAUAAGUAAGCAUGAUUGUUAAUUUGGACUAGUGCAGCAAAUGCUUUGACUUUGAGAGUGAGGAUGGUCGUUCCAGCUCGGAUAGUCCGGGGCCUCACCCUGUGGUACUUCUGGAACCACCGCCUCGGCAAUCCCCCUCGGGCCGUGACUUCGACCCGGUUACUACCUCGGCUAGGAUCUUCUGACAUAGAGACGAAGUGACGUAUAAAUGUCUGGCCACCGGAGAGGUCGGAUGUGACCUCUGACACUUGACAAAGCAGCUCUGACACAUGCGCCGCCUGACUCUGAAUCCCUCGAUAUAGCUCCGAAACUUAAGUCAGUUCGGAUUUAGAAAAAUGAUUUAGUAGUAGAGAGAAUCAGUGUACGUUGUUUACCAGAAAAUUGGUCAUACCCUUUCUCAGUAGAAGUCUUGAGUAUUUAUAGAGGAUGGACAGGAAAGAGAGAAUACUGUGUAGUGAUGCAUAAGUAAGCAUGAUUGUUAAUUUGGACUAGUGCAGCAAAUGCUUUGACUUUGAGAGCUUCGUCUCCUAUUUGCUGCUUGCAUCUUACACGAUGUAUAUAUCAUUCCUUUUUCAUAUUACACGAUGUAAUAAUUACAUGAUUGUUUUUAGCUUUUUCAUUAUCUCACUUAUCAAGAGGAAAUUUGGGAGCUUGUCACGGUUUGCCCUCAUGCGCAUGGAGGGAAGGCCAUGCUUUGGGUUGGGUUUCAACCUUUGGAAACCGAUUUCCGAAGGGCAUGCAGGAAGUGGACUUGGGAUCUCUCCCAGGACAGUUCCAUCCAACCCUCUUCGGUUAACGUAAUUCUGGUAUUAUUCGGUGUGGGGUUAAUAACAGUUACCCCCAACUUUGGGCACACAUUUUACCACCAUCAAACUUAAAAAUACACACUUCACCUUCGUAAGACCAAUCAACCUUGAAAAUCUUAAUUCAUUAUUUCUUAAAAAAAAGAGUAUUAUGACAACAUUACCAUUUUGUUGCAAAAAAUCAUUUAUAGUUUACUAGUAUUGUCCUUCUCUUGCCCAAAAAAAAAAAAUUUUUUUGAAGUUUGAUUUAAUAUUUAUUUUCCUUUAAGUUAAAAAAACAGGGCAUACGAGCUUUUUUUAACAAUUUUGGUUAAGUAUUUAAUAGCUGACUGAUUUGAAAAAUAAAAAAUAACAGUACUAUUAUUUUAGCAGUAUAUAUAAACUAAUAUAACAAAAAAUAUUUUUUUAAAAAAAAUAAGAAGUUUAAUAUUAUCUUAUUUUUUCCAAAAUUUUGCUAACCCUAUCUAUUGUCAUAAAUGUGUUAUUUAUUCUUAUUGUUUGAUUUAAGGUUUAAUAAAUUGAAUAAAGUAAUUAUUAAAUGUAAAUUUUCUUAAUUUUAGUAUCAAUUUGAUAUUUUUGUAAAGUAGAUGCCGUAUAGAAAAAGUAUAUCUUCUAGCAAUAUAAGGGCAAUAAUAAUGGUAAGUUAUAAAUAUUUUCUCAUAAAUAAAUAAAAGGGUAAUAAUGUUGUUGCACUUAUUAUUAUUAUUAGUGUUGCUGUUAUUUCUAACUUUGACUAAUUUUCAUGGGAAUAAAAUAUACACGUUUAAGAUUGAGAGUAGUAAAGUGUGGCUACCUCCCAAGUUCACGGAGGCAAAAUAUGAUUAACCCUUUGGCAUAUACUCAUACUUGGGCACCUUUGAUGUAAUUGUGAAAUUUAUUAACUCAUAUAAUUAAGUAGUGUAAAAUUCAUGCUUCUACUAAAAUUCUGUGAUUUUAUGCCCAAUGUUAUAGGAAAUUACAUCAACCUAGACAGAACUCAACUGGACACGCCUCGUUUCCAUAGACUUGGCUGACGGUGAGAUGUGGAUCGACUACUCUCUAAUUUUGUCCCCGCUAAAUUGUUUAGAAGUGAAAAUAUACUUUGUUACUAGCUGAGUAUCUCAUGUAUUAUCUAUCUUUUUAUGUGAACUUUGCUAAUAUACGCGCUUUGUUAUUGGAAUGUUUCUCAAAAGGAUAAUAGUUUCAUUAGAAAAAACGUCGUCCACUUUUUCAAAAUGUAGGGCUAAGGUUAAGAUUGGAUUAAAGAUUGAUUUAUUAACCAUAUAGAUAAAGAGGGAAAGCCCCCUGUCACGUAGGAUGGUCGUCCGCCCAUGUGGUGCGUGGGGAUUGGUCGGUGGUGAUGAUAUGGAGCUGAUGUUGGACCGGUUUUUCUUCUCUUUUUUGGUUUUUUUUUUUGCCCUUUGAUCAACCAAACGGCGUCGUAUGUGAAUGAAUCUUCAACCACUUUUUUUCUUCACUUUCUUUCUCUCUCUUUCAUUCAAGCGCAGGCAGUUGUCGAUGUCAACAACUCUUAAAAGACCAGUUCCUAUUGCUAUUAUCCGCUGGACAAAAUUCCUUCUUCAUGAGACUCCAGAGGUUUCCUCUGAAUUUCUGCCAGUUGAUUGUACUUGAAAGAGGUUAUAAUCUCAAUUGGAGGGGCCAGAUUUGUUUCUUCUGAUAGAAUUGCUGGACGAUGGGCUCGAGGUGGAAAAUGGGCUACUAAUCUUCCUCCCCUCCCUGUAUCGAUUUCUCCCAUUUCUCCCUCCUGUUCUUCUUCAUCUCCCUCCCUCCCUCCCUCCCUCGAGUGAUUAUAGCUAAUUUUUUCUAUUUUUUCUGCUAUUUCCUUGGCUAAAAAACAACCAAUUUUUCCUCACUCUUUCGUGUCUUUUUCUGAAACAGCGAGGAAGGGGAAGUUCAAUAUUUCAUCUCCACUCUCCACUAUCUAUGCGAACUUGUAGAGUACAGAUAUGGUAAUUUUUCUUCCCCUUUCUUUCCGUGAUUAAUGUAUUUUUUUCAUUUCAAUUUUAUUUCUACUAUUUUAUUUUUUAUUUUUAGUUCCAAGAAAAACUUUUAAUAUGGUCUAAGAUGGUGAAUAAUUGAUGAUUAGUUAGCUUUUAGAUAUUUAUUUAUUUUAUUUUUUGUACCUACUUGGUUUUUUAUUGUUCCAUUUUUCUUUUUUGGUUUUGCCUUUCUUGGAUUUCUUCUGCAGCAGGGAGGAAAAAUAACCACCCAUGAAAGACAACUGCUGAGGGAAAAUGUAAGUUUUGUUUUAUUAUUCUGAUUUAAUUUUUGCCUUUAAAUUACUCUCUUCAGACCUCAAAUGAUGGUAUGCUUUUCUUUGUAGCCAUUUUCUUUGGCAUUUGCUCUUUUUGAGUUUUCUUUUUAGUCAUUUUUUUGGUGUCUUUCAUGCAAGUGUUUUGUUGAUCUCCUGCUCAAAAAAAGCAAUCCACAUGGUAACUAAAAAGAUCAGUUGUUUAAAAUAGAUUUUUUCAUCUUUAAAAUGUCUUUCUAUUUGCUUCAGUUCUUCCAGUUCCCUUUCUUCAUUGGGUUUUCAGCACUUGAUGAAUUAAUACAUUUCUCUUGUAGGAAUCAAGAACUUCCAUUUCAAGUUGGUCAUUGACCAAAAUUUUGAGUUACACUAGCAGCACUAAGAAUAAUUUGAUUGGAGUUCACACUGAUGUUCCUGCGCCUGAUAUGGGAACAAAUGCACAGGUCAGUGCAAAACUGGUUUUCGACAACAUGAUAUGAUUGGAGUACAUAUCUAGGUGGCAUUUUUUGCUUUUGGAGAAAAAGAUAGUGAUAAACACAACAUUGUCUAUGAAGCUCAUCCAAUUAACUGGAUUUGAAAUGUCUCGCAUUUGAGCAGACAAUGGCUUGGAUACUGGAUGAGUACUCUAAAUUCCAUGGCUAUUCACCUGCAAUAGUAACUGGAAAACCUGUAGUAAAUUAUCCAAUUCCAAAUGUAUAAGGAUCAAUGUAUAAAAAUUUUCCACUUUUAUUUAUCGGAAGAAAUUAAAAUUCUUUGGUGACAGGAUCUUGAUGGAUCCCUCGGUAGAGAUGCAGCAAGAGGGAGGGGAGUACUCUUUGCAACUAAAGUGCUGCUUAAUGAAUAUGGAAAGAGUAUUGCUAGGCAAUGAUUUGUUGUGCAGGUAACACCACUGGGAAGUGUGCCUUCGGUUUAUAAUAUGUUUGAAUACUGUGGGAUGCAUUUGUAGUUUCAAGUGUACCUUUAGUUUCUGAUAUGCUCAAAUACUGUGGGAUGCAUUUUGUUGAAACUACAAGCUCAUUCAAAGAGCCUUCCUUGAGGACUUAGAAGUUACAUCACAAAAUGUCUCAUGACUCGUGAGAAGAGAAAGCAAGUUAAAAAGUCAAAAAUUAUCGAAUGUCAUAUGAUCAUAGAAUUUUCUUCUUGAUUUCAGGGAUUUGGUAAUGUCGGAUCCUGGGCUGCUCAACUUAUCAGUGAACAAGGGGAAAAGGUAAUUGGCGUAAGUAAUAUAACAAGAGCCAUAAAGCAUGGUAAGGGAAUUGACGUACCAAACCUAUGGAAGCAUGUCAGGGAAAACCAUGGAGUGGUGCUGACAGUGUUGAUCCCAAUUCUAUUUUGCUUGAAGACUGAUAUUCUUAUUCCUGCAGCCCUCAAAGGUGUUAUCAAUAGGUGGUUCUUCUAGCCUUAACAUAGAUUUUGUCCGACACUUGGUAUCUUGCUUUUAUGUGAUUUUAUUACUUACAAUACAAAUGGACAUUUGAAUUGAUUGAAGGGAUAAUGCAGAUAGUAAAGCCAAAUUUAUAAUUGACGCAGCUAAUCAUCGUAUUGAUCCAGAAGCAGAUGAGGUUAGUAUGCGAGGUCAAAAGGCAGUGUCUCGGAGCAAAAUAACUUGUGCAGUGAAGCAACUUAACUAACCUUGGCUUUAAUUUACAAAUAUUAACAAAGAAGGGAGUUGUUAUACUCCCAGACAUAUAUGCAAAUUCCGGAGGUGUUAUAGUGACUUCAAGUGGGUUCAGGUAUCCAUUUAGCCCUUCAUCUCAUAAUAAUCCAGAAAACCUCUUUUCUUAUUUCAGCACCUUUAGUACUUUUUGGUCCCUUUCUAUAUCUCAAAUAUUAAAUUCUAAGCACCCACUUGAAAUUGUGAGUAAGUUACUAUUUUAAUUAAACACCUUAAAUUUUCUAUUCCUUGACUAAAAAAGGAAUUAAAUUGCUGCAUAACUGUAGUUUUGCCUCUUUAAUGAUAAACUGCAAUGUUUAAUAGCUUGGAAAUUCUCAUUAGAAAAAUCAGAUUUGGUUUACUUAAGUAUGUAUUUACAAAACAUGAUGUUCUCUUAGAUUUGUAACAUCUCAGUGAGGUUAAGCCUGGAAUAUUGAACCUUACAAUUGCUUAUUUUACUUUGUAAAAUUGAACUUAAUUGAGGUUAGCCUAAACAGAAAAUUGUGUGAGAAGCAUGAAGGUGGCAUUCCAAUUGAUAGGUUCAAAGAGAUGAAUGUAAUGCAGACCUUCAACUUGUGUUAAAGUCUUUAUGCAGGAAAGAACUUAAAGGAAUGGCAUGUUACCUUUGAAGAUGACUUGGUAGAACUUGCUAAUUUGUUACAGAAAAACCUUAGAUCCAUUUGUCGCCAGUCCUUUUUUCUUUUCUUUUUGUGUCUCGGAUAGCUUGAGUACAAUCAUAGAAAUCGAAAUAAGAUCUUUAUUGGGAUUCUUAAAUUAUUUCAUGCAAUUAGUGGCCUUAAAUUGUAAUAUGUAGAAUUCUAAGUAACUAGCUUGGAUUAUGGUAAUGGUUCGGUUUUCUUGCUCUUGAGAAUGUUUUACACUUGAGCUGAUGAUGAUCAAGACAUGCAAGAACAAGAAUUCAAUGUUCGUGAUUUCCUAAGUUACGACUUGUAGUUUCCUAUAUUUGAUGAUUACAACCAUGCCUAUUGAUCUCUUUUAGAGAUCUUGAGAUUGUACUGAACUAGUGUUCUAUCUGUCUGGUUGUCUGUAUAUAUAUUUAUAAGGAGUUUGCACUCUCAUCAACGCGGUGAACUCUAAUUCAAAGUCUAUGGGACUUGUCAGAUCAGAACAUAUUGGACUUGAAGCCUCCUCAUUCGAAGAUUGCUCUUUUGGAGAAAGGAUUCAGGACUACCAUGAUUCACUUGCAACUAGAGGAUUAUGCAGUUUGCUUAUACUCUUUUAUCACUCAUGGAUAUGCCCUAGAGGGUAGCCAUUGCUGAGAUGAACAGGUGUGGAACUGGAAAGGCUUCUACUUAGCUCUUUGUUUGGUGUGGAUCCUCUGAGUUCUACUAUUGGACCUAGAAUAGUUAUGCUAUUACACCCUUCGGUUCUUGAUGCUUUGUCAGUUGUAAGUGACUAACCUAGAAAGACUUGGAGUCUCUCUUUAAUGAUAAGAAAGUUUGAGACUUAUAUUUAAUGGUGAAUUUAUCCUUGUUGAUGUUAGUAGAGAUUUACAAGUUUCUUGGUAAAUGAGUAUGGUUUGAGGGGCUAUUGCAACUGUUGUCAUGGUGACACUUGUAUUGAGGUGGCUUAUAUGUCCAUGUAUUUGUCAUUUACAUGUUUUUGUAUUGAGGUGGCUUGUGUGUCCAUGCAUUUGUCCUUUACAUGUUUUCAAUUGGAUAGUUGUUGUGGCUUUGUUAAAAGAAACAUCAAUGGAAAGCAAGAGAGAAAAUAAUAAAUUAGCAUAGAAUGCUAGGUUUUAGUUCAAUUUACUGACUUAACUUUACAUUGAGGGUUAUCCUUUCUGUCCUUUGGUUACUCAGUAUGAGAACUACACAUCCUUGUCAUCUUGCUUUUGCUUCUUUUCUCUUUGCUUUCUCAUAUGCAUGUCUGCAUAGAAUUGGUUGAGGUAUCUGUUUUCUAGAGAUGCUCGGUCUUGGAGGAUUAAAUACUGCCCAAGUAUUGUGCCUCAUACAAACUUUUUUACUUUAGGUCUGCUAUUGAGAGAAUUUAUUUGGACAUGGAAAUGUGAAAUGAGACCAGGAAACAUGGUGAUUAGAAUGUUGUUAGAUGGAGGAUCUCAGAACCAUUUAUGGCUGAAUGAUGUGACAAUUUUGGCAAUUUUCUUCUAAGGAACUCAAUAUGCUUAUUAAGUGAGAAAACUUUUAGCUUGUUUUGGUGUUUCUUAGCAUCAUAGCCUGCUUACGGUAUUCUCUUUUGGUUCUCAAAAGUCUGAUUUAGCACUCAAUUGGACAUUUUAACUGUCCGUUUGGUUAGUCUCAAUGAUGAUUUUACAGUUGAAUUCUAGAGGCUAGAAUAAUACAUCAAUCGAUACUUAUUCACUGUUCCUUUUCUUAAUUCUUUGGUUUCACGAUAGACAAGUAUGGGUGAAAAGGUGUUAACAAACAUCUUCUCAUUGUUGUUGAUCACUGACUAUGGGAUCAAGUAAAGAGCUUAUUGCAUGACGUGAAUGUCCAAAUAUUGAUGACUUGGAUGUGAAGGAUUGAACUGUAAUUGUGAUGGCUAUCUUGAAGCUUCUUGUGAUAGUAUGCAUCAGUUCAUUGUAUCACUUGCUGGAUUACUAGAUGCACUUUCCUUUAUUUCUUCCAUGUUUUCACCAAGCGAACAUCUAAUGCAAAUUGCCAUGCUUGCUUUAUUAUAACUUUGUAUCCUCAAAACCAGGAACCUUUUGUUUCUUAAUUAAAAAGUCGAUUGUGUUGGACAUACUUAUCCGAAUCAAUUUGUUAUGAGACUGGAUGAUUAUGACAUUUUAAUGCCAAUCUGAUUAGUAGAUGAUAUUCAGUAUGCAUUAUGGGCCAAGAUAAGGGAAGUCAUUUGCAUCAUCCUUCUGUUCUUUUACCCAUGGAAUUCUUAUUUUUGUGUUCUACUUGCCAAUGUAUGUUGUUGCUUCACAAAUAAAGUCUGUUAAAGAUGUAAUCACAAAAAGUUCUCGUUACUCGGUAGUGUCCUACCUUGUCUUUUACAAGGCUUAUAUAAUUUCUACUCCAAUGUUCAUCAAGUUCUCUCUUUAUCCUUUCUAAACUGAUAAUGUUUACAAUUGGAUCAAUAUUAAUCCGUCAUUACUUUGUUAUAAUUAUUGCCAUGUUCUAUCAAAAAAUAUAUGUAUCCAUACCACGAAUGUUUUUUUAAUAGCUAAUUAUGCAUACGACUUACAAUAAUUUGUAAUAUUUUUAACUAUAUUUCUUUAUUAAGUUAUUUAAGUUGUUACUACUAAUUAUGAAUUAUCUAUUUUGUUUUCAAGAAAAAAAAAUACAGCUACAAUGAGCUUUACGCUGGGCAUAUCACCUAUAUAAUUUUACACCGCGCAUAUGAGCGGUGAACCCCUCCUAGUAUUAUAAUACGAUGAACGGUGACGUCUACAAUCCUCGAAGUUAGAACAACACCUAGAGGUAAUGCUGAACAACACCUAAUAAAAUUCCAAAAAAAAAACACUCACUGACUAACUCACCCAAAAUGCAUACCAACCCUGUAUCAUCAUCCUUCCCCCUUACCAAUAUUUAGGAUUGUCAAUGGGCUGAACCAACUCGAUCUCAACCCAUUCGGCCCGAAAAGAAUUCACUGAAGCUAAGAAUAGAUUUGGCCGGGCAAAACUUGGGAUUAAAUAUUAGAUUCGAAUUAAAUAUGAGCCAAGUUUAGGUUAUACUAGACUCAGAUUCAAUUAAAGUUUGGCCCAUAUAUAAGUAUAAUUAUAUAUGUAAAAUAUAUAAAAUAAUAUUUAUAAUUUAUAAUUAUACAUAUUAUAACAUAAAAUGUUAAUCAUUUAUAUAUAAAAUUGUAUUAAUUCAUAAUUAUAAAAUAUAUAUUAUAUAUAAUUAUGUAUUUAAUUAUGAAUUUGAACCGAACCCGUUUUGAUCCCAAAUCUCAUAUAAUAGUGUGAGUUGAGAUCGAGUCUUUCAAUAUAAGCUCGAAGCCCGAAUAUCGAACCCCAAAAGUCUAUAUAAUUUCAGUCGACCUUAGGCUUACUAAAACUCGGCUCAAAAAACUCCAUUAACACCUCUACUUACCAUGCGCCCCAUAUCACGUUGCCUUACUCUAUCUAAGGGUCUGUCUGAUAAUAUAAAAAAGUGCUGAAUCUGAACUUUUUCAGACAUUCAGAUGUUUUGAGUGUUUGAUAAAUGAAAAUCCAUUUGCUAAACCUGUGUUUUUUUUUUCCGCACAAGAAUCCUAACUGAAUGUUUAAUUUUGAUAAUAAUCAAUAAAAUUAUUUCAAUUACCUUAUCUUAUCUACCAAAUCUACCCUUGUUUGUAAAUUAAGUUCAAAAUUUUUAUCCAAUUAAACAACCUAAUAUUCUCUAUCUAAUGAUUUUUUAUUUCUCUUUUCUCCCUUUUGAAUGACUUGCACAUCUUCUGCAUACUCCUUAUAUAAUAUAUUUCAUCUUUUAUAUUAAUUUGAUUUAAAAAUAAAUAUUGUCAUUUUCAUACCUAACAUUUUUAGCUAAUUAAAUCAUAGGUUCUAUUUCUUUUUUGGAUGAAAAGAUAUAAGAGCAAAAUUGUCAAAUUUAACUUAUUAAACAUUCUGUUAUAAAUAUUUAUCAAACAAUAUAAAUAGAUUUAGUAUUAAAAUUCAAACAUUCAUAUAUUUCUUUUCAGUGUUUAAAAUUCAACAAAUUAAUUAUUUUAGUAUUCAAAUUCAGAAUUCAGACUUCAGAAUUCAGAUUCAGUUUUAUCAAACGGAACCUAAGUCGCCCUUCCUAGUCACCCUUACCGGCCCCUCAUUGCCCAUUGCCCAUUGCCCUCCCCUACCCUUGCGGCCUCUCACCGGCCCCUACUCCUCCACUUUUCCCCUCCCCUUCCAAAGCUCGUCACCAUCACCCCUCCCCUGGCUAUCACCUCUAUUUUAUCCCCCACCUUUGCCCUUUUUGUCAGUAUUCAUGUCCUGUUUUGUCACUUUCUGAUUACUGUUUGGAUAAAUAAAAAAUAUUUAAAAAAAACUACAAAAUUAAUUUUAGAACAUCCUGAAAAUGCUUUAAAAAAGUUUUUAAAAAAAAAGUAUAGUAAAAUUUUUUUGGAUAAAAUACCAAAAAACUUUUUGUGGUUUGCUAAAUAUUCAAUUUAACUCUCUCUGAUUUGGAAACCUACAGUAUAGCUUCCUGUGAUAUCAAUUAAAUUGAAAAUUAGAUGGAAAGUAUCCAAUCUAACGAUUAUACGUAAAAAUUCAAAUAUUGUCCCAAUGUAAAUGAACUCCUUAUGGUUUGUCGAAUGUUCAAUUUAACUCCAUCUGAUAUGAAAAGCUACACUAUAACUCUUUGCAGUUUCGAUUAAAUUGAAAAUUGAAUGGAAAGCAUCUCACGUAUAAUAGGUGCAAUAUUGACAUUUCACACACAACUAUUAGAUUGGAUACUUUCUGUCCAAUAUCCAAUUUUUAAUUUAGUCAAAAUCACAGGAGGUUAUAGUGUAGGUUUUUAAAUCAGAGGAAGUUAAAUUGAACAUUUGUCAAACUACAUGGAGUUUUUAUGGUAUUUUAUCCAUAUUUUUUUUAAAGCACCCAAUCUAAAGGAGCCUUUUUUUUUGAAAAAAAUGAGAAAAAUUAUUUUUUUCUUGCCCCCAUUAAAAGUUUUAUUUUGGCUUUGCAAUGUAAGGCUUACCUAGAGAUAUAAAGUGAGUUACGUGAUUAAUUGGGAUCUUUUCGUAAUUGAUUGAUAUUCUAAUUAAUUUAUUAGUAUUUACUAUUUAUCAAUAACUGAUUAGUAUCUUCAAUCGAUUAGUUAAAAUAUUAGGAAUAUGUUAUUCAAUAAUAUUUUUAGCUACCUAUUAGUAGUAAUUUUCUUGAUAGAAAGAACUCUAGGGGCUUAUUGUUCUCCAUAUAAAGAUCCUACACUAACAUAUAAAUAAAUUUAUGAUAUUUCGUAGACAUAUACUAGAAGUUCUCUUACUCUGAACUCAAAUUGUGAGCCUAAUAAAAGGGUGUGGUGAGGGGAAGAAAAGCUCAAAAUAUUUGGCUUGUAAGUUUAGCAAAGACAAGCAUACGGGAUUCAGCAAUCACUUGACGAUAAUAAGUGGAAGUAAUGUUGUUAAUCUUCUGUAACUUUAUACACUUGUCCAUAUACUAUUUGUUCUACAUGCAACCGGCGGAACGAACACCUCUCCGAAAAAAUGGUUUUAUAUGAGUCAAAUCAAUAAUUUUAUUAUUUUUGUUACAGGAAAAAGAUGUGGGUGGAUUAAUUCAGCUCCGCUCAUCACCAUGUGUUAGUGCAUGCAUUCAAAAAAAUAUAAAUCGCUGGUUCUUAUAGAUCAUUCACCAACACGAUACUUACAUUACUUACAUUGAGAGUAAGAGUCAAACACAAUAACAGUAGUUCUAGUUUUGAUCACCAAUUAAGCACUUACAUUGGGAGUAGGACUCAAACACAGUAACACUAGUUCUAAUUUAGAUAACUAUACCCUUGGAUAUUGAAACAUUAAACACCCUUCUAUAUCGAUCUAUCUACUACAUAAAUUUUUUUUUUGAUGAUGCUAUCUAGGAUUCAUGACUAUUCUGGCAAACAAAUGAACAUGUUAAAGUUGAGCUAAUUGUGCAUGGCUGCAAUGACAGAAGUACUUUACUUAAAACUUACCAGUAUUUGCCUAUUUGGUAAUCAUGUUACUCAAGUUUUCUUCUUUUUUUUUUUUUUUCAGGUUGUAACAGCCAGGCUGCGGUCCUUCCUACGGAGAAGAGGUUGGAAGUGGAAAGAAGGUGAUGGUGAUGAAUUCAACGACUGCAAACUGUCGGCAUAUAAUAGGACUAUAAUCAUUAAUCCAUCUACAACAUGACCAUAUUCAGGGUCCAAAUCACGAUCACGUCCAAUGUCCAAAUCAAGGGGGAGGGGAGCAUUUGUCCACCCUCAGGAGCAUUUAACUCCACCUUUGCUUGCCAAUCAAUAAAAUGAAGCAAAGCUUAACCAACAACAGGGAAAAAAAUAUAAAUUACACUUCUCUACAGUGAUUUUGCACUUUCUGCAUAACCCUCAAAUGCUGUAUAUGAUUUUAUCAUGGUUUUGAAUUAAAGUAUUAAAGAGACGAAUAUGGUCGCCUCUAAUACAUGUAACUGAAAUGUCAAAAUUUCUCUUGUUUAGAAUUUAAAGUGAUUGAAGUAGUUAAGAUAUUAAUACAAUAUUAUCAAUUACAUUUGUACCCUCUGUAGCUUAGUGAUUUUACACAUAACUAUUUUGUGAUUUUUGAAACCUACACAAACCAUAAGUGGUUAAGAAAUACUUGAAAUUGAUAUUUUCGUUGACUCCGUUUCAGAAGGCAGGUUUUGUCACUAUGCGAUUUAGGCCAAAUGAUGUACAAUUUUUGAAAAUAUAUGAGAGUUAUGUGAAAAAGUGCAAAACUAGUGGAGGUAUAAGUGUAAUUUAUCCAGAAAAAAGGGAAAAAAAAAGGAAGUCGUCAUCGCCUCGGAUUCGUUAUAGACAUCCAGCAAUAGCAAUUAGCAAUGCCCAAUCUCAUUGAAAUUUUGACGAUGCGCAUUUUAUAGUUAGGGCGAACUUUUUGUCGGGGAUUGUUGUUAUAAUCAUGACAUUGCACUCUAAAUUCAGAUCUCUCAUCAUUAUUGUGCGAGCCAAUAUACAGCUUGAGUCGAGGCCUGCAACAUAACAAGGAACCUAUGUUUUCAGACUCGGACCGGGUAUCGAUUCGGCCGAGCUCAGGGGUCAAUGGAUUCGAUCGGAGUUGAACCAGAUGAUGUCAUAAAUAAAAAUUAUUUAAAAAUUAAAAUAUUGUAUAUAAAAUAUCUAAAAGUAUGUUAAUAUUAAUAAAGGUAUAUUCAUAUAUAUUUGAUGUUUCAAAUAUAUUUAACAAGAAAAUACAAAGAAAUUAGAACAAUCAAGUAGUAAUUUAUAUUAUUUAAUGAACAUUAACAAGUUUAGAAUUAAAAUUAUGGAUUUGAUUGAAAAAUAACAUCAAAUUUUAGGACAACAUUUAUAAAGUAUGAAAUAUUUGAGAUAUAUUAAUAAGUUUUAACAAUUUAGGGGUCAAAACAUAAUAUUGAAAAAGUUUGACCUUUUUUAAAAAAAAAUCUUUGGUUGAACCGGUUUUUCCGAUUUUUUCUCGACCAAACCGGAUUUGACCGGAUUUUUAGUCUUCCGAUUUUGAAGAAUAACUCAGACCGGACACUUGACCGACUUCCGGUUCGAUCGGUCCAAUUCAAGUUUAAAAACACAGCAAGGAACAAGGCACGAAGUGGGGUUGUCCAUCUUAGCGGCGUAAGAUGGGAGAUAUUUAUACUACUGACGGAGAGAGAGAAGCCUAGGGAACUAGGUCUAGAAGCUAUCCUCUCAUGUAGGGGUAGCUUGGUGUUGACAGUUCGACAGGGCAACCGUUUCUGGAGAUUUUGUGCAAAAUGCACGACUUGUAACUUUGUAUACACACACGGUACUUCAUUUUUAACAACUUGUAAUUAUAAAACAAAAUUUUGUGAAUCCCACACAUAAUAUAAAAUACGAUAUACAAGAUACAAUCUGAACCUUAUAUUUUUUUUGACCAAAUCUUGAUCAUAAAUCUUCAGGAACGAUUACGUUCCUGCCCCUCCUCCGUUGACAGGCCUAGGCCUAGCACCUUCUUGUGUUAGCCAGCAUAAGUUACAUGAAUCCUAUUAAGAGCACUUUCCUUUUUGAAAUCUAUGUUUCAGGUUACCUUGUCAGGCGUUCAUUUGAUUGCAAGGGACCAACUACGCGAGCAUUGGAGUAGUUGGACCGAGAAAUGGGCUAAGGAGUUGGUUGAGGUCCCCUCAGUUAUCCAUUUUGCUUGUGCAUCGAGACAAAGCCCUCGUCCAUGCUACUACAAGAGCCAAUGGUGUGGCUCAACCUUAAUGUCGCUGCUGCCUACGAAGAAAAUGCCAUAUUAUUCAAAGAUCGGGGACCGAAAACAAGGAUUAUAGCACCUUUGAUGCUACUUAUAGGCUCCGCCGGGGUUCCUGCCAAAGGCUCUUCUUUGCUGCAAAUCCAUUUGUUUUGGGCUGCCGGGAGCGCUUGAGCCCAACCUAGGACGUCCAGUGGUGGGACUCAUUGCCGUCUUAGCUAGAUGGGUGGUGUUUUGUCGAAAGGAUUUUAUUCCUUGCUACAGGCACUGUAUUAUAUGGAAGCAAGUUUAAUUAGAUUAUUCACAUAACUAUGUGAUAUGCAAGGGGGAAAAAAAAAGGAAAGAAAUGUGAUCAUGCGUGUUAAUAAAAAGUUUUUCCCUGUCAGUGGUUAACUCGAACCAUUGAGUUCAAUCACCUGGGUCUGCAACCAACUUGAAUGUUUUUGGUGCAGUUUCAUUAGUUUUAGUUCCAAUGCACCAAAAUUGCUGACUUUACACAUUCAACAGCAACAAGUAUACUGUUCGACAGACAUAAACGUGUUAAAAUGGGUAAUCCGAGAUUGAAUCAAAGUAACCAACUCGAGUUUUAUGGUAAAAACUACUGAUCACUUUCAUUAAAAUCGCGGAACACAUGGAUGGAUCACAAUAAACAGUUUUACGGUUAGGGAGUAGUCAAGCUACAACAAACCCAUCACCGAACUCAAAUGGGAUCAGUUGCUUAAUACUACUAUGAAACUAGAGGCAGACGUACGUUGCGUGUUCCAACCUUGAUGUCGAUCGCCACCUGCAAUUGAGUGGGAUUCAUCUAUAGUGCAAAGCUGAAUCGUCUGUGCACUGCACAGUAAGAAGAAUAAGGGAAGAGGACAAUACCUUUUAACAUAACAAUACCUUUUAACCGAUAACAUAACUUAUCGGUUGGACGCAGGUCUCCAACCGAAAUUUGGCAUAAACCUCUAUUUCGGGCGUCUCGUGCUUUUCGUUUACCUUGGCCUCCAAAAAAUUAGACACAGAUACUUGAUUUUAUCCAACAAAUAUAGAGUAUUUUGGCCAUUUAACAAUAUAGUAAUAUAUAUAUAUACAUAUACAGGUUUUAAUGGAUCCCAGUAUCCCACUGCCCUUACUAUGGUGGUCUUUGGCUACUAAUACCAUUACUGAGAUCCUCUCAAUUACUACUUUUUUUUUUCUCCAUUUACCUAUCCAUUUUUUUAAUAGUUAUACUACUUAAAAUUUCCAUAAUAAUCUGCUUGUGUGCAUAAUUUUGUUUCCAAGAGUAGAUCAAUAUGCUUAAAUAUCAAACUCAUUUAUGAAUAAUUUAUUAUUCAAUUUGCAAAAAAAAAAAAAAAAAAAUUGAUAGUGCAAAAUGGGUCAAAAUAUGAUAAAGGUUUUAAAGUUUGAUCUAUAGGCAAAAUUUAAUAAAUUUAAUUUCAAUUUUGUAUAUGCUUUAAACAAUUGAAAAAAAUAUAAUAGGGAUGGUUUUGAUUUUCAAAAAUAGUAUUAUAAUGAUAUUUAUUUAAAUGUAAUGGAGAGAAAAUUCUCUCCAAUUACCCUACCUUAAUGACAUAUACUCCUCUCAAUAUCCGGAUUGGUUUCUACGAAACUUACAUUGUAUCCACAAAUGCUAAUUUUUUUUUUUCAGUGUCCUGAUGUUUAGUUUAGUUCCCGGAAUUGAGCGUUACAUCGAUGCCCAUCGUAUAUGUUUAUUUGACACCGUCGUCCUUCUGAUUCAUGUCCCACAAUCAUCUAAGUGGAUCCCAUGCUUGGUCCUUAAACUUCUACUGGUUCCGUCCAUCAAUCAUCAUGAGCAGGAGAAUCCCUUGUGCAUGGUAGAAGCGUCCGGUAUUUUUAGUGCUCGCGGAUCAUUUGAUCAAUCUUAGAUCCAUCGACAACGAGUGAAAUCUAUGACAUUAAGCACACGCAACAAGGUUGUUACAUCCUCCCGUUUCUGUUUGGAAUGAUAUUCUAACACAUGUUUUAGAUGUAUUGUAUGCAUUAUCACACUGCAAAAUUUCGGCUCUUAUAUGUAAAUAUAACUACUAACUAACUCAUAUUUUUAGAGUUUUCUAUACUAACCUUGUUUGGAUUGCCGUUUUCCGUCGAAAAAUUACGUCGUUUUCCGUGAUCACAUUUUCCUAUUACCUUUUUCCCUCACAUACAUCAAAUCGCUACAGUAAUUUUUCUAUGAAAAAUGACGGAAUGAAUUGUGAUAUUCUAUCUUGUAUCUAGUGUAUUCAAUUCUACCAUCCACCAAUCUCAUGUAUUUACAACAUCUACCAACUAUCACAAUCAUUACAUUUAUCAUAUCUUACCAUACCUAUAUAAGACACCUCAUGUACUUGUAAACAUAUAAUUUUAUCUAAUACAACAUUCUCUUGCCCAGUCUGGGUUUGGUCCGGUGGUUGUAGCCCAGUUGGGUGAGAGCCACCAACCAAGGAUCGAAUCCCAGUCGUUAACAUUGACCGAUGAUGUUGGGCAGCCUCUCGCGGUCACGCAGUGGGAUUAGUUGGGGCGUACGGUAACCAGUCCUUGGCCCCAGAUAUCCACUGUGAUGAAAAAAAAAAAAAAAAAAAACAUUCUCUUCAUUUCCCCUUCUCUAUCACUCUCUACUUUAUAAUCGGCAAUGCCAAAAAAAAAAACCAAGCACUAGCUAGUGGACUGAAUGAGAAGGGAAUACAUAUUUUUCUCUUAGAAAGUACUGAUUUUGUAUUUCUAGAUACUUAUUUCUUGACUUUCAAUGCUAGUUUCCUUAAUUUUUGGUAUUUGAUGUGAUAUACAUGUGUGUAUAUAUAUAUAUGUAAGAUAAAAAAGGUAAUUCAGAAAAUAUAAAUUAUGGUUGGAGAAGAAUAUUACAACAAAAAUUAUCCAAUCCGAACAGAGCUAGACUACUACGUUAUUGAGACAAGACCAUGGCAUAAAAGCAGAAGAGAAGGAAAAAACUACAAUUAGAUAGAGAAUACUCAGAACUCCUCCUGGAGCACUAAAGAAGUCGGUCUUAUGAUUUCUUGUAGUAAUGCUCCUUCAUCCGCAUGCCGGUGCAUAAUGUACAUUGAGCUUUAUUUGGUCUUGCACUCUUCAGGCUGACGCUCAAUUCCCCCACCCCACCCCACCCCAAGAAAAAAAAAAAAAAAAACACACACACACACAGAGUAUCGAAAGGACAGAAUGAUUGGUUAAAAGCAAAAAGACUCAUCUUACAUGUUCUUCAAUCUUCAAAAGGAUAGAAUAAUCGGACUGGUGUACGCUACUAGUAGUUUUUUGGAAAGAAAAGGGGAGAGAACUUGUUGAAAUAAUUAGGUGAUGAAGAGCUAUCCACGAUAUAUCAUCAAGAAAAAAACUUGGUACUAGUUGAAUUCAUUAAUCACAAACCACUGCAUUCAUCUCAUAAAUUGUGAGCGGUCAAUGGAGGAAACCCCAGACGUUGUACAAGUAGUAGUAGUACCAUUCUUGGCCACCGUUCUAACACUUUCGAUGAGUGCCUCAGUGCGGGCCUCCUGCGACAAAAUUUCUGAAAGUUGCUCAGGGUUGAUCACCAACCUUACCUUCCAAACUCCACUGCUGUUGUACCUGGGGAACACCUCUGCUCCUUCUGAGGAUCGCUUCGACACUUUCCCAUGGUUAUCCAAGGACAUACGGUAAGUAGUCGCUGCGGCCGCACCCGUUGAUUGCUGACUAGUACUACUCAACUUACUGCUGCAGCUUCUUGCAGCAGAAUCUUCUAGUAAGUAUUCUUCUUGUUGCUGUCGUACGUGAUUAUUGGUAGUAAUAUUACUGGUACUGCUGUUGUUGUUGAGAGGGAGGAGAUAGUACAACUUUCCAGCACGAAGCUCUUCUUUAUGGUGUAGAGGCGGCGACAACAAGAAGGGGUCUUGAUCAUCUCGACUCCGAAAGAUGCCGUGGCCGGGGAACUCGUUGGUAAUGCACUCCGCUGUUAUGGGGGCGUAGAGUUCCAUGACUCCACCAUUUGAGGUCACCACUUUGACCAUGUGUUCAACCUCUCCAAAACCUUUAAACACGCAGUUCCCCAUACAUAUAUAUAUAUAUAUAUAAUUCCACUAGUACUUGUAUAUGAUAGCACUCCUGUAUAUAUUACUUACUACUGCUAUGUCAUAUCAUACAUGAUGCGACGAGGUCGAGGAGGGCAGGCAACUAUAUAUUUAGGUAUAUACAAUGAUACUCAACUAAAGAAACACGGUUCAUUGUUGUGGUCUUCGUUUCUUGAAUCUUAAGGCCGGUCCCGAAGCUGGGACGGUGGUUGCCGACACAAAGCGGGAAGAAUAUUAGAGAAAGUGAAGUUAUAUAGGUUUAUCCCCGCCGGGCCGGGGGGAGGGGGGGGGGACAGCGUAGUUAUUCGAGGAGGGGUUGUCGUCGGUGGGAUGUUUCGAGCAAGGUUCGUUCAAAUUCUCUCUCCAAUCUCUACUAGAAUAGAUGCAGCCAACGCCGACACACCAAUGAAAGGCUGGAAAGGAAAGGAUCAAAAAAGGGGAUUCAAUUUUCUUGUUCUCUUUUGGUAAUUCAUUCGGUCAUUGAUAUUAGCGUAUUGACAAACGGUCAAUGCUUCUGUGGUUCUUAUGUUUUGUAUAGUGGCUUAGUGGAGGGUGGACCAUCCUGUGUUCAGUGAUGGCUGACUGGCAUUAUCAAUUAAACAAUACGUAAAAAGGGAAGAAAACAAAAAACCCCCAAAUCAAAGUUUCCAUAGUAGGUCCAUAAGAUAAGAUGCGCUACUUCACAAAUCGACUGAAAUAUCAGUGCGAAGAUACAGUAGUGGGCCAGUCGCAUACCCGGGAUGUACGGAUGAUUGGAAAGGUCAACUUCUUUUUCUUUUUCUUUUUCUUUUUUUGCGUGCGUGUGUGUGUGUGAAGUGUGUACUGUAAGUGAAUUGACUCAUCGCUUGGCUGUAAAAGGAGAGGAUCCAACUGUCAUGCUGCUGAACAAUUUAUUUAUUUACUAAUUUCAUCCUUUUGGUGGCGCAGGGGGGAAAGGUUCCGGUUGUAUGACAGCCGCCUGGUGCUUUUGCCCAUUGUUGCCGGGUAAAAGUGGAUCUCCAAUCUAAUCUACUUUUGGACCGGAGAAAAACUAGAGAAUGCUUUGAAGUGGUGCAAGCAACACCAAGAGCUGUACCAAACUGUUACAGCAAGAAACACAUUUGACACGGCUAUAUAUACGCCACAGUUAGAGCAAAGUUUAAACUUUGGGUGACUGAUGCUGUGAUUAAAACUUUGAAUUAUCCCCCUUGGAGACUACUUUGAUUCUCUCCACGUGCUUCAUUCAUUCUUUCUCAUUUCCAAGCACAGCUUUAGAAUGCAUGCGUACGGUACUACUGAGUUUUGGAAGACUAAAAAUUAUCAAUUGAUCCAGUGUAUUUUACCUUAUCAAUCGUUCUGGGAUGGUUCAAAUGUCAAUGCUAGUCAGGUUUUGUUUUUCUUUCAAGCGUAUUUUUAAAAGCCUUGAACUAAAGGGUAAAGAAGAAGAGUCCAUCGAACAAUAUUGAACUUCUGGAAGAAAAUGUCCAAUACAGUCCCAAUGUGUAUGAUAUUUGAUUCACUGUUAAAAUCACCCAUGCAAUUGGAACCUUGAAAGGCACCCUAAAAAUCACCAGAACCACCCCUCCUUCUGUAAAGAAGUGAACUUGCUUACAAUUUUCUGGAGUCUAUAAGAAUAUAAACCUAAACCAGAGAAAUUAUAUAGUUUAUGUUAUUAGAGGUAAACAAUGACUAUAUGUAGAAAGCUCAAAGUGGAAACUAGGUCCCUUAGCCUUUGUCAUUCCCAACAUACAUCGAUCCAAUCAACAAGGCGGUACCACUAGAGAGAUAUUAGAGGUAAGACAAAAUUGAAACAGUGGCCCAAACAAAAAAAAUGCUUCUCAUGUAAGCAACACUAAUAAUACAAAUGACAAAUAAGCUUAUGAUUGUUUUCAGUUAUUGCUAGACAUAAUCAUGCUGUCAUCAAACUACUCUGGGCUAAUAUUUCAGCAAAAAGAGUUUAGACCUGAGCAGUGCCUUCAGUGAAUUUUGGGUCCUCACAUCUGUACCUCCCAUCAGGUCCAAUUCCAAAGCCUCUUGGGUCAGCAAAUACAUUCUCCAGCAGCUGACUGCGAGCUGGAAGAGGGCUCUCGUCAGCAAAUUCUACAGCAUCUUCGACCAACUCAUCAAUCUUCUUGUCUAUAGCCUUCAACUCUGCUUCACUCGCCAGAUUGUUUUCAAACAUGUAUUUUUUCAAGGCAGAGAUGGGAUCUCGAGAAGCAUAGCGAGCCUUCUCAGCUGUAAUGGAAACAAUUUUAAUUACAAUCUAUUUAGUAUUGACAAGAAAUGAAGACAAUCUGAGGUGCAGGAGAAUCAGUUCUUCUACAAUGAAGCUACCAGGAAGUGACCAAGUAGACAUGGAAAUGUGUAAAACAGUUCACAAAAACUGGAAACCACCUAAUGGCCUCCAGACAGAUGCAGACAGAUUCCUAACAACUUUAUCUUGCAGAAAUUUGCCCUAUCUUUAUCUGUAAGAAGUAUCUCAUGCCCCAAACCAGGAUAUUUUCAUCCCAAACUGUAAUCUGCACUAUCCUAAUUGAACAUUGACAAUGCCAAAGUCCAACCAACCCAUGUCAGAAACAAAGAUGCAUCAAACAAGUACUAUCACCUCCAAAGCAGUUCAUAUUUGAAUUAGCUAGGUGAAAUGACAAUUAGGGGGUGCUUUGUUGGAAACAAUGGGAAUCAACUCACCACUACCAAUCUCCCUUCUACACCUAUCUCUUACUGCUCAAUCCAACCCACCAUUGCUGAUCAUUUUUCACUGAUGACCCUCCCCUCUUCUCCCUUUUCAGCCAUUGCUCAUCUCCACCCUCCUCAAACUAUCGCUGAUCUCCUACUGUUUUGUGCUUGAUGUUCAAUAUCAAGAGUCCAGAAACAAAGAUGCAUCAAAAAGUAAACGAAGUCCCACUUGAAGCUCAAAAUUGGUUUUAAGAUCUGUUGGUACGAGAUCUUCUGCAAUAGUUGGUUUCAAUUGAGUUAAAAAAUUAUUAAGAAAAAGAAACAAAUUGAUUUGAUAUGGAACUACCCAUCCUUAUGAAUUUUUACCACCCACAACCCAUACUAAUUUUUUAUGUACGAAACUAAUUGCUUCUGCAGUCUGAACCAAGCAUACCCUUACUAGUUCUAAUUUAUGGUUUCCUUUUAGUUGCUAAUUUCUUUAAAUGACAGCAGCGGAAGGCACUUCUCAAUUCCUAACUAUCAAUUCAUCUAAAGCUCUUUCCAAGAUGAUCGCUGACCGAGAAUCUAUUCAUUUAGCCCCUUACUAGUUACUUCUAAUUUCUGGUUUCCUAUUAAUUGCUAAUUUCUUUAAAUGACAGCAGUGGAAGGCACCACUGAAUUCCUAACUAACAUGUUAUCUAAAGCUCUUUCCCAGAUGAUCGCUGAACGAAAGUCUAUUCAUUUAGCACAGGUACACAAAUUCGGGGCCCAAGUAUAUAAGUUCACCUGAAAAUAUAAAUUUCACUAACAAGAACCCUAUCAGCCAGGGAAAAUAAUUAUGCUGAGACGUCCUCUUCUAUGGAAGAUAAGAAACAUGCAAACUAUAGAGCAGCACAAACAUGCAAACUAUAGAUCACCAUGCCAACCGAUAGAAAUGCCCUUGCAUUUUGGCAACAAAAUCACAUACAAUUGGUAUUGUAAGUUAUCACUUUGACACCAUAAAAAUCCCAAAAUCAUCAUAGCUUACCUAUUAUUCCUCAGGCCCAAUUAUACAAAAAGGGGCAGGUUAAUGGACUGUGUUUAUACAAAUCUCCAAACCUAAAAUUAGACAAAACAAUAACAGUUUACUUCAGGACUAUACUAAGCAACCCCUAAUUAAGUUGUAUCCAGGCUAGACCUCCACAGACAUUAUGAACACAGAAAUAUUUGACCGUGAACAGGACCUAAACAAAUUUACUACUACAAGUUUUUAAAAAUGAAUACUCAUAUAUAGAAUGUGCCAAAAGAAAAGAAGACACAAGCCAAAUGAAGAUCUCACCAGGGUCACGAAGCUCAUCCGGAUCUGCCAAUGAAUGUCCUCUAAACCUAUAAGUCUCGCAUUCAACCAAAGUAGGGCCUUCACCUCUCCUGGCCCUACCAAUUGCCUCCUUGGCCACCUCUCUAACCUUCAAAACAUCCAUUCCAUCUACAUGAACACCAGGCAUACCAAAGGCAGGGCCUUUCUUCCAAAUUUCGGGGUCUGAGGUAGCCCUCAAGUGGGACAUCCCAAUGGCCCACAAAUUGUUCUCGACAACAAACACUAUGGGGAGUUUCCAGAGCGCAGCCAUGUUCAAACACUCAAAGAACUGGCCGUUGUUACAAGUGCCAUCGCCAAAGAAGGCCAGAGUGACAUGAUCACAAUCAGCCUCCUUCAAGACCUCCCUCCUGUAUUUGCUGGUGAAGGCAGCCCCGGUGGCAACAGGGAUGCCUUCGCCAAUAAAGGCGAAGCCGCCGAGAAGGUUGUGCUCCUUGGAGAACAUGUGCAUGGAGCCACCCUGGCCCCUGCAGCAGCCAGUGGUUUUACCAAAAAGCUCGCUCAUGACAGCACGAGCAGGGACCCCUUUGCUCAAGGCAUGGACGUGAUCUCUGUAGGUGCUAACGACACAAUCUUCCUGCUUCAGAAGCUUAAUGAAGCCGGUGGAGACAGCUUCUUGGCCAUUGUACAAGUGCACGAAGCCGAACAUUUUGCCUCUAUAGUACAUCUGGGCGCACAUGUCCUCAAAGGAUCUUCCAAGAACCAUGUCCUCGUACAAUUCCAAUCCUUCUUCAUUGGUAAUCAACUGCACCACCACCAAACAAUAACAAUCAGGAAGGUACAUCCGUAUUAUUUAUAUUUACAGCUGAAUUUGUUUCGUUUUCAUUUCUGUUUUAAUCGAGUGAAGAGACAGAGGGCGGCAUCCCCCACAGCCCACCCUACCUGAAUUAGUGCUAGUACCAGGUGAUAUUGAAAAAUUAAACCACAUUACAAGUACCUGACUUUAUACUAGUAGCAGUUGAUAUGUAACAAUAAAUCCACAUUACAAGUACCUGAAUGAAUACUAGUACCAAUUGAUAUGGAAAAAUAAUACCGCAUUGCAAGUCAUGUCACAAAAACAGGACCAGGAUAGAAAUAGAUAGACGAGGGUUGAGAAUAGGAACCGGAUUGGAGAGGGAAACGUUGGAUUUAGACUUCUUCUCCUUGACAACCUCGGAGACGGCAACGACGGCAGGGGAACGGCUGGGGCGGCGGCGGCGGCGGCGAGAGGUGGAGGAUGAGGGACUGGAGAGGGAGAGCUUGCGGGUGGACCCGAGAAAAGAGGAGGGAGUGGUUUUAAGGGGAUGAGAAGCAGGGAAGAGGGGGGGUCUGUCGACAGAUCUGGUGGAAUUGAGAGAGAAAGAUUGCGUGAAUUUGGAAGCGGAAAAAGCCGUAGCAGCCAUGGUGGGGAAAUAGGAACGGACUCUCUGCUCUUUUUAUUUCGUCCUAUGGGCAAUUGCUUUGUUUCUUUGUUCUUCGUUGAUGGACUAUAUAAGUAUAUAUGUAUGCAUAGGUAUGUGCGUUCUGGGUUUGAGAGGAAAGCGAAUGGGGAAUGCAGAGACGGUCUCUUGGAGAGAGAGAGAGGGGCUGAAGAUCGAAUGUGAGUUGCUAGAUGUGCGUCUAAGAGAGGAGAAAGAGAUGAUCUCGCAAUUGAGAGAGAAAGAGAGAGGGAAAUUGGGGCUGAGAAAUAAAAAGGCGAAGGGGGGUGGGAAAUUGGGAACGUGUCUCUUUGUUUUUGUUUUGCAUUUACGGCGGAGUUUACGAAGGAAUUGGAAAGGGGAAAAGAAGAAGAAGAAGAAGAAGAAGGCGGGCCCAGUCACCAGUGGAAAUAACCGUCAGGACCGUUGGCUGCUUUCCUGUUUCGUAAGGGCAGCUUUCUUUACAACAAAUACUACCAGUACCUACCAGCUUGCACUUUCUCUUUUGAUUUCCGCGUCAAAUACUAUGCUACUCAUGAACGUCGGUUAAUUGCUCGGCGGGCAAAGAAAGGGAGGCCACCCAACUCUUGCUUAAGUCGUAACUACAUAACAUAAUUAAUCACAGAUGCCGAUUCUUCGAUUUUUCAAUUAAUAUAUUACACAAAUUCGAAUUGUGUAGGUUGAUUAAAUUGUUAGUCAGAUCCAAACCCAUGUCCAAAUCUUUAUGAGUCUAAAAAAAUAAACUCAGACCCGGAUUAUAAAUUUGGAUAUUCAAUGAGUAUUCAUGAGUAUUUUUCUGAACAUAUAGUGAAGAACUAAAAUAAAAAUAUUUUAAAAAUAUAUAAAAUUUAAAAAUAACAUUAAUACCAUCCAAUUUUUAUUUUCAAAUAACAAAAUUAACAGUUAAAAAGUUGAAUGCAAUAUUAUAAACUCAAAGAACUAUUAUCAACUAUUUCUAUUUAUUUUUAAGACUUUAUGUACAUCCAUAUUUUAUAAAUUUAUUGAUAUAUAUACACACACACACACACACACUAAUAGUAUACACAUUACCCAUGGUUUGAUGAAUAAUACAUAUGCAAAAUUUGGAUUUCAAAUUUAAAUUCAAAUUAUGUGUCACGCAUCUAAUGAUAAAAGUAUAUGUGUUGUGAGUGUAUAGAAAAUUAAUCAUAUAUAUAUAUAUAUAUAUAUAUAUAUACACACACACACAUAAAUUCAAAUUUGAAAUUCAAAUAAUGCAUAUAUGCAUAUAUUCAAAGUUUUUAGUGUAAAAAAAAUCACUACACUUUUUAUAUAUGUAUGUAUGUAUGUAUGUAUGUAUGUAUGUAUGCAUGUAGGUAUGUAUAUAUAUAUGGAUUAACUUUUUAUGCAGUAACAGUAUAGUGAUUUUUUUUACACUAACAAUUUUAAAUAUAUGCCACAUAUGCAUGAUUUAAAUCUCAAAUUUGAAUUCAUGUUAUGUAGCAUGAUCUAAAUCUGCUAAUAUUAAAAAAAAUUAUACAUUGACAAUAUAUUAAAAAUAUAUAUAUAUAUAGAUAUUUUAUGCACUGACAAUGUAUGUGCUAUCACCAUUAGAUAUAUGACAACUAAUUUAUUUUAAAUUUAAAAUCUAAAUUUUACAUAUGUGACAUCUCUCUAAUCGUGAUAGUGUAUGUACUGUUAGUCUAUAUAAGUUUAAUUUAAUAUAUAUAUAUAUAUAUAUAUAUAUAUAUAUAUAUAUAUGAAUUUUGGGUAGAGUUUGAUUUGGAUUUGGAUUUGGGUAUAAGUCAUAAAAAAUCAAACUUUAUCCAAACUCAUAACUUUCUUACAGGAUUUGGAUUUGAAUUUGACAAAUAAAACUCAAACCUCACUCAAGUGUAUUGGAUUGGAUUUGGGUAAAAUUCCACCUAUUGACAUGCCUCACUACAAGUAAGCCAACUGUGCAAAUAGCCAUCAAAACGAAGAUGCUACAAAUACUACCGCUAAACUACUAGCCUCAGGCCACCCCCAGUCAUCUGGAAUUACCACGAAUUAGAGUCCUUUGUGUGUACUAAAUCCACGGUUAUCAAAAUUCUGAUCCUAUUCAAAAUCAUCUAAAUCUCUUUCCUAAAAGGAUAAAAUCAUCUAACUCCAUUCCAAUGUUAAUUGAACUGCUAUUAUUUCUAAAAUGUUAGACUAUUAAAAAUCGGUAUAUAUUCUAUUAACUAAAAAUAGAACUAUAGCACCUUUUUGUAAAAUGUAUAUAGAAAAUUAAUUAGAAAAAAUUUAAAAUAAUGGUGCAGCACUUUUUUAGGAUCUGGGUUAUAUGAGACUAGAUAAAUAAGUAGUUGGAAAAAUUUUUUUUAAAAAAAGAGAGAUUAAAAAAAUGAAUUCAUGAUGCAACUAAAAAAAAAAAACCACUAUCCAAACAAAUGAAAUAAAGGGAUAAUUUCAAAACCUCUCUUGAUGUUGUGGACAAUUUCAUUGAGCACCCAAAACAGAUCAGUAAUUACGCUACUCGCCACCCCUCCCCUUUCACAAGUCACAACCCAUUAUCCCCUUGAGUCAGUUUAAUCCCUUUCCUAUCUCCAUCUCAAUCAAGACUGUUGAGAUUAUUAUUGUCGUCCGAAAGUAUGUGACGAGCACUUGUACCUUUCACCAAAAGAAUAAUAAUAAUAAUAAGAAGAAGAAAAAGAGGAGGGAUAACUGACGCCGGGACAACAAAUUUUGUUACCAUGAAAUUCUGCUGUGAAAGAUUAAUUGAGCGGAUUCAUAAAAUUUUUUCGCCAACGGCCUUAUUUGGGUGAGUUUUGGUACUCCAAAAAGUUAAGCAUAAUUUUUCAACUUUGAAAAGAAUUAACAGCAAUAGUCAAAAACCUUGAGGGAAUUUUUUCAAAAUACUGUAAAAAAGUUUUAUUUCGCAAUUUCUACAGGGUCCGUCUGAUGCUCCUACCACGUCCUACAUACAAUUCGAUCUCGAGACCUUGCCAACAAUUCUGUGUAAAAUUCAAAAUUAAAAAAUUGAAUAGCCCCACAAAAUGGUUUUAUUUGCAUCAUGAUUGUGUUUUUUCCAAAAAAAAUUUCCAAACAUCCUCAUGCUACAUAUUUUUGGGACAUGUUUUUUUUUUUUUCCUCCCGUUCUAUGCAUGAAAAAAGAAUAAAAGUUACUCCAUAUUAUGGACACGGUUGAAGGCAUUUAAAAAAUAAAAGGGUAAUAAACACUGUGCAAAAGGUUUUCUCAAGCUGGAUCGAUCAUUAAAUGCCGGAUUUACGUGCUGGAUUGACAAACAUUGAACGCUUACCCGUCCUCUUUCCCUACAGACAACUUUGUGGAGCUUCAAAAUUGAACAUCAAGAACUGAACAUCGACGAUCAAGAUUUUAAUGGUAACUUGCCAAAAAUAUUGGAUCUCAGGGGAAACCUAACAGACGACCCUUUCACUUUUACGUCUCCAAGUUGCUUACUCCUUGAUUUUUCUGCACUAGCUGAUCCCCUGCUGCUUUCUUCAGUCAUUAGAUCAUUUCCUUUCUUCACCUUUUCAUGGUAAACAGCUGGUGGAGCAAGCCUCAGCUGAGGCAUAUUCUCUAUUUGGCUUGAUCUCUGGUCUUUAUGAAGAUUGUUCAAGAGCUCAAACUGGAUCAACCAAAAACCAAUGUGUAAAUCAAUGUGUCAAUCAAGCAAUAGGGUUGCAAUAUUAAAAAUGCAAAAUCAGAUUUACCCUAGAAAUUGGGUGGGAACCAUAGGAAUUCUCUGACACAUCAUUAUCUGGUGCAUGAAGAACACUUGUGCCGGGUACUUUAUGCGAUCUUGAUAAAGCUUUGCUCACCAACUCAUUCGCGACAACCACAGAUUUGCUUCUUGAUCUCUGAGCUUUCUUCCCAGCCACACAAAUGGGACAUCCAGCUGAUGAGCCCCAAACUGAAGUCUCAUUUUCCUGGAGUACACAGUGGACAUGCAUUGCAUGGCCACAACUGAAAACUUGGAUGCUGGAGCUGUGGGAUCUUUUUGUAAGGAGUCCAUUGCAUACACAACAUGUUAGUCCCCGAGGGGCAAAACCAUGGGAAGCACCCUUCUUAAGUAAGCUCAUGGUGUAGUAGGUAUCGUCCUCAAUCAAGGAUUUGGCAGUGUCCUGACAUGACAUCAGAAAAAGUCACUAAAUGCGUAAAAUGCUAGAGUAAUUUAUUCAAAAAUCACUCUCAAAAAAAGAAAGCAUCAAAAGUCUAAUAUCACAUAAUAAACUCGUGAAUUCAAGUCAAGCUAAUCACAGCUAGAAGUUCCCAUAUGAGAUGUUUUACUGGCUUUUAAUAUAGUAACUCCGGACAGUUCAACCAAGUCAAUUUUUUAAUAAAAAGUAAAGAGCUUAACAAAUAACAACAAAGAAGAUGGAGCUUUCAUGCACAAGUCAAGCAGAAUUCAGAUAUAGUCCUCAAUGGAGAAAAUAAUUAGAAUUCUGUAGUGUCAAGAGAUCCUUCACAUUUUGAUGAACUUUUGCUGCUUUACACUUUUAUACCACUGCUCCCUCUGUUUUCCUCUUCUGUUACACCCAAUCUUUAGUUAUUUCACCAUCCCUUUUACUGUUUAAUUCUUUCUGACAACGUAUGUGUGUUGGUGGUUAUUUGGCCAGCGAGUCAAUGCACAACAGUAAAUUAGUGCAAGCAUCCACACAUUAAAAAGGAAGAAAAUUUUGUAGCUCCUUAACCAGACAAGCCACUAGAAGACUCUCUGUCAUCAUCAUAGAUUGAGAUUUGAAACAUCUUAAAACUUUCUGCAUCCAGCCGUAUAGACUGGAAACAGGUGUUACCAUAUCCUUCAGGACAACCUAUGGUCACAAGUAUCUUGGAUCCAUUUUCAAAUAAAUCAAUAUUCUUCCAAGUACUUAAACCCCAACUCUGGCAAGAAUUCACAAGAUAUAAUAGCCUUUCUUUGUGGCAAACUAAUGCACAAGGGUUCCGGCCUCCAGACAUUGCAUUGUAAAAAUGAACAUAAAAAAUUAACACUUUUUCGUUCUUUCACAGAUGUCAACUAUGUGAAUAUAUGUUGAAGCAUAAAGCCUGACUCAAACUUUAACAAUUCACUUUCUACACCACAGUCCUAAAUAGUUUUGCAUCGGGAAAACUUGAAAAGAUAUGUUGACAGAAUGUUCAAGGGGUCAGUGCAGGGAAGCAUAGUAACCAUGAAGAACAAAUGAACUAACAUCAAAUCAAUGAUUUACAAAACAAAAAUUAGACUGCAGACUAACCAGAAUUCUUCUUUCAAAAUCAUAUGUUCCAAGCAUGCCCAAUAUGGUAGGUUUAAAGUCACCAAAUUCCUGGCUGCCAUUAUCUGAAAGAAGCUUCAACAUGAUUGUUGGGAGGUGAACAUACCCAAUCAUUCCUUCGACUAUCUCUCUAAUAAAUAAAGAGAGCAGUUUCUUCAAAAUGUAUGCAUUUUUGUGAGACUUUGAGAUCUUCCAUUUUAUUAUGCAGUCAUCUUCAUGAUCUUGCUUAACUUCUAGAACUUCCAUGUCUUGCUGAUGUAUAGAUCUUGUUUUGCUGCUACAUGAAUCCAUUAGAGGCAAACAAAACCUACAUUGAAAGUAUAAAAUAAUGAAAUACAAUAAUGCCAUGCCAACUUAUCUUGGUAAUGGACAAGUAACAAUUGCAGGUAUAUUCUCAGAUAUGUCAGUUCCACUAGCAGCCAUGAGGAAACAUAUAAAACCAAAAAAAUAAACACACGUGCACACACCCCACAUUAAAUACUAAAAAAAUGAGUCAGAGAAAGUGUCUGUGUGUGUGUGUGUGAGAGAGAGAGAGAGAGAGUUAAGGAGUUGAUAUAGAAACAGGUGCAUGCCUCUAUGUAUGGUUGUGUUACUUAUGACCUGUACCAAUAUUACCCCAGACCAUUCAACAAACGGCGUCAAGGUCUGGUUUCAUUUCAGCCCACAACCUAACUAAAAACCAUACCAACUGCCUAACUCAGCCCUUUUAACUGUUCUAGUUUUUAGAAUAACAACUGAAAAACUAAACUGAUAAUAGCUAAUUAGAAGUGACAAAAGAAGUGUAAAAAUAUAAAUGGAAGUCUUACGAGUCAAGCAACUGAAACCACAGGUACUCAGACUCAUGAGGAUCCAAACGCGGACUGUUCCGUUGGCAUAGUCCAAUACAAGAGUGCAGAAUGUCAAGUAUGUCAUUGACCUAUAAUGUUGAAGCAUUAUAUAAGAACAUAAGUAUGCUCCUGUCACCAAGAGCAAAGAAGUUAAGGAGACGACAAACCUCCUCCUCCUUUAAAAUUGAAUUGAAGUGCUUAGGACGAGAAUCAGAUGGGCCAAUAGAAGCUUCAAGCACAAUAAAUUUUUCAUUGAGGCCAGAAAGAAUGAGCAUAAGAGCACUUCCAACAUCACCAACCCUUUCCAGCAAGAAGGAAGCUGCAUCUACAAUUCCAUAUUCCUGACAGAGGCGUAAACAGUUCUCUACUCUAUAGCUUUCAAAGGUCUCCAAGAACUUUCGAACUGAUUCCCGCUCAUAGCGACACAACAGCUGCAAAAGACAUGGUGACAACUAUAACUAAACCAUAGAUACACAAGAUUAACUAAGCCAUAAACUUUUAAAUGGAGAAAAAUAAAUUAUAAGUUGUUAACAUGAUAACCCAGAGCUUGCUUGUUCAACUGCACAACAAUAAACAUACAAGUCCAUUGAGCAUAUGCGACAGCAGCUUGCCACACGCAUGAUACUUGAUGUUAAGGAAAUAGUGAAUAUGACAUGAUUAAUAAUACAUCCCUCCUUUUAAGAACUUCAUCCACAGUUCAAGAUAUACUCACCUCAAGAUACUGUUCUGUCACUUCAUCUGUCAGCUGAAUUGGCUUAGUGCGGAGCAAUUUUGGGAAAUCAUUCAAUUCUUCAAGGAACGUCUUAAUUCUAUCUGACUGAUGCUUUGCCAUCCUUCCACUCGGAAAAUGUAAACUACCAUCUUUUCUUAAGCAAGAAAAUUUGAGAUUUCCAGUUGUGUGAACCUCAACAAGUGUCUUCAAAUAAAGAAAAAGGCUCUCUGGGUGAGAGUGUAACUGAGAAAACAAAAUUUCCUGACUUUGUCCAUGGAAAUGGACAACCACCAGAAAGAAAGUUCCUUCUCUGCAGAAAUAAGAUAAAAAGAAAUGCCAAAUUGACCAAAUGAUGUAGGUUUCUAUAAAUAACAAACUAUGCACACAAAAAGAUAAAACGUGAACUUCAAGGCUUCAUAACAAAUUUUACUUUUGAGAUCCACAAAACCAUCAGAGUUUGUGCAAAAUUACCUGUCUAAUUUGACCAGAUCACCAAUCCUUGAAAAGACUGCUGCUUGGAAGGCUUCUGAAUCAGUCUCACUCAGUCGCCGCAACAUAUCAUGGAUAAAAGAAAGAGCAUGAAUGGAUUCAUCUACAGCUUUUAUAUAACUAUCCAAUGCAGCAACAUACUGACAUCUGUUUGAAUGAAUUAAGCCGCAGACCUGAACAAGGUGAUAAAAACUUUACAAUCGACUCAUUCGAUAUCCAUGGAUUUGCCUAACAAUGGACAUUAUUUUCAUCAGCAUGUGAAAUACCUGGUGAAACUGACAUCUUUCACACAAAUGCAACAGGUAUGGAGCAUCCCACUCUGUGUCAGGUACAACCUCUAAAAGUGUAAGCAAUUGCUUCUCUCUUCUUUUGUGGAUCUCAAUAUUCUGCCUAGAGACACUAGGUGAAAAGCUAAUUUCUGAUGUCAAAUACUCCAAAAUUUGACUUAAAAUAUCUCUAGACACCUUCGCUCUUUCACAGGCAACAUAAUAAGUAACAAACUCAAUUAUGUGGCCUGCAUCUUUCUUUGAAGGCCAAGUCUCCAAUGAACUACCAUCGUCACUGCUAGUAGAACAGCCCCUUUGGAAGUAGCUUGCUUCAAGGAUAAGAGACAGAACAUCUACUAAUUUCUGGACCAAAUUUUGACUUUCAUCCCCCAAGUCCUUCACUCCCACAUUUGAACUGGUCAAGUCGUGACAGAGAUUGUUAAAUGCUAGAUUUUGUUCCUCUAAAAAUGCACAAUUCAAAACAUCUAAAGUGGCUUCAGUAUCCAAAUCUAACAGGUGACACAGAUUUGGGAAUGGCUUAUCAGACAUCGAGUUUGUAAGUGCCUGUGGAUUUGGGAUACUAGAAUCCUCUAAUAGAAAUGCCAGAAUGUCUUUUCUUAUAGAUAAUAGCCGUGUAGGAGAAAGUGUCCCAUGUCCUGCAAAAUAGAGAUAACUUGAGUCACUAUAAUUCCUAGUACAGUCCUUGGCUUUAAAUUUCAGAAGUGAUAAGAUCAAGUAUAAAUUGAAAUAGCUGCCUAUUGCACAUAGGAAUAAAUUACUUUCAACUUUUAAAUUAACAGUAUUGUUAUUCCGCCCGUAAGUCUAAGCAUCUUACCUCUCCAGAAACAUCCAAACUAAUUCAUUGAGAGAAAGGCACAAUUUAAGAGAAAUCCUAGUGCAAGACAAUAAGCACUCUAAAGAAAUCCGAUUGUAUCACAUCGUGCAAAAAGAAAGGUCUUAAUCUUCUGAAGAGCUCAAUGCUGUCGCAUUAUCCACAACACAUAUAUCCGUUUUACAGCUUCAAAAUUCCGAUUUACAGGCAUUUUAAUAUGGUAAGACAAGAGAAAAUGUGAUAUGAAAUACAAAAGAUGCUGCCAUUUGAAUAUUAAAUAACUUUGAUGCAGCCCAGUUCCACUUGUUAUGAAAAUAUCUAUUUGAGGGAAGUGCUACGAUACUUAAAAUUAGGAAAAUAUAAGAAUCCUAUGCAAGAUUAGUCACCUCGCUUAUUCGAAAUCUGAAGAAAGAAACUACUCAAUUUUAUCAAUUUGGUUGUAGCUAAUUUUGGUGCUCGUAUUUUGAGGAUCCUGCCAAGCUAGGAGGGCAUUAAAAGCCUUGGCUGGAUAGUGGUUAUUUGCAAGGACCAAAUAUUUGAAGCCAAAUUUUCUCACCACUGCAUGACACUAAACUUGUCUCCACUAUAUUUUCUUUUAAUGGCUCUUGUUAAUAACUCGCUGCAAAAAUUUUCACUGCACAUGAGCUUACUGGUUUACUCAAUUUCUUCUCUGAAGAGAAAUUUUCAGAGAAUGUUGCAAUCAUGUUACUUCUCCAGGAAUUCAAGCCAGUUUAUACUCUCUUAACAUGUUCAAGCAGUUGACCAGCUAAAAUCAAUCCGGGCCAAUUGUACAUUUGCCCCUUACAUUUGGACUGUGGACCAAUUUGGUCCCUCAAGUUUCCUGAAAAAUCACAUUUGUGACCUUUACUUUAUUUUAAAAAAGGAAAUUUCAUGAAAGUUGACUGUUGAAAAUCUAGAAUAUCUUUUUCUAUGUAUAUCCCAUGAUUUCUGCUCUAUUUUAGGAUAGAAUAAUUUACUCCUAAUGUAUUUUAGGAUAGAAUAAAUUAGCUCCUAAUUUUUAGGAAAUUACAGAUUUCAUGGAAUUGACAAAAGUCAAAUUCCAUUUGUAUAAAUGUUGUACAGAGUCUAGAACAAAAGAUAUGACAGAACAAUUCAGUUUUUCUUUUUGUUCAUGGUAUCAGAGCUUUUGCUCUUGGGACCUCUUCUUGUCAGCCUUCAUUGCUGAGUGCUUUCCUCUUUUCAAGUCUUUAUUGCCAAGUGCAAUUUCCAGCCUUCAUUGCUGAUUUUUUUUUUCAUUAGGCCUUCAUUGCCAAUUUUUCUUUGAAACCUCCAACAUGUCUGAAACUGAAACAUCAGAAAUCCACUCCAAUACCAAAUCAGAAGAGACCUCAAAUAUUCCACAAACAGGGGAUUUGCAGAGUAUCCAGGCAGCCUACAGGCUCAACGGAAAAAACUAUUUGAAGUGGUCACAAUUUGUUCAAACAUUUCUCAAAGGAAAGGGCAAAAUCAGCCACUUGCUUGGAACUAGACCGAAAAAGGGAGAUCCUAAAUUCGCUGCUUGGGAUGAAGAGGAUUCUAUGGUCAUGUCAUGGCUGUGGAACUCCAUGUUACCUGAAAUAAGCGAUACUUGCAUGUUCCUACCAACAGCUCAAGAUAUAUGGACUACUAUUCGACAGACCUAUUCAAAGGCAGGAGAUGCUGCCCUAAUCUAUGAGAUCAAAACAAAGAUCUCAGCCACUAAACAGGGCAACCUUUCUGUUACUCAAUAUGCCAAUCUUCUGCAAAAUCUAUGGCAGGAACUGGACCAAUAUUGGUGUGUUCAGAUGUUGUGUAGUGAAGAUGCAGCCACCUUGAAAAACUUUAUCGAAAAGGAUAGAGUUUAUGACUUCCUUGCAGGUCUGAAUGUGGAAUUUGAUCAGGUCAGAGUCCAGAUAUUGGGGAAGGAAAGAUUAUCAUCUCUGAAUGAGACAAUAUCAUUGAUUUGAGCUAAAGAGAAUAGGCGAGAAGUCAUGUUAGAGCCUAAAACAUUAGAAGGCUCGGCAAUGAUUUCUACAAAGUCAAAUAAAGAUACAAUUUGGUGCACGUACUGCAAAAAAUCACGCCAUACGCGAGAUGAUUGCUUCAAACUCCAUGGGAAGGAACAAGUCCUUAGUCGUAAAGGAGGAUUCAAAGGGGGAAAAGCCCACUUAACUGCUGGAGAAGACCAAACACAAGAAAAAUCCAACCAGGCUGGUAUGGGAGAAUUCAAGAAAGAAGAAAUCGAAAAGCUAAGAAACCUCCUAAAUUCCCUUGAAAAGUCCUCUAGUACGUGUUCAUUGGCUCAAUCAGGUAAGUACCUUACCUCUUAUGCUUUAAGUGCCUCAAGCAUGUCUUCUCUAGGCUCUUGGGUCAUCGACUCAGGAGCUACUGACCAUAUGACUCACAGCCCAAUCAGAUUUAAAACAUACAAUCCAUGUCCUGGAAAUAGAAAAAUUAUUGUUGCGGAUGGAUCUCCUAUAACUGUUGCAGGCCAAGGGACAGUAAAUCUAUCAAAUUCUUUGUCCCUAAAUAAUGUGUUGCAUGUCCCAAAAUUGUCCUCCAAUCUCAUAUCCAUCCAUCAAAUUACCAAAGAUUUGAACUGUAAAGUAAUUUUCUAUUCUACUCACUGUGUUUUUCAGGAUUUGGUUACCGGGAGGACAAUUGGACUUGCUAAGGUGAAUGAUGGGCUUUAUUACCUUGAGGAGAUGAGUGGCAACAAGAAGAACAAAAAUCAGUUAUCCCUCACCUGCUCCUCAAAUAAUAAAUCUAAAAUUUGGCUUCAUCAUUUCCGUCUUGGUCAUCCAUCUUUUAUUUUACUUAAAAGCAUGUUUCCUUCACUUUUCAAGAAUGAAGAUGUUAGUAGUUUUCAUUGUGAUACAUGUGAAAUUGCUAAACAUCAUAGACUAUCAUUUCCAUUGAGUAAUACAAGAUCUACUAGACCUUUCUCUUUGAUACAUACUGAUAUUUGGGGGCCUUGUAGAAUUUCUAGUAUUUCUGGAGCAAAAUGGUUUGUCACAUUCAUUGAUGAUUGUACUAGAACUACUUGGUUAUUUCUUAUGAAAGAAAAAUCAGAAGUAAGCAGUAUUUUUCCAAUGUUUCAUAAAAUGAUUUGUACACAAUUUGGAAGUUUGAUUAAAAGAGUAAGAUCUGAUAAUGCAAGAGACUAUUUUAAUCAAAUUCUCUCAUCUUUUUUCCAAAAAGAGGGUAUAAUACAUGAGUCAUCUUGUGUAGAUACACCCCAACAAAAUGGGAUUGUUGAACGAAAAAAUAGACAUUUACUCAAUGUGACUCGAGCAAUUUUGUUUCAACAUAAAGUUCCAAAAACUUUUUGGGGAGAGGCUGUUUUAAUUGCUGCACAUUUGAUAAAUAGAGUACCUUCAAAAGUACUAAAUAAUCAAAGUCCCACUGCUGCUCUUUCUGUUUUUUACCCUGAUUUUAAUGUCUCUUGCACAUUGUCACCAAAAGUGUUUGAUUGUGUUGCUUUUGUACAUGUUCAUGCACACCAAAGAGGGAAACUUGAUCCAAGAGCUUUAAAAUGUAUUUUUGUGGGAUACUCAAACACAAAGGAUAUAAGUGUUAUCAUCCACCUUCAAAAAAAUUUUGUACCUCCAUGGAUGUCACAUUUGUUGAAAAUGAACCUUACUCUCAAAGUAACAACCCUCAUCCCCAGGGGGAGAGUUCUUGGGAAGAUAAGGAAUUUCUCCUUGAUCUUCAGAGUCCUACACUAAACUUAAAGUCUUUCAAGCCUGACCAUACACCAAAUUCUAAAGGAGAACAUACUAGCAGUGAACCUGAACCUGAAUUUGAAGUUGAACAUGCCAGUAAAGAAAUUGAACCUGAUCUUGGAGCUGAGGGAAAAUCUGGUUUAAAUCCAACUACACCACUCAAGGUCUACUCAAGGAAGAAAGUUCAUAUUUCUGAACCUGUGCAAAUCCAAGAAUCUGAACCACAAUCAGGUACUGAAAAUUCUAUUCCUUUGUGUGUUCAAUCUGACUCUGCUCCUUGUGAAUUUAAUGAUUUAGACCUGCCUAUUGCUGUUCGAAAAGGAACAUGAGAAUGCACUAAGCAUCCAAUCUCAAAUUUCGUGUCUUUCCAUAGACUCUCUCCACAACAUAAAACUUUCCUUACCACCAUUAACUCCAUUUCAAUCCUACAAACACUAUAAGAGGCACUUAGAAAUAAGAACUGGUUACAUGCUAUGAAAGAGGAGAUGAAUGCCCUAGAGAGAAAUAAGACUUGGAAAAUUGUAAACCUGCCUAAAGGAAAGAAAACAGUGGGGUGUAAAUGGGUGUUUACUUUGAAAUAUAGAGCUGAUGAUUCAUUAGAAAGGCAUAAAGCUCGGUUGGUCGCAAAAGGAUAUACACAGACAUAUGGGAUAGAUUACCAAGAGACCUUUGCACCCGUUGCAAAAAUGAAUACUGUGCGUGUUCUUUUGUCUUUAGCUGCUAACUUUGGUUGGUGUUUACAGCAAUUUGAUGUUAAGAAUGCGUUCUUACAUGGGGAUUUAGAAGAAGAGGUGUACAUGGAACCUCCACCGGGUUUCAAUGAAAUGUUUUUUGAAAAGAAAGUGUGCAGGUUAAAGAAAGCUUUAUAUGGAUUAAAACAAUCGCCAAGGGCUUGGUUCGGAAGAUUUACUAAAGUGAUGCUAGCAAUGCAAUACAAACAAAGUCAAGGAGAUCAUACUUUGUUCAUAAAACAUUCAAAAGGAGGUGUUACAGCUCUACUUGUAUAUGUAGAUGACAUCAUCAUCACCGGAAAUGAUCCAAUUGAAAGAGAAACACUCAAAAAGUGCUUAGCAAAGGAGUUUGAAAUUAAAGAACUAGGGAGGCUGAAGUAUUUUUUAGGCAUUGAGGUGGCAUACUCAAGUAAAGGCAUCUUUGUUUCCCAACAAAAGUAUGUCUUAGACUUGCUUAAAGAAACAGGCAAUCUUGGAUGCAAGGCAGCAAGCACACCCACUGAGCCUAACUUGAGAUUGAAUGAUGAGAAGGAUGAUAAUGCAGUAGAUAAGGGAAGAUAUCAGCGGUUGGUUGGGAAACUGAUAUACUUGUCCCAUACAAGGCCGGACAUAGCAUUUGCUGUAAGUGUAGUAAGCCAAUUUAUGCAUGAUCCAAGAGAGAAACACUUGCAGGCUGUCAAUAGAAUUCUAUCCUACCUCAAAGGGACACCGGGUAGAGGAAUUUUGUUCAAGAAAAAUGAAGGAUUGCUCAUAGAGGCAUAUACUGAUGCUGAUUAUGCAGGUUCUGUUGUAGAUCGUAGAUCAACUUCAGGAUAUUGUACAUUUCUUGGUGGGAACCUAGUGACAUGGAGGAGUAAGAAGCAAUCGGUUGUUGCAAGAUCAAGUGCUGAAGCAGAGUUUAGAGCUAUGGCUCAUGGAGUUUGUGAAUUGCUAUGGCUCAAAAUAAUACUUGAUGAUCUUAAAAUCAAGUGGGAAGGACCUAUGAAACUCUAUUGCGACAACAAGUCUGCCAUCAACAUUGCACACAAUCCAGUGCAACAUGAUCGCACAAAGCACAUCGAAGUUGAUAGUGGCAUGAUUUGCACUCCAUAUGUAGCAUCAAAUAAUCAAUUGGCAGAUGUCUUAACUAAGGGAAUGCCAACUUCCAACUUUGAAGACAUUACGUGCAAGAUGGGAAUGGAAAAUAUCUAUUCACCAUCUUGAGGGGGAGUGUUGAAAAUCUAGAAUAUCUUUUUCUAUGUAUAUCCCAUGAUUUCUGCUCUAUUUUAGGAUAGAAUAAUUUACUCCUAAUGUAUUUUAGGAUAGAAUAAAUUAGCUCCUAAUUUUUAGGAAAUUACAGAUUUCAUGGAAUUGACAAAAGUCAAAUUCCAUUUGUAUAAAUGUUGUACAGAGUCUAGAACAAAAGAUAUGACAGAACAAUUCAGUUUUUCUUUUUGUUCAUUGACUAAUUAGUAAUGUAAUGAAACUUGAGAAGAUGCAGACAGACACCACCAAUCACUCCUGGUGAACCAAAAAAAAAAAUUUUUUUUAAUAGCAGAUUAUCUCAGGCAAUUUUCUAGCAACUGUCCUAAUUUCUAUGUCCCAGUUAUAGAUGUACGAGGAAGCCAGAAGAAUUUUGUAGAACAUUAGGUAGAAAAUGGCACAAUAAGUUUUCUCUAAGGUUGAGCAUCCAUUUUGAAAUGCAGUCAGAGUGAUUUCCUACAUGGAUAAGUCAAUUUCUGUAAAUAACCCUUAACUGAUUCAAGAUAGGAAGUAAUGGACUCAAUUUGUUCCUUGUGAAACUUGAGGGAAAUGUGAGUUCGUAGGCCAAUAACUGGGGACCAUAAAUGCAACUAGGCAAAAAGAGAUCUUGGUUUGCUACAUAUAAUUGAGAAACUCUUAUCCUCCUCAUUUUGCUUCUCUUGUAUAUAAGUUCUACAGUUACACAUGAAACUCAAAAAAUUUGCUUUAGUACUGACCCUAUACAGAAUAAUUUGUAAGAUCCUGAGCAUCAUUUGAUUGAACAAAAACUUACAGGUGGAAACUGCAGUUUACCUGGAGGAAAAGCAAAGCCAUGGAAGCAGUAUUUCAGGUAAACAAGUAUCCUGUACCUGUUUCCAUUGGUAAAAGAUGUGAUUGUUUUGAGCUAACAAAAGAUUUAGGAGUUACCACAGGAGAAACAAAUCGGGACAUCUUUGAGUGUUGUCUAAUAGAAAUUGACGAAAAUAAAUAGCUUAUGGUGCUCAUUCACAAUAAAACAGAUUACCCAAGGACUGAAGCAUUUUCCCUCUCGCAUUGUUGUAAGACAACCAAGAGCUCCUCCAAAGGAGUCCUGAAAUCAUCUAGACCUUUGUUAAACAAAUAUAUCAAUGCACCAUGCAACCUGUGCUCCCUGCACAGACGUACAACCUACAACAUAAAUUACAGUUCAUUAGCAGAUGGGAAAAAAGAAACGGACAUUAGGGGGGCUAAAAGAGAAAAUAUCAGAAUAUUUCUCAGAAAUGGCAAAAUUUUUUACGGAAAGCAAGAGUACUUUAACAUAGCGCAAUCAGAAACUGCUACAUAAGCAUAUACCAAUCACCAGUUGAACAAAGUAAUAACCAAUAAAAAUUUGCACAAUUGAAAUACCUGGUUGAAAUCCAAUGAUGAAAUAUCCAUGUGGAGAACACAUUGUUCAACUCGCUGCAGCCAACCUUUCAUACUAUAAUGCUCAACUAAAGCUUGCAUAAUCUACAACCAAAAAAUAGGGUCAAAUGAGCGGUAGUAACAGGCAUGUUGAGAAAACACAAAAUAGUAAAUGAAACCAUUUUUGACACUUAAUUGCAGAAUACAAAGACAUGAGCAGUACCGCAGGUGGCAGACAUCCCAGCAUGUCUUUCAAUAUGUAAGGCUCCAAAAGCUCCACAAACGUUUCUGAGGGGAAAAAACUUAACGAAAUCAUUGACCAUAAUCUCUUACAGAGAUCACCACAUCUAACAAGAUUUAAGGUUGUGCCCCAAGUUUCUUCAAAACCGGAUAAUAGAUGAUACCAACAUAGCAACAAACUGCAACAGUGACAUAUCACUAUGGUUUUCAUCAUAGUACACAUUUUAAGAUGUAGUGCAAGUCCCCAAAGGAAUCCAGGACAUUCAUUUAAAAAUAUAACAUUCCCUUUUUAGAGAACAGAAUAAAAGUAUUACUUCAUUGACCACCAAACGUAUUUCACCACCCAACAAAAAAGACAUAAUCAUACUCAACAGAAAACAAUAAAGUAGAAUGCAAGACCAAAAAGAUUCAUGCUCCUUGGUGCUGACUUGUAUGAACAGAAAGAGAGUCAAACUAUGUAUGAACCCCUAGAUUUAUCCCCGAGGACCAUAGAAUUUUACCUUCCAUUCUGCGCAUAUUAACUACAAUAAUAUUCCGACACAUGAAGUAGCAGACCCUGUAAAUACAUAGUGCUACGGUAGCAGUGGUCAAGUGGUUAGAAACUAGGCAUUCAAAACCUGCUGGUUAUGUGUAGUGCAAGAAAUUAUUCCACAAGAAGAAUAAAUGCACAUAUCGUAAGGACUUGCUUGACAUGAAAAAACAUAUAGAUGGUGCAUGUGUUUUGGUUGAAUGGGUGUUUUUAGAGGUCUAUUUUGAAUUAAAGGUGUAUUUUUUUGAGAGAUGUAUCAGAUGAAAAGGUGAUUUUCCACCACCCAAACAGAACCUUAGAUAUUCCUACUUUCCAUAUACCCUUUUGGAGAAGUUCAACUAGAAUAAAUUCUAUACUAUCAACAGAUAAAUAAUAAAAGAUAGGAGAAAAAAUGUAUACCUAAAGAAAUUGAAUGGAACAUUCCAAGCUACUAAAAUAAUUGCUCUAGCCUUAAUUUAGAACGUCCAAAGCACGUCAAAACAGUCAAAUACCUUUAUGUUUAGCUGCACAAAAUUUGGCAUAGAUUUCAUCGAACAGGAUAUCAGUUCUCUUGAUAUGUACGCAAAACUCAACAGCAACACCACCAACACGGAUAUACUGCUCUUCUAUUUCAGGAUUAUCAGAGUCACUGCUACUCUUUGACUCAUCCAAUUGGUCUGAAUUCCCCACUUGGUUCCCAGAUGCAACUUUUAUAUACGAAAACACCUCAUCUACGUAGGACAAAAGAAGCUCUGCUAGGUAUGGCAUAAUUGUCUUCUGUACAUCAUCUAAAGUUCUUGGAAGAUCAAUAACUCCAUGAGCUUGGCCAUCAUAAAUUGUCAUAGCCAUGUUCAAUGCCCCCAUCCAGUCACCUGCUCUGUGCAAAACUUCUAUACGUUCCUUCCAGGGGAGAAGACGGGAAACAACAAGAUGGGAGGUUCCGAGGAUAUAUAUGCUGGCGCCCCUUACAGCUACACAGUUAUGAUGAGCUUUCUCAGGAUUCCCAUGAAUAUUGUUAAAGUAGGUAUGAUAUGUAAUCAUAUCAUCUCCUCCUGUUCCAUUGACAGCAAAGCUUGUGUCAUGAAUCAUAUUUCCUUCUUUUGUGAACAUCACAAGUCGUCCUAUUGAUGUGAGAACUACCAGCAUCUGCGCAAACAUGUGCUACUAUUAAGAAAUAGAUAACAUAAGGUACUCAGCCAGCAUAAAUUUAGGAGUAAAUGAUAUACAUACUUAUGUUAGAAUAACUAAUGCAAUAUCCAGAACAAAAGAUAACCUGAUCAUCUAACCAAGCCACACCCACUGCCGGACAAUCCAGAGUCCAUUUUGCAUAUACUUUUAAUUCUGACUUCACCAACUUAGCCACCUGAACUUUUCGAUCCCAAGCAAUUGCAAGCCAGGAACAUUUUUCUAAUGUUUCAGCAGGUACAGUUUCUGCAACAACACAAAUUCUUCGUGAAAAAAAACACUUAAAAUGAAUAUUCAACAUAUCCUUCCAGACAUACCAGUUGAAGAACCGAGCAAAUCAGACAUGCAUCUCCAAGCAGCAUAAGGCAUUGAACGAUCCCCAACACCAUCAGGCUUAGGAAUUUGAGCAUACACUUCCACUGUCGGACUUACUUUUGCCUGCACCAGAUGCAUGACAUCAGAACUGGAAGGAGGAUUUUCAAACAUGUGUUAACUAACAAACAAUACAAAAGGACACAAAAUAAGUAAAUCCAUCAAGAACUUCAUACCACCAGAGCGGAUUGAUGAGUGACAAAUAUCACCACACCAUUUUCAACCAAAGAAGUGGAUUUCCAGCCAGAAUCUCCUCCAAUGACUCCACCCAUCAUGCUUCCAAUAGCACUUGUUGUAACUGAGCUGCUCACUUGGGAAGACAUAGACAAGCCUCCAAGGAAUUCAGUUGAAAGCAGCGGAGAUGCACAAAUUACCAUGCUAGUUGUUUCAUCGAGAAGUUUCUGGUUUGAAGGAAAAAGGGUUUAAAUUCUUGGAAAGAGUUAAUCUGUCCAGUAUUAGCUAUUAAAAAGCAUGAAGUAAUUGAGAAUGAAAGGCCUUACGGUUGCUUUGGAAUAGGAGAUCCGGUUAACCCAAGGAACCACAGAAAAACGAAUCAACUUAACAACACCUUUGCUAUCCCCACUAACUACAUUGAACUGGCGACUAGCUUGAGAAUCCUGCCCCAGAUAUAACAUAUGCACUACUGGAGCUUUAUGCUCAUUUAUAACUUUAAGUGCUGAUGCCCUUUGCACAUCCCAAACAGAAAAAUGGCCAUCCCCAUAACCGGCAAAGAGCAAAUCUCCCUGCUGGUUGAAGCACAUGGAAGUCACAGGAACAUAAGAUCUUUCCCCUUGUAAUCCAAGCAUCAACAUCUGAACAAAUAAUGUUUGGACAAUUCAGUAAGUAGCACAACUAGAUAUGGGAACAUAUGUCAAGGAGACAUAAACAGUCAAUAAAUACCAAGCAAAAGGAUAUUCUUGGUACUUAAAUACUGAGUUUCUCAACAAGGUUGUGCCACUACCUAAAGUCUAAGAACUUUGGAGCCAAUAGUUUCAUCAUUUUCUAUCAAAAGUUGCUGUUACUACUCACUUUGUUCUAACAAUGAAGAAACGAAACAUCCAAUCACAUCUGGGUUCAGCACAAACAUCAUUUUGAAGGAAGAAGGCGCUAGCUUUCUUGGAGAAAUUCUGAGUUCACUCAUGAAAGAAAAUCUCAUAGACAGAAACUAGUCAAAGCUCAAGAAAAUAAGUGUAGAAUUAAACCUUUGAGUCCAUGUUGUCGGAAUGGUAAGGAGAGUAUUUGCUUGGGAAGACAAGAAUGACUCCUUUAGACAUCCCUAUAGCAAUGUAAUUGAGAUGAACUGAAAGAACUGAUGGAAAUCCAUGUUCCUGUUUGAAGGCUUGCAAGGAGAUGGCCCGAGUAAUGGCAUUGUUUGAAUCAACAUCAAAGUAACCCAACACAGUUGAUCCCCUCCUAACACCCUCAAGCCUCAUGGGUUGGGCAGCAGCACCUUCCUCCCAGUACAUGCCUGUAAAUGCUUGUUUCUUCUCAAGCUCUUCAGCCAAUUCAAGCGGUGUCAAGCAAGGAUGGAGUGAUUUAUUACGUGUCUUUCUUCUACCCUUGUUGCUUUUCCAUUGCAAAGCAACAUCUUGUACAAUAUCUGCAACAUCGUCAUCGGAAUUGGUCUCAUGUCCUCCGAGACUCAAAACCUCAUCUUUAGAUUGUGAUAUUACAUUCUCCUGACCAUGCAUUUCAUCUGUCUUAGCAGUAAUCUCCUGCUCAAAACAUUCUCCUUCAUCUGGAUCAGCAACAAUAGAAGCAAUAUCCUUGUGGAUGACUCUGUUUGUAGAAUUAAUUCGAGAAUCCUCAUUAUUCUCAUCCUCCACCACUGAUGAAGAUUGUGCUUGAAUGGCAACUUCACUAGACGUGGGAUUCCUGUUUGCAUCCAAAUGUUUUUCUUCAGCUUUGGCAGGUAAAUGGAACUCAGUUGCAGCAGAAGAAGAAAUGGAUAAAAGCAUAGCCCCAGAUGAGUCAUCACUUCUUUGUUUAUCAACAUUUGAUACAAGAAAAGAAGUUGCAGCCUCUAGAUUGGGAGUCUGAUUGGUGGGCAGUAUUCCAGCAUCCUUGGCCGUCAAAUUCUCGUCCUGAACCCUAGAGAAAUGCCUGCAGCUGUCCACUUCAUCAUCAGCCUCUCUCACGCUCAAACCUAGUCCAGCUCCUCCAGCAGUAGAUGGAAGGCUAUCGCAUUCAUCAUAAACUUCGCCAUCAACCUCGUUGGGAACCCAGGAAGCAAGCUCUGAAUGAGCGGCAGUAGCAAUAGCAGGAGGAGGAGGAGGUGGUGGUGGCGGAGGCGGCGGCGUGGUGGAUAUGGAGUCGUUUUCCGCAAUAGCAAUGGAGCAAAGAGCCACAGCACUGGAAGAGGUUCUGGAGGACUUAAUGGCAGCGGCGUGGGGAGUUGGAAAAGAACGAGACGCGGCGGCCGCAGCGGCAAGGGCGGCACCGGGCUUGACAUUGGAUUUGACGGCAGCAAAUAGCGAAGGCAGAAUAACCGACCGCGAAGAAGCAAAUUCAGCCAAAUUUAUCCUAUUAUUAUUGCUACUGUUAAUGCUAGCAGUAAGAUUCCUACUAGUCCUAGAAGAAGAAAUUAUGGAAGUAGUAUUCAAGUGGUGGUUGCUAUUGGAAUCCAAGGAAUGCGCAAGAGAUAGCCCUUUUAUGCUGGGGGUUAUUGCAGACAAAGCAGCAACAAGAUCGUUGUUGUUGUUGUGAUUAUUACUACUGCUGUUAUUAUCAUCAUAGAUAAUUGUGCUAUUGGAAGAAGAAAUGGUGCUAGAAUUAUUACUCUCACUAAAGUUAGGAUCAUUAGUUGUUACUAGAGAAGGUUCUUGUUGAUGAUCUAAUCGAUGCAGCCGCCGAGAGGAAAGAGCAGUAGCAGCAGAAGUAGAUGGAGAAGAAGGGGGAGAGGGUGAACCUGCCGCCGAAGAUGAGGAUGAAGAAGAAGAAUCGUUGAGGAGGAGAAUUUCGUCGACUGUACGAUGAUGAUGAGGAACAGAGGAGGAGGGACUUAGGUACUCGUCGGAGUCACCAUCAUCCGUGCCAUUUCCGAGUCCGUGUGAUUCAAGGAAAGAGUCCAGCUCCAGCUCCAUAUCCACACCCAGAAAAAAUGAUUUUACAAAGACGUAAAAGUCAUGCUCGUCAUCCUUCUUCACAAAUGGCUAGUUUGGGAGUAUAGGAUACAGAAGAAAAGACGAGAAAACUUAGCUAUGAAAGAAAAGAAAAUAAGAGAAUAGGAUGGAAGUUUGGGAGUUUAGGAGUUUAGGAAACAAAUAGGAUGGUCUUGGAUAGGGUUAUUGUAACUUUAUCCCACUGAUGUUUGGUAUAGUAUCAAUUUUCCUUUAACAUUAUCUUUUAGUUACUUUAUUCUCAAGACUAAUGGUCAAAUAUUUAUUAACUAAAGUAAAAAUACAUGUUUAGCCCUUAUAAUUAUUAUUACUUUAUCCCCAUAAAUUAUAGUCUCAUCAUUCAUUUACUUCAUAAGGUUAUUUUUUUAGCAAUUUAUCCCACUAUUAAACUAAUUUUACAAGUUAAAAAAUUUUAUAAAAAAAUACCCUUCUUUUUGUAUAAUAAAAAUAAUAAAAAAUUUAGAAUGACUCUUCUCCUUUUAAUAUCGAGAAAAAAAGUCAACAUAUUAAUCUCUUUUUUUUUUGAAAAUCUUAUUAAUAUUGAAAAAAAAAAAAAGGAAAGAUAGGGAGGGAGAUAGAGAUAGAGAACUCAAUUAUUUUUUUAAAAUACAAAUAAUUUUUAUUAUUUUAAAAUUAUUUUACUUUUCUGUUGACCAUCCAAUUCCAAUUUUAAUCCCCACAACUUUAAAGUAAUAUGAUAAUGUUAGACUCUUUUUUAUUUUUUCCUUCGUAAAAUCUAAUUUUCUAUCUCAUUAUCUCCUAUCUUUUUUUCUUUUCCUCAUAUUAAUAAGUUUGAAAAGAAAAAUUUGAGAAAAUUCUUUUGUUUUUAUAUUUUUAUAUCUCUUAAAGUGAAAACAAAAAGAAAAAUAACCAUUCCAACAUUUUUUGUUUUUAAUUAUAUAUAAAAAAUGGUAAAUACAUUUUAAAAAAAUUUUACCACGCUGAUUAGAUUGAUGAUAAGAUAAAAUAUCUAGAAAAUAAUAUUAGAAAUUAAAGUGAUUGUAUUAUUAUAAUUUAAAGAGAUAGAGUGACAAUAACAAUGUAAUAAUACUAUAUAAUAAAAUGGUACUUUUAUCCAAAAUUUGUUAACAUGUUGAGUUGAAUUUAUCUAUGGUGGUGAAACAACUAAAAUAUAAAGUUAAAAAAUAAACAGAUAGUAGUGAUAUAAUUUAAAAGGUUAAAGUGAUAAUAACCAUUUUGGAUAUAUAUGUUAUUAAAAUUUUGUUUAGUACUCAUCUAAUCUAAGGAUUGGAUUAUAAAUUUUGGAAAAAAAUUUGUAGCCUUUUUUAUACAUUCCGUUCAAAUCAGGCCAUAAGUGGGUGGUAAAGUUGUUCAAUUGUAAUAGCAGAUUGAAUCCCGCCAAAUCAGACCAAAUCCUUUGCUUUUUGUUGUGAGUAAACUCGCAUGCAGCAGUGUUUGAACAGCUGAAUUAUUUCACAUAAUAUUUAGAUUGCAUCAUAAACAUAAUUUUCAACCCACAUUUUUAUUUUUUCAACUACCUCUUUAUCUCGCAUAUCCUUAUACUAUAUAAGAACGAGUUUAGGACUGGAUUUCAACUGCAGGGGUGAUGCUAUUUUGGGAAUGUGAGAGUGUUUGAAGAGUUAUUGGAACAUUAAGUACAAGUCAUUAUAGGUUUAAUUUCAGUAUAAUUACUUAUAUAACCUUUCAGACAUUUAAGUUUAGGGGCAGGUUUGGUAUGUUACAAUGUUUGGUACCAAAUUGAGUAUCAAGUACAACUGAAUAAACCUUGUAUUUUGAUAGAAUUACAUAAAAGUUCUUUUAAUCAUUUGUUAUACUAACAUCCAAGCCUUCCAAUUUCCUGAAACCUUUCUCAUCCGUUAAGGAAUUAAUUGGAUGUUUACAUAAUUGGAUUUUAAUUAUAAUUAAUUAACUUAAUUAUUAUCUGAACAAUCAAUUAUCAUAUUUAUGUCCCCAUGUUUAGCCGAUACCCUUUCUUCUUUUUCGGUUUCACCUCUUUGAUUUUAUUAUGACUAUUAAAUAUUUGGUGGAAUUCAUAGCUUUUCCUUUAAAUUGAGGUGAGUUCUUUGGAUUUAUCUUCUUCGAUUGUAGUUUUUUUUUUCUGAUGAUUGGUUUAUUCAAGAACUCCAUAUAGUUUGCCUUUUGAUACUUCUAAUUCCAAAAACUAACUAAUUGUAUUGUUUUUCUUAGUAGAUCCCAGAGAUUCUGUCUCUGGUCAAAGUACAAUUUGAGAUAAUGUUGUCACUUUCUAAAAUAAUCAGAAAAGUAAUUUUAUCAUCUUCUCCUCCUUAGCCAAGGUAUUAUCUCUUUAUUUAAGUCAAAUAACUUUAUUUCUCAUGAACUUUCUCCUAUUAUUCUUGACUCCAGGGAUUUGUUGACUACAUUCCAGCAGUUAUGGUUCAAGUAGUUAUUUUUUAAUGUAAUAUGAUUUGGAAUUCAGCUUGUGUUUAUUUUAAUUGGAAAUUUUAUGAUUGUAAAAUUUAUUAACUUAGAAUUUUGUACUUCAUUGAAACUAAAAAAGAAAAUUAAUCAUGCUACAUAGUACUAAGAUGUCAUUUGCACUCUAUUUGCUUUCCAUGUUAUGAUCUCGUUCUUGUAUUAUACUGUUUAUAUAGUUUCAAAUACAAAAAAUUUACUUUUUUAUGCUAUCUAAAAGAAUUUGUAGUGGAACUUGAUGAGUUUAAAUGCUUUAGCUACAGCACCAUUUUGAUUGCAUUGUAUUAAUUCAUUUACUCAUAAUUGUAUGUUGUACAAUGAUAAAUAAUGUUUCUUGAUUUGAUUGAAGCAACUAUUAUCCAUAGUUCAAACGAGUCAAUUAAGUAGAGAUGUUAUAUUGAAUACUUAUACAAGUAAACAUUGGAAAAUAUCAUUAAGCAGUUUCUACCUAUAGUUUGCAAUUCGAAUUCAUAUGAGAAAUUUCUUUUGAUUUUAGUUACCAUUUUCUACAAUUUCAAAUUUAGAAAAUAUUAUUUGCACCAAUUUUUUAUAAUCAAGAUAGUUUCAAUUCAGAUCUUUAACAAUUAUGCAGAUUUGAACUUAUUUAUGAGAUUAUAUAGAAAUGCCCCUAGCAAAAAACAUCAAAUCUGAAUAGUUACUACAAAACUUUGAAAAAGACCACUUAAGUUUCUUAUCUAUCUAUCAUUUUUGGGCAUUAUUAUCUCUGUAAGAAACAUGUGAUUAAGUCGUAUUAUACCCACCAAAUUAUAUAAAUAGUUAGUCAAAAAUAAAAUUAUUUUAGAUUAGAUUGGAUGCAAAGUGAUUGAUGGAUAAAUUUGACUUGAUAAUUCAGGUUGAGCUUAAGUCGAGGGAGAAAUCAGAAGCAUUGCUUGAGGGAUUUUUCACGAACAUAUAUAGAUUCGAGAGAUGAAAGGUCCAAUUGAUACUUUAAAAUGUUUUAUCAUCUUGGAUAAGUUUUAGAAGAGACCUUUGGAUACUUUUCAAUUGCACUUCAAACAUUCUUACAUUUUCAAACUACCCUUAUCUUUGUAGUUGAAAUUCAAACAUAACCUUUGAUCACAACGGAUUCUUAUAUAGUAUAACGAUAAGGAUGUCUCAUUGCACAUUAUUUUUAUUGACUCACUAUGUAACUUAUGAUUUUUCUAUUAAAAUCACAUGAUAAAAUCAUCAUACUUCAGUUCCUAUACUACAAAAUAUUAAACAAUAAUUAUUAAUUAUCUUGAAUCACAAGCACCAAAUUCCGGCGCGUCGCGCGAGCUGUCCCUCCCUAGUUUACUUCAUAAAAAGUACUAUAAUAAUUAUCUCGCAUGCUCACAUGACAGCUGAAUUAUUUCACAUAAUAUUUAGAUUGCAUCAUAAACAUAAUUUUCAACUCACAUUUUUAUUUUUUUCAACUACCUCUUUAUCUCGCAUAUUUACUUCAUAAAAAGUACUAUAAUAAUUAUCUCGCAUGCUCACAUUACAUUACUGACUAAUACAUUAAUAUGUAAUAUGCUAUAUUUGUUGAGACAACUCCACUUCCCCCUAGAGCAUAUCCAAGGAUUUGACGGACAUGCAACUACUGGGCAUGAAGUUCUGUCGUUUAUGGAUGGCUCUUCUGGAUAUAAUCAAAUUCGAUUGGCACCGGAAGAUGAGGAGCUCACUGCAUUUCGUACUCCUAAGGGUAUUUAUUGUUAUAAAGUGAUGCCCUUUGGUCUCAAAAAUGCUGGUGCCACAUAUCAAAGAGCAAUGCAAAGUAUCUUUGACGACAUGCUUCAUAAGAAUAUCGAGUGUUAUGUGGAUGAUUUAGUUGUGAAAUCAAAGAAAAGAAAUAAUCACUUGGAGGAUUUGAGACAAGUUUUCGAUCGGUUGAGAAGGUAUCAACUCAAAAUGAACCCUCUCAAGUGUGCAUUUGGAGUCACGUCGGGGAAAUUUCUUGGUUUUGUGGUUCGCCAUCGAGGCGUUGAAAUUGAUCAGGCCAAAAUUGAUGCUAUAUUGAGGAUGCCUGAACCUCGUGACAUUCAUGAAUUGAAAAGUCUUCAAGGACGAUUAGCUUAUCUGCGGAGAUUUAUCUCAAAUUUAGCAGGAAGGUGUCAGCCAUUUAGUCGCUUGAUGAAGAAAGAUGUGCCAUUUCAAUGGGAUGAGGCAUGUAGUAAUGCAUUCAAUAGCAUUAAGUCUUAUCUUAUGAAAGCACCUGUGUUGGCUGCACCUAUUCAUGGAAAGCCCUUACUCCUUUAUAUUGCCGCCCAAGAACGAUCGAUGGGGGCAUUGCUCGCUCAAGAAAAUAAUGAAGGAAAGGAGGUUGCCAUUUAUUAUUUAAGCAGAAUGAUGACCCCCAACGAACUAAAUUACUCGCCAAUUGAAAAGUUGUGCUUAGCCCUUAUUUUUGCAAUACAGAAGUUAAAGCACUACUUUCAAGCGCAUAGUGUGAGGCUCAUUUCCAGGGCGAAUCCCAUAAAAUAUGUGAUGAGCAGACCAGUGCUGUCCGACCGUCUAGCUAGAUGGUAUCUUCAACUACAACAGUUUGAAAUUAUUUAUGUGCCUCAAAAAGCUGUGAAGGGACAAGUUCUGGCAGAUUUUCUUGCUGAUCACCCGAUACCUGCUGAAUGGGAACUAAGUGAUGACUUACCGGAUGAGGAUGUACUCCUUAUCGAGAUUCGUCCACCAUGGAAGAUGUAUUUUGAUGGUGCGGCUCAUCGUCAUGGAGCUGGAGCAGGGAUUGUAUUCGUGACUCCUGAUGGAGGGAUAUUGCUAUACUCUUUUACUCUAAGUCAUCAUUGUUCAAACAAUGUCGCUGAGUACCAAGCUCUCAUACUCGGACUUGAAAUAGCUGUUGAUAUAGAACAGUUGGACAUUCAAAUCUAUGGUGACUCUCAAUUAGUGGUUAACCAACUCUUGAGAAGUUAUGAAGUCAAAAAGUCCGAGUUAAUUCCGUAUCACAAAUAUGCAACGCAACUAAUGAGGCGGCUUGGAGGUGCAAGUAUUAAGCAUGUUCCUAGAAGGGAAAAUAAGCAAGCUGAUGCAUUAGCUGCGCUAGCCUCUUCACUUACCAUGCCGGAUCAUGAGAUACAAGUCCGUGUGUGCCGAAAGUGGGUAGUUCCAUCACUGAUUGAUGAUGAAAAUAUUGAAGGAGGCGACGCUCAUGUGGUCUCAACCUAUGAAAUUGACAAAGAAGAUUGGAGACAACCCCUCGUUGAUUAUCUCAAGUAUCAAAAAUUACCUGAGGAGCAACGUAGAAGAAUUGACAUCCGUCGUCGAGCCCCUCGUUUUAUCUUGUACAAGGACACGCUGUACCGAAGAUCAUUUGAAGGUGUACUGUUGCGCUGUCUAAACGAAAACGAGGCAUAUCGGGCGAUGCACGAAGCACAUUCUGGAAUAUGUGGAGCACAUCAAUCCGGUCCCAAGUUACAUUUUCGGAUUAAAAGGAUGGGCUACUAUUGGCCUACUAUGGUCAAAGAUUGCAUAGAAUAUGGUCAAAGAUGUCAAGCUUGCCAGUUUCAUGCAAAUUACAUUCAUCAACCACCUGAGCCGUUACACCCGACCGUUGCUUCUUGGCCUUUUGAUGCUUGGGGCCUUGAUGUUGUGGGGCCAUUACCAAAGUCGUCCGGUCAACACUUAUAUAUAUUGGCUGCGACCGACUACUUUUCUAAGUGGGCUGAAGCCAUACCGCUCAAGCAAGUUAGAAAGGAAGAUGUGGUGAAUUUUAUUCGUGUGAAUAUUAUUUACCAUCAUGGAGUUCCCCGGUACAUUAUCACUGAUAAUGGAAAAUCCUUCUCCAAUGGCUUGAUGGAUAAGUUAUGUGAGAAAUUUAAUCUCAAGCAACGCAAGUCCUCCAUGUAUAAUGCCCCCGCCAAUGGUCUCGCAGAGGCAUUCAACAAAACUUUAUGUAACUUGUUGAAGAAAGUGGUGGCAAAGUCAAAGAAGGAUUGGCACGAAAGGAUAGGCGAAACUCUUUGGGCCUAUCGCACCACAUACCGAACUCCGACGCAAGCCACACCAUAUGCCUUGGUCUAUGGUGUAGAAGCUGUUCUCCCCCUUGAGCAACAAAUUCCUUUUUUGAGAAUUGCUAUCCAAGAAGGGCUCACUGAGGAAGAAAAUGUUCGCCUGCGCCUUGAAGAAUUGGAAGCUUUGGAUGAAAAGAGAUUGGAGGCCCAACAAAAUCUGGAGUACUAUCAAGCCCGUCUCUCUAGAGCUUUUAAUAAGAAAGUUCGACGUCGCUCCUUUCAAGUCGGGGACAUGGUACUUGCCGUUCGAAGGCCAAUAGUUAUGACUCAUCGCACUAAAGACAAAUUCGUCUCUAAAUGGGAUGGGCUGUACAUUAUUCGAGAAGUCUACACGAAUGGUGCGUACAAAUUGGUGGACAAAGAUGGCGUGAAAGUUGGUCCUAUAAAUGGAAAAUUCGUGAAGCUAUACAUGCCAUAAAAAAAAAAGUGAAGUACUCCAUGACGCAUGAGUCUAAACUGCAUGUUGCUCCAAACCCGCAUGAGCUAAAACUGUAGACAACAACCACCAAUAGUGUAGCACGUGGUUAAACUGCUGAAACACUCCACCAAGUCUAAGGUGGUAAACAAAAGGAUACUCUUGACCCGCAAGAGUUUAAACUGUGAAUGGUAGGAAAUACGUGUGACUUGAUUCCCUUUUGGGAUACGUAGACAGCUUAGAGGGCAACUUCUAAGUUCAGUUACAAUCAUAUAAAACUAAAUCCUUUGUACGGAUGAUUCUUUUGUUGCAAAAAAAAAAAAAAAAGAGCGGUUCUCUUUAAGACAGUUCGAAUUAUUUUGUGACAUAUACUUGAAAGUGUAUUAUUCAGAUUACUAAAUUAUUUGGAUAAUUACCUUUUCAAGUGUUAUCAAACUUAUGCAAAGAUGAAAUUGUUUGUAUUGCAGUUAAUAGCUUAAAAUGGUGGCUAUUGAAAGAAUAAGGAAAGACGGGGACGUCUGCAAGGAUGUGGAAAAAAGGGGUUAAUUCCACUUUGUCCCCUCAAACUUUGGGCGAUUACCCACUUCAGUCCCUUAACUUCAAAAUGGGACACUUAAAUCCCUAAACUUAUGAAUUGCUCCCAGUUAAGGAAAAUUGUUGACAGAAUCCUGAUUGCCGUUGGUGGUCGAAGUGCGUGGCAAACACUGUCCUUUGACUGAGGGCAACAAUGAAAAUUCACAAAAAAUCACAUAUAUAGAUUAAAAAAAAUGGUGAAAUAUGGAGGGAAAGUUUCCCUCCAUGCUACCCACUUCAGAUGGAUAAUGUAGACCCGAUCCAAAUCAUAAAAGGGCACUUCAGGUCGGUAUGCUGAGAGACCCAAGCUGUCAUUCUGCUAUCCACAGGGCAGGAAGAAGAAAAGGAGAACCCAACGCAUGGUUCAACAAACAAAGAGAAAUGGUGAGGCAAUUUUGUGAUUGUGAAAAGCAAACAUUGAUGAUGACAUCAUGGACUGCCAUGAACCCAGGAAGAAGGUUUUGUCGAUGUGCCAAGUACAGAGUAAGGGAAAUUAGGGUUUUGUGUUUAUACUUGUUUUUUAUUUUGGGUUUGUAUGAAUUGCAGCCACCUAAUCUUGUCUGCAAACAUAAUGUUCUUGUCAAACUAGGAACAAGGAGGCUGCAUAUACUGGGAUUGGGUUGAUCCUGAGAUGUGUCAAAGGUCAAAAGAAAUAAUACCUGGACUGCUAAGGUCGAUGAACAAGAUGGAAGCUGAGUUGGAUAGGUUGAAAGAAAAUUCAAGGUGCCAACAAUCGAAAGUAAGGAAGCUAAGGAUGUACUUGAUUAUCCACUGGGUUGCCAUUGUCAUGUGGUUGUUUUUGUUCAAAUCUGGGGGAGAAGGUCCAAAAUGAGUUGUAGAAGAAGCAACCGCUUAUGUCGGACUGCCCGUUUUGUUUGCUCAAAUAUGGGACCACCUUUGUCUGUCAUUGCUAAGUAGUGGACCUUUUGAGUGGUGCAGGAAGGAAAUUCUUGCUUUUGCUGACUAUGUAAUUACCAGCACUUUCAGAAUCCCGCUUGCGGGUUUCAGCGUUUUAUGCUGUCGGGAUGUUAACCAUCUUGCUUGUGAACAUGUGCUACAUUCUUUUGAAUUUUUGUGACAGGUGAAAGCUUUGUCUGAUGAAUGUAUUUGUGAAAUGACCUGAGUGGUGGUAGAUGGGUUAAUUGGGUCGGUCGCGUUACCCAAUUAUUUAUAUCCAUAAGUAAAAUUUUAAGAUUCGCAUACCCAUCUAUUCAUGGCCGGUAUGGGUAAAUGUAGUUCAAUGGAAAUGUCAAAAAACGAGUUUGACAACCCAAUUGCUCGUUUACAACCUAUUUAUUCUAACUUUUUACAAAUUCGUCUAAAUUAAUUUUGAAAACUUAACUGCCAAUUUAUACAACCCUUUUUUUUAACUGUCAUUAAUUUAAAUAUUGACUUAUAAUGCCCAAAAAGCCUAAUUACCAAUUUUUUCUUCUCGCUAUCAAAUAUAAUAUUAACCCGCAUGCGAGGUAACAAUGAAAUAGUAAAAAGACAGAAACCCGCUUGCGGGUUUCAGCGUUAUUAUGCAGGCGGGAUUUUAACCUGCUUGCUUGUGAACAUAUACCACAUUGCUUUGAAUUUUUGUGACAGGACGAAAGCUUUGUCUGAUGAAUGUAUUUGUGAAAUGACCUGAGUGGUGGUAGAUGGGUUAAUUGGGUCGGUUGCGUUUUCCAAUUAUUUUUAUCCAUAUUUUUAUCCUAAUUACCAAUUUUUUCUUCUCGCCAUAAAAUAUAACAUUAACCCGCAUGCGAGGUAACGUUGAAGUAGGAAAAACACAGAAUCCCGCUUGCGGGUUUCAGCGUUAUUAUACAGUCGGGAUUUUAACCAUCUUGCUUGUGAACAUGUACCACAUUGUUUUGAAUUUUUGUGACUGGUGAAAGCUUUGUCUGAUGAAUGUAUUUGUGAAAUGACCUGAGUGGUGGUAGAUGGGUUUUAAAUGUAUUGUAUCAAAUUUAGGGAUAUAGUGGACCUGCUAUGUCCCAUAAUUGUGAACGUUGGACCUGCUUUGUAAUCAGAAUUUGUUGUUUAGGGAUUUUAGUGUCCCAAUUUGUAAAGUUUAUUGCAAGUAAUCUAUGUCACAUUAACAACAGCAAUCAACUCAGAACAUAAAAUUUUCAGCAAAAACCUUUGAUCAUUCAACAAAUCAUCCAAUACAUAAUAGCAAUACCAGGAAUGACAAAAAUUCCACAUUAACAGCCUCUAAAUUUCACCCAUCUGGACUAGCAAGACAAAGGCUAUAUGAGUUCCACAACAGAGGCUACCAAAAACAGAGGCUAACAAAAAUUCCAUAUUAACAAAAAAAUUCUUAGUUCCAAUGGACUAUAUGAGUUGAACAAAAGUUCGCCACAUCUGGACUAGCAAAACAGAGGCUUUUACUGCCCAAUUUGAUUGUAUCUGCAAAAUAAAACGGACGCUUUUUCUCUCACAUUGACUCGCUUUCUUCCCAUUCUUGCAAUCUUCAGUGUUUUUCAGCAACAAUCAUUCGGAUUUUUACACACUUUGAUUUUACCCCUCCUCUCUAUUUUUUCAUCCAAGACAGAGGAAAGAAACGACCACUCUCUGACUGUUUCGCACUUUCCCUUCUCUGGAAUUUGUCUUUGUUUGUCCUUAAUUUACGACCCAAAUUUACGUUUAUGUCCUUAUCAUUUUCAGUAACAAUAUUCCCCCAUCUUCAUUAACGGAGAGUGUUUGCCACGCACUUCGACCACCAACGGCAAUCAGGAUUCUGUCAACAAUUUUCCUUAACUGGGAGCAAUUCAUAAGUUUAGGGAUUUAAGUGUCCCAUUUUGAAGUUAAGGGACUGAAGUGGGUAAUCGCCCAAAGUUUGAGGGGACAAAGUGGAAUUAACCCGGAAAAAAGAGAUCAAGCUUCAUUAUGAAAUGUUUGUGCUCAUAGCUACACGCUUUGAGCAGGUAACGAAAAAAUGAAAUUUGAAACAAAGUAAAAGAUUGCAACUAUUCCUAGAAUUCAAAUGACGACAGCUCCUUUCGGUUGCUUUCAAGUAAUGCUUGCAUCUUGUCAAAAGUUUGACUCUCCUCAGCAAGUAGGGGCGGGGAAUUCUCAAUCUUUCGAACUUCAUUUUGUAAGUCGACCAUCACGCCUUGCACUCGGGUAAGCUCAUCUUGCUCUUCUCGUAGCCGUGAAAGUGUCUCCUUCCUGUGAGUAUCCAAGAAUUCAAGUCGAUUCCUCAACUCUACUUCCUCGCGAUCGAUUUCCUUAAGCUUCAACAUGUGUGUUGAGAUCUUCUCCGCUUGUUGUCUCUCCUUACUCUGAGCGUCUCUAAGAUGUUGGGUGGCCGUAGAAAGCAACUCAUCAUAUGAUUCAGCUGGAAUUUUAUUUGAGAGAGAAGAUUUCACUGCAACGUAACGAGCUGCAUUUGCAAAGAAAGCCUUUAAAAGGCCUUGCAGAUUUGAGAUAUCCGUGGCAUUGAAGCUUUGCAUUUCCUCCAUGAUCUCGUUGGCUUUUAUUUCAAGAGCUGGCAUGCGCUCCAAGGCUGUUUGAGAUAUCAUCACUCUCAAGUUAUUCCACAACAUUUGGAUAUAGUCUCGACGGCAUGUUGAGAUCACAUUUUGGGGGCAAAAUUCAGAUACUCGAGGUGCCCUUGGCCACGAUGGUGGAUCAAAAACUUUGAGUUUUCUUUUGGCCGAUGGAGUCAUAUGCUCCGCCUUCCGUGCCAUGAUUUGCUGAGUCACAUUUUCAUCAUCGACUGCCUUUUUGGAAUUCUCACUAGCACCCUUUUGUUGGGUAGAACCGACCACUUGUUUGGCCAAAAGUUCAAAUGCAGUAGGUCCUUCAACUGAUACUUGACUUGGUUCUCCAUCAUCAAUGAAGAUCAAGUCUUGAUCGUCCAACUGUAGGGAAAACGUCAUGAGACAAAUCAUGUAUAUGAAGUUGACAAGUAGAUUUUAAAUGCUAAAUUAAAGAAGGCAAGGGGGGUCCUUACAAUAUUGGCAUGGCUUAUACCAGGCACAGAUAUAUCCGGAAUGUCUUUAAAGAGUUCUUUAGGAUCUAAACCAAUAUCAUCCAAAGGGAAAGUCAUUACCUUGGACUUCCUGCACUUCCAAUGCUGGUCCGUGCUAGUGGAUUGUUCAUCCUCCUCAUCAAAAGGCUCGCUCCUCUUCUUCUCAUGUGAAUUGCAAGAAUCAUGAUCAAUGGCUUUCACAAUUUUUGAAGGAAGACGAAAUGAAGUACCCUUCGAAAAUUGUUCAUUAGGGGUAAGGUUCUCAAGGGUAGCAACCUUGUUGUUUGAACUCUUCAAAAUUUCCUUCUCGUUUCUCACAGUCUUUUGCUUCAUCUCAAGACUGUUAUCAACUUUGGAAAGAUUGUUCAGGUUUGCAAGUUCCUUCCCUUUUGACCUCUUCUGCUCCCCACUUGAUUGGAUACUCUUAAUCAAAGUAUCACGCCCUUUGAGGAGGUAAUCAUCAUGUACCGUAGACCACCAUGUUUGAAAGCCUGAAGAUGUGUGCUUGCUAGCAUUCAAGGGAUAGCUAGGAAAAAGUAUCUUUGACUCUGUUUUACUACGAAUGGCAGUGCGCCAGAGUAUUCGACUCAAGUCAUAAUUUGUGGAACGCACAUCUGCCCCGAGUUCCUGUGGAGGAACUUGAUAAAACCCGAAUUGUCGCCCGAAUCUAUAUGGACUAUAUGGCUCAACAAGGAAAUCCCCUUCAGCAUGCAAAACUAAGUAAUUUGAGCAGGCGCUUACAAAAUAACUUAGUUCGAGAUUUGCUAGUUUGCCAUCGUCAAUAAAGAGUUCAUUGCGAUUCUUCACAAGAGAAGUGAUUCCCCAAGUUACUUUAUCUCCCUGAUGAAUGAGGUCGCGAGCACUAUUUUCAUCAAAGUAUCGUGCGCCACCCUCUCCAGAAUAGUUGGUCAUGGUGGGUCCAGGCAUGGUAUUUGGAGUCGAAUAAUGGGUAGAGAAAUAACUCGCUAACCAAGCAUAUACGUAGUGCACCGGAAAAGCCGCACGUGCACACCCUGGAGUAGUUGAGUUUGAAAUUUUAUCAAGCCCACGGUAUAUGUUUAGCAGGACAGGAACAGCAAGGCAAGUCUUACGACCGGCAGCCAUCAUACUAGCCAUUUUGAAAGUAGAUGGUCUAAUAUAAUGGGGGUCCUCAUCUGGUAAAACAAAGACACAGAGCCAGCACGAUAUAAAUGCUGCAAGAUAACUCUCUUCCCGCAAGUGAAGUUUAACUCCGAUGGUAUUAAAUACGCCAUUGUCUUGACUUGAAAAUUUGCGCGGUUGUCCAAUUUCGCCAUCCGGAUUUUGGGUUGCUUGAGCACGAGAUGCCCUCUUUAUCCUUCUCUGCUUUGGCUUUGAGUACCUGGUUUUGCCUUUAAACCAGAAGUUAAUCCAUUGGUCAGCAGAAACUCAAGCUUUAUUGGAUUCACCAUGUUGAAGAUGAUGUAAGGCUGCGAACAGAUACUCACAACUUUGUGGAAUAUGCCUUAAUUUCUUUUCAUUAACCCCAGUUAGCUCUUCCGCGCAUGGGAUUACCUCUUCAUAGAUACCCCCGAUGAUUGGAAGUCCUCCUAACUUGUGCAAGUCCCAAAGUGAGAGAGACAGUUCCCCAACAGAUGUAUGCAAGGUGUUAGUGUCCGGACACCAUGCCUCGCAGAAUGCUCUAAGUACAUGGGGAUUCCUGUCAUAUGUGAAAAGCGAAACAUAUAAGGCAUCGAACAAGCAAUUUUCACGGAGCACUUGUUUGCUCCUGCCGAGGAUAUCCUCCAACCACUCCCAGUAAUUCUCGAUGUAACUGAAUGCACCACUGAGUCUCAAGGAAGGACCCCAGUGUGCAUCUCCAUCCAUGAUCCGCCUGCCAAGGGUUUGAAAAAGAGUUGUCCUUGGUUCCUUAUCGUGAAUAAGGAAUUUCAAGGAGUGAACCUUCGUGCCAUCAUCUUGAGGAAGUUCGAAUGACCAAUCCUUCAACUCUGGGUACUGGUGAGAAGGCCACUUACCCGAGUAACUUCCUUGUAUAGGGGAAUGCACCAAUAAUUUCAUUCCUUUGUCACCAGAGUCACCAUCGCUGUCAGUGAUAAGGAGAUACUUAUUGAACACCACCAUUGCAUCAAGACUAACCUGCAGCAAAAGGAAGGAAAAAGAAAGUUUGGUUAAAAUAGCAGGAUUGAAAGUAGUAAAAGACUUCUUGAAUUUUGGGUGAGUUUUAUUGAAGUGGGUAAUUGCAUCUCCUUGGUACUCCUCAAGCCAUAAUAUGGCUCUCGUGGGAGUUUGCGGUUGCACCUUCUUCAAAUCUUGGUCGCACCGUCUUCAUGUACUCCUCAAGCCAUAAUAUGGCUCUCGUGGGAGUUUGCGGUUGCACCUUCUUCAAAUUAAGUGGUCUACCUCCUUCAUAUACUCCUCAAGCCAUAUUAUGGCUCUCGUGGGAGUUUGCGGUUGCACCUUCUUCAAAUUGAGUGUCCACCGUGUAUGUUGUAACGAGAGAUCCUCCAUUCGUGGAAAAAAAAAAAAAAAAAAAAAAGGUAUUGACAAGAAAUAUAAGCCAUAAAAUAUGUUAAUUACCUUGGCGUUUUGAAUUCCAAGAGCUAUGAUCCUAAACUUGUGGACACAAUUGGAACGUCAAUUUGCUCCAGCAAGAAGUGUCAACGUCAGCUGCAAAAAAAAAAAAAGGAAGUCCAUUAACAACGAAAAUUUUGCCUUUGCUUCGCAAAAAGUGACAUUCAAAAGAAAGUCGUGAUGCAUGGCAUAUGUUGGUGAGCACUUCGUGUCAACUGUCAAUUAAGUUGGCAUGAAAAGAAAAAAAAAAGUGGCACUAUGGACUUGGCCCGCUUGUAAGUGUCGUGGCUUGAAACAAAAGAAACGUGUAUUGCAUGUAAAACAACAAACAAAAGCUUGAGUGGCCUUGGGAUUGGAUCAAUUGUUAAUAAAUUGCAACAUGAAGAAACCACUGGCCAAAUAGUUGUAACACAUGCAAUCCUUUGUGCUUAGCUUCACUGACUUUAGUCGACAAGCAACUAAAGGUAGCAUGGCAACAUACAAAUUUCAGCAAGGUUGAGGACAAAUUAAAGUGAAGGCAAGAUUGAUUGUUACCUGAACUGGCCGAUCGUUCUCUCUGGGAAAGGCCGGAGAUUACUAUUAGUUUUGAAAAUCUUGGGCACGCAGAGGUUCUGUAUAUAAAGGUUUUGGGAGCUAAGGAGCAGGGGAAAUCGAUUCCACUUUUGAAAAAAAUAUAAUUUUUUUUGACACUCAAUUGGAUGUUUCCUUUCCUUAUUUCCAAACAUGGCUGGUUCCUUUAAACGUUUGAGCGAUUUAAGAAAGUGGAGCAUUACUUCUUUUGCUCCAUCUCCGAAGUCGUCCAGUGGAAUUGCAAAAGCUUGGGUUUGAUUUCCAAAAAAAGGGCUACGCUUAAAAUAUGAGGAAGCUCGUGCAUGUGAUUGCUUAUAGUAAUUGGAGUAUUAAGCAAGCUUCCUACUGAUGCUUCAUUCAAGAUUUGGCAAGUUCUGGUUAUCUUAGAAAUCAUGCAACUUGGAAAUACGGGUCCAGUAGCUAAUGUGGAAGUUACAUAUCAACUUCAAAAGAUCAAAUGGUUUGAACCUGUAUUGCCUAAUUUGGAUUUUGGUACCGUUUCCUCACAAGCCUCGAUUUGGACGAUUACUGGUUUGUUGCAUCAUGGAAGAUGGAAAUGAUUGAAAGUGGUUUUCUUAGUUUCAUGGAAUCAACUGCAAGCCAAAAGGGAAGUGGUCUUAUGAUUCCUUAAAAGUUGAAGCCACGGGAAUCAUUAUUCUAUGCCCAAAUCAACUUGAGUACAAAGCCACACCACGAGAAUUUUAGCAACUUGGAUCCAAUUUCCAAAAGAAGCAAUGCCAAAGGAAUUCCAAAUUGCUCAGCUUCAAGAAAAAAAAAAGAGAAAGAAUGUCUUGUGGAGCUCUACAAGGCGCUCAAAUGAAUCAGUUUAGGAAGUUUUAAGUUUUGGGCAGCUACUAAAUUCAGUGAUUAUCAUUUAAUUUUUUGGAAUCACAUGAAUUUGGUUCCCAAGAAUAAUUUCAAAAGCUGGAAGUCCAUUUGGGAAGCUCUCGAAAUUCGGCAUUCAGAAGUUACCAACAUUGGUUUUGGGAAUACAUUUGCGAUUUAGGAAGUGUUGAAACUUAGCAAAUUCCAUAUUGCCAGGUGCCACGGACAAGAUUUGGUAGUUAGCAGCUUGAGAUGCAAAUUGGAGAUUAUCAAUAUGAUUUAGCAAGUCUGCCGCAUGUAAUUUUGAGUGCCAAAGUGUGAAGACAUUUCCUAAUCUUUGCACCACGUUUCGGCUCUCUAAAAUGGAAGUUUCAUGAUAAGUAUUGAAUGGGAAGUUUCCACCGAACAAAUUGGUAGCCAUGCUUUGAUUAUUAAAUGUUUAGGCGGUGCAAUGGUCAUAGAAGGAUUCCUAGUGCAAAUAAGGCUACAUUGAAGUUGCUGAAAGUGAAAUUAAAUUAAUGGCGCCUAUUGGAACUUCCAGGUGAAGAAUGUCUAUGGAGCAAAGUCUUCAAGGGACAUGGGACCAUUCUUGUCGGAAUAAAACCGAUUGGAACGUUUGAAUGUAUUGCAGCUUUAAGUUAAUGGUAGUCACUUGGACUAGUCUCCAAUGGAAUUCCAAAGACCAACAGAGCAGCAAUUCGAGCAAUACAAUUGGUUUUGACAAUUCCCAAGUACAUGUCCGAGACUAAUUGCAAUUGAAGCAACAAAAUUCAUUGUGAUGGUAUAGGGAAUGAUCCUAUGCAUUGCACCUCGCCAUAGACCUCAUAUGACACAUGGUCCGUGGGGACUUUUGAUCAUAAAUAUGAUCUUGAAUUGCAUGUAUUGAUCCAAGCUCAAAUUGGCAAAUGAAUUGGCUUUCUUUUAUAUAAAAAAAUAAAUAAAUAAAAAAAUCAAGUACUUCAAGUCUCAAUUGCAAUCCUUGACAAGCAAGCUUCAAUUGAGCCUUGAAGUGGGGGCAUUUGUAGACAAAGAAAAUUUAUUUAAUUCAUUUUAGUUAAGAUUUAUUUAAAUUAAAUCGAUCUUGACUAAAUUAAGUUAAAUUACAGAAGUCCAUUAUGUUUUGGACCGUCAAGUUGGGCCAAUAUUAUAUGGGCUAUUAAAUCAAAUCAAAUCUAUAAAGUCCAUUUGAAUUGGAGUGAAUUAAUUAAUUUAUUAGUUCACAGUGGACUAUUUAGAUGGGCCCGUUAUUUAAGCCCAAGUAAAAUGGGUUUCUUAAGGGACAAGUUACCCAAAAUGCAGGAAGAUUCUGGAGGGUUUUCUUGAAGACUUAGCCUACACAUUUGGCUAUAAAUAAAGGUCUUCUCUCAAGACAAAGAUAUAGAAAAAUCCCUAACAUUCGGAGAAACUCUGUCAAAUUCCCUCAAGAGCUUUCUUCCUCAAAUCCAAGUCCAAAUCAAGUCAAACAAAUCCUCCUGCUAUCGGUGUUGAAGACUCGAAGUUCCAAGUGUUUGACGCCUUCAUCAAAUCAAUCGUUUUCUACGCCGAAGUUGUAGGAAACACCCUUUCGAUUGGAGAACAAGUCUUUUCGGCCCUUCAAUUGAAGCUAUUCGAAGAAAAGAAUCAGGGGAUUAAUUUCUUUGAUUCAAGAAUUUUCAGAGAUUGUAACCCGCUUAUUAUUUGAUUUAAUAAAUUUGAUAUUUGUGCAAGUUUUCUUGUCUUUUAUUUUAGGCAACAAAAUUUGUGCUUACAAAUUUCUAAUGAUACGAAAUAUGGGCCGCUUAUGGGCCAUGUUUUGGGCUGCAAGAGAUUGAAUCUUUUAGUAAUAGUUAGUAGUUUAUUUUCUAGAUUUCUAUUUUAUUUGCUAGGAAUAAAUUCGGUCCAAGACCUCAUGUUGAGUUGGAUCCGAUUUAUAGAGUCUAGACUCACUAUAACUUAAGUUGGUUAAUUAGCUUUUAUUGGGUUAUGCUGGGCCAGCUUAAAGCCUUCAUUGGAUCGAUUAUAAGCUGACCAUUAGAUAGUGGAUUUGAGUAGUGGAAUCGGGCCAAAGGCCUAACCUAGCCGAGUUAGGGUUUUCAAGUCACUUUAGGUUUUCAAGUUGUAUGGCUAUAUAUAGCCAAGGCAAGAGACCUUCAUAGGAGUUUAGGAAGAUCAAUAAAAUUGUGAGUUUUCACUUUUCUCUUUCCAAGAGAGCCUCUUUGAAUACUUGAGAAUUAAUCUCAAGUUGUUCAUCGAACUUAUCAAUCAAGUAGUCUCCUUGAUUGUGGCGUUCUUCUAUCUAUACUUUUGGUUCACUAAAUUUGCUAGUCUUGGGUUAAGGAAUCUCCUUAGUUCGUGGCUUGUGAUUCUAGAAGGGUCAAAGUUCCGCCAAUCAUCCCAACUUGGUGUUCAUCUAGAUCCGUCUCGCAUCAGUUGGUAUCCAGAGCUAGUCGACGACAUCAAGUAUAUCCUGUUGAGUUUGUUCGUAAGCUUUCUAGUAAAUUUUAUCUUGCAAAACUGGUUGUGUCUCUCUUUGUGUCAAGUCCCAUUAUUUUUACAAAAUAAAAUAAAAUUCUGUCCGCCUUUGUUUGUUCUUGUUGCGUAGCUCUUUGUUUUCUUUUGCUUCGCAGCCACUUCGUGCAUUACUUGUUGUGUGAUUCUGUCUUGAAGCCUGUCUUCAAGUGUAACUGAGUUGUGUGCAUUGCAUAUUCUGUUUGAAUAUUAAAAAAAAAAAAAAAAAUUUGUCGCGACGGCUAGGGUUUUCACUUGCAACUAGGGUUUCCUUGGGCGCAAGUUUCUUGCCAAAUCUGUCCAAACUUUAGUUUAUUCCACCAAGUUGUUUUCAUUAAUUUCCUAAACUGAUUUUUGUGGUUAAACUUGUUUGGGGUUGGAAUCUUGGAGAGGGACUACCAUAAUCUAGGGUUUCUUGAGUUUCUUGAAACUAAUCUUGAAGUCUUGAAACUUUGAUACAUGUCUUGAUAAUUAUUAGAGGAUUGAAGGAGAACAUUGGAUUGACAUUAGAUUCUGAAAUUUUUACCCAAAAAUAGCCGAGUAAUUGUGUGUUCUUAGAGUCAAAAACAAAAACAAAAACAAAAACAAAAACAGAAAAAGGAAAAGAGAAAAGGCAUUCGGGUAGCAAACAACAAAGAAGGAAGCCGCACUUUUAUUUGCCAAAUUCUGUCUUGUUGCAAUUGUUCCAACAAACCAGAAAAUUACAUCAAGAAAAGACUACUCAAAAGUUUUGACCAACCUCCUCUUGAAAAUCUGGAGCACCUUGAGCCUUGAUCACUUGUAUCACCCGUUGAGAUUUUUGAGAUUCUUGAUCAUCUUGAUUCUUGAAGACUUGUACCUCCCUUCGUACAAAAAGUUUCUUGUACGCUCUUGCAUCCAUACAUGGCUUUCUUGUUUUAGGAGAAAAUUUCUUGGAGGUUUCUUGGGCAAGCCGCUUGGGGAAUUCUUGUGUAACAUCACUUGCAUUAUCUUGUGACGCCAUUGCUUAGGACCAAGAGUCAAAACUGUCCUUGUGUGGAGCAAAGAGGAGGGGGGCCGAAUUGUAUGUUUGUUGAGGGAGAGUAAGGGACGAAAAUUUUGGGGGGUAAGGAUCGGCUUUAAGAAGAGGAAAUUCUGAAAAAUUUAGAAGCUACCAAAUCUGGACAAUUUUUUAGGAAGUUCUAGCCGACUUUGAGAGGGAUUUAAGAAGAGGAAAUUCUGGAAUUUUUUGGAGGAUAGUUUCGGGUAGAAUAGGAAGCUACCAAAAUCUGUUUUACACUUGGUUGACCAGCCGACUUUAGGAAAGGCAUAAGGAGAAGGAAAUCUGGAAAAUUUUUGGAAAUAACCCUGAUUUGGUAUAGCCGAUUUUGAGGAAGGUUAAGGGGUACGAAAUUUGGAAAUUUUUUGGUAACAAUUCUGAUUUGGUUAGCCGACUAUAAGGAAUUUUUCAAAUAAAUCCAACACCUAACUUGGUUCCCAAAAUCAAUUAGGAAACUAAGUAAACACUUGGGAAACUCCAUCAUUGUACUUGGACAUUCCAUUCCUUAUCGAAUUCAUUACUUGAGCUUUCCGUUUCUACUCUUGCUUCUUGUUCCUUUGGUACAAUUGGAUACUAUUUGAUUAAGGUUCGAUUGAACUGCUUUGAGAAAAUUUCUGAUUUCUUCAAAGGAAACAAUCAAGGGAUUUGAAAGUGAAUGGUGAGAUCAUUAGAGUGUUUUUAAACACUUGAGCAAAACACGAGAGUGAGCGAAACACGUAAGGGAGCGAGUGAGGACUGUUCUACUAAUUUUUGUUGAGUUUUACAGGUAAUAAAAGUAUGAGACAAAUGAAUACUCAACUGGAGCUUCACCAUCUUGUGCCUAAAGGAGUAAAUACUGUGGCAUUGCGUGAGAUAACUGAGCAAUUGGAAAUCAUCAAAGCUCAAAAAAAUGAUUGGUUUUAUACACGUUGCCAUAUCAAGGAUAAAGUUUGCAGCUUAGCCAUUGAUAAGCGUUGUGAAGUUAAUCUCGCAAGUACUGUCUUGGUUGAGAAAUUGAAUCUUCCAACCAUUGAUCAUCUUCGACCUUACAAGUUGCAAAGUGAUAGUGGUGAUAUUUGGAUUACUAAGCACACACUUGUUCCUUUUCGUAUUGGUCAAUACGUGGAUGAGGUGUUGUGUGAUGUGGUUCCCAUUCAAGUGACGCAUGUGCUGUUGGGCCAAUGGUGGAUGUUUAAUUGAGAAGUCAAAUAUGAUGGAUAUACUAAUAAGUAUUCCUUCACAUUUAAUGGUCGUCGUACCAGGCUUGUGUCGCUUAACUCUAAGCAACUUUGUAUUGAUCUAGCAUACAUGAAGAGUGAGCAUGAGCGUUAUAGUAUGAAGAAAGAGCUGGAGGAGAGAAUUGUGACUGAAAAGGUAAAAUUCGAGGGAGUUGAAAAGGAGAAAGAGGUUGAGAAUAAUGAGGGGAAAAAGUCAGCUACUGAGCAUGAGAAAGAGAUAAAAAAAUUCUAAGAGUAAGCUGAUUGCGAGAAAGGAUGUGAGAUCAUAUGUUUUUCCUAACGAUCUUAACUCUACUUUGUUUAGUGUUUCUACUUUUAUGCAGGUUAAGCAAGGAAAAAUUGAAUUGAUCUUGGCAUGUUCUAUGCCUAAAUCCAUUGGUGAAUAUCAAACUUUUCAUGGAUUUUGCAUCUUAGGUGUUGUAUCCCUUUGUCAUCCAUUGAUGUUCAACUUCAACCAUGAGCCUGACUUGCUUGUUGGGAGGAAUAAUGAAGUUUCAAAGGGAGUUUCUACACUUGAAACUUGUUAUAAAUUUCCUUCUUAUUUUGUUGGUGACAAUCCUUUCCUCAUUGGUCCAAAGUCUGAUUCCUUACAACCUGAUUUUAUUCUUCAAUUUGAAGGUUCAGAAGCUGCCUAUCUCGAUCUUACUCCAUUUGUGCAAGAUAGGCCAUACCAACAACAACUUGCAAUGAAUUUUGUAACUUUGCAAAAUCAUGUCCGGGACUUUUCUAACCUGAUUGAGCAUCACUAUGAAGAUCCUUAUCUUGUGAAUGUGAAUGGUAAGCUAUCAAGUGAUUUUAUACCUACAAAUGCUAAUCGUGUGAUUUAUUGUGUAGGUCCAAAUUCGACCAUUCAUGACACAGGACUGAUUAGAGAGCUUUGGAGUGGUUGGAGUCAAGCCUUGAGUUUUCCAUGGCAGAUUGUGAGCAUUUUCAAGCUAACCAAGAGACAUGUGCACCGAAUUACAAUAAUCAUGACGUAUGCAAGUAUCAUCCAUUCUAAGAGAGCCAAUAUGUGGAGAUUUGAAGUUUCAUACAGCCAACUCUUGUAGUACCAUUCAUUUCCAAACACGAUUUGAGGACAAAUCUUUUUUUUAAGAGGGGGGGAAUGAUACGAAAUAUGGGCCGCUUAUGGGCCAUGUUUUGGGCUGCAAGAGAUUGAAUCUUUUAGUAAUAGUUAGUAGUUUAUUUUCUAGAUUUCUAUUUUAUUUGCUAGGAAUAAAUUCGGUCCAAGACCUCAUGUUGAGUUGGAUCCGAUUUAUAGAGUCUAGGCUCACUAUAACUUAAGUUGGUUAAUUAGCUUUUAUUGGGUUAUGUUGGGCCAGCUUAAAGCCUUCAUUGGAUCGAUUAUAAGCUGACCAUUAGAUAGUGGAUUUGAGUAGUGGAAUCGGGCCAAAGGCCUAGCCUAGCCGAGUUAGGGUUUUCAAGUCACUUUAGGUUUUCAAGUUGUAUGGCUAUAUAUAGCCAAGGCAAGAGACCUUCAUAGGAGUUUAGGAAGAUCAAUAAAAUUGUGAGUUUUCACUUUUCUCUUUCCAAGAGAGCCUCUUUGAAUACUUGAGAAUUAAUCUCAAAUUGUUCAUCGAACUUAUCAAUCAAGUAGUCUCCUUGAUUGUGGCGUUCUUCUAUCUAUACUUUUGGUUCACUAAAUUUGCUAGUCUAGGGUUAAGGAAUCUCCUUAGUUCGUGGCUUAUGAUUCUAGAAGGGUCAAAGUUCCGUCAAUCAUCCCAACUUGGUGUUCGUCUAGAUCCGUCUCGCAUCACGUGUGACAGCCCCACCUCCCCCUAAGGCGAACCUGAGGGUUCGGCGGGCCGCCUGCCCAACUCUCGCCGGGACUCAGUCGUUCACUAUAGUCCUCAAAUGAAUUACAAGAAUAAACCUCAAAUAUUACAAUAUAAAUCUCCAAUAUACAUCAAAUUCUCCAAAAAUUACAUGUCAUAAGCGAAGCGGAAACAAUUCCCAACUAUACAUAAAAUGAUUCCAAAUCCAAACUGUACAAGAUAUAAGCCAUCCAGACAUGUGAAUAAGCACAACAAGUCCUUCCUUCGCUUUGAGCCCUGUGGAGGGGAAUAAAAUAUUUUUGGGGUGAGCUAGAAGCUCAGCGAGUAACCGGUAAAAUCAGUAAUCAAAUCGGUUUAACAAUAGUUCAUUUCAAUGAUGUCAUAAAUCAAAUGAUAAGUCUAGAAACAAUUACAACAUUUACAAAAUAUUAAAUAUGGAGUAUCAAUAAUUCAAGAAACAUGAACAAUGGAAAGCGAUAGUAACAUUCAUGAAAAGAAUACGUUCGUUCUCCUGUCAUUUCCUUUUUUUUUUCAUUUGAAAUUGCAUUUUUUCAUUCAACCUUUCCCGGACGUCGUCCAGGCUCCACCAACCUCCACCAACCUACAAAGGUAAUACUCGAGUAUACCAAACGUUCACCCAGGUCCCUAAUCGCCCGACCGAGUCCGCUUCUGGCUCGAGACGACCGGUAACAAGGGGCAAUGGCCAGUUCAGCCCAAAAGGCUUACAUUCAUGCGCAAGUAGCAUUUAAUCAUUAAGCAUGAAAAUUUCACAUUUAUUUAGGUCGAGUGCGAUAAAGUACACACUCACCCAGAAAACUCAUUUUAACAAUCAUUGAAAGCACUUAACACAUUAUCAAUCCAUAAUAACAAGCCAAUAAGUCAAGAAAAUAUAUCAAACAAGGAACACUCUCAUAUAAGCACGCAUGAUAUGCAAGAAAACAGUUCAAAAGUAACUUUGGAAACAGUUCAAAAGUAAAUUUGGAAACAGUUCGAAAGUAAAUAAUGCAAGAAACGUUUCACAAGUACUUUGGAAAUAGUUUAGGGUCACUCACCUCCACGGCUCAGAAAUCAUCCAUCAUAUAACAUUGCCUUGCUCAAAUCCAAGUCUUAGAUCACAAACUCAAUGCAAACAAAUCCCUUCAAAGUUCGGACAGCACUUCCCCUGAAUUUGCUAACUUUUCCAGCCAUCAUGGCUUCAUUAUUUCCUCAUUCCAACCCAAAGGUACACACACACAACAACAAGUUCAUCCAAUAGCCAUUCAGCAAGCUCCAAGUAGUACUAGUACAAGUCAAGCUAGGGAAAAGUCCGGAAAUGAAAGUUAAGCUCAAAACCAGAAAAAUAGUUUUGACGUCAUUUUGCGGUAAUGGUACCAAAGGCGCUACGAUUGUCGGAUGAAAGUGUAAGACCCACCGUUUCGAAGCUAAGAGAUAGGGCUACAAUAUUGCAGAAGGUCACUCAACCCAGUUUCGAGUGUAACCAGGUCAAAAAUGCAAGAUACUAUACCAGAAUCACAAAAACAAAUUCACAGAACGCAUUCUAGAGGAAACAUCAUAAAUCAGGCUAUCCAAGUCCAAAUCCAGAAAUUCCAAAACCAUCUGAAAGCUAAGAAACAAGGAUAAAUUUCAUCAGAAGAUCUCAACAACCAAUUCGGAAGCAAUUCCAGCCAAAACAACCAAUUACAGGCGCAAUUCUUACAUUCCGGUAAAACCAGAACAACAAUAGUAAUUUUGAUUUUUCUCAUUCUACACUACUCCGAUUGAUCUGAAAUUUUGUAGGCACCUCUAAAAUGUCAUUCCCUACAACUUUCAUGUUUUAAUCCAAGGCCAAUUCGACCUCUAUCUAUGAGUUAUAAAUUCGGGCAGAACGCACAAUCAUAAACCCUAACUUUCCAAAAUUUCUUCCAAAACAGAAAUUGUUUGCAAUUAUCCACUUUUUCCACCUUCUAGAAUCAUUAUAUACCAUUUCCAAUCAUCAUACAUGACCACAUAAUCAUAUCCAUAUGAAAACAGAAAAAUCCCCAAUAAUUAUAAAACUUUACCAAUUCAACCAAAAAUCAAGAUAUAAUCCAUAAAAGUGCAUCUUAUACCACCACCAAUCAUGAAUUGAACAUCAUUAGAGGAAGGAGAGGGGUCCUUCACAACUCACCUUAGCAACACAAGAAAGAGAGCAACUAGUCACCUUAACUUUCCAAACAACUUCACAACCAAGCUCAACUCCACCAAACUAAAAGGUUUUAUGGAGUAAUUGGAAGAUUAAUCGGUUUAAUUGAAAGAUUGGCCAAGAUUGGAGACUAGAAAAUUGAGAGCUUUUCUUUCUUUUUUUGAGCAAGAAAGUCGGCCAAGAGAGGUAAGAAAAUGAAGAUGAUUUUGGCCAAUUUUUGGUAUUUAUUUGGUAAAGGUAAAGGUAAAGUUCAAUGGUCAAAGUCAAGAGUAAAUUAGAUGGUGACACUUGUCACCUUUAGGUUUAAAACUUAUAUUUUUGUCUCUCCAAUACAAAUAUCUUAACACUUUGUAAAAUAAUAUCACUUAAUACAAAAUUCCAACAAGUUGUCAAAAAUAUAAUGCAUUUACCGCACUUGCGGGUCCCACGUUCAAAAUACGCUCUUAAUUUCUCAAAAACUAACCGAUACUAGAAAAAUCAUUUUAAAACUAUCUUUGCUCAUAAACUUUUUCUGGGGAAUUUUUCUAAUAAAGAAAAUGUAGAAAAGGCGGGCGAUUAAAUAAAAUAAACCCUAGAAAAUUAAAAAAUUUCCGGGUUCUCACACUCAUUCUUUCGGGGCGUCACAGACCGCCUGCCAACUCUCGUCAAGAUUCACUACAUUUAUUACAAUAAAUUUUCAAUAACCGUUCAAUCCUCCAAAUUAACAUCAGAAUUCUACAAUUCAACCAAUAAUUUAAGUUUAAUUUUAACCAAAAAGUGAAACGUAAGAUACAACAUUAAAGAUCAAAAAUACAAUUUGUCUACCAAAAGUACAUGUAUAAGAGGAUUAGUACACGUUAGUUCAAAUUUAUUCGUUCCGAAUCUCAACUCUUGUAAGAAAAAUAAACUAAUGAUAUAGGCCCCAUUUGGAAUGUGAGUUUUUUGGGUGUUUGUCUAAAACUUUACUGUAACUUACUGUAGUAGUUUUUUUUAAAAAAAAUUGAAGUUUUUUUUUUUGAAUAUUUUGAAAUGUAUAGUUUAAAAACUUUGAAAAGUUUUUUGAGAUUACUGUAGUUAAAAUUUUUAAAAAACUUGUAGCAGAUAAAUUUGGCAAAAAACUUGGCUAUAAGUUUUACGACCAGUGAGAUUUCAAAAAAGAAUGCAAGUAAAUUAGCUGGCAUGAUACAAUUUACAAGAUAUCAAAAAGCAAGUCAUAUUCAUAUAGAUCAUGACAUAAUGUACAGUAGAUCAUGCAAUAAUGUACAGUAAAGAACACAUGCAUGUCAAAAGAUAUAGUCUACUCUCAGGAGUAGAUUCCACAACAGCAUGUCCAGGUUCCGUUGACACUCCAUUAACUAAUUAUAAUGUCCGUAGACCACUAUUUAUUUUCAAUCCCGUUUCUACAAUCAUCCCCCUGUACCGGACCUGCACAUCAAAACAAGUACCCAUGGUUCGUCAAUCUUCUCGACCAAAUCUUUACCGAUUCAAUUCGAUUAACUAGCUAUGAGAUUGGGUUUAAAAUUCCCAAUGCUCAAAUAUUGGUGAUUUGGGAUUGGAGCUCCAAAUAUUUAAGUGUUCACGAGUGGAGUCAUUGGUUGUCAUUCAACGUUCAAAUAUGUCACAAUUGGAGACGUUAGUAGCCAUCUAAUGUUUCGGUAUUGAAACAUGUCACGGGUUUAAGUCAUUGGUAAACAUGUUAAAAAAUUAUUCCUUUAUCCAAAAUUGUCUAACUUACCCGACAUUUUGGAUAAGGGUGCCAGUGAAAAGUCCAAUUCAACCAUUGCAAGAAAAAAUACAGUUGGCCUACAUUCAUACUGUGACAGCCCCAUCUUCCCCUAGGGCGAACCAAAGGGGUUAGCGGACUACCUACCCAACUCUCGUCAGGACUACUAAGCCGAAUACAAGAUUUCCAGAACGCACGGUGCCAUGAUAUGUCGAAAGUACGCUCCCACAAGCACGAAACGAAAUGAAAACGGAAGAAAAGAAAAUGAAAAAUGACUGUCACGUCACAAUCCGGCCGGAUUCAAGGCAGUAGCGAAAUCAAAUUUUUUUCAACUUUUCCUACCAAUCCGGCCAAGUAUCUGGCCAAGAACUAGCCGGAUUCGAUGAACAGUUUCCCGCCAAAACUUUUCUUUUCUCGAUCAAAUCCCGCACUCGUUCGAAUCCCCAACGGAUACAAGUAAAGUUCAUGUAAACCCAUCAAACGUACAUUUACCGACAAAUACACGAGAGAGACAUGAAUAAACACUUUGAAACACACGUUGAAACUUUACAAGUAAAAGUGUGAUACUAUAUCGAAAUACAAUUAGGAUUUUUCUAUUACAAAGGAGCUUAACAAAGGAACGUUUACACUAGCUUGACUCUUUCAUCCAACAUCAUGAUUUCACAGUUUGCCCCUGUAAGGAAAACAAAGAUAACGGAAAGAGGGUGAAUUUACGCUCAAUGAGGUACCAAAAAUUCAAGUAGUCAAGAAUCAUGUCAUUUCAUGUUUAAUCAGUCAGAUACACAUACCAGAUAUAAAGUAAAGCAGUUAGAACAGUGAUUCAAAUAGAAAGGAUACAGGUGACUCUCAGAAGCCAGAUUCCCGUUGCAGUACCAGAUCUUGAUCAAGUAGUAGUUGACACUUCGUCAACUUUAAAGUAAAGUAACUAGUUCAGUAGAGCACCACUUAACGCCAAAUUUCGUCCACCAAACAUACCCCUUACCGGGUCCGAACAUCUCAACAGGAACAGGUAUAGUAAUACACGAAUAUAUCGGAAUCAAGAGUCUCAAUACCCAAAAAUUUCCUAGGAACAGGCACCCAUGGAUUGUCAAUUUUCUCGAUCAAACCCUUGCUGGCUCGAUUUAAUUAACUCCCCAUGAAGUUGAACUCAAGUUUAACAAGAAGAUCGUUGGAUACACUUCCAAACGACAUUAUAACAGGCACAGGUAACUAAUUCAAUCUCAUAACAGGUACAAGUAACAGAUUCCAGUUUAUACAGUAAACAGUCAUACAGGCUAGAAAACGAGUGUGAUAAAAUACACCUCGUCUCAUUUAGAAUAAACAGAGUUCAUAGUUAUUCAUGUCAGCGCUUUCAAGUACAGAUGACCCAAUUAAGCAACAAUUCAGGGGAAUGGUACACUCACCAGUUCAAACAAAUAUAACUUUACAAGUUUUCACCCAAGGUAGGGUUUUGAUCACCGUGAAACCCUAAGAAUAACCAAGGUAAAAUAAUUGAGGUUUGAACAUCCAAAAUCUAGUAAAACGGAAUGUACAAGUGCGGCUCGAUUACGAGUCAUAUGCCUAUUCAAAUGAACUACAAAUGCAAAGAGAUAAAAUGUGACUUUUGAGUGAAAAGGUAAUAGUUGGUCCUAGGGACAUGAUCGAUCUCAAAACCCUACCUACAAUGAUUUACCAUCUCCAAAUUUGAAGUGGAAAUGAGAGUAAGAUCAGUGCUAGGAAAACAGAAUUUUCCAGUUUUGCGCAAACACUAUUUGAAAAAUCAUAUCUCAAGCUUCUUAAGUCCAAAAUUGAUAAAAUUUAUACCGUCGGAAAAUAAAUUCAAAGGGAUACAAUUUCUCAUAAGACAUAUUUAUAAGAUUCAGAUCACAAGUCAGUCAAAUUUGAGCCUCAAAUUGCUGUUUUAUCCAAUAAAAGACAGUACAGGUAUGUAAUUUCAGUCAAAUUUGGAAAAUCACCAUAAAUCACAUAGAUAGAACCAGGGUCGGAAAUUUUCACGAUUUGUAGUUCUAUAAAUCUAGUUUCAAACGCAAUAAACAGAACUCAAUUCCAACAUUUCUACAUCAAAAUAUAACAGAUUUCCGAAACCUGUUCAAGAGUUCCUGCGGAAAUUUCAGCAGCACCUCCCUUGUUUUCUCCUACUUUUCCAUUCAAAACUCAACACCCAAACUCAUAUCAAUUCAGCCCCAAUUGUACAUACAAAUCAUAAACCAUUUAACACAUUUAAUUAGGAUCACAAUACCCUUUUCAAAUACAACCAAAUGAUAGUUCAAAUUAGAAACCCUAAAACUGAAAUUUAAACACAUAAGUUGGAAAUUUCUUUAGGCAAGUUAAUCUACUCCAUAAUCCUUCAUUCUUUCAUAUAGCAAACUAGCAAAAUAUGGCCUCAAUCAUUACAUGUGAGCAGAAAUUAUAUCAUAAAAACUGAAAAAUUUCAUAUCAUCACCUCAAACCACAAUAUGUCUCAUAAAACUAUUAAAACUACAACCUUAAACCACUAAUAUGCAACUAUUAGAAGUAAAGAAGGAUGUUCAAUACAAGUUAUCUUAUAACCACAAGGAAAAAUGGUAGAUUAGGCUUUUUCCUCCCAAAAUAACUCCACAACAAGAUUUAAUCUUCCCUAAAGAACAACUUAUAUGGAGUGGUUUGCAAAGUUGUUAGCUAAAACUCAAGAUUCAAGCAAUUUUUGAAAGUUGGAAAGGAAGUUUUCUCUCUUAGUUUUUCUCUCUUUUGGGCGGCCAAGCAUGAAGAAAAAUGAGAUGAAUUUUGGUCAAAUUUUUGAUUUAGUAAAGUUAAGAAACCUUGGGUCAAAGUCCAACAUCCACUAAUUUCAUGACACUUGGCCUUUCUUAGUUUUAUCCUCAUCUUCUUAUCCUCCAAAGCUAAUCUAUAUAGUUAGUCUCUAAUUAUCUCCUACUAUCUUGUAACAUAAUAUACUGUUAUGAAAAUUUACUCAGUCGUCAAAAAUAUAUCGCACUUACCGCACUAGCGGGUCCCACGUGAUACGAACAAGAGGAGCCACUGGAGUAAAGCCAUGAGUUUUUCUAGGCUGGUUGUGAGCAUUUUUCAAACUAACCAAGAAACAUGUAAGUCAAUCUGUGGUGGCGUUCGAUUUGAGGAUUCAGACUACCAACCAUUGUUCGUGUCAUUCAUUUCCAUCCAGAAAAAAAAAAAAAAAAAAGUCGGCCCAUGCUCUUGGAACAAGAUGGGCCAGCCCAUGCUCUUACUUAAUCAUUAACUAAUUGAUAACUAAUUGAUGAGGCCUAAGGCUUUAUUCUCUUGAUGGCCCGCUUGACUCUUCGUAGGCUUGGAUCAUGGUGUAGAUAACUUGAUUGUCUCCGUCCAAGCCUUCAAUAUCUCUAUGGACUCCAUGUUGGUCUUGGACAAUUUGAACAAAGGCUUGGAGGGAUUCUUUGAAGAGCUUGGCUCGUGCAUGUGUGACUGGGACCAAUGGAACUCGGACUGGGUCAUUACUUGGGCUAAGGUCCGUGCACACAUCAGUCCCCUCCACUUGAGAAGGAUUUGUCCUCAAAUCUGGAUGGAAAUGAAUGACAUGAACAAGGGUUGGUAGUCUGAAUCCUCAAAUCGAACGCCACCACAGAUUGACUUACAUGUUUCUUGGUUAGUUUGAAAAAUGCUCACAACCAGCCUAGAAAAACUCAUGGCUUUACUCCAGUGGCUCCUCUUGUUCGUAUCACCACGUCUAUAACGCUCCUCAAACUUAACAGGUACUCACUUAUACUAGGAAAAUGGUUUAAAAACGAUACUCACUUAUAAAAAUUUCUGGAAAAUUACGAUAAUAAAAUAAAGUAAGAAAAAUGCCCGCGGGAAAAUAAAAUAAAUAAGAAAAAUUUUCGGAUCCUCACACAUACACAUGUAUAUUCAAGUCCACAUGCAGGAUCAUAUAAUUCAAUUUUACAAAGGUCGAGCGCAAAUAAAUACGUAUUCACCUAACCAAGAUCAAAUUAAGUAAGCUUAACAUAUUAAAUAUUUCAAACAUUUUAAGUAUUUCAAGGUCAAGUAUUUCAAGUCCAGCGUCAAAUCACAUGUAUAUCAAGUUUCUUGUACAUGUAUAUCCUUUCACUUAUAAACAAGAUAGUCAGAGUCCAAUCAAAUUAGGUCGAGUGCGAAACGUACACACUCACCUAUGAAAUAAUAAUUCAGAAUCCCUAAUAAUUUUUAACCACAAGUCACAUUUGAUCAGGUAACAUGGAACAUGCAGUUGAAAUACUCACCAAUUGAUCACAAUCUUUCCACUUCAAACCCUGAUUCAUCUUCUCAAAUCCUGUGGUCAUAUAAGCUAUCAAGAGCCUAUCCAUUUAAAGUCAAGAUAAAUGAAAAAAAUAUGAGUUCGAAGUUUCACUUAACAAACACAGAAAAUUGCAAAUUUAACCUUAAUAUAGCUUCCCAAAUGGCCACGAUUUCUUGUUCAAAUCAAGAAAAAAUCACAUGUAUGAUAGGUCCAUGUUUCAAGUAUAAUAUGAAGCGAGAACAUGUAGAUUAUAUUCAAUAAUUUUCAAGAUAACGGGACAAUACUUUUGAGGCACAAAACUAAAAAUUUCGAGCAAGAAAAACAUGUUGGAGAAAACUCAUUUUCCUUCUCUUGUCCUUUUUGUUUUGAUUUAAAUUCAACAUAUAGGUGAAAAUUUAGGUUUAAUAAAGUAUCUUGAGCAAAAUCGCUACAAAAUUUUGGAAAUCAAAACCGAAAAAUGGCCCUUUUCUAGCCGGUCAACUCUAAUAGAAAUUACAGCAAGUUUUUUUCCAAAGUUUUCAACAAAAUUUCCAACUUUCAAUCUAAUUUUCUUGGCGAAACCAAUAUCAAUCAAUAUAUCAUGUCAUUACAUAUAUGAACCAUCUUCUUAGCAAACAAACGCAUCAAAUUUCAUACAUUCAAAACUCUAAACUAAACUAACUAGAUUAUGCACCAAAAUUGAAAAUUGCAACAUAACAUUGACAAAGUAUGAAAUCUUUCAUAAAAGUCAUGUGUAAGGAUCGAAAACAACCUAAGAGGGGGGUGAAUUAGGUGGUUUAAAAAUUAGUCAAAAUAUGAGUCAUUUUUUGAGAACUUGCCCUCUUUUUCAAAAGGACCACACAAUGGAGCAAUUGAUGAAUAAGUACAAGUGCUUGGGAGUAGAAGAGAUAGACAAUUUAUAUUGCAAGACAGUAAGUAAAAGGAUAAAAUAGCAAACCAAAUUUCAAACUCCACUUGAGUUUGAAUACCACUUUAUAUAGCAAGUUUCUUCAAAUUAAUCAACUUAUAACCAAACUCUUAUGUACAAAGGAAGGAUCACUUCCUCCUCGCCCCAAGCCGCACUUGAUCAAACAAGGAAGUUUUACUAUCACUUGAAUCACUCAAGAUCUGAUGUAGUCUCAAUGUGCGAAAAUUCUUUUGAAGUGGUUGACUUUGCUCUAUUUCUAAGAGACCAAAAAGUACUUCAAUUAAUGCUGCUAACGGAAAGAAGGCAACUGAAGAGUCAACUAGCUGUUGGUGGUGUCGGACGUCCGAUAGGCUGAUUUUUCGCGUCCGAUCGCAAGCAGUGAGUUCAAGAAGUUUUCUUGAAAUAUUUAGGACGUCCGGUGUUCAAUGCUUUGCGUCCGAAGUGUCGCAAAGUUUGUCGGACGUCUGGUACUCAGGUGUUAUACGUCUGAACGAAGUCAGUGAGUUUAGAGAACUCAGCUUACUAUUUUCAGACGUCCGAAAGUGAGUUCCUUAUGCGUCCGAAGUUACUCGAAAGUUGUCGGACGGCUGAUGCAGACUUUUUGUGCGUCCGACUCAUGCUUCAGCAUAUGUUAGCCUGUUUUGCUUCAAAUCUAAAAACAUUUAUUUAGGGAAUAUUAGUAACAUCCAUUUAUUUUGUAAUCAUCAAAAGAUACGGAUUGAGAUGAACAAUCUUCCCUUUUUUGAUGAUGACAAAACAAUAGAUGGAGCAAAAAAUUUAAGUACAGCUCCCCCUUACUGAAUGCAUUUUCCCUCUUUGCUUAAGUACAAAAUUUAAGUACAACUUCCCUUCAGAAUAAUGUUCACCCAUGUUUACUCAGAAAAAGAUGACUCCCCCUCACAUAGAGACCCACAUAGAUAAUUCAUAUCCAAUCCAUUUCUCUCCCAUUUUGUCAUUAUUAAAUCAACCAUGGCCAUAUUACCAACAUUAUCGUCCAGCAACAAACAAUAUCAGACAUUAAGUGCCAAGCAUUCAUCCAAAAUUAUAGGAAUAACAAACCACGAGUUCAAAUCACACAAAAUAUUCAAAUAUUCUUACAGACCAGCAGUGAAAGGGAAAGUAGAAAUCUUAAUACAAAAUACAUAAAGUUUGAAACACAAGGGAUGCCAAAAGCCUAUUAUGAACUACCAUGAGGUGCAUGUGUCAAGGGGUGCCUAAAAUGUGAUUUUGGAAGAUCCAGGCCUUCUUCUAACAAGACGAAACUGAACAGGGUCUUCUUCCUCAGUGUCCUCAUCCUCAUCAUCAUCAUCCUCCUCUUCAGUUCCUCCAUCAGUUACCGGAGCUUUUUCCUUGUCCUGUGGUUGAGAAGUGGAGGCACAGUACUGUGGAGUAGUCUCAGCAAUUGGCUCAGUUCCGAGCUCCUUUCGCUGUGCAGUUUCAUUUUCUGGAGGAAUGGGAGGUACAAGCAGAUUUCUUUUGGCAACGAAGGUGGCUUGUUGUUCAAAAGUCAUGGUCGUCAUCAACCCAUCUUCAAGAAGCAGGAUAUGCUGUUUGAAAUUCUCAACAGAGUGAUGACCUCAAGGUUGGAUGAAGAAAACUUAGAGGCUGAUUUUCUGGGAUGAAUGGGGAAGGGUGUCACAUGCAUUGACUGGUCACGAGGAAUCCUAGGGGUGACAGGGGUUUCAUGAAAAUUUUUUCUCCUAGACUCAGAUACUGUUUCUUUGUAACACCAUUGACCCAUUUCAAAAUAAAUUUUUGAGAACACAGUUGAUGUACCCACUUUUAGGGAUUUGCCAGUAAAAGAAAUUUCUAAAUGAUUGAAAAUAGGAGUAAAAAAUUUUUCAUAGGACAGUUUUCUACGGCUAUCAGUACUUAUCUUGAGCAGAAACUUACAUAUGACAAAACCAAAAUCAAUUCAAAUUUUUUUCAGAAAACAGUAAAACAAAUAAAGUUUCAUUUUAUUUGCAUCAGUUCAAUGGCCAUCAGUGAGCACAACAAGUUUGAAAUUAUGAUGAAAAUGAUCAGGUUCUGAGGGUUAAGAUCCUCCAAUCUUGCCUCAGCAGGAGUAUUAAAGUGAGAUUGAAAGUAGGUCAUUAAUUUUGCAACAUGAAAGUGAUGGUAUGCAGAGGGAAAUGCUUCGUAUGAAAAGAAGUUUAUAAUUUUGCCUUUAAAAUCGCUUUCAAUUUUGGUUUUCAAAACAGAAUUAAAAAUGUCAGGGUUCAGUUCAAUGUUAACAGAGUUGACACGAGAAAUGAGAUUAGUAUGUGAUUUGCCUUUCCAAAAAUUAUCAAAAAACUGAUGGAGCAUGUCAGGAUUGUAUGUGUUUGGAAUGGUUAAAAGAUGGGUCCAUUUAUGAAAUUCAAACAGAUUGAGAACAGGUUCAAGAUCAAACUUACGAAAUUCGUAAGGGAUAAUGGUCCUCUGGGUGAUGAAGCCCUUCUGCGAGAUCCAUUCAAAUCUUUCUCUGGCUUCAUUGUCGAUGAAUUUGGGUAGAGGAGUGGGUUCAAUAGCAGUGUGGGUCUCAGGACGCUUUCUUUUUCCACUGCGCUAAGCAGUUUACGCAGCACUCUGGAUACCAGACUUUGUCCUUGGUGAUCUCCUGGUAGAUGGUUCCUCAGUUCCUCAGCAAUUUUUUCUGCAUUCUACUGAUCUCCAGAAUGAUCAACAGUUUAUUUUUCCUUGGGUUGAACAAUGCUCUUCCUUUUGGUAGUCCUUUUUUCUUUCCUGGGUAAUUUGGUUUUUGUUACAUCUGCAUUGGUGGGCUGCACUGGUUCCUCUUCAUUGUCACUCAUUGGAUGCCCUUCAGAUUGUUGUUCCUCCAUCUACUCAUCAGAUGGUUCAGCAGAUGGCUCUCUAGUUUGCACAUUCUGCUUUUUCUUGCAGAUUGUUUCAUUUUUCCAACUCGAUUUCCAGUUUUCUUCUUGGGUGAUUUGAUGGAGGGUUCAACAACUUGAACAUCUUCAUCAUCUUCGUCACGCAGCCUGAAAGUGCAUCCGACACUCACGGAUCCCCCUCUAAUUCUCACCAUGAUUGAAGUGCAGUGUGGUUUGUGUUUUGUGAUGUCAUGCAAAUGAGUAUCAAACGGUGAAAAGUUCAGUAUGUACUGCAAUGGAUGCACAAACAGUCCACAGAGAAUGAGUUUUUGUGAUUAGGGUUUCGGGUAGUAAUUGGGAUUUAUAGUGUAGUUGGCGAUUUGAAAAAGUUACGAAAUGUAAUAAACUCGUAAUAAAUGUGAGAAGGUGUCGGUCAGAGUGAUUUCUUGGUACUUGUUCCAAGGAGAGACGAAUUUGAAUUUUGAACUUUGAGAGAAUGUGAAGAGUUGCGUUCGAGAUAAAAGGGUAAGAAUGAACUGAAUGACGCAGAAAAUUUCUUUAUAAGACGCAAUUUUUGAGUGUCGAACGGCCGAACGAAGUGAAGCGUCCGACACAACCGUCCGAACCAAAACUUUUCUGGAAAAGCGAUGAAGAACAUUGUCGGACGUCCGUUCUAAUCCAUUGGACGUCCGAUAAAGAAUGACAAAAAAAAUCUUAGAAUAUUUUUUCUGAAAUGCCCAAUUUUGUUCCCAGAUACACAAAUUGAUCCAGUGAAAGGGCUUUUACGAGGAUAUCCGCAAUUUGAUCUUUAGAACAAAAAUAUUGAACACAAAUUUUACCCUUGUGGACAAGAUCGCGAAUGAAAUGAUAUUUUAUGUCUAUGUGCUUAGUCCCAGAGUGUUGAAUGAAAUUUUUUAUCAAAUUGAUGGCACUAGUGUUAUGACAAUACAUAGGCACAAAAUCAUUAACUAAACCAAAAUCAUUCAAUGUGUUUUUUCAUCCACAACAAUUGAGCACAACAAGCACCAGCAGCAACAUAUUCAGCUUCAGUUGUAGACAAUGAAACAGCAUUUUAUUUUUUGCUAAACCAAGACACUAAGCAAUUUUCAAGAAAGUUACAUAUACCUGUUGUACUUUUUCUAUCUACCCUACAGCCACCAAAAUCAGUAUCAGAGAAUCCACACAGAGGAAGUUCAUGACACUUAGGAUACCAAAGGCCAAAACUCAAGGUUCCUUUUAGAUAUCUAUGAAUUCUUUUUACUGCAUUUAAAUGUAAUUCUUUUGGACAAGACUGAAAACGAGCACAUAGGCACACAGCAAACAUAAUAUCAGGUCUACUAGCAGUUAAAUAAAGCAAACUACCAAUCAUACCUCUAUACUUCUUUUCAUCAACUUUUGCAUUGUCCUCAUCCUUGUCAAGCUUGGUAGAUGUGCACAAAGGUGUUCCAACUUGUUUCGAAUCCUACAUUCCAAAUCUUUUUAGCAGCUCCUUGGUUUAUUUGGUUUGAUUGAUGAAUGUUCCAUCUCGGGUUUGAACCACUUGGAGUCCAAGGAAGAAAUUUAAUUCUCCCAUCAUGCUCAUUUCAAACUCUUUUUGCAUGAUAUUGAAAAAAUCCUUGCACAAACUCUCAUUAAUAGCACCAAAUAUAAUAUCAUCCACAUAUAUUUGAACAAUUAAAAGAUCACGUGAAUUCUAUUUAGUGAAAAGAGUAUUAUCCACAAUGCCUCUUUUAAAACUAUUUUCAAUCAAAAAAUCACUCAAACGUUCAUACUAUGCUCUUGGAGUUUGUUUUAAUCCAUACAAAACUUUUGAGAAUUUAAAAACAUGAUUUGGAUAAAUUUCAUUUUCAAAAUCAGGAGGUUGAUCAACAUAAAUUUCUUGAUCUAUAAAUCCAUUUAAGAAAGCACUUUUAACAUCCAUUUGAAAUAAUUUAAAGUUCUUGAAACAUGCGAAAGCCAAAAGCAUUCUAAUUGAUUCUAGCCUAGUUACAGGUGCAAAUGAUUCAUCAAAAUCUAUUCCUUCUUCUUGAGUGUAUCUCUCAGUUUCCAGUCUGGCCUUAUUUCUUACUACCUCACAUUCGUCAUUCAUUUUGUUUCUAAAAAUUCACUUGGUACCAAUGAUAGGAUGAUCUUGUGGUCUAGCAACUAAUGUCCAAAUCUUAUUUCUUUCAAAUUGAUUUAACUCUUCCUCCAUAGUUAAAAUUCAGUUCUCAUUUUUCAAUGCAUCAACAAUAUUUUUGGGUUCAAAGUGUGAGACCAAUGCAAAAUUAUCUAUUAGUUGUCUAGAGGAGGAAUGUGUUCUGACCUUUUCGGAUGAAUCACCAAUGAUGAGUUUCUUAGAAUAAUUUUGGACAAAUUUCUAGACUCUUGGAAGAUCAUUAGGAAUAGUAGUGUCUCUGUCGUUGUUUUUCCUAGUUGGACUGUCUUGAGUUUCAUCUUCCUUUGAAUCAUUUUCUGGUGAAGUAGUGCCUUGGUCACUGAUUGUUAGUUUCUUUAGUUCUUCUUGAACACAUGCAUCAUCAUCUUCACCACAACUCAUGAAAAUGUCACCAUUAGAUUCAUCAAAAGUAAUGUGUAUAGUUUCCUCUAUAACCAGAGUCCUACGAUUAUAGACUAUAAAACCUCUCUUAUUCUCACAAUAUCUCAAGAAAAUUCCCUCAUCAGAUUUUUUAUCAAACUUUUCAAGAUAUUUUUUUAUGUUUAGAAUGAAGCAUCUACAACCAAAGAUUUUAAAAUAUCCAACAACAGACUUUUUAUCAAACAUCAGCUCAUAAGAGUUUUGUUCAAAAUUGGUCUUAAAAGUACUCUGUUCAUGAUAUAGCAGGUUGUGUUUAUAGUUUUAAGCCAAAAAUACUUUGAUAAAUUACAUUCACUAAGCAUAGUUCUAGCAGCCACUUGAAGAGUUCUAUUUUUUCUUUCAACAACCCCAUUUUGUUGGGGGACUCUUGCAAUGGAAAAUUCAUGUGUAAUACCAUUGUUAUCACAAAAUUCUGAAAAAUUACAGAUACGAAAUUCUGAACCAUGGUCACUCCUUAUUUUGAUGAUUUUCAAACCAAUCAGAUUCUGAACUUUUACAAAUAGUGAAACAAAAUUUUUGAAAGCAUCAUCUUUGUGUGCAAGAAACAUCACCCAAAUGUAUCUAGAAUAAUCAUCAAUAACAACAAAGUAAAAUCUUUUGUCACUUAAGUUGGUAGUUUGUGUAGGACCAAAUAAAUCAAGAUGUAAAAGUUCUAGAGGUUUUGUAGUAGAAACACAUUUCUUGGGUUGAAAAGAUACCUUGACUUAUUUUUCAAAUUGGCAAGCAUCAUAGAUUCGGUCUUUUUCAAAUUUGAUUUUUGGAAGUCCUUUAACAAGUUUCUUUUUGGAAAUUUUUUUUAGCGAAUCCAUAUUGAAAUGACAGAGCCUUCUAUGCCACAGUCAGGGGUCCUCAUUUGUUAUUUUGAGACAACUAAGGCUAGAGGAAUCAACUUUUUUAAGGAUAACUACAUAAAUGUUAUUUACUCUUUUUCCUUUGAAAACAGUGUUGAAUUUUGAGUUAAGAAUAUGACAUUCAUGCUUUUUAAAUAACACAAACAGAUUCCUAUCACACAAUUGACUAACACUUAACAAGUUGUAACUCAAAUUGUCAACUAAAAGAACAUUGUGAACAAAUGUUUGACCAUUCUUACCAACAUCACCAAUUUCAACAGUUUUGGCUUUGUUGUCAUCUCCAAAAGUUACCUUUUCGCUUGCUUUUGGUUUGAGCUUGAUGAACUGUGAUGUAUCACCAGUCAUAUGUCUUGAGUAUCCACUAUCUAUGAACCACUUUGAUUUCUUAAUAAUGUUCACCAGGUUCACCUCUUCAUCACCAAUAGCCAUGAAAGCCACUUGGGCAGAUUCCUCUUCUUCUUCGACUUCACCUUCUGAAUUGCAGUCAUUCCAAGUGAUUUGAAAAUUGUUGAACUUUGAUUUUCGUUCAACCUUGCUCUCCUUAUUUUUCUUCAUUGGACACUCAUUUGCAUAGUAUUCAGGUUGGCCGCAUUCAAAGCACUUAUCAGUUUGCUUUUUGUUGAACUCUAACUUCCCUUUGUUUCUCAAGUUGUUGGACUGAUUCGGAAAGAAAUUGCUAGGUCCACCUUUUCUGAAUCUUUUCUUGUUGAGUAUUCUUUUGAAAUCUCGUGUGAUGAGUGCAAUAUCACUGUCAUCACCUUCCAUGUCAUCUUCAUCUAAGGAGGUUGAAUCAUCUUCAUCUUGUGAGACUUUUAGAUUAAUACUCUUUCUCACUUUCGUAUCUUCUUCCUCCUGCACCUUAGAUUUGAGUUUUAGCUCAUAAGAGGUUAAAGAAUUAAUAAAAGAUUCAAUAGGCAAGCUAUUUAGAUCUUUAGCUUCCUCAAUGGCAGUCACCUUACUCUCACAUUCAUUGGAUAAAGCAUUCAGAAUUUUUUUAUUUUUCUCACCUAGAGAGUAAUCCUUUUCAAAUACUUCUAAAUCCUUAAUAAGAUCAUUGAAUUUGCAAUACAUCUUGUCAAUAUUUUCAUGAGAUUCCAUCUUAAAGAAUUCAUACUUAGUGACCAGAAUGGAAUUCUUUUGUUCUCUCAUAUUCUCACUUCCUUCAUGGAUUUCUCUGAAUUUAUCCCAAAUCUCUUUUGCAGAUCUACAGCCUUUAACUCUAAUAAACUCAUUUGAAUCUAAAGCACUGUAUAGUACAUUCAUAGCCUUGGCAUUUAAGGUAAGAUGAGUUCUAUCCUCACCAGUCAACUCACUCCUUGUUUUUUGUCUCAACCUAUGAGUAACUUCAUCAAUAAUAGAGGUAUCAUAUGUACCUUCAUUGACAAUAAACCACAACUCAAUAUCAAUGAAUUGUAAGAAAAUAAUCAUCCUCUCCUUCCAACUCACAUAAUUUGAUCCAUUGAACAUUGGAGGUCUAGUGACGGAUUGUCCUUCAAAAAAUAUGGCAUUGUUGGUUGUCAUUUUUACUCCAAAUCCGAUUGAGCUUAAUCUCUAGGAGACUAAGCUAGGAUACCAAUUGCAAGGAUUGAAGACAACCUAAGAGGGGGGUGAAUUAAGUGAUUUAAAAACUAGCCAAAAUAUGAGUCACUUUUUGAGAACUUGCCCUCUUUUUCUAAAGGACCACACAAUGGAGCAAUUGAUAAAUAAGCACAAGUGCUUGAGAGUAGAAGAGAUAGACAAUUUAUAUUGCAAGACAGUAAGUAAAAUGAUAGAAUAGCAAACCAAGUUUCAAUCUUCACUUGAGUUUGAAUACCACUUUAUAUAGUAAGUUUCUUCAAGUUGAUUAACUUACAACCAAACUCUUGUGUACAAUGGAAGGAUCACUUCCUCCUCGCCCCAAGCCGCACUUGGUCAAGCAAGGAAGUUUUACUAUUACUCGGAUAACCCUCACAAAGCUACACUAUUAAUGAAAUAGAAACACACUUGAAAAGUUUAUUGAAAUUUCCACAACUAAGAGUACAAAUCUUCUUUAAAGAGUAUUCUCACACUUGAAUCACUCAAGAUCUGAUGUAGUCUCAAUGUGCGAAAGUUCUUUUGAAGUGGUUGACUUUACUCUAUUUAUAAGAGACCAAAAAGUACUUCAAUUAAUACUGUCAACGGAUAGAAGGCAGCUGAAGAGUCAACUAGCCGUAAGUGGUGUCGGACGUCCGAUAGGCUGGUUUUCCCCGUCCGAUCACAGGCAGUGAGUUCAAGAAGUUUUCUUGAAAUGUUUAGGACGUCCAGUGCUUCAAUAUUUUGCGUCCGAAGUGUCGCAACGUUUAUCGGACGUCCGGUACUUAGGUGUUGUACAUCCGAACGAAGUCAGUGAGUUUAGAGAACUCGACUUAUUAUCUUCGGACGUCCGAAAGUGAGUUCCUUAUGCGUCCGAAGUUACUCGAAGGUUGUCGGACGGCCGAUGCAGACUUUUUGUGCGUCCGACUCAUGCUUCUGCAUAUGUUAGCCUGUUUUGCUCCAAAUCUGAAAACAUCUAUUUAGGGAAUAUUAGUAAAAUCCAUUUAUUUUGUAAUCUUCAAAAGAUACGGACUAAGAUGAACAUCAUGUCUUUUACCUUAUAGAGUAUCAUUCAUCAAGUAGAUGCAAAGACAAGUGAAGAAACAUAGGGUUGCUAUCAAAUUUACCUCUUAAAUCCCACAAAACAAAGUUAGAAAUUCAUAACAUAAUCUGAAAAUCAUGAAAUCCACCAUACAAGUCCUCUUUUAACUUUUAUAAUAUUAUAUAUCAAAUGAACUCAAAGAUAAGGAAAGAUUUCUAACAAAAUUCACCUUUUUACCUCCAAAACCUUAGAUUGACAACCAAGCAAGAAUUAUUCACAGGUUUCUUCCUCCAAAACUUCUCCAAUGGCUUCCUCCCAAAUUUGAUUCAAGGUUUGUCAAAAUAAACUAGAAUUUUCUCUUGUUUUCUCUCAUUAAUCAAACAAGAAAUCAAGACUUGAACUUAUAGUUUUCUCUCCAUUUUUGUCUCGCAUUUUUGGCCAUCUCAAGAAGAAAACGAUGGAGUUUUGGUGCUAAAAUGUAAGAUAAAUACUAAGCAGGUUUUGGUCAACGAGGGUUUAAAUGAGUGACACUUGGCGGAACUUGGUUUCAUGCCUAUUUCUUUGUCUCUAGUCAUUAACAUAUCUUGUGCUUCUCCAAUUAACUCUUUAACACUUCUUAUCACAUAAUCUCUUUUACAAAGUGUUCCUUCUAAUCUUUCAAAUUUAUUACACACACCUCACAAUCGGUAAUACUAGUGUAAUACACUAUGAAAAUCGACAUGCACCAAAUUAAAUGUAGAAGCAGCCAUUUGAAGAUGCUUUAAUUAGGUAUAAUUGUAGAAUUUUUUACAAUUUCAUUAACGAGCAUGUUAUAGCACAUGACUUUUUUAAGCAGAAAUUUGAAAAAAUCUCUAACGUGUACGAAAUGUGUGUAAAUAUGGUAACUUUGGGUACCAGAUUAUUUUUCAUUUAAAGUUUGGGUUCCAUAAUUGCUUAAGGGUCGAGAUUUAGGUAUCAAAACUGUAUUUUACCCUUUUCUUUUAAUUGGUGCUUCAUGUAUGUUGAACUCUUUUUUGUUCAUUUUCCUCUCUUACUGAUUUUAUUAGGGAAUAGCUACUCUAUUAUUGUGGAUGCUUGCAAUUAAAAUCAAUUUUGAUAAAUCAAUUAAGAAAAUUGUCCAUUCAUUGAAAAUUUUAAUAUUGUGAAGUGUUAGGAUAAAAUAGCAAUGCGUAUAUCAAUCUUGAAUUGAUACAAGGUAAUAUCCUAAUUAAUACUAAUUGAUACGCACAUCAUUUGCAUUAAUAGUAAUGAUAAUAAAAAAAUGACAUACAUAAAUUGGCCUACCUAAAUUAGGGUGUAACAAGCCUAAUCAAAUCGAGUACUUAGUGUGUUUAAAAAGAAUCGAAUAAGCGCAUAAUAACAAAAAUUAAAUUGGUCCAAACUUAAAAAUAGGGUAACCAACUUGCAAUUUUAAAAAUGAUUAGAUUACUCGAACCUACUUUAAAAAAUUAGGUUAGGAUAUAGUUUUGGUAUAUAUGGUUGGUUAGGGUAACUAGUGCCCAAAUCUCAAACCAUGAUUAUUUAGUUAUUUACUAAUAAUUUGAGUUAGGAGCACCAUUAUAUAUUUUAUUUUUCAAAACUUAUAAAUUUAUCUACCUAACCCUAACUCUCAUUUACCUUUUCUAGUUCCUACUUUCGUCACCAUUAAUUUCAUUGAGUUAGGAGGACCAUUAUAUAUUAAUAGUAAAAAGAAUAUUCGAUGUUUUAAUUAUCUAACGUGUUUUGAUUUUCUAUUUUGUUGAUUGUUUUUUAUAGUUGGAGGAGUAAAUACUCUUAUUCAUUUGAAAAAAUGAUGUAUUAUUUGAUUUAUUAAUCUAAUUCUUUUUUUUUUCUGUAAACGAAGGAUAGGUUAUUCUGCAUACCUGACCUAUUCAUAGGUUAAUCAGUUGAAUUUUUUACAUGUAAAUUUCAUUUAUAUGUUAAUCAAGCCAAAUUUGAAAAUUUUAAAUGCAAAAUUCUAUUGAAACUUGAUUUGAUUUAAUUAACUGAUGAACUAAAUUCAAACGAACUUUUUCCGACCUAAUCAAAAAUUGAGUAUCGACUCGUUUGAUUUGUCUUUCAGCACAAACCUUAAUGGACACUUAUAGACACUCUCUUUUUCCCCCUUUUUCCUUUACUAGGAGGAGAACACCGCGCGAUGCGCGGUGUAAUUUUCAAGCUUGCCCAGAAACAUCCAGUUAUUCAAAUUAAAAAAUUAAUUAUAAAAAGUUACAUAAAAAUGUAUCAAAAUCUUUGCAAUAGUUACAAAAAGAACAUCAAAUAUACCCAUUUUAUUUUGUAACAAAUGGAUGGCUUCAUUACCUGUGGCACUGGUAACUUGCUAGGUUGACAUUGCCAACCAAAAUAAAGUUCCAACAAAAGGCAAACUACAAAUUACCUAAGAAAACAAAUUAGUUUACUCUCCUUGCCACUACUGAGCUGAUAAAAAAAAAAAGAAAAGUAAAUCUUGCAACCCAUCAAUAAGGUUGACAAAUAACCAAAAACUGAAAAAACAAAAACAAGACUAACAUCUCUAGAAAAAGGAAACAAGCAAAACUACAAGCCGAACAGCAAGUGUACAAGCAAUUAUAUGUCCGAGUUGAAUUCUGCAAAAAAGAAAUUGAGCUUUAGGUUGUAUGAUUCUCAAACAGAGAAAUCAAAACAAUAAAAACAGAGCAAGUAAAACAAGUAAAAGAAAAUAACUUUGGAUCUCGAGGAAAUAGGAUGCCGUCUCAAAUUUCCACCCUUCACUUUUUUAAAGACCAAUAACAGGACAAAGAAAGCAGAAAGUUACAGCCAGUUACAAUGAAAAAAAUCUGUUCACACAAAAAAAAAGGACAUUAAAACAUAUCAUCCAGGCUUACUGAAGAAAAGUAGCCUCCUUUAUCUUUUCUUCCUUCAUCUAACAAAGACUUAGAAUAAAAAAUGCUGGCAAGAGCAAAUUUAUUGGGGGGAAAAAUGAAGACGACAAAACCUUGGAUCUACACUAAACAGAUUAACAUUUUUUUGUUAAAAAAAAGGGCCUAAAUAAAAUUAACAUUGAGAAAACAAUUUCCAAAAUCCUUUUGUACUAUGCUGUAAAUCUUAAUAUCUCAACCCAUAAUAAACAUUUGGGAUUUAGUAGAAAAUAAAUAUAGUUAAAAUUCUUAUGCUACACCAUCAAAUCUAGCAUAGCAUAUGUUAAAUCGCAAAAAAGAAGUAAAACAAUAGGAAUUAAGCACUAAACACCUAAAUUUUUUUCAAAAUUUCACAUCCAAAUCACAUUGAUGCAAUAAGACAAAACAUCGUCCCUAAGCCACUUUUUGAAGUAAAUAAAUAGUUUGUAAUCUAAACAGAUAACAAAGGACCUAAAACUUACAAUAGCAAACAAUUAAGGACCAAAAAAACAUUUAAAGUUACUUUUGCAGCAUCAUAGGUGAAUACAUGAAAGGGUUCGGACCACCUUAAGCAAAUGAAUCAAAAUGCAAUCUACUACAUAAAAGGACACGUAGAACUACAUAAGAAAUCUGGUAAUAUUUGAUAAGUCAAAAAGGAAAAUAUUUACAAGAAUAAAUCAGCAUUUUCUGAAAACUUUUCGUACUUCCUAUAACAACAUAAGAAAGUUUCCAAACAAUGUGAUAUGAUAAUUCAACCACAUUUCCAAACAACAUAGCAGAUACAGGAGAACUAUUAUUAGAAAAAAGGCUUUCUAAAUCUAAAACCUAAACAAAGGACCUAAACCUUACAAUAGCAACAAUUAAGGACCAAAAAUACUUUUAAAGUUACUUUUGUUGCAUCAUCGGUGAAUACAUGAAAGGAUUUGGAUCACCUUAAGCAAAUGGAUCCAAAUGCAAUCUACUACAUAAAAGGACACGUUGAAUUACAUAAGAAUUCUGGGAAUAUCUGAUAAGUCAAAAAGGAAAAUAUUUACAAGAAUAAAUCAGCAUUUUCUGAAAACUUUUCGUACUUCUUAUAACAACACAAGAAAGUUUCCAAACAAUGUGAUAUGAUAAUUUUACCACAUCUCCAACCACGUAGUAGAUUUAGUAGAAUUAUGUUAUUGAAAAAAAACCUUUCUAAAUCUAAAACCUGAUUCUUCUAUAAUCAUUAUAAAACAACCAAUAGUUGGCCACAAUCUAAAACACAAAAGAAACACUAACAUGAAGUCACCAAUUAUCAAAAGGGAUAAAUCACAAAAAUUAAGGUCAUUAGGUAUGAGCACCUUGAUUACUAACUCAUACUGCUACUCAGAUAGCAUUUUGAAUAUCCAGUGUUCUUUUUUGACGAGUCUAUUUACUCAAAAAAUGUUUAUCUUUUUUUUUAGACAGUGAUAAAUUCCUCUUGCUUCCUACAAAAAAUAAUGGUAAGACAAAAAAAAUUCAAAAGAUUUGAGACUUGAGAAACAGAAAUCAAAAGAACAUUCUUAUCAGCCAAAAAGAGUUAAAAAAAAACUUCAAAUGAAUAUACCUCUAUAGAACAGAAAAAAAUGAAAGGUAGGUGCUAUCAUCUUUCUUCCUACAAAGGCAAUAACAUAAAAAUAUAAAUCAGAUAAAAAAUAUCAAUGACACAAAAUACUUUCUAAGAGGCAAAAUAUCAGAAGAAUAAAGGUCUUGUUAAUAAAAAAAGAAACCAUGAGUCAUUAAAUCUAAUAAACAUAAUCCAACAGAUCAACUAAACAUAAUCCACCGGUUGAAGGAUGAGGGACAAAUCACAAAAGGGACUAUAACUUCAAGCUAAACCCAAACAUAAGCCAAAUAUUCCAAAAAAAGAAAGCAUAAAAUGAGCUUAUUUACUUGGAAUUGAAAUGUGCUAAAAUACAAUUAAGUACAUGAUAGAGCAACAGACCUUCUAUACAUUCUUGUGCUCGAUACAAAAAUAUCAGAAUUGAGAAUGUUUCCACCUCUUGAAGCGAUACAUUUUGAUAGCUUGUAACUAUUCCACCUCAUCGUGCAAGAAAAAUAUGGAAGAAAGGGUAAAGAGUUCACAAAGAGAACCUGAAAACAAAUAAGUAAAAUAGAUGGUUAUUAAAUAAUUAACCAAAGACAAUGAGAAAUGUAGUAGUUGAAAGUAAACCAGCAAAUCACACAAAUCAUAAGUUUGUAUAAGGGCUCUCAAAGAAACGUAAAAAAAAAAGCAAACUAAGUAAAUAUAAAUACAACUCCAUGAGAACUAUUAAAACUUAGACCAAUAAAACCAGUAGCAAAGGUAUGGAGAGAUCACUGCCAACCAAAAGAAGAAAAAAAAAAGAGAUCGAAGAAAUUAAUUCACAUGCAAUAAACAAAAUUUUCCAGAAAGAGAGCCCCAAAUUGCAGGAUACCUUAAAGCCGUCCUUGGGAGAAAUAUGAUCAAAUUUUAUUCCAUACAAAAGAAAACCCUAUAAUGAUUAUUUUUCAUCUCUAAUAUAAUAUGCGCUCAGAAAGGAGGAUGGGGGCAACAAAUAAAUAUGGUUGGAACGAAGCUUUAGAUCUAUAACUUUUCUAACAAAAAAAUAGUUGAUACCAGUAUGAACAAUAUUGGAUUUUCUCAUAUUAUAGUUGAAGGAAGAAACGAGUAAAGAAAAAUACUAUUUAUCACAACCAAAUAACCCAAAAAAUAUAAAAGGGCAAGAAAUUAACUGUAAUUCCUCCUUCAAUGGCCUUCCUUGUGUUUUUUUUACCUGAGAUAAUCACAAAAAAAUUCCAUAAGAAAAAAUAAUCAUAGUCUAAAAAGCCAUGAGAAAAAUAAACAUCAUGUGAGAUCUCUUACCUGGCGGGUUCUGUAGAGAUUGAAGAUACCAGAUAAUAAAAAGCAAACCUUAAACUUGCACCCUGAAACAAACAUGAAAUUGAUUAGAGAAUAAAGAAAAUCAGUCAAAAUAAAGGAAAAUUUUAAAACUAAAAAAUGGCUAGAUCAGCGGAUCGAAAAUAAAUCAGAUAAGAAAGAUCUCCAAGGUAAUUAUGUCCCAAUAAAGAGAAAAACAAAUAACCCAAAAAAAUGAAAAGGCAAGAUACUAACUGUAAUUCCUCCUUCAGUGGCCUUCCUUGUGUUUUUUUAAACCUGAGAUAAUCACAAAAAAAUUCCAUAACAAAAAAUUAUCAUAGUCAAAAAAGCCAUGAGAAAAAUAAACAUCAUGUGAGAUCUCUUACCUGGCGGGUUCUGUAGAGAUUGAAGAUACCAGAUAAUAAAAUGCAAACCUUAAACUUGCACCCUGAAACAAACAUGAAAUUGCUUAGAGAAUAAAGAAAAUCAGUCAAAAUAAGGAAAAUUUUGAAACUAAAAAAUGGCGAGAUCAACGGAUCGAAAAUAAAUCAGAUAAGAAAGAUCUCCAAGGUAAUUAUGUCCCAAUAAAGAGAAAAAUAAUUGAGAGAAAAUAGAAAUUUUUCUGUGUAGAAAGAGGGAAAAAAUCAUAGGUUUAUGAGGAAAAGGAAUGGAGAUCAGAAACAGAAAAAGAAAAUCCAAAUGUGAGCAGUUGAGCAAACAAGAUCGACCAAAUUUUCGAGGUUCUCCUAUCUCAGAGUAAGGAGCAAAAAGGGCAAAAAAAGAGAGAGAAUAAAAGGUGCGUUUUGAGCAUCAUUUUUUUUGAAUAAUCUUUAAAAGAGGGGAAAAAUAUAGAAGAAAGGGAGAAUAGAUGCGGUGUGUUGUUAGUCUGUUUCUUUUCUUUUUUUCAGAGAAAAAAAUGGAGGAAAUCCAUGGAAGGAAUGGAGGCGGUCAGUCAUACUCUCGGAUGAGACAAAAGGAAAUAGAGGUGUUUUGGAAAAAGGGAGGUGAGGAGACUGGUAGAACAAGCGGCGCAAGCAGAAGCAACAAGCAAAGACUCUCAGGAACCCUACCUAUUCAUUAAGGCGUGAAAUCUCGAUUUUGUCCUCAAUUCAAUUCAUCAGCUCAAUCAACGGAGGACGACCACCAAUUGGCCAAUAAAAUUGUGCCAUGUCAGCAAUUAAAACUCAAUUGGAAACAAUGGCAUUCGCGCACAAUCAGCAAACGUCCAAUUCUCAUGCGGGCUGGACGACAUCAAAUUGGAAUCCCACGGGCCAGACGAUCACCAAUCAACCAAUGCAAGGAAGCCACGUCAGCAAUUGAAGCCCAAUUGAAAACAACGGCAUUCGCGCAUAGACUAGAUAUGUUAAUAAAGAGGGAGAAUAGACGAAUGAAGAAACGGGGCUGAAAAGGGUCAUCGGAUUAGACUAGUUGUAUUGAAGACGCGCAAUGGUUGUUGUGGUUGGGAAGUCCACUCUGACUCCGGCGCCCUUUUUGGCCUUCCCAUGGAAAAGUUGUUCCGUUGUUGACGAGUUGCGUCGUAGGAAGCCAUGGUGCUGUAGCAGCACCAUCAGCCUCGCCGUCACUUUCUCUCUCUCAAAGUACUACCUGCUGUCUGCUCCUUCUCCAGGAUUAACUAGAGCAAUCCUCCAAGAAGACCAAGACCAAGACUACCACCUCCUCUCUCUACAAGCUAAAGAAUUGUCUUCUUCUUCUAAUUCUCAACUCUAUGUUUGCAAUCUGCCCAGAAACUAUGGCAUUUCUGAGCUUGUUGAAAUCUUUACACCUUAUGGUACUGUUCAGUCUGUUGAGGUAUUUAAUUUCCGUCCUCCUUCUAAAAUUCAAAGAUGGACUUUAGCUUGAGCUGUGCCUUUUUUAUGUGUUUGAUCCUAAUUUUGAGUCUGUGGAGUCUUUUUGUUUUUGCCUUUGUUUGCUUUAGGUUUCUAGGGAUGCUGAAACGGGUAUUAGUCGGGGAUGCGGUUAUGUCACCAUGAGCUCGAUCGCCGAGGCCAAUGCUGCAAUUGCUGCUCUUGAUGCCUCAGUGAGUAGUGUACUGUUUUUGCGAUGCCCAGAUUUUUUAAAAUUUUCUUCUCUUUCCCUUUGUAUUUUUGGUUUAGUGCCGCCCUUCUGCGUUGCUGAUCCUGAUUCGCCUUUUCUCAUAUGUGCGCCGAAGGAUGUUGGCGGGCGUGAAAUGCGGGUGAGGUUUUCCACUCAAAUGACCAGGGGCAGUUCCCGUCAUAAUCUCGGGCCUGUCAAUUUGUCCACCCGACGGGAUUUCAUGUUUGAAAGCCCUUACAAGAUUUAUGUUGGCAAUCUAGCCUGGUCUGUUACACCUGCAGAUUUGAGAAACUUGUUUUCCCAGUUUGGGACUGUGGUUAGUGCUAGACUGCUCCACGAUCGUAAAACUGGAAAGACGCGUGUUUUUGGGUUUCUCUCCUUUUCCUCUGCUUCAGAGCGGGAGGCUGCUUUGUCCUUGGAUGGCAUAGUUAAGUUUAAUUCCCGUUCUUGCAACUUUUGCCAUCUUACGGCUCCUCGUUUUUUUCCUCUCCAAAAUAUUCAUUUAACAAUUUGCUUUGCAGGAUUUCUGUAGUAGGAAACUACUGGUCAGAGAUGUUUUUUCAAAGAUUUCCUGAGUUUGCUCACCGCCACAUUUUUUUUCUGUUUCAAAUUCUCAAAGAUUUCUCAUCAGAGUUGCGAAUUUAGAAAUUGAUGAUAAUUUCCUUUAACAGACGGAGAUGGAAUUAAACAGGUAACUCACUCGCCUAGCUCACAUUUGCUUUACAUGUUCGCCUAUGCUUCCAUCUCAGCUAAAGAUACUCAUUCCAAAUCUGAACAGUAGAUUACAUAAUGUCAUGAUCCUUGACAAAUUUACUUUUGUGAUUAGCAUGUGCUGAGAAGUUGUACUUCAUGCUGGAUUUGGAUUUAAUAGGGCUUUAAAUGCCUUUCGCCUUUGAUAUAGAUAGAGCAUCUAUAAUGAAGUUCCCGAUCAAAAUAAUUAAAUUGUGUGUAUCUUCUGGUUAAUGACUCAUGCUCCUUGGUAGAACAAUUUUUUCCUAUUAGGAGGCCUGCUGUGGGUUUGGUACAUGAAACCUUCAAUUUUGCUUGCAGGAGAUAGACCUGAUAUGUUGAGCUCUUCCAUAGUUGUUCUUUUACUGCUGUGGCUGCACCGCUGCAUGGUGUUAACCUAUCCAUAAUGCUUUUGCUUUCAUUAUACACAUUUUCAUAUUUAUGUUAAAAUCAUUUCCUUGCUGGUUCCCUGCUUCUAUAAUCCCUAUCAACAAAAGAUUUGUUAGAGUACCUGCAGAUUACGUUUUUGUUUUCUGUCUUGCCAGAGAAGUAUAAGUACUGAACUGUAUCUAAAUGGUCAAUGUCCUUCGUGUAACAGUGCUUCAUCUUCUCAUGCUUGUUCAGUUUCACUGAGUCAAUACCUAUAUUUUCUAGAUUCAUGAUCACGAUCCAAAUUUACCUAGUAUAUGCUGAAAAUUAUUGGACAUGCUUGCAUAAUUUAGAUAUUGUACUAUGUUGCUGACAUUAUGAAAUCUGAUAGAUGAUUACACUACUUAACAACUAGACCUGUUGAAGGACAAACAAGUAGUAUUACAUAUGGUGUAUUAAUAAACUUUGGUAGUAUCAUGGAAUCGGUCAGCAAAUAUUCCAUUGAUUGUUAGAUCAUACUGACUUAUGGGAUUUCAAUUCCAAUAGAUCCCAACAACCCAUGAUGAUACUUCUCUAGGAUGUAAGUCAAUUAUCCUGUUUUUUAUAAAGAAUCAAACACAAUCUUUCCCAAAGCCAGGCUCCUAAACCUUGUGUAGUUAGCCAAAGUGAAGCAAUUGUGCUUGUUUUGUUUGCUGGUUUUCCAGCAUAGUCCUCAUUCCACCUACUUCUAUCAUCCCACUGAACUCUUCCUCUUGAGACUGAUUGAGUAUUUGCUCCUUAGACUUCCAACUGCAAUCACUUCAAUUUGUGAAGGUGAACGAGGAAUGUAAUUUCUCCUAUUUACCUUUUUUUUUCUUUUCUUUUCUUUCUACUUGAAAGUUUGGCUGGCUGGGUGAUAUUCAAUUCUGUUUGUGGGGAUGUAGCGUGAGGUAUGGUAACUUGAGAUGUUUGAAGGUAGUUUCUGAAAAAAUGAGUUCAAUUCAUAUGCCUAAAGUUCCAUAAAUAAAAUAUCCAUUUCCUUUACCUUUAUUUGGACAAAGAGUUAGGAUUCAAGCCACCCAAACAUGGUAGAGGAAGGAAAGUGACGGUAUCUGUUCAAUUAAGGUAAAUGGUGUAAAUAACCAUAAACUGGAAUUGCAGAUGUUUGUUAUUUGAGUGAGAGUGCUGGACUUUGAGCUUCUCAAUCCUUAGAUGCAUAACUUUGAUGGUUAGAUGAGUUUAUGGAAGUUUGUUUAGCUCAUACAACUUCCUACCAGCGAAAACUUCUUGGGCAAAAUUGAUGACGCCUAAGAUAUUUCUAAGCAUAUUUAGCUCUUGACAUAUUUCUAGGCAUUUUACUAAGCAUUACCAAAUGGAAGGUAGCAGUUUUAUAAGAUUUUAUGUGCGUUUAUGAGACCGAAAUAGACGGACUGGGCAAAUGUAUAAAUUUGGAGAAGUAACUGUUUACUUCAUUAGAUUAGAUGCCCAUUUGCUGAUCAUCUGUGCAGAAGAUCGAUUGAAUCUGAUUCGUCAGUCUCAUUGCUUCAUGGUGAAAAUUGCUAAUAAAACUCUUAGGAAGAGUUGGCUUCCCCUUCUGUCUCGACUAUUUUUUUUGACCGAUUCAUCCUUCCUGUAAUCUGGCAAAGUCCUUUGGUACCUUGAUUCAGAUUUAUGAGUGUUCCACAGCGCUCCUAAUAGCUACAGUUUGUUUUGCUGAUUUUAGUCAACGUCAAUCUAGAGGUGUAAACGAUCUGAGUGUCAAACUCGAAUCGAGUUCAAAGUAUAUGGAUUGCUAAAGGUAUUAGAGAAAGAGCUUUUAAUAAUAUCAAACAAGUAUAUUUUAUUAGUUACGUUGAAUUUUAUGUAAAACUAUCACAAUUAUUUUACAGUUUCCUUGUCUCUAUUCUUAUUAUUUUAGACUUAUUUUGUUUCUAUUUUCUAAAUUGUUCUAAAAUACUUUUCAAAGUUCCGCGCCUACAACCUUGACAGAUUUCUUCUUUCGUGAGUGUUUUCAGUUGUUUUUAAGGUUUUGAUCUAAUAAAAAGUAGGGGUUAUUCCUAUUGAAGUAGGGAUUUUUUUCAGUCACUAAUAAUAAGUUUAUCCUUUUUUGUAUUAAAAUUAUCUCUCAAUUUCUUUAGGCAUAUUCAUAUUCAAAAACCCUUCUUCUGGUUCAAUACCCAAUUGAGUACUUCUAGACAUGGAAUAGACUCAAAGGCUUUCUAAAAUUAAUUUAUAAUUUUAACAUAUAAAAUGAGAUAGACUUAUUAAUGGAAGAAUUCUUGGACAAUUUGUUGUUAUUAGAACAACCUUUUUGGAGAACUAGAUAUCAUAAAAUUCUAGAUUGAAACUAAACAUCAAACAAUUAGAAUAUUAAAUAUCCAAAAGAUUUAUAAAUAUUAGAUAUGAACUUACUUACAAUCACAGAAGAUGUUGAUACGACUUGUGUUGGAAGUUUGUAAGAUAUUGAGAAGAAAGCUUUAUCAACGAAGAUAUAACAAAAAUAAUACUAAAAAAAAGACAGUUUUUACAAUAUCAAUCAAAGAAGUGUUUUAGAUUGGCUUACUGAAACUAGAUUCUUUAAAUGCCUAAUUUUCUUCUUGCAAAGCUCUUUCUAGUCUCUCCUCGAGAACAUGUCCGUUCUUUUAUGCUUGAAUUGUUAGAUUGUAGUUAGCACCGGCUGAAUUAGCAGUGCUUCUUUCUUUAAAUAUCUGAUAAGAUUCUAUCUUCUAAAGGUAUCCAAUGUUAGAUGAUAAUAUUUGUUAACAGUAGGAUGAAGUGGUGGGCAAUUUGAUUGCUUAUUCUUUCGCUUUUUUCUGCUCAUGUUAGCAGACAACUUUAUUAUUGCUCCAACAUAUUAUUCAAAUUUUGGAGUCCUUCACUACUUAUGAAGUUUGCUAGAUCAUUUUUAUCUUGGUUGUCUUCAUCUUGAUUUUAUAUCUCCAGAAAAAUUUCUUCCAUAAGGAGUUCCAACAAUUCUUCCAAAUGAGCUAUUUGUAGAAAUGUUGCAUUUAGAAAUUUCCAUUCGCAGUAAAUCUUUUGAUAGUAAUUUUCUAAUGCUACUAACGACCACUAUGAACGGGGUUCAUUUCUUUAAGUCUGGCAUAUGCAAUUUGUCUUACAAUUCAAUGACUAAUUUGAUCUUUUGUUCUUUUAUUGUGAGAUUUUUUACAUGCUCAUAAAUAACUUUCAAAAAGUAUCAUCAAUUUAGCUCGAUAUCCAUCCAAGAUUAUAUGAUGUUGCGCUGGUUGGCAUAUUCCAUCGAUAAAAUUUGGUCAUUUGCUAAAUAUGAUAGUUUCUACGUGUUUGCAUUGAUCUAGACUAAACAAUGAAUUUAUUGCAUAUGUUAAUUUUCUGCAAAACUGAUUUCUCUGGUUUGGAUCAUAAAAAAUUAAUCAAUGAACAAAUCUAUAGUUUUGGGUAGUGAGAGUUACUAUUUGUCCCUCUACGUUUAGUCAUAGCAAUUUAUAUAUAUUUAGAUAUAUAGAAAUCUUAAAGAUGUUAUAUAUCAAAUAACACUCUUAGUUUUGUCUGUUAAGAGAAAGUAUUUGGUAAAAAGGAUAAUUUUAAAAUAGGUACUUUGAGUUCGGUAGCAUGUAUUCAAAGUGAAUAGCAUACCAGAUGGAUAAAAUUCAAAUUCGCGAGAUCUGAACAAAGAUUAAGUUCUUGCCUUUCAUCUACAAAAUCACAACAAAUAAAGUGAGCAACGUUUCCAAAUAAAUAAUUUGCUAAACCAUUAUAUUUUCCUUUAAUAUGUUCAAAUAUUACCCGGUAACGAUUUCUAGUUAUUGUAUUUACAAAAUUUUGUUGUUUUUUGCUAUUCAAUUUUUCUCAUUAUUAUAGAAUUUUACUAUAGCUUCAUAGUAAGUACUAAUACUAAAUGGUUUGUUUAAAGUCUAAAGGUUUUUUGGGCAUUAAUUAGCCGUAGAAUUUCAUAAUUUGGGCUAGAUAAUCCAAAUUCUUUAUAUUUUUCAGAAGUAUAUCUACAAUUUUUUUCAUUUUUAUUACUAUAUUUUUUGGGUUUAACUAAUAAUAUGACUUCCCUGUCUAGUACACUUGCAUCUAUUUGUAUGUUUGUAUAGUCAUUUUCUAAUUGUAAAUCUAAAUGAUUAUGAAAACAGCUGGAUUUUUCUUUCAUUUUCUCAAUCCAGAAGAAAUAGAAAAAAAAAAAGAGAAUUAGAUCUUUCUCUUUUAGAUAGAAAACCUUGGCACAAUUUUCUGUAGAAAUUCAAAAAAUGAUCAACAGAAAAUCCCAAAACAACGAGAUUAAUUGGAUGAUCACCUUCCAAGAAUUUUUAUGAGAAGUCCUGAAAUCUAAAUUCUAUCCAAUUGGUAUGCUAUUUACCUGGGAUACACAUUAUAGAUUUCAAAGUGCUUGUUUUAGAAUGGAUCUUUUUUGUCAAGCUUCCCUUAGAAACAUAAAAUUGCAAAUGUCAAUUGACAUAUAGCAUCUAUAAGGUUUUUAUAUUUUUUGGAUGUAUAUAAACAGCUACAAUUAAACGUAGAGGGAUAAAUCGUAACUUUUACUCCUCAAAAGCUCAUGGAUUAUGAGUUUGUUCAAUUAUUAAUUUUUUUUUAUCCAGAUUAGUUUGGCAGAAAAUUGGUAUACGUGGUAGAUUAGUUGUUUAGCCAUGAUCAAUUCAAAUGUGUAGAACUUAUCAUAUUUAACUAUGGACAAGAAUUUAUCCAUGGAAUAUGUAAAUCAGCGCAAUACCGUAUCAUUUAAAAUGAACAUCAAAUUAGACCGAUGAUACUUUUUGAAAAUUAUUCGCAGGCAUGUAAAAAUCUCACAAUAAAAGAAUUUGAAUGAUACUUUUUGAAAAUUAUUCAUAGACAUGUAGAAAUCUCAGAAUAAAUUUUGAAAUAAACCCCGUUCACAGUGAUUGCCAAGAAGAUGACCAUCAAAAGAUCUAAUACGGAUGAAAAUUUUGUGAUAUAAAAUUUCUGUUGAGAACUAGGUUGGAAUAAUUGGUGGAAUUUCAUAUGAAAUUUUUUUUUCAAGAGAUUCAAAACCAAGAUGAAUAUGAUCUAGCAAAUGAAGGAUUCCAAAAUUUGGACAAUAUGUUGGAACACUAAUAAAGUUGUCGGCCAACUUGGGUAGAAAAAAUCAAAAGAGUAAGUAAUCAAAUUGUCCAUUAUUUAAUCUUGUCAUUGAAAAUGUUAUCAUCUAGCAUUGGAUACUCUUUGAAGAUAAAAAUUUUAGUUGAUAUUUAAAGCAAAAAAUAAUUGCUCAUUCAGCUAGCAUUAACUACAGUCCAACAAUUCAAGUAUAAAAGAAGAAGAGUUUGAAGAGAAUGGAUAGGUCCUGUAGAAGAAACUAGAGAGAGCUUUGCAAGACCAAAAUUCAGCAUUUAAAGAAUCUAGCUCCAGUAGAUCGAUCUAAAAUACUUCUUAGAUUGAUAUUGCAAAAAUUGUCUUUUUUCUUGAUAGUAUUAUUCUCGUAUCUUUGUUGAUAGAACUUUCUUCCUAGUAUUAUAUAAAUUUCUAGCAUAAGUUGUAUUGGCAUCUUUUGUGAUUGUAAGUUCAUAUUUGAUAUCUAAAAAUCUUUUGGAUAUUUAAUAUUCUAGUUGUUUGAUGUUUAAUUUUAAUUCAAAAUUUUAUUAUAUCUAGUUCUCUAAGAAAGACGAUCUAAUAACAAAAACUUGUUUAAGAAUUCUUUUAUUAACAGGUUUAUCUCAUUUCAUAAAUUAACUUUGGAAGGUCUCUAAGACUAUUUUAUGUCUGAAAGUGUCCAUUCAAAUAUCAAACUAUCUAGGAGAAGGACUUUUGAAUCUGAACAUGUUGAAAGAAAUUGAGAGAUAAUUUUGAUAUAAGAAAUGAUAAAUAUAUUAUUAAUGAUUAAGAAAAUCCUUGCUUAAAUAAGAAUAAUCUCUGCUUUUUAUUAGAUCAAAACUUUAAAAGAACUGAAAACACACAUAAGAAAAGAAAUUUGUUAAAAUUGUAGGUUAAAACUUUAAAAAGUAUUCUAAAAUAGUUGUACUUGGCACCUAUGUUGUGAAUUCUCUCUCCAUUUCUCGCAGUAUACAUUUGAAUGCAUGAUAUGUGUUCUCAUUUAUUAACAAUUGUUAGAAUAACUUAAAAUGAUCAUGUCCUUUACGAGUAAAUAAAUAUACAUGUCAUGUAUCUAAAUGUGUAUUGUGAGAAAUGAAAAGAGGAGCCAAAUCCUGAUUUAGAAAAUAGAAACAAAGUUUAAAAUAAUAAAAAUCAAAACAAGGAAACUAUAAAAUAAUAGGGAUAGUUUUACGUAAAAUUCAAACUAAUUAAUAAAAUAUACUUAUUUGAUAGUAUUAAAACUCUUUUCCUAAUCUCUUUAACAAUCCGUAUACUUGAAUCGAGAUCGAUUCUCGGAUCGUUUACUCCCAUACAUCAGUCUGCAGCCAAAAGUCAGAAUGCUUUGUGCCCAGAUUCGGUGCCUCAGUAAAUUAACUUUUGAUUAGUAAUUUGGCCGUGCCCUAGCACCUUUUUUUUAAAAUUUUUUUUUAUUUUUACCAUUAGUUGUAAAAUUUUGCAAACAUGUAUAAUUCAAAUCGACAUUCAUUAACAUUAAUUUUUUUAAAAAUUAAUGUAUUCUGAGUGUCUAACUAUUAUUCCAAUUUUUAAAAACUUCUAUACACACUUGUAAUAAUGUAAUAUUCAUGAAAUACUACCGACGCAUCUCAAAAACUUGAUAGGUAUUCUUUGAGAUAAGUAAAAUUUUUAUAAUGACUAUAAACAUAGCACUGCAUGCUCGUACUCAAUUAAAUGCAAAAGAUACAGCGAUUAAUCUUCUCAUGAAUGAAUAUUUAGUUUUUAUCAGCGUUAAUAAAUAUACCAAUAAUGACAGUAAGUAAAAUUAAUCCAGAUUUCAGAAACUAUGAGGAAAAAUAAUUUUAAUUGUUUUAGAAAGAUAAAAGUUUUUAGAAGAGAGAGAAAUUAUUGAAAAGAAUGGUUAGAGAAGAACCAGAUACAAUAUGAGUUAAAAUCCAAGUACCCAAAUAAUCAAUCAAGUCUCUUCAAUUAAACAAUGUCACCUGAGAGACAUAAGAUAAUUAAUUAGAUAUAGUGCUUUUAUUUUUUUACAGUAGCAUCCGGAUACACCAAAUCUGAAAAAAAUAAUAAAUAUUAUAUUGAGAAUCUUUAUUCUAUUUAAAAUGAUAUCAAUUACUUUGAGUCCAACAAACAUCUUAUCCUGCCAAAUUCACUGCCCGUGUAUCGAGUUGAGAGCUUGAGAUCUGAUAAAAUAAAUUUCGAAAAUUUCAGAUCUGAAAGAAAAGAAGAAAAAGUGAAACCACAAAUUCUUGCUUCGUUUGCAUUGCAUUUGUAAGAAUGUUCUUAUUAUUUGGCAGUUGUUCGAUAAGAGUGUCUAUACGAUUAAAAAAGUGACUUUUUUUUUCUCUUAGAAGAAGAUCUGAAAAGGUACGGUAUUAAUAUUUGUUGAUAAGAGUAUGUAUGUGACAGAAAUGAUCGUAAAGUUGUGAAUUUGAAAAAUUAUUCUAUUUUUUCUCUAUAAACCUGCAAACCAAAAGGGUCCUGACGUAUAGCAGGACGAAUGAUCCAUCCAUGCACUGACGGUGGAGCACGAAACCAAAUCGAGAGGAGGAGGACACGAAGAAGUGAAGCAGAAGAAGGGGAGGCCACGUAACCAAAUUCAUGCACGGUGCUACACUUUUCGAGUCAUGUCCGAAUGUCGGCUGAAAUUGGCUUUUCUGGCACAGUUUUUUAUCUGAUUAUGUGGUUGCUUAACGUGUUGUUAUUCAUUUCGUGGCAGACAUUUCCAGUUGCAAAUUUUUUUCCAGUUUACUUUCAAAGUGCAAGCACAAUAAAUAUGAGAGCUCAAUAACAGAAAAGUUAAUGCAAAAAUGUAGUAUGAGUUAGUUAAACGUAAAUAUCUCUCACCGCACAAAAGAAAAGUUUCUAACAAUUAAAAUGCGAGGGUGUUGCAUGGAAAGUGUUCUCUUACUGAUUAUUCUAACACUUAAGUACCAUUUUUCCAGGCUCGGUGGCCACCAGGAACCUUGGACUGUAGGUGAGGGUUCAAACCUCAUUUGCAGCGAAAAAAAUCUAAGGAUUGUGCCAGAGCAUUUUCUUGGUCUAGUUGGGUCUGUAUUUUCACUAGUCCCUACCACAGUCUACUUAGGCUUUCUCUUCCCCCUAAAUUAGGAUAGACUAAAUUAUACAAAUGUAUGGUUACUGACAAAAAAAAAAAUACCAUUUUUCCUUUUCCUUUGCUUUGCGAACCCAUUGAAAAGAUAAAACGUGGACUAUACAUUGAUGCCAUCAUCAGGAGGAGUAAAAAAUACUACUGGUACGUAGUAGUAACCGGAAAGGAAUUUUAUGAAAUAAUAGCAUAUAUGUAGCAGAAUCGAAUCCUCUUUAACUCGCUUUUCCUUUUUUCCUUGACCCCCGGUAUUAUUCUCUCUUCCCUCCUGCAAUUGCGAGUUGCGGUGCCUUUUUCUCUCAUCCACUUGCCACCACCGAUUUCCACUUCCUGGUAGUACCCACUUCCCUUUUAAUUCCUCCGGUCCUUCUAAGCCGGUUCAGCUUUAAUAGCUUCUCCUCCCUCCCUCUCUCAUCUCUAUCAGUACUCCCCCUCUCCCUUCCUAAAUUAAUAGAGAGUAUUUUUCAUAUGUCACAUUACUAGCUAGCUGCAGCGGAAAAGAAGCACCAGAGCUAGCUGCGGGCAGGCAGGAAUAAGCUAGCUAGUGGAAUUCUCUAAGCAUGAGCCAUGAAAAGUGUGUCGACGAAGGUUGCAAGCGGUGUUCACGGAGGGGCUACUUUAAUCGCUCUUCUGCAGCUGUACUUAAACGUGGUCGCGGCCGAGCCAUAUGCUCUUUCCUAAUCACCUUCCUCGUCCUGGCCGGCAUCACCGCUCUCAUAUUAUGGUUGGUGUAUCGUCCCCACAAGCCAAAGUUCAGGGUGGUUAGUGCUGCAGUCUUUGAUCUCAACGCAACGGCUCCUCCCUUCUUGUCGGCCACCAUGCAGUUCACACUCACCACCAGGAACUCUAACCGGCGAGUCUCCUUUUUCUACGAUCAGCUUUCGGCUUUUGUCUCCUACAGAGACCAGGCCAUCACCCCUCCCGUGAUGCUGCCACCUUUGUAUCACGAGACGAAGAGCACGGUGAUUAUGUCCCCGGUGCUGGGUGGAGCUUCUGUUCCCGUUUCGCCGGAGGUGUCCAACGGCCUGGCCAUGGACGAGGCUUAUGGAGUGGUGGCUCUGAGAUUGGUACUGUUGGGAAAGCUGAGAUACAAGGCUGGUGCUAUCAGGACCGGUCGUUAUGGUAUAUACGUCGAGUGUGACAUGCUGGUCGGAGUGAGGAAAGGGUUUGUAGGUCAGGUGCCUUUGCUGCCAUCUCCCGGAUGUAAAGUAGAUACUUGAAAGAGAUCAUCACCAAAGCAGCUAUGGACAUCAUCUCAUCAUACCUCUUCAAGUGGCCCUCAUCAGCGAUGUAAACGUUUCCCCCGUUCAAGUUACUCACAAAACCAACGUCAGUCUACUGUUGCUACUUUUCACUUUUAAGGUCAUAUAACUCUUAAAAGUGUAUCCCAUAUAACUCUUAAAGUUACCCUAGAGGCUGUCCUGUGGGGUUUCUAUCCCACAUCCCUCUUGGGGGUUGGGGGAUUUGGUAGAUAAGUCUCCUGACGUCCUCACAAGUUGUCGGUUUUGAGGAUUGUUCGAGAAUUAGGUUUAUUUGCGAAAUUCUGUGGCUUCAUAAGAUGAUGAAAGAAAAAAAAAACUCUUAAAAGUGUAAAUCUUUUGUCAUUUCAUUCAGUUUAGGCAUUAAACUAGACGGAAAGAGAUUUGCGCCACAGGCACGAGCCCGCUCAAAGGGUUAACAAUUUCACAAAAUUUUGAGGGACAAUUUGAAAAGAAAAAAAUGUCUCGAGAGUUAAAUGGAGAUACUUCACAAAGUCAGGGUCUUCUCAAAAAAACAACGUUGAAGGUCAUCGUCAUACCCAAAAAUUUCCUUCUUAAAAUUUUCAUUUUAACUGAGUUUAAUCAAAUUGAACACAACAUUAUUUUAGCUUAUUUAUUUAUUCUGACGAGUUUAAAAUUGUAUGCAAAUUUAAUUUGCUUAUUAGUGAAUUCAAACUCAAACAAAUUUUUAUCAAAUCGAGUUAUGUACUAAAUCUUUUACAGGUAAAUUUUAAGCUCAUCUUAUACAAUUGUUCCAUGCUCCUCGUCUCGCCUCUCUCUCUCAAUCUAUUGUUACCUUACAAAAAGUAUGAUGAGUCUUGGUGUGUAAGAGUGUAAGCAAAAAUUAAUGUUAAUUUUUGUGAUAUCAAAAUUGCCUUUGACAUCAAUAAAUAGACAAAUUGCAUUACAUUUCCUUAAUAAUUAAUAAGUAUUAUGCUAACAAUUUUUAAAAAAUAUUCCUUGAGUUGUAGUAAAUUAAACAAAAAAAAAAGAACAACCAACUCCUUGCAUUUCAUUAAUAAUUAAUACCAAUUAUGCCAAUAGUUACAAGAACAAAAAAUUGUUUUCCCUUGAGUUAUGGUGAAUUAGAUCAAAAAAAGAAGAAUGGUGAAUCUUAGUUGUUAAUAAUGUAAGCAAAAAAAUGAUAUUAGUUUUUGUAAUGCCAAAAUUACACUCUCUAAUAAAUAGGCAAAUCGCAUUGCAUUUCAUUAAUAAACAAUAUCAAACAUGCUAGCAGUUACAAAAAAUGAAAGAUUUCUUACUUUUUUUAUUUAUUAAAAGAAAGAAAAAUGAAUUUUAUGUGCAAAAUAUCCAAGUUUUUAAACAUGAAACAAAACGUAAUAAAUUGGUACUAUGAGUCUCUUAAAAAGUACAACGAGUCUCUUUUUUUUCAGAAUAAAAGUAAAUUAAGCCUUAAGAGAACCUUUUUAGUAUGUGUCCAUUAGUAUUGAGUAGGAAACUUUAAUACAAAAUGUAAUAGGAGAUGAAGUUCAAGGGUAGACAAAGAGUUUUAUGUUGGAAAUUUAUUUAUUUAAAUUGCAAUAAAAAUUAAAUUUAAUGAACUUUAUUAAUGGUAUUCUUAUAACAACUUAUAGCAUUAAACUACAAUUAAUGGAUAUUAUACACAUCAAUGCCAAUCAUAAUAAUAGUUAUAAAGGUGAAACAUAUCCAAGUUGAAUUCAACUAUUAUUUAAUAAAUAAUCUUAAUGACUUAUAAUUUUUAAUCAUAUAAAAUCUAGGGUUAAUUGCACUUUGCACCUAUGAACUAUUUCCAAAUUGAGCACUACACCCUAAACUUCUAAUUUUUGCAAUUCACUACCUUUAACUUUUAAUUUUUCGUAACAUAGUACAAUCCACCUAAUUUUGACAGAUAAAAAGACUGUUUCAUACCUUACUCUUGUUUUGUCCUACAAAAACCCUUUCUUAACUUUGUAAAAAUAAUAUGGUAACAAACAAAGGCUUUCAAUCAUAAGAAAAAGAAAGAAAAAUAAAAGGGUUUUUUCCUUGAAAAAUUUAGUCAUUGAAAAAAGCUUCCAAAACUCCCAUUGACUCUCAACCUAUUGGAUGAAAAAAAAAAAAAAAAAAAAAAACAGCAAUGCCCACUAUCCCCAUAACCCCCAUCCACCAUCCCAGAGAAGAGCAGUAAGGCAUCCUAGCAUGCCCUGGCCCUUCUCCCAAUGAAGAAGCUCUUGAAUUCAACAACAAAAACCAUGGUGAUGGGGAUAGCCUGAAGACCCAUUGUUUCUUCUUUUGUUUUUGACCAAAAAAUGGUGGUGGAUGAGCUUGAAUCGAAAUUUGUUGUGGAAGAGAGUUCAAAUUAAGAUAUGGUAUUGACUAAAAAAGGUACUUUCUUCUUCUAUAUAGGAGACGUCAAUACCCACGGAUUUAAGAAGUUUUGGUGGUUGUGAUAGGACUCUUGAGGGUAGUGAGAUUUCAGCAUGGGAUAUUUCUCUCUCUCUCUCUCUCUCUCUCCCUCUUUUUUUUUUUUUUUUUUUUGAUGAGGGUGUGGCUGUUUGACAAUGGUAAGAUUUAGGCUUCUCAUGAGAUGAGUUGUCUCAUGUUUGAUGAAUUUUUAGGUAAGAGUGGUGGAGGUUUAAGAAGUUAUAGUGGUGGCGGUGCGACUGGGUCAUGAGACUUAGACAUGGGAUAUUUGUGGACUUAUUUUCUUUCUUGUCCAAUGAGUUUUGAGGAACUGAUUCAGUGGUUUGUUUGAUGAGUUCUUGAGGUUCUAAUUUGUUGAUGAGUUUGAAGUGGCUAUGGUGCUGGUAUGGCUUUUAGGGAUGGAAAGAAUUGGAUAUGGGGUUUUUUAAUUAUUUUUUUAUUUGAUUGAUUUUAGGAAUUUGGGUUCUAGGAAUUUGAGAAUUUUUUGUCUCCAAAAAACUUGUCAUAGGUAGGGUAUUUUUGGAAGCUCAACAAGAAAUUAAGGGUAAACUAGUCGCACCACUCUUUUUGUGAUUAUCUUUAGUUUGAUUUUUAAAUUGUGCCAAAGGUUAAAAGUUUGAGGUAGUUGAUUGCUGUAAUUCAAAGUUUAGGAUGUAAAGUCUGAUUCUUGAAUAGUUGGUGGGUGCAAACUGCAAUUAACCCUAAAAUCUAUUAUCAUAAAGCAUGUCAUCAAUGAUAAAUACAAAUAAAUUUUACCAAAUUAAAACAUUUCUCUUCAAAAUUAUGCUAUUUAAAUUUGAACAAUGGAAUUUCAGUAUAUUUAAAUACUACUAUAAUUACAAUAGCACUAUACAUUAUUUUACAAUCCAUCAUUAGCAACAAAAUUAAUAAUAAUUAGAAAAGCUCACUAAAACUAAUAAAAAUUCAUAGAAUGACUUAAAGAGAAACAACAAAUUAUUCCAAAAGUUAAAAACUUUAACUCAAAUGACAUGAAAAGAACCUUCAAGUUAUCCAAAUUUAACAGAAAGACAAAAAUAUUGAUACUACUAUGAAAUAAAAGUGCUAUUGGGACAAAAAAAAAUGCUUUUAUUGUUUGUGAAUUAGUGUUGAUUAGAGCGAGUCAAUUAAUUUUCUAAAAAUUUUAAGCAAAAAAAACUAAAAAAUCACGUUCACGCGUAUAACACUUGAUCUGUUACUAGUUUAAAAAAAAAAGCUCACUAUAAAUCAUAAAAUUUAUGUUGGAUUUUUUAAUUCAUUUUUCACAUUUGUUACCGUGUAAAAUCUAAAUCAAUAGCCAUGUUUAUUAAUAAACAAUAUACAAUACGUGAUUUAAAAAAAGUUAAGUGGACUAACAUAACAAAAUAAUGGUUUUACCACAAAUACAACAUACUGACAAAGAAAAAGUACGCUCUUCUACACAACAAUUAUCAUAUUAUUUAGGUAAUAUUAUAUUUAUAUAUAUAUAAUAAUAUAUUAUAUUAUAGGAUAAAAUACAGUAAAACCCGUGUGGUUUGUUAUGACACACAAACACAUCUACAUAACCCUCUUGUACUUUGAAUUUCUUUGGGAAGUGGAUGGAAACUAUCUUUAUUGAUUAAAAAUCAUCAAAUUUCGAUACUAUCCUUACUUUAAAACACUAAAAAUCAAAUGUCGGGCUCAAUUAAAAGUUAGUUCAGAGUUCAAUUAAAAUUUAAAAACUUUCUUAUUUUUUUUUUUUUACAAAAAGUAAGGAACUCAAUUGAAAUUCAAAAAGAUGAGUCAUCUUUUUCUCCAUUCCAAGCGUUCAACAAAUUAGAACACCGAAUAGUUUCUUCUUUUUCUCUUUUUUUUUUUUCAUUUUUUGCCUCGUCCUUUCAAUUUUCCUUUCUUUUUUCUUCAAUCCGUCGAUCCAGCCAACACCACACCACCCUACCACUGCCGUCACUGUGUUGUCAUCGCCAUGUUGUAGCUGGUGUCGUCUCCAUGUUCAUCGUUCCAUUAUCGCUGUGUCUAAAUCUAAAUUCAUGUAUUUUCAUGUAAAAUUGAUGAUGCGUAACAAUAUAACCACUCUUAAAGAUCGUUGUAGUACUAAUUUUACAAAAUUUGGUUAAGACUUUAGGAUACAAAGAGGGUUAGAUAGAUCUGAUUGCGAGCCUCUUUUUACAAAUUUUUGCCCAUUUUUUUGGCCAAAUUGGACACUGGAAUCAACAUCUACACGACAAAUCUUCUUUGGGAUGUACAUUUGAUGAAGUUUUAAUGAUAAGCAAUGGUGGCUGACAUGAUGGUGGUAGCGGUGGUUGUGCAGUUCCAUUCUAGUUUCGGGUUUGCUGAAACAGGAAAAGGGAAAAAAUUAACAAAGAAAAGAAGAAAAGAAAAAGAAGAAAAAAGUUUUGCCGAAAGUAAAAUAUCAGAAACAAAGAAAACUUUGGUUUGCUGUACAGCAAGGAAAAAAAGAACAAAAAAAGGAAAAGAAAAAGAGAGAAGGAAAAUAGAAAGAAAGUUAAAAAAGGAAAGAAAAUGCUGCAGUUUCUGGCUUCUUGUUUGAAAGCAAGAGAGAAGGAAUAUUAAAAAAAGAAAAAUGGCAGAUUCUGAAGAAAAAUUAUUUUGGGACAAAACAUAUUCUGGCGAUCAAUCAUAUACUUAUGUGUUAGGUGAGUGUCAUUCACUCUCCGUUUAAUAAUUGAUUGUUCAAAACCACAGCUUAUUGACGAUCUAGCAAAGUCUGUGCACUAAGGUCAUAUUCCUCCACUGCAGCAUUCCAUGCUCUAACGAGUUAUGAAGAAGUUGAAAGUCUGGAACUAGGCGAGCAGCUCAGGGGUUCUCUGCUUCAUCGAUCUCCCCUUCCGACAGUUGAUGCUGCUUUAGCUGAGUUGAUUAUUUAAUUAUACUAGGGGGAAGUACCCGCGCAUCGCGCGGGUGUUUGAUGCCUGUAACUAAAGAAAAUUUUUUAGUGGUUGAAGUGAAUAUUAUUUUCAUAUUGACCAAGUUAUUUUUUAUCAAGAACCUAUCGGUACAUAUCAUCAAUAUUUUUGCCAGAUGAGCAAGUGAUUGAAGAUAAGAGUAAAAUAACAACGCAUAUUAAGUAAUAUUAACAAAAUUGUUGUAGAUAAUAAUGCAUAUUAGCCGAAUCCUACUUAAUAUAAGUAGAAGGAAAUGCAUGGAUAAUGGAGUAGUUUAGAGGGCAUUAGCCUAAUCCUGAAAGCCGAAAAGGGAAAAACGGAAGAAUGUGAAAGAGGAGGUAUCGGAACAACCAUAACCGAUACUUAGACAUUAAAUCAUCAACAUACCUAUGUUUUUUGCUGUUUAAUUGAGAUGUAAAUAAUGAUAUUCAAAGUUAUGGGAUUCAGACAUAGAACUCAUGCAUUGGUAUUAUUAUGAGUUGUUUCAGACAGUUGAAUGAAUAGCUGCAACAUCUCUUUAUUUUAAUUGCACUAUGACACCAUUUCAAUAAUUACACCAACACAUAUGCUCAUAUAAGUUGUACCCAAUGCACUAACGAUUGCAAAAUAAUCCCUCAUUCCAAAAAUACCUAGAUAUCCUUAUAUUAUAUAAGAAUGAGUUUUGGUCAAUUUUGUCAAAUGCUACUAUAUGAUAACAUCUAACAAUCAUUUCAUUUGGUGCAAUAGCUAAUAAAUUAAGUAGGCAAAGAUUUUACAAAUUCUUAGAAAUUGAAGUUAUUAACUUGUAUAAAUUAAGAUCCUUUUUAAACUACUUUGGGAGCUUUGUUUUUGUUAAAAUUGUAAUAAAGUAUUUACAAGGAUCUUCAAAUGAUAAGAAUAUGUUUGUCCAUAUAAUUUUUUGGUAGUACUAAAUUUGCUAUAGUUUCAGUCAAUUGGUGAUAAAACAACUCCAACUUCAAUCGAAUUUUGGAACUAUUUAUGUGGCAUAAUUUGUGGUGCAAUACUGAUAAAGUAUGUAUCUAAAUUUAGGUUGAAUUCUAAUGUUUUGUUAAGGAAGUUAGGAAUGAAAGCUUUAAUGAAUUCUAUUCAACCAUUAUAGACUACUCGAUUACUAUAAGUUUAGCAGAAUAUAAGAGAAAAUAAACAUAUUAUCAAACAUAAGAUUAAGACAAGCUAUAAGUUUUAUAGCAGCAGAUCAAACUAUCAAAAUCAAUUAUCACAUGAUCGCAUAAAUGAAUCAACUUUAUCACCAUAGCAAAUCAGCAGUACAAAGGUCAAACGACCACCAAAUGGAUCAAAUAUUCCUAGAAAUCGGACAAUCAUAUAUAUAACCAAAUACAUAAAUGAACAAACUUUAUCACCAAACCAAAUCAGUAUCACUAAAUACACACUAACACCAAAAUCAAUUCCAGAACUAACGACAUGUAUAUCAAAAGAAUUUAAAAGAUUCAGCAGAAAGGAUAAACUUUUGGUUACCUUAUUCCAAAUGUUCCCUGCAAAACUUUUCCUUGCACACAUGAGGUUGACAUUGUUAAUGUAUUAGUAUUACCUAAUUAAAUAUAUUAACAUGUGCACAAAAUGCAGUUAUACAUGUAUCAUAGGUUAUUUGCAAAUUAUGACAAAUUUCAAUGUAAAAAAUACAGUUUCAACAUACCUUGGCUUGGAGAUUCUGAUUAGGAGAUGUAACACACUUCCAAUGAAUCCUGUUCCUACCACAAAUACAAGUAAAGCAAAAAAAAAAUUCAAAAAGUUAAGUCAAUUGAUUGUUAUGAUUUGUCUUCAAAUGGAUGAAAGAUGGUUCCAAAUAACAAUAUCUUUGUUGAGCAAACCAAAAAACUAAGAAAAGGGGAUGAACUGUUGGCCAACACUUGAUGCUAUAAGUUUUUUAAUAAUUAGCAUUAAUUUUGUCUUAACCAUCCUGGUUCUAGAAUGGUUGGGAGUGGUAAAGAUAGCUAAAAAGAUAAUCUUUUAACUUAGACCUUAAACCAAAAUACAUGAAGUUGAAGCAGCAGAAUUUGAAUAGUAACACCUAUCUAGCCAACUUCGUGCAAUUAUCCCUAAUAAUUGUGUCUAAUAAAUCAUUUGUAGUAAACCUUUGCAGUAAAUGAAAUUUAGCCAGCCGAGAAGUCUAGAAGUCUAAUUAGUUACAUCAAAUCAAUGUUCUCCAACCUUUAAUUUGCAACUCACUAAAAAGACCAGUACAACAAACUCACAUUCCUAAAAUACCCCUCUCUCAUUAAUUUCUUUCACUAAUUACCUACUAAACCACAUUCUCCCCAAUUUAAUUAGAGACUAAGGACGUUUAAAUAAUUACAACCACACAAAAGCUAUUAUCACUUAUACCCACAACUAAAAAGACAACCAAAAUAAUCAUCAUUUCCAAAAUACCCAUAAAAAGACACAACCCCAUUUCUGAAAAUGUAUGACAAAAGAAUUCACCAUAAGUUGUAGUUUGUGUUGUACCUACCAUAUAAACUUUAAAUGUACAAAUAUGAGGAUAUCUCUGUAAACAUACCUAAACACAUGCUGUUAUGAGUUGUACCAAAAGCUUUAAAAAAGCUACAUAUUAUUUCAUAUUUCCAAAAUGCCCCUACCCAUACGGUUGAAAUUCAAAGCCCUCUUUGACUAAAACUCAUUCUUAUAUAGUAUAAGGAAUUGGUAGCUAAGAGAUAUUCCGGUAAUUACACCAGCACACAAGCAUACAUGGAUCGUACAAAAUGCAAAAACGGUUGUACACUCAUAACACAUUCCAUCAAUACCUAGGUGGCUCAUCAAUGACAACUUUAAAUGUAUUAUAAUGGGGAAUUAUUGGUAGUUAAGGGAUAUUCCAGUAAUUACACCAACACACAAGCAUAUGUGGGUUGUACAACAUACAAAAACGGUUGCACACUCAUAACACAUUCCAUCAAUACCCAAAUGGAUCAUCAAUGAGAACUUUAAAUGUAUUAAAAUGGGGUCAUUUCAGUAAACAUAUCCAAAUACAAGCUUUGUUAAGUUGUACAUAAAGCUUUUAAGCUAAUGCAUAAUAUUAAGGAUUCCCAAAAUAACCCCACCCUUGCGGUUGAAAUCUUUGCCCUAAAUUCAUUCUUAUAUAGUAUAAGGAUAUUAUUUUUUAAAUGGGUGGCGGGGCGGGCCUCUUUUCUAAACUGGGGAAAAAAAUUCCCUCUUGCCCCAUUAGCCCCACGCUGGACAGGUGCCCCAAUUGCCAUCCCUAAUUUUUGAUAAAUUAGAUAGGAAUCAAAUUUGAGUUUUGUCCAAAACCCUCCAAGUUACUAGGGAAUUGAGGAAUUUCAAAUUUUUAAAUAUAAUUUCAAAAUUUCAAUUUCGAUAAUAAUACUCUAAAUAAUAAUUAUGGAGUUUAUUCCAAUUCUCCAUUCCGAAACUCUCUUACCAAACGCCACCUAUAUUAUUGAAUAGGCAGGAUAUUGUACCAAGAGAAGGGGAGGAUUGGGUGAGAGUAUUGUUUUAAGCCCCCACCCCAUCUAAAGUGACUGACGGGAGAACAAUUUCUCUCACCCCAUAUAUCUCUCGACAGCAUUUGUUCCCGUCUCCAUUCCUACUUCAGCCAUCUUGUAAACCAUUAUGUGCCUUUUUCUUGGGGGUAAAUUACCUUUUACUCUCCUUUGAUUUAGUGUAUUACUACGCAGCCUCCUUAUGAUUUAAAAACCUAUAGAUAAUCUCCUCCUGACUUGGGUUUUGUCCAAAACCCUCCAUCGUAUCACAACUCAACUAACUUGCAUGAAUUCAGCACAAAAUUGAAUAGACUCUACCUGAAAUCUUUCUACACAAUUGUAUUUUUCUUAGGUUCAUUUGGAAAGUGCAAUUAGGUGGUGGUUUUAGAGAGAGGAUUAGUUUUGGUUUUUUUGCAAUUGUCAAUUUCAGUUGCAUUAUUGACACAAUAAAGAUAGCAAAUUUUGUUUGAAUUCAAAAUUCUGCUGAUCUUCUCAAUUUAAUAACGUACCCAACUUCUCGUUUGAGUUGCUUUUUGACCACUUUUAAUUAAUUCAAAGAUGCCUCCGUAAUAUAACCACAACACUAGCUUAGAUUUUGUUUAAAUUACACUCAAGGGUGUGUGCAUGAAGACUUGUCCACUGCCCUUGCAGAUACCCCGUCCACAUUUAGCAUCAAUACUCCUAUGUUCUUAUCCUCUUCCUCUUCUUGUGAUGCUUUGUAAAAGGAGUUACUUUUGUCCGGAAUACUGGCAGACUACCUUCAUGACUGGGAUGAUGGUCAGUGCGUGAAGUUGCUUAACAAAUUGUUACAAGGCUCUAUCAGACAAUGGAAUUGUAAUAGUCGUUGGCGCGAUUCUCCCCGUGUAGAGGUGUACGCGAGCCAAGCUACUCGCGAGCUACUCGCGAGUAGCUUGGUCAACGACUUGGCUCGAACUCGGGUUGACCACCCGAGUUCGAGCCGAGUUUCGAGUAGCUCGAAUGAAAAUCGAGUCGAGUUUCGAGUCAAAAAUCCCCGGCUCGAGGCUCGUCGAGCCGGGGUUAUUUAAAUAAUAUAUUUAUAAUUUAAAUAAUAUAUAUAUUAUAAUUAUAAAAUGACCAUUAUGGGUAUAAGUUAUAUGGAAUUUACAAAAUACCUUUCGUUAUCGAGCCUUAUCGAAUCGAGUUUCGAGCUUAGAGCGAGUACAUCGAGUCGAGUUUCGAGUAUAAAUUUUUUUGACUCGAUCGAGCUCGAGCCUAGGGAUAUAUGAGUCGAGUCGAGCUCGAGUAUAGCACUACUCGAGCUCGACUCGGCUCGAUUACAUCUCUAUCCCCGUGAUUCCUGAUACUAUUGCACGCGUCAAGCUGAUCUUAUAAUGAUGAAUCAAUAUCGGGGAGGGAAAGAGAGAUCUGGACCGGAGUUUCUUGCCGUGGCUACUGGAGCUGUGUUUAAAGGUAUAAGUGUAGAAUGUUUUGUAUGUAACUUGUGGGUCAUAGAGUUCUAUUAAGUAGAUGACUAAUUCAUGGUGCGCAUCGUACUUUAAAACCUUGACGUUGUAUGUUGAUUGUUUGUUAGUUGUAGCGACAUCUACAACCAGGGGGAAAAAAUCUGGUGGGUUUUGGAAGUAACAUUGACCUCGUAAGAAUAUGGUUAUAAAUUGUUCUGUUUCGGAAUAUAAAAACUGUCAUUGACAACCAAGUCUACUAACCUAGUGUCAAGAACGCAAACUGAAAAGUAGUACAAGAACGCAAGCUCAUGCAUGUAUAGCGGGUUGCCAUCGCUUGUAGUUGCCUGUGGACAUCCGUUUAACCUGGGUGUGGUUUCCAUGCAAUUGCACGCAGCCAUGACAAGGGAUUUAUCCAACUACACUAAUACAAUUUUUUAAGGGAUAUAUAUAUAUAUAUAUAUAUGGAUAGAUCUUUAGGGAAAUUACAUUAUUCAGAUAUAUACGUAUGUCUAUGAUGUAGCCCAUUAAAAUCAUUUUGACUCAAGGUUAGAUGUGCUAACAGAAAAAGAAAGAUUAUGUUCACUUACAGAGCUAAAUGGGUUUAAAAAUUUCAGAGUAACAAAAAGAGGAAGGAUUACAAUAUACAGCAAGAUAAAAGAGAAGAUCAAUGGAGUCUGAAUAAACCCCUCCAUUAGCAUCUUUCUACUCCAGUGUACUUUCAGCUGGUCCCAAUUAUGUCCUCGUAGGUGUCUUUGAUCUUUUUAACCAGGGCUUCCCUGAAAUUUCAUAAGCCAAGACAAAGCAAUUUAUAGUCAUACAGCAGGGAAUUCUGUUAGACCUAAGUUGCAGGAGAGACCAUACCUGUCUGGCUUAAAAACGAGGUUUUUGUACACGAAAUACUGCAGUCAAAGACAAAAGAGCGCGGGAAGUUUAGUUCAUUCUGUUGCUACCCGGAUAGAUUUUACAUAGUAUAUGCCUUAUUGUAAAAGACCAGCCAAGCAGAUGAUUGAUUGAUUUUCAGCAGGCGGUGUACUAGUGUUAAGUAUUAACAGUAGUUGUAGACUUUAAUCCCGAGAAAGGAGGACAAUUCGGGCUAUAAAUGCUCAAUCUCAGGAAGAGUGGCGGAUAAAGAAUUCGACUUACAGUAGUGUAACCGAUGCCCACAAGCUCAAGUACACCGGGAAUCAAUGGAAGCCUGUCAAUUGCCUGCAACAACUCGCAAGCCAUAUCCAUUUUGCCCACAAAUAAUUUGAGUUAUUCGGAUGAGUUUUCAAAUAGCGUGAUUCAUCGAUUAAUAUAGAUUUCAAAUACCACUAGUAGUAUACAUGCUAGAAAAGUCCUCACCGAAACCAAUCCAGUGGAUCCGCAAAGCGCAACAAGGAGAGCUAACGCCAGAGAACUGACAGCAUACUUGUCUUCAACCUUGUCCCACUGAAGAACGAAAAGAAGAAUAAUGCAGCGGCAAAUUGAGAGCGUCUUGGAAGCUUAAGUAAGAGGACAACUUAUUUGGACAAAAUCAGCAGGCCAUGUAUAUAACAUAACAAGGAUAAAUCCUUACAGCUUCUUGGAUUGUUUUGACAAUUUCCGGAAGCUCAGUGGCUGCAACCUCAGAUGGUGCCUCUCCGGUAGCCAUAGCCACAACAUUCCGGGCAAUCUUUCUGCCUGAGAAAAACAGGCAAGUGACAGCAGAAAUGAGUAGAUAUCUGAUUGAUUAAGAUGCUAAAACUGAGAUAUAUGGCUAACUCCAAAAAAAGACAGAUAAUUUAAGUAUAGUAAGCAAAAGAGUGGAAGACGGAUUAAAAGCUUAGCUACUCACAAUAGGCAGUUGUCUUUGCAGCGCGACAUUGAGACUGAAGAGGCGGAGCCAGUGCGGGUAAGGUCACACAUUGGGAUGCCGGAUUUGAUGGCUGGCGAGAAGCCUUGGCUUCGAUGAGGGUGGAAGAAGCGGAGAGAGAAAGUGGGGUGGAAGUGGUAGUUGAGGCCAUUGCUUCUUCCCUCUGAUCAACCCCUCGAGACUCGGACGAGAGAAGAAUGAACUUGAGAGAGCUUAGAGGAUGCUUUUUGUUGAUGCUUUAUUCCUCCACCCCCCUUCACCUCCGGAAAUUCACUCAAUGGGGAUUGGCGGGUCUGAUAUUUUCCUCCGCCUAGGAAAAUCAAAAGCACUCUCCAAGUGAAGGCAGGGCGGUUGCUGGACGACCACUCGUUCGCUGAUCCAUCUGGAUAGUGCAGUGCUGACAUGGCUGUUGGAUAGCCAUCUUAUGCGUUUUAUUGGAUGGGAGGACGCCAGAGUCUGGCUGGCAUGGGGACGGUUUUGGUUUUCCAUUUGUUGAUGACACGGAAAGUAUAAUUUAAAGAAAAAAGUCACUCGAACUAUUUUCUUAAUUUGAAUCAAAAAUUCAAAAAAUGAGAUAAAACUUUUAAGUUUAUUGGUGAAAUCCAACAAAGUUUGAUAAAAAUAAUAAAAGGCUGUUAAAUUUUUUUUUAAAGUAUGCCUAUUUAUAAGCUACAUCAAAUUUUCCAAAAUAAAAGAAGAAAAAAUAGCAUAAAAAUUUAAAAAACGGUGAUUUUGUUUUAGGCAGAAAACUCUUUGAUAUAAGGUGUGGGCACACCAUAUGGAAAGAAGUCUUCGAUCAACUGGACAGACUUUUCGACAUGAGUUGUGGGCAUGUUGUAACAAAGAAAGUCUUUUGGACUGUAGUUUCAACUAUUCAAUUAUGUUAUUAACUUACUUCGUGCGACUGUUCGCGCGAUCAUUCUUGCCCCAGAAAUUAUCCUCAACUUGCUUUACAUCAGUCCCACCCACCUGCUGAAAACUCAUCCUCGAGUUAGCAGGUAUAUCUAGAUACAGAGGCAGAUUCAAUGAACGGUAUCGGGACAAGUUUGCAAGAUUGAAGGUUCGAGAAAUGCCUAGUGAUUCAGGUAAGGAGCAAAUUAUCCGGCUGGCUAUUAAACUUUUGCAAUCGGGGAGUUUUGGUCACUCAACUAUUAAAAGUCUGGUUUUGGCCACUAUAAUGUAUAAAAUUAAGACUCGAGGCUAUUCUGUUAGAUUUAGUCGUUAAAUUCAUCGAUCUGUCUGUCCGCGCGAUUUCCAAGACAAAACGCAGGGUCAAUUUAGGAAGUUAAAAAUAGCACUUGCACCUUUUCUUCCUCUCCUAUGCAUCUGUUCUUCGUCUUCCUUUUGUUUUUGCUUAAACCCAAACAUCAAACAUUUGAGAAAUGAACAAAAACGGCUCUUGGUGAUUCCUGGAACCACUCACAACACCAUUGCCGGUGGGAAGGAGUCACUUGUGGUACUCGACACCAAAGGGUCAUUGCCUUGACUCUGAGGAGUAAGCAGUUGUCUGGAGCUAUAUCUCCUCAGGUCGGAAAUCUAAUGCCUUGCUUGGAUUGUUGUUUUCCGUAGAAAAAUUUCGUCAUUUUCCGUGAACAUAUUUCCCUAUUACCUUUUUUCCUCACAUACAUCAAAUCGCUACAGUAAUUUUUCCAUGAAAAAUGACGGAAAAUGCAAUCCAAACGGGACCUAAGCUUCAUGAGGUUCAUCCAAUUUGGGGAGAAUCAAUUCCAUGGUGGGAUUCCCCAAGAAUUCGGUCGCCUCCUCAUGCUAAGAGUCUUGAACUUGUCGAGUAAUGCACUCGGUGGAAAAAUCCUAGAAAAUCUGAGCUACUGCGCAGAAAUGAUAGCUAUUGACCUAACCAGUAACAAGCUAGAAGGGAAGAUUCCAAUCGAUCAGCUAAGCAAUUUGAAGAAGCUUAAAGGAUUAUAUUUUACCAAAAACAAUCUGACGGGAGAGAUUCCCUCUCCCAUUGGGAACUUAUCAUCAUCAUUGAUCGGACUCGGCAUUGACUUCAACAAUCUGGAGGGAAGUUUGCCUCUGGAGAUGGGGCUUUUGAAAAGAUUGGUUCAAUUAUUUCUCGAAUGAACGGGGAUUCAAUCCACUGAGGCGUCUCUCAAAAUGGAUAUGAAGGCUCAGACUUCUUGCUAUCUUCCCAAGCCAGUUAGUGCUAAAAAGAGCCCCUGAGUGCAGACCAAUCCCCAGGGGACUAAGCGCAUUCAGUUAUCUUUCAAAGAGCCUAUUCUAAAAGCAACCUAUUUGAAUUUGAAAACAGCUUCUUCUAGGAAUGACUAUUCUGCAGCGGUAAUUGCAAGGAGAAAGGGAGCACCGCUUACUCAAGCACUAGUACCGUCUAAGCAUCCCACAGCUGAUGAAAUAGUACCGGCAACUGGUGGAGCUUCUAGGAUCAGAUCUGCAGCUCCUUCUGUAACAGCUUAGGGUGGAUUGGUUUGAAUAGCCCUAUUGACCAGGAGAGUCAGCAUUACCGCAGCUUUGACUCUGUUGCAGGAAGGACUACUUGGAGUUCCAUACCAUGACUUCCAUGGCAAUCUCCCAAUUGACGUGGAUCUCACCCUACCAAAUCUGAAACUAUUAGUUGUUAGGAAACAAUUUCUCUGGAAACUUUCCCACUUCAAUCACCAAUGCUUCUGGGCUUGAGGAACUUGCCCUAAAGAAGAAGAUGUAUGUUGAACUUCCUAAAUUGACCCUACCUUUAGUUUUGGAAAUUGCCCGAUCAGACAGACCGGGCAACUUAACGAUUAAAUCUAACAGAAUGGCCUUGAGUCUCAAUUUUAUACAUUUUAAUGGUCAAAACCAGACUUUUAAUAAUUGAGUGACCAAAACUCGACGAUUGCAAAAGUUUAGUGGCCAGCCAGAUAAUUUGCUCUUCAGGUAAGUCCACCAUAUAGGCAUUCAAAUUAAUGUGAUGUAGAAUUUUGUCGGGACCAUAUUUUCGUGGUUGUAGCUUGCCAUAAGUACCAACUGGGAAGCGCUCGCGUCUCAAGUACACCAUCACCAUAUCACCUACCUCGAUCAUGGUCGUUCGACGAUGCUUAUCAGCUGCUACUUUGAACUUAUUAUUCAUCGAUUCCAGCUUCUGCCUGACAACUUCUUGAAUAUCUUGCACAUCCUUGGCCAUAUUACCAGCUGCUACACUGUAUCCUGAAACUAUCUUGAAACAUUAAAUAACUUGGCCAACUCAACCGCGUGACACGGAAGUUUCAAAUAAAUCACUGAGAAUGGUGACCUCUCAAUGGAACUAUUAGGGAAAGCAAUUUUCGACACGACCUGAAAAUGCGACACGAAUUUAACACGAAAUUAAUGGGUUUGGAUUGAGAUUUCACGAGUUCGGAUUAGAAUCGGAUCGAACCCGAUGCACCCGAAAAGAAAACAGGUCAAAUUCGGAUCAACCUGUGGUUGACCUAAUAACCCGUUUACGAAUUAAAAAAAAAUUAAUAAAUAUAAAAAAUAUUUUAUCCAACUAAACUAAGUUAUUCUUUUUUUUCCAAAGGUAUUAACCACUUAAUCCUAAAUGAAUUUGUUUAACUUGUGUGAAAUUGGAAUUAUUAUAUUUGGACAAAUGAUGUAUUACAUUAUUUUCUACUUUUAUUAUAAAAAAUAAGUUAUCUUGCAUUAUAAAAAAUAAGUGCCUUUCUUCCCCAAAACUAAGUUAUUCGUUCAGCAUUUCCAUAGAGUUUAUGCAAAAGGACGCAGCAUUUGUUUCAAUAUUUGUUCUUCUCGUGCUAUCUUGCAUUUGUUACUUAGUUGGCAAUGAAGCUAAAUGGAAAACAGAGGUGAGCAAGAAAUGGAAAAAAGCCAAAACCAUACCAAGAUAGGUUGGUGCGCGCUGUAUAACGUAUGGCAAAUCAAAAUUAAUACCUUUGAGACUAGGGUAUUUAGUUGUGAUAACACCGAGGGUAAUUCUGAGACCACCACCAACAUCUACCAAAGUUUUGAAGUGCUCGAAACCUUUAUAUCGUUCAAGGAUUCUGUUUAUGAUGAUAGUUGUGUGGUUGAUCAUUGCCUUAUUGAAUACCUUAAUUGAAUCUGGGGUCCCUUCCUGGAUAUUCAAAUGCAUGUGCUCCGUGCACCCUGUCAAAUGGAACUCCCCUUGCACGAGCUGCAUCUUCUAAAUUUUUAAUCGGUACCUAAAUUUUGGGUCAAAGGCAUAUUUUGUAGAGAUUUUAGUACGGAAUAAAUUGUUCUUAAAUACAUGCAAGGAAUAAAAGCUACUGAGCAUACUUGCUCUUUAUGGAAACCCCGUGAUUCAGGGACGACAGUUGUAGGACUUCAAGGACAAAACUAUACAGAACUGGUUUCUGACUCGCAGGUAGCUUUAAACAUCCAAGCUGUUAAUCCAUUAAUCCACGGGAGAUAUCGUACAAGCUUAGUGUUUAGCAAAAUUUCUGAUAUUGCUGCUUCUCAUCCCUCAUCACUCUCCUCAACUUUCAACUUGAGGUAUGGGCUCUAGAUAUCCAUCAUGAAAAAUGUGGUAGAAUAUAAGAAUAUGUACCUCGUUGUUGUAACAAAACAACAAAAAGAAGAUAGAAAAGCAUCUAUAAAAAAAAGGGAAGGAAGGAACAAAAAUUGAAAAAUUUUUGCACACGUUAUUGUCAUCAUCAAUUCAUAAUUAAAAAAGUCAAAAUGAAAGUUGAAGGGAAGCUGUCCACGACAGCAAUAAAAAAAAAUUAAGCAAGCCAAAAAAAUUGAAGUAGAGGUUAAGGUGAAAGCUAGAUGAUGGAUGGCAAAAAAAUGAUUAAUGCUUUUUCUUUCGUAUAAAAAAAAAGGGGGCUAGAUGAUGGAUGGCAAGAAAUUUGAAAGACAAAGAAAUAUGGAAAUGAAACUUGGGUUGGGUUGCUCGGGAUGGGUAAAGUUUAAAGUGAUCUGAUUACGAUGGGAGUCCAGUCCAACCCAACCACUCAAACCAAGUCCAUUCAGCGCUUCAAGGGACUAAAGGGGAGCAAUUCUUUUGGGGGCUGGGUUUGCUGCCAAAUCCGUUGUAGUUGUCACUUUCGUUGUUGUGCUCCUUUUUGGGGUGUGGGGGGGGGGGGGGGGUUCUUUUUUUGUGGUUUUUUUUUAAUGUAACCCCUAGCCCCCCAACAAGAUUGAGGACGUGUCCGUACUCACUUGACGGGACGUGGAGUUACAAUUGUGGAAAAGGCCACGUGGGGAGGGCUGGUUUAUAGUGGGUCCCGUUGAGUGCACUUUUAAACUUGGCGCGUGAUGUUCGCAGCACGGAGUUUGUGGUGAAGACCGGCGCAAGGCCUGCUGGGUACGAUGAAUGUAUGGCACUGGGAGGAGGCAAGAGGAAGUGUGGGGGUGACGUCCAAUCCAGUGCGCGUCGUCUCUGUCUGUAUUCCCAAAAGUGCAAGGGAGUGGGGGCAGCUGGAGCAGACAACCAGCCACUAAUUCCCUGCCACAUGGAGUCAUCCGAAACCCCUACUUCUCCCCCCACUGCUUCCUUACUUUACAGCCUCAAAUAAUUCCCCUCCCAUUUUCCUAUUUCUUGAAAAUUAAAUCCGCACCAAUGCUACUAGUGGCUCAGAUUUUUCCAGACACGUUAAAAAAAGAAAAAGAAAAAAGUGAAUGUGAAAAAAGGCCCGUUGCCAGUUUUUAAAGCCUUGCUUGGAUUGAAGGUUUUCGUCGGAAAAUAUUAUCGUUUUCCGUGAUCACAUUUCCCUAUCACCUUUUUCCCUCACAUAUAUCAAAUCGUUACAGUAAUUUUUCCAUGAAAAAUGACGGAAAAUGCAAUCCAAACACAACCCUAGGUUCUCAAUUUGGCCAAAACCCGGUUCUUCUCUCCAGUCUCCUCACCUUCCUUCUCCAGUCCGGCUUCCAGUCUCUUCUUCUUUCUUCUGUUCUUGAAGAUCAGUCAUCCGUGUUUUAUUCUCUGCUCUUAGCUAGGGUUCCCUUCUUUUUCUCUUGCUCUCUCUCUAUAUCCAUUUUGGCUGUAGUGCCAGCUAUUGUGUGUGGGUGUGUGUGUGUGUUUUUUUUUUCUUUCCGGGAGUUGUAGUUUCCUUAGAUUCCGAUCCAUCAUUGUGCUGAAUUAAAGGAUGAUGAUGAUGAUGAGUGUGGGGUGAGUUCCCUCUCAUGUAUGGUCUGACUCGAAGCAAAACUUGUACAGUUUGUGGAUAUCUCCCGAGGUACUCAAACCAAACCAAAUCUCAUUUUUUUUCUUUUUUAUCCAUGAAAAGCAGGUGGUUGUGGAAGAUGGCUUUGUCUUUUAAGUUGCUAUUAUUUCUUCAUUUCUUGACUUAAUAGAUGAGUACUGAUUGAACCUUCUUUCCUUUUUUUUCCUUUUCUCCUCACAUGAAAGGUUUAGGCAUCAUGCGGUUCGUUUUGGUGAGGAUUCUGGAUAAGGAAUUUUCUUCAUGCUCUGUCUCUCCCUCUAUGUGAUGGCUGGAUUCUGAUUUAACUGCAAAUUCGAUAAACCCCAAAGAAUAAAAAGAAAGUAGUAAAAGAUAUGUUCUGUUUCUACUGUAUCCGAAAUGCUACUACUAGUAGUUAGUUGGUCCAGUGUAUUCUUUAUUCUAAUACCAGUGUUCCUACCUAAGUAGUAUCAAUUAGUCUUUUGGUUGAGUUUUGACUUGAGUGCUAAGUAUUAUUUUGGGUAACAGAGGCGGAUCCGCAUCGAAUUCUGUGGUUACUGCUUCUUCUCUUUUGCAGUACCUCUACUAUUGACUACUUACCAGGUAUCGCCCUCCACCACCACCAUAACCACCACGGCCCACAAGAUUUUUCUGCUGUUUGAUGAUGUGGCCGCAGAUGAAAGAAAGCUCCUUUUCUAUCCCUUGCUCGUCCGAGAGGAUUUAAAGCAGCGUUAGCCGACGACAUAGCCACCCUCUGGUCCUCUCAGUGUAGAUGGACACUUACUCCUCUGGAGAAGAACUGAUAAUUAAAGUACACAUAAGCUCCCUCUCUCCCCAACCCCCCACCUUUCUUACAUUUUUUAAUUGUGACCAGCUAGGUGCUUCAUCCUCACUGGUCCAGCCACCUCAAUUUUGCUGCCUCUCCCUCUCUUCCAGGCCAGGAAGCCUUACACUAUAACUAAGCAACGUGAGCGGUGGACCGAGGAGGAGCAUAAUAGGUUCCUAGAAGCCUUGAAGCUGUACGGACGUGCUUGGCAGCGUAUAGAAGGUUACCAAUCUCCUUCCUUUUGAUGCUUUAUCACAGUUGAUAUCUCCAUCUGGGCUCUCUCUCUCUCAUUUGAUUGCUUUCUUUUUAUGUUUUUCAAGGUUGCUACUUUUGUGGUUUCCCUUAAAAUUCUUCUCAUCUUUUCUUGUUGGAGUAUCAUGCCAUGUGCUCCUUCCGAUGUAUAAUACUUGCUCUUACUUAGACAACUGUUCUUGCUCCUUUUUCUUUUUUGUUGUUUUCUAUCUGGUGGUUUGCAGAACAUAUAGGAACAAAGACUGCUGUGCAGAUCAGAAGUCAUGCACAGAAAUUCUUUACAAAGGUCAAGCACUACCUUCUUAUUCUAUGCUUGUCUGAGGGUCGCUUUACCUGUUCCUUUUCUUAGGCCGUAUCACAUUGGAAGCUUAUUUGCCAUGGAUUUCAUUUCACCAUUUGCUCACCCAUGGAAGUUCUAUUAAUUUUCAUUUUAAGUUUCGCAAAUUUUCUUGUGUGCUACUUUUACCCUGGGGAUCAUGAACUGCAUUUGCCAGUAAAACUGCAGUGGACAUUAAGAGCUAACCUUGCUAUAACAUUUUUCUGUUCUGAACUAAAUAAUAUUGCAACUUCUAGGGCCUGAGCAUGAGUAGUGCCAUGAAAAGGCCAUCUAGUAUUGAGUGUUUUCCAAAUUCUCCAUUUUAUCCAUUAUUCAGGAAUCAUAUUGGUUAAUGGAGAAAUAGCUUCGUGAUUGUGUAUGAAAGCAAAACUUUGGUAAAGCAAUCUGAUCUACUUAUAAAUCUGUAAAUCUUCUAAUUUUGAGAAUUAAAUAUAAGUUUGCUUCAAAUUCAUAAUGUAAGUGAAUGUUAUCGUUCUUGAAAAUAAAAGAUGGUUUGUUAUAGUUGUACUCAUCUUUAGUGAUAAUUCUGUAUAAAUGAAGAGUGCAGCAAUUAUGAUUGCUGGAUAUUUAUAUUAAUUUAUGUAGUUAAUCCAUUAUAUAUUACCUCUUCAGCAUAAACAUGCAUACGUGAAAAAGAUAAGAGUUCUUUAGGUUUGUAUGGAAGAAUUGACCGAUUGCACUUCAGAUCAGAAUAGGUGGGUUUAUGCCUUCCUUCUUAUUGCACUUUCAUUUUGUGACGCAUUUUCUCCAUUUCCCAUGUUUGGGCCAGAGUUAUUCCAGUGCUACCUGUAGUAAAGGAACAAUGGUCAAAAGUACUUGAUGGUUAGACUAAAUCACCUGACUGUGGCAAAAAUGAAUAAUCCAGAACUCAGAGUUAUCUUAUAGGGUAUCUCUGGUCAACGUGCUUUACAAGGUCUAAUGCAUGUAUAACAUCCUUACCAACAUGGGAGAAUAAGUUUAAAGAGUGAACAAGCACACAAAUUUUUGUAAAUUUUGGUAGAUUAGACGGAAAAAAGUUAGAUUUCUUACAUAAAUUGUUGAUACCUACAAGGGUAUAAUGUGCUAUAAAAUGUUUCUGAAGGAAUUUUUGUAAAUAAAAUGCGGAAAUAUAUCAUCUUCAACCUACUUUUUAUUGCAGAUAACAUUUAACGAGGUACACAUUUUAAGUCUCUUUAUUUGAGUUGGAAUUUCACAUUCAUGCAAUCUUUACCAUCUUCUUUUGUCAUAUUUCAAUUAUUCAUCCUUAGGCAUAUCUCUCAUUUUCCCCUCCAAAGCCAUAUGGGCAAAGCACAAAAGCAUCCAUAAAUGUGUGUUUUUUUUAAAAAAUUUUUAAAAAAGUUUAUUGGACCUCCUUUGACCACUUCCUACAGCCAAGCACCAGAUCUAUUAUUUUUUGAGUGGCUUUCCUAAAACAUGCCUCAAUGAUUUCAGCGCUAUACUCAUAUUUUAUAGUGUUCCUUUGGAAUAUUUCACAGUCUUCACUAUCUUCUUUUGUCAUAUUUCAACUAUUCAUUGUUUGGCAUAACUCUCAUUUUCCCCUCCAAAGCCAGAUGGGCAAAAAAGAAAGCAUCCUUAAAUGUGUGUGUGUGUGUUUUUUUUUGAAUUUUGCUGGAUCUCCUUUGAACACUUCCUACGGCCAAGCACCAGAUCUAUUAUUUUGUGUGUUUUUCCUAAAACAUACCUCAAUGAUUUCAGCACUAUUCCCGUAUUUCAUAGUGUUCCUUUGCUUCACCUAAUAUGUUUUUGCAUUUUGGAGAUGUUUCUAGCCUACAUGGCUUAGAUCCAUGCAUAUUUUUAGAGUUAAUCUUACACACAUUGACAGUGUAUACACUAUCAUUGUUGGAUGCUUGGCACAUAUGCAAAUUUUAGAUUUCAAAUUCAAUUUCAGAUUUGUUGCCAUGCAUCCAACGGUGAUAAUGUACAUACUGUCAGCAUAUUGAAGAUUAAUCCAUAUUUUUAUCAAUUAUCAAUAACUUUGAGGCAUUAUUCUGUAAUGCCAGAAACAAUCCUUCGGUUUGUGGGCUAUUGCCCGGGGCGGAGUUUACCUAGUGCGCACUCUCGGGUAGCGGCUGCGGGUUCCCUUGUCAAAAAAUAAAAAUAAAAAUCCUUCAGUUUGAACAAAUUUAUGUUUUGUCAUGCCAUUUUAUUACUUGUUGAACAGGAGUGGAAAUAUGAGGAAACAUAUUCAUGUAUAUGUUUGAAGAGUUUUUUUUUUUUUUUUUUAUACCCAAAAAAUUUGGUGUAUAAGGCUUCGGUAAUCAAAAUCUAAUUCAGAGUAAAGAUACUUAAAAAAACUUAAGUGAAAUGGAAAUAGAAUGAUACAUGUUCAGGCUAGACCAUUUAACUCUUGGUAGAUAACGUGUCAUGUAAUCCAAUUCGGAAUCAAGAUAGAGCAGCUGUGAUGAGGUAUUUAUCCCUGCGCAUCAGCCACUGCAGAAUAAUUAAAAGAGCUACAAUUAAAUGAGUGUUUUUCAUGUAUUGACAAUUGGCUAAAACAGCUUAUUGUAUAAAAACUUAACUGAAGAAUAAUGAGUGUUUAUCUUGUAUUGACAAUUAGCUAAGACAGCUACAAUUAAAUGUCUUUGUUUAGUACAACAAAGUUUCUUCAGCAUCAAGUUACUGCAGUAGUGUGUUACAACCACAAUUAAGAGGCUGACAUGGUAUUUGAUGAAACACCUAUAGCAAUUUGACUAGACCUAUAUCUGUAGUAGCUUUUUGAGCUCUGUGAGUUAAUCCAAUCUGUAGGAUGAAUUUUUAAUGCUGUGAAGUUAUUUGAAACAUGAAUUUUAGUGCAUCUCAGUUGGAUGGCAUCGGAAGAGAUUGUAGCGCUGAAAAUCCUUAUGUGUCCUUACGUGUUCUCUCUUUUUCCUCUUUUUUUUUUUAUGGGCAUCAGCCACUGCAGAAUAAUGAAUACAGCCUAGGACAUUAUAAAAUAUUAACUGAAGAAUAAUGAGUGUUUGUCUUGUAUUGACAAUUAGCUAAGGCAGCUCUCCAAUUAAAUGUCUUUGUUUAGUAUAACAAAGUUUCUUCAACACCAAGUUGCUGCAGCAGUUGGUACAACCACAAUUAGGAGACUGACAUGGUAUUUGAUGAAAAACCUAUUACAAUCUGACUAAACCAUUGCCUGUGGUAGCUUUUUGAGUUCUGUGAGUUAAUCCAAUCCAUAGGAUUUUCAAUGCUGUCAAGUUAUUUGAAACAUGAAUUUUAGUUCAUGUCAGUUGGAUGGCAUUGGAAGGGAUUGUAGCUUGAAAAUCCUUGUGUUUGUGUGUGUGUUUUUUUUGUUGGGGGGGGGGUGUGGGUGGUUGUGUGGGAAGAGGUUCUUGCUAUUGAAGAAGUUUUGACUUUUAACCAGCAAGCUUACCUGAGUAUCACAACAACAAAUGUAAUUUUUUUCUCUGAAGAAAAGGAAUGUAGAAAGGGAUGUCUGAGUAUUCCAGUCUGUCAACUACAUAUUGGGUAACAAUUGUUCGAAGGAAAGUUCUGUAUAGCACUGAAUCCUUUUCAUGAAGUUGUGUGAAACUUGUUGUUAGCAAGUCAUUAGUAAUGUGAGGAGAAAGUCUUGAAAUAUGAUGGAAAAUAAUAAAAUUCCUUUUACUUGAUUUUACUACUGCAGAAGAACCAAGCAAGCAAGCUAGUGGUUGUUCUUUUAUUAGUUUACUAUGUUAUAUAGAUGGCAACCUUCUAGAAGUGGUUGAGGUGUUUCUACAAGUUUGAUUUUCUUGCUUUCUAAAGUAUGUUAGAACAGCUGUGUGGUUCAAGAAGUGCAAUUUCUUCCAUGUCAAAUAUGGAAGCUGGAAUUUAAGAUCUGUAACGCUCUAAAAGAAAGAGCUUAUAAAUAAGGAAUAGAGAGAUGGGUAGCCUUAGAUUGUUUUUGAAAUUUUACGUUCACAUAUUGUUGAUUAUCAAUGUUUAUGUUGUUUUAUUUAAAAAUUAUUUUAGCAGGGGAGGGGUGCUUUUCUAGAAGCGGGAAGGGAAAAGGGGGAUUUGAAGAACAAUGUUUACUUAAUUAACUGAUAAUGCAUGAUAUUGUUAAAGGUUUUUAGGUCCCACAUUCUUAGGUUUUGCUACAUCAAGUGGGAAAAUUACUGGUCUUCAAGGUGUUAAAUAUAGGUUCUUACGGCCUUUGAGUGGCAGACAAAUACUCACAAAGGAAGAGUCCACUGAUUUGCUCUAAGAGUUGAUGAGCAGUUCCUGGAACCUAAGUCCAGUUAAGAUGACUAUCACAUUUAUUAAACUUAAAAAUUAGAAACUAACCAUAAUUAGAAUGAUGUCUAAGCAGUCAGCUUUCUAGGACUGUAUAUUUUAAGAUCAUUAUAUCUUGCAACUGAUUGCUUCUAAAAUAAGUGAGCAUCCAGGAAAUGAGAUUUGUCCAGAUUGUUGAUUGGAAGUGAAGGGGACUGAGUGCUCAGUGUUUUAGCUAUCACUUAUGUUACUCAUCCCAUCAUACCCAAGCUGAUUAACAGAUACCUGCAUCCCAUCAUACCUGAUUAACAACUAUGUUCCGGUUGUUUGAGUCUGUACCUUGCUACAGUUCUAAAUUUAGUUGUCCCUGUGUAAGUCAUGUAAUAAUCUAGUUAAAGUUUUGUCAUAAUUAUGCAAGUUGCCUUGUUUAUUAUAUAAUUAGUGUGGUUUUGGCAUUUAAAUUCUUGGAGAAUCCACUCUUGUAAGUGUUUCUAUCAUAUUGGUUGAGGAAUUAUAGUUGUGAAGUGCCUAAAGCUUAUAGUGUAGUGUCAAAAUUGUUGGCCUCAUUCAAGAGGAGGUAUUACUGAUGGUAAGAGGUCACUAGGUCUAAGGGCUGAUUUUAGGGGGUACACUUUGGAGAAAUUUUCCAUUUUGGUUGCCAAGAAUUUGAAAAAUAAAGAAAGAAGAAGACCAAAAAAAAAACAUGGUAAUUAAGUGGUAUUAAAGACAGAAUAGGAAUUUUCUUUGUAAAUUGCAUAUUUUUUGAUAACCAUCAAUUAAACCAAAGUAGUAAGUGUCUGCUGUCAUGCAUCAGCAUUGUUCAUCAUGAAGCUGCUUUUCAUUGCAAGCUAUUAGCACAAUGUUACGAUGUGUAAGGCUGGUUCUUUCAAAUCGGUAGUUAUUUGUUCAUUGCCUUGCUUUCAAACUGUCCUCACUCAUGAAUGAGAAGAAGAGAAGGUUGAAAGGAUUGUAUUGUUAAUUAGCUUUGUCAAUAUUCUCAUUGUAGUUGGAAAACUGCACACAACACAAUUGCUGGUGUUUGGUGUAUUGAUCUCCUUGAUUCUGUACCGGGAUGGCUAUCAGUCAAGUUUAGCUAAAAGUUCUUGUUCGCAGCAAAUAUCACUUCUCACUACUUCCUUCAGUCAUAUUACAUUCUAGGGCCCAUCUUUUGAAACCUCUGCCACCUGCUCGACCAAGCUCAAGUCCGACUCAAAAUUUGAAUGAACAUUGAAUGCUGUUGUGCUUGGCUUAAUUAGUUGGCAAACCAACUAAAGUUUACAGGUUCAAUAGUGCAAUAUCCAUAACAUGUAUACGGACAAAACUGUUAAGGAAUCAAGAUGAUCUGUUCUCUUUUUAUUCCAUGUUGCAGUACUACUAGUUUACCUUCUUCUUUUGUUGAAAAUUUGAUGAGCUAAAUUGAUCAUAAUGGUUUGCUUUUUUUCUUUUUCUUUUUUUUUUGAGGCUGUAAUGCUUUGCCUUAUAAUGAAUUGCCACAAAGAAAGUGUUGCAAGUUCCAUAAUGUAAUAUUCAUUAAGUGUGGUCAAAGAAAAUUGUCAAGGAAUUAAAUCCAUUGGUGAUUUACUGUCUUUUGAUAUCAUGUUGCAGUACUAUUUUAUCUUUUAUUUCUUGUUGAUUAGCAUAGAUCAACCGUUCAUAUUGUUGUGUUUUAUAAUAUCAGUGAAGAAAAUGUUACAAUUGUUUCUUAAAAUGUUGUAGUUAUACUUCGCUCGGAAAAAAUUUUCAUCCAUAUUAGCAAUCUGAAAGUUCUCAAUAUAGUAAAGUAUAAUAUAAGGGAAGUUGGUUGUAGCUAUGCAGGAAAUUAUUUGGUGUUGUUUUGAAGUUGAGGUUCUUUAUCAUCUUAUGCAUAGGCACAACGAAACCUAUGCAACCUAAAGAAGUAGAUUGUUUGUGUACUUAUCCAACGUGUAUCUAUUUGUUGUUUUAGAUAUAUGUAGCAUUUAUUUCCACUCUGCCUAGGAACUUGAGUUUAUUGGGUGUCCAAAUGUUGUUGAUUACAGAUUAUAUAGGAUCCAACUUCUGAAUUGAGACUGCCUGCAUAUUUUGUCUUUUCUGGCCUCUGUGAUCUUCCAUUUUCAAUCUUUUGAUGGUUAUAGCUAGGGUUGAUAACCUAUAACCCUCC
rnacentral:lncRNA from 1 species